rnacentral:lncRNA from 1 species
CCCUUGGUAUCUAUCUUUGCACCCAAUAUGUCUUUGGAGUUCCAAGAAUUGAAUCUUAGCAUGAAUGGCUUCAAUGUGUACCAAAUGUUCUCUUGUUCCUCCCAAAUUAAUUACUGGUUGCAUUCUUAGUUGCUUUGACAUUCUUGGUUAAUGCAAUGUCUUGCCUACCAAUAUAUGCAUCCACACACGAUCAUAUUUAUAUGACCACUUACCUCUGUAUUCUGGUAUUUGUGCUUCAGAAUUUUUCUCUCAUUCAGUUUAUUCAUAGAUUAAAAACGUCGAUCGUUUCUUUAUUGGUUUGCAUUAUCUUGUUUGCCGAACGUAAGCAUCCACAGAUGCUCGUCAUGAUAUGAUUGGUCAUCAUUGUAUAUUUGUAUUUGUGUGUUGAUAGCUUAAGGAUUUUCUCGGAUUCACUUCAUAGUUUAAGGAUUUUCUCGCGUUCAAUUUAUUCUACCUUAUUCAUUUUCAUGUUUCUUUAUUGCAUUUAUAUCAAUUCUUACAAUAUAUUUUCCAAGAUAUGAACUCAACUACUAAUUAUGUAGUUUUUCAUCAAAAUUUACAUGUAAAAAUGGUACAAAUGCAUAAACAUGAUAAAAAUAUAUAUCAUAUUCCAUUGAGAGAUCGCCCAUUUAAAAAAACACGUUGACUUACAAAAAGGACAAUUCAAGCUGCAUGUACGUCCGACUCAUGUUUACCUGACAAUGUCGAUGUUGAUUUCAGCAGUAAAUGAGCUGUGUGUGACCUUUGCGCUUUCCGGUAUUCUUCUAUCCUGUGUGCUUUAUGAUCAAUUUGUUGUGCUUAGUACUGGACACUGGAGUAUACUAUCAUAUUUGGUACAAAUAAAUCUGAACUACUAUAGUUAUGAUCCACUGUAUAGUUAAUGUGGUGGUAAUUAAUAUAUGUGAUUAAAUACUUGCGCUCCUUAGGUGGGGAGUUGGAUUUGUAUUUCCCUAAAAUAAAUUUCAGAUUUCGUAAUAGUGGUGAAGCCAGCCGGAAGAACCUCUACGUCAUUAUUAAUUUUGGUGAUAUUUUUCUUCAUAGUGUAGAAUAAUUUUAGUGCUUAUUCCGCAAAAAAUAUGGCCUCAACUGACCCCAUAGCUUGUAUGUUGCGCCACCACUGUUUCCUAUAUCUUAUUACAUCCGUUGUUUUUAGAUCUUGAUGCAUAACUUUGACAAUUUUUAAUAGAUAUGUGUCUGUAUAAAAAUUAUAAAUGCUAUGAUAAUUUGAUUAAUUAUGAUGAAUAAAAUGUUAUUGCUCUGACUUGAUCCCUCUAGAAUUUUCCAAAAUUUCACAUUACAGUUGUAGUAGUGCAUGCUACCUCUUGAGCAUUGCGUUAGUUUUCCCUUGAAGAGGAAAGGGUGAUGCAGUAAAGCAGCGUCAGUAUUUCCCUCAGUUUUUGAGAAGCAAGGUAUCAAUCCAGUAGGAGGCCACGCACGAGUCCCUCGCACCUACACAAACAAAUAAAAUCCUCGCAACCAACGCAAUAAAGGGGUUGUCAAUCCCUUCACGGUCACUUACGAAAGUGAGAUCUGAUAGAUUUGAUAAGAUAAUAUUUUUGGUAUUUUUAUGAUAAAGAUGCAACGUAAAGAAAGCAAAAUAAAAACAGCGCUAGAAAUAGCUUGUUGACGGGAGAUUAAAUAUGAUGGAAAAUAGACCGGGGGGCCGUAGGUUUCACUAGUGGCUUCUCUCGAGAGCAUAAGUAUUUCGGUGGGUAGACAAAUUACUGUUGAGCAAUUGACAGAAUUGAGCAUAGUUAUGAGAAUAUCAAGGUAUGAUCAUGUAUAUAGGCAUCACGUCCGAGGCAAGUAGCCCGACUCCUGCCUGCAUCUACUACUAUUACUCCACACAUCGACCGCUAUCCAGCAUGCAUCUAGAGUAUUAAGUUCAAAAGAACAGAGUAACGCUUUAAGUAAGAUGACAUGAUGUAGAGGGAUAAACUCAUGCAGUAUGAUAUAAACCCCAUCUUGUUAUGCUCGAUGGCAACAAUACAAUACGUGCCUUGCUGCCCCUACUGUCACUGGGAAAGGACACCGCAAGAUUGAACCCAAAGCUAAGCACUUCUCCCAUCGCAAGAAAGAUCAAUCUAGUAGGCCAAACCAAACUGAUAAUUUGAAGAGACUUGCAAAGAUAACCAAUCAUACAUAAAAGAAUUCAGACAAGAUUCAAAUAUUGUUCAUAGAUAAACUUGAUCAUAAACCCACAAUUCAUCGGUCUCAACAAACACACCGCAAAAGAAGAUUACAUCGAAUAGAUCUCCACAAGAGAGGGGGAGAACAUUGUAUUGAGAUCCAAAAAGAGAGAAGAAGCCAUCUAGCUAAUAACUAUGGACCCGAAGGUCUGAGGUAAACUACUCACACAUCAUCGGAGAGGCUAUGGUGUUGAUGUAGAAGCCCUCCAUGAUCGAUGCCCCCUCCGGCGGAGCUCCGGAAAAGGCCCCAAGAUGGGAUCUCAUGGGUACAGAAGGUUGCGGCGAUGGAAUUAGGUUUUUGGCUCCGUAUCUGGUAGUUUUGGGGGUACGUAGGUAUAUAUAGGAGGAAGAAGUACGUCGGUGGAGCAACGUGGGCCCCACGAGGGCGCGCCCCCUACCUCAUGCCUUCCUGGUAGAUUUCUUGACGUAGGGUCCAAGUCCUCUAGAUCACGUUCGUUCCCAAAAUCACGUUUCCGAAGGUUUCAUUCCGUUUGGACUCCGUUUGAUAUUCUUUUUCUGUGAAACUCUGAACUAGGCAAAAAACAGCAAUUCUGGGGUGGGCCUCCGGUUAAUAGGUUAGUCCCAAAAAUAAUAUAAAAGUGUAUAAUAAAGCCCAUUAAUGUCUAAAACAGAAUAUAAUAACGUUGGAGACGUAUCAAGCAUCUCCAAGCUUAAUUCCUGCUCGUCCUCGAGUAGGUAAAUGAUAAAAACAGAAUUUUUAAUGUGGAAUGCUACUUGGCAUAAUUUGAAUGUAAUUCUCUUAAUUGUGGUAUGAAUAUUUAGACCCGAAAGAUUCAAGACAAAAGUUUAAUAUUGACAUAAAAAUAAUAAUACUUCAAGCAUACUAACUAAGCAAUUAUGUCUUCUCAAAAUAACAUGGCCAAAGAAAGUUAUCCCUACAAAAUCAUAUAGUCUAGCUAUGCUCUAUCUUCACCACACAAAGUAUUUAAAUUAUGCACAACCCCGAUGACAAGCCAAGCAAUUGUUUCAUACUUUUGAUGUUCUCAAACUUUUUCAAUCUUCACGCAAUACAUGAGCAUGAGCCAUGGACAUAGCACUAUAUGUGGAAUAGAAUGGUGGUUGUGGAGAAGACAAAAAAGGAGAAGAUAGUCUCACAUCAACUAGGCGUAUCAACGGGCUAUGGAGAUGCCCAUUAAUAGAUAUCAAUGUGAGUGAGUAGGAAUUGCCAUGCAACAGAUGCACUAGAGCUAUAAGUAUAUGAAAGCUCAACAAAAGGAACUAAGUGGGUGUGCAUCCAACUCACUUGCUCAUGAAGACCUAGGGCAUUUUGAGGAAGCCCAUCAUUGGAAUAUACAAGCCAAGUUCUAUAAUGAAAAUUUCCCACUAGUACAUGAAAGUGAUAUCAUAGGAGACUCUCUAUCAUGAAGAUCAUGGUGCUACUUUGAAGAACAAGUGUGGUAAAACGAUAGUAACAUUGUCCCUUCUCUCUUUUUCUCUCUUUUUUAUUUGGGUCUUUUAUCCUUUUUUUAUGGCCUCUUUUUUUUUAGUCCGAAGACUCAUCACGACUUGUGGGGGAAUCAUAGUCUCCAUCAUCCUUUCCUCACUUGGGACAAUGCUCUAAAAAAAUGAUGAUCAUCACACUUUUAUUUACUUACAACUCAACAAUUACAACUCAAUACUUAGAACAAAAUAUGACUCUAUGUGAAUGCCUCCGACGGUAUAUCGUGAUAUGCAAUGAAUCAAGAGUGACAUGUAUGAAAGAAUUAUGAACGGUGGCUUUGCCACAAAUACAAUGUCAACUACAUGGUCAUGGAAAGCAAUAUGACAAUGAUGGAGUGUGUCAUAAUAAACUGAACGGUGGUAAGUUGCAUGGCAAUAUAUCUCGGAAUGGCUAUGGAAAUGCCACGGUAGGUAGGUAUGGUGGCUGUUUUGAGGAAGGUAUAUGGUGGGUGUAUGAUACCGGCGAAAAGUGCGCGGUAUUAGAGAGGCUAGCAAUGGUGGAAGGAAGAAAGUGCGUAUAAUCCAUGGACUCAACAUUAGCCAUAAAGAACUCAUAUACUUAUUGCAAAAAUCUACAAGUUAUCGAAGCAAAGUAUUACCCGCAUCAUUCUAGGGGGAUAGAUUGGUAGGAAAAGACAAUCACUCGUCCCCGACCGCCACUCAUAAGGAAGACAAUCAAUAAAUAAAUCAUGCUCCGACUUCAUCACAUAACGGUUCACCAUACGUGCAUGCUAAGGGAAUCACAAACUUUAACACAAGUAUUUCACAAAUUCAAAACUACUCAACUAGCAUGACUCUAAUAUCACCAUCUCCAUAUCUCAAAACAAUUAUCAAGUAUCAAACUUCUCAUAGUAUUCAACACACUCAUAAGAUUUUUUUACUAAUCUUGAGUGCCUAUCAUAAUUAAAGCAAAUUACCACGCUGUUUUGUAGGACUAUCAAAAUAAUCUAAGUGAAUCAUGAGAGAACAAUAGUUUCUAUAAAACAAAACCACCACCGUGCUCUAAAAGAUAUACGUGAAGCACUAGAGCAAAAACUAUAUAGCUCAAAGGAUAUAAGUGAAGCACAUAGAGUAUUCUAACAAUUUCUGAAUCAUGUGUGUCUCUCUCAAAAGGUGUGUACUGCAAGGAUUAUUGUGGCAAACUAACAAAUAAAGACUUCAAAUAAUACAAGACGCUCCAAGCAAAACACAUAUCAUGUGGUGAAUAAAAAUAUAGCUCCAAGUAAAGUUACCGAUGGAAGUAGACGAAAGAGGGGAUGCCUUCCGGGGCAUCCCCAAGCUUUGGGUUUUAGGUGUCCUUAGAUUAUCUUGGUGUGCCAUGGGCAUCCCCAAGCAUAGGCUCUUGCCACUCCUUGUUUCAUAAUCCAUCAAAUCUUUCACCCAAAACUUGAAAACUUCACAACACAAAACUCAGCAGAAAAUCUCGUGAGCUCCGUUAGCAAAAAACAAAACACCACUUCAAGGUACUGUAAUGAACUCAUUCUUUAUUUAUGUUGGUGUUAAACCUACUGUAUUCCAACUUCUGUAUGGUUUAUAAACUAUUUUACUAGCCAUAGAUUCAUCAAAAUAAGCAAACAACACACGAAAAACAGAAUCUGUCAAAAACAGAACAGUCUGUAGUAAUCUGUAACUAACGCAAUUUUCUGGGACUCCAAAAAUUGACCCAAAAUAGGAAGACCUAGACAAUUUUUUUAUUGAUCAGCAGCAAUUGGAAUUAAUAUUUUAUCACGUCCUGGUGAUUUUUAACAAUUAUUUUCGUGAACAGAAAGUUUCUGGAAUUUUCAGCAAGAUCAAAUAACUAUCAUCCAAGAAGAUCCUAUAGGUUAAACUUGGCACAAACACUAAUUAAAACAUAAAAACACAUGUAACCAGAGGCUAGAUCAAAUAUUUAUUCCUAAACAAAAGAAAAAAUCAUAAAAACUAAAAAUAAAAUUGGGUUGCCUACCAACAAGCGCUAUCGUUUAACGCCCCUAGCUAGGCAUAAUAGCAAUGAUAGAUCUAGGUAUUGCCAUCUUUGGUAGGCAAUCCAUAAGUGGCUCUCAUAAUAGAUUCAUAAGGUAAUUUUAUUUUCUUUCUAGGGAAGUGUUCCAUGCCUUUCCUUAAUGGAAAUUGGAAUCUAAUAUUCCCUUCCUUCGUAUCAAUAAUUGCACCAAUCGUUCUAAGGAAAGGUCUACCAAGAAUAAUAGGACAUGAAGGAUUGCAAUCUAUAUCAAGAACAAUAAAAUAUAUGGGCACAUAAUUCCUAUUUGCAACAAUAAGAACAUCAUCAAUUCUUCCCAUAGAUUUCUUAAUGGUGGAAUCCGCAAGGUGCAAGUUUAAAGAGCAAUCAUCAAAAUCACGGAAACCUAGCAAAUCGCACAAAAUCUUUGCAAUCGUGGAAACACUAGCACCCAAAUCACACAAAGCAUAGCAUUCAUGAUCUUUAAUUUUAAUUUUAAUAGUAGGUUCCCACUCAUCAUAAAGUUUUCUAGGGAUAGAAACUUCCAACUCAAGUUUUUCUUCAUAAGAUUGCAUCAAAGCAUCAACGAUAUGUUUAGUAAGGCUUUAUUUUGACUAUAAGCAUGUGGAGAAUUUAGCACGGAUUGCAACAAGGAAAUACAAUCUAUCAAAGAGCAAUUAUCAUAAUUAAAUUCCUAGAAAUCCAAAAUAGUGGGUUCAUUAAUAUCUAGAGUUUUGAUUUCUUCAAUCCCACUUUUACCAUUUUUUGCAUCAAGAUCUAAAAACUCCGAAUUUUUGGAACGCCUUCUAGGUAGAGGUGGAUCAUAUUCAGUCCCAUCAUUAUCAAGAUUCAUAUUGCAAAACAAAGAUUUAAUAGGGGACACAUCAAUAACUUUUAGAUCUUCAUCUUUAUUUUCAUAGAAACUAGAAGAACACGCUUUCACAAAACAAUCUUUCUUAGCACGCAUCCUAGCGGUUCUUUCUUUGCACUCAUCAAUGGAAAUUCUCAUGGCCUUGAGAGACUCAUUGAUAUCAUGCUUAGGAGAAAUUGUAUCAGCGUUCCUAGCCAAUUCAUCAAAUUUAAGCAAUUUUUCUUCAAGCAAAGCAUUGAAAUUGUUUUGCGAAUUCAUAAAUUCUUUAACACUAGUCUCAAAUUCAGAAGGCAUCUUAUUAAAAUUUCCAUAAUAAUUGUUGUAGGAAUUACCAUAAUUAUUAGAGGAAUUACUAGGAUACGACCUUGGAUUAAAGUUUCCUCUAUACGCGUUGUUACCAAAAUUAUUCCGACCAACAAAAUUCACAUCCAUAGAUUCAUUAUUAUUCUCAAUCAAAGUAGACAAAGGCAUAUCAUUAGGAUCAGAAGAAACACUUUUAUUAGCAAAUAAUUUCAUAAGUUCAUCCAUCUUUCCACUCAAAACAUUAAUUUCUUCUAUCGCAUGCACUUUUUUAUUAGUGGAUUUUUCGGUGUGCCAUUGAGAAUAAUUAACUAUAAUAUUAUCUAGGAGUUUAGUAGCUUCUCCUAAAGUGAUUUCCAUAAAAGUGCCUCCCGCGGCCGAAUCUAAAAGAUUUCUAGAAGAAAAAUUCAAUCCGGCAUAAAAUUUUUGUAUAAUCAUCCACAAAUUCAAACCAUGAGUAGGGCAAUUACGUAUCAUUAAUUUCAUCCUCUCGCAAGCUUGUGCAACAUGUUCAUGAUCAAGUUGCUUAAAAUUCAUAAUAUCAUUUCUAAGAGAGAUGAUCUUAGCGGGAGGAAAAUACUUAGAGAUAAAAGCAUCUUUGCACUUAUUUCAAGAAUCACUACUAUUUUUAGGCAAAGACAAAAACCAAGCUUUAGCACGAUCUCUAAGCGAAAAAGGAAAUAGCUUCAAUUUAACAAUAUCUUUGUCCACAUCUUUCUUCUUUUGCAUAUCACACAAAUCAACGAAGUUGCCAUGUCUAGGAAUGCUUGAAGCUUCAAAGAUUUCCUAUAAUACAACAUGCCUCUAACUAUUCACAAUAAGAAAAACAUGUAAAUGCGGAAUCAACCAAAUGAUGGUAAAUUGUAGUUGAUUUUGGCCAAGCAAACGUGAGAUGAAAGAAACAUACAUGAGUGAACAUCACGAUUGGAUGUUUUAUUCAAAUUUAACAGGUUAAACUCACCAAAUCCAUCUGGAUAUUUAGUAUUAAACUUUAACAGAUGGUCAGUUGUAGCUAGAUUCACACCACUGAAGCAAAAUUCCAUCUGCCACGGUUACAUCACACCAUCUUUUCAUCGUUACUAUUUAAAUUCCAAAUGCCUGCAACUCAUUUUUUUGUUAUGAUGUAUGCAUGAUUUUUAACUCAAGAGGAAGAGGGGAAACUAAAUCCAAGAAAAGAACACCAAGGAAGCAUCCAAAAUAGAGAAAGGAAAAAUCCAAAAUAGAGGCAGAAUCGAAGGGAAGAAACCCCAUAAAAAAUAGGAGAUCAAACGGUGAAAAAAAUCUAAGAGUCAAACAAUUCCAGGUAAGACCAAAUCGACGGCAAAAUAGCACAAGAGGGACUCACAUUAACAGGUAUACCAGGUAUACCAAUUCAGAAAGAAGUGUAAAGCGAACAGUGCAAUGGACCACUAGUAUAAAUUGGAUGUACACAAACAUGGGACUUAAACAGGAACUGCGAGAUGCAGGGUUCACGUGCAAACCCAAAAAACGGAAAACUGAAACCCACAACAAGAUUUUAUCUUCAUGUUUGUGUAUUAGUUGCUUCUUCCGAAUCCCCACCUAUCAAGCGUUUUCUCUGAAUAAACAAACAGAAUAGUAUUCUCUGAAUUAUACUGUACAACGGUAUUUAACAAAGCGACUGGAAUUAACAAUAUUAUGAGCUAUUGGCUUUUUAGUCAGGUAAAUAUCAUUCUUAAGACUACGGAAAACAGCAGGCGGCGAAGAAAACAUCUAUUGAUGAGAACUAUACACAUACUUAAGAAGGAAGUGACAUCUAUGGUAGCAGAACAUAUAUCAAGCUGUUGCAGCUACAUUAGCAGUUUAGCACAGUUCCUCCAUAAUACACAGGCUAGUGUAAUUUCACAAAUACAAUAAGCUAACAAUAUAUAUUUGGUAGAUGGAAAUGGCUGGAUCAUGACCAAUAUACCAUUACACAUCCGAUGAUGCAAAUAAAGAAACGAGGCCCAACAAUAGUGGAAAAUAAACCACAAUAGAACAUGUAUUUGGCGAAACCUCCAUACUGCAAUAUCAAACAUGAAUUGAAAUUAACAAUCUAGCAAAAAAACAUGACAGAUGCAGUCUUGGUCAUUUUUCCUUUUGUGACAUCCCCUAAAAAAGUAAAAACAAUGUUGUUCGUAUUUUACCAGAGAUACACUGAGCUGGGACAAUUCGGUCUGAAAUAAAAUAUGAUGGCUUCGGAGGAUUCGGAAGGCAAGAAAUUUGCUUUCUUCCAACAUAUAUGGUCUGCUGAACUAAACUUCGUUUCAACGGGCUUUGGCAAAAAUUUGUAACUGCAAACAUCAACUUGUGUGCCCGUCCUACGUCAAACUUUAACCCUGACGGAUUAAAUAUUUUAGGUUAGGCUGAGAUCAGUGUACUUUAUGAGUGUUAAGUGUACUUUCUAAAUAGCAGAGAAACCAUAACAUCUAAGCACAACCCAGCAACUUGUACAAGCUAACAUCAAAUCUGAAAGAGGAAAUGUCGAGAACAGGUGAAGGUACCAUGAUCCACGACUGAGCAAAGUUAUCUAUAAUCCUCGGUGAAUAUCAUAAAUUAGGAUCAACUACGCUGAAGAACAAACGGGAAAGGAACCUAGAAAGAUCUUCUGCCGGUAGAAUAUAACUGAUACACUAUCCUCAUUCUCGAGAUCAAGGUCGUUUCUUGAAUUGCAGUUUCCUCACUGUAGUAUGGGGUCAUUACACUGCGAAGAACAAAGUGUCAUAUGAAUCAUUUAGAGCCCAAUAUUUUUCACUGAAACUCUUAUGAUCACAUAACGAAUUUAAACAUAAGGUUUAUUAGAUAUUUGUUGUUGUGAACAGAUAAUAUAUUUCUGGUGUUGACAAUGUUUUGAUUAUGGAUGCACUUCAAGAUGGGUGGCACAGAUUCUGUUGUACAGGCCUCCACCUGGAAUUUCAUCACUUGUUAUUUUUGUUUUAGAAUGUCUAGGUGCAUUUUUCCUUUAAGGUGGAAACAGAUGUACUUGUAUAAGCAACAAGAAUACAAAGCGCCACUGCCAUACAUUGUGGAAGUUCAGUGCUUCUGUUUACAAAAUCUGCUUCCCAAAACAGAAGGAUUUAUAAUUUUUUAUUACAAUCAAGCGGACAUGAGCUGAUGAGUACAGAUGUAGACAUGUACUGAGAGCAGCACCCUUUCAAAAGUGGAUCAUUUACAAGUUGGAUAGUUUGAUGGUCUGAAAUUAGUGGUCGUGUUUCAGAAUUGUUAUCGAAUAGUAGGGGAUAUAUAUUAACUUCUGAAAUUAGUGGCUGUUUGUCAGAACUGUUAUCGAAUAACAGAGCACAUAUAUUAACUUCAAUAAGUGGAGUAAUAUUUUUGGAUUCGCUGUGAGGAAAGAUUACCAAAACAAAACAGAAGUGAGUGCGAGGACCCAGAUCAAGGCGCUCUUGAGCCUCUUCCCGACCGACCUAGAUGCAGGAGCAGAACACGGCGGAUCUAAUCAGCCAACGAAUAAAGCUGAGGCAGGUAGAGGAAGUAAGGGAGGAAGAAGACUGACUUUUCCUGGUCGCCCUCGUAGUAGAACCUGUGUUUUGAUUUUCGGCCGAAAAAAGUGGAUUUCGGCCAUCUCGGCCUGGGGCGAAAAGUGUAUUUAGGCCGAAAUUGUUCAAAUUUAGCAAAUUUUGGUCAAAUUUAAGUCAAAUUGCAGUCAAAAUUUGGUCAAAUUUCAGCCGAAAUUUUUGAAAAUGGCCGAAAUUCGGCCAUCUCAGCCUAGGGAGAAAAAAAAGCUCAAACCGAAAAUCAAAACACAGAGUAGAACAUGGCGAACAGGAUGACGAGGAAGACGAGGACAGCGUCGAGGAUGUAGACGACGAGCCAGAGCGUGUUCAUGGGCAGGAUCAAGCAUGGGCAGGAUAAGGGCGCAGGCCCCGUUGUAGGCGGCGUGCUUGCAGGCCUGGCGGUUGGCGACGUCGGCGGGGAGCAUGAGGAUGGCGAGGACGGCGACGGUGAUGCCGAGCACGACGACGAGCUUGAGGAAGUAGGCCUGGUUGGCAUCAUCCGGCUGCUGGUAGUUGACGAGCAGGUAGACGCUGACGAGGAGCACCAGGAUGCUGACCACCGCCGCCACGAUCACUAGCGCCACGUUAAAAACCCCAUCUCCUCGGGGCUCCGGUCCCGGUUCCGGCCCGCCGCCUCGCCCCCAUUGGUCGGUCAGAUCUCUCUGUCCCUAGAGGCGGGGGGACACAGGCUAGGGUUUGGGCGUGGGCGGGGAAUAGGCUGCUAUGGUGCCGGCAGCGGGGCGUGUAGGAGAGAAGGAUUAGGAGGAAUAAUUCACCACACUUUGCUUAAGCUCUCGGCUGGUUCUUAUGUAUAGAUUACAGGGCCAGCCAGGGAGAUCAUGGGGUGAUCCACUACCUGGGAUCGUGCGCCACGAUCACUACAUGCGUGCGCCACGAUCAUAUACACACACGCUACACCUAGUGUCUACGCAACUACGGUAUAGCAGUACAGUACAGUCUAACACCCCCCCGCAGUCGUGACGUCGUCGGCGGCGACGCAAAGACUGGACCGGAACUCAGAGAAAACAUCCGAUGGCAGGCCUUUGGUCAUGAUGUCCGCGAGUUGUUGGCGCAUGGGGAUGUGAAGAACACGGAAGUGGCCGAGGGCGACGCGCUCCCGCACGAAAUGGAUGUCCAGCUCCACAUGCUUAGUGCGGCGAUGAUGCACCGAAUUGGCUGACAGGUAGACUGCGGACACAUUGUCAUAGUACACCAGUGCCGCCUUGGUCACUGGAGCGGAGAGCUCGCCGAGAAACUGGCGGAGCCAGAUGCAUUCAGCGACCGCGUUGGCAACGCCGUGGUAUUCAGCUUCGGCACUGGAGCGCGAUACGGUCGCCUGGCGCUUGGAGGACCAGGAGAUGAGAGCAUCGCCGAGGAAGACGCAGAAGCCCGACGUGGAGCGUCGGGUGUCGGGGCAGCCGGCCCAGUCCGCGUCGGUGAACGCACGGACGUCGAGCGUGGUCGAGGCGCGAAGAUGAAGCCCGAGUGUGCAGGUGCCCUUCACGUACCGGAGCACGCGCUUGACGAGCGCGAGGUGACAUUCGCGCGGGUCAUGCAUGUGCAAGCAGAUUUGCUGGACGGCGUAGGCGAUCUCUGGGCGCGUGAUGGUGAGGUAGUGCAGGGCCCCGGCGAUGCUCCGAUAGGCUGAGGGGUCGUCGACGCAGGGCCCAUCGGCUGAGGGGAGUUUGCUCUUCGUGUCGAUGGGUGUCGGGGAAGGGUGGCAGGUGUCCAUGCCGGCGCGUUCCAGGAGUUCGUCGGCAUAUUGUUGUUGCGACAGGAAGAAGCCAGCUCGGGUGCGGGUCACGCGGAUGCCGAGGAAGAAGGCGAGCGAGCCCAGGUCCUUCAUGGUGAAUUCGCCUGUGAGGCGUUGGAUGACAUGGUGAAGCACGCGUGACGAGGACGCGGUGAGCACGAUGUCGUCGACGUAGAGGAGGAGGAACGCCAUGUCGUUGCCGUGCCGGAAGGUGAACAGCGACGAGUCCGAACGCGUAGCUGCGAAGCCAAUGGAGCGGACGAAGCCGGCGAAGUGGAGGAACCAGGCACGGGGCGCCUGCUUGAGCCCGUACAAGGACUUGGAGAGGCGGCGAACGUGCUCUGGUUUGUCGGGGUCGACGAAUCCGGCGGGCUGGAGGCAGUAGACUUCCUCCUCCUAGUUGCCGUGGAGGAAGGCGUUGGAGACGUCGAGGUGGUGCACCGGCCAGCCGCGUGACGCGGCCAGAGUGAGCACCGUGUGGAUCGUCGCUGGCUUGACGACGGGGGAGAACAUCUCGCCGUAGUCGACGCCGGCACGCUGAUGAAAGCCCCGCACGACCCAGUGUGCUUUGUAGCGGGCCAGCGCGCCGUCGGCGUCGUUUUUGUGCUUGAAGAUCCACUUCCCUGUGAUCAGGUUGGCGCCCGGGGGGCGGGCACCAGCUCCCACGUGCGAUUGCGCACGAGCGCAUGGCACCGAGCCAGUUCGGGUCGCGAACAGCAGCGCGAAGCGAACGUGGCACCGGCGACACCGAUGAUGAGGUAGAGGCGGUGGCCGCGUCGUAGUAGCGUGGGUUGGGGCGGAAGAUGCCGCGCUGGGCACGCGUGACCAUGGGCACAGGAGGCGCCGGUGCGCGGCGCGCCGCUGGUGGCGCGCUCGGAGACGAGCUGUCGGAGGAGCCGCUGGCGGAGUUGUCGGAGGAGCCGCUGGCGGAGGCGAAGACAGGCGGACCAGGCGCGGAUGGGCACGUCGAGGAUGGAGCCGAGCCGCCAUCGGAAGCGCCCGCAGCGUACCGCGAGCUGACGCGGCGCGCCUCGCUGGUUGGCGAGGAUGAGCGGGGCAGGCCGGUGAUGGAGAUCGGGCGCGCCGGCAGCACGGGUGACAUGCUGCUGUCAGGCACCAGUGGAAGCGCGGGCAGCGCAGGAGGCCGGACGACGAGCGGGAUCUGCAGGGUAGAGGGUAUGACGGGUGGCGUAGGCGACGGGGAAGAGGAUGCGAACGGGAAAACGUGUUCGUGGAAGAGAACGUGGCGAGACGUGAGGACGCGGCGAGAGGUGAGGUCAAAGCAGCGAAAACCACGAUGAUCGGGAGGGUACCCGAGGAAGACGCAGGCGAUAGAACGUGGCUCGAGCUUAUGGCGGGUGGUGGCGGUGACGUUCGGAUAGCAGAGGCAUCCAAAGACGCGGAGCUGCGAGUAAUCUGGGGCGACGCCGAGCAGGAGUUCAUGCGGAGUGCAGGGCGCCGAGGCGCGGUAGGGCCGACGAUUGAGCAGGUAGGUCGAGGUGUUGAGAGCCUCUGCCCAGAAGCGAGCGGGCAUGUGCGCAUGACAGAGAAGCACACGAACGCCGUCGUUGAUCGUGCGGAGAACUCGCUCGUCCUUGCCGUUCUGCUGACUGGUGUAUGGGCAGGUGAGACGGAAGUGUGUGCCGUGGCGAGCAAGCAGAGAGCGCACGGCUGCGCUGUCGAAUUCACGACCAUUGCCCAUUUGCAGUGCAAGUAUGGGUAACUGAAACUGAGUCUGAACAUAGGCAAAGAAAUCAACAAGUAUGGGAAGAACUUCAGACAUGUGUUUCAGAGGGAAAGUCCAGACAUAGUGACUGAAAUCAUCUAGUAUAACUAAGUAAAACUGAUAGCCGGAUAUGCUUACAACGGGAGCGGUCCAUACAUCAAGGUGUAAAAGCUGGAAAGAACUAGCAGUGGUGGAUGUCUGAAACGGGAGCCAGGUGUGUUUGCCAACACGACAGGCAUGACAGACAGGCGGAUCACGGCAGAACUCCAGGGACUGAUCAACAGCAACAGUGCGGAGUGCGGCAGCCCCUGGGUGGCCAUGCGUUGGUGCCGGGUGCAGGCGUGGGGUACGCCGGGGGAGGGCGGGGAGCCUGGGAGGACGGCGUGGGCGGGCCACCAAUGCCGUUGCCACGUCUGCGGCGGCGUCCGCGCCCACGCCCUUGGUUGGUGUUGCUGGGCGGGGGUGUGGGUGGUGUAGGAGAGCCGCCACGCCCGGCGACGAGAGCGUGCGCAGACUGCUGGCGAGUGGUCGACUGCUCUGCUCGGUGUUCCUCAAGCAGGACGAAGGAGCGCACCUGCAGGAACGACGGGAGCGGGACCUGCGAGGUGAUGUGAGGGAUGGCGGAGUGGAACUGCUGGUUCAGACCGCGGAGCAGGUUGAAGACCUGCCGCGAGUCGGUUACCGGCUGCCCGAGGUCGCGGAGUCGAUCCGUGAACGACUUCAUCUUGGUGCAGUACGCCAUGAUCGACAUGUCGCCCUGAACGACAUAGUGGUACUCGGCGUCGAGGUAGACAGCGCGAGCGAGGUGGUUGUCGCGGAAGAUUCCAUCGACCGCAGUCCAGAUGGCCAGAGCAGUGUCGUCCGGCUGCAUGACGACGUCGAGCAGGUCCGGCGAUAUGGUAGUGUAGAACCAGUGGACGACGACGUGAUCAGCCAUGCCCCACUCGGGAUCAUCGUGGCGGUGGAUGGCCAUGGCGUCGACGUGAGUGCGGAGGCCGAACAUGCCGAUGACGGUGUCGAAGUGGCGGCGCCACUGCGUGUAGUUGCCGGCGAGAAGGUCGAGGGUGACCGGGACAUGACGACGGAUGUCCACGGUCUGCAGGAUCGCGGAGGCGACAGGUGCUGUAGGAGGAGGAGGAGGGAUGACGGGCACCGCGGGCGCGACAGGUGCUGGAGCCGGCGGUGCGUUGGCCAGGGGGACAGCGUUGAGGACGCCGUCGGCGCCGUGCUGCGAGGAGCGAGGGGACACGACGGGGUUGUCAUCCAUGGCGGUGGAAGCGGGACUGGCGACCUGCGCGAAGGGAUUGAGCAGGUCGGGGGAGUCUGAUACCAUAUAGGAAAGAAGGAUUAGGAGGAAUAAUUCACCACACUUUGAUUGAGCUCUCGGUUGGGUCUUAUGUACAGAUUACAGGGCCAGGGAGAUCAUGGGGUGAUCCACUACCUGGGAUCGUGCGCCACGAUCACUAUAUGCGUGCGCCACGAUUAUAUACACACAUGCUACAACUAGUGUCUACGCAACUACGGUAUAGCAGUACAAUAAAGUCUAACAGGGCGGCCACCGGCGGGGAGGGCGGGAUCCGUGCGGGGUGGCGGGAUUUGGGCAGGCGGUGGGCUCGGGGGAGGGCGAUGGCAGCGAAGCAGCAAGGAGGGGCUGGAGGAGAUGAAACGAAAGAGGUCGCGUGACACAGCGACAGCGUAGUCCAAUCCCCUCGCUGCUGAUUUAAAAAAAAGGUAAUGAUAACUCCCGAACGUUCGGGAGUUAAGCAUGGCAACCCGAACGGGUUUAGAUGGCAAGUUUAGUUUGCGUGAGAUUAGGGAAACAUGGCAAUUUUCUGACAAAAGAAAUGAAAAAGGACGAAGUUGCCAUCCCCUAUCAACUAAAGUUGCCAUCCCCUAUAAAUUAAAGUUGCCAUGUAAAAACGUUCGGGACGAAAUGCUCAAAAUCCGAACGUUCGGAAGUUACUGGAUUCAAAAAAAUCCCCUUGCUGCCAAUCGCUGGCCCGUUUCUUUUUUCGCCCAAUCGCUAGGUGAUGACGUGGCUAUCGCGGGAAGGCGCCCUUGAUGCGUAGUCGAAUGGUUUUAAUUAAUAGGAAACGAGUGCUUACUCUAGUUACUGAAUCAUGUACACCAAAUAAAGCCAUUUACACGUAGUUAAUGACAAAAAAAGUUGAUGUUUGCUACGCAAAUGUGUAGUACAAAUUAAGAAGUGCAAGAUUAAAAAAAAAUGCUGGUCCUUGAUUCGUUGUUGAUCGUCAGCAUGCCAUCAUCAAUUUGUAGUUAAUUAUCAUACAAAUUGGCUCUUUCAUAGAGUUGGAGGCUAGCUCCUUUGAUCAGCACGCGCUUAAACACAAACAGCACGUAUAUGUUUUGUCUCCGGAGUUCAAUUCUUCAUCGGCCAGCAAAAAUGGCCCGACCGGGUAGAGGAAAAGGCAUGUUUGUUAGUACGCCUGGAGGAAAUGCCUUUGAUUACGGCAUCUUCAACAGCGACCAGUAAAUUUCCUUCCGCGUUCGUUCACGGAUAGGGGAUCAGUCUGCGGAUACGAAUACAGGAAUCAUCCAUCCAACGCUGUCCGCGUAUAUUUCAAACACAUUUUUUUUUUAAAAUAGGAUGAAAUUCAUGCAAACACAAUGGAUUUCAUACAAACCGGACAAAAAUGUUUACAUUUUGGACAUAUUUUUUUACUAAAAACUCUACAGCCGGCGCCGGCGAAUAUCCACCCCGGCGACAUGGAUACCCUUGACUAGUCUACUGCCGGCCGCAGCGGAUCUCCAAUGUCGUCCCCAUAUCCGGCAGCUAUGAGCCCUAGAGGUAUAUGCUUCAGCGCAAAGAGCGGCUCGCCUCCCUACCGCUCAUCGGAGUGGAACAACCAGCUGAUGCUUCUGCCGAUGGAAAGGGUCCCUACGCUACACGGAUUAGAGUUGGUUUUCGGCUGGGAACGGCGGUGGCCUGCCAGAGGGCAAGACACCGACUGUGUAUGCUGGUGUCACCUGGUGUGGCAUUCGUGGGACCCAAGCGGCAGCGCCUCCUCGAUGAUGGCGGCGAGCGCGGACGUGUUUGACACCACCUCGUCGAUGUCCGUGCAGCCGGCUUCUUUCUCUGUAGGAAGGACGCGGUUACGCUUGCGUUGACAUCGGAUGACUCGGUCACAUGCACGGGAGGGGCGGUACGACAUGGCACCGCCAAUGGCAGCCAUGAUGCCCACGCCACCGUGCUCCCUCCCAGUGCCGAUCUAGAGCAACUUGCCACUCCUCUGCUCGUGACCGGUGGGCUUGACGGGCCACCUAGCCAUUUUUUAUGCCAGACAACUCUUCUUCCUGCUCGUCAGAUGUCAUGGAUAAAACUGUUUAAGGAGGAAAAUGAUGAGUGGACGUGUGAUGCGGUUCUUGCCCAACAUCUGACAUUGUUUAAAUAGCGAGGGGAGACGAGAGGAGCCAACCGGCGUACUGUUUAAUGCCAACCGGCUCGCGAACGAACAUGUGGCCGGAGUAAUUAUCCUAGCACACACGCGGGUUUAAUGGUGGAAGGCGGGCAGUCUGCAGGAAUGAGGCGAGGAUGUGUGCUUAGCCGGCGUGCAGCAGGCGGCGCCCUCGGCCGGCGUGCUGCUUCCAUUGCGGAGGCAGUGAGAGGUCGCGUCCGCUCUGCAGCGCAUGAAUGCGGGCAGCUGGCGCAGAGCGGGAACGCGUGCGGGCGAGGGAGGAGGGGGUUUGGGCGGGUGGUCAGAAGAGGUCGUGGGUGUUGUCCGAACGCCUGCAAAGCCCCCCUCCAUGUUUGUCUCCAGUUUGCGGGAGAAAGUACGUCCGGACCGUCUCCAAUGGACCAAUACAGGCCCGCAUUGGAUAGCACAACACGUCCGGACCAUGUGGUCCGGAUGGUUGUGGACAGUUUAAUUGAGGGUCGGCGUUGGAGAUGCCUUAGAGUUUAUGAAUCCAUUGUGUUUUUCUAAUCAUAAAAAAUCACUUACAAUAAGUUAUAAGGAAAGACACGUUUAUAUGUUAGGUUCAGACUCCAGCUUUCGUUUUACAUAUGCUUUAUUCAUCCGACUGAUUCCAAUAGAGUGAGCCUAGCGUUGUUUUUCUGGAAACUCGCGGGAUAAGGAGACAUGCAUACACAUUCUUUCAAGCAAAUCACAUCCAUUUUUUUUAACUCAUUUUUCUUCUUUUAAUAAUAUAAUAGAUCAUUUAUAUUUUUUAUCUGAAACAGUUGACGUGUAAUUUAUAUUGUAAUCUGAGGAUAAUGUUUGGAUUUUACUUUCAAAUAUAUUUGAAAUGGCCAUGAUGGAAUCACAUCCAUUUAUUUUAUUAUUAUUUGAAUUUGAUCCAAAAGAUAAAUAAUGAGUAGAGGUCAUGUCAACUUUUCUGAGAACUUUGCUAAUCAAAAUAUAAAUUGUAUUUAAAAACAUCUAUUUUUUAGCACGCAUGAAAAACAUAACACGUAUCUUUUCACACAUAAUGAACGGUUGUCAUAAGAACUCAUGCCAUGCCACAACCUCCCUCCGACCCUGCCAACAUUGUUGCAGCUGCACUCGCAAGCCUUAGCGUAGAUGAUAAUUUAUACAAUUUGCGUAAAACAAAAUAAGAUCUACAAAUGAAUAGAAGCUAGAACGUACAUUGGCAUGCACACACAUUGCAAGCCAUACUAAGCUGAUAAGUGUUAAUAACUUGUACAACAUAUACAACACUUAAGACAAGUAAAAGCAAUUUGAUGAGUCAUGGUCUAUCAAAGCCACAUUACUAGUCUAAUCCAUCUUAACAGGUCACACAUGAUUAAAAUCUUGUUUGUGUGCAAGUCAAGCUUAUCUAGUUUACAUGUAACAACUUGUAGAACAUUACAAAAUUUAUGUUUGCUAAUAACUUCUAGAACACUACAACACUUGACAUGUAAAAGGAAUUUGAUGAGUCAUGGCCUACUAAAGCAAGUUAUAUUACUAGUCUUAUCUACCAUAACAGGCCACACAAGAUUACAAACCAAGUUCUGUGCCAGCCAUGCUUAUCUAGUUUAUGCGUAACAAUUUGCAGAAAAUUACAAACUUAGUUUCAGAAAAAUAGGCAAUCUAGAUUAGUGUUUGAGCUGUAAAGUGAAUAAAAUGAGUCAUGCGUGUUAUCACACCUUUUUGGUUGUGGAAUGAUAGUGCAACAACAAGGAACUUUAAUGACCAGUUCAAGAAUACACUUGUAAGUAGUGCCACCGAACACAACAUACCAAAUUAUGAUUUUGAGAAGCAUCCAAGCACAUCCACACAAGCAAAUGCCAAUUGUGAAAGAGAUCAUGCCAUGGCAGCUAUAAAUAGGCCCGUAGCAUGACGAUCAUCCUUCCUCAUCCAUCAUUCUCAUAAGUAGAGCGCAUCAUUUAAGCCAAGCAAGCAGUGCUCAAUACAAAUCCACCAUGAAGACCUUUCUCAUCCUUGCCCUCCUUGCUAUUGUAGCAACCACCGCCACAAUUGCAGUUAGAGUUCCAGUGCCACAAUUGCAGCCACAAAAUCCAUCUCAGCAACAACCACAAGAGCAAGUUCCAUUGGUACAACAACAGCAAUUUCCAGGGCAGCAACAACCAUUUCCACCACAACAGCCAUAUCCGCAGCCGCAACCAUUUCCAUCACAACAACCAUAUCUGCAGCUGCAACCAUUUCCGCAGCCGCAACUACCAUAUCCGCAGCCGCAACCAUUUCGACCACAACAACCAUAUCCACAACCGCAACCACAGUAUUCGCAACCACAACAACCAAUUUCACAGCAGCAGCAGCAGCAGCAACAACAACAACAACAACAACAACAGAUCCUUCAACAAAUUUUGCAACAAUAACUGAUUCCAUGCAGGGAUGUUGUAUUGCAACAACACAGCAUAGCGCAUGGAAGCUCACAAGUUUUGCAACAAAGUACUUACCAGCUGGUGCAACAAUUGUGUUGUCAACAGCUGUGGCAGAUCCCCGAGCAGUCGCGGUGCCAAGCCAUCCACAAUGUUGUUCAUGCUAUUAUUCUGCAUCAACAACAACAACAACAACAACAACCGUUGAGCCAGGUCUGCUUCCAACAGCCUCAACAACAAUAUCCAUCAGGCCAGGGCUCCUUCCAGCCAUCUUAGCAAAACCCACAGGCCCAGGGCUCUGUCCAGCCUCAACAACUGCCCCAGUUUGAGGAAAUAAGGAACCUAGCGCUAGAGACGCUACCUGCAAUGUGCAAUGUCUAUAUCCCUCCAUAUUGCACCAUUGCUCCAGUUGGCAUCUUCGGUACUAACUGAGAAUAGAAUAACUCUAGUAGUAGAUAUAUGAUACACCGUUUUCUUAGUCCAUGGUUUGGUCGUUGUAGCGGUGAAAAAAUAAAGUGACAUGCACUAUCAUGUAAGAACCCGAACUAUACUAUUUCAAACAUGGGAAUAAAAGACAAACACAUGUCUUGUCUACAUAUGAUUGUUUGUUUGAGUUCCACUCAUGUGCCCACUCACAAGUUCACCCCUAAUUAUAUAUAUUAUGCAUUAAGUAGAUAUUUAUGUUGCAUUAAUCUAAAGAUAACAAAAUGAGUCUGAAAUUUGAAUUAAAUUGAAGUAUUUCCUUGGACUUUCAAAUGGAGUAUUAUUAAAGUAGUAAGGACUAUCCACAUCCUUGGCUUGCCCUUGAUCAAUUAUUUCCAGAGAAGCAUUCAAUUCAUCAAUCAAUUACAUUGAUUUUUGUGGCUGGUACUUCUCCUCAACAUGAGUAUAUUCAUCGCGGCUACUCCAAAUAGCCAUGAAUGAGGUACCGGUGCUCUGGAGCACUGGUACCUAACUGCUUCUCAUGUGAAGGGGUGCGGGCGCGGGAGAGGUGUUUUUGGUGGGCCAGGGGAGUAAGAAGCGGCCGUGGCAGCGGUCCAGACGCCCACAAAGCCCCGUAGUUUGUUUUUGGUUUACAGGAAAAUGCACAUCCAGACUGGCCUGCGGGCCGAUAUAGGACCGUAUUGGAUGGCAAAACAUGUCCGGAUGGUCGCGAGCGGUUUAAGGGUUAGCUUUUGUAACACCCGGUUAGUUAUGCUAUGGUAAUUCCCUGCUAAUGAUGUCACGUCAGCACGAUUACUGUUGUUAACCUCACAAUGAUUCAAUCCCAUUCAAAUUCAAAUUUAAAAUAAAGGCAAACAUCAAAAGUUUCAAACAUUAAAACUAAAAUCUUCGAGAGGUGAAAAAUAAUGCAUAAGUAAUUAUGGUGGAGAAACCACACUUUUAUAAAAUGUUUAAAUACUCUAAAAAUAAUAAAACAGUGGCUUAAACUAUUAUUUAAAUGCUUUUAAAAUAGUAAAAAUGUUCUAACUAAAUUAAUUGGGUACCAAACUUUUGGUGGCAGUGGUAUAUUUAGUAGAACUAAUUUAGAUGCUAAUAAAACAUAAAAGGAAAGACAAAACAAAUAAAAGUAAAAGGGGGCAACCCUUGGCUGGGCCUCGGCCAAGCUGGGCACUUGGCUAGCUAGGUUGGCCCAACCGCCUCCCUUAACCCCCCACUCCCCAUCGAACCCUAGACCGAUCGCCCCACUUCCCCCCCACCCCCUCGUCAGCCUCCCCACCUCUCGAUCCCAUCUGGAUCGGGGAGGGGAUCGCCUUCAUCGACCCCGUCGCGGUCGCUGGAUCGCCCGCUCGCCCAUCGCCCGCCGGCGUCGCCGGACCUCCUCCCCGUCGCAUGUCUCCGGCUCUCCUCCCCUCUCGCUCCUCUUCCCCGACCCGAUCUAGAUCGGGAAGGGCCAAUGAGCCCAACGCCCCCCUCCAUCGACGCUGUGCUCCAGCACCGCCGCCCGAAGACCUCGCCAUCGCCGGACCUCGCGUCGCCUCCUCGUAUCCCUCCCCGACUCGCCUCCUCAAGCCACGCCGACCCCCUCUCGGCAACGCCGUGAGCCGCACCCGUUUCCCUCCUUCUCUUUCCACCGUGUUCACCGCGCCGCCUGCCGUGCCCCUCGCCGCGCGCACGCCCACCACCGCGCCAGCCCCCGCUCCCGCCCUCUCCUGCACGCUUGUGCGCGCAUGACCCUAGCCGCGCCCACGCCGUGAUCCCCUUGUCCCGCCCGCCUUCGUCCCGCGCUCGCCGCGGCCCCCAUGCUCCCCUGCGCCCUCUUUUGGGGCCGUCGGCUGCCCCUGUCCCGCAGCUCGCUGGCAUGCGUCCCCGCCUGCGCCUCGCCACCGCUCUACUGCUACGCUACUAUUGCGCUGUGGCCGCCGCCGCUUCCCGCUGCUCUGCCAGCGCCAAAGCUCCUGGUUGGCCCUGCCGCUGCUCGCGUUUAACCGCCGGCCUAAGCGGCCUAACCUCCCCCCUCGCUAAUGAACCCCCACCGACCCGCUGACACCGGGACCCACAUCCCCUAAUUAACCAUUUAAUAAAUUAAAACUCUUAAAUUAACAUUAGUGUAUGACAUGUGGGUCCCCUAUUAAUUAAACUGAUUUAAUUAAAAUCUAUUAACUUUGAGUCUAUGACAUAUGGGCCCCACUAAACAUUUGACCAAUCAACGGUCCAGUCAAAUGCUGACCGGACAGUUGACCAGAGGGCCCCGCCAGUCAGCCAAUGUGCUGUUCUGCUGGGUACCUUUCUAAGUACACCUAGCAUUUUGCAUUUACAAUAUUUGUUUUAAAAUAAAUUAGAAUAAUUUCAAAAAAAUAUUAAAACUUUUAAAAUUAAAAUAAAAUAAUCCGUAACUCGGAUGAAAUUACUUUAUACAUGGAAGUUGCUCAAAAAAUGAGACGAAUCCGAAUACACAGUCCGUUCGUCUGCCACGCGUCCCUAGCAUAGCGAACAUGCAACCAUCCCCCUCCGGUUCGACUGUCCGAAAAAUUAUUAUUGCACAUGCCCGCUAAGAGGUUGGCUGUAUAUGACAUGACAACUUCUUAUAGCCGAGCCUUGGCUGUAUUAUUAACCAUGCUCUUAGUGAGGUAGCUAGUAUAUCAUAGACGACUAGCUAGUAUCAGACUAGCCAAAGUGGGAGUAACUUCAGCAGUAACAUCGACUCCAACUCAGCAAACUUCCUUAUGUGGGAGUAAACCGUGCCCAAUGCAAAAUACAAUCCCAGUCGUAAUUUUUUCAGGAAACGUGUGGGAUCCCAAACGAAAAGCACACGUCACUCUUGCGGCAACCGUCGGUGACACCCAAUAAAUCACAAACGGUCUGCAGCAGCUGUAUGUGUGCAAAGGGGCUCCUGAACCGUUUGUGAUAGAACAUUAUCGCAGACGGUAAUUGUUGGCAAACGUGUGCGAUGGAGUCUAGCAUGGCAGACGGGUUACGCAGAAAACUCGUGUGUGAUGGGGCACAAAUCGCACACAGUUCAUAUGUUGGUCCAUGUGCCUUACAUACUAUUUCCCAAAUGGUUUGUUACGACAGACCGUAUCGUUUCAGUGCGUCAUUAGAAACGCUUAAUCACUGAUACCACACGUGCGAAAGAAAUUAGUGCGUGAUGCAUCGCACACGAUUACAUUUUGGAAGGCCUCUGGAUCACUGCUCCAUAUCCCCGACGGUUUCUGGGCCGUGUGGGAAGGACACCCUAUCGCACACACUCACUUGGCGAUGGUUCCAAAUGCUGUCGCAGAAAAGGGUUAAAAACAGUUUGUUUAGGACCGACGCGUACCAGUGUCUAUCUAUCUAUCUAUCUAUCUAUCUAUGUAUCUAUCUAUCUAUCCAUCUAUCUAUCUAUCUAUCUAUCUAUCUAUCUAUCUAUCUAUCUAUCUAUCUCAAUCCACCUAUCUAUCUAUCCAUCUAUCUAUCUCUCCAUCUAUCCAUCUAUCUAUCCAUCUAUCCAUCCAUCUACUAUCCAUCUAUCUAUCCAUCCAUCCAUCUAUCUAUCCAUCCAUCCAUCUAUCUAUCUAUNNNNNNNNNNNNNNNNNNNNNNNNNNNNNNNNNNNNNNNNNNNNNNNNNNNNNNNNNNNNNNNNNNNNNNNNNNNNNNNNNNNNNNNNNNNNNNNNNNNNNNNNNNNNNNNNNNNNNNNNNNNNNNNNNNNNNNNNNNNNNNNNNNNNNNNNNNNNNNNNNNNNNNNNNNNNNNNNNNNNNNNNNNNNNNNNNNNNNNNNNNNNNNNNNNNNNNNNNNNNNNNNNNNNNNNNNNNNNNNNNNNNNNNNNNNNNNNUCUAUGUAUCCAUUUAUCCAUUGAUCCAUCUAUCGAUCCAUCCAUCCAUCCAUCUAUCCAUCAAUCUAUCUAUCCAUGUAUCCAUGUAUCCAUCUAUCCAUCUAUCGAUCUAUCCAUCCAUCUAUCUAUCUAUCUAUCCAUCUAUCCAUCUAUCGAUCUAUCCAUCUAUCUAUCUAUCCAUCCAUCUAUCGAUCUAUCGGUCUAUCCAUCUAUCGAUCUAUCCAUCUCUCCAUCUACCCAACUAUCCAUCUAUCCAUCUAUUCAUCUACCGAUCUAUCUAUCCAUCUAUCUAUCUAGCUAUCUAGCUAUCUAGCUAUCUAUCUAUCUAUCUAUCUAGCUAUCUAGCUAUCUAUCUAUCUAGUUAUCUAGCUAUCUAUCUAUCUACCUACCUACCUACCUACCUACCUACCUAUCUAUCUAUCUAUCUAUCUAUCUAUCUAUCUAUCUAUCUAUCUAUCUAUCUAUCUAUCUAUCUAUCUAUCUAUCUAAAGGAAAUAUGCCCUAGAUGCAAUAAUAAAGUUGUCAUUUAUAGUUCGUUAUAUCAUGAUAAACUAGCGGAGUCACCCGCGCAUUUGCGCGGCUAGAUUGACUACAUAUAUUGUUAUAUUUGGGAUUAUUUUUCUAUGCCAAUUUUAUGGCCUCUUACUCAGAUAUUAUCUAAUUGAAUUUACCACCACCAUAUGUUAUAUCCAUAGAUUAUAAUGAAAAGGCAACUUCCGACGAAACAUGGACAGAUUAUUGAGUGCUCAGAAGACGGACGCAAUAUCAUAUAUAGACUUCUAUACCAAUCUUCAUGGUUCCCAUCUUUGAUCCUCUCCUCGUCCCUUGGUAUCUAUCUUUGCACCCAAUAUGUCUUUGGAGUUCCAAGAAUUGAAUCUUAGCAUGAAUGGCUUCAAUGUGUACCAAAUGUUCUCUUGUUCCUCCCAAAUUAAUUACUGGUUGCAUUCUUAGUUGCUUUGACAUUCUUGGUUAAUGCAAUUUCUUGCCUACCAAUAUAUGCAUCCACACACGAUCAUAUUUAUAUGACCACUUACCUCUGUAUUCUGGUAUUUGUGCUUCAGAAUUUUUCUCUCAUUCAGUUUAUUCAUAGAUUAAAAACGUCGAUCGUUUCUUUAUUGGUUUGCAUUAUCUUGUUUGCCGAACGUAAGCAUCCACACAUGCUCGUCAUGAUAUGAUUGGUCAUCAUUGUAUAUUUGUAUUUGUGUGUUGAUAGCUUAAGGAUUUUCUCGGAUUCACUUCAUAGUUUAAGGAUUUUCUCGCGUUCAAUUUAUUCUACCUUAUUCAUUUUCAUGUUUCUUUAUUGCAUUUAUAUCAAUUCUUACAAUAUAUUUUCCAAGAUAUGAACUCAACUACUAAUUACGUAGUUUUUCAUCAAAAAUUACAUGUAAAAAUGUUACAAAUGCAUAAACAUGAUAAAAAUAUAUAUCAUAUUCCAUUGAGAGAUCGCCCAUUUAAAAAAAACACGUUGACUUACAAAAAGGACAAUUCAAGCUGCAUGUACGUCCGACUCAUGUUUACCUGACAAUGUCGAUGUUGAUUUCAGCAGUAAAUGAGCUGUGUGUGACCUUUGCGCUUUCCGGUAUUCUUCUAACCUGUGUGCUUUAUGAUCAGUUUGUUGUGCUUAGUACUGGACACUUGAGUAUACUAUCAUAUUUGGUACAAAUAAAUCUGAACUACUAUAGUUAUGAUCCACUGUAUAGUUAAUGGUGGUGGUAAUUAAUAUAUGUGGUUAAAUACUUGCGCUCCUUAGGUGGGGAGUUGGAUUUGUAUUUCCCUAAAAUAAAUUUCAGAUUUCGUAAUAGUGGUGAAGCCAGCCGGAAGAACCUCUGCGUCAUUAUUAAUUUUGGUGAUAUUUUUCUUCAUAGUGUAGAAUAAUUUUAGUGCUUAUUCCGCAAAAAAUAUGGCCUCAACUGACCCCAUAGCUUGUAUGUUGCGCCACCACUGUUUCCUAUAUCCUAUUACAUCCGUUGUUUUUAGAUCUUGAUGCAUAACUUUGACAAUAUUUAAUAGAUAUGUGUCUGUAUAAAAAAUUAUAAAUGCUAUGAUAAUUUGAUUAAUUAUGAUGAAUAAAAUGUUAUUGCUCUGACUUGAUCCCUCUAGAAUUUUCCAAAAUUUCACAUUACAGUUGUAGUAGUGCAUGCUACCUCUUGAGCACUGCGUUAGUUUUCCCUUGAAGAGGAAAGGGUGAUGCAGUAAAGUAGCGUCAGUAUUUCCCUCGGUUUUUGAGAACCAAGGUAUCAAUCCAGUAGGAGGCCACGCAUGAGUCCCUCGCACCUACACAAACAAAUAAAAUCCUCGCAACCAACGCAAUAAAGGGGUUGUCAAUCCCUUCACGGUCACUUACGAAAGUGAGAUCUGAUAGAUUUGAUAAGAUAAUAUUUUUGGUAUUUUUAUGAUAAAGAUGCAACGUAAAGAAAGCAAAAUAAAAAAAGCGCCAGAAAUAGCUUGUUGACGGGAGAUUAAAAUAGACCGGGGGGCCAUAGGUUUCACUAGUGGCUUCUCUCGAGAGCAUAAGUAUUUUGGUGGGUAGACAAAUUACUGUUGAGCAAUUGACAGAAUUGAGCAUAGUUAUGGGAAUAUCAAGGUAUGAUCAUGUAUAUAGGCAUCACGUCCGAGGCAAGUAGCCCGACUCCUGCCUGCAUCUACUACUAUUACUCCACACAUCGACUGCUAUCCAGCAUGCAUCUAGAGUAUUAAUUUCAAAAGAACAGAGUAACGCUUUAAGUAAGAUGACAUGAUGUAGAGGGAUAAACUCAUGCAGUAUGAUAUAAACCCCAUCUUGUUAUCCUCGAUGGCAACAAUACAAUACGUGCCUUGCUGCCCCUACUGUCACUGGGAAAGGACACCGCAAGAUUGAACCCAAGCUAAGCACUUCUCCCAUCGCAAGAAAGAUCAAUCUAGUAGGCCAAACCAAACUGAUAAUUCGAAGAGACUUGCAAAGAUAACCAAUCAUACAUAAAAGAAUUCAGACAAGAUUCAAAUAUUGUUCAUAGAUAAACUUGAUCAUAAACCCACAAUUCAUCGGUCUCAACAAACACACCGCAAAAGAAGAUUACAUCGAAUAGAUCUCCACAAGAGAGGCGGAGAACAUUGUAUUGAGAUCCAAAAAGAGAGAGGAAGCCAUCUAGCUAAUAACUAUGGACCCGAAGGUCUGAGGUAAACUACUCACACAUCAUCGGAGAGGCUAUGGUGUUGAUGUAGAAGCCCUCCAUGAUCGAUGCCCCCUCCGGCGGAGCUCCGGAAAAGGCCCCAAGAUGGGAUCUCACGGGUACAGAAGGUUGCGGCGAUGGAAUUAGGUUUUUGGCUCCGUAUCUGGUAGUUUGGGGGUACGUAGGUAUAUAUAGGAGGAAGAAGUACGUCGGUGGAGCAACGUGGGCCCCACGAGGGCGCGCCCCCCUACCUCGUGCCUUCCUGGUAGAUUUCUUGACGUAGGGAACAAGUCCUCUAGAUAACGUUCGUUCCCAAAAUCACGUUUCCGAAGGUUUCAUUCCGUUUGGACUCGGUUUGAUAUUCUUUUUCUGUGAAACUCUGAACUAGGCAAAAAACAGCAAUUCUGGGGUGGGCCUCCGAUUAAUAGGUUAGUCCCAAAAAUAAUAUAAAAGUGUAUAAUAAAGCCCAUUAAUGUCUAAAACAGAAUAUAAUAUAGCAUGGAACAAUAAAAAAUUAUAUAUACGUUGGAGACGUAUCAAGCAUCCCCAAGCUUAAUUCUUGCUCGUCCUCGAGUAGGUAAAUGAUAAAAACAGAAUUUUUAAUGUGGAAUGCUACUUGGCAUAAUUUCAAUGUAAUUCUCUUAAUUGUGGUAUGAAUAUUCAGACCCGAAAGAUUCAAGACAAAAGUUUAAUAUUGACAUAAAAAUAAUAAUACUUCAAGCAUACUAACUAAGCAAUUAUGUCUUCUCAAAAUAACAUGGCCAAAGAAAGUUAUCCCUACAAAAUCAUAUAGUCUAGCUAUGCUCUAUCUUCACCACACAAAGUAUUUAAAUUAUGCACAACCCGGAUGACAAGCCAAGCAAUUGUUUCAUACUUUUGAUGUUCUCAAACUUUUUCAAUCUUCACGCAAUACAUGAGCAUGAGCCAUGGACAUAGCACUAUAUGUGGAAUAGAAUGGUGGUUGUGGAGAAGACAAAAAAGGAGAAGAUAGUCUCACAUCAACUAGGCGUAUCAACGGGCUAUGGAGAUGCCCAUUAAUAGAUAUCAAUGUGAGUGAGUAGGAAUUGCCAUGCAACGGAUGCACUAGAGCUAUAAGUAUAUGAAAGCUCAACAAAAGGAACUAAGUGGGUGUGCAUCCAACUCGCUUGCUCAUGAAGACCUAGGGCAUUUUGAGGAAGCCCAUCAUUGGAAUAUACAAGCCAAGUUCUAUAAUGAAAAUUUGCCACUAGUACAUGAAAGUGAUAUCAUAGGAGACUCUCUAUCAUGAAGAUCAUGGUGCUACUUUGAAGAACAAGUGUGGUAAAAGGAUAGUAACAUUGUCCCUUCUCUCUUUUUCUCUCAUUUUUUUAUUUGGGUCUUUUAUCCUUUUUUAUGGCCUCUUUUUUUUAGUCCGAAGUCUCAUCCCGACUUGUUGGGGAAUCAUAGUCUCCAUCAUCCUUUCCUCACUUGGGACAAUGCUCUAAAAAAUGAUGAUCAUCACACUUUUAUUUACUUACAACUCAACAAUUACAACUCAAUACUUAGAACAAAAUAUGACUCCAUGUGAAUGCCUCCGGCGGUAUACCGUGAUAUGCAAUGAAUCAAGAGUGACAUGUAUGAAAGAAUUAUGAACGGUGGCUUUGCCACGAAUACAAUGUCAACUACAUGAUCAUGGAAAGCAAUAUGACAAUGAUGGAGUGUGUCAUAAUAAACUGAACGGUGGUAAGUUGCAUGGCAAUAUAUCUCGGAAUGGCUAUGGAAAUCCUAUGGUAGGUAGGUAUGGUGGCUGUUUUGAGGAAGGUAUAUGGUGGGUGUAUGAUACCGGCGAAAAGUGCGCGGUAUUAGAGAGGCUAGCAAUGGUGGAAGGAAGAAAGUGCGUAUAAUCCAUGGACUCAACAUUAGCCAUAAAGAACUCAUAUACUUAUUGCAAAAAUCUACAAGUUAUCGAAGCAAAGUAUUACCCGCAUCAUCCUAGGGGGAUAGAUUGGUAUGAAAAGACCAUCGCUCAUCCCAGACCGCCACUCAUAAGGAAGACAAUCAAUAAAUAAAUCAUGCUCCGACUUCAUCACAUAACGGUUCACCAUACGCGCAUGCUAAGGGAAUCACAAACUUUAACACAAAUAUUUCGCAAAUUCAAAACUACUCAACUAGCAUGACUCUAAUAUCACCAUCUCCAUAUCUCAAAACAAUUAUCAAGUAUCAAACUUCUCAUAGUAUUCAACACACUCAUAAGAUUUUUUUACUAAUCUUGAGUGCCUAUCAUAAUUAAAGCAAAUUACCACGCUGUUUUGUAGGACUAUCAAAAUAAUCUAAGUGAAUCAUGAGAGAACAAUAGUUUCUAUAAAACAAAACCACCACCGUGCUCUAAAAGACAUACGUGAAGCACUAGAGCAAAAACUAUAUAGCUCAAAAGAUAUAAGUGAAGCACAUAGAGUAUUCUAACAAUUUCCGAAUCAUGUGUGUCUCUCUCAAAAGGUGUGUACUGCAAGGAUUAUUGUGGCAAACUAACAAAUAAAUACUUCAAAUAAUACAAGACGCUCCAAGAAAAACACAUAUCAUGUGGUGAAUAAAAAUAUAGCUCCAAGUAAAGUUACCGAUGGAAGUAGACGAAAGAGGGGAUGCCUUCCGGGGCAUCCCCAAGCUUUGGCUUUUAGGUGUCCUUAGAUUAACUUGGGGUGCCAUGGGCAUCCCCAAGCUUAGGCUCUUGCCACUCCUUGUUUCAUAAUCCAUCAAAUCUUUCACCCAAAACUUGAAAACUUCACAACACAAAACUCAGCAGAAAAUCUCGUGAGCUCCGUUAGCAAAAGAAAACAAAACACCACUUCAAGGUACUGUAAUGAACUCAUUCUUUAUUUAUAUUGGUGUUAAACCUACUGUAUUCCAACUUCUCUAUGGUUUAUAAACUAUUUUACUAGCCAUAGAUUCAUCAAAAUAAGCAAACAACACACGAAAAACAUAAUCUGUCAAAAACAGAACAGUCUGUAGUAAUCUGUAACUAACGCAAUUUUCUGGGACACCAAAAAUUGACCCAAAAUAGGAAGACCUAGACAAUUUUUUUAUUGAUCAGCAGCAAUUGGGAUCAAUAUUUUAUCACGUCCUGGUGAUUUUUAACAAUUAUUUUCGUGAACAGAAAGUUUCUAGAAUUUUCAGCAAGAUCAAAUAACUAUCAUCCAAGAAGAUCCUAUAGGUUAAACUUGGCACAAACACUAAUUAAAACAUAAAAACACAUGUAACCAGAGGCUAGAUCAAAUAUUUAUUCCUAAACAAAAGAAAAAAUCAUAAAAAACUAAAAAUAAAAUUGGGUUGCCUCCCAACAAGCGCUAUCGUUUAAUGCCCCUAGCUAGGCAUAAUAGCAAUGAUAGAUCUAGGUAUUGCCAUCUUUGGUAGGCAAUCCAUAAGUGGCUCUCAUAAUAGAUUCAUAAGGUAAUUUUAUUUUCUUUCUAGGGAAGUGUUCCAUGCCUUUCCUUAAUGGAAAUUGGAAUCUAAUAUUCCCUUCCUUCGUAUCAAUAAUUGCACCAAUCGUUCUAAGGAACGGUCUACCAAGAAUAAUAGGACAUGAAGGAUUGCAAUCUAUAUCAAGAACAAUAAAAUCUACUGGCACAUAAUUCCUAUUUGCAACAAUAAGAACAUCAUCAAUUCUUCCCAUAGGUUUCUUAAUGGUGGAAUCCGCAAGGUGCAAGUUUAAAGAGCAAUCAUCAAAAUCACGGAAACCUAGCAAAUCGCAUAGAAUCUUUGGAAUCGUGGAAACACUAGCACCCAAAUCACACAAAGCAUAGCAUUCAUGAUCUUUAAUUUUAAUUUUAAUAGUAGGUUCCCACUCAUCAUAAAGUUUUCUAGGGAUAGAAACUUCCAACUCAAGUUUUUCUUCAUAAGAUUGCAUCAAAGCAUCAACGAUAUGUUUAGUAAGGCUUUAUUUUGACUAUAAGCAUGUGGAGAAUUUAGCACGGAUUGCAACAAGGAAAUACAAUCUAUCAAAGAGCAAUUAUCAUAAUUAAAUUCCUUGAAAUCCAAAAUAGUGGGUUCAUUAAUAUCUAGAGUUUUGAUUUCUUCAAUCCCACUUUUACCAUUUUUUGCAUCAAGAUCUAAAAACUCCGAAUUUUUGGAACGCCUUCUAGGUAGAGGUGGAUUAUAUUCAGUCCCAUCAUUAUCAAGAUUCAUAUUGCAAAACAAAGAUUUAAUAGGGGACACAUCAAUAACUUUUAGAUCUUCAUCUUUAUUUUCAUAGAAACUAGAAGAACACGCUUUCACAAAACAAUCUUUCUUAGCACGCAUCCUAGCGGUUCUUUCUUUGCACUCAUCAAUGGAAAUUCUCAUGGCCUUGAGAGACUCAUUGAUAUCAUGCUUAGGAGAAAUUCUAUCAGCGUUCCUAGCCAAUUCAUCAACUUUAAGCAAUUUUUCUUCAAGCAAAGCAUUGAAAUUGUUUUGCGAAUUCAUAAAUUCUUUAACACUAGUCUCAAAUUCAGAAGGCAUCUUAUUAAAAUUUCCAUAAUAAUUGUUGUAGGAAUUACCAUAAUUAUUAGAGGAAUUACUAGGAUACGGCCUUGGAUUAAAGUUUCCUCUAUACGCGUUGUUACCAAAAUUAUUCCGACCAACAAAAUUCACAUCCAUAGAUUCAUUAUUAUUCUCAAUCAAAGUAGACAAAGGCAUAUCAUUAGGAUCAGAAGAAACACUUUUAUUAGCAAAUAAUUUCAUAAGUUCAUCCAUCUUUCCACUCAAAACAUUAAUUUCUUCUAUCAUGCACUUUUUAUUAGUGGUUUUUUCGGUGUGCCAUUGAGAAUAAUUAACCAUAAUAUUAUCUAGGAGUUUAGUAGCUUCUCCUAAAGUGAUUUCCAUAAAAGUGCCUCCCGCGGCCGAAUCUAAAAGAUUUCUAGAAGAAAAAUUCAAUCCGGCAUAAAUUUUUUGUAUAAUCAUCCACAAAUUCAAACCAUGAAUAGGGCAAUUACGUAUCAUUAAUUUCAUCCUCUCGCAAGCUUGUGCAACAUGUUCAUGAUCAAGUUGCUUAAAAUUCAUAAUAUCGUUUCUAAGAGAGAUGAUCUUAGCGGGAGGAAAAUACUUAGAGAUAAAAGCAUCUUUGCACUUAUUUCAAGAAUCACUACUAUUUUUAGGCAAAGACAAAAACCAAGCUUUAGCACGAUCUCUAAGCGAAAAAGGAAAUAGCUUCAAUUUAACAAUAUCAUUGUCCACAUCUUUCUUCUUUUGCAUAUCACACAAAUCAACGAAGUUGCCAUGUCUAGGAAUGCUUGAAGCUUCAAAGAUUUCCUAUAAUACAACAUGCCUCUAACUAUUCACAAUAAGAAAAACAUGUAAAUGCGGAAUCAACCAAAUGUUGGUAAAUUGUAGUUGAUUUUGGCCAAGCAAACGUCAGAUGAAAGAAACAUACAUGAGUGAACAUCACGAUUGGAUGUUUUAUUCAAAUUUAACAGGUUAAACUCACCAAAUCCAUCUGGAUAUUUAGUAUUAAACUUCAACAGAUGGUGAGUUGUAGCUAGAUUCACAACACUGAAGCAAAAUUCCAUCUGCCACGGUUACAUCACACCAUCUUUUCAUCGUUACUAUUUAAAUUCCAAAUGCCUGCAACUCAUUUUUUUGUUACGAUGUAUGCAUGAUUUUUAACUCAAGAGGAAGAGGGGAAACUAAAUCCAAGAAAAGAACACCAAGGAAGCAUCCAAAAUAGAGAAAGGAAAAAUCCAAAAUAGAGGCAGAAUCGAAGGGAAGAAACCCCAUAAAAAAUAGGAGAUCAAACGGUGAAAAAAAUCUAAGAGUCAAACAAUUCCAGGUAAGACCAAAUCGACGACAAAAUAGCACAAGAGGGACUCACAUUAACAGGUAUACCAAUUCAGAAAGAAGUGUAAAGCGAACAGUGCAAUGGACCACUAGUAUAAAUUGGCUGUACACAAACAUGGGACUUAAACAGGAACUGCGAGAUGCAGGGUUCACGUGCAAACCCAAAAAACGGAAAACUGAAACGCACAACAAGAUUUUAUCUUCAUAUAUAUAUAUUAUGAGCUAUUGGCUUUUUAGUCAGGUAAAUAUCAUUCUUAAGACUACGGAAAACAGCAGGCGGCGAAGAAAACAUCUAUUGAUGAGAACUAUACACAUACUUAAGAAGGAAGUGACAUCUAUGGUAGCAGAACAUAUAUCAAGCUGUUGCAGCUACAUUAGCAGUUUAGCACAGUUCCUCCAUAAUACACAGGCUAGUGUAAUUUCACAAAUACAAUAAGCUAACAAUAUAUAUUUGGUAGAUGGAAAUGGCUGGAUCAUGACCAAUAUACCAUUACACAUCCGAUGAUGCAAAUAAACCACAAUAGAACAUGUAUUUGGCGAAACCUCCAUACUGCAAUAUCAAACAUGAAUUGAAAUUAACAAUCUAGCAAAAAAACAUGACAGAUGCAGUCUUGGUCAUUUUUCCUUUUGUGACAUCCCCUAAAAAAAGUAAAAACAAUGUUGUUCGUAUUUUACCAGAGAUACACUGAGCUGGGACAAAUUGGUCUGAAAUAAAAUAUGAUGGCUUCGGAGGAUUCGGAAGGGAAGAAAUUUGCUUUCUUCCAACAUAUAUGGUCUGCUGAACUAAACUUCGUUUCAGCGGGCUUUGCCAAAAAUCUGUAACUGCAAACAUCAACUUGUGUGCCCUUCCUACGUCAAACUUUAAACCUGAGCUCAGUGUACUUUAUGAGUGUUAAGUGUACUUUCUAAAUAGCAGAGAAACCAUAACAUCUAAGCACAACCCAGCAACUUGUACAAGCUAACAUCAAAUCUGAAAGAAGAAAUGUCGAGAACAGGUGAAGGUACCAUGAUCCACGACUGAGCAAAGUUAUCUAUUAUCCUCGGUGAAUAUCAUAAAUUAGGAUCAACUACGCUGAAGAACAAACGGGAAAGGAACCUAGAAAGAUCUUUUGCCGGUAGAAUAUAACUGAUACACUAUCCUCAUUCUCGAGAUCAAGGUCGUUUCUUGAAUUGCAGUUUCCUCACUGUAGUAUGGGGUCAUUACACUGCGAAGAACAAAGUGUCAUAUGAAUCAUUUAGAGCCCAAUCUUUUUCACUGAAACUCUUAUGAUCACAUAACGAAUUUAAACAUAAGGUUUAUUAGAUAUUUGUUGUUGUGAAUAGAUAAUAUAUUUCUGGUGUUGACAAUGUUUUGAUUAUGGAUGCACUUCAAGAUGGGUGGCACAGAUUCUGUUGUACAGGCCUCCACCUGGAAUUUCAUCACUUGUUAUUUUUGUUUUAGAAUGUCUAGGUGCAUUUUUCCUUUAAGGUGGAAACAGAUGUACUUGUAUAAGCAACAAGAAUACAAAGCGCCACUGCCAUACAUUGUGGAAGUUCAGUGCUUCUGUUUACAAAAUCUGCUUCCCAAAACAGAAGGUUUAUAAUUUUUUAUUACAAUCAAGCGGACAUGAGCUGAUGAGUACAGAUGUAGACAUGUACUGAGAGCAGCACCCUUUCAAAAGUGGAUCAUUUACAUGUUGGAUAGUUUGAUGGUCUGAAAUUAAUGGUCGUGUUUCAGAAUUGUUAUCGAAUAGUAGGGGAUAUAUAUUAACUUCUGAAAUUAGUGGCUGUUUGUCAGAACUGUUAUCGAAUAGUAGGGCACAUAUAUUAACUUCAAUAAGUGGACUAAUAUCUUUGGAUUCGCUGUGAGGAAAGAUUACCAAAACAAAACAGAAGUGAGUGCGACGACCCAGAUGAGGGCGCUCUUGAGCCUCUUCCCGACCGACCUAGAUGCAGGAGCAGAACACGGCGGAUCUAAUCAGCCAACCAAUAAAGCCGAGGAAGUAAGGGAGGAAGAAGACUGACUUGUCCUGGUCGCCCUCGUAGUUAGAACAUGGCGAACAGGAUGACGAGGAAGACGAGGACAGCGUCGAGGAUGUAGACGACGAGCCAGAGCAUGUUCAUGGGCAGGAUCAAGCAUGGGCAGGAUAAGGGCGCAGGCCCCGUUGUAGGCGGCGUGCUUGCAGGCCUGGCGGUUGGCGACGUCGGCGGGGAGCAUGAGGAUGGAGAGGACGGCGACGGUGAUGCCGAGCACGAUGACGAGCUUGAGGAAGUAGGCCUGGUUGGCAUCAUCCGGGUGCUGGUAGUUGACGAGCAGGCAGACGCUGACGAGGAGCACCAGGAUGCUGACCACCGCCGCCACGAUCACUAGCGCCACGUUAAAAAACCCAUAUCCUCGGGGCUCCGGUCCCGGUUCCGGCCCGCCGCCUCGCCCCCGUUGGUCGGUCAGAUCUCUCUGUCCCUAGAGGCGGGGGAUACAGGCUAGGGUUUGGGCGUGGGCGGGGAAUAGGCUGCUAUGGUGCCGGCAGCGGGGCGUGGAGGAGAGAAGGAUUAGGAGGAAUAAUUCACCACACUUUGAUUAACCUCUCGGCUGGGUCUUAUGUACAGAUUACAGGGCCAGCCAGGGAGAUCAUGAGGUGAUCCACUACCUGGGAUCGUGCGCCACGAUCACUACAUGCGUGCGCCACGAUCAUAUACACACACGCUACACCUAGUGUCUACGCAACUACGGUAUAGCAGUACGGUACAGUCUAACACCCCCCCCCCCCCGCAGUCGUGACGUCGUCGGCGGCGACGCAAAGACUGGACCGGAACUCAGAGAAAACAUCCGAUGGCAGGCCUUUGGUCAUGAUGUCCGCGAGUUGUUGGCGCGUGGGGAUGUGAAGAACACGGAAGUGGCCGAGGGCGACGCGCGCCCGCACGAAAUGGAUGUCCAGCUCCACAUGCUUAGUGCGGCGAUGAUGCAUCGGAUUGGCUGACAGGUAGACUGCGGACACAUUGUCACAGUACACCAGUGCUGCCUUGGUCACUGGAGCGGAGAGCUCGCCGAGAAGCUGGCGGAGCCAGAUGCAUUCAGCGACCGCGUUGGCGACGCCGCGGUAUUCAGCUUCGGCGCUGGAGCGCGAUACGGUCGCCUGGCGCUUGGAGGACCAGGAGACGAGAGCAUCGCCGAGGAAGACGCAGAAGCUCGACGUGGAGCGUCGGGUGUCGGGGCAGCCGGCCCAGUCCGCGUCGGUGAACGCAAGGACGUCGAGCGUGGUCGAGGCGUGAAGAUGAAGCCCGAGUGCGCAGGUGCCCUUCACGUACCGGAGCACGCGCUUGACGAGCGCGAGGUGGCAUUCGCGCGGGUCAUGCAUGUGCAAGCAGAUUUGCUGGACGGCGUAGGCGAUCUCUGGACGCGUGAUGGUGAGGUACUGCAGGGCCCCGGCGAUGCUCCGAUAGGCCGAGGGGUCGUCGACGCAGGGCCCAUCGGCUGAGAGGAGUUUGCUCUUCGUGUCGAUGAGUGUCGGGGAAGGGCGGCAGGUGUCCAUGCCGGCGCGUUCCAGGAGUUCGUCGGCAUAUUGUUGUUGCGACAGGAAGAAGCCAGCUCGGGUGCGGGUGACGCGGAUGCCGAGGAAGAAGGCGAGCGAGCCCAGGUCCUUCAUGGCGAAUUCGCCUGUGAGGCGCUGGAUGACAUGGUGAAGCACGCGUGACGAGGACGCGGUGAGCACGAUGUCGUGGAUGUAGAUGAGGAGGAACGCCAUGUCGUUGCCGUGCCGGAAGGUGAACAGCGACGAGUCCGAACGCGUAGCUGCGAAGCCAAUGGAGCGGACGAAGCCGGCGAAGCGGAGGAACCAGGCACGGGGCGCCUGCUUGAGCCCGUACAAGGACUUGGAGAGGCGGCAGACGUGCUCUGGUUUGUCGGGGUCGACGAAUCCGGCGGGCUGGAGGCAGUAGACUUCCUCCUCCAAGUUGCCGUGGAGGAAGGCGUUGGAGACGUCGAGGUGGUGCACCGGCCAGCCGCGCGACGCGGCCAUAGUGAGCACAGUGUGGAUCGUCGCUGGCUUGACGACGGGGGAGAACGUCUCGCCGUAGUCGACGCCGGCACGCUGAUGAAAGCCCCGCACGACCCAGCGUGCUUGCUAGCGGGCCAGCGCACCGUCGGCGUCGUUUUUGUGCUUGAAGAUCCACUUCCCUGUGAUCAGGUUGGCGCCGGGGGGGCGGGGCACCAGCUCCCAUGUGCGAUUGCGCACGAGCGCAUCGUACUCAGCACGCAUGGCACCGAGCCAGUUCGGGUCGUGAACAGCAGCGCGAACCGAACGCGGCACCGGCGACACCGAUGAUGAGGUAGAGGCGGUGGCCGCGUCGUAGUAGCGCGGGUUGGGGCGGAAGAUGCCGCGCUGGGCACGCAUGACCAUGGGCACAGGAGGCGCCGGUGCGCGGGGCGCCGUUGGUCGCGCGCUCGGAGACGAGCUGUCGGAGGAGCCACUGGCGGAGUUGUCGGAGGAGCCGCUGGCGGAGGCGAAGACAGGCGGACCUGGCGCGGAUGGGCACGUCGAGGACGGAGCAGAGCCGCCAUCGGAAGCGCCCGCAGCGCACCGCGAGCUAACGCGGCGCGCCCCGCUGGUUGGCGAUGAUGAGCGGGGCAGGCUGGUGAUGGAGAUCGGGCGCGCCGGCAGGACGGGUGACAUGCUGCUGUCAGGCACCGGUGGAAGCGCAGGCAGCGCAGGAGGCCGGACGGCGAGCGGGAUCUGCAGGGUAGAGGGUACGACGGGUGGCGUAGGCGACGGGGAAGAGGAUGCGAACGGGAAAACGUGGUCGUGGAAGAGAACGUGGCGAGACGUGAGGACACAGCGAGAGGUGAGGUCAAAGCAGCGAAAACCACGAUGAUCGGGAGGGUACCCGAGGAAGACGCAGGCGAUAGAACGUGGCUCGAGCUUAUGGCGGGUGGUGGCGGUGACGUUCGGAUAGAUGCGGAGUAAUUUGUGCGACGCCGAGCAGGAGUUCAUGCGGAGUGCAGGGCGCCGAGGCGCGGCAGGGCCGAUGAUUGAGCAGGUAGGUCGAGGUGUUGAGAGCCUCUGCCCAGAAGCGAGCGGGCAUGUGCGCAUGACAGAGAAGCACACGAACGCCGUCGUUGAUCGUGCGGAGAACUCGCUCGUCCUUGCCGUUCUGCUGACUGGUGUAUGGGCAGGUGAGACGGAAGUGUGUGCCGUGGCGAGCAAGCAGAGAGCGCACAGCUGCGCUGUCGAAUUCACGACCAUUGCCCGUUUGCAGUGCAAGUAUGGGUAACUGAAACUGAGUCUGAACAUAGGCAAAGAAAUCAACAAGUAUGGGAAGAACUUCAGACAUGUGUUUCAGAGGGAAAGUCCAGACAUAGUGACUGAAAUCAUCUAGUACAACUAAGUAAAACUGAUAGCCGGAUAUGCUUACAACGGGAGCGGUCCAUACAUCAAGGUGUAAAAGCUGGAAAGGAAAGAAACUAGCAGUGGUGGAUGUCUGAAACGGGAGCCAGGUGUGUUUGCCAACACGACAGGCAUGACAGACAGGCGGAUCACGGCAGAACUCCAGGGACUGAUCGGCAGCAACGGUGCGGAGUGCGGCAGCCCCUGGGUGGCCGAGACGUUGAUGCCACAGGUCGGUCGUGGCGGCGCCGGCGAAGAUGCCCGGGGAAUGGACGGAUGGCCGCACCACGGGAUAGAGAUCGCCGUCGGAGUCACAUCGGAGAAUCACUACCCUGGUUCGUAGGUCCUUGACAGAGAAACCACGAGCGUCAAAUUCAACAGAAACGGGGUAGGAACGACAAAGCUGCCGAACUGAAAGUAGGUUUUUGACGAGAGAUGGAGAGACGAGAACGUUGCGGAGAGGAAUGGGGGAAGUGCUGGUGAUCAGCGCGCCCGUGCCAACGUGGGUGAUGGGCAGGCGGUCACCACUGCCCACGAUGAUAGAUGCAGUAGUAGAGGACGGGCGAGUGGAGAGGAGAUUACCAGGGGAGGACGUCAUGUGCGCCGCGGCGCCGGAGUCGAGGUACCACUCCGGUGCGCUGCCAGAGGAGGAAGGGCUGGCCGAGGCGCUGUGGAGGGCGGCCUGGAGCGAGGCCAUGUCCCAUGGCUGGUGGGUUGCAGUCGACGAGCUGGCGCCGGGGUGCCCGUAGCCUGACAGGACGUCGGAGACGGGUGGAGUGACGCCGUAGCCGGGGAGGGUAGCGCCGUAGCCGUAUGGUGCAGCCGGCGACGGGGCGGCGAACAUGGCCUGCUGGUACGGCGUACCAGGGCGGGGGCCGAGCACUUCAGCUCCAGCCGCGCGCCAAGGCAUCGGCCAAGCCUGGACCAUGCCGGUCCAUGCGUUUGUACCGGGUGCAGGCGUGGGGUACGCUGGGGGAGGGCGGGGAGCCUGGGAGGACGGCGUGGGCGGGCCACCAAUGCCGUUGCCACGUCUGGGGCGGCGUCCGCGCCCACGCCCUUGGUUGGUGUUGCUGGGCGGGGGUGUGGGUGGUGUAGGAGAGCCGCCACGCCCGGCGACGAGAGCGUGCGCAGACUGCUGGCGAGUGGUCGACUGCUCUGCUCGGUGUUCCUCAAGCAGGACGAAGGAGCGCACCUGCAGGAACGACGGGAGCGGGACCUGCGAGGUGAUGUGAGGGAUGGCGGAGUGGAACUGCCGGUUCAGACCGCGGAGCAGGUUGAAGACCUGCCGCGAGUCGGUUACCGGCUGCCCGAGGUGGCGGAGUUGAUCCGUGAACGACUUCAUCUUGGUGCAGUACACCAUGAUCGACAUGUCGCCCUGAACGAUAGCGUGGUACUCGGCGUCGAGGUAGACAGCGCGAGCGAGGUGGUUGUCGCGGAAGAUUCCAUCGACCGCAGUCCAGACGGCCAGAGCAGUGUCGUCCGGCUGCAUGACGGCGUCGAGCAGGUCCGGCGAUAUGGUGGUGUAGAACCAGUGGACGACGACGUGAUCAGCCAUGCCCCACUCGGGAUCAUCGUGGCGGUGGAUGGCCGUGGCGCCGAACAUGCCGAUGACGGUGUCGAAGUGGCGGCGCCACUGCGUGUAGUUGCCGGCGAGAAGGUCGAGGGUGACCGGGACAUGACGACGGAUGUCCACGGUCUGCAGGAUCGCGGAGGCGACAGGUGCUGUAGCAGGAGGAGGAGGGAUGACGGGCACCGCGGGCGCGACAGGUGCUGGAGCCGGCGGUGCCUUGGCCAGGGGGACAGCGUUAAGGACGCCGUCGGCGCCGUGCUGCGAGGAGCGAGGGGACACGAUGGGGUUGUCAUCCAUGGCGGCGGAAGCGGGACUGGCGACCUGCGCGAAGGGAUUGAGCAGGUCGGGGGAAUCUGGUACCAUAGAGGAGAGAAGGAUUAGGAGGAAUAAUUCACCACACUUUGAUUAAGCUCUCGGUUGGGUCUUAUGUAUAGAUUACAGGGCCAGGGAGAUCACGGGGUGAUCCACUACCUGGGAUCGUGCGCCAGGAUCACUAUAUGCGUGCGCCACGAUUAUAUACACACAUGCUACAACUAGUGUCUACGCAACUACGGUAUAGCAGUACAAUACAGUCUAACAGGGCAGCCACCGGCGGGGAGGGCGGGAUCCACGCGGGGUGGCGGGAUUUGGGCAGGCGGUGGGCUCGGGGGAGGGCGGUGGCAGCGAAGCAGCAAGGAGGGGCUGGAGGAGAUGAAACGAAAGAGGUCGCGUGACACAGCGACAGCGUUGUCCAAUCCCCGCGCUGCCGAUUUAAAAAAAAGGUAAUGAUAACUCCCGAACGUUCGGGAGUUAAGCAUGGAAACCCGAACGGGUUUAGAUGGCAAGUUUAGUUUGCGUGAGAUUAGGAAAACAUGGCAAUUUUCUGACAAAAGAAAUGAAAAAGGAUGAAGUUGCCAUCCCUAUCAACUAAAGUUGCCAUCCCCUAUGAACUAAAGUUGCCAUGUAAAAACGUUCGGGACGAAAUGCUCAAAAUCCGAACGUUCGGAAGUUACUGGAUUCAAAAAAAUCCCCUUGCUGCCAAUCGCUGGUCCGUUUCUUUUUUCGCCCAAUCGCUAGGUGAUGACGUGGCUAUCGCGGGAAGGCGCCCUUGAUGCGUAGUCGAAUGGUUUUAAUUAAUAGGAAGCGAGUGCUUACUCUAGUUACUGAAUUAUGUACACCAAAUAAAGCCAUUUACACGUAGUUAAUGACAAAAAAAGUUGAUGUUUGCUACGCAAAUGUGUAGUACAAAUUAAGAAGUGCAAGAUAAAAAAAAAUGCUGGUCCUUGAUUCGUUGUUGAUCGUCAGCAUGCCAUCAUCAAUUUGUAGUUAAUUAUCAUACAAAUUGGCUCUUUCAUAGAGUUGGAGACUAGCUCCUUUGAUCAGCACGCGCUUAAACACAAACAGCACGUAUAUGUUUUGUCUCCGGAGUUCAAUUCUUCAUCGGCCAGUAAAAAUGGCCCGACCAGGUAGAGGAAAAGGCAUGUUUGUUAGUACGCCUGGAGGAAAUGCCUUUGAUUAGGGCAUCUUCAACAGCGACCAGUAAAUUUCCUCCCGCGUUCGUCCACGGAUAGGGGAUCAGUCCGCGGAUACGAAUACAGGAAUCAUCCAUCCAACGCUGUCCGCGUAUAUUUCAAACACAUUUUUUUUAAAAAUAGGAUGAAAUUCAUGCAAACACAAUGGAUUUCAUACAAACCGGACAAAAAUGUUUACAUUUUGGACAUUUUUUUUUACUAAAAACUCUACAGCCGGCGCCGGCGAAUAUCCACUCCGGCGACAUGGAUACCCUUGACUAGUCUACUGCCGGCCGCAGCGGAUCUCCGAUGUCGUCCCCAUGUCCGGCAGCUAUGAGCCCUAGAGGUAUAUGCUUCAGCGCAAAGAGCGGCUCGCCUCCCUACCGCUCAUCGGAGUGGAACAACCAGCUGAUGCUUCUGCCGAUGGAAAGGGUCCCUACGCUACACGGAUUAGAGUUGGUUUUGGGCUGGGAACGGCGGUGGCCUGCCAGAGGGCAAGACACCGACUGUGUAUGCUGGUGUCACCUGGUGUGGCAUUCGUGGGACCCAAGCGGCAGCGCCUCCUCGAUGAUGGCGGCGAGCGCGGACGUGUUGGACACCACCUCGUCGAUGUCCGUGCAGCCCGCUUCUUUCUCUAUAGGAAGGACGCGGUUACGCUCGCGUUGACAUCGGAUGACUCGGUCACAUGCACGGGAGGGGCGGUACGACAUGGCAUCGCCAAUGGCAGCCAUGAUGCCCGCGCCACCGUGCUCCCUCCCAGUGCCGACCUGGAGCAACUUGCCACUCCUCGGCUCGUGACCGGUGGGCUUGACGGGCCACCUAGCCAUUUUUUAUGCCAGACAACUCUUCUUCCUGCUCGUCAGAUGUCAUGGAUAAAACUGUUUAAGGAGGAAAAUGAUGAGUGGACGUGUGAUGCGGUUCUUGCCCAACAUCUGACAUUGUUUAAAUAGUGAGGGGACACGAGAGGAGCCAACCGGCGUUCUGUUUAAUGCCAACCGGCUCGCGAACGAACAUGUGGCCGGAGUAAUUAUCCUGGCACACACGAGGGUUUUAUGGUGGAAGGCGGGCAGUCUGCAGGAAUGAGGCGAGGAUGUGUGCUUAGCCGGCGUGCAGCAGGCGGUGCCCUCGGCCGGCGUGCUGCUUCCAUUGCGGAGGCAGUGAAAGGUCGCGUCCGCUCUGCAGCGCAUGAAUGCGGGCAGCUGGCGCAGAGCGGGAACGCGUGUGGGCGAGGGAGGAGGGGGUUUGGGCGGGUGGUCAGAAGAGGUCGUGGGUGUUGUCCGAACGCCUGCAAAGCCCCCCUCCAUGUUUGUCUCCAGUUUGCGGGAGAAAGUACGUCCGGACCGUCUCCAAUGGACCAAUACAGGCCCGCAUUGGAUGGCACAACACGUCCGGACGAUGUGGUCCGGAUGGUUGUGGACAGUUUAAUUGAGGGUCGGCGUUGGAGAUGCCUUAGAGUUUAUGAAUCCAUUGUGUUUUUCUAAUCAUAAAAAAGCACUUACAAUAAGUUAUAAGGAAAGACACGAUUAUAUGUUAGGUUCAGACUCCAGCUUUCGUUUUACAUAUGCUUUAUUCAUCCGACUGAUUCCAAUAGAGUGAGCCUAGCGUUGUUUUUCUGGAAACUCGCGGGAUAAGGAGACAUGCAUACACAUUCUUUCAAGCAAAUCACAUCCAUUUUUUUUAACUCAUUUUUCUUCUUUUAAUAAUAUAAUAGAUCAUUUAUAUUUUUUAUCUGAAACAGUUGACGUGUAAUUUAUAUUGUAAUCUGAGGAUAAUGUUUGGAUUUUACUUUCAAAUAUAUUUGAAAUGGCCAUGAUGGAAUCACAUCCAUUUAUUUUAUUAUUAUUUGAAUUUGAUCCAAAAGAUAAAUAAUGAGUAGAGGUCAUGUCAACUUUUCUGAGAACUUUGCUAAUCAAAAUAUAAAUUGUAUUUAAAAACAUCUAUUUUUUAGCACGCAUGAAAAACAUAACACGUAUCUUUUCACACAUAAUGAACGGUUGUCAUAAGAACUCAUGCCAUGCCACAACCUCCCUCCGACCCUGCCAACAUUGUUGCAGCUGCACUCGCAAGCCUUAGCGUAGAUGAUAAUUUAUACAAUUUGCGUAAAAACAAAAUAAGAUCUACAAAUGAAUAGAAGCUAGAACGUACAUUGGCAUGCACACACAUUGCAAGCCAUACUAAGCUGAUAAGUGUUAAUAACUUGUAUAACAUAUACAACACUUAACACAAGUAAAAGCAAUUUGAUGAGUCAUGGUCUAUCAAAGCCACAUUACUAGUCUAAUCCAUCUUAACAGGUCACACAUGAUUAAAAUCUUGUUUGUGUGCAAGUCAAGCUUAUCUAGUUUACAUGUAACAACUUGUAGAACAUUACAAAAUUUAUGUUUGCUAAUAACUUCUAGAACACUACAACACUUGACAUGUAAAAGGAAUUUGAUGAGUCAUGGCCUACUAAAGCAAGUUAUAUUACUAGUCUUAUCUACCUUAACAGGCCACACAAGAUUACAAACCAAGUUCUGUGCCAGCCAUGCUUAUCUAGUUUAUGCGUAACAAUUUGCAGAAAAUUACAAACUUAGUUUCAGAAAAAUAGGCAAUCUAGAUUAGUGUUUGAGCUGUAAAGUGAAUAAAAUGAGUCAUGCGUGUUAUCACACCUUUUUGGUUGUGGAAUGAUAGUGCAACAACAAGGAACUUUAAUGACCAGUUCAAGAAUACACUUGUAAGUAGUGCCACCGAACACAACAUACCAAAUUAUGAUUUUGAGAAGCAUCCAAGCACUUCCACACAAGCAAAUGCCAAUUGUGAAAGAGAUCAUGCCAUGGCAGCUAUAAAUAGGCCCGUAGCAUGACGAUCAUCCUUCCUCAUCCAUCAUUCUCAUAAGUAGAGCGCAUCAUUUAAGCCAAGCAAGCAGUGCUCAAUACAAAUCCACCAUGAAGACCUUUCUCAUCCUUGCACUCCUUGCUAUUGUAGCAACCACCGCCACAAUUGCAGUUAGAGUUCCAGUGCCACAAUUGCAGCCACAAAAUCCAUCUCAGCAACAACCACAAGAGCAAGUUCCAUUGGUACAACAACAACAAUUUCCAGGGCAGCAACAACCAUUUCCACCACAACAGCCAUAUCCGCAGCCGCAACCAUUUCCAUCACAACAACCAUAUCUGCAGCUGCAGCCAUUUCCGCAGCCGCAACUACCAUAUCCGCAGCCGCAUCUACCAUAUCCGCAGCCGCAACCAUUUCGACCACAACAACCAUAUCCACAACCGCAACCACAGUAUUCGCAACCACAACAACCAAUUUCGCAGCAGCAGCAACAACAACAACAACAACAACAACAACAGAUCCUUCAACAAAUUUUGCAACAACAACUGAUUCCAUGCAGGGAUGUUGUAUUGCAACAACACAGCAUAGCGCAUGGAAGCUCACAAGUUUUGCAACAAAGUACUUACCAGCUGGUGCAACAAUUGUGUUGUCAGCAGCUGUGGCAGAUCCCCGAGCAGUCGCGGUGCCAAGCCAUCCACAAUGUUGUUCAUGCUAUUAUUCUGCAUCAACAACAACAACAACAACAACAACAACAACAACAACAACCGUUGAGCCAGGUCUCCUUCCAACAGCCUCAACAACAAUAUCCAUCAGGCCAGGGCUCCUUCCAGCCAUCUCAGCAAAACCCACAGGCCCAGGGCUCUGUCCAGCCUCAACAACUGCCCCAGUUUGAGGAAAUAAGGAACCUAGCGCUAGAGACGCUACCUGCAAUGUGCAAUGUCUAUAUCCCUCCAUAUUGCACCAUUGCUCCAGUUGGCUUCUUCGGUACUAACUGAGAAGAGAAGAACUCUAGUAGUAGACAUAUGAUACACCGUUUUCUUAGUCCAUGGUUUGGUCGUUGUAGCGGUGAAAAAAUAAAGUGACAUGCAGUAUCAUGUAAGAACCCGAACUAUACUAGUUCAAACAUGGGAAUAAAAGACAAACACAUGUCUUGUCUACAUAUGAUUGUUUGUUUGAGUUCCACUCAUGUGCCCACUCACAAGUUCACCCCUAAUUAUAUAUAUUAUGCAUUAAGUAGAUAUUUAUGUUGCAUUAAUCUAAAGAUAACAAAAUGAGUCUGAAAUUUGACUUAAAUUGAAGUAUUUCCUUGGACGUUCAAAUGGAGUAUUAUUAAAGUAGUAAGGACUAUCCACAUCCUUGGCUUGCCCUUGAUCAAUUAUUUCCAGAGAAGCAUUCAAUUCAUCAAUCAAUUACAUUGAUUUUUGUGGCUGGUACUUCUCCUCAACAUGAGUAUAUUCAUCGCGGCUACUCCAAAUAGGCAUGAAUGAGGUACCGGUGCUCUGGAGCACUGGUACCUAACUGCUUCUCAUGUGAAGGGGUGCGGGCGCGGGAGAGGUGUUUUUGGUGGGCCAGGGGAGUAAGAAUCGGCCGUGGCAGCGGUCCAGACGCCCACAAAGCCCCGUAGUUUGUUUUUGGUUUACAGGAAAAUGCACAUCCAGACCGGCCUGCGGGCCGAUAUAGGACCGUAUUGGAUGGCAAAACAUGUCCGGAUGGUCGCGAGCGGUUUAAGGGUUAGCUUUUGUAACGCCUGGUUAGUUAUGCUAUGGUAAUUCCCUGCUAAUGAUGUCACGUCAGCACGAUUACUGUUGUUAACCUCACAAUGAUUCAAUCCCAUUCAAAUUCAAAUUUAAAAUAAAGGCAAAAAUCAAAAGUCUCAAACAUUAAAACUAAAAUCUUCGAGAGGUGAAAAAUAAUGCAUAAGUAAUUAUGGUGGAGCAACCACACUUUUAUAAAAUGUUUAAAUACUCUAAAAAUAAUAAAACAGUGGCUUAAACUAUUAUUUAAAUGCUUUUAAAAUAGUAAAAAUGUUCUAACUAAAUUAAUUGGGUACCAAACUUUUGGUGGCAGUGGUAUAUUUAGUAGAACUAAUUUAGAUGCUAAUAAAACAUAAAAGGAAAGACAAAACAAAUAAAAGUAAAAGGGGGCAACCCCUCGCUGGGCCUCGGCCAAGCUGGCCACUGGGCUAGCUAGGUUGGCCCAACCGCCUCCCUUAACCCCCCACUCCCCAUCGAACCCUAGACCGAUCGCCCCACUUCCCCCACACCCCCUCGUCAGCCUCCCCACCUCUCGAUCCCAUCUGGAUCGGGGAGGGGAUCGCCCCCAUCGACCCCGUCGCGGUCGCUGGAUCGCCCGCUCGCCCAUCGCCCGCCGCCGUCGCGAGACCUCCUCCCCGUCGCACGUCUCCGACUCUCCUCCCCUCUCGCUCCUCUUCCCCGACCCGAUCUGGAUCGGGAAGGGCCAAUGAGCCAAACGCCCCCCUCCAUCGACGAUGUGCUCCAGCACCGCCGCCCGAAGACCUCGCCCUCGCCGGACCUCGCGUCGCCUCCUCGUAUCCCUCCCCGACUCGCCUCCUCAAGCCACGCCGACCCCCUUCUCGGCAACGCUGUGAGCUGCCCCCGUUUCCAUCCUUCUCUUUCCACCGUGUUCACCGCGCUGCCUGCCGUGCCCCUCGCUGCGCGCACGCCCACCACCGUGCCAGCCCCUGCUCCGAGCCCUCUCCUGCACGCUUGUGCGCGCAUGACCCUAGCCGCGCCCACGCCGUGAUCCCCUUGUCCCGCCCGCCUUCGUCCCGCGCUCGCCGCGGCCCCCAUGCUCCCAUGCGCCCUCUUUUGGGGGCGUCGGCUGCCCCUGUCCCGCAGCUCGCUGGCAUGCGUCCCCGCCCGCGCCUCGCCACCGCUCUACUGCUACGCUACUAUUGCGCUGUGGCCGCCGCCGCUUCCCGCUGCUCUGCCAGCGCCAAAGCUCCCGGUUGGCCCUGCCGCUGCUCGCGUUUAACCGCCGGCCUAAGCGGCCUAACCUCCCCCCUCGCUAAUGAACCCCCACCGACCCGCUGACACCGGGACCCACAUCCCCUAAUUAACCAUUUAAUAAAUUAAAACUCUUAAAUUAACAUUAGUGUAUGACAUGUGGGUCCCCUAUUAAUUAAACUGAUUUAAUUAAAAUCUAUUAACUUUGAGUCUAUGACAUAUGGGCCCCACUAAACAUUUGACCAGUCAACGGUCCAGUCAAAUGCUGACCGGACAGUUGACCAGAGGGCCCCGCCAGUCAGCCAAUGUGCUGUUCUGCUGGGUACCUUUCUAAGUACACCUAGCAUUUUACAUUUACAAUAUUUGUUUUAAAAUAAAUUAGAAUAAUUUCAAAAAAAUAUUAAAACUUUUAAAAUUAAAAUAAAAUAAUCCAUAACUCGGAUGAAAUUACUUUAUACAUGGAAGUUGCUCAAAAAACGAGACGAAUUCGAAUACACAGUCCGUUCGUCUGCCACGCGUCCCUAGCAUAGCGAACAUGCAACCAUCCCCCUCCGGUUCGACUCUCCGAAAAAUUAUUAUUGCACAUGCCCGCUAAGAGGUUGGCUGUAUAUGACAUGACAACUUCUUAUAGCCGACCCUUGGCUGUAAUAUUAACCAUGCUCUUAGUGAGGUAGCUAGUAUAUCAUAGACGACUAGCUAGUAUCAGACUAGCCAAAGUGGGAGUAACUUCAGCAGUAACAUCGACUCCAACUCAGCAAACUUGCUUAUGUGGGAGUAAACCCUGCCUAAUGCAAAAUACAAUCCCAGUCGUAAUUUUUUCAGGAAACGUGUGGGAUCCCAAACGAAAAGCACACGUCACUCUUGCGGCAACCGUCGGUGACACCCAAUAAAUCACAAACGGUAUGCAGCACUUGUAUGUGUGCAAAGGGGCUCCUGAACCGUUUGUGAUAGAACAUUAUCGCAGACGGUAAUUGUUGGCAAACGUGUGCGAUGGAGUCUAGCAUGGCAGACGGGUUACGCAGAAAACUCGUGUGCGAUGGGGCACAAAUCGCACACUGUUCAUAUGUUGGCCCAUGUGCCUUACAUACUAUUUCCCAAAUGGUUUGUUACGACAGACCGUAUCGUUUCAGUGCGUCAUUAGAAACGCUUAAUCACUGAUACCACACGUGCGAAAGAAUUUAGUGCGUGCUGCAUCGCACACGAUUACAUUUUGGAAGGCCUCUGGAUCACUGCUCCAUAUCCCCGACGGUUUCUGGGCCGUGUGGGAAGGACACCCUAUCACACACACUCACUUGGCGACGGCUCCAAAUGCUGUCGUGGAAAGGGGUUAAAAACAGUUUGUUUAGGACCGACGCGUACCAGUGUCUAUCUAUCUAUCUAUCUAUCUAUCCAUCUAUCUAUCUAUCUAUCUAUCUAUCUAUCUAUCAAUCUAUCUAUCCAUCUAUCCAUCUAUCCAUCUAUCCAUCUAUCCAUCUAUCUAUCUCAAUCCACCUAUCUAUCUAUCCAUCUAUCCAUCUAUCUAUCUCUCCAUCUAUCCAUCUAUCUAUCCAUCUAUCCAUCCAUCUACUAUCCAUCUAUCUAUCCAUCCAUCCAUCUAUCUAUCCAUCCAUCUAUCUAUCUAUCUAUCUAUCUAUCUAUCUAUCUAUCUAUCUAUCUAUCUAUCUGUCUGUCUAUCUAUCUAUCUAUCUGUCUGUCUGUCUAUCUAUCUAUCUAUCCAUCUAUUCAUCUAUCUAUCUAUGUAUCCAUUUAUCCAUUGAUCCAUCUAUCGAUCCAUCGAUCCAUCCAUCUAUCCAUCCAUCUAUCCAUCCAUCUAUCUAUCCAUAUAUCCAUGUAUCCAUGUAUCCAUCUAUCCAUCUAUCGAUCUAUCCAUCUAUCCAUCUAUCCAUCUAUCCAUCUAUCUAUCUAUCCAACCAUCUAUCGAUCUAUCGAUCUAUCGGUCUAUCCAUCUAUCGAUCUAUCCAUCUCUCCAUCUACCAAUCUAUCCAUCUAUUCAUUUACCGAUCUAUCUAUCCAUCUAUCUAUCUAGCUAUCUACCUAUCUAUCUAUCUAUCUAUCUAGCUAUCUAGCUAUCUAUCUAUCUAGUUAUUUAGCUAUCUAUCUGUCUACCUACCUACCUACCUAUCUAUCUAUCUAUCUAUCUAUCUAUCUAUCUAUCUAUCUAAAGGAAAUAUGCCCUAGAUGCAAUAAUAAAGUUGUCAUUUAUAUUUCCUUAUAUCAUGAUAAACUAGCGGAGUCACCCGCGCAUUUGCGCGGCUAGAUUGACUACAUAUAUUGUUAUAUUUGGGAUUAUUUUUCUAUGCCAAUUUUAUGGCCUCUUACUCAGAUAUUAUCUAAUUGAAUUUACCACCACCAUAUGUUAUAUCCAUAGAUUAUAAUUAAAAGGCAACUUCCGACGAAACAUGGACAGAUUAUUGAGUGCUUAGAAGACGGACGCAAUAUCAUAUAUAGACUUCUAUACCAAUCUUCAUGGUUCCCAUCUUUGAUCCUCUCCUCGUCCCUUGGUAUCUAUCUUUGCACCCAAUAUGUCUUUGGAGUUCCAAGAAUUGAAUCUUAGCAUGAAUGGCUUCAAUGUGUACCAAAUGUUCUCUUGUUCCUCCCAAAUUAAUUACUGGUUGCAUUCUUAGUUGCUUUGACAUUCUUGGUUAAUGCAAUGUCUUGCCUACCAAUAUAUGCAUCCACACACGAUAAUAUUUAUAUGACCACUUACCUUUGUAUUCUGGUAUUUGUGCUUCAGAAUUUUUCUCUCAUUCAGUUUAUUCAUAGAUUAAAAACGUCGAUCGUUUCUUUAUUGGUUUGCAUUAUCUUGUUUGCCGAACGUAAGCAUCCACACAUGCUCGUCAUGAUAUGAUUGGUCAUCAUUGUAUAUUUGUAUUUGUGUGUUGAUAGCUUAAGGAUUUUCUCGGAUUCACUUCAUAGUUUAAGGAUUUUCUCGCGUUCAAUUUAUUCUACCUUAUUCAUUUUCAUGUUUCUUUAUUGCAUUUAUAUCAAUUCUUACAAUAUAUUUUCCAAGAUAUGAACUCAACUGCUAAUUACGUAGUUUUUCAUCAAAAAUUACAUGUAAAAAUGUUACAAAUGCAUAAACAUGAUAAAAAUAUAUAUCAUAUUCCAUUGAGAGAUCGCCCAUUUAAAAAAAACACGUUGACUUACAAAAAGGACAAUUCAAGCUGCAUGUACGUCCGACUCAUGUUUACCUGACAAUGUCGAUGUUGAUUUCAGCAGUAAAUGAGCUGUGUGUGACCUUUGCGCUUUCCGGUAUUCUUCUAACCUGUGUGCUUUAUGAUCAGUUUGUUGUGCUUAGUACUGGACACUGGAGUAUACUAUCAUAUUUGGUACAAAUAAAUCUGAACUACUAUAGUUAUGAUCCACUCUAUAGUUAAUGGUGGUGGUAAUUAAUAUAUGUGGUUAAAUACUUGCGCUCCUUAGGUGGGGAGUUGAAUUUGUAUUUCCCUAAAAUAAAUUUCAGAUUUCGUAAUAGUGGUGAAGCCAGCCGGAAGAACCUCUGCGUCAUUAUUAAUUUUGGUGAUAUUUUUCUUCAUAGUGUAGAAUAAUUUUAGUGCUUAUUCCGCAAAAAAUAUGGCCUCAACUGACCCCAUAGCUUGUAUGUUGCGCCACCACUGUUUCCUAUAUCUUUUUACAUCCGUUGUUUUUAGAUCUUGAUGCAUAACUUUGACAAUAUUUAAUAGAUAUGUGUCUGUAUAAAAAAUUAUAAAUGCUAUGAUAAUUUGAUUAAUUAUGAUGAAUAAAAUGUUAUUGCUCUGACUUGAUCCCUCUAGAAUUUUCCAAAAUUUCACAUUACAGUUGUAGUAGUGCAUGCUACCUCUUGAGCACUGCAUUAGUUUUCCCUUGAAGAGGAAAGGGUGAUGCAGUAAAGCAGCGUCAGUAUUUCCCUCGGUUUUUGAGAACCAAGGUAUCAAUCCAGUAGGAGGCCACGCAUGAGUCCCUCGCACCUACACAAACAAAUAAAAUCCUCGCAACCAACGCAAUAAAGGGGUUGUCAAUCCCUUCACGGUCACUUACGAAAGUGAGAUCUGAUAGAUUUGAUAAGAUAAUAUUUUUGGUAUUUUUAUGAUAAAGAUGCAACGUAAAGAAAGCAAAAUAAAAAAAGCGCCAGAAAUAGCUUGUUGACGGGAGAUUAAAAUAGACCGGGGGGCCAUAGGUUUCACUAGUGGCUUCUCUCGAGAGCAUAAGUAUUUCGGUGGGUAGACAAAUUACUGUUGAGCAAGUGACAGAAUUGAGCAUAGUUAUGAGAAUAUCAAGGUAUGAUCAUGUAUAUAGGCAUCACGUCCGAGGCAAGUAGCCCGACUCCUGCCUGCAUCUACUACUAUUACUCCACACAUCGACCGCUAUCCAGCAUGCAUCUAGAGUAUUAAGUUCAAAAAACAGAGUAACGCUUUAAGUAAGAUGACAUGAUGUAGAGGGAUAAACUCAUGCAAUAUGAUAUAAACCCCAUCUUGUUAUCCUCGAUGGCAACAAUACAAUACGUGCCUUGCUGCCCCUACUGUCACUGGGAAAGGACACCGCAAGAUUGAACCCAAGCUAAGCACUUCUCCCAUCGCAAGAAAGAUCAAUCUAGUAGGCCAAACCAAACUGAUAAUUCGAAGAGACUUGCAAAGAUAACCAAUCAUACAUAAAAGAAUUCAGACAAGAUUCAAAUAUUGUUCAUAGAUAAACUUGAUCAUAAACCCACAAUUCAUCGGUCUCAACAAACACACCGCAAAAGAAGAUUACAUCGAAUAGAUCUCCACAAGAGAGGGGGAGAACAUUGUAUUGAGAUCCAAAAAGAGAGAAGAAGCCAUCUAGCUAAUAACUAUGGACCCGAAGGUCUGAGGUAAACUACUCACACAUCAUCGUAGAGGCUAUGGUGUUGAUGUAGAAGCCCUCCGUGAUCGAUGCCCCCUCCGGCGGAGCUCCGGAAAAGGCCCCAAGAUGGGAUCUCACGGGUACAGAAGGUUGCGGUGAUGGAAUUAGGUUUUUGGCUCCGUAUCUGGUAGUUUGGGGGUACGUAGGUAUGUAUAGGAGGAAGAAGUACGUCGGUGGAGCAACGUGGGCCCCACGAGGGCGCGCCCCCCUACCUCGUGCCUUCCUGGUAGAUUUCUUGACGUAGGGAACAAGUCCUCUAGAUAACGUUCGUUCCCAAAAUCACGUUUCCGAAGGUUUCAUUCCGUUUGGACUCCGUUUGAUAUUCUUUUUCUGUGAAACUCUGAACUAGGCAAAAAACAACAAUUCUGGGGUGGGCCUCCGGUUAAUAGGUUAGUCCCAAAAAUAAUAUAAAAGUGUAUAAUAAAGCCCAUUAAUGUCUAAAACAGAAUAUAAUAUAGCAUGGAACAAUAAAAAAUUAUAUAUACGUUGGAGACGUAUCAAGCAUCCCCAAGCUUAAUUCUUGCUCGUCCUCGAGUAGGUAAAUGAUAAAAACAGAAUUUUUAAUGUGGAAUGCUACUUGGCAUAAUUUCAAUGUAAUUCUCUUAAUUGUGGUAUGAAUAUUCAGACCCGAAAGAUUCAAGACAAAAGUUUAAUAUUGACAUAAAAAUAAUAAUACUUCAAGCAUACUAACUAAGCAAUUAUGUCUUCUCAAAAUAAAAUGGCCAAAGAAAGUUAUCCCUACAAAAUCAUAUAGUCUAGCUAUGCUCUAUCUUCACCACACAAAGUAUUUAAAUUAUGCACAACCCGGAUGACAAGCCAAGCAAUUGUUUCAUACUUUUGAUGUUCUCAAACUUUUUCAAUCUUCACGCAAUACAUGAGCAUGAGCCAUGGACAUAGCACUAUAUGUGGAAUAGAAUGGUGGUUGUGGAGAAGACAAAAAAGGAGAAGAUAGUCUCACAUCAACUAGGCGUAUCAACGGGCUAUGGAGAUGCCCAUUAAUAGAUAUCAAUGUGAGUGAGUAGGAAUUGCCAUGCAACGGAUGCACUAGAGCUAUAAGUAUAUGAAAGCUCAACAAAAGGAACUAAGUGGGUGUCCAUCCAACUCGCUUGCUCAUGAAGACCUAGGGCAUUUUGAGGAAGCCCAUCAUUGGAAUAUACAAGCCAAGUUCUAUAAUGAAAAUUUCCCACUAGUACAUGAAAGUGAUAUCAUAGGAGACUCUCUAUCAUGAAGAUCAUGGUGCUACUUUGAAGAACAAGUGUGGUAAAAGGAUAGUAACAUUGUCCCUUCUCUCUUUUUCUCUCUUUUUUUAUUUGGGUCUUUUAUUCUUUUUUUAUGGCCUCUUUUUUUUAGUCCGAAGUCUCAUCCCGACUUGUGGGGGAAUCAUAGUCUCCAUCAUCCUUUCCUCACUUGGGACAAUGCUCUAAAAAAAUGAUGAUCAUCACACUUUUAUUUACUUACAACUCAACAAUUACAACUCAAUACUUAGAACAAAAUAUGACUCUAUGUGAAUGCCUCCGGCGGUAUACCGUGAUAUGCAAUGAAUCAAGAGUGACAUGUAUGAAAGAAUUAUGAACGGUGGCUUUGCCACAAAUACAAUGUCAACUACAUGAUCAUGGAAAGCAAUAUGACAAUGAUGGAGUGUGUCAUAAUAAACUGAACGGUGGUAAGUUGCAUGGCAAUAUAUCUCAGAAUGGCUAUGGAAAUGCCACGGUAGGUAGGUAUGGUGGCUGUUUUGAGGAAGGUAUAUGGUGGGUGUAUGAUACCGGCGAAAAGUGCGCGGUAUUAGAGAGGCUAGCAAUGGUGGAAGGAAGAAAGUGCGUAUAAUCCAUGGACUCAACAUUAGCCAUAAAGAACUCAUAUACUUAUUGCAAAAAUCUACAAGUUAAUGAAAAUCUAGGGGGAUAGAUUGGUAGGAAAAGACCAUCGCUCGUCCCCGACCGCCACUCAUAAGGAAGACAAACAAUAAAUAAAUCAUGCUCCGACUUCAUCACAUAACGGUUCACCAUACGUGCAUGCUAAGGGAAUCACAAACUUUAACACAAGUAUUUCGCAAAUUCAAAACUACUCAACUAGCAUGACUGUAAUAUCACCAUCUCCAUAUCUCAAAACAAUUAUCAAGUAUCAAACUUCUCAUAGUAUUCAACACACUCAUAAGAUUUUUUUUACUAAUCUUGAGUGCCUAUCAUAAUUAAAGCAAAUUACCACGCUGUUUUGUAGGACUAUCAAAAUAAUCUAAGUGAAUCAUGAGAGAACAAUAGUUUCUAUAAAAAAAAACCACCACCGUGCUCUAAAAGAUAUACGUGAAGCACUAGAGCAAAAACUAUAUAGCUCAAAAGAUAUAAGUGAAGCACAUAGAGUAUUCUAACAAUUUCCGAAUCAUGUGUGUCUCUCUCAAAAGGUGUGUACUGCAAGGAUUAUUGUGGCAAACUAACAAAUAAAGACUUCAAAUAAUACAAGACGCUCCAAGAAAAACACAUAUCAUGUGGUGAAUAGAAAUAUAGCUCCAAGUAAAGUUACCGAUGGAAGUAGACGAAAGAGGGGAUGCCUUCCGGGGCAUCCCCAAGCUUUGGCUUUUAGGUGUCCUUAGAUUAUCUUGGGGUGCCAUGGGCAUCCCCAAGCUUAGGCUCUUGCCACUCCUUGUUUCAUAAUCCAUCAAAUCUUUCACCCAAAACUUGAAAACUUCACAACACAAAACUCAGCAGAAAAUCUCGUGAGCUCCGUUAGCAAAAGAAAACAAAACACCACUUCAAGGUACUGUAAUGAACUCAUUAUUUAUUUAUAUUGGUGUUAAACCUAAUGUAUUCCAACUUCUCUAUGGUUUAUAAACUAUUUUACUAGCCAUAGAUUCAUCAAAAUAAGCAAACAACACACGAAAAACAUAAUCUGUCAAACACAGAACAGUCUGUAGUAAUCUGUAACUAACGCAAUUUUCUGGGACUCCAAAAAUUGACCCAAAAUAGGAAGACCUAGACAAUUUUUUUAUUGAUCAGCAGCAAUUGGAAUCAAUAUUUUAGCACGUCCUGGUGAUUUUUAACAAUUAUUUUCAUGAACAGAAAGUUUCUGGAAUUUUCAGCAAGAUCAAAUAACUAUCAUCCUAGAAGAUCCUAUAGGUUAAACAUGGCACAAACACUAAUUAAAACAUAAAAACACAUGUAACCAGAGGCUAGAUCAAAUAUUUAUUCCUAAAAAAAAGAAAAAAGCAAAAAAACUAAAAAUAAAAUUGGGUUGCCUCCCAACAAGCGCUAUCGUUUAACGCCCCUAGCUAGGCAUAAUAGCAAGGAUAGAUCUAGGUAUUGCCAUCUUUGGUAGGCAAUCCAUAAGUGGCUCUCAUAAUAGAUUCAUAAGGUAAUUUUAUUUUCUUUCUAGGGAAGUGUUCCAUGCCUUUCCUUAAUGGAAAUUGGAAUCUAAUAUUCCCUUCCUUCAUAUCAAUAAUUGCACCAAUCGUUCUAAGGAAAGGUCUACCAAGAAUAAUAGGACAUGAAGGAUUGCAAUCUAUAUCAAGAACAAUAAAAUCUACGGGCACAUAAUUCCUAUUUGCAACAAUAAGAACAUCAUCAAUUCUUCCCAUAGGUUUCUUAAUGGUGGAAUCCGCAAGGUGCAAGUUUAAAGAGCAAUCAUCAAAAUCACGGAAACCUAGCAAAUCGCACAAAAUCUUUGGAAUCGUGGAAACACUACCACCCAAAUCACACAAAGCAUAGAAUUCAUGAUCUUUAAUUUUAAUUUUAGUAGUAGGUUCCCACUCAUCAUAAAGUUUUCUAGGGAUAGAAACUUCCAACUCAAGUUUUUCUUCAUAAGAUUGCAUCAAAGCAUCAACGAUAUGUUUAGUAAGGCUUUAUUUUGACUAUAAUCAUGUGGAGAAUUUAGCACGGAUUGCAACAAGGAAAUACAAUCUAUCAAAGAGCAAUUAUCAUAAUUAAAUUCCUUGAAAUCCAAAAUAGUGGGUUCAUUAAUAUCUAGAGUUUUGAUUUCUUCAAUCCCACUUUUACCAAUUUUUGCAUCAAGAUCUAAAAACUCUGAAUUUUUGGAACGCCUUCUAGGUAGAGGUGGAUCAUAUUCAGUCCCAUCAUUAUCAAGAUUCAUAUUGCAAAACAAAGAUUGAAUAGGGGACACAUCAAUAACUUUUAGAUCUUCAUCUUUAUUUUCAUAGAAACUAGAAGAACACGCUUUCACAAAACAAUCUUUCUUAGCACGCAUCCUAGCGGUUCUUUCUUUGCACUCAUCAAUGGAAAUUCUCAUGGCCUUGAGAGACUCAUUGAUAUCAUGCUUAGGAGAAAUUGUAUCAGCGUUCCUAGCCAAUUCAUCAACUUUAAGCAAUUUUUCUUGAAGCAAAGCGUUGAAAUUGUUUUGCGAAUUCAUAAAUUCUUUAACACUAGUCUCAAAUUCAGAAGGCAUCUUAUUAAAAUUUACAUAAUAAUUGUUGUAGGAAUUACCAUAAUUAUUAGAGGAAUUACUAGGAUACGACCUUGGAUUAAAGUUUCCUCUAUACGCGUUGUUACCAAAAUUAUUCCGACCAACAAAAUUCACAUCCAUAGAUUCAUUAUUAUUCUCAAUCAAAGUAGACAAAGGCAUAUCAUUAGGAUCAGAAGAAACACUUUUAUUAGCAAAUAAUUUCAUAAGUUCAUCCAUCUUACACUCAAAACAUUAAUUUCUUCUAUCGCAUGCACUUUUUUAUUAGUGGAUUUUUCGGUGUGCCAUUGAGAAUAAUUAACCAUAAUAUUAUCUAGGAGUUUAGUAGCUUCUCCUAAAGUGAUUUCCAUAAAAGUGCCUCCCGCGGCCGAAUCUAAAAGAUUUCUAGAAGAAAAAUUCAAUCCGGCAUAAAAAUUUUGUAUAAUCAUCCACAAAUUCAAACCAUGAGUAGGGCAAUUACGUAUCAUUAAUUUCAUCCUCUCGCAAGCUUGUGCAACAUGUUCAUGAUCAAGUUGCUUAAAAUUCAUAAUAUCGUUUCUGAGAGAGAUGAUCUUAGUGGGAGGAAAAUACUUAGAGAUAAAAGCAUCUUUGCACUUAUUUCAAGAAUCACUACUAUUUUUAGGCAAAGACGAAAACCAAGCUUUAGCACGAUCUCUAAGCGAAAAAGGAAAUAGUUUCAAUUUAACAAUAUCAUUGUCCACAUCUUUCUUCUUUUGCAUAUCACACAAAUCAACGAAGUUGCCAUGUCUAGGAAUGCUUGAAGCUUCAAAGAUUUCCUAUAAUACAACAUGCCUCUAACUAUUCACAAUAAGAAAAACAUGUAAAUGCGGAAUCAACCAAAUGAUGGUAAAUUGUAGUUGAUUUUGGCCAAGCAAACGUCAGAUGAAAGAAACAUACAUGAGUGAACAUCACUAUUGGAUGUUUUAUUCAAAUUUAAUAGGUUAAACUCACCAAAUCCAUCUGGAUAUUUAGUAUUAAACUUCAACAGAUGGUCAGUUGUAGCUAGAUUCACACCACUGAAGCAAAAUUCCAUCUGCCACGGUUACAUCACACCAUCUUUUCAUCGUUACUAUUUAAAUUCCAAAUGCCUGCAACUCAUUUUUUUUGUUACGAUGUAUGCAUGAUUUUUAACUCAAGAGGAAGAGGGGAAACUAAAUCCAAGAAAAGAACACCAAGGAAGCAUCCAAAAUAGAGAAAGGAAAAAAAUCCAAAAUAGAGGCAGAAUCGAAGGGAAGAAACCCCAUAAAAAAUAGGAGAUCAAACGGUGAAAAAAAUCUAAGAGUCAAACAAUUCUAGGUAAGACCAAAUCGACGGCAAAAUAGCACAAGAGGGACUCACAUUAACAGGUAUACCAGGUAUACCAAUUUAGAAAGAAGUGUAAAGCGAACAGUGCAAUGGACCACUAGUAUAAAUUGGAUGUACACAAACAUGGGACUUAAACAAGAACUGCGAGAUGCAGGGUUCACGUGCAAACCCAAAAAAUGGAAAACUGAAACCCACAACAAGAUUUUAUCUUCAUAUAUAUAUAUAUAUAUAUAUAUAUAUAUAUAUAUAUAUAUAUAUAUAUAUAUAUAUAUAUAUAUAUUCAAGGCUCGCCCUAUCUAUUAGUUGCUUCUUCCGAAUCCCCACCUAUCAAGCGUUUUCUCUGAAUAAACAAACACAAUAGUAUUCUUUGAAUUAUACUGUACAACGGUAAUUAACCAAGCGACUGGAAUUAACAAUAUUAUGAGCUAUUGGCUUUUUAGUCAGGUAAAUAUCAUUCUUAAGACUACGGAAAACAACAGGCGGCGAAGAAAACAUCUAUUUAUGAGAACUAUACACAUACUUAAGAAGGAAGUGACAUCUAUGGUAGCAGAACAUAUAUCAAGCUGUUGCAGCUACAUUAGCAGUUUAGCACAGUUCCUCCAUAAUACACAGGCUAGUGUAAUUUCACAAAUACAAUAAGCUAACAAUAUAUAUUUGGUAGAUGGAAAUGGCUGGAUCAUGAGCAAUAUACCAUUACACAUCCGAUGAUGCAAAUAAAGAAACGAGGCCCAACAAUAGUGGAAAAUAAACCACAAUAGAACAUGUAUUUGGCGAAACCUCCAUACUGCAAUAUCAAACAUGAAUUGAAAUUAACAAUCUAGCAAAAAAACAUGACAGAUGCAGUCUUGGUCAUUUUUCCUUUUGUGACAUCCCCUAAAAAAAGUAAAAACAAUGUUGUUCGUAUUUUACCAGAGAUACACUGAGCUGGGACAAAUCGGUCUGAAAUAAAAUAUGAUGGCUUCGGAGGAUUCGGAAGGCAAGAAAUUUGCUUUCUUCCAACAUAUAUGGUCUGCUGAACUAAACUUCGUUUCAACGGGCUUUGGCAAAAAUCUGUAACUGCAAACAUCAACUUGUGUGCCCUUCCUACGUCAAACUUUAAACUUGACGGAUUAAAUAUUUUAGGUUAGGCUGAGAUCAGUGUACUUUAUGAGUGUUAAGUGUACUUUCUAAAUAGCAGAGAAACCAUAACAUCUAAGCACAACCCAGCAACUUGUACAAGCUAACAUCAAAUCUGAAAGAGGAAAUGUCGAGAACAGGUGAAGGUACCAUGAUCCACGACUGAGCAAAGUUAUCUAUAAUCCUCGGUGAAUAUCAUAAAUUAGGAUCAACUACGCUAAAGAACAAACGGGAAAGGAACCUAGAAAGAUCUUCUGCCGGUAGAAUAUAACUGAUACACUAUCCUCGUUCUCGAGAUCAAGGUCGUUUCUUGAAUUGCAGUUUCCUCACUGUAGUAUGGGGUCAUUACACUGUGAAGAACAAAGUGUCAUAUGAAUCAUUUAGAGCCCAAUCUUUUUCACUGAAACUCUUAUGAUCACAUAACGAAUUUAAACAUAAGGUUUAUUAGAUAUUUGUUGUUGUGAACAGAUAAUAUAUUUCUGGUGUUGACAAUGUUUUGAUUAUGGAUGCACUUCAAGAUGGGUGGCACAGAUUCUGUUGUACAGGCCUCCACCUGGAAUUUCAUCACUUGUUAUUUUUGUUUUAGAAUGUCUAGGUGCAUUUUUCCUUUAAGGUGGAAACAGAUGUACUUGUAUAAGCAACAAGAAUACAAAGCGCCACUGCCAUACAUUGUGGAAGUUCAGUGCUUCUGUUUACAAAAUCUGCUUCCCAAAACAGAAGGAUUUAUAAUUUUUUAUUACAAUCAAGCGGACAUGAGCUGAUGAGUACAGAUGUAGACAUGUACUGAGAGCAGCACCCUUUCAAAAGUGGAUCAUUUACAAGUUGGAUAGUUUGAUGGUCUGAAAUUAGUGGUCGUGUUUCAGAAUUGUUAUCGAAUAGUAGGGGAUAUAUAUUAAAUUCUGAAAUUAGUGGUUGUUUGUCAGAACUGUUAUCGAAUAACAGAGCACAUAUAUUAACUUCAAUAAGUGGAGUAAUAUCUUUGGAUUCGCUGUGAGGAAAGAUUACCAAAACAAAACAGAAGUGAGCACUGGUAGAAAAUGGGCCUUUAGUCCCGGUUCGCAAAGGCCAUUAAUCCCGGCUGUGCAACCGGGACUAAANNNNNNNNNNNNNNNNNNNNNNNNNNNNNNNNNNNNNNNNNNNNNNNNNNNNNNNNNNNNNNNNNNNNNNNNNNNNNNNNNNNNNNNNNNNNNNNNNNNNNNNNNNNNNNNNNNNNNNNNNNNNNNNNNNNNNNNNNNNNNNNNNNNNNNNNNNNNNNNNNNNNNNNNNNNNNNNNNNNNNNNNNNNNNNNNNNNNNNNNNNNNNNNNNNNNNNNNNNNNNNNNNNNNNNNNNNNNNNNNNNNNNNNNNNNNNNNNNNNNNNNNNNNNNNNNNNNNNNNNNNNNNNNNNNNNNNNNNNNNNNNNNNNNNNNNNNNNNNNNNNNNNNNNNNNNNNNNNNNNNNNNNNNNNNNNNNNNNNNNNNNNNNNNNNNNNNNNNNNNNNNNNNNNNNNNNNNNNNNNNNNNNNNNNNNNNNNNNNNNNNNNNNNNNNNNNNNNNNNNNNNNNNNNNNNNNNNNNNNNNNNNNNNNNNNNNNNNNNNNNNNNNNNNNNNNNNNNNNNNNNNNNNNNNNNNNNNNNNNNNNNNNNNNNNNNNNNNNNNNNNNNNNNNNNNNNNNNNNNNNNNNNNNNNNNNNNNNNNNNNNNNNNNNNNNNNNNNNNNNNNNNNNNNNNNNNNNNNNNNNNNNNNNNNNNNNNNNNNNNNNNNNNNNNNNNNNNNNNNNNNNNNNNNNNNNNNNNNNNNNNNNNNNNNNNNNNNNNNNNNNNNNNNNNNNNNNNNNNNNNNNNNNNNNNNNNNNNNNNNNNNNNNNNNNNNNNNNNNNNNNNNNNNNNNNNNNNNNNNNNNNNNNNNNNNNNNNNNNNNNNNNNNNNNNNNNNNNNNNNNNNNNNNNNNNNNNNNNNNNNNNNNNNNNNNNNNNNNNNNNNNNNNNNNNNNNNNNNNNNNNNNNNNNNNNNNNNNNNNNNNNNNNNNNNNNNNNNNNNNNNNNNNNNNNNNNNNNNNNNNNNNNNNNNNNNNNNNNNNNNNNNNNNNNNNNNNNNNNNNNNNNNNNNNNNNNNNNNNNNNNNNNNNNNNNNNNNNNNNNNNNNNNNNNNNNNNNNNNNNNNNNNNNNNNNNNNNNNNNNNNNNNNNNNNNNNNNNNNNNNNNNNNNNNNNNNNNNNNNNNNNNNNNNNNNNNNNNNNNNNNNNNNNNNNNNNNNNNNNNNNNNNNNNNNNNNNNNNNNNNNNNNNNNNNNNNNNNNNNNNNNNNNNNNNNNNNNNNNNNNNNNNNNNNNNNNNNNNNNNNNNNNNNNNNNNNNNNNNNNNNNNNNNNNNNNNNNNNNNNNNNNNNNNNNNNNNNNNNNNNNNNNNNNNNNNNNNNNNNNNNNNNNNNNNNNNNNNNNNNNNNNNNNNNNNNNNNNNNNNNNNNNNNNNNNAUAUAGAGCUCAAAUGAUUGAAAAUAAUUACUUUUGCAGCAUUUUUCUCAUGUCGGCCCAACGCUUUGGAUCCGAAUCCAUAGAGUCCAUGAUUAGAACUCUGGAGGUGUGAAGUUCAAUAUUUAGCAGAAUCCAGUGGAACCUGCGGACACGUUACAUGCACAGUCAUGCAUAACUCAUCGAUUAGACAUACCAUGCAUGGAGUAAACAAAAGAGAAUGGGCACAAGAGAGAAACACUCACCCAAAAUGGUAAGGAAAUAGAAUAUGACUUUUGAGUUGAUGCUUUCUAAGAAACUUGUACAAGUCUUUCUCCAUGUCUUCGGGGUGAUUUUGUAACACAUGUCCAUUAACGAUAUGUGGGUCAAUGAACCCAACAUCAUGGAUGUUUCUUAUUUUGCAUUCCCAAAUCUUCAAUCUGCAUAAUAGCGUACGCAACAAUAUAGUUAGGACAAUAUAUAUAUAUAUAUAUAGUGCAGGCAAUGAAGAACGAGAUGAGGUAGAAAUAAAUCACUUACAUAACGUAGCAACUCAGGAUAGAUUUGUCGAGCUCGCGCAGAUUGAACAGCUGGAACAAUUCACUCAUAUGAACUUGUACAAAGUACCGUUUGGUGUGAUGCUCCUCUGUAACAUCCGCAUAAAUAUAUUCUUUGUCGGCCCAUGUUAUGAAUUGCUUGUACCAACGUAGAAGAUUUCGCAUUUGUGGUGGUAGACUCUUUUCCCGUGCAGGCUCGACGAGAGGCCCAUUCCGCACAUAUUGUAAUGCUAUCUCACAUACUGGCGCAUCCUCAAGGCCUAAGAUGGCACGAAGAGUCAAACCCAUCUCGGACGUUUGUUUCAUGGCACUCGCUACAGUCAAUCCAAGUGCUGCCGCAGCUCCUAUGAUCUCGGGGUCCUCUUCCGGACCGGCUUUCACUAUGAGCGGGGGGAUCGAUUGUUUAUUCUGCAUCCCGAGCUGGUCAACUUGUUUCCCGCUUUUUUUACUUUCUUCUUUCUCCUCCUUCAAUAUUUUUGCUUGCCAACGAAGUUCAUGUCAAUAGUCGUCAGGCAUAUUCAGCUCGGCUUGGGACGGUGUCGUCAAAAAAUCCUUAGCCCACUUCUUUUGCUUCUCAGUGAAUACUUGCUUGGGCUCAGGCUCUUUUUUCGAAUUCGUAUCCGCCUUCCAUUUCUCAUAAUGAGCAGACGCGGCCAAUUUGGUUUCAGCUUCACUAAGUUCCCAAGGCCUUGGGAGGAGAGGCUUCAGUGAUGGCUCCGGUACCCUUGUGGUCUUACGUACAUAAGGGUCCGGGUUAAUAGUCCAGGAGAGGGUUUCCUUGCUGUCCGCCUGCUUCUACUUCUUCGCCGGAGGUGGAUUGGGGGGCGUCGUACCCGCCGGAGGAGGAUUGGGGGGCGUCGUACCUGCCGGAGGAGGAUUGGGGGGCGGCGGCUGCUUACCCGCCGGAGGUUGUGGAUCGGGGGACGGCGUCGAAUGGCGUGAAGGAGGUGUAGGUGAACCACCACGACCACCACCACCACCACCACCAUCGGAGGGGGUGGACUUGUUAGCAUUGGCGCCUCGCCUGGAAACACUAUGUACUUCUUUUUCCAUAGAAUGAUCUGGCGCUUGACAUCUCCAAGUCUUCUCUCCCCUUCGGGUGUAGCUUUGUCAAUCUCCAGGUCCUCAAACUAUUGGACUAUGUCUUCCACCGUGACACGAGCAUAGCCAUAUGCAAUGGGGUUGUUGUGGUGGAGUGCUCCAGGUGUACAGGGUAAAGCACUGCCAGUAGCUACCUUCGUGGAAACGUUCCCCACGGGAUAAUGCAGAUCACAUUCUUUCAUCUCCUUUACAUCAUCCACGGGGUAGUGAGGCUCCGGUGCACGAAUCUCGAUCAUCGGUGCAUUAGCACCAGGCGGGGCAUCCGUGGAAGCCACGCUGCUUCUCCGCUGCUGGCUUCCGCGAUCCGCUUCAUGAUCUUCAUGCGGCCCUGCAGCCGAUUUUUCUUUUACUAGUUCAUGCACGGUCUGCUUCAACUCAUGGAGUUCCGAUGCAAACUUCACCAAAAGAUCUGCAUCCCGGUCCGUCUUUCUCUUACGGCUUCUGUAACAGUACGGGUCAUUGUCCUGGGAAAACCCUACUUUCCACGAAAUUCUGCCUUUGCCUCGUACACGUCCUCCGUGUUCAUCAUUCCGAGGGCUGUUGUCAGUGCGUCUUUCUCUCUGUUGAACUUGAUCAAGCCCUCUUGAGCUUGGGUCAUUGCGUCAAUAAGGGCUUGGGUGGGAGCAAACUUUUUCUUCCGGUGAACACACACCCCUGUCUCCGGGUCUAGCGAUCCCCCAUGCCCGUACCACCAGCUUUUGGCCCUUGGGUCCCAUCCCUCUGUACCUAGAGGGAUUCCUCGCACCCUCAGGUCCUCCUCCAUCUUCUGCCACUUAGGCUCCGAAAGGCGGUAUCCUCCUGGCCCCAUAAUAUGAUGGAACUUUUUCUUACUCGCAUUAUCCUUAUUUUUUCCGACAUUUCCUUGAAAUGCUCUGAUUUUUUUUGCCUCACAAAUUCUGGCCAAUCAUCUUUCAGUUUCUCAUGUUGUCCAUUGAAAUCCGGAGUCUUGCCCUUGUUGACAUAGUCACGGGUUAAAUUUUUCUUGAAGUUCCGGAAUGCUUCGCCCAUCUUCUCAAGAGCGAACUCUUUAACUAGCCUCCUCCUCUCACGUCCACCCGGAACCUCGUUACCGAAUUCAUCGACUUUGUUGUAUUCCGGAGGUAGAAUGAAAUGUUCCAUAAGCUUUUUCCAGCAAUCCUUUUUCGUUCUCUUGUCGACAAAACUGAAACCAAGACGUGCCUUCUUUGGCUCCUUCCAUUCCUGGACGGUGAUCGGGACGUUGUCUCUAACAACGACUCCACAUUGGUUGAUAAACUUUGAGGUGUGCUGUAGGGGCUUGCCGGUUUCACUGACAAAAUCAAUGGCAUAUGUUUCUCCUUUUUUCAUCGCCUUGGAUUUGCCACGCUUUGUCGUACUCGAUCCGGCCGAGGGUCGCGCACGUUAAUACAUAUGUAUUCGCAUUUCAGUAAGUUUGUAUCACGAGAGGCUCAAUGUAUAUAUAUACCUCGCCGGAGGUGGUUGCUACUUGCAAUUCGAGAUUGUCGUUUGUUGACGGUUGACCUCCGUUGACAAUGUCCGUUCCUUCACCUUCUUGAUCAUCGACAAUGUCUGUUCCACCGUCAAGGUUCAGAAAAGAAGAGACUACAUCCUCUUCUUGCUCAUAUUCUGAGCCCGGCACAUAAGGAAUCUCGUUGUUUAUGAUGCCCAUUAAAUAACGUUCAGCCUCCGGAUCCCUAAGCGGCUCGGCUCUAUCGUCCGCCAUAUGUCACUCCUGCAUGUAGUCAAAAUUAAUUAAGUAUAAAGGAAUUAAAAAAUAAGAUUAAGGGGACAUAGAGGAGGAGCAGCUACGGUUGAAUGAUUAAGAGCUAUUAAAAAAUAAAAUUGAUGUUUUUCCUUUUCUUUUUCCUUUUCUUUUUCCUCUCUACUCUCUCUUUCCUUUUCUUUUUCCUUUUCUUUUCCUUUUCUUUUUCCUUUAUACAAUUAUUCCCAAAUAAAUUUCCUUUUCUUUUUCCUUUUCUUUUUCCUCUCUGCUCUCUCUUUCCUUUUCUUUUUCCUUUUCUUUUUCCUUUAUACAAUUAUUCCCAAAUAAAUUUCCUUUUCUUUUUCCUUUUCUUUUUCCUCUCUGCUCUCUCUUUCCUUUUCUUUUUCCUUUUCUUUUUCCUUUUCUUUUUCCUCUCUACUCUCUCUUUCCGUUUGUUGACGGCAGGCGGCGGCGGGAGGCAGAGGAGGGCAGGCCNNNNNNNNNNNNNNNNNNNNNNNNNNNNNNNNNNNNNNNNNNNNNNNNNNNNNNNNNNNNNNNNNNNNNNNNNNNNNNNNNNNNNNNNNNNNNNNNNNNNNNNNNNNNNNNNNNNNNNNNNNNNNNNNNNNNNNNNNNNNNNNNNNNNNNNNNNNNNNNNNNNNNNNNNNNNNNNNNNNNNNNNNNNNNNNNNNNNNNNNNNNNNNNNNNNNNNNNNNNNNNNNNNNNNNNNNNNNNNNNNNNNNNNNNNNNNNNNNNNNNNNNNNNNNNNNNNNNNNNNNNNNNNNNNNNNNNNNNNNNNNNNNNNNNNNNNNNNNNNNNNNNNNNNNNNNNNNNNNNNNNNNNNNNNNNNNNNNNNNNGCAGGGCAGGGCAGGGGCGGCGGCGGCAGUGCAGGGCAAGGGCGGCGGCGUAGGGCAGGGGAAGUGGGGGGCGGCGGAGCUCACUGGGGGCAGGGCGCUGGUGUCGGGGCAGGGCGUCGGCGUCGAUCGGCGUCGGGGCAGCAGCCUGGCGGCGUCGGCGUCGAUCGGCGUCGGGGCAGGGCGUCGGCGUCGAGAGGAGAAUGAGAGGUGGGGGAAAAUUUACUAAGUGUUAUAUAUAUAGACAGAGCAUUAGUCCCGGUUGGGGACGCCAACCGCGACUAAAGGUACCUUUAGUCGCGGUUGGUCUCCCCAACCGGGACUAAAGGUUCUUUCGCGCCGCUUUCGUUCCCGCGCGGAAAGAGCCUUUAGUCGCGGUUCGUGUCACGAACCGCGACUAAAGGUCCUUUUUCAUAUACUUUUCAGAAAAUACAAAUAAUAUAUCAAAAAAUUCAGAAAAAUAAAACUAAUUCAUUUUAAAAUCUUAAAAAUAGAAAUAAUAUAUCAAAAAAUUCAGAAAAAUAAAANNNNNNNNNNNNNNNNNNNNNNNNNNNNNNNNNNNNNNNNNNNNNNNNNNNNNNNNNNNNNNNNNNNNNNNNNNNNNNNNNNNNNNNNNNNNNNNNNNNNNNNNNNNNNNNNNNNNNNNNNNNNNNNNNNNNNNNNNNNNNNNNNNNNNNNNNNNNNNNNNNNNNNNNNNNNNNNNNNNNNNNNNNNNNNNNNNNNNNNNNNNNNNNNUUAAAAUCUUAAAAAUAGAAAUAAUAUAUCAAAAAAUUCAAAAAAAUAAAACUAAUUCAUUUGAAAAUCUUAAAAAUACAUAUAAUAUAUCAAAAAAUUCUGAAAAAUAAAACUAAUUCAUUUUAAAAAUUCAGACCGAUUGUUUUGUUCUACAUCCUCGAUCCCUUGAAGGUUUGACAAAAGGUUUGAUACAUCAUUCAGUUCAUCGGCCAAAUACAAAUCAUCCGGAUUCGCCAUCGUACGUUUUAAUUCACAUGAUCCAUUCAACAAAGUUUGGUACAAUAAAUUAUUACACAUCAAUUCUUCCCGUGUGUCCCUGCUUGCUUACGAUUGUGCCGUAUCCAUGGAGCAUCCUCAUCAUUUAACUUAAUGCUUGGGUCAGUGUUCACUUUGAAGGGCGGAAUUUCACCAAACAUAUUAUAAUCUUCUGACAUGUCUGUCUUGUCCUCCACUCCCACAAUGUUUCUUUUCCCUGAAAGAACAAUGUGGCGCUUUGGAUCAUCGCAUGAUGUACUGAUCGUUUUCUUAUCUUUCCGUUUCCUCGGUUUGCUACUCAUGUCCUUCAAAUAAAAAACCUGAGCGACAUCUUUGGCAAGGACGAAUGGUUCGUCAAGGUAACCAAGAUUGUUGAAAUCCACCAUUGUCAUUCCGUAUUGCUCGUCCACCUUUACCCCACCUCCUGUUAGCUUGAACCAUUUGCACCGGAACAAAGGGACCUUAAAGGAGGGUCCAUAGUCAAGUUCCCAUAUCUCCUCUAUGUGACCAUAAUAUGUGACCUUUUGCCCAUUCUCGGUUGCUGCAUCAAAGCGGACACCACUGUUUUGGUUGGUGCUCUUUUUAUCUUGGGCGAUGGUGUAAAAUGUAUUCCCAUUUAUCUCGUACCCUUGGAAAGUCGUUAUAGUCGAAGAUGGUGUCUUGGCCAACAUGUACAGCUGAUCUCCAACAUCAUUGUCAUUCAUUAAAUGUUUUCGCAACCAACUGCCGAAAGUCUCCAUGUGGGCCUUUCUAAUCCAGGAUUCAGGUUUCCCCGGGUUGUCCGAGCGUAAAAUAUUCUUGUGUUGCUCGAACUACGGAGCCACCAAGCUGGAAUUUUGUAGAACUGUGUGGUGUGCUUCAGUCAUAGAAUGACCGUCCAUACAUAUCGUUGAUUUCCUUCCGAUCGUGCCUUUUCCACUUAGUCUCCCCUCGUGCCGCGAUUGAGGAAUACCAAUCGGCUUAAGGUCAGGAACAUAGUCAAUACAGAACUCAAUUACCUCCUCAUUUCCAUAGCCCUUGACGAUGCUUCCUUCUGGCCUAGCACGGUUACGAACAUAUUUCUUUAAUACUCCCGUGAACCUCUCAAAGGGGAACAUAUUGUGUAGAAAUACAGGACCGAGAAUGGAAAUCUCUUCGACUAGGUGGAGCAGGAGGUGCGUCAUAAUAUCGAAGAAGGAUGGUGGGAACACCAACUCAAAACUGACAAGGCAUUGGACCACAUCGUUCUGUAACCGUGGUAGAUCUUCUGGAUUGAUUACCUUCUGAGAGAUUGCAUUGAGGAAUGCACAUAGCUUCACAAUGGCUACUCGAACAUUUUCCGGUAAGAGCCCCCUCAAAGCAAUCGGAAGAAAUUGCGUCAUAAUCACGUGGCAGUCGUGAGACUUCAGGUUUAGGAACUUUUUGUCCGCCAUGUUUAUUAUUCCCUUUAUAUUCGACGAGAAGCCAGACGGGACCUUCAUACUGCUCAGGCAUUCAAAAAAUGACCUUCUCUUCUUUGGUAAGAGCGUAGCUGGCACGACCUUGAAACCAUUCCGGAUGCCGGUCAUCUGGGUCUUUCAAAAGUUGUUGGUCCUGCCGUGCUUCCUUUGUAUCAUUUGUCUUCCCAUACACGCCCAAGAAGCUUAGCAGGUUCACGCAAAUAUUCUUCGUAACAUGCAUCACGUCGAUUGCAGAGCGGACAUCUAGGACUUUCCAAUAUUCUAGCUCCCAAAAUAUAGAUUUCUUCUUCCACAUGGGUGCGUGCCCGUCAACUCCCCGCGGAACUGAUUGUCCGCCAGGACCCUUUCCAAAGAUGACUUUCAAAUCCUUGACCAUAUCAAAUAUCUCAGCACCAGUACGUUCCGCAGGCUUCGGCCGGUGAUCUGCCUUGCCGUUGAAAUGCUUGCCUUUCUUUCUUACGUUAUGAUUUCGGGGAAGAAAUCGACGAUGACCCAGGUACACGUUCUUCUUACAAUUACCCAAACGUACACUUUCAGUCUCAUGUAAGCAGUGCGUGCAUGCAUUGUAUCCCUUAUUUGUCUGUCCCGAAAGGUUACUGAGAGCAGGCCAAUCGUUGAUGGUUACAAAAAGCAACGCUCGUAGGUCAAAUUCCUCUUCUUUGUGCUCAUCCCAGACACGUACACCAGCUCUGCCCCACAACUGUAAAAGUUCAUCAACUAAUGGCCUUAGGUACACAUCGAUGUCGUACCCGGGUUGCUUUGGACCUUGGAUGAGCACUGGCAUCAUAAUGAACUUCCGCUUCAUGCACAACCAAGGAGGAAGGUUGUAGAUGCAUAGAGUCACGGGCCAGGUGCUAUGGCUGGAGCUCUGCUCGCCAAAAGGAUUCAUGCCAUCAGUACUUAGACCAAAUCUUAUGUUCCUUGCGUCAGCUGCAAAAUCUUUGAACACUCUGUCGAUCUUUCUCCAUUGCGUUCCAUCAGCGGUGUGUCCCAACUCCCCGUCGGACUUACGGUCCUCUUUGUGCCAUCGCAACGACUUGGCAUGCUUUUUGUUCCUGAACAGACGUUUCAACCGUGGUAUUAUAGGAGCAUACCACAUCACCUUGGCGGGAACCCUCUUCCUGGGUUUCUCGCCCUCAACAUCGUCACCAGGGUCAUCGCCUCUGAUCUUAUAACGCAAUGCAGUGCAUACAGGGCAUUCAUUCAAAUUCUCGUAUUCACCGCGGUAGAGGAUGCAGUCGUUAAUGCAUGCAUGUAUCUUCAGAACCUCUAAACCUAGAGGGCAGACAACCUUCUUUGCUUCGUACGUACUGGCGGGCAACUCGUUAUUCUUCGGAAACAUAUUCUUCAACAUUUUCAGCAAAUUUUCAAAUGAUGAGUCAGCUACACCUUCCUGUGCCUUCCAUUUUAGCAAAUCCAGUGUGCAACCCAACUUUUUCAGACUAUUAUCGCAUCCUGGGUACAACGACUUUUUGUGAUCCUCUAACAUGCGAUCCAAAUUCUCCCUCUCCUUGUCAGUUUCGCAGCGUCUCCGUGCAUCAGCAAUGGUCCGACCAAGAUCAUCAGCGGGCUCAUCAUGUGCCUCUUCUUCACCUUCACCUAACCCUUCCCCACCUUCAGCAUCAUCCUCCAUGAAAGUAUCACCGAAAUGAUCAUGAUAGUUGUCAUCGAUAUCAUCCCCUUCUUCAUCUUGUUCCAUUCUAACCCCUCUUUCUCCAUGCUUGGUCCAACAAUUAUAGCUUCGCAUGAAACCGUGCCGAAGCAGGUGCAUGUGAACGUCUCUUGAGGAGGAGUAACCCUUCUGAUUCUUACAGACACCACAUGGACAGAUAAUAAAACCUCGCUGCUUGUUCGCAUUUGCCACUACGAGGAAAUCUUUCAAACCCGUAGUGAACCGCCGGAGAGUCGGGGACCGUACAUCCAUUGCCGAUUCAUCUGCAUUAUUAUUAUAUAAAGUAUAUAAUUAACCAUCAUGCAUUUGUUAAACUAACUAGCUAGAAAUAAUACAAAUUAAACAAUGAACUACACACAUCCAUAUUUUAUCAAUGACACAUGAAAGGUUCAAGUUGCUAACCGCGAUCGCGGAGGAAAAAUAAAUGAGAAAGCUCAAGUGUGGCUCGGACACUUCAUAUCAUGUUUGUUUCAUGCUCUCGGGCAUUUCAUCGAACACCUUGUGUGCAUAGGAGGAACCAAAAGCAAACCCACCAGCCCCCUUCUGAAUUGUGGCUAAGUGAAGUGAGCUGAGUCCUAUAUAUAGGGAUGGGCCUUUAGUCCCGGCUGGCCUGGCCAACCGCAACUAAAGGCCUUCGGGCCAGCCUGAGGACCUUUAGUCCCGGUUGGCCAGGCCAACCGGGACUAAAGCCCCUCCCGUCCGCCAGCUGUCGACCGAGCGCGCUGGGCCCAGAUAGUUGGUCGCGGGUCUCCUCCCGAACCGCGACUAAAGACCCCUUUGGUCGCGGUUCGAUUAUUUUAGAGACUAAUGGGGGCGUAUGGAAGCCUCUGUUUCUACUAGUGGAGUGCGACGACCCAGAUGAGGGCGCUCUUGAGCUUCUUCCCGACCGACCUAGAUGCAGGAGCAGACCACGGCGGAUCUAAUCAGCCAACGAAUAAAACUGAGGCAGGUAGAGGAAGUAAGGGAGGAAGAAGACUGACUUGUCCUGGUCGCCCUCGUAGUAGAACCUGUGUUUUGAUUUUCGGCCAAAAAAGUGGAUUUCGGCCAUCUCGGCCUGGGGCAAAAAGUGUAUUUAGGCCGAAAUUGUUCAAAUUUAGCAAAUUUUGGUCAAAUUUAAGUCAAAUUGCAGUCAAAAUUUGGUCAAAUUUCAGCCGAAAUUUUUGAAAAUGGCCGAAAUUCGGCCAUCUCAGCCUAGGGAGAAAAAAAAGCUGAAACCAAAAAUCAAAACACAGAGUAGAACAUGGCGAACAGGAUGACGAGGACAGCGUCGAGGAUGUAGACGACGAGCCAGAGCAUGUUCAUGGGCAGGAUCAAGCAUGGGCAGGAUAAGGGUGCAGGCCCCGUUGUAGGCGGCAUGCUUGCAGGCCUGGCGGUUGGCGACGUCGGCGGGGAGCAUGAGGAUGGAGAGGACGGCGACGGUGAUGCCGAGCACGACGACGAGCUUGAGGAAGUAGGCCUGGUUGGCAUCAUCCGGGUGCUGGUAGUUGACGAGGAGCACCAGGAUGCUGACCACCGCCGCCACGAUCACUAGCGCCACGUUAAAAAAACCAUCUCCUCGGGGCUCCGGUCCCGGUUCCGGCCCGCCGCCUCGCCCCCUUGGUCGGUCAGAUCUCUCUGUCCCUAGAGGCGGGGGGAUACAGGCUAGGGUUUGGGCGUGGGCGGGGAAUAGGCUGCUAUGGUGCCGGCAGCGGGGCGUGUAGGAGAGAAGGAUUAGGAGGAAUAAUUCACCACACUUUGAUUAAGCUCUCGGCUGGUUCUUAUGUACAGAUUACAGGGCCAGCCAGGGAGAUCAUGGGGUGAUCCACUACCUGGGAUCGUGCGCCACGAUCACUACAUGCGUGCGCCACGAUCAUACACACACACGCUACACCUAGUGUCUACGCAACUACGGUAUAGCAGUACAGUACAGCCUAACACCCCCCGGAGUCGUGACGUCGGCGGCGGCGACGCAAAGACUGGACCGGAACUCAGAGAAAACAUCCGAUGGCAGGCCUUUGGUCAUGAUGUCGGUGUGUUGUUGGCGCGUGGGGAUGUGAAGAACACGGAAGUGGCCGAGGGCGACGCGCUCCCGCACGAAAUGGAUGUCCAGCUCCACAUGCUUAGUGCAGCGAUGAUGCACCGGAUUGGCUGACAGGUAGACUGCGGACACAUUGUCACAGUACACAAGUGCCGCCUUGGUCAUUGGAGCGGAGAGCUCGCCGAGAAGCUGGCGGAGCCAGAUGCAUUCAGCGACCGCGUUGGCGACGCCGCGGUAUUCAGCUUCGGCGCUGGAGCGCGAUACGGUCGCCUGGCGCUUGGAGGACCAGGAGACGAGAGCAUCGCCGAGGAAGACGCAGAAGCCCGACGUGGAGCGUCGGGUGUCGGGGCAGCCGGCCCAGUCCGCAUCGGUGAACGCACGGACGUCGAGCAUGGUCGAGGCGUGAAGAUGAAGCCCGAGUGCGCAGGUGCCCUUCACGUACCGGAGCACGCGCUUUACGAGCGCGAGGUGGCAUUCGCGCGGGUCAUGCAUGUGUAAGCAGAUUUGCUGGACGGCGUAGGCGAUCUCUGGACGCGUGAUGGUGAGGUACUGCAGGGCCCCGGCGAUGCUCCGAUAGGCCGAAGGGUCGUCGACGCAUGGCCCAUCGGCUGAGGGGAGUUUGCUCUUCGUGUCGAUGGGUGUCGGGGAAGGGCGGCAGGUGUCCAUGCCGGCGCGUUCCAGGAGCUCGUCGGCAUAUUGUUGUUGCGACAGGAAGAAGCCAGCUCGGGUGCGGGUGACGCGCAUGCCGAGGAAGAAGGCGAGCGAGCGCAGGUCCUUCAUGGCGAAUUCGCCUGUGAGGCGCUGGAUGACAUGGUGAAGCACGCGUGACGAGGACGCGGUGAGCACGAUGUCGUCGACGUAGAGGAGGAGGAACGCCAUGUCGUUGCCGUGCCGGAAGGUGAACAGCAACGAGUCCGAACGCGUAGCUGCGAAGCCAAUGGAGCGGACGAAGCCGGCGAAGUGGAGGAACCAGGCACGGGGCGCCUGCUUGAGCCCGUACAAGGACUUGGAGAGGCGGCAGACGUGCUCUGGUUUGUCGGGGUCGAUGAAUCCGGCGGGCUGGAGGCAGUAGACUUCCUCCUCAAGUUUCCGUGGAGGAAGGCAUUGGAGACGUCGAGGUGGUGCACCGGCCAGCCGCGCGACGCGGCCAUAGUGAGCACCAUGUGGAUCGUCACUGGCUUGACGACGGGGGAGAACGUCUCGCCGUAGUCGACGCCGGCACGCUGAUGAAAGCCCCGCACGACCCAGCAUGCUUUGUAGCGGGCCAGCACGCCGUCGGCGUCGUUUUUGUGCUUGAAGAUCCGCUUCCCUGUGAUCAGGUUGGCGCCGGGGGGGAGCGGGGCACCAGCUCCCACGUGCGAUUGCGCACGAGCGCAUCGUACUCAGCACACAUGGCAGCGAGCCAGUUCGGGUCGCGAACAGCAGCACGAACCGAACGCGGCACCGGCGACACCGAUGAUGAGCUAGAGGCGGUGGCCGCGUCGUAGUAGCGCGGCUUGGGGCGGAAGAUGCCGCGCUGGGCACGCGUGACCAUGGGCACAGGAGGCGCCGGUGCGCGGGGCGCCGCUGGUGGCGCGCUCGGAGACGAGCUGUCGGAGGAGCCACUGGGGAGUUGUCGGAGGAGGCGCUGGCGGAGGCGAAGACAAGCGGACCAGGCGCGGAUGGGCACGUCGAGGACGGAGCCGAGCCGCCAUCGGAAGCGCCCGCAGCGUACCGCGAGCUGACGCGGCGCGCCCCGCUGGUUGGCGAUGAUGAGCGGGGCAAGCCGGUGAUGGAGAUCAGGCGCGCCGGCAGCACGGGUGACAUGCUGCUGUCAGGCACCGGUGGAAGCGCGGGCAGCGCAGGAGGCCGGACGACGAGCGGGAUCUGCAGGUUAGAGGGUACGACGGGUGGCGUAGGCGACGGGGAAGAGGAUGCGAACGGGAAAACGUGUUCGUGGAAGAGAACGUGGCGAGACGUGAGGACGCGGCGAGAGGUGAGGUCAAAGCAGCGAAAACCACGAUGAUCGGGAGGGUACCCGAGGAAGACGCAGGCGAUAGAACGUGGCUCGAGCUUAUGGCGGGUGGUGGCGGUGACGUUCGGAUAGCAGAGGCAUCCAAAGACGCGGAGCUGCGAGUAAUUUGUGCGGGCAUGCGGUGACGUUCGGAUAGAUGCGGAGUAAUUUGUGCGACGCCGAGCAGGAGUUCAUGCGGAGUGCAGGGCGCCGAGGCGCGGCAGGGCCGACGAUUGAGCAGGUAGGUCGAGGUGUUGAGAGCCUCUGCCCAGAAGCGAGCGGGCAUGUGCGCAUGACAGAGAAGCACACGAACACCGUCGUUGAUCGUGCGGAGAACUCGCUCGUCCUUGCCGUUCUGCCGUGGCGAGCAAGCAGAGAGCGCGCGGCUGCACUGUCGAAUUCACGACCGUUGCCCGUUUCCAGUGCAAGUAUGGGUAACUGAAACUGAGUCUGAACAUAGGCAAAGAAAUCAACAAGUAUGGGAAGAACUUCAGACUUGUGUUUCAGAGGGAAAGUCCAGACAUAGUGACUGAAAUCAUCUAGUACAACUAAGUAAAACUGAUAGCCGGAUAUGCUUACAACGGGAGCGGUCCAUACAUCAAGGUGUAAAAGCUGGAAAGGAAAGAAACUAGCAGUGGUGGAUGUCUGAAACGUGUUGGAUCGAUGUCCGUGUAGCCCGCUUCUUUCUCUGUAGGAAGGACGCGGUUACGCUCGCGUUGACAUCGGAUGACUCGAUCACAUGCACGGGAGGGGCGGUACGACAUGGCACCGCCACGCCACCGUGCUCCCUCCCAGUGCCGACCUGGAGCAACUUGCCACUCCUCAGCUCGUGACCGGUGGGCUUGACGGGCCACCUAGCCAUUUUUUAUGCCAGACAACUCUUCUUCCUGCUCAUCAGAUGUCAUGGAUAAAACUGUUUAAGGAGGAAAAUGAUGAGUGGACGUGUGAUGCGGUUCUUGCCCAACAUCUGACAUUGUUUAAAUAGCGAGGGGACACGAGAGGAGCCAACUGGCGUUCUGUUUAAUGCCAACCGGCUCGUGAACGAACAUGUGGCCGGAGUAAUUAUCCUGGCACACACGAGGGUUUAAUGGUGGAAGGCGGGCAGUCUGCAGGAAUGAGGCGAGGAUGUGUGCUUAGCCGGCGUGCAGUAGGCGGCGCCCUCGGCCGGCGUGCUGCUUCCAUUGCGGAGGCAGUGAGAGGUCGCGUCCGCUCUGCAGCGCAUGAAUGCGGGCAGCUGGCGCAGAGCGGGAACGCGUGCGGGCGAGGGAGGAGGGGGUUUGGGCGGGUGGUCAGAAGAGGUCGUGGGUGUUGUCCGAACGCCUGCAAAUCCCCCCUCCAUAUUUGUCUCCAGUUUGCGGGAGAAAGUACGUCCGGACCGUCUCCAAUGGACCAAUACAGGCCCGCAUUAGAUGGCACAACACGUCCGGACCAUGUGGUCCGGAUGGUUGUGGACAGUUUAAUUGAGGGUCGGCGUUGGAGAUGCCUUAGAGUUUAUGAAUCCAUUGUGUUUUUCUAAUCAUAAAAAAGCACUUACAAUAAGUUAUAAGGAAAGACACGUUUAUAUGUUAGGUUCAGACUCCAGGUUUCGUUUUACAUAUGCUUUAUUCAUCCGACUGAUUCCAAUAGAGUGAGCCUAGCGUUGUUUUUCUGGAAACUCGCGGGAUAAGGAGACAUGCAUACACAUUCUUUCAAGCAAAUCACAUCCAUUCUUUUUAACUCAUUUUUCUUCUUUUAAUAAUAUAAUAGAUCAUUUAUAUUUUUUAUCUGAAACAGUUGACGUGUAAUUUAUAUUGUAAUCUGAGGAUAAUGUUUGGAUUUUACUUUCAAAUAUAUUUGAAAUGGCCAUGAUGGAAUCACAUCCAUUUAUUUUAUUAUUAUUUGAAUUUGAUCCAAAAGAUAAAUAAUGAGUUGAGGUCAUGUCAACUUUUCUGAGAACUUUGCUAAUCAAAAUAUAAAUUGUAUUUAAAAAAUCUAUUUUUUAGCACGCAUGAAAAACAUAACACGUAUCUUUUCACACAUAAUGAACGGUUGUCAUAAGAACUCAUGCCAUGCCACAACCUCCCUCCGACCCUGCCAACAUUGUUGCAGCUGCACUCGCAAGCCUUAGCGUAGAUGAUAAUUUAUACAAUUUGCGUAAAACAAAAUAAGAUCUACAAAUUAAUAGAAGCUAGAACGUACAUUGGCAUGCACACACAUUGCAAGCUAUACUAAGCUGAUAAGUGUUAAUAACUUGUACAACAUAUACAACACUUAAGACAAGUAAAAGCAAUUUGAUGAGUCAUGGUCUAUCAAAGCCACAUUACUAGUCUAAUCCAUCUUAACAGGUCACACAUGAUUAAAAUCUUGUUUGUGUGCAAGUCAAGCUUAUCUAGUUUACAUGUAACAACUUGUAGAACAUUAAAAAAUUUAUGUUUGCUAAUAACUUCUAGAACACUACAACACUUGACAUGUAAAAGGAAUUUGAUGAGUCAUGGCCUACUAAAGCAAGUUAUAUUACUAGUCUUAUCUACCUUAACAGGCCACACAAGAUUACAAACCAAGUUCUGUGCCAGCCAUGCUUAUCUAGUUUAUGCGUAACAAUUUGCAGAAAAUUACAAACUUAGUUUCAGAAAAAUAGGCAAUCUAGAUUAGUGUUUGAGCUAUAAAGUGAAUAAAAUGAGUCAUCUGUGUUAUCACACCUUUUUGGUUGUGGAAUGAUAGUGCAACAACAAGGAACUUUAAUGACCAGUUCAAGAAUACACUUGUAAGUAGUGCCACCGAACACAACAUACCAAAUUAUGAUUUUGAGAAGCAUCCAAGCACUUCCACACAAGCAAAUGCCAAUUGUGAAAGAGAUCAUGCCAUGGCAGCUAUAAAUAGGCCCGUAGCAUGACGAUCAUCCUUCCUCAUCCAUCAUUCUCAAAAGUAGAGCGCAUCAUUUAAGCCAAGCAAGCAGUGCUCAAUACAAAUCCACCAUGAAGACCUUUCUCAUCCUUGCCCUCCUUGCUAUUGUAGCAACCACCGCCACAAUUGCAGUUAGAGUUCCAGUGCCACAAUUGCAGCCACAAAAUCCAUCUCAGCAACAACCACAAGAGCAAGUUCCAUUGGUACAACAACAGCAAUUUCCAGGGCAGCAACAACCAUUUCCACCACAACAACCAUAUCCGCAGCCGCAACCAUUUCCAUCACAACAACCAUAUCUGCAGCUGCAACCAUUUCCACAGCCGCAACUACCAUAUCCGCAGCCGCAACUACCAUAUCCGCAGCCGCAACCAUUUCGACCACAACAACCAUAUCCACAACCGCAACCACAGUAUUCGCAACCACAACAACCAAUUUCGCAGCAGCAACAACAACAACAACAACAAAUCCUUCAACAAAUUUUGCAACAACAACUGAUUCCAUGCAGGGAUGUUGUAUUGCAACAACACAACAUAGCGCAUGGAAGGUCACAAGUUUUGCAACAAAGUACUUACCAGCUGGUGCAACAAUUGUGUUGUCAGCAGCUGUGGCAGAUCCCCGAGCAGUCGCGGUGCCAAGCCAUCCACAAUGUUGUUCAUGCUAUUAUUCUGCAUCAUCAUCAACAACAACAACAACAACAACAACCGUUGACCCAGGUCUCCUUCCAACAGCCUCAACAACAAUAUCCAUCAGGCCAGGGCUCCUUCCAGCCAUCUCAGCAAAACCCACAGGCCCAGGGCUCUGUCCAGCCUCAACAACUGCCCCAGUUUGAGGAAAUAAGGAACCUAGCGCUAGAGACGCUACCUGCAAUGUGCAAUGUCUAUAUCCCUCCAUAUUGCACCAUUGCUCAAGUUGGCAUCUUCGGUACUAACUGAGAAGAGAAGAACUCUAGUAGUAGAUAUAUGAUACACCGUUUUCUUAGUCCAUGGUUUGGUCGUUGUAGCGGUGAAAAAAUAAAGUGACAUGCACUAUCAUGCAAGAACCCGAACUAUACUAGUUCAAACAUGGGAAUAAAAGACAAACACAUGUCUUGACUACAUAUGAUUGUUUGUUUGAGUUCCACUCAUGUGCCCACUUACAAGUUCACCCCUAAUUAUAUAUAUUAUGCAUUAAGUAGAUAUUUAUGUUGCAUUAAUCUAAAGAUAACAAAAUGAGUCUGAAAUUUGAAUUAAAUUGAAGUAUUUCCUUGGACUUUCAAAUGGAGUAUUAUUAAAGUAGUAAGGACUAUCCACAUCCUUGGCUUGCCCUUGAUCAAUUAUUUCCAGAGAAGCAUUCAAUUCAUCAAUCAAUUACAUUGAUUUUUGUGGCUGGUACUUCUCCUCAACAUGAGUAUAUUCAUCGCGGCAACUCCAAAUAGGCAUGAAUGAGGUACCGGUGCUCUGGAGCACUGGUACCUAACUGCUUCUCAUGUGAAGGGGUGCGGGCGCGGGAGAGGUGUUUUUGGUGGGCCAGGGGAGUAAGAAGCGGCCGUGGCAGCGGUCCAGACGCCCACAAAGCCCCGUAGUUUGUUUUUGGUUUACAGGAAAAUGCACAUCCAGACCGGCCUGCGGGCCGAUAUAGGACCGUAUUGGAUGGCAAAACAUGUCCGGAUGGUCGCGAGCGGUUUAAGGGUUAGCUUUUGUAACACCCGGUUAGUUAUGCUAUGGUAAUUCCCUGCUAAUGAUGUCACGUCAGCACGAUUACUGUUGUUAACCUCACAAUGAUUCAAUCCCAUUCAAAUUCAAAUUUAAAAUAAAGGCAAACAUCAAAAGUUUCAAACAUUAAAACUAAAAUCUUCGAGAGGUGAAAAAUAAUGCAUAAGUAAUUAUGGUGGAGAAACCACACUUUUAUAAAAUGUUUAAAUACUCUAAAAAUAAUAAAACCGUGGCUUAAACUAUUAUUUAAAUGCUUUUAAAAUAGUAAAAAUGUUCUAACUAAAUUAAUUGGGUACCAAACUUUUAGUGGCAGUGGUAUAUUUAGUAGAACUAAUUUAGAUGCUAAUAAAACAUAAAAGGAAAGACAAAACAAAUAAAAGUAAAAGGGGGCAACCCCUCGCUGGACCUCGGCCAAGCUGGCCACUGGGCUAGCUAGGUUGGCCCAACCGCCUCCCUUAACCCCCCACUCCCCAUUGAACCCUAGACCGAUCGCCCCACUUCCCCCACACCCCCUCGUUAGCCUCCCCACCUCUCGAUCCCAUCUGGAUCGGGGAGGGGAUCGCCCCCAUCGACCCCGUCGCGGUCGCUGGAUCGCCCGCCGGCGUCGCCGGACCUCCUCCCCGUCGCACGUCUCCGGCUCUCCUCCCCUCUCGCUCCUUUUCCUCGACCCGAUCUGGAUCGGACAGGGCCAAUGAGCCCAACGCCCCCCUGCAUCGACGCUGUGCUCCAGCACCGCCGCCCGAAGACCUCGCCAUCGCCGGACCUCGCGUCGCCUCCUCGUAUCCCUCCCCGACUCGCCUCCUCAAGCCACGCCGACCCCCUUCUCGGCAACGCUGUGAGCCGCCCCCGUUUCCCUCCUUCUCUUUCCACCGUGUUCACCGCGCCGCCUGCCGUGCCCCUCGCAGCGCGCACGCCCACCACCGCGCCAGCCCCCGCUCCGCGCCCUCUCCUGCACGCUUGUGCGCGCAUGACCCUAGCCGCGCCCACGCCGUGAUCCCCUUGUCCCGCGCUCGCCGCGGCCCCCAUGCUCCCCUGUGCCCUCUUUUGGGGGUGUCGGCUGCCCCUGUCCCGCAGCUCGCUGGCAUGUGUCCCCGCCCGCGCCUCGCCACCGCUCUACAGCUACGCUACUAUUGCGCUGUGGCCGCCGCCGCUUCCCGCUGCUCUGCCAGCGCCAAAGCUCCCGGUUGGCCCUGCCGCUGCUCGCAUUUAACCGCCGGCCUAAGCGGCCUAACCUCCCCCCCCCCUCGCUAAUGAACCCCCACCAACCCGCUGACACCGGGACCCACAUCCCCUAAUUAACCAUUUAAUAAAUUAAAACUCUUAAAUUAACAUUAGUGUAUGACAUGUGGGUCCCCUAUUAAUUAAACUGAUUUAAUUAAAAUCUAUUAACUUUGAGUCUAUGACAUAUGGGCCCCACUAAACAUUUGACCAGUCAACGGUCCAGUCAAAUGCUGACCGGACAGUUGACCAGAGGGCCCCGCCAGUCAGCCAAUGUGUUGUUCUGCUGGGUACCUUUCUAAGUACACCUAGCAUUUUGCAUUUACAAUAUUUGUUUUAAAAUAAAUUAGAAUAAUUUCAAAAAAAUAUUAAAACUUUUAAAAUUAAAAUAAAUAAUCCGUAACUCGGAUGAAAUUACUUUAUACAUGGAACUUGCUCAAAAAACGAGACGAAUCCGAAUACACAGUCCGUUCGUCUGCCACGCGUCCCUAGCAUAGCGAACAUGCAACCAUCCCCCUCCGGUUCGACUGUCCGAAAAAUUAUUAUUGCACAUGCCCGCUAAGAGGUUGGCUGUAUAUGACAUGACAACUUCUUAUAGCCGACCCUUGGCUGUAUUAUUAACCAUGCUCUUAGUGAGGUAGCUAGUAUAUCAUAGACGACUAGCUAGUAUCAGACUGGCCAAAGUGGGAGUAACUUCAGCAGUAACAUCGACUCCAACUCAGCAAACUUGCUUAUGUGGGAGUAAACCUUGUCCAAUGCAAAAUAGAAUCCCAGUCGUAAUUUUUUCAGGAAACGUGUGGGAUCCCAAACGAAAAGCACACAUCACUCUUGCGGCAACCGUCGGUGACACCCAAUAAAUCACAAACGGUCUGCAGCACUUGUAUGUGUGCAAAGGGGCUCCUGAACCGUUUGUGAUAGAACAUUAUCGCAGACGGUAAUUGUUGGCAAACGUGUGCGAUGGAGUCUAGCAUGGCAGACGGGUUACGCAGAAAACUCGUGUGCGAUGGGGCACAAAUCGCACACAGUUCAUAUGUUGGCCCAUGUGCCUUACAUACUAUUUCCCAAAUGGUUUGUUACGACAGACCGUAUCGUUUCAGUGCGUCAUUAGAAACGCUUAAUCACUGAUACCACACGUGCGAUAGAAUUUAGUGCGUGCUGCAUCGCACACGAUUACAUUUUGGAAGGCCUCUGGAUCACUGCUCCAUAUCCCCGACGGUUUCUGGGCCGUGUGGGAAGGACACCCUAUCGCACACACUCACUUGGCGACGGUUCCAAAUGCUGUUGCGGAAAGGGGUUAAAAACAGUUUGUUUAGGACCGACGCAUACCAGUGUCUAUCUAUCUAUCUAUCUAUCUAUCUAUCCAUCUAUCUAUCUAUCUAUCCAUCUAUCUAUCUCAAUCCACCUAUCUAUCUAUCCAUCUAUCCAUCUAUCUAUCUCUCCAUCUAUCCAUCUAUCUAUCCAUCUAUCCAUCCAUCUACUAUCCAUCUAUCUAUCCAUCCAUCUAUCUAUCUCUCUCUCUCUAUCUAUCUAUCUAUCUAUCUAUCUAUCUAUCUAUCUAUCUAUCUAUCUAUCUAUCUAUCUGUCUGUCUAACUAUCUAUCUGUCUAUCUAUCUAUCCAUCUAUUCAUCUAUCUAUCUAUGUAUCCAUUUAUCCAUUGAUCCAUCUAUCGAUCCAUCCAUCUAUCCAUCCAUCUAUCCAUCCAUCUAUCUAUCCAUGUAUCCAUGUAUCCAUCUAUCCAUCUAUCCAUCUAUUGAUCUAUCCAUCUAUCUAUCUAUCUAUCCAUCUAUCCAUCUAUCGAUCUAUCCAUCUAUCUAUCUAUCCAUCCAUCUAUCCAUCUAUCGAUCUAUCGGUCUAUCCAUCUAUCGAUCUAUCCAUCUCUCCAUCUACCCAUCUACCCAUCUAUCCAUCUAUCCAUCUAUUCAUCUACCGAUCUAUCUAUCCAUCUAUCUAUCUAGCUAUCUAGCUAUCUAUCAAUCUAUCUAGCUAUCUAGCUAUCUAUCUAUCUAGUUAUCUAGCUAUCUAUCAAUCUACCUACCUACCUACCUACCUAUCUAUCUAUCUAUCUAUCUAUCUAAAGGAAAUAUGCCCUAGAUGCAAUAAUAAAGUUGUCAUUUACAUUUCCUUAUAUCAUGAUAAACUAGCGGAGUCACCCGCGCAUUUGCGCGGCUAGAUUGACUACAUAUAUUGUUAUAUUUGGGAUUAUUUUUCUAUGCCAAUUUUAUGGCCUCUUACUCAGAUAUUAUCUAAUUGAAUUUACCACCACCAUAUGUUAUAUCCAUAGAUUAUAAUUAAAAGGCAACUUCCGACGAAACAUAGACAGAUUAUUGAGUGCUCAGUAGACGGACGCAAUAUCAUAUAUAGACUUCUAUACCAAUCUUCAUGGUUCCCAUCUUUGAUCCUCUCCUCGUCCCUUGGUAUCUAUCUUUGCACCCAAUAUGUCUUUGGAGUUCCAAGAAUUGAAUCUUAGCAUGAAUGGCUUCAAUGUGUACCAAAUGUUCUCUUGUUCCUCCCAAAUUAAUUACUGGUUGCAUUCUUAGUUGCUUUGACAUUCUUGGUUAAUGCAAUGUCUUGCCUACCAAUAUAUGCAUCCACACACGAUCAUAUUUAUAUGACCACUUACCUCUGUAUUCUGGUAUUUGUGCUUCAGAAUUUUUCUCUCAUUCAGUUUAUUCAUAGAUUAAAAACGUCGAUCGUUUCUUUAUUGGUUUGCAUUAUCUUGUUUGCCGAACGUAAGCAUCCACACAUGCUCGUCAUGAUAUGAUUGGUCAUCAUUGUAUAUUUGUAUUUGUGUGUUGAUAGCUUAAGGAUUUUCUCGGAUUCACUUCAUAGUUUAAGGAUUUUCUCGCGUUCAAUUUAUUCUACCUUAUUCAUUUUCAUGUUUCUUUAUUGCAUUUAUAUCAAUUCUUACAAUAUAUUUUCCAAGAUAUGAACUCAACUGCUAAUUACGUAGUUUUUCAUCAAAAAUUACAUGUAAAAAUGUUACAAAUGCAUAAACAUGAUAAAAAUAUAUAUCAUAUUCCAUUGAGAGAUCGCCCAUUUAAAAAAAACACGUUGACUUACAAAAAGGACAAUUCAAGCUGCAUGUACGUCCGACUCAUGUUUACCUGACAAUGUCGAUGUUGAUUUCAGCAGUAAAUGAGCUGUGUGUGACCUUUGCGCUUUCCGGUAUUCUUCUAACCUGUGUGCUUUAUGAUCAGUUUGUUGUGCUUAGUACUGGACACUGGAGUAUACUAUCAUAUUUGGUACAAAUAAAUCUGAACUACUAUAGUUAUGAUCCACUCUAUAGUUAAUGGUGGUGGUAAUUAAUAUAUGUGGUUAAAUACUUGCGCUCCUUAGGUGGGGAGUUGGAUUUGUAUUUCCCUAAAAUAAAUUUCAGAUUUCGUAAUAGUGGUGAAGCCAGCCGGAAGAACCUCUGCGUCAUUAUUAAUUUUGGUGAUAUUUUUCUUCAUAGUGUAGAAUAAUUUUAGUGCUUAUUCCGCAAAAAAUAUGGCCUCAACUAACCCCAUAGCUUGUAUGUUGCGCCACCACUGUUUCCUAUAUCUUAUUACAUCCGUUGUUUUUAGAUCUUGAUGCAUAACUUUGACAAUUUUUAAUAGAUAUGUGUCUGCAUAAAAAAUUAUAAAUGCUAUGAUAAUUUGAUUAAUUAUGAUGAAUAAAAUGUUAUUGCUCUGACUUGAUCCCUCUAGAAUUUUCCAAAAUUUCACAUUACUGUUGUAGUAGUGCAUGCUACCUCUUCAGCACUGCGUUAGUUUUCCCUUGAAGAGGAAAGGGUGAUGCAGUAAAUCAGCGUCAGUAUUUCCCUCAGUUUUUGAGAACCAAGGUAUCAAUCCAGUAGGAGGCAACACACGAGUCCCUCGCACCUACACAAACAAAUAAAAUCCUCGCAACCAACGCAAUAAAGGGGUUGUCAAUCCCUUCACGGUCACUUACGAAAGUGAGAUCUGAUAGAUUUGAUAAGAUAAUAUUUUUGGUAUUUUUAUGAUAAAGAUGCAACGUAAAGAAAGCAAAAUAAAAACAACGCCAGAAAUAGCUUGUUGACGGGAGAUUAAAUAUGAUGGAAAAUAGACCGGGGGCCAUAGGUUUCACUAGUGGCUUCUCUCGAGAGCAUAAGUAUUUCGGUGGGUAGACAAAUUACUGUUGAGCAAUUGACAGAAUUGAGCAUAGUUAUGAGAAUAUCAAGGUAUGAUCAUGUAUAUAGGCAUCACGUCCGAGGCAAGUAGCCCGACUCCUGCCUGCAUCUACUACUAUUACUCCACACAUCAACCGCUAUCCAGCAUGCAUCUAGAGUAUUAAGUUCAAAAGAACAGAGUAACGCUUUAAGUAAGAUGACAUGAUGUAGAGGGAUAAACUCAUGCAAUAUGAUAUAAACCCCAUCUUGUUAUCCUCGAUGGCAACAAUACAAUACGUGCCUUGCUGCCCCUACUGUCACUGGGAAAGGACACCGCAAGAUUGAACCCAAAGCUAAGCACUUCUCCCAUCGCAAGAAAGAUCAAUCUAGUAGGCCAAACCAAAUUGAUAAUUCGAAGAGACUUGCAAAGAUAACCAAUCAUACAUAAAAGAAUUUAGACAAGAUUCAAAUAUUGUUCAUAGAUAAACUUGAUCAUAAACCCAUAAUUCGUCGGUCUCAACAAACACACCGCAAAAGAAGAUUACAUCGAAUAGAUCUCCACAAGAGGGGGGGAGAACAUUGUAUUGAGAUCCAAAAAGAGAGAAGAAGCCAUCUAGCUAAUAACUAUGGACCCGAAGGUCUGAGGUAAAGUACUCACACAUCAUCGGAGAGGCUAUGGUGUUGAUGUAGAAGUCCUCCGUGAUCGAUGCCCCCUUCGGCGGAGCUCCGGAAAAGGCCCCAAGAUGGGAUCUCACGGGUACAGAAGGUUGCGGCGAUGGAAUUAGGUUUCAUUCCGUUUGGACUCGGUUUGAUAUUCUUUUUCUGUGAAACUCUGAACUAGGCAAAAAACAGCAAUUCUGGGGUGGGCCUCCGGUUAAUAGGUUAGUCCCAAAAAUAAUAUAAAAGUGUAUAAUAAAGCCCAUUAAUGUCUAAAACAGAAUAUAAUAUAGCAUGGAACAGUUAAAAAUUAUAUAUACGUUGGAGACGUAUCAAGCAUCCCCAAGCUUAAUUCCUGCUCGUCCUCGAGUAGGUAAAUGAUAAAAACAGAAUUUUUAAUGUGGAAUGCUACUUCGAAUAAUUUCAAUGUAAUUCUCUUAAUUGUGGUAUGAAUAUUCAGACCCGAAAGAUUCAAGACAAAAGUUUAAUAUUGACAUCAAAAUAAUAAUACUUCAAGCAUACUAACUAAGCAAUUAUGUCUUCUCAAAAUCAUAUAGUCUAGCUAUGCUCUAUCUUCACCACACAAAGUAUUUAAAUUAUGCACAACCCCGAUGACAAGCCAAGCAAUUGUUUCAUACUUUUGAUGUUCUCAAACUUUUUCAAUCUUCACAGAAUACAUGAGCAUGAGCCAUGGACAUAGCACUAUAUGUGGAAUAGAAUGGUGGUUGUGGAGAAGACAAAAAAGGAGAAGAUAGUCUCACAUCAACUAGGCGUAUCAACGGGCUAUGGAGAUGCCCAUUAAUAGAUAUCAAUGUGAGUGAGUAGGAAUUGCCAUGCAACGGAUGCACUAGAGCUAUAAGUAUAUGAAAGCUCAACAAAAGGAACUAAGUGGGUGUCCAUCCAACUCGCUUGCUCAUGAAGACCUAGGGCAUUUUGAGGAAACCCAUCAUUGGAAUAUACAAGCCAAGUUCUAUAAUGAAAAUUUCCCACUAGUACAUGAAAGUGAUAUCAUAGGAGACUCUCUAUCAUGAAGAUCACGGUGCUACUUUGAAGAACAAGUGUGGUAAAAGGAUAGUAACAUUGUCCCUUCUCUCUUUUUCUCUCAUUUUUUAUUUGGGUCUUUUAUCCUUUUUUUAUGGCCUCUUUUUUUAGUCCGAAGUCUCAUCCCGACUUGUGGGGGAAUCAUAGUCUCCAUCAUCCUUUCCUCACUUGGGACAAUGCUCUAAAAAAAUGAUGAUCAUCACACUUUUAUUUACUUACAACUCAAUACUUAGAACAAAAUAUGACUCUAUGUGAAUGCCUCUGGCGGUAUACCGUGAUAUGCAAUGAAUCAAGAGUGACAUGUAUGAAAGAAUUAUGAACGGUGGCUUUGCCACAAAUACAAUGUCAACUACAUGAUCAUGGAAAGCAAUAUGACAAUGAUGGAGUGUGUCAUAAUAAACUGAACGGUGGUAAGUUGCAUGGCAAUAUAUCUCGCAAUGGCUAUGGAAAUGCCAUGACAGGUAGGUAUGGUGGCUGUUUUGAGGAAGGUAUAUGGUGGGUGUAUGAUACCGGCGAAAAGUGCGCGGUAUUAGAGAGGCUAGCAAUGGUGGAAGGAAGAAAGUGCGUAUAAUCCAUGGACUCAACAUUAGCCAUAAAGAACUCAUAUACUUAUUGCAAAAAUCUACAAGUUAUCGAAGCAAAGUAUUACCCGCAUCAUCCUAGGGGGAUAGAUUGGUAGGAAAAGACCAUCGCUCGUCCCCGACCGCCACUCAUAAGGAAGACAAUCAAUAAAUAAAUCAUGCUCCAACUUCAUCACAUCACGGUUCACCAUACGUGCAUGCUAAGGGAAUCACAAACUUUAACACAAGUAUUUCGCAAAUUCAAAACUACUCAACUAGCAUGACUCUAAUAUCACCAUCUCCAUAUCUCAAAACAAUUAUCAAGUAUCAAACUUCUCAUAGUAUUCAACACACUCAUAAGAUUUUUUUACUAAUCUUGAGUGCCUAUCAUAAUUAAAGCAAAUUACCACACUGUUUUGUAGGACUAUCAAAAUAAUCUAAGUGAAUCAUGAGAGAACAAUAGUUUCUAUAAAACAAAACCACCACCGUGCUGUAAAAGAUAUACGUGAAGCACUAGAGCAAAAACUAUAUAGCUCAAAAGAUAUAAGUGAAGCACAUAGAGUAUUCUAACAAUUUCCGAAUCAUGUGUGUCUCUCUCAAAAGGUGUGUACUGCAAGGAUUAGUGUGGCAAACUAACAAAUAAAGACUUCAAAUAAUACAAGACGCUCCAAGCAAAACACAUAUCAUGUGGUGAACAAAAAUAUAGCUCCAAGUAAAGUUACCGAUGGAAGUAGACGAAAGAGGGGAUGCCUUCCGGGGCAUCCCCAAGCUUUGGCUUUUAGUUGUCCUUAGAUUAUCUUGGGGUGCCAUGGGCAUCCCCAAGCUUAGGCUCUUGCCACUCCUUGUUUCAUAAUCCAUCAAAUCUUUCAUCCAAAACUUGAAAACUUCACAACACAAAACUGAGCAGAAAAUCUCGUGAGCUCCGUUAGCAAAAGAAAAGAAAACACCACUUCAAGGUACUGUAAUGAACUCAUUCUUUAUUUAUAUUGGUGUUAAACCUACUGUAUUCCAACUUGUCUAUGGUUUAUAUACUAUUUUACUAGCCAUAGAUUCAUCAAAAUAAGCAAACAACACACGAAAAACAUAAUCUGUCAAAAACAGAACAGUCUGUAGUAAUCUAUAACUAACGCAAUUUUCUGCGACUCCAAAAAUUGACCCAAAAUAGGAAGACCUAGCCAAUUUUUUUAUUUAUCAGCAGCAAUUGGAAUCAAUAUUUUAUCACGUCCUGGUGAUUUUUAACAAUUAUUUUCGUGAACAGAAAGUUUCUGGAAUUUUCAGCAAGAUCAAAUAACUAUCAUCCAAGAAGAUCCUAUAGGUUAACCUUGGCACAAACACUAAUUAAAACAUAAAAACACAUGUAACCAGAGGCUAGAUCAAAUAUUUAUUCCUAAACAAAAGAAAAAAGCAAAAAAACUAAAAAUAAAAUUGGGUUGCCUCCCAACAAGCGCUAUCGUUUAACGCCCCUAGCUUGGCAUAAUAGCAAGGAUAGAUCUAGGUAUUGCCAUCUUUGGUAGGCAAUCCAUAAGUGGCUCUCAUAAUAGAUUCAUAAGGUAAUUUUAUUUUAUUUCUAGGGAAGUUUUCCAUGCCUUUCCUUAAUGGAAAUUGGAAUCUAAUAUUCCCUUGCUUCGUAUCAAUAAUUGCACCAAUCGUUCUAAGGAAAGGUCUACCAAGAAUAAUAGGACAUGAAGGAUUGCAAUCUAUAUCAAGAACAAUAAAAUCUACAGGCACAUAAUUCCUAUUUGCAACAAUAAGAACAUCAUCAAUUCUUCCCAUAGGUUUCUUAAUGGUGGAAUCCGCAAGGUGCAAGUUUAAAGAGCAAUCAUCAAAAUCACGGAAACCUAGCAAAUCGCACAAAGUCUUUGGAAUCGUGGAAACAGUAGCACCCAAAUCACACAAAGCAUAGCAUUCAUGAUCUUUAAUUUUUAUUUUAAUAGUAGGUUCCCACUCAUCAUAAAGUUUUCUAGGGAUAGAAACUUCCAACUCAAGUUUUUCUUCAUAAGAUUGCAUCAAAGCAUCAACGAUAUGUUUAGUAAGGCUUUAUUUUGACUAUAAGCGUGUGGAGCAUUUAGCACGGAUUGCAACAAGGAAAUACAAUCUAUCAAAGAGAAAUUAUCAUAAUUAAAUUCCUUUAAAUCCAAAAUAGUGGGUUCAUUAAUAUCUAGAGUUUUGAUUUCUUCAAUCCCACUUUUACCAAUUUUUGCAUCAAGAUCUAAAAACUCAGAAUUUUUGGAAUGCCUUCUAGGUAGAGGUGGAUCAUAUUCAGUCCCAUCAUUAUCAAGAUUCAUAUUGCAAAACAAAGAUUUAAUAGGGGACACAUCAAUAACUUUUAGAUCUUCAUCUUUAUUUUCAUAGAAACUAGAAGAACACGCUUUCACAAAACAAUCUUUCUUAGCACGCAUCCUAGCGGUUCUUUCUGUGCACUCAUCAAUGGAAAUUCUCAUGGCCUUGAGAGACUCAUUGAUAUCAUGCUUAGGAGAAAUUCUAUCAGCGUUCCUAGCCAAUUCAUCAACUUUAAGCAAUUUUUCUUCAAGCAAAGCAUUGAAAUUGUUUUGCGAAUUCAUAAAUUCUUUAACACUAGUCUCAAAUUCAGAAGGCAUCUUAUUAAAAUUUCCAUAAUAAUUGUUGUAGGAAUUACCAUAAUUAUUAGAGGAAUUACUAGGAUACGGCCUUGGAUUAAAGUUUCCUCUAUACGCGUUGUUACCAAAAUUAUUCCGACCAACAAAAUUCACAUCCAUAGAUUCAUUAUUAUUCUCAAUAAAAGUAGACAAAGGCAUAUCAUUAGGAUCAGAAGAAACACUUUUAUUAGCAAAUAAUUUCAUAAGUUCAUCCAUCUUUCCACUCAAAACAUUAAUUUCUUCUAUCGCAUGCACUUUUUUAUUAGUGGAUUUUUCGGUGUGCCAUUGAGAAUAAUUAACCAUAAUAUUAUCUAGGAGUUUAGUAGCUUCUCCUAAAGUGAUUUCCAUAAAAGUGCCUCCCGCGGCCGAAUCUAAAAGAUUUCUAGAAGAAAAAUUCAAUCCGGCAUAAAAUUUUUGUAUAAUCAUCCACAAAUUCAAACCAUGAGUAGGGCAAUUACGUAUCAUUAAUUUCAUCCUCUCGCAAGCUUGUGCAACAUGUUCAUGAUCAAGUUGCUUAAAAUUCAUAAUAUCAUUUCUAAGAGAGAUGAUCUUAGCGGGGGGGAAAUACUUAGAGAUAAAAGCAUCUUUGCACUUAUUUCAAGAAUCACUACUAUUUUUAGGCAAAGACGAAAACCAAGCUUUAGCACGAUCUCUAAGUGAAAAAGGAAAUAGCUUCAAUUUAACAAUAUCAUUGUCCACAUCUUUCUUCUUUUGCAUAUCACACAAAUCAACGAAGUUGCCAUGUCUAGGAAUGCUUGAAGCUUCAAAGAUUUCCUAUAAUACAACAUGCCUCUAACUAUUCACAAAAAGAAAAACAUGUAAAUGCGGAAUCAACCAAAUGAUGGUAAAUUGUAGUUGAUUUUGGCCAAGCAAACGUCAGAUGAAAGAAACAUACAUGAGUGAACAUCACGAUUGGAUGUUUUAUUCAAAUUUAACAGGUUAAACUCACCAAAUCCAUCUGGAUAUUUAGUAUUAAACUUCAACAGAUGGUCAGUUGUAGCUAGAUUCACACCACUGCAGCAAAAUUCCAUCUGCCACGGUUACAUCACACCAUCUUUUCAUCGUUACUAUUUAAAUUCCAAAUGCCUGCAACUCAUUUUUUUUGUUACGAUGUAUGCAUGAUUUUUAACUCAAGAGGAAGAGGGGAAACUAAAUCCAAGAAAAGAACACCAAGGAAGCAUCCAAAAUAGAGAAAGGAAAAAUCCAAAAUAGAGGCAGAAUCGAAGGGAAGAAACCCCAUAAAAAAUAGGAGAUCAAACGGUGAAAAAAAUCUAAGAGUCAAACAAUUCCAGGUAAGACCAAAUCGACGGCAAAAUAGCACAAGAGGGACUCACAUUAACAGGUAUACCAGGUAUACCAAUUCAGAAAGAAGUGUAAAGCGAACAGUGCAAUGGACCACUAGUAUAAAUUGGAUGUACACAAACAUGGGACUUAAACAGGAACUGCGAGAUGCAGGGUUCAUGUGCAAACCCAAAAAACGGAAAACUGAAACCCACAACAAGAUUUUAUCUUCAUAUAUAUAUAUAUAUAUAUAUAUAUAUAUAUAUAUAUAUAUAUAUUCAAGGCUCGCCCUAUCUAUUAGUUGCUUCUUGCGAAUCCCCACCUAUCAAGCGUUUUCUCUGAAUAAACAAACACAAUAGUAUUCUCUGAAUUAUACUGUACAACGGUAAUUAACCAAGCGACUGGAAUUAACAAUAUUAUGAGCUACUGGCUUUUUAGUCAGGUAAAUAUCAUUCUUAAGACUACGGAAAACAGCAGGCGGCGAAGAAAACAUCUAUUGAUGAGAACUAUGCACAUACUUAAGAAGGAAGUGACAUCUAUGGUAGCAGAACAUAUAUCAAGCUGUUGCAGCUACAUUAGCAGUUUAGCACAGUUCCUCCAUAAUACACAGGCUAGUGUAAUUUCACAAAUACAAUAAGCUAACAAUAUAUAUUUGGUAGAUGGAAAUGGCUGGAUCAUGACCAAUAUACCAUUACACAUCCGAUGAUGCAAAUAAAGAAACGAGGCCCAACAAUAGUGGAAAAUAAACCACAAUAGAACAUGUAUUUGGCGAAACCUCCGUACUGCAAUAUCAAACAUGAAUUGAAAUUAACAAUCUAGCAAAAAAACAUGACAGAUGCAGUCUUGGUCAUUUUUCCUUUUGUGACAUCCCCUAAAAAAAGUAAAAACAAUGUUGUUCGUAUUUUACCAGAGAUACACUGAGCUGGGACAAAUCGGUCUGAAAUAAAAUAUGAUGGCUUCGGAGGAUUCGAAAGGCAAGAAAUUUGCUUUCUUCCAACUUAUAUGGUCUGCUGAACUAAACUUCGUUUCAGCGGGCUUUGGCAAAAAUCUGUAACUGCAUACAUCAACUUGUGUGCCCUUCCUACGUCAAACUUUAAACCUGAUGGAUUAAAUAUUUUAGGUUAGGCUGAGAUCAGUGUACUUUAUGAGUGUUAAGUGUACUUUCUAAAUAGCAGAGAAACCAUAACAUCUAAGCACAACCCAGCAACUUGUACAAGCUAACAUCAAAUCUGAAAGAGGAAAUGUCGAGAACAGGUGAAGGUACCAUGAUCCACGACUGAGCAAAGUUAUCUAUAAUGCUCGGUGAAUAUCAUAAAUUAGGAUCAACUACGCUGAAGAACAAACGGGAAAGGAACCUAGAAAGAUCUUCUGCCGGUAGAAUAUAACUGAUACACUAUCCUCAUUCUCGAGAUCAAGGUCGUUUCUUGAAUUGCAGUUUCCUCACUGUAGUAUGGGGUCAUUACACUGCGAAGAACAAAGUGUCAUAUGAAUCAUUUAGAGCCCAAUAUUUUUCACUGAAACUCUUAUGAUCACAUAACGAAUUUAAACAUAAGGUUUAUUAGAUAUUUGUUGUUGUGAACAGAUAAUAUAUUUCUGGUGUUGACAAUGUUUUGAUUAUGGAUGCACUUCAAGAUGGGUGGCAAAGAUUCUGUUGUACAGGCCUCCACCUGGAAUUUCAUCACUUGUUAUUUUUGUUUUAGAAUGUCUAGGUGCAUUUUUCCUUUAAGGUGGAAACAGAUGUACUUGUAUAAGCAACAAGAAUACAAAGCGCCACUGCCAUACAUUGUGGAAGUUCAGUGCUUCUGUUUACAAAAUCUGCUUCAAAAAACAGAAGGAUUUAUAAUUUUUCAUUACAAUCAAGCGGACAUGAGCUGAUGAGUACAGAUGUAGACAUGUACUGAGAGCAGCACCCUUUCAAAAGUGGAUCAUUUACAUGUUGGAUAGUUUGAUGGUCUGAAAUUAGUGGUCGUGUUUCAGAAUUGUUAUCGAAUAGUAGGGGAUAUAUAUUAACUUCUGAAAUUAGUGGCUGUUUGUCAGAACUGUUAUCGAAUAACAGAGCACAUAUAUUAACUUCAAUAAGUGGAGUAAUAUCUUUGGAUUCGCUGUGAGGAAAGAUUACCAAAACAAAACAGAAGUGAGUGCGACGAACCAGAUGAGGGCGCUCUUGAGCCUCUUCCCGACCGACCUAGAUGCAGGAGCAGAACAGGGCGGAUCUAAUCAGCCAACGAAUAAAGCCGAGGCAGGUAGAGGAAGUAAGGGGGGAAGAAGACUGACUUGUCCUGGUCGCCCUCGUAGUAGAACCUGUGUUUUGAUUUUCGGCCGAAAAAAGAGGAUUUCGGCUGAAUUUCGGCCAUCUCGGCCUGGGGCGAAAAGUGUAUUUAGGCCGAAAUUGUUCAAAUUUAGCAAAUUUUGGUCAAAUUUAAGUCAAAUUGCAGUCAAAAUUUGGUCAAAUUUCAGCCGAAAUUUUUGAAAAUGGCUGAAAUUCGGCCAUCUCAGCCUAGGGAGGAAAAAAAGCUCAAACCGAAAAUCAAAACACAUAGUAGAACAUGGCGAACAGGAUGACGAGGAAGACGAGGACAGCGUCGAGGAUGUAGACGACGAGCCAGAGCGUGUUCAUGGGCAGGAUCAAGCAUGGGCAGGAUAAGGGCGCAGGCCCCGUUGUAGGCGGCGUGCUUGCAGGCCUGGCAGUUGGCGACGUCGGCGGGGAGCAUGAGGAUGGAGAGGACGGCGACGGUGAUGCCGAGCACGACGACGAGCUUGAGGAAGUAGGCCUGGUUGGCAUCAUCCGGGUGCUGGUAGUUGACGAGCAGGUAGACGCUGACGAGGAGCACCAGGAUGCUGACCACCGCCGCCACGAUCACUAGCGCCACGUUAAAAACCCCAUCUCCUCGGGGCUCCGGUCCCGGUUCCGGCCCGCCGCCUCGCCCCCGUUGGUCGGUCAGAUCUCUCUGUCCCUAGAGGCGGGGGGAUACAGGCUAGGGUUUGGGCGUGGGCGGGGAAUAGGCUGCUAUGGUGCCUGCAGCGGGGCGUGUAGGAGAGAAGGAUUAGGAGGAAUAAUUCACCACACUUUGAUUAAGCUCUGGGAUGGGUCUUAUGUACAGAUUACAGGGCCAGCCAGGGAGAUCAUGGGGUGAUCCACUACCUGGGAUCGUGCGCCACGAUCACUACAUGCGUGCGCCACGAUCAUAUACACACACGCUACACCUAGUGUCUACGCAACUACGGUAUAGCAGUACAGUACAGCCUAACACCCCCCUCCCCCGGAGUCGUGACGUCGGCGGCGGCGACGCAAAGACUGGACCGGAACUCAGAGAAAACAUCCGAUGGCAGGCCUUUGGUCAUGAUGUCGGCGAGUUGUUGGCGCGUGGGGAUGUGAAGAACACGGAAGUGGCCGAGGGCGACGUGCUCCCGCACGAAAUGGAUGUCCAGCUCCACAUGCUUAGUGCAGCGAUGAUGCACCGGAUUGGCUGACAGGUAGACUACGGACACAUUGUCACAGUACACCAGUGCCGCCUUGGUCACUGGAGCGGAGAGCUCGCCGAGAAGCUGGCGGAGCCAGAUGCAUUCAGCGACCGCGUUGGCGACGCCGCGGUAUUCAGCUUCGGCGCUGGAGCGCGAUACGGUCGCCUGGCGCUUGGAGGACCAGGAGACGAGAGCACCGCCGAGGAAGACGCAGAAGCCCGACGUGGAGCGUCGGGUGUCGGGGCAGCCGGCCCAGUCCGCAUCGGUGAACGCACGGACGUCGAGCGUGGUCGAGGCGCGAAGAUGAAGCCCGAGUGCGCAGGUGCCCUUCACGUACCGGAGCACGCGCUUUACGAGCGCGAGGUGGCAUUAGCGCGGGUCAUGCAUGUGCAAGCAGAUUUGCUGGACAGCGUAGGCGAUCUCUGGACGCGUGAUGGUGAGGUACUGCAGGGCCCCGGCGAUGCUCCGAUAGGCCGAGGGGUCGUCGACGCAGGGCCCAUCGGCUGAGGGGAGUUUGCUCUUCGUGUCGGUGGGUGUCGGGGAAGGGCGGCAGGUGUCCAUGCCGGCGCGUUCCAGGAGCUCGUCGGCAUAUUGUUGUUGCGACAGGAAGAAGCCAGCUCGGGUGCGGGUGACGCGGAUGCCGAGGAAGAAGGCGAGCGAGCGCAGGUCCUUCAUGGCGAAUUCGCCUGUGAGGCGCUGGAUGACAUGGUGAAGCACGCGUGACGAGGACGCGGUGAGCACGAUGUCGUCGACGUAGAGGAGGAGGAACGCCAUGUCGUUGCCGUGCCGGAAGGUGAACAGCGAUGAGUCCGAACGCGUAGCUGCGAAGCCAAUGGAGCGGACGAAGCCGGCGAAGUGGAGGAACCAGGCACGGGGCGCCUGCUUGAGCCCGUACAAGGACUUGGAGAGGCGGCAGACGUGCUCUGGUUUGUCGGGGUCGACGAAUCCGGCGGGCUGGAGGCACUAGACUUCCUCCUCCAAGUUGCCGUCGAGGAAGGCGUUGGAGACGUCGAGGUGGUGCACCGGCCAGCCGCGCGACGCGGCCAGAGUGAGCACCGUGUGGAUCGUCGCUGGCUUGAUGACGGGGGAGAACGUCUCGCCGUAGUCGACGCCAGCACACUGAUGAAAGCCCCGCACGACCCAGCGUGCUUUGUUGCGGGCCAGCGCGCCGUCGGCGUCGUUUUUGUGCUUGAAGAUCCACUUCCCUGUGAUCAGGUUGGCGCCGGGCGGGCGGGGCACCAGCUCCCACGUGCGAUUGCGCACUAGCGCAUCGUACUCAGCACGCAUGGCACCGAGCCAGUUCGGGUCGCGAACAGCAGCGCGAACCGAACGCGGCACCGGCGACACCGAUGAUGAGGUAGAGGCGGUGACCGCGUCGUAGUAGCGCGGGUUGGGGCGGAAGAUGCCGCGCUGGGCACGCGUGACCAUGGGCACAGGAGGCGCCGGUGCGCGGGGCGCCGCUGGUGGCGCGCUCGGAGACGAGCUGUCGGAGGAGCCGCUGGCGGAGUUGUCGGAGGAGCCGCUGGCGGACACGAAGACAGGCGGACCAGGCGCGGAUGGGCACGUCGAGGACGGAGCCGAGCCGCCAUCGGAAGCGCCCGCAGCGUACCGCGAGCUGACGCGGCGCGCCCCGCUGGUUGGCGAGGAUGAGCGGGGCAGGCCGGUGAUGGAGAUCGGGCGCGCCGGCAGCACGGGUGACAUGCUGCUGUCAGGCACCGGUGGAAGCGCGGGCAGCGCAGGAGGCCGGACGACGAGCGGGAUCUGCAGGGUAGAGGGUACGACGGGUGGCGUAGGCGACGGGGAAGAGGAUGCGAACGGGAAAACGUGUUCGUGGAAGAGAACGUGGCGAGACGUGAGGACGCGGCGAGAGGUGAGGUCAAAGCAGCGAAAACCACGAUGAUCGGGAGGGUACCCGAGGAAGACGCAGGCGAUAGAACGUGGCUCGAGCUUAUGAUGGGUGGUGGCGGUGACGUUCGGAUAGCAGAGGCAUCCAAAGACGCGGAGCUGCGAGUAAUCUGGGGCGACGCCGAGCAGGAGUUCGUGCGGAGUGCAGGGCGCCGAGGCAGGGCCGACGAUUGAGCAGGUAGGUCGAGGUGUUGAGAGCCUCGGCCCAGAAGCGAGCGGGCAUGUGCGCAUGACAGAGAAGCACACGAACGCCAUCGUUGAUCGUGCGGAGAACUCGCUCGUCCUUGCCGUUCUGCUGACUGGCGUAUGGGCAGGUGAGACGGAAGUUUGUGCCGUGGCGAGCAAGCAGAGAGCGCAUGGCUGCGCUGUCGAAUUCACGACCAUUGCCCGUUUGCAGUGCAAGUACGGGUAACUGAAACUGAGUCUGAACAUAGGCAAAGAAAUCAACAAGUAUGGGAGGAACUUCAGACUUGUGUUUCAGAGGGAAAGUCCAGACAUAGUGACUGAAAUCAUCUAGUACAACUAAGUAAAACUGAUAGCCGGAUAUGCUUACAACGGGAGGGGUCCAUACAUCAAGGUUUAAAAGUUGGAAAGGAAAGAAACUAGCAGUGGUGGAUGUCUGAAACGGGAGCCAGGUGUGUUUGCCAACACGACAGGCAUGACAGACAGGCGGAUCACGGCAGAACUCCAGGGACUGAUCGGCAGCAACGGUGUGGAGUGCGGCAGCCCCUGGGUGGCCGAGACGUUGAUGCCACAGGUCGGUCGUGGCGGAGCCGGCGAAGAUGCCCGGGGAAUGGACGGAUGGCCGCACCACGGGAUAGAGAUCGCCGUCGGAGUCAGAUCGGAGAAUCACCACCCUGGUUCGUAGGUCCUUGACAGAGAAACCACGAGCGUCAAAUUCAACAGAAACGGGGUAGGAACGACAAAGCUGCCGAACUGAAAGUAGGUUUUUGACGAUAGAUGGAGAGACGAGAACGUUGCGGAGAGGAAUGGGGGAAGUGCUGGUGAUCAGUGCGCCCGUGCCAACGUGGGUGAUGGGCAGGCGCUCACCACUGCCCACGAUGAUAGAUGCAGCAGUAGAGGACGGGCGAGUGGAGAGGAGAUUACCAGGGGAGGACGUCAUGUGCGCCGCGGCGCCGGAGUCGAGGUACCACUCCGGUGCGCUGCCAGAGGAGGAAGGGCUGGCCGAGGCGCUGUGGAGGGCGGCCUGGAGCGAGGCCAUGUCCCAUGGCUGGUGGGUUGCAGUCGACGAGCUGGCGCCGGGGUGCCCGUAGCCUGACAGGACGCCGGAGACGGGUGGAGUGACGCCGUAGCCGGGGAGGGUAGCGCCGUAGCCGUAUGGUGCAGCCAGCGACGGGGCGGCGAACAUGGCCUGCUGGUGCGGCGUACCAGGGCGGGGGCCGAGCACUCCAGCUCCAGGCGCGCGCCAAGGCAUCGGCCAAGCCUGGACCAUGCCGGUCCAUGCGUUGGUGCCAGGUGCAGGCGUGGGGUACGCCGGGGGAGGGCGGGGAGCCUGGGAGGACGGCGUGGGCGGGCCACCACUGCCGUUGCCACGUCCGCGGCGGCAUCCGCGCCCACGCCCUUGGUUGGUGUUGCUGGGCGGGGGUGUGGGUGGUGUAGGAGAGCCGCCACGCCCGGCGACGAGAGCGUGCGCAGACUGCUGGCGAGCGGUCGACUGCUCUGCUCGGUGUUCCUCAAGCAGGAGGAAGGAGCGCACCUGCAGGAACGACGGGAGCGGGACCUGCGAGGUGAGGGAUGGCGGAGUGGAACUGCCGGUUCAGACCGCGGAGCAGGUUGAAGACCUGCCGCGAGUCGGUUACCGGCUGCCCGAGGUCGCAGAGUUGAUCCGUGAACGACUUCAUCUUGGUGCAGUACGCCAUGAUCGACAUGUCGCCCUGAACGACAGCGUGGUACUCGGCGUCGAGGUAGACAGCGCGAGCGAGGUGGUUGUCGCGGAAGAUUCCAUCGACCGCAGUCCAGACGGCCAGAGCAGUGUCGUCCGGCUGCAUGACGGCGUCGAGCAGGUCCGGCGAUAUGGUGGUGUAGAACCAAUGGACGACGACGUGAUCAGCCAUGCCCCACUUGGGAUCAUCGUGGCGGUGCAUGGCCGUGGUGUCGACGUGAGUGCGGAGGCCGAACAUGCCGAUGACGGUGUCGAAGUGGCGGCGCCACUGCGUGUAGUUGCCGGCGAGAAGGUCGAGGGUGACCGGGACAUGACGACGGAUGUCCACGGUCUGCAGGAUCGCGGAGGCGACAGGUGCUGUAGGAGGAGGAAGAGGGAUGACGGGCACUGCGGGCGCGACAGGUGCUAGAGCCGGCGGUGCGUUGGCCAGGGGGACAGCGUUGAGGACGCCGUCGGCGCCGUGCUGCGAGGAGCGAGGGAACACGACGGGGUUUUCAUCCAUGGCGGCGGAAGCGGGACUGGCGACCUGCGCGAAGGGAUUGAGCAGGUCGGGGGAGUCUGAUACCAUAUAGGAAAGAAGGAUUAGGAGGAAUAAUUCACCACACUUUGAUUGAGCUCUCGGUUGGGUCUUAUGUACAGAUUACAGGGCCAGGGAGAUCAUGGGGUGAUCCACUACCUGGGAUCGUGCGCCACGAUCACUAUAUGCGUGCGCCACGAUUAUAUACACACAUGCUACAACUAGUGUCUACGCAACUACGGUAUAGCAGUACAGUACAGUCUAACAGGGCGGCCACCGGCGGGGAGGGCGGGAUCCGCGCGGGGUGGCGGGAUUUGGGCAGGCGGUGGGCUCGGGGGAGGGCGGUGGCAGCGAAGCAGCAAGGAGGGGCUGGAGGAGAUGAAACGAAAGAGGUCGCGUGACACAGCGACAGCGUCGUCCAAUCCCCUCGCUGCCGAUUUAAAAAAAGGUAAUGAUAACUCCCGAACGUUCAGGAGUUAAGCAUGGCAACCCGAACGGGUUUAGAUGGCAAGUUUAGUUUGCGUGAGAUUAGGGAAACAUGGUAAUUUUCUGACAAAAGAAAUGAAAAAGGACGAAGUUGCCAUCCCCUAUCAACUAAAGUUGCCAUCCCCUAUGAACUAAAGUUGCCAUGUAAAAACGUUCGGGACGAAAUGCUCAAAAUCCGAACGUUCGGAAGUUAUUGGAUUCAAAAAAAAUCCCCUUGCUGCCAAUCGCUGGCCCGUUUCUUUUUUCGCCCAAUCGCUAGGUGAUGACGUGGCUAUCACGGGAAGGCGCCCUUGAUGCGUAGUCGAAUGGUUUUAAUUAAUAGGAAGCGAGUGCUUACUCUAGUUACUGAAUUAUGUACACCAAAUAAAGCCAUUUACACGUAGUUAAUGACAAAAAAAGUUGAUGUUUGCUGCGCAAACGUGUAGUACAAAUUAAGAAGUGCAAGAUAAAAAAAAUGCUGGUCCUUGAUUCGUUGUUGAUCGUCAGCAUGCCAUCAUCAAUUUGUAGUUAAUUAUCAUACAAAUUGGCUCUUUCAUAGAGUUGGAGGCUAGCUCCUUUGAUCAGCACGCGCUUAAACAUAAACAGCACGUAUAUGUUUUGUCUCCGGAGUUCAAUUCUUCAUCGGCCAGCAAAAAUGGCCCGACCGGGUAGAGGAAAAGGCAUGUUUGUUAGUACGCCUGGAGGAAAUGCCUUUGAUUAGGGCAUCUUCAACAGCGACCAGUAAAUUUCCUCCCGCGUUCGUCCACGGAUAGGGGAUCAGUCCGCGGAUACGGAUACAGGAAUCAUCCAUCCAACGCUGUCCGCGUAUAUUUCAAACACAUGUUUUUUUGAAAAUAGGAUGAAAUUCAUGCAAACACAAUGGAUUUCAUACAAACCGGACAAAAAUGUUUACAUUUUGGACAUAUUUUUUUUACUAAAAACUCUACAGCCGGUGCCGGCGAAUAUCCACUCCGGCGACAUGGAUACCCUUGACUAGUCUACUGCCGGCCGCAGCGGAUCUCCAAUGUCGUCCCCAUGUCCGGCAGCUAUGAGCCCUAGAGGUAUAUGCUUCAGCGCAAAGAGCGGCUCGCCUCCCUACCGCUCAUCGGAGUGGAACAACCAGCUGAUGCUUCUGCCGAUGGAAAGGGUCCCUACGCUACACAGAUUAGAGUUGGUUUUGGGCUGGGAACGGCGGUGGCCUGCCAGAGCGCAAGAUACCGACUGUGUAUGCUGGUGUCACCUGGUGUGGCAUUCGUGGGACCCAAGCGGCAGCGCCUCCUCGAUGAUGGCGGCGAGCGCGGACGUGUUGGACACCACCUCGUCGAUGUCCGUGCAGCCCGCUUCUUUCUCUGUAGGAAGGACGCGGUUACGCUCGCGUUGACAUCGGAUGACUUGGUCACAUGCACGGGAGGGGCGGUAUGACAUGGCACCGCCAAUGGCAGCCAUGAUGCCCGCGCCACCGUGCUCCCUCCCAGUGCCGACCUGGAGCAACUUGCCACUCCUCGGCUCGUGACCGGUGGGCUUGACAAGCCACCUAGCCAUUUUUUAUGCCAGACAACUCUUCUUCCUGCUCGUCAGAUGUCAUGGAUAAAACUGUUUAAGGAGGAAAAUGAUGAGUGGACGUGUGAUGCGGUUCUUGCCCAACAUCUGACAUUGUUUAAAUAGCGAGGGGACACGAGAGGAGCCAACCGGCGUUCUGUUUAAUGCUAACCGGCUCGCGAAUGAACAUGUGGCCGGAGUAAUUAUCCUGGCACACACGAGGGUUUAAUGGUGGAAGGCGGGCAGUCUGCAGGAAUGAGGCGAGGAUGUGUGCUUAGCCGGCGUGCAGCAGGCGGCGCCCUCGGCCGGCGUGCUGCUUCCAUUGCGGAGGCAGUGAGAGGUCGCGUCCGCUCUGCAGCGCAUGAAUGCGGGCCACUGGCGCAGAGCGGGAACGCGUGCGGGCGAGGGAGGAGGGGGUUUGGGCGGGUGGUUAGAAGAGGUCGUGGGUGUUGUCCGAACGCCUGCAAAUCCCCCCUCCAUGUUUAUCUCCAGUUUGCGGGAGAAAGUACGUCCGGACCGUCUCCAAUGGACCAAUACAGGCACGCAUUGGAUGGCACAACACGUCCGGACCAUGUGGUCCGGAUGGUUGUGAACAGUUUAAUUGAGGGUCGGCGUUGGAGAUGCCUUAGAGUUUAUGAAUCCAUUGUGUUUUUCUAAUCAUAAAAAAGCACUUACAAUAAGUUAUAAGGAAAGACACGUUUAUAUGUUAGGUUCAGACUCCAGCUUUCGUUUUACAUAUGCUUUAUUCAUCCGACUGAUUCCAAUAGAGUGAGCCUAGCGUUGUUUUUCUGGAAACUCGCGCGAUGAGGAGACAUGCAUACACAUUCUUUCAAGCAAAUCACAUCCAUUCUUUUUAACUCAUUUUUCUUCUUUUAAUAAUAUAAUAGAUCAUUUAUAUUUUUUAUCUGAAACAGUUGACGUGUAAUUUAUAUUGUAAUCUGAGAAUAAUGUUUGGAUUUUACUUUCAAAUAUAUUUGAAAUGGCCAUGAUGGAAUCACAUCCAUUUAUUUUGUUAUUAUUUGAAUUUGAUCCAAAAGAUUAAUAAUGAGUAGAGGUCAUGUCAACUUUUCUGAGAACUUUGCUAAUCAAAAUAUAAAUUUUAUUUAAAAACAUCUAUUUUUUAGCACGCAUGAAAAACAUAACACGUAUCUUUUCACACAUAAUGAACGGUUGUCAUAAGAACUCAUGCCAUGCCACAACCUCCCUCCGACCCUGCCAACAUUGUUGCAGCUGCACUCGCAAGCUUUAGCGUAGAUGAUAAUUUAUACAAUUUGCGUAAAACAAAAUAAGAUCUACAAAUGAAUAGAAGCUAGAACGUACAUUGGCAUGCACACACAUUGCAAGCCAUACUAACCUGAUAAGUGUUAAUAACUUGUACAACAUAUACAGCACUUAAGACAAGUAAAAGCAAUUUGAUGAGUCAUGGUCUAUCAAAGCCACAUUACUAGUCUAAUCCAUCUUAACAGGUCACACAUGAUUAAAAUCUUGUUUGUGUGCAAGUCAAGCUUAUCUAGUUUACAUGUAACAACUUGUAGAACAUUACAAAAUUUAUGUUUGCUAAUAACUUCUAGAACACUACAACACUUGACAUGUAAAAGGAAUUUGAUGAGUCAUGGCCUACUAAAGCAAGUUAUAUUACUAGUCUUAUCUACCUUAACAGGCCACACAAGAUUACAAACCAAGUUCUGUGCCAGCCAUGCUUAUCUAGUUUAUGCGUAACAAUUUGCAGAAAAUUACAAACUUAGUUUCAGAAAAAUAGGCAAUCUAGAUUAGUGUUUGAGCUGUAAAGUGAAUAAAAUGAGUCAUGCGUGUUAUCACACCUUUUUGGUUGUGGAAUGAUAGUGCAACAACAAGGAACUUUAAUGACCAGUUCAAGAAUACACUUGUAAGUAGAGCCACCGAACACAACAUACCAAAUUAUGAUUUUGAGAAGCAUCCAAGCACUUCCACACAAGCAAAUGCCAACUGUGAAAGAGAUCAUGCCAUGGCAGCUAUAAAUAGGCCCGUAGCAUGACGAUCAUCCUUCCUCAUCCAUCAUUCUCAUAAGUAGAGCGCAUCAUUUAAGCCAAGCAAGCAGUGCUCAAUACAAAUCCACCAUGAAGACCUUUCUCAUCCUUGCCCUCCUUGCUAUUGUAGCAACCACCGCCACAAUUGCAGUUAGAGUUCCAGUGCCACAAUUGCAGCCACAAAAUCCAUCUCAGCAACAACCACAAGAGCAAGUUCCAUUGGUACAACAACAGCAAUUUCCAGGGCAGCAACAACCAUUUCCACCACAACAGCCAUAUCCGCAGCCGCAACCAUUUCCAUCACAACAACCAUAUCUGCAGCUGCAACCAUUUCCGCAGCCGCAACUACCAUAUCCGCAGCCGCAACCAUUUCGACCACAACAACCAUAUCCACAACCGCAACCACAGUAUUCGCAACCACAACAACCAAUUUCGCAGCAGCAGCAACAACAACAACAACAACAACAACAACAACAACAAAUCCUUCAACAAAUUUUGCAACAACAACUGAUUCCAUGCAGGGAUGUUGUAUUGCAACAACACAACAUAGCGCAUGGAAGCUCACAAGUUUUGCAACAAAGUACUUACCAGCUGGUGCAACAAUUGUGUUGUCAGCAGCUGCGGUAGAUCCCCAAGCAGUCGCGGUGCCAAGCCAUCCACAAUGUUGUUCAUGCUAUUAUUCUGCAUCAACAACAACAACAACAACAACCGUUGAGCCAGGUCUCCUUCCAACAGCCUCAACAACAAUAUCCAUCAGGCCAGGGCUCCUUCCAGCCAUCUCAGCAAAACCCACAGGCCCAGGGCUCUGUCCAGCCUCAACAACUGCCCCAGUUUGAGGAAAUAAGGAACCUAGCGCUAGAGACGCUACCUGCAAUGUGCAAUGUCUAUAUCCCUCCAUAUUGCACCAUUGCUCAAGUUGGCAUCUUUGGUACUAACUGAGAAGAGAAGAACUCUAGUAGUAGAUAUAUGAUACACCGUUUUCUUAGUCCAUGGUUUGGUCGUUGUAGCGGUGAAAAAAUAAAGUGACAUGCACUAUCAUGUAAGAACCCGAACUAUACUAGUUCAAACAUGGGAAUAAAAGACAAACACAUGUCUUGUCUACAUAUGAUUGUUUGUUUGAGUUCCACUCAUGUGCCCACUCACAAGUUCACCCCUAAUUAUAUAUAUUAUGCAUUAAGUAGAUAUUUAUGUUGCAUUAAUCUAAAGAUAACAAAAUGAGUCUGAAAUUUGAAUUAAAUUGAAGUAUUUCCUUGGACUUUCAAAUGGAGUAUUAUUAAAGUAGUAAGGACUACCCACAUCCUUGGCUUGCCCUUGAUCAAUUAUUUCCAGAGAAGCGUUCAAUUCGUCAAUCAAUUACAUUGAUUUUUGUGGCUGGUACUUCUCCUCAACAUGAGUAUAUUCAUCGCGGCUACUCCAAAUAGGCAUGAAUGAGGUACUGGUGCUCUGGAGCACUGGUACCUAACUGCUUCUCAUGUGAAGGGGUGCGGGCGCGGGAGAGGUGUUUUUGGUGGGCCAGGGGAGUAAGAAUCGGCCGUGGCAGCGGUCCAGACGCCCACAAAGCCCCGUAGUUUGUUUUUGGUUUACAGGAAAAUGCACAUCCAGACCGGCCUGCAGGCCGAUAUAGGACCGUAUUGGAUGGCAAAACAUGUCCGGAUGGUCACGAGCAGUUUAAGGGUUAGCUUUUGUAACGCCCGGUUAGUUAUGCUAUGGUAAUUCCCUGCUAAUGAUGUCACGUCAGCACGAUUACUGUUGUUAACCUCACAAUGAUUCAAUCCCAUUCAAAUUCAAAUUUAAAAUAAAGGCAAACAUCAAAAGUUUCAAACAUUAAAACUAAAAUCUUCGAGAGGUGAAAAAUAAUGCAUAAGUAAUUAUGGUGGAGAAACCACACUUUUAUAAAAUGUUUAAAUACUCUAAAAAUAAUAAAACAGUGGCUUAAACUAUUAUUUAAAUGAUUUUAAAAUAGUAAACAUGUUCUAACUAAAUUAAUUGGGUACCAAACUUUUGGUGGCAGUGGUAUAUUUAGUAGAACUAAUUUAGAUGCUAAUGAAACAUAAAAGGAAAGACAAAACAAAUAAAAGUAAAAGGGGGCAACCCCUCGCUGGGCCUCGACCAAGCUGGCCACUGGGCUAGCUAGGUUGGCCCAACCGCCUCCCUUAACCCCCCACUCCCCAUCGAACCCUAGACCGAUCGCCCCACUUCCCCCACACCCCCUCGUCAGCCUCCCCACCUCUCGAUCCCAUCCAGAUCGGGGAGGGNNNNNNNNNNNNNNNNNNNNNNNNNNNNNNNNNNNNNNNNNNNNNNNNNNNNNNNNNNNNNNNNNNNNNNNNNNNNNNNNNNNNNNNNNNNNNNNNNNNNNNNNNNNNNNNNNNNNNNNNNNNNNNNNNNNNNNNNNNNNNNNNNNNNNNNNNNNNNNNNNNNNNNNNNNNNNNNNNNNNNNNNNNNNNNNNNNNNNNNNNNNNNNNNNNNNNNNNNNNNNNNNNNNNNNNNNNNNNNNNNNNNNNNNNNNNNNNNNNNNNNNNNNNNNNNNNNNNNNNNNNNNNNNNNNNNNNNNGAGGGGAUCGCCCCCAUCGACCCCGUCGCGGUCGCCGGACCUCCUCCCCGUCGCACGUCUCCGGCUCUCCUCCCCUCUCGCUCCUCUUCCCCGACCCGAUCUGGAUCGGGAAGGGCCAAUGAGCCCAAGCCCCCUCCAUCGACGCUGUGCGCCAGCACCGCCGCCCGAAGACCUCGCCGUCGCCGGACCUCGCGUCGCCUCCUCGUAUCCCUCCCCGACUCGCCUCCUCAAGCCACGCCAACCCCCUUCUCGGCAACGCUGUGAGCCGCCCCCGUUUCCCUCCUUCUCUUUCCACCGUGUUCACCGCGCCGCCUGCCGUGCCCCUCGCCGCGCGCAUGCCCACCACCGCGCCAGCCCCAGCUCCGCGCCCUCUCCUGCACGCUUGUGCGCGCAUGACCCUAACCGCGCCCACGCCGUGAACCCCUUGUCCCGCCCGCCUUCGUUCCGCGCUCGCCGCGGCCCCCAUGCUCCCCUGCGCCCUCUUUUGGGGGCGUCGGCUGCCCCUGUCCCACUGCUCGCUGGCAUGCUGAAGGAAAUAUGCCCUAGAGGCAAUAAAUAAAGUAUUAUUUAUUUCCUUAUAUCAUGAUAAAUUUUUAUUAUUCAUGCUAGAAUUGUAUUAACCGGAAACAUAAUACAUGUGUGAAUACAUAGACAAACAGUGUGUCACUAGUAUGCCUCUACUUGACUAGCUCGUUAAUCAAAGAUGGUUAUAUUUCCUAGCCAUAGACAUGAGUUGUCAUUUGAUUAACGGGAUCACCUCAUUAGGAGAAUGACGUGAUUGACUUGACCCAUUCCGUUAGCUUAGCACCCGAUCGUUUAGUAUGUUGCUAUUGCUUUCUUCAUGACUUAUACAUGUUCCUAUGACUAUGAGAUUAUGCAACUCCCGUUUACCGGAGGAACACUUUGUGUGCUACCAAACAUCACAACGUAAAUGGGUGAUUAUAAAGGUGCUCUACAGGUGUCUCCAAAGGUACUUGUUGGGUUGGCGUAUUUCGAGAUUAGGAUUUUUCACUCCGAUUGUCGGAGAGGUAUCUCUGGGCCCACUCAGUAAUGCACAUCACUAUAAGCCUUGCAAGCAUUGUGACUAAUGAGUUAGUUGCAGGAUGAUGUAUUACGGAACGAGUAAAGAGACUUGCCGGUAACGAGAUUGAAAUAGGUAUCGAGAUACCGACGAUCGAAUCUCGGGCAAGUAACAUCCCGAUGACAAAGGGAACAACGUAUGUUGUUAUGCGGUCUGACCGAUAAAGAUCUUCGUAGAAUAUGUAGGAACCAAUAUGAGCAUCCAGGUUCCGCUAUUGGUUAUUUACCGGAGAGGUGUCUCGGUCAUGUCUACAUAGUUCUCAAACCCGUAGGGUCCGCACGCUUAAAGUUACGAUGAUAGUUAUAUUAUGUGUUUAUAUGUUUUGAUGCACCGAAGGUUGUUCGGGGUCCCGGAUGUGAUCACGGACAUGACGAGGAGUCUCGAAAUGGCCGAGACAUAAAGAUUGAUAUAUUGGACGACUAUAUUCGGACACCGGAAGUGUUCCGGAGAAGUUUCGGAUAAAACCGGAGUGCCGGAGGGGUUACCGGAACCCCCCGGGGAAGUAUUGGGCCUUAGUGGGCCUUCAGGGGAGAGAGAGGGCAGCAGCGAGGAGGUGGCGCGCCCCCUCCCAUGAGGAGUCCGAAUUGGACUAGGGGAGGGGGCGCAGCCCCUCUUUCCCUCUCCCUCUCCCUCUCUUUCCUUCCCCCCCUCUCUUCCUAGUUGGACUAGGAAAGGGGAGUCCUACUCCUACUAGGAGGAGGACUCCCCUCUCUCUCCUUGGCGUGCCAAAGGGCAGCCGGCCUCCCCCUUGCUCCUUUAUAUACGGGGGCAGGGGGCACCUCUAGGCACACUUGAUAUACGAUAUUUUAGCCGUGUGCGAUGCCCCCCUCCACCAUAUUACACCUCGAUAAUACCGUUGCGGAGCUUAGGCGAAACCCUGCGUCGGUGGAACAUCAUCAUCGUCACCACGCCAUCAUGCUGACGAAACUCUCCUUCAACACUCGGCUGGAUCGGAGUUCGAGGGAUGUCAUCGAGCUGAACGUGUGCUGAACUCGGAGGUGCCGUGCGUUCGGUACUUGAUCGGUCGGAUCGUGAAGACGUACGACUACAUCAACCGCGUUGUGAUAACGCUUCCGCUGUCGGUCUACGAGGGUACGUGGACAACACUCUCCCCUCUCGUUGCUAUGCAUCACCAUGAUCUUGCGUGUGCGUAGGAAAUUUUUUGAAAUUACUACAUUCCCCAACACAUGUGUCCCCGCCCGCGCCUCGCCACCGCUCUACUGCUACGCUACUAUUGCGCUGUGGCCGCCGCCGCUUCCCGCUGCUCUGCCAGCGCCAAAGCUCCCGGUUGGCCCUGCCGCUGCUCGCGUUUAACCGCCGGCAUCCCCUAACCUCCCCCCCUCGCUAAUGAACCCCCACCGACCCGCUGAUACCGGGACCCACAUCCCCUAAUUAACCAUUUAAUAAAUUAAAACUCUUAAAUUAACAUUAGUGUAUGACAUGUGGGUCCCCUAUUAAUUAAACUGAUUUAAUUAAAAUCUAUUAACUUUGAGUCUAUGACAUAUGGGCCCCACUAAACAUUUGACCAGCCAACGGUCCAGUCAAAUGCUGACCGGACAGUUGACCAGAGGGCCCCGCCAGUCAGCCAAUGUGUUGUUCUGCUGGGUACCUUUCUAAGUACACCUAGCAUUUUGCAUUUACAAUAUUUGUUUUAAAAUAAAUUAGAAUAAUUUCAAAAAAAGAUUAAAACUUUUAAAAUUAAAAUAAAAUAAUCCGUAACUGGAUGAAAUUACUUUAUACAUGGAAGUUGCUCAAAAAACGAGACGAAUCCGAAUACACAGUCCGUUCGUCUGCCACGCGUCCCUAGCAUAGCGAACAUGCAACCAUCCCCCUCCGGUUCGACUGUCCGAAAAAUUAUUAUUGCACAUGCCCGCUAAGAGGUUGGCUGUAUAUGACAUGACAAAUUCUUAUAGCCGACCCUUGGCUGUAUUAUUAACCAUGCUCUUAGUGAGGUAGCUAGUAUAUCAUAGACGACUAGCUUGUAUCAGACUAGCCAAAGUGGGAGUAACUUCAGCAGUAACAUCGACUCCAACUCAGCAAACUUGCUUAUGUGGGAGUAAACCGUGCCCAAUGCAAAAUACAAUCCCAGUCGUAAUUUUUUCAGGAAACGUGUGGGAUCCCAAACGAAAAGCACACGUCACUCUUGCGGCAACCGUCGGUGACACCCAAUAAAUCACAAACGGUCUGCAGCACUUGUAUGUGUGCAAAGGGGCUCCUGAACCGUUUGUGAUAGAACAUUAUCGCAGACGGUAAUUGUUGCCAAACGUGUGCGAUGGAGUCUAGCAUGGCAGACGGGUUACGCAGAAAACUCGUGUGCGAUGGGGCACAAAUCGCACACAGUUCAUAUGUUGGCCCAUGUGCCUUACAUACUAUUUCCCAAAUGGUUUGUUACGAUAGACCGUCUCGUUUCAGUGCGUCAUUAGAAACGCUUAAUCACUGAUACGACACGUGCGAAAGAAUUUAGUGCAUGCUGCAUCGCACACGAUUACAUUUUGGAAGGCCUCUGGAUCACUACUCCAUAUCCCCGGCGGUUUCUGGGCCGUGUGGGAAGGACACCCUAUCGCACACACUCACUUGGCAACGGUUCCAAAUGCUGUCGCGGAAAGGGGUUAAAAACAGUUUGUUUAGGACCGAAGCGUACCAGUGUCUAUCUAUCUAUCUAUCUAUCUAUCUAUCUAUCUAUCCAUCCAUCUAUCUAUCUAUCUAUCUAUCUAUCCAUCUAUCCAUCUAUCUAUCUCAAUCCACCUAUCUAUGUAUCCAUCUAUCCAUCUAUCUAUCUCUCCAUCUAUCCAUCUAUCUAUCCAUCUAUCCACCCAUCUACUAUCCAUCUAUCUAUCCAUCCAUCCAUCCAUCUAUCCAUCCAUCUAUCUAUCUAUCUAUCUAUUUAUCUAUCUAUCUAUCUAUCUACCUAUCUAUCUAUCCAUCUAUUCAUCUAUCUAUCUAUGUAUCCAUUUAUCCAUUGAUCCAUCUAUCGAUCCAUCGAUCCAUCCAUCCAUCCAUCUAUCCAUCCAUCAAUAUAUCCAUGUAUCCAUGUAUCCAUGUAUCUAUCUAUCGAUCUAUCCAUCUAUCUAUCUAUCUAUCCAUCUAUCCAUUUAUCGAUCUAUCCAUCUAUCUAUCUAUCCAUCGAUCUAUCGAUCUAUCGAUCUAUCGGUCUAUCGGUCUAUCCAUCUAGCGAUCUAUCCAUCUCUCCAUCUACCCAUCUAUCCAUCUAUUCAUCUACCGAUCUAUCUAUCCAUCUAUCUAUCUAGCUAUCUAGCUAUCUAGCUAUCUAGCUAUCUAUCUAUCUAUCUAUCUAGCUAUCUAGCUAUCUAUCUAUCUAGUUAUCUAGCUAUCUAUCUGUCUACCUACCUACCUACCUACCUACCUAUCUAUCUAUCUAUCUAUCUAUCUACCUAUCUAAAGGAAAUAUGCCCUAGAUGCAAUAAUAAAGUUGUUAUUUAUAUUUCCUUAUAUCAUGAUAAACUAGCGGAGUCACCCGCGCAUUUGCGCGGCUAGAUUGACUACAUAUAUUGUUAUAUUUGGGAUUAUUUUUCUAUGCCAAUUUUAUGGCCUCUUACUCAGAUAUUAUCUAAUUGAAUUUACCACCACCAUAUGUUAUAUCCAUAGAUUAUAAUUAAAAGGCAACUUCCGACGAAACAUGGACAGAUUAUUGAGUGCUCAGAAGACGGACGCAAUAUCAUAUAUAGACUUCUAUAGCAAUCUUCAUGGUUCCCAUCUUUGAUCCUCUCCUCGUCCCUUGGUAUCUAUCUUUGCACCCAAUGUCUUUGGAGUUCCAAGAAUUGAAUCUUAGCAUGAAUGGCUUCAAUGUGUACCAAAUGUUCUCUUGUUCCUCCCAAAUUAAUUACUGGUUGCAUUCUUAGUUGCUUUGACAUUCUUGGUUAAUGCAAUGUCUUGCCUACCAAUAUAUGCAUCCACACACGAUCAUAUUUAUAUUACCACUUACCUCUGUAUUCUGGUAUUUGUGCUUCAGAAUUUUUCUCUCAUUCAGUUUAUUCAUAGAUUAAAAACGUCGAUCGUUUCUUUAUUGGUUUGCAUUAUCUUGUUUGCCGAACGUAAGCAUCCACACAUGCUCGUCAUGAUAUGAUUGGUCAUCAUUGUAUAUUUGUAUUUGUGUGUUGAUAGCUUAAGGAUUUUCUCGGAUUCACUUCAUAGUUUAAGGAUUUUCUCGCCUUCAAUUUAUUCUACCUUAUUCAUUUUCAUGUUUCUUUAUUCCAUUUAUAUCAAUUCUUACAAUAUAUUUUCCAAGAUAUGAACUCAACUACUAAUUACGUAGUUUUUCAUCAAAAUUUACAUGUAAAAAUGGUACAAAUGCAUAAAGAUGAUAAAAAUAUAUAUCAUAUUCCAUUGAGAGAACGCCCAUUUAAAAAAACACGUUGACUUACAAAAAGGACAAUUCAAGCUGCAUGUACGUCCGACUCAUGUUUACCUGACAAUGUCGAUGUUGAUUUCAGCAGUAAAUGAGCUGUGUGUGACCUUUGCGCUUUCCGGUAUUCUUCUAACCUGUGUGCUUUAUGAUCAGUUUGUUGUGCUUAGUACUGGACAUUGGAGUACACUAUCAUAUUUGGUACAAAUAAAUCUGAACUACUAUAGUUAUGAUCCACUGUAUAGUUAAUGGUGGUGGUAAUUAAUAUAUGUGGUUAAAUACUUGCGCUCCUUAGGUGGGGAGUUGGAUUUGUAUUUCCCUAAAAUAAAUUUCAGAUUUCGUCAUAGUGGUGAAGCCAGCCGGAAGAACCUCUGCGUCAUUAUUAAUUUUGGUGAUAUUUUUCUUCAUAGUGUAGAAUAAUUUUAGUGCUUAUUCCGCAAAUAAUAUGGCCUCAACUGACCCCAUAGCUUGUAUGUUGCGCCACCACUGUUUCCUAUAUCUUAUUACAUCCGUUGUUUUUAGAUCUUGAUGCAUAACUUUGACAAUUUUUAAUAGAUAUGUGUCUGUAUAAAAAAUUAUAAAUGCUAUGAUUAAUUAUGAUGAAUAAAAUGUUAUUGCUCUGACUUGAUCCCUCUUGAAUUUUCCAAAAUUUCACAUUACAGUUGUAGUAGUGCAUGCUACCUCUUGAGCACUGCGUUAGUUUUCCCUUGAAGAGGAAAGGGUGAUGCAGUAAAGCAGCGUCAGUAUUUCCCUCAGUUUUUGAGAACCAAGGUAUCAAUCCAGUACGAGGCCACGCACGAGUCCCUCGCACCUACACAAACAAAUAAAAUCCUCGCAACCAACGCAAUAAAGGGGUUGUCAAUCCCUUCAUGGUCACUUACGAAAGUGAGAUCUGAUAGAUUUGAUAAGAUAAUAUUUUUGGUAUUUUUAUGAUAAAGAUGCAACGUAAAGAAAGCAAAAUAAAAACAGCGCCAGAAAUAGCUUGUUGACGGGAGAUUAAAUAUGAUGGAAAAUAGACCAGGUGGCCAUAGGUUUCACUAGUGGCUUCUCUCGAGAGCAUAAGUAUUUCGGUGGGUAGACAAAUUACUGUUGAGCAAUUGACAGAAUUGAGCAUAGUUAUGAGAAUAUCAAGGUAUGAUCAUGUAUAUAGGCAUCACGUCUGAGGCAAGUAGCCCGACUCCUGCCUGCAUCUACUACUAUUACUCCACACAUCGACUGCUAUCCAGCAUGCAUCUAGAGUAUUAAGUUCAAAAGAACAGAGUAACGCUUUAAGUAAGAUGACAUGAUGUAGAGGGAUAAACUCAUGCAAUAUGAUAUAAACCCCAUCUUGUUAUCCUCGAUGGCAACAAUACAAUACGUGCCUUGCUGCUCCUACUAUCACUGGGAAUGGACACCACAAGAUUGAACCCAAAGCUAAGCACUUCUCCCAUUGCAAGAAAGAUCAAUCUAGUAGGCCAAACCAAAAUGAUAAUUCGAAGAGACUUGUAAAGAUAACCAAUCAUACAUAAAAGAAUUUAGACAAGAUUCAAAUAUUGUUCAUAGAUAAACUAGAUCAUAAACCCACAAUUCAUCGGUCUCAACAAACACACCGCAAAAGAAGAUUACAUCGAAUAGAUCUUCAUAAGAGAGGGGGAGAACAUUGUAUUGAGAUCCAAAAAGAGAGAAGAAGCCAUCUAGCUAAUAACUAUGGACCCGAAGGUCUGAGGUAAACUACUCACAAAUCAUCGGAGAGGCUAUGGUGUUGAUGUAGAAGCCCUCCAUGAUCGAUGCCCCCUCCGGCGGAGCUCCGGAAAAGGCCCCAAGAUGGGAUCUCACGGGUCCAGAAGGUUGCGGAGAUGGAAUUAGGUUUUUGGCUCCGUAUCUGGUAGUUUGGGGGUACGUAGGUAUAUAUAGGAGAAAGAAGUACGUCGGUGGAGCAACGUGGGCCCCACGAGGGCGCGCCCCCCUACCUCGUGCCUUCCUAGUAGAUUUCUGGACGUAGGGUCCAAGUCCUCUAGAUCACGUUCGUUCCCAAAAUCACGUUUCCGAAGGUUUCAUUCCGUUUGGACUCCGUUUGAUAUUCUUUUUCUGUGAAACUCUGAACUAGGCAAAAAAUAGCAAUUCUGGGGUGGGCCUCCGGUUAAUAGGUUAGUCCCAAAAAUAAUAUAAAAGUGUAUAAUAAAGCCCAUUAAUGUCCAAAACAGAAUAUAAUAUAGCAUGGAACAAUAAAAAAUUAUAUAUACGUUGGAGACAUAUCAAGCAUCCCCAAGCUUAAUUCCUGCUCGUCCUCGAGUAGGUAAAUGAUAAAAACGGAAUUUUUGAUGUGGAAUGCUACUUGGCAUAAUUUCAAUGUAAUUCUCUUAAUUGUGGUAUGAAUAUUCAGACCCGAAAGAUUCAAGACAAAAGUUUAAUACUGACAUAAAAAUAAUAAUACUUCAAGCAUACUAGCUAAGCAAUUAUGUCUUCUCAAAAUAACAUGGCCAAAGAAAGUUAUCCCUACAAAAUCAUAUAGUCUAGCUAUGCUCUAUCUUCACCACACAAAGUAUUUAAAUUAUGCACAACCCCGAUGACAAGCCAAGCAAUUGUUUCAUACUUUUGAUGUUCUCAAACUUUUUCAAUCUUCACGCAAUACGUGAGCAUGAGCCAUGGACAUAGCACUAUAUGUGGAAUAGAAUGGUGGUUGUGGAGAAGACAAAAAAGGAGAAGAUAGUCUCACAUCAACUAGGCGUAUCAACGGGCUAUGGAGAUGCCCAUUAAUAGAUAUCAAUGUGAGUGAGUAGGAAUUGCCAUGCAACGGAUGCACUAGAGCUAUAAGUAUAUGAAAGCUCAACAAAAGGAACUAAGUGGGUGUGCAUCCAACUCGCUUGCUCAUGAAUACCUAGGGCAUUUUGAGGAAGCCCAUCAUUGGAAUAUACAAGCCAAGUUCUAUAAUGAAAAUUUCCCACUAGUACAUGAAAGUGAUAUCAUAGGAGACUCUCUAUCAUGAAGAUCAUGGUGCUACUUUGAAGAACAAGUGUGGUAAAAGGAUAGUAACAUUGUCCCUUCUCUCUUUUUCUCUCAUUUUUUUAUUUGGGUCUUUUAUCCUUUUUUUAUGGCCUCUUUUUUUUAGUCCGAAGUCUCAUCCCGACUUGUGGGGGAAUCGUAGUCUCCAUCAUCCUUUCCUCACUUGGGAAAAUGCUCUAAAAAAAUGAUGAUCAUCACACUUUUAUUUACUUACAACUCAACAAUUACAAAUCAAUACUUAGAACAAAAUAUGACUCUAUGUGAAUGCCUCCGGCGGUAUACCGUGAUAUGCAAUGAAUCAAGAGUCACAUGUAUGAAAGAAUUAUGAACGGUGGCUUUGCCACAAAUACAAUGUCAACUACAUGAUCAUGGAAAGCAAUAUGACAAUGAUGGAGCGUGUCAUAAUAAACUGAACGGUGGUAAGUUGCAUGGCAAUAUAUCUCGGAAUGGCUAUGGAAAUGCCAUGGUAGGUAGGUAUGGUGGCUGUUUUGAGGAAGGUAUAUGGUGGGUGUAUGAUACCGGCGAAAAGUGCGCGGUAUUAGAGAGGCUAGCAAUGGUGGAAGGAAGAAAGUGCGUAUAAUCCAUGGACUCAACAUUAGCCAUAAAGAACUAAUAUACUUAUUGCAAAAAUCUACAAGUUAUCGAAGCAAAGUAUUACCCGCAUCAUCCUAGGGGGAUAGAUUGCUAGGAAAAGACCAUCGCUCGUCCCCGACCGCCACUCAUAAGGAAGACAAUCAAUAAAUAAAUCAUGCUCCGACUUCAUCACAUAACGGUUCACCAUACGUGCAUGCUAAGGGAAUCACAAACUUUAACACAAGUAUUUCGCAAAUUCAAAACUACUCAACUAGCAUGACUCUAAUAUCACCAUCUCCAUAUCUCAAAACAAUUAUCAAGUAUCAAACUUCUCAUAGUAUUCAACACACUCAUAAGAUUUUUUUACUAAUCUUGAGUGCCUAUCAUAAUUAAAGCAAAUUACCACGCUGUUUUGUAGGACUAUCAAAAUAAUCUAAGUGAAUCAUGAGAGAACAAUAGUUUCUAUAAAACAAAACCACCACCAUGCUCUAAAAGAUAUACAUGAAGCACUAGAGCAAAAACUAUAUAGCUCAAAAGAUAUAAGUGAAGCACAUAGAGUAUUCUAACAAUUUCCGAAUCAUGUGUGUCUCUCUCAAAAGGUGUGUACUGCAAGGAUUAUUGUGGCAAACUAACAAAUAAAGACUUCAAAUAAUACAAGACGCUCCAAGCAAAACACAUAUCAUGUGGUGAAUAAAAAUAUAGCUCCAAGUAAAGUUACCGAUGGAAGUAGACGAAAGAGGGGAUGCCUUCCGGGGCAUCCCCAAGCUUUGGCUUUUAGGUGUCCUUAGAUUAUCUUGGGGUGCCAUGGGCAUCCCCAAGCUUAGGCUCUUGCCACUCCUUGUUUCAUAAUCCAUCAAAUCUUUCACCCAAAACUUGAAAACUUCACAACACAAAACUCAGCAGAAAAUCUCGUGAGCUCCGUUAGCGAAAGAAAAAAAAACACCACUUCAAGGUACUGUAAUGAACUCAUUCUUUAUUUAUAUUGGUGUUAAACCUACUGUAUUCCAACUUCUCUAUGGUUUAUAAACUAUUUUACUAGCCAUAGAUUCAUCAAAAUAAGCAAACAACACACGAAAAACAGAAUCUGUCAAAAACAGAACAGUCUGUAGUAAUCUGUAACUAACGCAAUUUUCUGGGACUCCAAAAAUUGACCCAAAAUAGGAAGACCUAGAAUUUUUUUUUUAUUGAUCAGCAGCAAUUGGAAUCAAUAUUUUAUCACGUCCUGGUGAUUUUUAACAAUUAUUUUCGUGAACAGAAAGUUUCUGGAAUAUUCAGCAAGAUCAAAUAACUAUCAUCCAAGAAGAUCCUAUAGGUUAAACUUGGCACAAACACUAAUUAAAACAUAAAAACACAUGUAAACAGAGGCUAGAUCAAAUAUUUAUUCCUAAAAAAAGCAAAAAGCAAAAAAACUAAAAAUAAAAUUGGGUUGCCUCCCAACAAGCGCUAUCGUUUAACGCCCCUAGCUAGGCAUAAUAGCAAGGAUAGAUCUAGGUAUUGCCAUCUUUGGUAGGCAAUCCAUAAGUGGCUCUCAUAAUAGAUUCAUAAGGUAAUUUUAUUUUCUUUCUAGGGAAGUGUUCCAUGCCUUUCCUUAAUGGAAUUUGGAAUCUAAUAUUCCCUUCCUUCGUAUCAAUAAUUGCACCAAUCGUUCUAAGGAAAGGUCUGCCAAGAAUAAUAGGACAUGAAGGAUUGCAAUCUAUAUCAAGAACAAUAAAAUCUACGGGCACAUAAUUCCUAUUUGCAACAAUAAGCACAUCAUCAAUUCUUCCCAUAGGUUUCUUAAUGGUGGAAUCCACAAGGUGCAAGUUUAAAGAGCAAUCAUCAAAAUCACGGAAACCUAGCAAAUCGCACAAAGUCUUUGGAAUCGUGGAAACACUAGCACCCAAAUCACACAAAGCAUAGCAUUCAUGAUCUUUAAUUUUAAUUUUAAUAGUAGGUUCCCACUCAUCAUAAAUUUUUCUAGGGAUAGAAACUUCCAACUCAAGUUUUUCUUCAUAAGAUUGCAUCAAAGCAUCAACGAUAUGUUUAGUAAGGCUUUAUUUUGACUAUAAGCAUGUGGAGAAUUUAGCACGGAUUGCAACAAGGAAAUAAAAUCUAUCAAAGAGCAAUUAUCAUAAUUAAAUUCCAUGAAAUCCAAAAUAGUGGGUUCAUUAAUAUCUAGAGUUUUGAUUUCUUCAAUCCCACUUUUACCAAUUUUUGCAUCAAGAUCUAAAAACUCCGAAUUUUUGGAACGCCUUCUAGGUAGAGGUGGAUCAUAUUCAGUCCCAUCAUUAUCAAGAUUCAUAUUGCAAAACAAAGAUUUAAUAGGGGACACAUCAAUAACUUUUAGAUCUUCAUCUUUAUUUUCAUAGAAACUAGAAGAACACGCUUUCACAAAAACAAUCUUUCUUAGCACGCAUCCUAGCGGUUCUUUCUUUGCACUCAUCAAUGGAAAUUCUCAUGGCCUUGAGAGACUCAUUGAUAUCAUGCUUAGGAGAAAUUCUAUCAGUGUUCCUAGCCAAUUCAUCAACUUUAAGCAAUUUUUCUUCAAGCAAAGCAUUGAAAUUCAUUUGCGAAUUCAUAAAUUCUUUAACACUAGUCUCAAAUUAAGAAGGCAUCUUAUUAAAAUUUCCAUAAUAAUUGUUGUAGGAAUUACCAUAAUUAUUAGAGGAAUUACUGGGAUACGGCCUUGGAUUAAAGUUUCCUCUAUACGCGUUGUUACCAAAAUUAUUCCGACCAACAAAAUUCACAUCCAUGAAGGAAAUAUGCCCUAGAGGAAAUAAUAAAGUUAUUAUUUAUUUCCUUAUAUCAUGAUAAAUGUUUAUUAUUCAUGAUAGAAUUGUAUUAACCGGAAACAUAAUACAUGUGUGAAUACAUAGACAAACAGAGUGUCACUAGUAUGCCUCUACUUGACUAGCUCGUUAAUCAAAGAUGGUUAUGUUUUCUAGCCAUAGACAUGAGUUGUCAUUUGAUUAACGGGAUCACCUCAUUAGGAGAAUGACGUGAUUGACUUGACCCAUUCCAUUAGCUUAGCACUCGAUCGUUUAGUAUGUUGCUAUUGCUUUCUUCAUGACUUAUACAUGUUCCUAUGACUACGAGAUUAUGCAACUCCCGUUUACCGGAGGAACACUUUGUGUGCUACCAAACGUCACAACGUAACUGGGUGAUUAUAAAGGUGCUCUACAGGUGUCUCCAAAGGUACCUGUUGGGUUGGCGUAUUUCGAGAUUAGGGUUUGUCACUCCGAUUGUCGGAGAGGUAUCUCUGGGCCCACUCGGUAAUGCACAUCACCAUAAGCCUUGCAAGCAUUGUGACUAAUGAGUUAGUUGCGGGGUGAUGUAUUACGGAACGAGUAAAGAGACUUGCCGAUAACGAGAUUGAACUAGGUAUCAAGACACCGACGAUCGAAUCUUGGGCAAGUAACAUACCGAUGACAAAGGGAACAACGUAUGUUGUUAUGCGGUCUGACCGAUAAAGAUCUUCAUAGAAUAUGUGGGAACCAAUAUGGGAAUCCAGGUUCCGCUAUUGGUUAUUGACCGGAGAAGUGUCUCGGUCAUGUCUACAUAGUUCUCAAACCCGUAGGGUCCGCACGCUUAAAGUUACGAUGACAAUUAUAUUAUGAGUUUAUAUGUUUUGAUGCACUGAAGGUUGUUCGGAGUCCCGGAUGUGAUCACGGACAUGACGAGGAGUCACGAAAUGGUCGAGACAUAAAGAUUGAUAUAUUGGACGACUAUAUUCGGACACGGAAGUGUUCCAGAGAAGUUUCGGAUAAAACUGGCGUGCCGGAGGGGUUACCGGAACCCCCCGGGGAAGUAUUGGGCCUUAGUGGGCCUUGAGGGGAGAGAGAGGGCAGCAUCCAGGAGGUGGCGCCCCCCCUCCCAUGAGGAGUCCUAAUUGGACUAGGAGAGGGGGGCGCAGCCCCUCUUUCCCUCUCCCUCUCCCUCUCCCUCUCUUUCCUUCCCCCCUCUCUUCCUAGUUGGACUAGGAAAGGGGAGUCCUACUCCUACUAGGAGGAGGACUCCCCCCCUCUCCUUGGCGCGCCCAAGGCAGCCGGCCUCCCCCUUGCUCCUUUAUAUACGGGGGUAGGGGGGCACCUCUAGACACACUUGAUAUACGAUAUUUUAGCCGUGUGCGGUGCCCCCUCCACCAUAUUACACCUCGAUAAUACCGUUGCGGAGCUUAGGCGAAGCCCUGCGUCGGUGGAACAUCAUCAUCGUCACCACGCCGUCGUGCUGACGAAACUCUCCCUCAACACUCGGCUGGAUCGGAGUUCGAGGGAUGUCAUCGAGCUGAACGUGUGCUGAACUCGGAGGUGCCGUGCGUUCGGUACCUGAUCGGUCGGAUCAUGAAGACGUACGACUACAUCAACCGCGUUGUGAUAACGCUUCCGCUGUCGGUCUACGAGGGUACGUGGACAACACUCUCCCCUCUUGUUGCUAUGCAUCACCAUGAUCUUGCGUGAGCGUAGGAAAUUUUUUGAAAUUAAUACGUUCCCCAACAGUGGUAUCAGAGCCUGAUUUUAUGCGUUGAUGUUAUGCACGAGUAGAACACAAGUGAGUUGUGGGCGAUAUAAGUCAUACUGCUUACCAGCAUGUCAUACUUUGGUUCAGCGUUAUUGUGAGAUGAAGCGGCCCGGACCGACAUUACGCGUACGCUUACGCGAGACUGGUUUCACCGUUGCGAGAACUCGUUGCUUAAAGGUGACUGGCGGGUGUCUGUUUCUCUCACUUUAGUUGAACCGAGUGUGGCUACGCCCGGUCCUUGCGAAGGUUAAAACAACACCAACUUGACAAACUAUCGUUGUGGUUUUGAUGCGUAGGUAAGGACGGUUCUUGCUAAGCCCGUAGCAGCCACGUAAAACUUGCAACAACAAAGUAGAGGACGUCUAACUUGUUUUUGCAGGGCAUGUUGUGAUGUCAUAUGGUCAAGACAUGAUGCUAUAUUUUAUUGUAUGAGAUGAUCAUGUUUUGUAACCGAGUUAUCGGCAACUGGCAGGAGCCAUAUGGUUGUCGCUUUAUUGUAUGCAAUGCAAUCGCCAUGUAAUUGUUUUACUUUAUCACUAAGCGGUAGCGAUAGUCGUAAAAGCAAUAAGUUGGCGAGACGACAACGAUACUACGAUGGAGAUCAAGGUGUCGCGCCGGUGACGAUGGUGAUCAUGACGGUGCUUCGGAGAUGGAGAUCACGAGCACGGUGCUUCGGAGAUGGAGAUCACAAGCACAAGAUGAUGAUGGCUAUAUCAUAUCACUUAUAUUGAUUGCAUGUGAUGUUAAUCUUUUAUGCAUCUUAUCUUGCUUUGAUUGACGGUAGCAUUAUAAGAUGAUCUCUCACUAAAAUUUCAAGAUAAAAGUGUUCUCCCUGAGUAUGCACCGUUGCGAAAAUUCUUCGUGCUGAGACACCACGUGAUGAUCGGGUGUGAUAGGCUCUACGUUCAAAUACAAUGGGUGCAAAACAGUUGCACACGCAGAAUACUCAGGUUAAACUUGACGAGCCUAGCAUAUGCAGAUAUGGCCUCGGAACACGGAGACCCAAAGGUCGAGCGUGAAUCAUAUAGUAGAUAUGAUCAACAUAGUGAUGUUCACCGUUGAAACUACUCCAUCUCACGUGAUGAUCGGACAUGGUUUAGUUGAUAUGGAUCACGUGAUCACUUAGAGGAUUAGAGGGAUGUCUAUCUAAGUGGGAGUUCUUAAAUAAUAUGAUUAAUUGAACUUAAAUUUAUCAUGAACUUAGUCCUGAUAGUAUUUUUGCAAAUUAUGUUGUAGAUCAAUAGCUCGCGUUGUUGCUUCCCUGUGUUUAUUUUUGAUAUGUUCCUAGAGAAAAUUAUGUUGAAAGAUGUUAGUAGCAAAGAUGCGGAUUGGAUCCGUGAUCUGAGGAUUAUCCUCAUUGCUGCACAGAAGAAUUAUGUCCUUGAUGCACCGCUAGGUGACAGACCUAUUGCAGUAGCAGAUGCAGACGUUAUGAACGUUUGGCUAGCUCAAUAUGAUGACUACUUGAUAGUUUAGUGCACCAUGCUUAACGGCUUAGAAUCGGGACUUCAAAGACGUUUUGAACGUCAUGGACCAUAUGAGAUGUUCCAGGAGUUGAAGUUAAUAUUUCAAGCAAAUACCCAAGUUGAGAGAUAUGAAGUCUCCAACAAGUUCUAUAGCUAAAAGAUGGAGGAGAAUAGCUCAAGCAGUGAGCAUGUGCUCAGAUUGUCUGGGUACUACAAUCGCUUGAAUCAAGUGGGAGUUAAUCUUCUAGAUAAAAUAGUGAUUGACAGAAUUCUCUAGUCACCAUCACCAAGUUAGUAGAACUUCGUGAUGAACUAUAGUAUGCAAGGGAUGACGAAAGUAAUUCCCGAGCUCUUCGUGAUGCUGAAAUUGACGAAGGUAGAAAUCAAGAAAAACAUCAAGUGUUGAUGGUUGACGAGACCACUAGUUUCAAGAAAAGGGCAAAGGGAAGAAGGGGAACUUCAAGAAGAACGGCAAGCAAGUUGCUGCUCAAGUGAAGAAGCCUAAGUCUGGUCCUAAGCCUGAGACUAAGUGCUUCUACUGCAAAGGGACUGGUCACUGGAAGCGGAAUUACCCCAACUAUUUGGUGGAUAAGAAGGAUGGCAAAGUGAACAACGGUAUAUUGGAUAUACAUGUUAUUGAUGUGUACUUUACUAGUGUUUAUAGCAACCCCUCGGUAUUUGAUACUGGUUCAGUUGCUAAAGUAGUAACUCGAAACGGGAGUUGCGGAAUAAACAGAGACUAGUAAAAGGCGAGGUGACGAUGUGUGUUGGAAGUAGUUCCAGGAUUGAUAUGAUCAUCAUCGCACAGUCCCUAUACUUUCGGGAUUAGUGUUGAAACUAAAUAAGUGUUAUUUGGUGUUUGCGUUGAGCAUGAAUAUGAUUUGAUCAUGUUUGUUGCAAUACGGUUGUUCAUUUAAAUUAGAGAAUAAUUGUUGUUCUGUUUACAUGAAUAAAACCUUCUAUGGUCAUACACCCAAUAAAAUGGUUUGUUGGAUCUCGAUCGUAGUGAUACACAUAUUCAUAAUAAUGAAGCCAAAAGAUGCAAAGUUAAUAAUGAUAGUGCAACUUAUUUGUGGCACUGCCGUUUAGGUCAUAUUGGUGUAAAGUGCAUGAAGAAACUCCAUACUGAUGGGAUUUUGGAAUCACUUGAUUAUGAAUCACUUGAUGCUUGCGAACCGUGCCUCAUGGGCAAGAUGACUAAAACGCCGUUCUCCGGAACUAUGUGGAGAGCAACAGAUUUGUUGGAAAUCAUACAUACAGAUGUAUGUGGUCCGAUGAAUAUUGAGGCUCGUAGCAGGUAUCAUUAUUUUCUGACCUUCACAGAUGAUUUGAGCAGACAUGGGUAUAUCUACUUAAUGAAACAGAAGUCUGAAACAUUUGAAAAGUUCAUAUAAUUUCAGAGUGAAGCGGAAAAUCAUCGUAACAAGAAAAUAAAGUUUCUACGAUCUGAUCGUGGAGAAGAGUAUUUGAGUUACGAGUUUGGCCUUCAGUUAAAACAAUGUGAAAUAGUUUCACUACUCACGCCACCUGGAACACCACAGCAUAAUGGUGUGUCCGAACGUCAUAACCGUACUUUAUUGGAUAUAGUGCAACCUAUGAUGUUUCUUACCGAUUUACCACUAUAGUUUUGGGGUUAUGCAUUAGAGACAGCUACAUUCACGUAAAAAAAAGGGGGCACCAUCUAAAUCCGUUUGAGAUGACACCGUAUGAACUGUGGUUUGGCUAGAACCCAAAGUUGUCGUUUCUUAAAGUUUGGGGUUGCGAUGCUUAUAAGAAAAAGUUUCAUCCUGAUAAGCUCAAACCCAAAUCGGAGAAAUGUGUCUUCAUAGGAUACCCAAAGGAGAAAGUUGGGUACACCUUCUAUCACAGAUCCGAAGGCAAGACAUUCGUUGCUAAGAAUGGAUCCUUUCUAGAGAAGGAGUUUCUCUCGAAAGAAGUGAGUGGGAGGAAAGUAGAACUUGAUGAGGUAACUGUACCUGCUCCCUUAUUGGAAAGUAGUUCAUCACAGAAAUCUGUUCCUGUGACUACUACACCAAUUAGUGAGGAAGCUAAUGAUGAUGAUCAUGUAACUUCAAAUCAAGUUACUACCGAACCUCGUAGGUAAACCAGAGUGAGAUCCACACCAGAGUGGUACGGUAAUCCUGUUCUGGAGGUCAUGUUACCUGACCAUGAUGAACCUACGAACUAUGAGGAAGCGAUGAUGAGCCCAGAUUCCGAGAAACGGCUUGAGGCCAUGAAAUCUGAGAUAAGAUCCAUAUAUGAGAACAAAGUAUGGACUUUGGUUGACUUGCCCGAUGAUCGGCAAGCCAUAGAAAAUAAAUGGAUCUUCAAGAGGAAGACGGACGCUUAGUGUUACUAUCUACAAAGCUAGAAUUGUCGCAAAAGGUUUUCGACAAGUUUAAGGUGUUGACUACGAUGAGAGUUUCUCACUCGUAUCUAUGCUUAAGUCUGUCCGAAAUAUGUUAGCAAUUGCCGCAUUUUAUGAAAUCUGGCAAAUGGAUAAACAAAACUGCAUUCCUUAAUGGAUUUAUUAAAGAAGAGUUGUAUAUGAUGCAACCAGAAGGUUUUGUCAAUCCUAAAAGUGUUAACAAAAUAUGCAAGCUCCAGCGAUCCAUCUAUGGACUGGUGCAAGCAUCUCGGAGUUGGAAUAUACGCUUUGAUAUGUUGUUCAAAGGAUAUAGUUUUAUACAAACUUGCGGUGAAGCAUGUAUUUACAAGAAAGUGAGUGGGAGCACUACAACAUUUCUGAUAAGUAUAUGUGAAUGACAUAUUGUUGAUCGGAAAUAAUGUAGAAUUAUUCUUAUAAGCAUAAAGGAGUGUUUGAAAUGAGCUUUUCAAAGAAAGACUUCGGUGAAGCUGCUUACAUAUUGAGCAUCAAGAUCUAUAGAGAUAGAUCAAGACGCUUGAUAAGUUUUUUCAAUGAGUACAUACCUUAACAAGAUUUUGAAGUAGUUCAAAAUAGAACAAUCAAAGAAAGAGUUGUUGGCUGUGUUACAAGGUGUGAAAUUGAGUAAGACUCAAAGCCCGACCACGGCAGAAGAUAGAAAAAGAAUGAAAGUCGUUCCCUAUGCCUUGGCCAUAGGUUCUAUAAAGUAUGCCAUGUUGUGUACCAGAUCUAUUCUAUACCCUACACUGAUUUUAGCAAGGGAGUACAAUAGUGAUCUAGGAGUAGAUCACUAGACAGCGGUCAAAAUUAUCCUGAGGAAUAAGGAUAUGUUUCUCGAUUAUGGAAGUGACAAAAGGUUCAUCGUAAUGGGUUACGUCGAUGCAAGUUUUGACACUAAUCUAGAUGACUCUAAGUCUCGGUCUAGAUAUAUAUUGAAAGUGGGAGCAAUUAGCUAGAGUAGCUCCGUGCAGAGCAUUGUAGACAUAGAAAUUUGCAAAAUACUUACGGAUCUGAAUGUGACAGACCCGUUGACUAAAAUUAUCUCACAAGCAAAACAUGAUAUCACCUUAGUACUCUUUGGGUGUCAAUCACAUAGCGAUGUGAACUAGAUUACUGACUCUAGUAAACCCUUUGGGUGUUGGUCACAUGACGAUGUGAACUAUGGGUAUUAAUCACAUGGUGAUGUGAACUAUUGAUGUUAAAUCACAUGGCGAUGUGAACUAGAUUAUUGACUCUAGUGCAAGUGGGAGACUGAAGUAAAUAUGCCCUAGAGGCAAUAAUAAAGUUAUUAUUUGUUUCCUUAUAUCAUGAUAAAUGUUUAUUAUUCAUGCUAGAAUUGUAUUAACCGGAAACAUAAUACAUGUGUGAAUACAUAGACAAACAAAGUGUCACUAGUAUGCCUCUACUUGACUAGCUCGUGAAUCAAAGAUGGUUAUGUUUCCUAGCCAUAGACAUGAGUUGUCAUUUGAUUAACGGGAUCACCUCACUAGGAGAAUGACGUGAGUGACUUGACCCAUUCCAUUAGCUUAGCACUCAAUCGUUUAGUAUGUUGCUAUUGCUUUCUACAUGACUUAUACAUGUUGCUAUGACUAUGAGAUUAUGCAACUCCCGUUUACCGGAGGAACACUUUGUGUGCUACCAAACGUCACAACGUAACUGGGUGAUUAUAAGGGUGCUCUACUGGUGUCUCCAAAGGUACUUGUUGGGUUGGCGUAUUUCGAGAUUAGGAUUUGUCACUCCGAUUGUCGCAGAGGUAUCUCUGGGCCCAAUCGGUAAUGCACAUCACUAUAAGCCUUGCAAGCAUUGUGACUAAUGAGUUAGUUGCGGGAUGAUGUAUUACGGAACGAGUAAAGAGACUUGCCGGUAACGAGAUUGAACUAGGUAUCGAGAUACCGAAGAUCGAAUCUCGGGCAAGUAACAUACCGAUGACAAAGGGAACAACGUAUGUUGUUAUGCGGUCUGACCGAUAAAGAUCUUCGUAGAAUAUGUGGGAACCAAUAUGAGCAUCUAGGUUCCGCUAUUGGUUAUUGACCGGAGAAGUGUCUCGGUCAUGUCUACAUAGUUCUCGAACCCGUAUGGACCCACGCUUAAAGUUACGAUGACAGUUAUAUUAUGAGUUUAUAUGUUUUGAUGUACCGAAGGUUGUUCGGAGUCCCGGGUGUGAUCGCGGACAUGACGAGGAGUCACGAAAUGGUCGAGACAUAAAGAUUGAUAUAUUGGACGACUAUAUUCGGACACCGGAAGUGUUCCGGAGAAGUUUCGGAUAAAACCGGAGUGCCGGAGGGGUUACCGGAACCCCCCGGGGAAGUAUUGGGCCUUAGUGGGCCUUGAGGGGAGAGAGAGGGCAGCAGCCAGGAGGUGGCGCGCCCCCUCCCAUGAGGAGUCCUAAUUGGACUAGGAGAGGGGGGCGCAACCCCUCUUUCCCUCUCCCUCUCCCUCUCUUUCCUUCCCCCCCUCUCUUCCUAGUUGGACUAGGAAAGGGGAGUCCUACUCCUACUAGGAGGAGGACUCCCCCCCUCUCCUUGGCGCGCCCAAGGCAGCCGGCCUCCCCCUUGCUCCUUUAUAUACGGGGGCAGGGGGGCACCUCUAGACACACUUGAUAUACGAUAUUUUAGCCAUGUGCGGUGCCCCCCUCCACCAUAUUACACCUCGAUAAUACCGUUGCGGAGCUUAGGCGAAGCCCUGCGUCGGUGGAACAUCAUCAUCGUCACCACGCCGUCGUGCUGACAAAACUCUCCCUCAACACUCGGCUGGAUCGGAGUUCGAGGGACGUCAUCGAGCUGAACGUGUGCUGAACUCGGACGUGCCGUGCGUUCGAUACUUGAUCGGUCGGAUCGUGAAGAUGUACGACUACAUCAACCGCGUUGUGAUAACGCUUCUGCUGUCGGUCUACGAGGGUACGUGGACAACACUCUCCCCUCUCGUUGCUAUGCAGCACCAUGAUCUUGCGUGUGCGUAGGAAUUUUUUUGAAAUUACUACAUUCCCCAACAAUCCAUAGAUUCAUUAUUAUUCUCAAUCGAAGUAGAAAAAGGCAUAUCAUUAGGAUCAGAAGAAACACUUUUAUUAGCAAAUAAUUUCAUAAGUUCAUCCAUCUUUCCACUCAAAACAUUAAUUUCUUCUAUCGCAUGCACUUUUUUAUUAGUGGAUCUUUCGGUGUGCCAUUGAGAAUAAUUAACCAUAAUAUUAUCUAGGAGUUUAGUAGCUUCUCCUAAAGUGAUUUCCAUAAAAGUGCCUCCGCGGCCGAAUCUAAAGACUUCUAGAAGAAAAAUUCAAUCUGGCAUAAAUUUUUUGUAUAAUCAUCCACAAAUUCAAACCAUGAGUAGGGCAAUUACGUAUCAUUAAUUUCAUCCUCCCGCAAGCUUGUCCAACAUGUUCAUGAUCAAGUUGCUUAAAAUUCAUAAUAUCGUUUCUAAGAGAGAUGAUCUUAGCGGGAGGAAAAUACAUAGAGAUAAAAGCAUCUUUGCACUUAUUUCAAGAAUCACUACUAUUUUUAGGCAAAGACGAAAACCAAGCUUUAGCACGAUCUCUAAGCGAAAAAGGAAAUAGCUUCAAUUUAACAAUAUCAUUGUCCACAUCUUUCUUCUUUUGCAUAUCACACAAAUCAACGAAGCUGUCUAGAUGGGUAGCGGCAUCUUCACUAGGAAGGCCGGGGAAUUGAUCUUUCAUGACAAGAUUCAACAAAGCGGCAUUAAUUUCACAAGAUUCAGUAUCGGUAAGAGGAGCAAUCGGAGUGCUAAGAAAAUCAUUGUUGUUGGUAUUGGUAAAGUCACACAAUUUAGUAUUAUCUUGAGCCAUCGUGACAAGCAAGCAAUCCAACACACGAGCAAACAAGAAGCAAGCGAAAAAGAGGCGAACAGAAAGAGAGGGCGAAUAAAACGGCAAGGGUGAAGUGGGGGAGAGGAAAACGAGAGGCAAAUGGCAAAUAAUGUAAUGCGGGAGAUAAGGGUCUGUGAUGGGUACUUGGUAUGUUGACUUUUGCGUAGACUCCCCGACAACGGCGCCAGAAAUCCUUCUUGCUACCACUUGAGCACUGCGUUGGUUUUCCCUUGAGGAGGAAAGGGUGAUGCAGUAAAGCAGCGUAAGUAUUUCCCUCUGUUUUUGAGAACCAAGGUAUCAAUCCAGUAGGAGGCCACGCACGAGUCCCUCGCACCUACACAAACAAAUAAAAUCCUCACAACCAACGCAAUAAAGGGGUUGUCAAUCCCUUCACGGUCACUUACGAAAGUGAGAUCUGAUAGAUAUGAUAAGAUAAUAUUUUUGGUAUUUUUAUGAUAAAGAUGCAACGUAAAGAAAGCAAAAUAAAAACAGCGCCAGAAAUAGCUUGUUGACGGGAGAUUAAAUAUGAUGGAAAAUAGACCUGGGGGCCAUAGGUUUCACUACUGGCUUCUCUCGAGAGCAUAAGUAUUACGGUGGGUAGACAAAUUACUGUUGAGCAAUUGACAGAAUUGAGCAUAGUUAUGAAAAUAUCUAGGUAUGAUCAUGUAUAUAGGCAUCACGUCCGAGACAAGUAGACCGACUCCUGCCUGCAUCUACUACUAUUACUCCACACAUCGACCGCUAUCCAGCAUGCAUCUAGAGUAUUAAGUUCAAAAGAACAGAGUAACGCUUUAAGUAAGAUGACAUGAUGUAGAGGGAUAAACUCAUGCAAUAUGAUAUAAACCCCAUCUUGUUAUCCUCGAUGGCAACAAUACAAUACGUGCCUUGCUGCCCCUACUGUCACUGGGAAAGGACACCGCAAGAUUGAACCCAAAGCUAAGCACUUCUCCCAUUGCGAGAAAGAUCAAUCUAGUAGGGCAAACCAAACCGAUAAUUCGAAGAGACUUGCAAAGAUAACCAAUCAUACAUAAAAGAAUUCAGAGAAGAUUCAAAUAUUGUUCAUAGAUAAACUUGAUCAUAAACCCACAAUUCAUCGGUCUCAACAAACACACCGCAAAAGAAGAUUACAUCGAAUAGAUCUCCACAAGAGAGGGGGAGAACAUUGUAUUGAGAUCCAAAAAGAAAGAAGAAGCCAUCUAGCUAAUAACUAUGGACCCGAAGGUCUGAGGUAAACUACUCACACAUCAUCGAGAGGCUAUGGUGUUGAUGUAGAAGCCCUCCAUGAUCGAUGCCCCCUCCGGCGGAGCUCCGGAAAAGGCCCCAAGAUGGGAUCUCACGGGUACAGAAGGUUGCGGCAGUGGAAUUAGAUUUUUGGCUCCGUAUCUGGUAGUUUGGGGGUACGUAGGUAUAUAUAGGAGGAAGAAGUACGUCGGUGGAGCAACGUCGGCCCCACGAGGGUGGAGGGCGUGCCCGGGGGGUAGGCGCGCCCCCUACCUCGUGCCUUACUGGUAGCUUUCUUGACGUAGGGUCCAAGUCCUCUGGAUCACGUUCGUUCCGAAAAUCACGUUCCCGAAGGUUUCAUUCCAUGGAACAAUAAAAAAAUAUAGAUACGUUGGAGACGUAUCAGUGCAUGUUAGACGUAGAAAAUUUUCAAGGCUGUAAGAGGAAGUUAUCUCCCGUUCAUCAUCAAACAUGCAUUGUUCCCUCUCGGAACCACGAACCUUCUAGGGAGUUGCUCCGGUUUGUGAGGGGUGUGUGUCCAAACUUUCGUCAAACAUGCCAAUUUCUUUACCACAUCAUCUUGGUGGCUUGACAUUAAAUCAAGCAAGGUUUCAUGUUUUCUGAUCAUUUUUUAAUUUUUUGGAAUUAAAAUGCCAUGGCAUGCACUCCAUGCAUGUGCCCAUGCCUUGACACCAAUAUGUUUGAAAAUUCCUUCUAAUUUACUGCCCAUCGAAUUAACUCGCACACAAGUACACAAAAAUAUUAUUUUUCAAACCGUUAUGGUAAGGCGUUGCAUGUAGAUGUAGUUCAAAUUUGAAUUACCGUCAUUGAAUGGUUGGAAAAUCACUUAAAUGUCUUUAAAAGGUCAAAUGACCCCUGAAAUUUACCAAAUUUUCACAUGACAGUUGUAUUAGUGCACGUUAAAAGUAGGAAAAAAUGGCCGUAAGAGGAAGUUAUCUCCCGUUCGUCAUCAAACAUGCAUUGUUCCCUCUCGGAACCACGAACCUUCCAGUGAGUUGCUCUGGUUUGUGAGGGGUGUGUGUCCAAACGUUCGUCAAACAUGCCAAUUUCUUUACCACAUCAUCUUGGUGGCAUGACAUUACAUCAACUAAGGUUUCAUAUGUUUUUGAUCAUUUUUAUAUUUUUUUGAAUUAAAAUGCCAUGUCACUCCAUGCAUACGUAUGCAUGUGUCCAUGCCGUGAGACCCAUAUGUUUGAAAAUUCGUUCUAAUUUACUGCACAUGGAAUAAACUCGCACACACGUACAUAGAUAUGAUUUUUCACACUGUUUCGGAUAGGCGUUGCAUAUAAAUGUAGUUCAAAUUUGAAUUAUGGUCAUUAAAUAUGUAGCGACCCGACCUCAGACGGUCAAGUCUCUGUGCUCAAGUGUCAUCCCUGGAUCGGUAUGCUGACACACAUAGUACUGGAGGAUUUAUAACAGAGGUAAAUCACAUGUAUAAAGUAAUGUAAAUACUAUUACCUCAAUCCAAAUAGCGGAAGUAACAACAAGGUUGUGGAUUCCCAUCAACACCAACGGCAAAGUUGAGUGUAGAAAUCGUAACCCUAACGUAUCACUUACUCGUCGUAAGAAUCCUGCAACAUGAGACGUUGCAGCCACAAAGGGUCAGUACAUUGAAUGUACUGGCAAAUUCACACCAUAGAGAAAUUAUGAACAAUGGCUAUCACUACAUGCAUAUAUGGCUGGUGGAAAAGCUCUAUGGUUAUAAUGUUUUUGCGAAAAGCCAAUUUUUCCCUACUGCAAAGGAAUAUAUUUUAUUUAACUACAAAGUUUGUUGAAAAAUAUUGAGAAGGUAAACCCCCUCUCAAUCCCAAUUAAAAGUAAUCAUUAACAACCCAACAAAUUAAGAUUAAAAGUGAUGAGAUCAACAUGAUAAUCCCAGAACCAGAUACUCAAGAUGUCCAUAACCGGGGACACGGCUAACCAUGAUUAGUUUGUACACUCUCUAGAGGUUUGCGCACUUUUCCCCACAAGACUCGAUCUCCUCCGUUUGAUUUCUCGCACUACAUGGUGUUUGAGAAACGGAUGACCGAGACACAGUCUUUCAGAAGCGUUAGCACCUUACGAUGGGUAGACAGUUACACCUACUUUCCCCUACAUCUGCUAGUCUACCACUGUAAGAGUUCACACGACUUAAUAAACUAUGCUAGAGCCCAUAAUAGCUUGUGGCUGCACACGGAAGUUUCUAGUAUGAAUAAUCUCAUGAUCCCUUUGAGCCUGGGUGGCAGUCCAUAGGAGAAUCACACGGUACCCCGGGAUUUCAAAAAAAUACAGGCAAUCACUGGAAUUCCCCAGGUGCAUCAAUCCACCCAGAUGUGUAUCGAAGUUGCCACCUUAAGUUGAACCAUUACUUAACAAUACUCACAUCUAUCAUGAAUACUCUCAAACCCAAUCCACGUCAACGAGCAUAGCAUGGCAAUAUAAGCAUAACGUAAUAGUAACUCCCAAGGUUUGAAUGCAGGGCAAUAGGUUCCUACCUCAUCAACUACUUCCCAAUACCCACAUGUUAUCAAUUCCUAACCAUGCAAUUUUUGAGGGUGAAACUAAUGCAUAAAAACUGGGUAUGAAAGGGAUAUGAUCAAAGUGUGAACUUGCCUGCAAUGUUGAUGAAGAUGAUUCGCACUCAUAACUAUUGAUAGUUCUACUCGGCACACUCCGGUCAAUCUAUCGUGAGCAAGCAAUAGUAACCACACAUAAGCAAUCACUCAAAAGAUCGGAAAGAGCGAAGAAUACGAUUCAGAAAACAUCAAAACCAAGCAAACAACUCUUGCAACAUAAAACAAUUUCUAACAGUACCAAAAUUAUGUGAAUUUGGCCUUAUCACAAAGUUUAGGUCACGAGCUUCGAUAAGCAAAAAGAAUCAACUAAAUCGGAGCUACGAAACUCAAGUUAUGAUCAAAAGAAUAUUCAAAUUCAAAUGUGUUUGAAACAAAUUUUAAAUUUUCAAAAACAUGUUUAAGUUGUUUACCUGGAUAGAGGGGAUCAUAACAAAGACGUGGGCGUUGGUUUCGUUGGAUUUGGAUAAACGAGUAAAAAGAUGUGGUCGUUUGAAGAUCAGGGACUGAACUGUGAAUAAAAUAUUCACGGAUGGGUCCCUGGCCGAAAACUAAAAUAAAAAGAAAAAUCCUAUCGAACGAAUGUUCGCUACAGAACGCUAACGAACGAAAACCGUUCACUACAGAACCCUAACUAACGAACGCUCGCAAAAAAAUAAAAACCUAAAUAAUAAACCGAUCUAAAAGAAUAAAACCGAAGAAAAAUCGGGGUGGUUUAAAUUGGUUUAUACCGGUUCAAGGGAAAUAAACCGAAGGCGGCGGUUACUCCGGCGAGACGACGGCUCCGGCGAGUGCGAGCGUCGGCGGCUGCGCGAGGCGGCGGCGCUGGCGGCUAGCGGUGGCGAGGACGGCGGCNNNNNNNNNNNNNNNNNNNNNNNNNNNNNNNNNNNNNNNNNNNNNNNNNNNNNNNNNNNNNNNNNNNNNNNNNNNNNNNNNNNNNNNNNNNNNNNNNNNNNNNNNNNNNNNNNNNNNNNNNNNNNNNNNNNNNNNNNNNNNNNNNNNNNNNNNNNNNNNNNNNNNNNNNNNNNNNNNNNNNNNNNNNNNNNNNNNNNNNNNNNNNNNNNNNNNNNNNNNNNNNNNNNNNNNNNNNNNNNNNNNNNNNNNNNNNNNNNNNNNNNNNNNNNNNNNNNNNNNNNNNNNNNNNNNNNNNNNNNNNNNNNNNNNNNNNNNNNNNNNNNNNNNNNNNNNNNNNNNNNNNNNNNNNNNNNNNNNNNNNNNNNNNNNNNNNNNNNNNNNNNNNNNNNNNNNNNNNNNNNNNNNNNNNNNNNNNNNNNNNNNNNNNNNNNNNNNNNNNNNNNNNNNNNNNNNNNNNNNNNNNNNNNNNNNNNNNNNNNNNNNNNNNNNNNNNNNNNNNNNNNNNNNNNNNNNNNNNNNNNNNNNNNNNNNNNNNNNNNNNNNNNNNNNNNNNNNNNNNNUUAAAUAAUGGGAGGGGGCGACGGGUGGCGUGGAGGAGGGGUCAAGGGGAGAGGCAGCGAGGAGGAGUCCGCGGCGCGGAUGGCUCAGACGCCGAGGCGGCGGCGGUGGCGUGCGGGAUCCGGCCUCCUGCGUGAGAUCGGGGACGGCGCGACCGGGCUGGGCUAGGCCUGGCCCGGUUGGGUGCUGGGCCGGCCCAGUCGGCGAAGAAGAAUUUUUUUUAAAACACUGGCAAACAAAAUAAAUAAAACAAAGGAAAAAAUAUAUAUAUUAUAUAGGCAUAUAAUAUAUCAAAAUUUUCAGAAAAAGAUUUUCUACAAGAUGAACAUUUUCCUAACGUCAAAUAAACUCCACACAAACUCAAAUAAUUCAAAGAGUCCUACUACCCUACUAAAAUCCAAUAAAAUUAUUUUAAAAAUACCAAAAGGAUUUCAAACUUAUUUAUCUCCAAUUUUCUGAUGUAGGGAAUCAUGUUACCCUAUUUUCCAUAUAUUUUAUUUUUGGAGAAAAACAAUUCGAAUAAAACUCAAAUAACUCCAAAUUAAAAAUAAAUUCAAAAAGGACUUUAAAUUUGAUCAUUGAAACUCCCAUCUCAUAUUUCAUGAAGAAGUCAUUUUAUCUUCUCUCGUGAAAAUCAUUGAGUUGCAUAAAGUUUCUGAAUUGGAAAAUAUUUCCAAAUGGAAUUCAAAUAUUUUUCGAACACCCUUUUCAUUUAUUUAAAUGGAAGAUGUCAUGUCAUCUACUCUCCAGGGUUUUGAAUUUUGAAAAGAAUUUGAAUUCACGAAGAUCAUAAAUGCAAAAAUGAAAGUUUGGGAAAGUCCUUUUAUUCCCUCUCAUUUAAUUUUCAAAAAGUUCGAAUUUCAAUCACUUUCAGUCAAUCAUUCACACAACAAUCAAACAAUCAAUCAAAUCUAUCUAUUUAUCAUAACAUUCCAAAAUUUAGAAUUUUGGGAUGUUAUGAACCUACCACCCUUAAAAUGAAUCUCGUCCUCGAGAUUCGGAGGGGCUAGCAAGAAAUAGGUUAGGUUUGGGGUCUUCUUAAAAUCCAUCGAUCAUCACAGGGGGUCUGGGGUGCUACCACCCUUAGAAACAUCGUUACGGUCCCAUCAAUACUCAUAUACUCCAUCCUUAUUCUUGACAGGGCCGGUCUUCUCAGAUUCUCGAGAUAAUUCCUUCUCUAGGCUCUUCCGGUAGUGGCAUAACCUUUACCACAAUUCUUCUGUCCUUUCAUCUUGGUAAGGUUCUUCCAUGACUGGGUCUUCUUAGCUGACGGGUCUGGCGCCAAAACUAAACAACUAUCGAUAUCUCAUGGUGGUCAUCAAUUUAUGGUUUCUCCUGCAGGAAAUGGGUCUGGUUGAUCCUCACACGGUAGGCAAAAGCUGCCUUGUACAAGGGAAAAAAUACUUAUACCAUUCUAAGGUUUAAACAAGGUUUUGAUCAUCGUCUCUCUACUAUGGGUAAGUCACUCAGAUUUACCAUCCCACAUAGCAAGGCGAAUAAUAAGAGUAAGUUGGUAUGGUGAUCAAUCCAUCCCGCACCCAAAUCUCGCAUUCUAACACUCGGUCAUCCUCACAAGCAUUGCAGAAUUUCUCUUGUCGACGAACCAGGUUCGGAUGAAUCCAUUGAUUCUGCAAGCCAAACAAUCAUCUAUCGUUCCUUCACAACUCUCAGGUUUUGCGUAACUCCUAUAAGAUCGUCUGUCGAUAAAAUCGUAACUCCUUCCAGGGUUUUUCCUUUAGCAAGAGUGUGCUUGCUUCUUCGCAGGUCCUGGGACCUGUGGGUUAUGGCCCAUCUCAUCACUUGUAAACCGUGAACUCAUCAUCUGGGCCAACUGAUCAUUAUCUCAACAUCUAACUUCCAGCUUCCUAGCAUUCUUAAAUCCAUCCAAUUGUACUAUCUUCCUUCCUUCUAUUGGCACCAAACUAGGACAUGAUUACUCAGACUCGUCAUGGAAUUUACAUUGAUCCAUAUUUCCAACAUCAUACCUCCUUUAUGUCCAAUAGUACUUCAUCUCUUCAUAUUCUUGGGGUAUCCAACAUAUCGAGAUAAAACUCGUACUUAUUUUGUCCGAAAUCCACUUCGGGGAAUAACAUCAUUAUCCUUUCCAGGGUCAGGCAUCCUUACAGGGGAAUAUUGGCCAUCUCUGCAUGGCACUCUUCAACUGGGAAACGUGAAACACAUCAUGAACUCCUGACAGUCCUUCGGGUAACUCCAACUUGUAGGCCACUUCUCUCAUACGCUCCAAAACUCGGUAUGGUCCUACAAAUCUCGGGGCUAACUUUUCCUUAACUCCAAAUCGUUUAACUCCUCGCAAAGGUGGCACACGAAGAUAUGAUCUGUCUCUGAUUUCAUAGACUACCUCCUUGCAUUUUGAGUCUACAUAACUCUUCUGCCUGGACCGAGCUACCUUCAGUCUAUCUCGAAUCAACUUAACAUUCUCUUCUGACUCCUUGAUCACAUUUGGUCCAAACAACUGACGGUCUCCAACUUCAUCCCACAUCAACAGUGUCUGGCUCCUUCUCCCAUACAAAGCUUCAAAAGGGGCCAUCUUCAAACAGGCUUGGAAACUGUUGUUGUAUGAGAACUCCGCGUAAGGUAGAUUAUCAUCCUACUAGAUCCAUAAUCUAGCGCACACGCUCUCAACAUGUCCUCCAGAAUCUGAUUGACUCUCUCGGUCUAUCCAUCUGUCUGCGGAUGAAAGGUUGUACUGAACUCUAGCCUAGUACCCAAAGUCUGGUGCAGCUGAUUCCAAAACAUUUUUUUUGACAGAAAGACUGUAAGGGAACCCCUUACAGUAUAAUUGGUGCAACAAACCCAAAUUGCAAGUACCAUGCCUUGAACCUGGGUGGGUGGGAAGGCAUCAGCCCCUUCCCACCACUAGGCUAUGCCUUAGUCUGUUGAUUCCAAAACAUUGAGGUAAACUGUGUUCCUCUAUCUGAUACGAUGGUCCUCAGAACUCCAUGCAGACAUACGAUCCUGUUCAUAUAUAUCUUGGCCAACUUCGCACUUGUAUAGGUGGUUUUCACUGGGAUAAGGUGAGCCACUUUGGUCAAGCGAAUCAACUACUACCCAGAUAGAAUCAUAUCCCGAUCUGGUUCUGAGAAAUCCGGUAAUGAAAUCCAUGCCAAGCUUAUCCCACUUCCAUUCGGGUAUCGGCAUAGGCUGUAGUAAUCCGGCUGGCUUAUGAUGCCCUGCCUUUACUCUCUGGCAUACAUCACCAACGACUACAUACUCCGCAAUAUCCUUCUUCAUACCAGUCCACCAUAAACGCUCCUUCAAAUCCAAAAACAUCUUGGUGUUUCCAGGGCGAAUCGAGUAUGGUGAGUCAUGAGCCUCCUGAAGUAUUAACUUCCCGAUCUUUGCAUUAUUGGGCACAUAUACACGGUCCUCGAGGCAUAAGGUGUCAUGCUCAUCCUUACGAAAUCCUCUGGCCUUUCCUUUCCUCAUCCUCUCUUUUACCUCAGCAAUUUCUUUGUCAUCCUUCUGAGCUUCACGGAUCUUUCCCAACAAUGUAGACUGAACUUCCCUUGCUGCAAGAAAACCUUUGGGAACAAUCUCCAACCGAAGUUCCCUUAGAUCCUCGGCUAACUCCUUUGGUAAUCCUCCGCUUUUGAGGGUAUUCGUCCUUGUUUUCUUAAUGGUUGUGUCCUAUUUCUCCACAAAGCUUGUAUGCACAAGGUUUCUUCAUAUCCUUUCCAUAAGGCCUCAACUUUUGGGACACAAGACGAGAUCUUUGCAGAGUCAGCUUAAAUUCUUCCCAAGUGGUUACUCUUUGCCAUCCAUUGAUGGUUUGGUACAUCCUCCACCAAGUAGCAGCACCUCUUUCAAAACACUGCAGAGCAUGCUGGGUCAUAUCCUUUCUGGCUACAGAGUUAUUCUUCAUGUGAUCCGCCAAGUUCUGAAUCCAUCGGUCCGUCUCCAAUUGACUUAUCGGUCCCGGAACUGUGAGUUCAUCUCCAUUCAUCCUCUAUUGGGUCCAUGGGUUUGGGGUGAGAUAAGAGAGAUAGAGAGGGAUACACACAACACAACCAAUAGUUUUGAAAAGACAAAUUUUUAUUUGUGGCUGUCGGAAAGACAUCAAACAAAUGACAGCUCACAAACGUCGCAUCUAACAUAGGUAUAUAACCGGGUUUGGUAUUCUAAAGGUCAAUAAAUCUUCAACAUCGUCAAACUCUUCAAGUCUUGUUCAUGUCUACGGUGGCUUCUUCCGAUCAUGCUUGUCUUUCGCAAGUCCUUUUGCCAGAUCCUCUCUGUUGACGCGAAGUCUCUCGUGGCUUCCUUUAAUAAUUGCGUUCCAAACUUCUGGAUUUCAACAUCCUUGGCAUGAACUAUAGUCCUACUGUCCUUCAGUUCCUGACGUAUCUCCGGUAUCUUGAGGUUUUGCUCCUCUAGCUUGGCUACUUUCAACUUCUGGGUCCUGAGUUCUUCACGAAACGCUUCCUUAUGAAAUACUGCUUCUUGUAGGUCCAUCUUACCUUCUUGAUGUAACACUCCAGAUCCUGGUGAUACACCGGCUAAGGUUAAAACUUCAUCUUGCUGAUAGGUGCUCCAUCAGCCUUCUGCCAUCCAAUACUUCCAUGCAUAUGCAUGCUUAACUCGGCACGGUGACAAUAGCAUAAGCGGGCGAUAACAUCGUGGAUAGCAGUGUUUCUGCUCUUGUCAUUUCCAUGAGCUAUUUCUCCAUAGUUGAUAUCUCCUGCCUUAGGGUUUUCCUUGACAAAACUUUGUUUUCUAAUGCUCCACGUUCUAGUAUUUCUCCAAUACACCUUGAUAUCGGGCAUUGACGGCUUCCAUAGUCUGCCAACUUCCAUAAGGGUAGCCAUUCCUAGGUCAUACAAAUCCGGGAAUUCCUCAGAGCCUUCAAAUUCUCCUAGUCUUCAGAGUCUUCAACCGUUGUAGUUUCCAUUUACACGGUAAAAUCUUCUUCAUUCCAAAAUGGUCUUAGUUGUCCGAUAUCUUGUACUUCUUGAAGUGGUCUCAUCCGUCGAAUUUUCGAGUGGUCCAAAGGGAAAAGGGGUAUGGUCUCACUUAAAGGGAAUGUUUGAAUAAGCUCAGAAGAGAAGAGAGGUAAAAGAUCUUUUUGAAAAAGAAAGUUCUAGAGAAAAUUCCUUCCUAUGGGCUUGCCAGUUUCUAGGGUCACGUCCUACAGUCAACAUGUGCUCUGAUACCAUCUUGUAGCGACACGACCUCAAACGGUCAAGUCUCUGUGCUUAAGUGUCAUCCCUGGAUCGGUAUGCUAACACACAUAGUACUAGAGGAUUUAUAACAUAGGUAAAUCACAUGUAUAAAGUAACGUAAAUACUAUUACCUCAAUCCAAAUAGCGGAAGUAACAACAAGGUUGUGGAUUCCCAUCAACACCAACGACAAAGUUGAGUGUAGAAAUCAUAACCCUAACAUAUCACUUACUCGUCGUAAGAAUCCUGCAACAUGAGACGUUGCAACCACAAAGGGUCAGUACAUUGAAUGUACUGGCAAAUUCACACCAUAGAGAAAUGAUGAACAAUGGCUAUCACUACAUGCAUAUAUGGCUGGUGGAAAAGCUCUAUGGUUAUAAUGUUUUUGCGAAAAGCCAAUUUUUCCCUACUACAAAGGAAUAUAUUUUAUUUAACUACAAAGUUUGUUGAAAAAUAUUGAGAAGGUAAACCCCCUCUCAAUCCCAAUUAAAAGUAAUCAUUAACAACCCAACAAAUUAAGAUUAAAAGUGAUGAGAUCAACAUGAUAAUCCAAGAACCAGAUACUCAAGAUGUCCAUAACCGGGGACACGGCUAACCAUGAUUAGUUUGUACACUCUGCAGAGGUUUGCGCACUUUUCCCCACAAGACACGAUCUCCUCCGUCUGAUUUCUCGCACUACAUGGUGUUUGAAAAACGGAUGACCGAGACACAGUCUUUCAGAAGCGUUAGCACCUUACGAUGGGUAGACAGUUACACCUACUUUCCCCUACAUCUGCUAGUCUACCACUGUAAGAGUUCACACGACUUAAUCAACUAUGCUAGAGCCCAUAAUAGCUUGUGGCUGCACACGGAAGAUUCUAUUAUGAAUAAUCUCAUGAUCCCUUUGAGCCUGGGUGGCAGUCCAUAGGAGAAUCACACGGUACCCCGGGAUUUCAAAAAAAUACAGGCAAUCACUGGAAUUCCCCAGGUGCCUCAAUCCACCUAGAUGUGUAUUCAAGUUGCCACCUUAAGUUGAACCAUUACUUAACAAUACUCACAUCUGUCAUGAAUACUCUCAAACCCAAUCCACGUCUACGAGCAUAGCAUGGCAAUAUAAGCAUAACGUAAUAGUAACUACCAAGGUUUGAAUGCAGGGAAUAGGUUCCUACCUCAUCAACUACUUCCCAAUACCCACAUGUUAUCAAUUCCUAACCAUGCAAUGUUUGAGGGUGAAACUAAUGCAUAAAAACUGGGUAUGAAAGGGAUAUGAUCAAAGUGUGAACUUGCCUGCAAUGUUGAUGAAGAUGAUUCGCACUCAUAACUCUUGAUAGUUCUACUCGUCACACUCCGGUCAAUCUAUCGUGAGCAAGCAAUAGUAACCACACAUAAGCAAUCACUCAAAAGAUCGGAAAGAACGAAGAAUACGAUUCAGAAAACAUCAAAACCAAGCAAACAACUCUUGCAACAUAAAACAAUUUCUAACAGUACCAAAAUUAUGUGAAUUUGGCCUUAUCAGAAAGUUUAGGUCACGAGCUUCGAUAAGCAAAAAGAAUCAACUAAAUCGGAGCUACGAAACUCAAGUUAUGAUCAAAAGAAGAUUCAAAUUCAAAUAUAUUUGAAACAAAAUUUAAAUUAUCAAAAACAUGUUUAAGUUGUUUAUCUGGAUAGAGGGGAUCAUAACAAAGACGUGGGCGUUGGUUUCGUUGGAUUUGGAUAAACGAGUAAAAAGAUGUGGUCGUUUGAAGAUCAGGGACUGAACUGUGAAUAAAAUAUUCAUGGAUGGGUCCCUGGCCGAAAACUAAAAGAAAAAGAAAAAUCCUAUCGACCGAACGUUCUCUACAGAACGCUAACGAACGAAAACCGUUCACUACAGAACCCUAACUAAUGAACGCUCGCAAAAAAAUAAAAACCUAAAUAAUAAACCGAUCUAAAAGAUAAAACUGAUCUAUAUAAAAAACCGAAGAAAAAUCGGGGUGGUUUAAAUUGGUUUAUACCGGUUCGAGGGAAAUAAACUUAAGGCGGCGGUUACUCCGGCGAGACGACGGCUCCGGCGAGUGCGAGCGUCGGCGGCGGCGCGAGGCGGCGCCGCUGGCGGCUAGCGGUGGCNNNNNNNNNNNNNNNNNNNNNNNNNNNNNNNNNNNNNNNNNNNNNNNNNNNNNNNNNNNNNNNNNNNNNNNNNNNNNNNNNNNNNNNNNNNNNNNNNNNNNNNNNNNNNNNNNNNNNNNNNNNNNNNNNNNNNNNNNNNNNNNNNNNNNNNNNNNNNNNNNNNNNNNNNNNNNNNNNNNNNNNNNNNNNNNNNNNNNNNNNNNNNNNNNNNNNNNNNNNNNNNNNNNNNNNNNNNNNNNNNNNNNNNNNNNGGUAGCGGCGCGAUCCGGCGGCGGCGAGGUGCGGUGCGACGGUGCGGCGAGGAGCGGCAAAGUGCGGCGGCGGCGGCAUGACGCGAGGGCGGCAGCGCGGCUCGGAAAGUGGAGCGGCGUGGAGGAGGGGUCAAGGGGAGAGGCGGCGAGGAGGAGUCCGCGGCGGGGACGGCUCGGACGCCGAGGCGGCGUCGGUGGCGUGCGGGAUCCGGCCUCCUGCGUGAGAUCGGGGACGGCGCGACUGGGCUGGGCUUGGCCUGGCCCGGUUGGGUGGUGGGCCGGCCCCGUCGGCGAAGAAGAUUUUUUUUAAAACACUGGCAAACAAAAUAAAUAAAACAAAGGAAAAAAUAUAUAUAUUAUAUAGGNNNNNNNNNNNNNNNNNNNNNNNNNNNNNNNNNNNNNNNNNNNNNNNNNNNNNNNNNNNNNNNNNNNNNNNNNNNNNNNNNNNNNNNNNAUAUAAUAUAUCAAAAUUUUCAGAAAAAUAUUUUCUACAAGAUGAACAUUUUCCUAACGUCAAAUAAACUCCACACAAACUCAAAUAAUUCAAAGAGUGCUACUGUCUUACUAAAAUCCAAUAAAAAUCAUUUUAAAAAUACCAAAAUGAUUUCAAACUUAUUUAUCUCCAAUUUUCUGAUGUAGGGAAUCAUGUUACCCUAUUUUCCAUAUAUUUUAUUUUUGGAGAAAAACAAUUCGAAUAAAACUCAAAUAACUCCAAAUUAAAAAUAAAUUCAAAAAGGACUUUAAAUUUGAUCUUUGAAACUCCCAACUUAUAUUUCAUAAUUUGAAGAAGUCAUUUUAUCUUCUCUGGUGAAAGUCAUUGAGUUGCAUAAAGUUUCUGAAUUGGAAAAUAUUUCCAAAUGGAAUUCAAAUAUUUUUCAAACACCCUUUUCAUUUAUUUAUAUGGAAGAAGUCAUGUCAUCUUCUCUCUAGGGUUUUGUAUUUUGAAAAGAAUUUGAAUUCACGAAGAUCAUAAAUGCAAAAAUGAAAGUUUGGGAAAGUCCUUUUAUUCCCUCUCAUUUAACUUUCAAAAAGUUCGAAUUUCAAUCACUUUCAAUCAAUCAUUCACACAACAAUCAAACAAUCAAUCAAAUCUAUCUAUUUAUCAUAACAUUCCAAAAUUUAGAAUUUUGGGAUGUAACAAAAUGGUUAGAAAAUCACUUAAAUGUUUUUAAAAGGCCACAUGACCCCUAGAAUUUUGCAAAAUUUCACAUUACAGUUGUAGUAGUGCACGUUAGACAUAGAAAAAAUUUGUAGGACGUAAGAGGAAGCUAUCUCCCGUUCGUCAUCAAACAUGCAUUGUUCCCUCUCGGAACCACGAACCUUCUAGCGAGUUGCUCCGGUUUGUGAGGGGUGUGUUUCCAAACUUUCGUCACACAUGCCAAUUUCUUUACCACAUCAUCUUGGUGGCAUGACAUUACAUCAACCAAGGUUUCAUGUGUUUCUGAUUUUUUUUGGAAUUAAAAAGCCAUGCCACUCCAUGCAUACGUAUUCGUGCAUAUAUGUCCAUGUCGUAAUACAAAUAUGUUUGAAAAUUCCUUCUAGUUUACUGCACAUGGAAUUAACUCGCACACAAGUACACAAAUUUGAUUUUUCAAACCGUUUCGGUUACGCGUUGCAUGUAGAUGUAGUUCAAAUUUCAAUUACGGUCAUUAAAUGGCUAGAAAAUCACUUAAAUGUCUUUAAAAGGUCGAAUGACCCCUAGAAUUUUCAAAAAUUUCACAUUACAGUUGUAGUAGUGCACAUUAGACGUACAAAAAUUUGAAGGCCGUAAGAGAAAGCUAUCUCCCGUUUGUCAUCAAACAUGGAUUGUUCCCUCUCGGAACCACGAGCCUUCUAGUGAGUUGCUUCGGUUUGUGAGGGGUGUGUGUCCAAACUUUGGUCAAUCAUGCCCAUUUUUUUAUCACAUCAUCUUGGUGGCAUGACAUUACAUCAACCAAGGUUUCAUGUGUUUCUGAUUGUUUUAAUUUUUUGGAAUUAAAAUGCCAUGUCACUCCAUGCUUAAUUGUGUCAUAGCCGUUAGACCAAUAUGUUCGAAAAUUCCUUCCAAUUUACUACACAUGGAAUUAAAUCGCACACAAGUACACGAAAUAUGAGUUUUCAAACCGUUAUGGUUAGCUGUUGCAUGUAUAUGUAGUUCAAAUUUCAAUUACGGUCAUUAAAUGACUAGAAAAUCACUUAAAUGACUUAGAAGGUCAAAUGACCCCUGGAAUUUUCCAAAAUUUGACAUUACAGUUGUAUUAGUACUACAAAAUUUCUCGUUCAUUUAAAACACCAUCCGUUGGCACUUCAUUCCAAAUUCGUCUUUCACAGCUAGUAAAAAAUAUCUACAACAUCACACACAGUUGUUUUCUAGGAACCGUUUGCGAUGAAAAUAUCUGGGUCUAUUUAAGUCUCCCUCCUUAAGCUUCGCCAGGCUCGUCUGCUCUAGUGCCGGCAACCCCCGAAUCCACGAAUCCCGAUCCCCAUUCCCGCACCCCCUUCUUGCAAAGAUGAGGCCGUGGAAACGCUUCGUGAAGGCCCGUACGAUGGCCGCGUCCCCCCUGAGCGCCGCCGCCUGCGCCGAGAGCGAGGCCGCCUACGCCGAGAGUGCCACCGCAUCCGCAUUGAGCGCGGCUGCUUCCGCCGAGAGGGCGUCUGCAGUAGCCGAGACGGCUGCAGCUGCUGCUGCGAUGGCGGCUGCAAACACCGAGAGCGCUCGAGCUGCCGUCCGUGCCGCUGAUGUCGCCCUGGCCCGGGUCGAGGCCAUCCACGCCAAGAUCGAGGAUGCACACGCCAAGAUAUUCCAGGCCACCUUGGACUCCAGCAUGCAACCCAUGUAUGAAAAGGCGGCGGUGGCCAUGGAGCACCUGCUUCCUCAUGAGGUCGCCGAGCGGGAGCUGCAGAUGUAGGAGGCGGCGGAGAUAGAGGAGCGCCGGGAGGAGGAGUUGCGCGUGGCCGAGGUCAAGGUAGAGAACAGUCUAUUCGUCGAGGAAUCGGCGAUGGAGUACCAACGCGAGCUCUGGCGCAGGCACUACUACGAGUACUACAACCUUGAGGGCGGCGCCGAGGACGAGGACGAGGACACGGUCGACUUCAGCAGGGGGACGCGGAGUCCACCAACGGCAGCAUGUUGCCAGGACAAGUCAUCAACGUCUCAUCGCACACCGGCGAUGCAUAGGCCGGCACGGCGGCGGAUUUUUCAUUAUGCAUACUUAGGCUUUGUUUUUAAUGCUGGUCUUUUGUUAGAGCAAUGUUUAGGUCAACUAGCUCUGUGUAAUUACUAAAAUUGUUUGAUUCUGUAAGUGUGGUCUGUCUGCUGUACGCUCUUUUGUGUGCCCAAAUUAGCAAGCGAUGUUAAAUUAUGCAAUGACGUACCCGGGGAAAUUUCCACCAAAAUUUGAAUUAUCAAACUCAUCCCAUGCGCGUAAAGCAAAAGAAUCGUUUGUGAUGCACACAAUUUUUCAAAGUGAAUGGUCCGGCGGCACCGCACGCGUUCAAAGUGAAUGUGCCCAUGCCUUGAGACCAAAAUUUUAAUUAUCAAACUCAUCCCAUGCGCGUAAAGAAGAAAUAAUCGUUUGCGAUGCACACAAUCAUUCAAAGUGAAUGGUCCAGCGGCACCGCGCGCAAAGUUUCCCUCCACAUUUCCAAAAUUUUGGCCUACCGCCAAAAUAUCUACCCCGCCCCCCCCCCCACCCCCCUUCCCCACCCCCUUUUCUCCCUGACNNNNNNNNNNNNNNNNNNNNNNNNNNNNNNNNNNNNNNNNNNNNNNNNNNNNNNNNNNNNNNNNNNNNNNNNNNNNNNNNNNNNNNNNNNNNNNNNNNNNNNNNNNNNNNNNNNNNNNNNNNNNNNNNNNNNNNNNNNNNNNNNNNNNNNNNNNNNNNNNNNNNNNNNNNNNNNNNNNNNNNNNNNNNNNNNNNNNNNNNNNNNNNNNNNNNNNNNNNNNNNNNNNNNNNNNNNNNNNNNNNNNNNNNNNNNNNNNNNNNNNNNNNNNNNNNNNNNNCUUCCUUCCUUGCUAAGCUAUAGCCGCUUCUUCGCUCUCGCCGUCUCGCAUCCUACCACCGGGGUCGCCAUGGUCUUCUUCAAAGACAUCUCCAACGGUUCCUCCUCCGGCGACUACUCCUUCACCACCCGGGUAUGCCUCUCUUCUCUCUCUCGGGCUAUGACUUGGAAUGAAGGAUUUUUACCCGGAGGUCGAUUUGAGUCGUUUCUUCCUCUUGUAGCUCCCUAAGACCAUCAGUGACAACGAAUGGAGCGGGGUGGCUGAAGAUCUAUCUGCUCAUUGUCACCAUCAAUCUCCAUGCGUGAAGAUACUUGCGUUUGAUUCUGUGGACACUGGGAGGAAGUUUCUGGCAUGUGCAGAGAAGGUUAGACCCUCUUUCGUUGUUCCAAAUCAUUUGUUAGAUGUGAUUCAGACACUGUCACGGUCCCAACCCAUUCAUACCACACCUUCAACCAAACGCAUCCUAAGAUAGUGUCAUAGUUUUUACCUAGUAUCUUAAAUUGUUUCCAUCUCAUCAGCGGUGCCAUUAGAAAAUUAUUUGGCACCGCUUCAGCGGUUUGUGCAGCCAACUUUGGUCCACACAUCCGAGCAGCCAUGCAGUAAAAUAUUAAAUCUUUAUGGCACGAAGGAACUGGGCAUCGGAGCAACUACGUGCUCCGGAGUCUGGGUCCCUGAUUCUUUUUCCGCCGCAUCGGCUUGCCAGUUCAGGGCACCGGUCUGAGAUGUAGCAACAGUUGUCUUUACACCAGUUUUGGCAUACAUAGUGGACGGCCUUAGUGCUAUUAGUUCUAUGUUACUAAAUUUGUGCAUGUACACACCUGUUAGUAUCAAUUUGCUGUCACUCAAACACUGUCGCUAUGUUGUUGCAGUUAUAUUUACCUUCCUCAUAAAAUGUUCAACUUGGUAUUUAUUGUACAUGAGUAAGAACUUGUAGCAUCGUUGUAGUCAAUUAUAGCUUCUGAUGUUCCAGAAUUUGGUUGUUGUCUCAGUAGCAAUUAUUUCAUUUGCACAUUGAUCUCUUUGAGAAGAUAUGUCAUAAUUAACAUGUGUCUUCAGUUUUUCAAAAUAAGCAUUGGUGAUUUUCUAUGUUGCUAUAAACCCAUUUCCCCUACAAUUGUUACUGAUGUAGUUUUAAAUAUUAUAGGAUGAACGGAAGUGUUCUUACUUGGAGUGGGUUGAUCAAGAGUGGCCACAGUCUUUGAAGAUGUGCCCAACGAAGCUCUGGAGCAUGCAUGAGGAAGUGAAACACAGCUAGGCUUAGAGAAAGUCUUGUCAACGCUGAAGCAUAUUUCAAGAUGUGGGAUAAAAAUUUGAAGGUGCAGAAUGAGCUCAGAUUUUAAAAAAAUACUUUGCUAAGAUGGUGUUGGCGAAGGAGGAGACACUUCCUAGUUGGCCCGUGCAAAACGGGUUCUUACUGAACUGAAAGCAGAGGUGGAUAAGACGAGCAUGGAUGAUCUCGAUUAGGAAAAUGAAUAUAUUGUUCUUAUGAAGUUGAACUAGCUAUAUGUUGUACUGUGCUGUUUUCAUGUAGCUAUCGUACUGUGAUGUUAUAAUAUAUUUAUGUGCCUGAUAUGAAAUUGGCAAACAGUUGUUCGAUAUGAAAUGUGAAUUUGCAUAAUACUGGAAUUAUUAAUUAUAAACUAAUAAACCGGCUAAAUGUGUUAUGGACCUUUGCAAACGGGUGUAGCAGUAAAAGCGCUUCCGAUGGAUAGCCCAAUGCCACACAGUUUUCUACAUCAAAUCGUGUGUGAUGUAGUUAAUGAAAGCAAAUAGUUAACCAAGGCAGAGUGUGUGUGAUAGUUAUACCUUUCACACACGAGCGUAUAGAUAAACCCGUGUGGGAUGUACAUCUGAACGGAAAUGUUUUCCCUGUAUUGACUGUGUGGGAUGUACAUAAGAACGGAAACGUAUUCGUUGGAUUAACUGUGUGUGAUAUACAUACGAACGGAAAUGAUUUUCUAGUAUUCACCAUGUGGGAUGUACAUACCUACGGAAAUGAUUUCUGGGAUGUACUGUGUGGGAUGUACAUACCUACGGAAAUGAUUUCUAGGAUUCACCGUGUGGGAUGUACAUACCUACGGAAAUGAUUAGGUUUCGAUGCCUCGCCCGAUCGCACACGGCCCCAGCCUGGCACCCAGGAGGGCCUAUCCCCGACGAUUUCUGGGUCGUGUGGGAAGGACACCCUAUCGCACACACUCACUUGGCGAUGGUUCCAAAUGCCAUCGCGGAAAGGGGUCAAAAACCGUUUGUUUAGGACCGACGCGCACCAGUGAUAGAGACGUUCACCAUUGAAAACUACUCCAUCUCACAUGAUGAUCGGACAUGGUUUAGUUAAUAUGCAUCACGUGAUCAUUUAGAUGACUAGAGGGAUGUCUAUCUAAGUGGGAGUUCUUAAGUAAUAUGAUUAAUUGAACUUAAUUUAUAAUGAACUUAGUCCUGAUACUAUUUGCAUGUCUAUGUUAUAGAUCAAUAUCUCGCGUAUAGCUCCCCUGUUUUAUUUUGAUAUGUUCCUAGAGAAAACUAAGUUGAAAGCUGAUAGUAGCAACGAUGCGGGCUGGGUCCGUGAUAUGAGGAUUAUCCUCAUUGCUGCACAGAAGAAUUAUGUCCUUGAUGCACCGCUAGGUGACAGACCUAUUGUAGGAGCAGAUGCAGACCUUAUGAACGUCUAACAAAGCUCGGUAUGAUGACUACUUGAUAGUUUAGUGCGCCAUGCUUUACUGCUUAGAACCGGGACUUCAAAAAUGUUUUGAACGCCAUAGAGCAUAUGAGAUGUUCCAAGAGUUGAAAAUGAUAUUUCAGACUCAUGCCCGUGUUAAGAGGUAUGAGACCUCUUGUCACAUCCCUAGUUCUGGUUUGCUCUAGGCUAGCUAGUCAUGUGUGCAUCAUGUUUAAAUUUCAAUGAAUUUGAAAUGGGGACAUGUGAAAGCCUCAGAAAUCAUUUCUGAAAAAGACCAAGAUAAAAAUUGCUUCAAAUAGGUCCAAGAAAAUGUUCAUGUUUCUCUAUGAAAAUAUUGGCCAGAAUUAAAAUUCAAACCAAUAUUUUUAGGAGCUCAUAAAUAUUUAUUUUGGGCAUUUGAAGCUAAUGCAAUAACUAUUUGCAUUGGAUUUAUAUUUGCUAUAUAUCGAAUAUGUGUCCAAUAAUUCUGAGAAAUUGUGAGGGGCUUUGGGAUAAUCCUUUUAGUCCCUGCAAAAUUAUCAGAAGAAAGCAAAAUGGUUUAGUGCUUAAAAAUAAAUCAAAACAAAUAACAGAAAAAGAAAACAGAAAACAGAAAUGAAAAAGGAGUCUUACCUGGCGCUUACCUCGCAUGGCCCAGCACGGCCCAGCCCACUGGCCUGGUGCCAGUCAUCGCCUACCUCUGCCAGUAGGCAGAGGAGGGACACCGCGACACCGCCGAGCUCGCCACGCCUCCUCCUGCUUGCCGCCGACCGCUUGGAGCUGGCUGGAGACGCCAUGCACCCCCCCCCCCUGGUACCCCCUCGCUCACCUCCUCGACCCAUCCCCUUCCCUGGCUCCCUCGCGAACACACCCGAGCGCCCCCGUCACCACCGCUCGCCGUAGCNNNNNNNNNNNNNNNNNNNNNNNNNNNNNNNNNNNNNNNNNNNNNNNNNNNNNNNNNNNNNNNNNNNNNNNNNNNNNNNNNNNNNNNNNNNNNNNNNNNNNNNNNNNNNNNNNNNNNNNNNNNNNNNNNNNNNNNNNNNNNNNNNNNNNNNNNNNNNNNNNNNNNNNNNNNNNNNNNNNNNNNNNNNNNNNNNNNNNNNNNNNNNNNNNNNNNNNNNNNNNNNNNNNNNNNNNNNNNNNNNNNNNNNNNNNNNNNNNNNNNNNNNNNNNNNNNNNNNNNNNNNNNNNNNNNNNNNNNNNNNNNNNNNNNNNNNNNNNNNNNNNNNNNNNNNNNNNNNNNNNNNNNNNNNNNNNNNNNNNNNNNNNNNNNNNNNNNNNNNNNNNNNNNNNNNNNNNNNNNNNNNNNNNNNNNNNNNNNNNNNNNNNNNNNNNNNNNNNNNNNNNNNNNNNNNNNNNNNNNNNNNNNNNNNNNNNNNNNNNNNNNNNNNNNNNNNNCUCCCCAUCUACCCACUCAACGCCAGACGCCUCAAAACGCCGUCCCCGACCUCUUCUACAUCGUUGGCCGCCGCGGAUCCCCAUCGUCGAAUCGUUGCCGUCCGGCCUUCCCCGAGCCCGCUUCGACGCCUGCUGCAACCGCCGUGAGCCACCGAACCGUUUCCCCCUCUCUGUUCUCGCUCUCGUGUGCCAUAGCCGCCGCACCUUGCUCGCCCGCACGCGCCGCCGCCUGUGACCACCGCCGACGAGCCUCCGGCCACCUAGCGGUCCGUCCGUUGUGCUCAACUUCCUUCCCGCGCCACGUAGAGCACGUAGGUGCCCCGCACGAGCCUCCCCGGCCACCGUAGCGUCGACCCCGAGCUCACCCGAGCUCCGGCGACCGCCAAGGACGAUGCCGGCGACAACCCCGGCCACCCCAGGCCCAACCGCCACCACCACUCGAUGCGCGAGGUCGUCCGCAUCACGUAGAUGCCCUCCGCCGGCCAUUUGGUCGCCGGAGGAGGAAUCCCGCACCUCGCCGCCGCGUCUGGCCUCGCCGGCGGCGAGUCGCCGGUGGAUUAGCCCCAGUUGACUGGGGAUUUGACCCCCAGGGUCACUGACGUGUGGGCCAUGCCCCUGUUUAGUUUAGGUGUUAGCUUAGUUAGCGCAAAUUAACUUAGUUAGUUAGUUGUUACACUGACAUGUGGGUCCCAGCCGUCAGGUUUAACCUAGGCUGGCGCCUUUGACCUGCUGACAUCACCACGACGUCAUGCUGACGCAGUUAACCUUUUUGUGGAUUUAUUCUUAUAUAGGAAAUUCCAGAAAAUCUUAUAAACUUCUAAAAAUCAUAGAAAAUAAUCUAUAGCUCAGAAUGAAAAGAUUUAUAUAUGAAAAAUGAUCAGAAAAAUCCAAUCUAUCCAUCUGUACUGGUUUCAUGCAUGUUAGAGCAACCUAACCAUGCUGUUUAGAUGAAACAAGAUAAUGCACUUAUAUGACUCUAUAAAAUGGGUUUGCAUUUGAAUCUUUGGUUCAAAUGGACUCAUCUCAAUCUGUUCUAGCUUGCAUUAGCCCAAAACACAUUCAUAUUGCCAUGUCAUGAUCAUGCAUCAUAUUGUGCAUUGCAUUGAUUGUAUUUCUUCUCUGUUGCCGGUAUUUGUCCCUUCUCGGUAGACGAUGUUCCGGCGUUGUGAUCGUUGACACUAAUGAAGACUCAAUGCGAUCUUCAGAAGUGCCAGGCAAGCGAAACCCCCUUGUUCAUUCCGAUACAAACCCACUCUCUCGCUUCUGCUCUCUUUUACUGCAUUAGGACAACAACGAUUCAACUGUUACAUGCUGCGGUAGUUGAACCCCUUUCCUCUGGAUGACCUGUCAUUGCCACAGUAAAUAGAUGAAACCCACUAGCAUGAGUAGGAGUUGUUUGAGCCCUGAUGUGCCUACUCAUUCAUGCCUGUUUGUCAUGCCUGCUAUUGCUUAGAGUUGUGUCAGGUCUGAUUCAUCGGGGAUGAAUUGUAAUGUGGUGAACAUGUCCUACUGUUGAGAGCUAAGUGUGUGAACACGAUUUGGUAAAGGUAGCGGUGAGAGGCCAUGUAGGAGUACAUGGUGGGUUGUCUCAUUGCAGCCGUCCUCAGGAACUGAGUUCUGUGUUUGUCAUCCAUGAACAGUUACUACCACACAUUGGAAUGCUUAAGUGCCCCUCUCGACUUAUUAAUCAACUUGAUCUCUGUCCAGGAGUUGCAACUAGUUUCUGGUGUUUGUAGGUUGUGUUAGUAGUCUACCAAGUGGUACCCGGUACAGGUGGGCUUGGGACAGACUAGGCACCGUGGCACGGUGUACCAAGCGUAGAUCCAUCCGUCGAGGUGGGCUUGGGAACCCUGCACACAUCGUUUGGGGCCGUGAGCGACACCCCGGCCGGAUCUCCUUGCGGAUGGAACCCGAAUAGGCGAUAAACCUGGACUAGAGACUUGUGUGGUUAGUCAAGUCGUGGCCGACUCCCUCGCCAGGCUUCCGCUUGAAGGUUGCCGAGGUACACGACAUGUACAUGGUGGUAAGUGGCGAGAGCGUGUGUGAAGAAGUACACCCCUGCAGGGUUAACAUCAUCUAUUCGAAUAGCCGUGUCCGCGGUAAAGGACUUCUGGGUUGCCUAUAACAGUUCAUAGACAAGUGAAAGUGGAUACUCUAAAAUGCGCAAGAUAAGCGUGAGUGCUAUGGAUGGCGCUCUCGUAGGGAGACGGGAGGGGAUCCAUAGUGGUGUAUUGAUAUGGUGAAUAUGUGGACUCGUGUGCGCCACCUCAAAAGAGUUGCUUGCAGUCGUAGUUCAGGUUAGCCACUGAGUCAAAGCUGGCUUGCUGCAGUUAAACUCCACCACCCCUUUUGUUGAUACCGAUGCAUAUGUAGAUAGUUCUGAUGUAAGUCUUGCUGGGUACAUUUGUACUCACGUUUGCCUAUUUUAUGUUUUGCAGAGAGACGUCAGUCUCGCUAGUAGUGCUGUGUGGACUUCGACGCUUAGCUUGUUACCUCAGCUACGAUCUUGUGCCCUCGGCAGGAUCUGGUAGAUAGUCAGGCUUCUCAGCCUUUUUCAUUUAUAGUUGUCUGUACUCAGACAAGUUAAGCUUCUGCAUGUGAUUGUUGCUUGUAUGCUCUGUAUGUUUGGGUCAUGAGACCCAUGUUUGUAAUAUCUGGCUCUUCGGACCCUAAUGAAUAAAUACUCUGAGUCGUAGAGUCUUGUUGUGAUGCCAUGUUGUAUUUGCACAUAUCGAGCAUAUUGUGUGUAUGAUUGAAAUGCUUGGUAUGUGUGGGAUCCGACAACCUAGUUGUUUAUCCUUAGUAGCCUCUCUUAUGGGGAAAUGUAGUCUUGUGCUUCCAUGAGCCAUAGUAGUCCGCUACAGCCCGGUUCACCGGAGUCCUGCUAGCCCAGCACUACUGCUCCGGAACACUUGACUGGCCGGCAUGUGAUUCACUUCGUUCCUGUGUCUGUCCCUUCGGGGAAAUGUCACGCGGUGACAUCCGGAGUCCUGCCUAGCCUGCUACAGCCCGGGUUCCCGGAGUCCUGUUAGCCCAGAGCUACAGCCCGGAUUCGCACGCUGCUGACCGACAUGCUCGAUGUUGAUUCAUGUAUGCCUGUCCCCGUAAGUUAGUGCCACUUUGGGUUCACGACUAGUCAUGUCGGCCCGGGUUCUCUGUCAUAUGGAUGCUAGCGACACUAUCAUAUACGUGAGCCAAAAGGCGCAAAUGGUCCCGGGCCAUGGUAAGGCGACACCCAUGGGAAUACCGUGCGUGAGGCCACAAAGUGAUAUGAGGUGUUACCGGCUAGAUCGAUGUGACUUGGAAUCGGGGUCCUGACAGUUUCGGUAUCAGAGCCUGACUGCCUGUAGGAUUACCAAGCCAAACUGGUCGAAGUCGAGUCUAGAAAUGCUUUAGUUAUAUAAGGGAAUUGAUUGUGGAUGGGAUCUUAUGAUGUCUCUCCCCCUCUACUCUCUUGUAAUGGAUUGAGUUUUCCCUUUGAAGUUUCUUAUCGGAUUGGGUCUUUAAGGAUUUGAGAACACUUGAUGUAUGUCUUGUCGUGCUUAUCUGUGGUGACAAUGGGAUAUCACGUGAUCCACUUGAUGUAUGUUUUGGUGAUCAACUUGCGGGUUCCGCCCAUGAACCUAUGCAUAGGGGUUGGCACACGUUUUCGUCUUGACUCUCCGGUAGAAACUUUGGGGCACUCUUUGAAGUACUUUGUGUUGGUUUGAAUACAUGAAUCUGAGAUUGUGUGAUGCAUAUCGUAUAAUCAUACCCACGGAUACUUGAGGUGACAUUGGAGUAUCUAGGUGACAUUAGGGUUUUGGUUGAUUUGUGUCUUAAGGUGUUAUUCUAGUACGAAUUCUAUGAUAGAUUGAACGGAAAGAAUAGCUUCAUGUUAUUUUACUACGGACUCUUGAAUAGAUCGAUCGGAAAGAAUAACUUUGAGGUGGUUUCGUACCCUACCAUAAUCUCUUCGUUUGUUCUCCGCUAUUAGUGCUUUGGAGUGACUCUUUGUUGCAUGUUUAGGGAUAGUUAUAUGAUCCAAUUAUGUUAUUAUUGUUGAGAGAACUUGCACUAGUGAAAGUAUGAACCCUAGGCCUUGUUUCAACGAAUUGCAAUACCGUUUGUGCUCACUUUUAUCAUUAGUUACCUUGCUGUUUUUUAAUUUUCAGAUUACAAAAACCUAUAUCUACCAUCCAUAUUGCACUUUUAUCACCAUCUCUUCGCCGAACUAGUGCACCUAUACAAUUUACCAUUGUAUUGGGUGUGUUGGGGACACAAGAGACUCUUUGUUAUUUGGUUGUGGGGUUGUUUGAGAGAGACCAUCUUCAACCUACGCCUCCCACAGAUUGAUAAACCUUAGGUCAUCCACUUGAGGGAAAUUUGCUACUAUCCUACAAACCUCUGCACUUGGAGGCCCAACAACGUCUACAAGAAGAAGGUUGCGUAGUAGACAUCAAGCUCUUUUCUGGCGCCGUUGCCGGGGAGGUGAGUGCUUGAAGGUAUAUCUUUAGAUCUUGCAAUCAAAUCUUUUAGUUUCUUGUUUUAGCACUAGUUUAGUCUAUAAAAGAAAACUACAAAAAAUGGAAUUAAGGGUGCCUCAUAUGCUUCAUCUUUUUAAUGUCUUUCGUGAAAAUGAUGGGAAGGAAAAUUGUGCUCAAGUACUAGAAGAAGAAUUACAUAGAAUGCUUGGCAUAAAAUAUGUGAAUGAUGAGCAUGAUUGCAAUGUUGUUAGUAUGAAUUCUUUGAAUAUCCAUAAUGCUAAUGAUAUGCAAAGCCACAAGCUUGGGGAUGCUAUGUUUGAUGAAGAUGAUAUUUUUUGUCCCCCAAGUUUUGAUGAGCAAAUUUAUUAUGAUAAAAGCAUGCCUCCUAUCUAUGAUGAUUAUUGUGAUGACACGUAUGCUAUAAAGAAUAAAGAUAAGCAUGAAACUUGUCAUCAUGAUUUUAAUUUUCAAUUGGAUUAUCCUUCACAUGAUAGUUAUUUUGUUGAGUUUGCUCUCACUACUAUUCAUGAGAACAAAUUUGCUUUUGUGGAGAGUAAUAAAAUUUCUAUGCUUGUAGAUCAUGAAAAGAAUGCUUUAUGUGAUAGUUAUAUUGUUGAAUUCAUUCAUGAUGCUACUGAAAAUUAUUAUGAGAGAGGAACAUGUGCUUUUACAUAUUGCAAUAAUAUCAAGUUUCCUCUCUAUCUGUUGAAAUUUUUGAAGUUGCACUUGUUUUGCCUUCCUAUGCAAGUUGAUUAUUGUUCCCAUAAAUUGUUUGAUCACAAAAUCCCUAUGCAUAGGAAGUGUGUUAGACUUAAAUGUGCUAGUCAUAUUCUUCAUGAUGCUCUCUUUAUGUUUCAAUUCUUAUGUUUUAUGUGAGCAUCAUUGAAAUCAUCAUGCCUAGCUAGGGGCGUUAAACGUUAGCGCUUGUUGGGUGGCAACCCAAUUUUAUUUUUGUUUCUUGCUUUUUGGUUCUGUUUAGUAAUAAAUAAUCCAUCUAGAUUCUGUUUAGAUGUGGUUUUAUAUUUUAAUUAGUGUUUGUGCCAAGUAAGACCUAUAGGAUCUUCUUGGAUGAUAAUUAUUUGAUCUUGCUGAAAAAGACAGAAACUUUCUGCUCACGAAAACAAUUGUUAAAAAUCACCAGAAAGGGAUAAAAUACUGAUUCCAAUUGCAGUGGAUCAAUAAUCAAAUUAUCUAGUUCUUCCUAUUUUGGCAGAUUUUUCUGAGUUCCAGAAGUAUACGUUUGAUACAGAUUACUACAGACUGUUCUGUUUUUGACAGAUUCUGUUUUCUAUGUGUUGUUUGCUUAUUUUGAUGAAUCUAUGAGUAGUAUCGGAGGGUAUGAACCAUAAAGAAGUUGGAAUACAGUAGAUAUUACACCAAUAUGAAUUUAGAAUGAGUUCACAACAGUACCUAAGUGGUGAUUUAUUUUCUUAUACUAACGGAGCUUACGAGUUUUCUGUUGAGUUUUGUGUUGUGAAGUUUUCAAGUUUUGGGUAAAGAUUCGAUGGGAUAUGGAAUAAGGAGUGGAAAGAUCCUAAUCUUGGGGAUGCCCAAGGCACCCCAAGGACAACUAAGAGCCUAAGCUUGGGGAUUCCCCGGAAGGCAUCUCCUCUUUCGUCUUCGUUCAUCGGUAAACUUUACUUGGAGCUAUAUUUUUAUUCACCACAUGAUAUGUGUUUUGCUUGGAGCGUCAUUUUAUUUUCUUUUGUUUUGAUUGCUGUUUGUAUAAAAUACCAAGAUCUGAAAUUCUUAAAUGUUAGAGAGUCUUCACAUAGUUACUCAUUGAUCUUCACAUAUCUUUCGGAGUAGUUUGUCGUUUGCUCUAGUGCUUCACUUAUAUCUUUUAGAGCACGGCGGUGGUUUUAUUUUGAAGAAAUAGAUGAACUCUCAUGCUUCACUUAUAUUAUUUUGAGAGUCUUAAACAGCAUGGUAAUUUGCUUUGGUUAUGAAUUUAGUCCUAAUAUGAUAGGCAUCCAAGAGGGAUAUAAUAAAAACUUUCAUAUAAAGUGCAUUGAAUAGUAUGAGAAGUUUGAUUCCUUAUGAUUGUUUUGAGAUAUGAAGAUGGUGAUAUUAGAGUCAUGCUAGUUGAGUAGUUGUGAAUUUGAGAAAUACUUGUGUUAAAUUUUGUGAUUCCCGUAGCAUGCACGUAUGGUGAACCGUUAUGUGAUGAAGUCGGAGCAUGAUUUAUUUAUUGAUUGUCCUCCUUAUGCGUGGUGGUCGGGGACGAGCGAUGGUCUUUUCCUACCAAUCUAUCCACCAAGGAGCAUGCGCGUAGUACUUCGUUUCGAUAACUAAUAGAUUUUCGCAAUAAGUAUGUGAGUUCUUUAUGACUAAUGUUGAGUCCAUGGAUUAUACGCACUCUCAUCCUUCCACCAUUGCUAGCCUCUCUAAUACCGCGCACCUUUCGCCGGUACCAUACACCCACCAUAUACCUUCCUCAAAACAGCCACCAUACCUACCUAUUAUGGCAUUUCCAUAGCCAUUCCGAGAUAUAUUGCCAUGCAACUUUCCACCUUUCCGUUUAUUAUGACGCGCUUCAUCAUUGUCAUAUUGCCUUGCAUGAUCGUGUAGUUGACAUCGUAUUUGUGGCAAAGCCACCUUCAUAAUUCUUUCAUACAUGUCACUGUUGAAUCAUUGCACAUCCCGGUACACCGCUGGGGGCAUUCAUAUAGAGUCAUAUUGUGUUCUAAGUAUCGAGUUGUAAUUCUUGAGUUGUAAGUAGAUAAAAGUGUGAUGAUCAUCAUUCUUAGAGCAUUGUCCUAGUGAGGAAAGGAUGAUGGAGACUAUGAUUCCCCCACAAGUAGGGAUGAGACUCCGGACGAAAAAUAAAAAAAAAGAGGCCAAAAAAAAGAGAAGGCCCAGAAAAAAACAAAAAAUGAGAGAAAAAGAGAGAAGGGGCAUUGCUACUAUCCUUUACCACACUUGUGCUUCAAAGUAGCACCAUGAUCUUCAUGAUAGAGAGUCUCCUAUAUUGUCACUUUCAUAUACUAGUGGGAAUCUUUCAUUAUAGAACUUGGCUUGUAUAUUCCAAUGAUGGGCUUCCUCAAAAUGCCCUAGGUCUUUGUGAGCAAGCGAGUUGGAUGCACACCCACUUAGUUUCUUUUUGAGCUUUCAUACACUUAUAGCUCUAGUGCAUCCGUUGGAUGGCAAUCCCUACUCACUCACAUUGAUAUCUAUUGAUGGGCAUCUCCAUAGCCUGUUGAUACGCCUAGUUGAUGUGAGACUAUCUUCCCCUUUUUGUCUUCUCCACAACCACCAUUCUAUUCCACCUAUAGUGCUAUGUCCAUGGCUCACGCUCAUGUAUUGCGUGAAGAUUGAAAAAGUUUGAGAACAUCAAAAGUAUGAAACAAUUGCCUGGCUUGUCAUCGGGGUUGUGCAUGAUUUAAAUAUUUUGUGUGAUGAAGAUAGAGCAUAGCCAGACUAUAUGAUUUUGUAGGGAUAGCUUGCUUUGGCCAUGUUAUUUUGAGAAGACGUGAUUGCUUUGUUAGUAUGCUCGAAGUAUUAUUGUUUUCAUGUCAAUAUUAAACUUUUGUCUUGAAUCUUAUGGAUCUGAAUAUUCUUGCCACAAUAGAGAAGAUUACAUUGAUAAAUAUGUUAGGUAGCAUUCCACAUCAAAAAUUCUGUUUUUAUCAUUUACCUACUCGAGGACGAGCAGGAAUUAAGCUUGGGGAUGCUUGAUACGUCUCCAACGUAUCUAUAAUUUUUGAUUGUUCCAUGCUAUUAUAUUAUCCAUCUAAGAUCUUUUAUAUGCAUUUAUAUGCUAUUUUAUAUGAUUUUUGGGACUAACCUAUUAACCUAGAGCCCAGUCCCUACCUCGUGGACAGCCCGGAGACCCCCCCUGACUUGUUCUCGACGCCAAAACCUCUUAUAUAUACAGAAACCUCCAGAGCAUAACCUAGAUCGGGAGUUCCGCCGCCGCAAGCCUCUAUAGCUACAAAACCAAUCGGGACCCUGUUCUGGCACCCUGACGGAGGGGGGAACCCUCACCGGUGGCCAUCUUCAUCAUCCCGGCGCUCUCCAUGACGAGGAGGGAGUAGUUCACCCUUGGGGCUGAGGGUAUGUACAAGUAGCUAUGUGUUCGAUCUCUCUCUCUCUCGUGUUCUUGAGGUGGUACGAUCUUGAUGUAUCGCGAGCUUUGCUAUUAUAGUUGGAUCUUAUGAUGUUUCUCCCCCUCUACUCUCUUAUAAUGGAUUGAGUUUUCCCUUUGAAGUUAUCUUAUGGGAUUGAGUCUUUAAGGAUUUGAGAACACUUGUUGUAUGUAUUGCAUGUGCUUAUCUGUGGUGACAAUGGGAUAUCACGUGAUUCACUUGAUGUAUGUUUUGGGGAUCAACUUGCGGGUUCCGUGAGCUCGUGAACUUAUGCAUAGGGGUUGGCACACGUUUUCGUCUUGACUCUCCGGUAGAAACUUUGGGGCACUCUUUAAAGUUCUUUGUAUUGGUUGAAUAGAUGAAUCUGAGAUUGUGUGAUGCAUAUCGUAUAAUCAUACCCACGGAUACUUGAGGUGACAUUGGAGUAUCUAGGUGACAUUAGGGUUUUGGUUGAUUUGUGUCUUAAGGUGUUAUUAUAGUACAAACUCUAUGAUAGAUUGAACGGAAAGAAUAGCUUCAUGUUAUUUUACUACGGACUCUUGAAUAGAUCGAUCAGAAAGGAUAACUUUGAGGUGGUUUCGUACCUACCAUAAUCUCUUCGUUUGUUCUCCGCUAUUAGUGACUUUGGAGUGACUCUUUGUUGCACGUUGAGGGAUAUUUAUAUGAUCCAAUUAUGUUAUUAUUGUUGAGAGAACUUGCACUAGUGAAAGUAUGAACCCUAGGCCUUGUUUCCUAGCAUUGCAAUACCGUUUAUGCUGACUUUUAUCAUUAGUUACCUUGCUGUUUUUAUAUUUUCAGAUUACAAAAACCUAUAUCUACCAUCCAUAUUGCACUUGUAUCACCAUCUCUUCGCCGAACUAGUGCACCUAUACAAUUUACCAUUGUAUUGGGUGUGUUGGGGACACAAGAGACUGUUUGUUAUUUGGUUGCAGGGUUAUUUGAGAGAGACCAUCUUCAUCCUAUGCCUCCCACGGAUUGCUAAACCUUAGGUCAUCCACUUGAGGGAAAUUUGCUACUGUCCUACAAACCUCUGCACUUGGAGGCCCAACAACGUCUACAAGAAGAAUGUUGUGUAGUAGACAUCACUUCUACUGCAAAGGGAAUGGUCACUGGAAGCGGAACUACCCCAAAUACUUGGCGUGUAAGAAGGAUGGCAAAGUGAACAAAGGUAUAUUUGAUAUACAUGUUAUUGAUAUGUACUUUACUAGUGUUCAUAGUAGCCCCUCGGUAUUUGAUACUGGUUCAGUUGCUAAGAUUAGUAACUCAAAACAGGAGUUACAAAAUGAACAGAGACUAGUUGAAGUGACGAUGUGUGUUGGAAGUGAUUCCAAGAUUGAUAAGAUCACCAUCGCACACUCCCUCUACCUUCGGGAUUAGUGUUGGACCUAAAUAAAUGUAAUUUGGUAUUUGCGUUGAGCAUGAAUAUGAUUGGAUCAGGUUUAUUGCAAUACGGUUAUUCAUUUAAGUCAAAGAAUAAUAGUUAUUCUGUUUACAUGAAUAAAACCUUCUAUGGUCAUACACUCAAUAUAAAUGGUUUAUUGAAUCUCGAUCGUAGUGAUACACAUAUUCAUAAUAUUGAUGCCAAAAGAUACAAAGUUGAUAAUGAUAGUGCAACAUACUUGUGGCACUGCCGUUUAGGUCAUAUUGGUGUAAAACGCAUAAAGAAACUCCAUGCGGAUGGACUUUUGGAAUCACUUGAUUAUGUAUAAGUUGAUACUUGUGAACCAUGCCUCAUGGGAAAGAUGACUAAAACUCCGUUCUCCGGAACAAUGGAGCGAGCCACUGACUUAUUGGAAAUAAUACAUACCAAUGUAUGCGGUCUGAUGAGUGUUGAGGCACGCGGCGGGUAUCGUUAUUUUCUGACCUUCACACAUGAUUUGAGCAGAUAUGGGUAUAACUACUUGAUGAAACACAAGUCUGAAACAUUUGAAAAGUUCAGAGAAUUUCAGAGUGAAGUGGAGAAUCAUCGUAAUAAGACAAUAAAGUUUCUACGAUAUGAUCGCGGAGGCGAUUAUUUGAGUUACGAGUUUGGCCUUCAUUUAAAACAAUGUGGAAUAGUUUCACAACUCACACCACCUGGAACACCACAACAAAAUGGAGUGUCCCCACGUUGUAACCGUACUUUAUUAGAUAUGGUGCGAUCUAUGAUGUCUCUUGCCGAUUUACCACUAUCAUUUUGGGGUUAUGCAUUAGAGACAACUGCAUUCACGUUAAAUAGGGCACCAUCUAAAUCUGUUGAGACGACACCAUAUGAACUGUGGUUUGGCAAGAAACCUAAGCUGUCGUUUCUUAAAGUUUGGGGUUGUGAUGCUUAUGUGAAAAAGCUUCAGCCUGAUAAGCUCGAACCCAAAUCGGAGAAGUGUGUCUUCAUAGGAUACCCAAAAGAAACUUUUGGGUACACCUUCUAUCACAGAUCCGAAGGCAAGACAUUUGUUGCUAAGAAUGGAUCCUUUAUAGAGAAGGAGUUUCUCUCGAAAGAAGUGAGUGGGAGGAAAGUAGAACUUGAUGAGGUAGUUGUACCUUCUCUUGAAUUGGAAAGUAGUUCAUCACAGAAAACUGUUCCUGUGAUGCCUACACCAAUUAGUGAGGAAGCUAAUGAUGAUGAUCAUGAAACUUCAGAUCAAGUUACUACCGAACCUCGUAGGUCAACCAGAUUGCGGUCUGCACCAGAGUGGUACGAUAAUCCUGUUCUGGAAGUCAUGUUACUAGACCAUGACGAACCUACGAACUAUGAGGAAGCGAUGAUGAGCCCAGAUUCCACAAAAUGGCUUGUGGCCAUGAAAUCUGAUAUGGGAUCCAUGUAUGAGAACAAAGUAUGGACUUGGUUGACUUGCCCGAUGCUCGGCAAGCCAUAGAUAAUAAAUGGAUCUUCAAGAGGAAGACGGACGCUGAUAGUAGUGUUACUAUCUACACAUCUCGAAUUGUCGCAAAUAGGUUUUAGACAAGUUCAAGGUGUUGACUACAAUGAGAUUUUCUCAGUCGUAUCGAUGCUUCAAGUCUCCGAAUCAUGUUAGGAAUUGCCACAUUUUAUUAAAUCUGGCAAAUGGAUGUCAAAACUGCAUUCCUUAAUUGAUUUAUUAAAGAAGAGUUGUAUAUGAUGGAACCAGAAGGUUUUCUCAAUCCUAAUGGUGCUAACAAAGUGUACAAGCUCCAACGAUCCAUCUAUGGACUAGUGCAAGCAUCUCGGAGUUGGAAUAUACGCUUUGAUGAGUUGAUCAAAGCAUAUAGUUUUAUACAGACUUGCGGCAAAGCAUGUAUUUACAAGAAAGUGAGUGGGAGCACUACAUCUUUUCUGAUAAAUAUAUGUGAAUGACAUAUUGUUGUUCGGAAAUGAUGUAGAAUUUUCUAGAAAGCAUAAAGGAGUGUUUGAAAGGAUUUUUUUCAAUGAAAGACUUCAGUGAAGCUACUUACAUAUUGGACAUCAAGAUCUAUAGAGAUAGAUCAAGACGCUUGAUAAGAUUUUUCAAUGAGUACAUACCUUGACAAGAUUUUGAGGUAGUUCAAAAUGGAACAAUCAAAGAAGGAGUUCUUGCCUGUAUUGCAAGGUGUAAAGUUGAGUAAGACUCAAAAACCGACCACGGCAGGAAAUACAAAGAGAAUGAAAGUCAUUCCCUAUGCCUCAGCCAUAGGUUCAAUAAAGUAUGCUAUGUUGUGUACCAGACCUAUUGUGUGCCUUGCCAUGUGUUUGGCAAGGGGUACGAUAGUGAUCCAGGAGUGGAUCACUAGACAACGGUCAAAGUUAUCCUUAGUUACCUAAGAGGACUAAGGAAAUAUUUCUCGGUUAUGGAGGUGAUAAAGAGUAUGUCGUGAAGAGUUACGUCGAUGCAAGCUUUUACACCGAUCCGGAUGACUCCGAGUCUCAAUCUGGAUACGUAUUGAAACUGGGAGCAAUUAGCUAGAGUAGCUCCAUGGAGAGCAUUGUAGACAUAGAAAAUUUGCAAAAUACAUACCGCUCUGAAUGUGGCAGACUCGUUGACUAAACUUCUCUUACAAGCAAAACAUGAUCACACCUUAGUACUCUUUGGAUGUUAAUCACAUAGCGAUGUGAACUAGAUUAUUGACUCCAGUAAACCCUUUGAGUGUUAGUCACAUGGAGAUGUGAAAUAAUCAUAUAAAGAUGUGAACUAUUGGUGUUAAAUCACAUGAUGAUGUGCACUAGAUUAUUGACUCUAGUGCAAGUGGGAGACUGAAGGAAAUAUGCCCUAGAGGCAAUAAUAAAGUUGUUAUUUAUAUUUCCUUAUAUCAUGAUAAAUGUUUAUUAUUCAUCCUAGAAUUGUAUUAACCGGAAACUUAGUACAUGUGUGAAUACAUAGACAAAACAUAGUGUCCCUAGUAUGCCUCUACUUGACUAGCUCGUUAAUCAAAGAUGGUUAAGUUUCCUGACCAUAGACAUGUGUUAUCAUUUGAUGAACGGGAUCACAUCAUUAGAGAAUGAUGAGAUGGACAAGACCCAUCUGUUAGCUUAGCAUAAUGAUUGUUAAGUUUUAUUGCUAUUGCUUUCUUCAUGACUUAUACAUAUUCCUCUGACUAUGAGAUCAUGCAACUCCCGAAUACCGGAGGAACACCUUGUGUGCUAUCAAACGUCACAACGUAACUGGGUGAUUAUAAAGAUGCUCUAUAGGUGUCUCCGAAGGUGUUUGUUGGGUUGGCAUAGAUCAAGAUUAGGAUUUGUCACUCCGAGUAUCGGAGAGGUAUCUCUGGGCCCUCUCGGCAAUGCACAUCAAUAUAAACCUUACAAGCAAUGUGACUAAUGAGUUAGUUGCGGGAUGAUGCAUUAGGGAAUGAGUAAAGCGACUUGCCGGUAACGAGAUUGAACUAGGUAUGAAGAUACCGACGAUCGAAUCUCGGGCAAGUAACAUACCGAUGAGAAAGGGAAUGACGUAUGUUGUUAUUGUGGUUUGACCGAUAAAGAUGUUCGUAGAAUAUGUAGGAACCAAUAUGGGUAUCCAGGUUCCGCUGUUGGUUAUUGAUCAGAGAUGUGUCUCGAUCAUGUCUACAUAGUUCUUGGACCCGUAGGGUCCGUACGAUUAAUGUUUCGAUGACGAUUUUGUAUUAUAUGAGUUAUGUGAUUUGGUGACCGAAUGUUUUUCGGAGUACCGGAUGGGAUCACGGACAUGACGAGGAGUCUCGAAAUGGUCGAGAGGUAAAGAUUCAUAUAUAGGAUGAUAGUAUUCGGACACUUGAAGUGUUCUGGGGAUACCGGGUACGUAUCGGGUCAGCGGAAGGGGUUCCGGGCACCCCCCGGCAAAGAUAUGGGCCUUAUAGGGCCAAGGGCGGGACAGACCAGCCCCUAAGGAGAUGGUGCGCCCUCAUAUGAGCCGGCCUAAGUGGAGAAAGGAAAAGGGGAGGAGAAAAGGAAAUAGAGGGAAUAGGAUCCCCCCUUCCUCUCCCCUCUCCCCUCUUUCCUUUCCCCCUCCGGAGAUAAGGAAAGGGGGAGGCCGAAUUGGAGGAGGCCCCCAAGUAAGAUUCCUCCUACUUGGGGCGCCCCAUGGCUGUCCCCCUCCCCCUCCCACCUAUAUAUAUGUGGGGAGGGGGCACCUAGAACACACAAUAAACAUUGUUAGCCGUGUGCAGCGCCCCCCUCCAUAGUUUACGCCUCCGGUCAUAUUCACGUAGUGCUUAGGCGAAGCCCUGCGCGGAUCACAUCGCCAUCACCAUCACCACACCGUCGUGCUGACGGAACUCUCCCUCGACACUUUGCUGGUUCAAGAGUUCGAGGGACGUCUUCGAGCUGAACGUGUGCAGAACUCGGAGGUGCCGUACGUUCGGUACUUGAUCGGUAGAAUCGAGAAGACGUUCGACUAUAUCAACCGAUUAAACUAACGCUUCCGCUUUUGGUCUACGAGGGUAUGUGGACACACUCUUCCUCGUUGCUAUGCAUCUCCUAGAUAGAUCUUGCAUGAGCGUAGGAAAAUUUGGAAAUUGCAUGCUACGUUCCCCAACACUAUCUAGCGUAGGUGUGGCUGCAUCUUGGCUCCCUUGAACAUUUUUGAUAGGAUAAUAUGGAAAAUUAAACGUUAUGUGUGGCAUGGGCAUACAGUGAAGCCACUUCCUCUCGUCUUGCCAGCCAUCAAUAUUCGUGAUGAGAUCUCGAACAUGGAUGCCAAGUAAUUCGCCAUGUGCUGAUGUUGUCGGGCGACCGAGUCAUGGAGUCGCUAUGUCCCGUGAAUGAUCUUUUCGUAUAUAAUUGGUUGUUGCUUUAAUUAGAAGAAACUGCACCAAUCAAAAGUGUUGUUAGUAGUGGAGUGGUAGGCAUAUGCAAAUCAAAGCAUCAUUUUCCUUCUAAUUACACUUGUAAAAGCAUUAUGAGUGUCUUCUAGUGGAGUGGUAUACAGAUUUAUAAUGCUUGAAGGGAUGCUGCCACUUCGUAGGAGCAAGGGCUUACUUUUAUUGGUUUUGUCUAUUCUAGUGAUAUUUAUAUAGUGAUGCCGGGUUUGCCUUUUCUGAUUUCUUAUGGUUUAAUAAUUAUGCGAGAUACAUUAUGAGUGCCAGUUGUGUUGUACCCUUUUUUUUUGUGAGGCACAACAACUGGAUUGUUGUCGAUAUAAGGGAAAACAGAAACUUGUAUCGGUGCUUUUGUAUUUACAAACUUGUUACUGAUAUAUCAUAGAGUCUUGUUAUUGAGCCGCGAGACAGAGAGGGAGGAACGAGAUGAAGGUCCCAACCGCCAGACCAAAGAGGUGAACUAGAGCUCAUCCUAAUUGUGCUCUUGGUUAUUUUCAGUUACUAAUAGGAGUAAGAAGCAUUACGAAUUAAUCUCUUUGUUCACAAAUAUAAGAUGUCUAGAGUAACUUUCUUCUUAAUCGAAUGCAUAUAAACACAUUUUAUUGGGUUUAUUCACUCAUUUCAGUCUGUAUAUAUUCCUAUUAAUAUAUUUAAAACAUAUUAUAUUUAUGAAUGGAGGGAGUAAUUUAUAGUAAUGCAGUGAUUUUAGGAAAACCAAAUAUGUGUAUGUAAUCUUAUAUUUUCUUCAGGAAAACACAGUAAAUCCUAUGUUUUCUUCUGGGAAAUAUAUGUAUGUAUCCAGUUGUAUCAUUGGUAAACAAAGGCUGCUAUAUAGCACAAAGAGUGUUUUCUUCGAUUCGUUCAGGCAAAUCAGGUUCGUGGUUGACUGCCAAAGUCACAACCGUUUAUGUCUUUGGCACGGAAAAGAGACUGUGCAGUGCAAAGGCUAGGGACGGAGCCAGGAUUCUAACAUAGGGGUGUGUGUGUGUGUNNNNNNNNNNNNNNNNNNNNNNNNNNNNNNNNNNNNNNNNNNNNNNNNNNNNNNNNNNNNNNNNNNNNNNNNNNNNNNNNNNNNNNNNNNNNNNNNNNNNNNNNNNNNNNNNNNNNNNNNNNNNNNNNNNNNNNNNNNNNNNNNNNNNNNNNNNNNNNNNNNNNNNNNNNNNNNNNNNNNNNNNNNNNNNNNNNNNNNNNNNNNNNNNNNNNNNNNNNNNNNNNNNNNNNNNNNNNNNNNNNNNNNNNNNNNNNNNNNNNNNUUCAGACUUGGCGUUUGGCAGCGUGGCCUGUUCAUGUGUUUGAUUGGGCGUAGUACUGUGUGGGUACUUCAGUUAGAAGGUAUGCAGUGGACCGAGUCUAUCGACCGUGUGGCGAUGCCUGUAGAUUGUAGCACUGAACUUUGAUGCUGAUUCAUAAACUAAUUUAGAUAAAGCCGCACAAAAAAUGUGCUAGUUUUAUUUUUUUGCUCACAUACUCUGUUCUGUCUCAGUUUUAUCCAGGGCAACUUUGAAGCUUAUCCAGGGCAACUUUAACUAUUUACAGGAGAAAUAGUUAAAUACCUUAUUAAGAAGUGAAGAAGAAUAGUCGUCUCCAGUUUUUGUUUCUCCAACUCUAUGCCUACACUGUAAAUUAAUGGAUCAGCUCCAGUUGAUGCAACUGUACUCUUUCUGGUAGGUUUGAGAUCAGAUGCGACUGAGCCAGAUCGAUCCUGAGCUAGCUACUUGUCUCCCUUAAGUGUUACAGCGAGACAAAUGCACUGGACUACAAAGAGGAAAUUCUCCUGCAGGUUCGUAAUGCAUCUGUUUUGGUUCUUGCAUUCACACCAAUCAUAAAACAGUGUUUGUUAGUAGUGGAGUGGUAGGCGGACGCAAAUCAAACCAUCAUUUUUCUUCUAAUUACACUUGUAAAAGUAUCGAUGCAUCUCCUUCGCUUAAUUUUAUUUGUCAUUCUGUUCAAUACCUGGCUCAGGAAGAGCUCCUUUUCCUAUGCAAAAAUGUAUAACGUAUACGUUUCUAAUUCCAAUUGCAGGCAUAUUCAUCGCAAUUGUGUUUUGACAAGAAAAAUGAAUAUUUGCCACUUUCAAUAUGUGGCUUUUCAAAAUUGCCACUUUCAAGAUUGGUUUCGCAGAAUUGCCACUCCGCUCAUUGGCUCCUUGAUUACGAUGCCACUUUCUUUGUGAUUUUCCUUUUUCCUUAUCCAUUUAUAAACACAGGAAAAGACCAAACUACACAGUUCAGUAUCUGACUAUCUGUAUCUAUUUAUGCAUCUGUUCAAGUAGAGGAGAACGAGCUGCACAGAUCUUGUCGUCCGUAAAAGCGCCGCUGACGCCACCCGCUCAGUCGCCGUCGUCGUCCGCGCCACUCGGCUGCUUGCUGCUUGCUCCGCCCUUCCGCCAUCGCCCAUCGCCCUGUCUGCCCGCGCGCCAUAGCCACUCAGGCCAGUGGCCUGCUCGGCGCUCCCGCCGCUCGUCCCGGCCGCCUAACCACUCGGCUGGGAUGAGGAGGCGGAUGGAUCAAUCACUACAGAUUUUUGAACAAAGCAAGGUCAACACAAUACCAUCGAGAAUUCAUACACGCGGCCUGGACGAGAUUAGCGGCAUGCGGCGUUGCCGAUAUCGGCGGCACGCUGCGUAUAGAAGAUCGGCAACACGGGACGUCGAGAAGAUCGGCGGCACGCGACAUCUAAGCGAUGUGCGACACUCCGCGUCGAGGUCACGGUAUUCUCGGCAGCCGGUGCGCUCUCGUAUCAAUCAGAACGUACGUGGAUAGUAGCUGUAUAGAAUCAGGGGUAGUUUGGUCUUUUCCGGUGCUUGGAAAAGAAAAAAUAAAAUCACUAAAGAUAGGGAAGUUGCAUGGUAAUCAACGAGCCAACAUGGAGAGUGGCAAUUUUGCGAAGUCAAUCCUGAAAGUGGCAAUUUUGAGAAGCCACAUAUUGAAAGUGGCAAAUAUCCAAUUUUCUCCUGAUGACUUGACAGAACAUCGACCGAGAGCAGCAACAUGCCAUGAUAUAUUAGAACAGCAGAAUGAUUAGCGUGCUUGAAACCAGUUCAUCACCGCUACCUUUACUGUCAGACCGGUGGCGUAUCCCAGAAACGCGCUGUUGACUGGUGGCGUAAAUCACGUCUAUGUGUAUCCCUGAUUACGUGGAUUAACUACCGAUAUGCUUUGGUCCUUUGUUUUGGGAAACAACUUGCAGAUUUAGGCAGGUAGAUUCCUUACGAAGCAAAUCUUCUUUCUUUUUUUGUUUUUGGCGAGGAACGAGAAGCAAAACUUUUACCCAACGAGUUACCAAACUUUGCAUCGCAUGCAUCUAAUUUGUGCUUCCACGUUUCUUUCUAAUGUUGUGCAUCAGUUUGCUUCCUUUACAACAAAUUAGAUUGUGUUUUUGAUUGAAACUUUUGAUAUGUAACGUGAUAUUUUGUUUCAGAAGCAUCAUUACCGUGCUUCCAUCAAGAUCCUACCAUCAAAAAGGAAAUUAUUUCACAUGUUUGAGAAGCAUCACAUAUCUUUUUCACAUCGACUAGACAAUUGCUUCCAACUAAAUAUUAUCUUGCUUCCAUCAGAGAGAAAAAUAUUUCCAAUAAAACUUACACAUGUUUCAUACAAGUUAGGGGUUUGUUUGCAAAGAAAUAAAAAAAUGGCUACUGUAAAAUGGAGAGUAUGCCUCAAUGGGCAGAGUCAAAUUGCUUCCACCGAUCAUGUUUACUAAUUCAAAUAUGACCUAGCCAUCAUACGAUGGAAGGCAUGAUCCAUGAUGCCGGCGGGUAGAAGCUGUGGUGCCCCUGCCUGAGCGCCGUGAUCUUCUUCACCGUAAAUCCUUGAACGCCAAUAUCCCGAACGUCUCGGUCACAGCAAUUGGUGUGUGAGCUCGGCUUGUCUUCUUUGAAGUAGGAUGCAAUCAGCCUUGAUCUCUAGGCGCCUCCUACUCGUAGAAACAUAUGUGAAAGGUCAGAAAUCAGAAAGUAUGAGUCAUAUAGCUAACACAAAAUCAAUAAUUUGAUGCUAUCAUGCAAUAGAAGCAUAGAAAUUUGAUUUGAGAAAUAUACAUGCUUGUUGGGCAAGAUUUGGGUGCACAAAUUUAAUGUCUCGAAACAUUGUUUUGGUGCGGCAUUACAUGUGCACAUUAGAGGCUAAUGAGAAAAAUUAAGGAAGCACGAUUUACUAGAAGAACCAAGUUGCUACCUUUCAACCACUUGCUAUUCACCAAUUGAAGCAUAUUCUAUGGCCUCCAGAAGCAUAUGUAUAACAAUGUAGAAGCCCAAUGGAUAAGAAGCAUGAAAACAAUGGAUAAGAAGCAUCAAACUAUGUUGUGGGUACACAGGCAGUAUUACUUGGAAGCAUUGAUAUUUGAAAAAAAGGAUAUAUGAAACUAAAAUUGCGGCCAACAUGAGCAACAUAUUUCUGUCACGUAUGUACCAAAUACACAUGAUGAUUUAGCGAUCCACUACAUGAUGUACAUAACGAAAUCAGUUCCCCGAAAAGGGAAUGAAGAUCCGAACGUUUGGAAUCUACCAAUUUCGAUAUAUACAGAGACAGAGAACAUGGAUAUUUUUGGAAAUCAGCUAAUUUCUAAGGAUAAGGACUUCUAUACCUAUGUCAGAAGAGGAUGGUGCCUAUUGGGAGGGGCGAAUCCUGCAAUCUUUGGUGGCUGUCGGUGCUCCGGCGCGGCAGAACGGAGGCCACGGUGCCCAACCUGUUGUAUAUGACCGGGAUGGCGAGGGGGUAGUGAGUGAGUUCGUUCACCGUGGUGGAUAAUGGAGGGCGCAGCCGCUGGACAGGAGACAUCGGAGUCGGUGACUAGGAAGGCGAUGGGGUUGCGACCUUGCCACCGGAUGGGGUUGCGAGCAGCCACCGGAUGUGGCGGCACACCGGUGCGGUGCGUCUCAUGGCCACAGGGGGCAAGGUCGGUUCAUGGAGGAGUGGCCCGGGGCGGCGAGGGAUUGGCGAGGUCGACGAUGGAGCGGAUUCUGGAGGAGCCGGGCAACGGAGACGGGAUGACGAACGGGUUUUUGGGGCAGGAGAGUAUAAUUAGGGAGGUGUUAUGGGUUGACGUGGCGAGAUAAUCGGGAGGUUAUGCAGGCAUCGAAGGUUUUUGGAAGGAAUCUACGCCGUGAGCUGAAAAACAAAUCGACGGUGCACAAUCGGUCUGGGUCUGACGAAUUGAUCCUUUCAGACGUCUGUUGGGAAGCGUUUCCCAGGGCGCUAGGGCGUUUCCCGGGGCGCUAUAGGCAUCAGACUACUGAUGUUUUGCCUCUUAUCAGGCUAGUGGCCGUUCGAUCAAAAGCAGGCUGGUCCUCCGAUCUGUUAGUAAGCUCUCGCGUGAUUUUCUGGAUCCAGUCGUUAAUUAACUGCUCAUGCAUACCUUUUAUUACGCGUGCAUGUGGCUGGUGGUAGUUAAUGUAAAUUGAUUACGUAGGACUACUCGCAUAUAUUUGUUGCGUUUCUGCUAGUACUUGUUGCUUCCGAGAUUUGCUUCCUAGAAUCAUUUUUUGAUCCCACAGUAAUAUGGCAUUUAAUUGAUUUGUUUCUUUUACUUGUUGCUUCCGAGAUUUGCUUCCAUAUAUCAUUUGUUUGCCACUGUAAUAUGACUUUCUUUUUAAAUCAGGUAAAAAUUAUGUUUGAUGCUGCUGGGGUAUAAUUUUAAUUGAUUUGUUUCUCCUAGUUGUUGCUUCCAAGAAUAAUUUGUUUGAUAUCACUGUAAUGUGACUUCUCUUUUUAAACUCGUGGAAGCAUACACUUCAAUAAUUAUGAUAAAUAGUUAUUUAUUUUUAGACGCUUUUUUACUUCGAUGGUGACAUAGCUUUUCUGCCAUGGAAACAUUCCUUUUGACCGAUGAAAGCAUACUUUGUGGUCAGCAGAAACAGAUUGUUCAUCAGAAGCAUCUGAUUUAUGCUAUAUAUUUUUAAAAGGUUUGGAAACAAUUUAUCGGUGUAACGGAAACAUAUUUUUGUGUGAAUGGAAACAUGUGCUUGGCAAGAAAGUAUGUUGAAGCACAACAAAAAAGUUUAAGCUUCAGAACAAACUAACUGGAUAUGUUCAAAAUCUUACAACUCAUUUUACAACAAAAUAAAGGAGAACUAAAAUAGCCCUGUUUACAAGCUGAUAAUGGACAAGAUCCACGUGCACCACGAGCUCUCCGUUGUUCACUCUACAAACCGACAACUCUUAGCAGGUAGCUAGGUCUCAGAUCGUAGCCCACUCAACGGCAUUGCAAUGCAACAAAGAGCACAUCUGGAUUUGGGCGCGGCAAAAUGCCUGUACAACAGAAGCAUCCAGUGAGAAAGAAGGAAGCACACACUGAUAGUUGUUGAUACAUAAAUUCACUUAAAGAUCAAAUUUAUGUACAAUAAAAUUUCACUAGCAGAAGCAACACUAGCAGUGGUUGAAGCACAUAGUAGUGAUUGAAGCAUAAACUAGUGUCUGCUAUGUUUGUACAAUAAAUGAAAGCAUACACUUACAAUGGUUGAAUCCAAAAUUCACUACCAUAGAAACAUAUGUAAUAAAUAAAAGUAGGAAGUAUAUAUAACACAACGGAAGCAUGGAUCUUUUUUGGAUUCUAGACAGGAGUACAACUUGCAUGGAAGUUUGGAAGCAUCAAUUUCAUGCUCUCUAACAUAAAACAGGGCCAUAAAAAAAUGGAAGUAUGGAUGAACACAAACUCUACGCAGUGAACAAGCACAUGUAUGAAACAUAUGAAUCAUAAAUAUUUGAAAGAAUCAUAUUCAUGCAAUUCAACACAACAGAAGGGGCAGUGGUUACAACAAGAAGAUGUCGAACUUGAGAAGCAUGGUUGCAUUGUCGAUCCAUCUAAACGUAUGAAGCACGCAUGAUAUAUAUGAAGCACCGCACGUCUUGAAAUCACAGGACAGGUCACAGGUGAUACCUAGAGGAAGCAUAGAAAUCUAAAAAUGUGAGACUUAGUAGAAGUAUGGAAGCCAUCCAUAUAAAUAGAAGAAGCACAUGGCGUGUCAUUCUGAAACGGCAUUUGCAGGAAGCAUGAAAAUCUGUUAUUUCAGUAGGAUUCAUCUUAAAUUGGAAGCAGGGAAUAAACCAAGAUGUUAAAUGUUAUCAGCAAACAAAUGUUCAGAGACCAUCUACGAGUGUAGAAAUUAAGACCUAGUUUGGCAGCAAAGUAUUUUAAAACUAUGGUAAUUGAAAACCAAAGUAUUCUCCUGGGUGGGCAAGGAAUACUACUGUUUUCUAAAAACAAUGUUUUUCUCAGUUUUACAUAUGUUUGGUUGGUGCUGUUUUAUUAAAGUUUUGACCAAGGAUUUUAGCGUGAAUGACUGAGAGUAAUUAGCGGCUGUUAACGGGGCCGGGCUGCAUGCAGCUGCCAUGCACACAUCCGCCGGACCUAGAUGCUAGGAUCUGUAGACUAUGUCUAUCCGUGAUGCACCUACAUGCAUGGGCUGCUGGCAGAGAAGAGACGAGACUCGCACGGAACGCCGGCUGGAAGAAUAACCUGAGAGACCUACUACUCGUGAUAGGAUGGGAUUGGCUAUAAUCAGGAGUUUACCAUAUAACAGAAAGAGGAAAAAUAGAAUGGGAUUGCAGCUGGUAUUCUUAUCUCGGCGCAGACGACAACGUCAUUGUGAUCUCCGCGAUGAUUUCUCUUCGUUCUGUUAAAAAAAAAAAAGGUCGGGGCCUCCACCACUAGGAAAAGGUCUGUUAGUGGCAUACCUAUUUUGACCAUUAAUGGCGCACUAUAGGUGCGCCACUAUCAUCACGCCACUAGUAACAAGUACUAAUGGCGCAUUCCUGGUGCGUCAUUAGUAUACCAGAUAAUAGUGGCGCAUCUGGCAGUACACCAUUACUAUGUCCAACGGUGCGCCAUUACUAUGCCUGGGGGCCAUAUUUACCUUCACGUAUGCCCCCAAGUGCGCCAUUAUAAUGACCCAUAAUGCGCCACUGGUAUUUAGCCCUGGUGCGCCACUAAUGCUCAACAAGGUGCGCCACUACUAUGAAUAUUAGGAUUUUUUUUUGCUUUUCUGAUAUUUGCACAUGUUACAAAAUACAUUACAGAAUAUAAACAACACAACAUAUAAACAUCAGAUUUAUCGAAUACAAUAGAAGAUUAGUUUCCGAAUACAAUUCAUUAUAUUAGUCUCCGAAUUCAAAAUACCGAACAAAGUUAGAACAUUACAAGUCUCGAGACCGCGAGUAGCGAGUUUGUCUUCACAUUACAAGUCGAUAUCUAAACUACCAUCACAUAGAAGAGAGCUGCGGUCACGAUGAGCAUCAUCGCGAUGAAACUGGUCUUCAUCUGGUUCCUCCUCCGCUCCCUCCUCUCUCCCGCUAGAUAGCGCGCGUAUCUAGCUUCCGCCUCCGCCCUAGUGGUGUACCCUUUGUAACAGUUACCGCUGAAACGGUGAACCUGUCUCCGACACUCCUCCCAGCCGCCGUAGACUCCGGAAACCUUACCCUUGUACACGACAUACGACGGCAUUUCUAUGCACUAGACAAACAAAACGUUAGUAGCAAUUCACAGACAAUAUAUAAGCAAUAUAUAAGUAUGCAACAAAAGGAUCGGAAAAGAAAAGCAACACAUUAAUAGCACGAUUCAUGAUCCUACUAAUAAAUAGCAUCGAUUACAUAUAAGUUGAACGACUGUCCAAACCAAAGAGACAUACAAGUUCAUUAAAGUUUAAUUACAACAUGAGCUAAUCGAUAUAUCAGAACUACAUAGCAUCACUACUUUCGACUCGACUCAGGGACCGGAGCGUGGAUGAAGCUGCCGUCUUUUGUGAUGGUCAUGAAUGUGCGGUCGUUGUUAGCCUGCAUUUGUAGCGUUGUUUCUAUUUCACUGUUGGACGGUUGAUAUUUGAGGUAGAACUGCCCCGAGGUACGAAGGACAUCUUGAUGGAUGAUUUCCGCAAACUCCGACUGGAUGCGAAAGAAUUCUUGUCUGAGGUCCGCGCCCUGGACUACCCACAAGCGUGCAGCCCAAUCUUUGAGACUAUUUGGUAGCAGAAGGUGAUUAUGGUCCCGUACGAUUGCCCGCAUGUGAUGGAGGGCGUAGUAGGCAUCCUUCUGACCGCCAGGCGGCUGCUUGACGCAGGGGAAUGUCGUUACAUGGGUGAACACGUGCUUGCCGUACCUAAAAAUUGGCCUCCUGAAGGUGCCUCCAGAUUUGGCGUAGCCGGGGAGUACAUCAUCAAGAACUUUCUUGAUAUUUGUGUAGUCUUUUUUCGACUGACGGUCCGGGUCGAAAUACGUGGCCAUGGAAUAGUUCGGGCUUAAGAGGAUGAGUGUGCAAUGUGUGUCACUGCACAAAACACGGAAUGUUAGAAAAAAAAGAAUGAUCAAAAUCUAAGAAAUGAUAUGUUACGGGGCGGUGAGGGGAUGACUUACUCGGGAAAGUAAGGCACGAGGAAGUUAUCCUUAUCUGGGUUCGCCAGAAUGACGCCUUCGAGGUAUGAACUCGCGGCUUGCCGGUCCCCAGCGCUGCCCAAGAUCUUGGCACGCAUGUAGAAGGGGUCGACUAUCACGAUGUCCGGGGUCUUGUCUCUAAUGAUCCGCAUCUCCAUACUGAGUGAAAAUAGCCGAACAAAUGUGUAGUGCAGCGGAUGAAGGUUAAACAUAGCGAAGAUGUCAUCAAACCGCAGGACGAUCAUACCCCCGAUGGCGCUAUCGACAAAGCCCUUGCCCUCUGGCACCUUGGCCACGAAAACCGGGUAUGCCACAUCAUUCUCGGAGAGACGCCGCUUCUCCAAAGAAAGAACAAUGUCAUGCAGACUCCGCAUAGCACCGGUUGCAGCAUUGAGCAGAUUAGUCGGUAGCAUCGUCCUACCCGCUACAUGCACCCUCCUCGAGAUAUCCUUAGGUGAAGGUGGCCCGUCCUGAGCACGGAUCGUACUCGGUGCCAGCUGGCUCGCACCCUUGUUAUUCUUUCUUUUCCGUCCCUUCCGCUUCUUCUGCUGUAAUGGGAUCGAGUUUUGCUCAGAGACCACCUUCUUGAGUGUGUUGGGGCUGAUAAUAUUUCGCACCUCGGCUAUCUGAGGCUCAGUGAAGGCGGCAGCUGGAGGCAUCUCCUGAGAACUGAACGCCAGACGACACCUAUUGCAAUUGGCUUUCUCCGCGGUACCAGCUAGAUCGCGAUCGUCUUUUGCAGGGUUGGGUUCAUGAGAAGGAGGCCCCAAAAAUUCGUCAUCGUACCCAUGUUCGUUGAAGUACUUAUCGACGUUGGUAAAUGUACAGUCGUCGCCGUCCGGAUCCUGUGCCAUAUGCAUGUCCGGAUCAGGUGACAGCAGUAGCGUUCCGGCGGUCUUGCCAUGGCUUGGCGCCGGCACGACUGGCGGUGUUGUCUGUGGGGUGGUGUCCCCCGCCCCCAAACGAAUCUGGCUCUUCAGCCAAAGCAUGGGCCAGCUUAUGCAGGCGCUGAGGGUCAUCACAUCAUCUUCGUCGGCCCCAGGGGGUCGAUAUGGAGGUAACAAGUUGUCAAAGCCCCGCAGCACCCGAACCAGUUGAACCCUAUACACGGUGGGUGGCAUCGGAUUACCGUGGAACACGCGGCUGCCCGGUUGAACGAUUCUGGCCUUGGCGACAUCGAUCAACUCGCCGUCCAUGAAGUGCAGGAGAGUGCAUGGAACGUCGGCGGCGCCCUGCGAAAACAUGUAGGGCGUCAGGGAUAUCCAGUCAAAGGCAAGGAGAUGAAGUCAUCGGCCGAGAGGCUUAGUUACCGUGAUGGCGUCGAGCUCGGCUAAUGUCGAGGCACCGCCAACGGCAGGCGUGCAAGUGACGGAGGGGCCGUUUGCUACCGCGGUGCCGGAGACACCAAUGCCGCCUCCGCCGGAGACACCAAUGGUGCCGCCGGCGCGUUGUGCGAGUUGCUGCCCGUGAAGCUGGGAAUCGGGGGCGGCCCCUGUUGGCCGCCCGCAAUCCACGCCUGCAGCCCCUCAAUCAAGAUAGGCACAAUGGCGGUGAUCGUCGCUCCCAGUUGGUCUCGCACUUGCUCUUCGACUAUCUCCGGAAUCCGCGCCACUUGUGCCUUGAGUUCUUGAACCUCGCGCUCCUGGCUUUCCGAGCUAGUCUUUCUCUCCUUUUGCCCAGUGGUAUAGUAUUCCGACCAUUUCGUGGACAAGCCUUUGCCGGCCACACGACCAGCUGACGAAGGAUUACUGAGUUUAUCCUUGUGUUACAUUACGUUCAAUGCCCUAUUUAAAGUGGUGUCCCAAGGGGAGCUCUUAGACGACCCCGUGCUACUGCUUUCAGUGUCCUGCGGAAGGAACGUGAACCAUUUAGAAAUUUGGCUUCAUUAAUUAGAAUGCAACCAUAUGGANNNNNNNNNNNNNNNNNNNNNNNNNNNNNNNNNNNNNNNNNNNNNNNNNNNNNNNNNNNNNNNNNNNNNNNNNNNNNNNNNNNNNNNNNNNNNNNNNNNNNNNNNNNNNNNNNNNNNNNNNNNNNNNNNNNNNNNNNNNNNNNNNNNNNNNNNNNNNNNNNNNNNNNNNNNNNNNNNNNNNNNNNNNNNNNNNNNNNNNNNNNNNNNNNNNNNNNNNNNNNNNNNNNNNNNNNNNNNNNNNNNNNNNNNNNNNNNNNNNNNNNNNNNNNNNNNNNNNNNNNNNNNNNNNNNNNNNNNNNNNNNNNNNNNNNNNNNNNNNNNNNNNNNNNNNNNNNNNNNNNNNNNNNNNNNNNNNNNNNCAGAACAAGCUCAAGCGCCUUGGUCUUCGGAUCAGUGGUAAGCUCCUUUGUUACCGGGUCAAUCUUGUACCGGGCCCUGACAUGGUUCCUGGUCUGCUUGUCACGGUAUUUAUCGCAUAGGGGCGGUAGGCCAGCACGCUCCGCGUCCUCCUUGUCCCAUAUAGGUUCCGCCACUCUGUAACCGCCGGGACCGAGUUUGUGGACCCCUAAGUUCAAGUCCCGCAUAUCUUUCCCCCACUGACUUGAUUCCGCGGUUGCGUUGCUCUCGCACUUGAUCUUGAACUCCAGGUAGUCAGCUUCGCUGAUCGAAGGAUUUGUCUCCUUGAUCUUCUCAUAACUAUCACCUUUUUCAAUCCUUCUCUUCACCGCGGCUCUCCAAGUAGCCAGGGCCGUGCUCAUCUUCGUGAGGGCGGCACUGUUCACUUUAUUCCCUGAGAGGCGUGUGUUUGCGAAGUGACCACAGAACUUGUAUCGUUCGUGCAGCUUCGUGAAGAGGAGGUUGCGCAAAUUCCCUCCGGUCACGAUGCCUUAGGUUCUCGGUGUUGAUCGAGACGGUGCUCCGAAGAAUGCACCCGAGCUUUCCCGCGUACCCCUUGACUAAUUCUUUUGGCGCCGUUGGAUGCGAACUGGAGGACACUUCAGUAAAUCCCUCCUUGACGGUGCCGAGCAUGUUCGGGCGCCGGUCCUUCCAUUGCCUCUUCGGUAGGCUGCCAUCUUUGCGUGCGCUGCCAUCAUCAGUGGUGGCAUCCUCGGCGACACCAUCAGUGGUGUCAUCCCCGAUGCCACUAGGGGUUGUGUAGUCGGGAUCGGUGUCUUCCGCGGCGUCCUCAUAGCGGUGAGGUUCUUCAUCCAUCUCCUGGGACAGCUCCCAGAAUGCCUUGCCCGAACCGCCGGCCUCAUCGUUGUUGGCCAUGUUCGCUCUAAAUAGGAAAAAAGUUUGGUCAAAAAGUUGGUUAUUGUCAAGGAACAAGAUCUCUAAGUUGACCAAAUAACCUAAUUCUAGAGGAAUGUCGCCAAAAAGUUGGUUAUUGUCAAGGAACAAUUGAGAGAUGUUUGUGAUAUUGCCUAGGUAUUUUGGGAUGGAACCUGUUAGUGUGUUGUUGCUAGGUGUUUUGGGAUGGAGCCAGUAGCUUACUUGCAACCCACAAAAGACAAAGGAAAAGGGGUGAAAAGGGGGAGAUGGGUAGCUUUGAUGAGCAGGCAGCAUCUUCCUAACUCCCUUCUUCUUGUCUCCUCUCACUAUCUCUCUCACACACAUGGCAAGCAAGGGUGUUUGAGUGUGUGAAAAAAUACUAAACUAAUCCAACCACUAAAGCACUAGAUCACUACUAUUGUAUAAUCUUUUUAUAGCUUUGUAUAUAUGUAUGGCUCCAAUGGGUGCCACUGCCAUGCAUCCCUCUCCUAUCAUUUAAUCAUUAUUAGCCCAUCAUUUUGACCAGAGAUUAGUUUUGGUUAAUUAAUUAACUAGUGUGUGCCACAGCUAGCAGAGCACGGAUCUCCAUCUAGAUAGUAGGAGUAGCUUUCCAAGCCCUCUUUCCAAAGCCACAACUCCUCUAAGUUCUCAAGAUACAUGCUGAUUAAUUUUUGUUUCGGUUGAGAAUCGGGCACCUUCUAGGUCAAGAAAAUUGGGCAUGACCUUUGCUAAUUGAAGGGCCAUUACUAACUUUUUUUUGGAUCUUUAGUUGCAUCUAAUAAUUUUUUAGAAAAUAUUAACAAAUUCAAUACUUUUUGUGAGUUAGAAAUUCAAUACCAGAAUAAACCUAAAUAAAAAUUGGUAUACCAAUGGCACACCUCCUAGAGGUGCGCCGUAAGUACCUUGAUAGCAAUGGCGCACCUUCUCCUAGUGCGCCAUUAGUAACUUUUUUUUGGAUUUUUGGUUGCAUUCAUUUGUGAAUUGGUAAAACAUUUAUGAAUAUGAAAAAAUAUCAUCCAAUUUGAAAAAAUUUCAUGAACUCAAAAAGUGCCCAUGAAAUUUAAAAAUAUUCAUGAGUUCAAAAAAUAUUAACAAAUUCAAUACUUUUUGUGAGUUAGAAAUUCAAUACCAGAAUAAACAUAAAAAAAAUUGGUAUACCAGAAUAAACAUAAACACCAGAAUAAACAUAAAUAAAUAUUCAUGAGGACUAGAACAGAAGAAAUGUCAUUUCCGUAUGUCGAAAUACAAUCGAGAAAUGAAGACUACAAUUUAAAUACAAUCGAUCUUAGCUAGCUAUCUUUUCACAAUCUUCUUGCCCUUCUUUUUCGCAAAUGGAGUUCUUCUCUUGAACGGACGUCCUUUAGGUAGGGAACGGACGUCCUUUAGGUAGGGUGGUCCUGCUUCUUCUUGUGGUGUAUGGCACUUCAUCGUCGUCGUUAUGUUCCAUCUUCGGGUCGCCAUACUUGUCGAAGUCUUGCUCAUUCGCGACUCCAUCCAUUCCGAUGAUCUUCCUUUUGCCUCUCCUCACGACUACACGACUGGGCUUUGACGGGUCGGUAAUGAAGAAGCAUUGGUCCACUUGGGAAGCCAGUACCCAUGGCUCAUUUUUCGCGGUGACGUUUGCGCCCGCGGUCUUGGAUUUGGCUUCGGGUAUAACCAUGGUGGUGAAAUACCGGUCUUCUUUUAGGACGCUCUUGGCCCAUCUGACACGGAACAUCGGCUCCAGCGUAGCUCAGCUCCCAGAUCUCCUCGAUCCUUCCGUAGUAUCUGUCCUUGUUGUUACCGGUGUAGGAUUCCAUCGUUACCACGGAGUUCUGAUAACCAUCGCUCUUCAUGUCCUUUUCCUCGGUGUAGAAUGUGUAGCCAUUGAUAUCGUACGCCUCAUAGGUCAUCAGGUUGUGCUCGGCGCCCUGUGACAAGGCGAAUAUGAGUUUUUCUUCUGUGGAAGAAUCCUCAUGUAAAGGGUACGACAGAAGCUUCUCCUUGAACCAGCGCGCGAAACAUGAGUUGUGCUCUUUGAUUAUAUCUCCGUCCAUCCACUGUUGGCCUUGGUCAUUGUACAUCUUCUCAAUAAAGGAUUUGUGCUCUACCACCCAAGGAUCGACCACGUCUAUGUGUUGUAGCGCGACUAGGUUUGCUCUUUCAAAGUCGGCGAGUCGACCCUCGAAGUCGACAUGCAUUUCGCGGCGACCAUCGCGGUGACCCCAUCCAGCGAGCCCGCCGAGGUGCCUGUUUACAGGCAGACCAACGGGGUUCUCGAUGCCUACAUAAUUCGUGCAGUAGGAGAUGCACUCUUCGGUCAGAAAGCCCCUGGCUAUGCUUCCCUCUGGACGUGACAUGUUGUGAACGUAUCCUUUGAUGACACCAUUCAUCCUUUCGAACGGCAUCAUGCUGUGCAGGAACGUCGGCCCGAGUUGGAUGAUAUCCUCCACGAUAUGGACCAGCAGAUGCACCAUAACGUCGAAGAAUGCGGGCGGGAAGUACAUCUCAAGCUCGCAUAGUAUCACCAUGAUCUCUUCCUGUAGCCUUCUGAGUUGCCUCACGCCAGCCGACUUCCGAGAGAUGACGUCGAAAAAGUUGCAUAGGCCAAAUAGCGUUUCACGGACGUGCGCGUCCAUGAUCCCAUGGAUUGCAACUGGAAGUAUCUGCGUCAUCAGCACGUGACAGUCGUGAGACUUUAUCCCGCUGAACUUCUGCUUCGCUGAGUCUAGGUAUCUGCUUAUCUUCCCCGCGUAACCGUAAGGAAGUUUUACUCCUACGAGGCAGGUGAAAAACUGCUCGAUCUCCUCCCGACUUAGAGUGAAGCACGCGGGAGGGUAGUCAUUUCCGAUCUUCUUGGCCUUUUUGCCUUUGCGACGACUUUCCGUGUCCUUCGCCUCAUCAUCAUCAUCAUCAUCAUCAUCAUUAGCGUGAAACUCCUCCCUGAUGCCCAUUGAUUUCAAGUCUGCCCUUGCUUUUGGCCCAUCUUUGGUCCUCUCUGGCAUGUUGAGCAGGGUACCAAGCAGACUCUCGCACACGUUCUUCGUGAUAUGCAUGACAUCAAGGCUGUGAGGCACACGGAGGAUCUUCCAGUACGGCAAGUCCCAGAAAACAGAUCUCGUUUUCCAUACCUUCAGCAGCAGCUCUGGUGCCUUUCGCUUCUUUCCCGGCUCUGGCACCUUUCGCUUCUUUCCCGGCAGUGGGCAAUCUUUCCAAUUUUUCAACAGCUCAUCUAUUUCCUCGCCGCUCCUCGUACGCGGGCGUCUUCGGGGUUCGGUUUCAUCAUCGAACAGAUCCUUGCGUUUUCUCCAUGAGUCAUCGUCGCGAAGCCACCUUCGAUGUCCCAUGAACAUGGUUUUCGAAGACCCGGGAUCUCUAUCUAGCUGGCGAUACGUUGUGUCAUCCAUGCACCUGACGCAUCCAGAAAAUCCGUGGACCACCUGCCCCGCGACAUAUCCGUAACCGAGAUAGUCGUGCACCGUCGUGAGCAGUGCGGCUCUCAUAGGGAAAUAUUCUUUCUUUGCGGCGUCCCACGUAUUGGCUGGCGUUUUCCAUAGCGUGUCUAGCUCCUCUUUCAGCAGCCACAGAUACAGAUUGAUGUCGUUCCUUGGUUGUUUCGGCCCUUCAAUUAGCAUACUCGUGUGAAUGUACUUCCUCUUCAUGCACAACCAGGGGGGAAGGUUGUACAUCCACACAAACACAGGUCAGGUGCUAUGUGUGCUUCUCUGGCUGCCAAACGGAUUGACUCCAUCGGUGCUCGCGCCCAGCACGAUGUUCCUUGGAUCGUCCCCAAAUUCUGGGUGUUCGAAGUUUAACGCUUGCCACUGGCUUGCAUCCUUAGAAUGACUCAGCAUCUUGUCUUUUUUAUUUAUCUCCGGAUCAUUUCCGUCAUCUUCUCGCUUCUUCUCCUCCCUAUCCGCGUGCCAACGUAGGAGCUUUGCUAGCUUAGGGUCCGCGAAAUACCGCUGCAGACGAGGAGUGAUCGGAAAGUACCACACCACUUUUCGAGGAGCUUUCUUCCUCUUCUUGUAUCGAGUGACGCCGCACACCGGACAUAUGGUAGACUCCGCGUGCUCGUCCCGAUAAAUGAUGCAAUUGUUCAUGCACACAUGGUAUUUCACGUGCGGUAAAUCCAGAGGACACACGAUUUUCUUCGCCUCCUCGAAACUGGUCGCGCACUUGUUCCCCUUGGGAAGACGUUCGUGCCAGAAUGACAUGUUCUCGUCGAAGCAUGCGUUAGUCAUUUUGUGCUUUACCUUCGUCUCCAGAGCCAUGAGCGUUACUUUCAGACGGGUAUCCUCGGGCCUGCAUCCUUCAUAGAAUGGAGUAACCACGUCUAUCUCCAGUUGGUCCAGCUUGGCUUUCUCUCGGGCGGCAGCUCUUGCGUUAUCCGUCUGCUUGAGAAGCAGCUCUUGAAUAUGAGGGUCCUACACCCAGCCCAUCGAUGGUCCAUCGUCGUCUGCUCCGGCAUCUUCAUCUUCAUGAUCAUGCCCUUCGUCUUGACCUUCCUCAUCAUCAUGUCCGGCAUCUUCUACAUGAUGACUGUGUACUGCAUCUACUUCGUGAUCAUGUCCUGAAGAUUCUUCGUCUUCUCGCCCGCCCUCGCCGUGGUUGUCUUGCUGCCCUUCCUCAUUUCUUGCCCGACCCCCAUGGACGACUUCAUAGUCAUCUUCAUCACCUUGCCACCGAUAGCCAUCCAUGAAACCACGCAAGAGCAGGUGGUCCCGCACCUGUACGGAAUCCGGGUCCAUAAGGCUCUUCAGCUUGCAUCUUCAACACGGACAUCUUAUCUCCGUCUCGUUCUUUUGAAGCAUCACGGCCUUCGCGGAGCUCAAAAACCUAUUCACGAUGCCUUCAAUCAUCGUGCGGACCAUGGUCGCCUGCGGGGUAGAGCAAAACGAUAUUUUCGAACCAAAAAAAUUUUUGGCAUGACUUUGCCUAAAAAUAGGACAAAAUUCUCGGCGAAACGGAAAUGAAUCAACAUUCCGGCAAAAUAUUGGCAACUAUCGCAUUUCAAAUACCGGUACCUGCAAACACAAACAUAUGCAACACCACAAACAUACGUAGAUAUAGGCCAUAAAAAGUGUGUACAUUGUUGGUGGGAGAAAAAAGUAGAUCUAGAACAUAAAUAAAGCUUUCCCCUUACUUACCUAUCAAAAAAAAGGAAAUUUAACGACUUAAUUUGGGUGAAUCUAUGGUGCAAAUGAGGUGAGGAGGAGGAGGCAGCCGAGACCAAGCUUGGUAGAGGUGGAGAGAAUGAAGUGGGAAAACUGAGUGUGAUAGGUGGCUGUCCAAAAUAUCUAGCUGCUCCCAGGUUACCAAUGGCACACCACCUAAGAAUGCGCCAUUAGUAACCAGGGUUACUAAUGGCGCACCUGGUGAGUGGUGCGCCAUUACUAGUUUUAAAAAAAACAUGUUAGUAGUGGCGCACCAGUGGACAGUGCGCCAUUACUAGUUAGAACUAGUAAUGGCGCACUAUCCCCUGGUGCGCCACUGCUAACAAUUUUUUACCUUUUAAAAAAAAUUAGUAAUGACGCACCACCCACCAGGUGCGCCAUUAGUAAUGAGGACAUUAAUGACGUACCUGUAUCUGGUGCGCCACUGCUAUAUAGUAGUGGCGCACCACAUACAUGAUGCGCCAUUAAUGUCUAUAUUAGCUAUAGUCCUUUUCCUAGUAGUGCUCUUUUCCAGAUACCGCAAAAAUACCUUGGUUUCUGGCAUACUGUAGUUUACAAAACUUUGGUUUUUUCUGAUGCCAAACCCAGCAAAGUAUUCAAAACCAUGGUUUUUUUUCCAGAAACCACAGUAUUCUCAGAAAACAUUAAAAAAACUUUACUGCCAAACGCAGCCUAAAGGUUAAGAGGUACUCAUGCAACCAGUUGAUAUUUCGGGCAAGCUGGUGAUGCAACAUAAACGUGGUGGGGAUGACGACCGCAGCUGCCCAAAGCCAGGAUGGCGGACAGACGAGGUUAUUCGAGGACUGUAUCGAGGAUGGUGGGUCGACGAGGUUACCCGAGCUGAUUCAACCCAUGAGUAACCUGGCGAAGCACGAUUCACAGUUGAGGAGGGGCUCGACCCCCUAAUGCCCGAAUGGCGCACCGUCGCCCGGGGGUCACGUCGGUGGAGAGGACGAGGGGCAGCCGUGCUACUCGACGAUGAGUAGAGCCGUAGAUGAGGAGCAGGAAGGCGGAGCUGGCCGGUGAGCUCGCGGUGCGAGGCUGGCGGAGAUUGGGAUCUGGGCGAGGCGAGCGAGGUUGAGGAAGAGGUGGGAGCUCUGGGCGGUGCGGGCAAUUAGGAAGAUGGAAUCAUUUUUUUUUUUGAGCCGAAAGAUGGAAUCAUUGAGAGAAGAUUACGCGCAGGAUUUACAGCUUGCGGGUAGUUAUUCUGAUAGGAUUUUUUCCCGUUUUUCAUUUACAUACGAAGCAAAAUUGUGAACGUCGGAUUUGGAACCAAUCGACGUUAUUCAAGUGGUCCGACGCUCACGUUCCUUCAGACUACGGAUGGAAAGCGUUUCCCGAAACCGCUAGUUUCUCUCAUGUUCCCGAGACGAUAACACCAUGGCUAUUACUGCCAUUCCCCUUCUCUAUUAAUACCUUCCACCCUUUCCAUUAUAAAUAACAAAAUUGAAACACAUCAUUCUCUUGGUUGUAUUUUUCCUAAAAUGUUUAAGGUGUAUGUGUCAUUGAAUGUGAAUAUAUUCUGUUGCAAAGUUUCAUGAAAUUUAAUUAGUAUGCAACCUGUGCACUAGAGAAAUAAAGAUUAAAAUAAAUUUAGUUAUUUUUGUUAGCCCAUCAUUAUUGUUUUUAGAACAAAAAAGUCAAGUCACUUUUUCAUGAAAGCUGGAGACAAAUUGUGUAUUCUAAAAUAAAAAUGAUCGAUUUUCCUAUCUCUCUGUCUCUCAUACACGCGCGCGCGCAUGUACACACGUGCAAACUUAGAAUUUUGGAAAUAAUGGGCGCAAUGGCCAUUUGAAAAUAUGAGGUACUCCCUCCAUCCAUGAAUAAGUGUACGCAUGGCAUUCAAAAAAUUUCCACAAAAGAAUGUGCUUCUAUCUUCACAAUACACUUUAAAGUAAAGAAAAUGUCUCUAAUCACACAGUAAUCAAGACCAAUAAAAUUCAACACAUGGUCCUUUAUACAUCAUAUAUACGUGCCUAUGCGCGAAGAGCAAUACAUUAUGCAAUCAUACAUGGUAUCAGUUUUUAUGUUUUCAUCCUAGUCUUCCGCCGCCGCCGCCACGCGCCUCCUCCGCGGCGCCGCCGCCGCCGUCUGCGCGUCUCCCGCGCCGGCCGCCGCUGCUUCCUCUCCCUGCGCGUGCGCCUUGCACCGUCAGUCCUGCCCGGUCGCUAGCUGCAUCGCCUCGCCUCGCUAGCCCGGUCACUAGCCGCAUCGCCUCGCCUCGCUAGCUACCUCGCUUCACCUCGCUAGCUGCACGUACCUGCCCACCCGCACGCCCGAUCACUCGCCGCAUCACCUCGCCUCGCUAGCUGUCGAGUCGCCGAGUCAUCCGCUAGCUGCCUGCCGAGUCGCCGAGUCAAACUCCACUCGCCGCCUGCCAGUCCGCCCGCUAGCUGCACCCAAUCCUGCCCGCAGCAGCGCCCAACUCCGCUCGCCAGAUGCACCCGCAACCUGCUCGCCCGCCCAGCCGCUCCACGCGAAGCCAGCAGCGCCCGACUCCGCUCGCCAGCUGCACCCGUAACCCGCUCGCCCGCCCAGCCGCUCCACGCCAAGCCCAUAACUCGCUCGAUCGCCCAACGCCGCCGCCUAUCAAUUUUUAGGUUUUUCGUUUCCGCCACCACCGCCGCCGUGCACCUCCUCUGCGCCGCCGCCGCUGCCCAGCUGCCGUCGUCGGACCAGCAAUGGCGUCCACCGGCCCGUCCGCCGCCGCCUCUGCCAUCCCGCCGCCGGCGCCCUACGGCGCGGCCCCGCCAGCCCAUCCCGACUUGCCGCGCGGCUCGGCUCCGCUGCCCUCGCUGGCGUACGUCGCCGCCCCACUGCCGACGCUCUCCGGCCAGUCCAUCAUCGCCCCGCUGCCGGCGCCGACUCUGCCCGUCAACCCCUUGCUGUCGCGUGGGGCGUUCGACGCGCCCAUGUACGGGGCUCCCGGGUACUGGUGGGGGUCGUCAGCAGGCCAGCACUCGCCCGCUGGGCAGCCGCCAGACGGCGCCCAACACCUGCAGCAUCUUUUAGCGGGCCAGCAGGUUUUUCCGGCGUGCUAUCCGGCCUACCCGGCACCGCAGUCGCAGUCAGGACUGCUUCCCAUACCGUCUGGAGAGUACCCACCGCUGCUGCCGAGCGAUGGCUACAGCCUCCCCAUGGCGUCUCCGUCCCCCUUACCGGCCCUGCUGCCGGCGCCCUGGGACCCGGUGCUCCUUCCCGCACUGCAUGCCGCUCCUACGCCGAACAACUACGCCCAAUGUGAUGACAGGUACAUGGACACCGGGGCUACGGCUCACAUGUUUGCUCAUCCUGGUAAUCUUGCCUCCUUCACUCCCAUCACCACCGACCGCCGCAUCAUUGUCAGCGACGGUUCCACACUCCCUAUCACACAUGUCGGGCACACUUCUUUUCCUUCUAAUUCCAUGCCUAUUACUUUGUCUAACAUACUUGUGUCACCUCAUCUUAUUAAGAACCUUGUUUCCAUUCGUCGUUUAACUCGUGAAAAUCAUGUUACUGUUGAAUUUGACGAGCUUGGGUUUUGUGUCAAGGAUGCUGGAACCAGGAUGGUACUUCACCGAUGUGACAGCCUCGACGAGCUCUAUCCGGUGCAUUCGCCGUCCACCUCCACCACCGCAUCGGUUGCUCUCUCCGUCAGCGUCGAUCUCUGGCACGCUCGUUUGGGUCUUCCCAACCCCGUCACACUUCGUCAUAUUCUUAGGAGUUUCAGUUUCAGUUGUCAUAAGAUAGAGGAUCACACCUGUCAUGCCUGUCGUGUCGGCAAACAUGUUCGCCUCCCGUUUAAUAACUCCACCACCAUAGCUUCUUUCCUUUUCAGUUGAUUCAUAGCGAUGUGUGGACCUCUCUGGUUCCUAGUAAUUCAGACUAUUAUAUUAUCUGGUUAUCCUUGAUGAUUAUUCUCAUUAUGUGUGGACUUUUCCUUUGCGUAGAUAGUUAGAUGCACUCACGACUUUGACGGCUUUUUACUCCUAUGUCAGCACGCAGUUUGGGCGUCCCAUCAUUGCUCUUCAGACUGACAAUGGGAAAGAGUUCGACAACCUUGCUUUCCGCACUUUUCUGUCGCACCAUGGCAAGAUUUUCGUCUCACAUGCCCGUAUACUUACCAGCAGAACGGUCGAGCCGAACGCGUCCUUCGCACUCUGAACGACCUCGUUCGCACGCUCCUGUUCCAUGCUAAUGUGCCGCCUCAUUUCUGGCCGGACGCACUCGCCACUGCUGCUCUUCUCCUUAACCUUCGCCCUUGCCGCCCACGAUGGAACUAUGCACCUCACCAUCUUCUCUUCGGUAUGCCCCCAUCUUAUGAUGGCUUGCGUAUUUUCGGGUGCCUUUGCUAUCCUAGCACUGCCGACUCCGCUCCUCACAAACUCGCACCUCGUUCUGUCGCUUGCAUCUUCAUCGGCUGCCCCUCCAACUCCAAGGGAUAUCGGUGCUACGAUCCUGUCUCCCACCGUGUGUUCACUUCUCGGCACGUUUACUUUGAUGAGCAUGUGUUUCCGUUUCACCAGGUACCCCCGGCUGUUCCUCCCGCCACCGGUGACGCAGGCUCCUCGACACCCCUCAUAGGGUGCUCGUGCGCCUCUCUUCGCCCGCCCUUGGCUUUGAGGCACGCCCCUGUGAUACGUCCAUUUUGCAUCAUGCUUUUAUAUCGAUAUUUAUUGCAUUAUGGGCUGUUAUUACACAUUAUGUCACAAUACUUAUGCCUAUUCUCUCUUAUUUUACAAGGUUUACAUAAGGAGGGAGAAUGCCGACAGCUGGAAUUCUGGGCUAGAAAAGGAGCAAAUAUUAGAGACCUAUUCUGCACAACUCCAAAAGUCCUGAAACUCCACGAAAGUUAUUUUCGGAAAUAAUAAAAAAUACUGAGCGGAAGAAAUACGUCAGGGGGGCCUCCACCUGUCCACGAGGAUGGGGGGCACGCCCUACCCCCUGGGCGCGCCCCCUGCCUCGUGGGCCCCCUGUUGGCCCUCCGGUGCCCAUCUUCUGCUAUAUGAAGUCUUUCGUCCGAAGAAAAAUCAUAGGCAAGCUUUCGGGAUGAGACUCCGUCGCCACGAGGCGGAACCUUGGCGGAACCAAUCUAGGGCUCCGGCAGAGCUGUUCUGCCGGGGAAACUUCCCUCCGGGAGGGGGAAAUCAUCGCCAUCGUGAUCACCAACGCUCCUCUCAUCGGGAGAGGGCAAUCUCCAUCAACAUCUUCACCAGCACCAUCUCAUCUCAAACCCUAGUUCAUCUCUUGUAUCCAAUUCUUGUCUCUAAGUCUGGGAUUGGUACCUGUAGGUUGCUAGUAGUGUUGAUUACUCCUUGUAGUUGAUGGUAGUUGGUUUAUUUGGUGGAAGAUCAUAUGUUCAGAUCCUAUAUGCAUAUUAAUACUCCUCUGAUUAUGAACAUGAAUAUUCUUUGUGAGUAGUUACGUUUGUUCCUGAGGACAUGGGAGAAGUCUUGCUAUUAGUAAUCAUGUGAAUUUGGUAUUCGUUCGAUAUUUUGAUGAGAUGUAUGUUCUCUAUCCUCUAGUGGUGUUAUGUGAACGUCGACUACAUAACACUUCACCAUUAUUUGGGCCUAGAGGAAGGCAUUGGGAAGUAAUAAGUAGAUGAUGGGUUGCUAGAGUGACAGAAGCUUCAACCCUAGUUUAUGCGUUGCUUCGUAAGGGGCUGAUUUGGAUCCAUAUGUUUCAUGCUAUGGUUAGGUUUACCUUAAUACUUUUGUUGUAGUUGCGGAUGCUUGCAAUAGAGGUUAAUCAUAAGUGGGAUGCUUGUCCAAGUAAGGGCAGCACCCAAGCACCGGUCCACCCACAUAUCAAAUUAUCAAAGUACCGAACGCGAAUCAUAUGAACGUGAUGAAAACUAGCUUGACGAUAAUUCCCAUGUGUCCUCGGGAGCGCUUUUCUCUUUAUAAGAGUUUGUCCAGGAUUGUCCUUUGCUACAAAAACGAUUGGGGCACCUUGCUGCACUUUAUUUACUUUUUUUAUUUGUUGCUCAUUACAAAUUAUCCUAUCACAAAACUAUCUGUUACCUAUAAUUUCAGUGCUUGCAGAGAAUACCUUGCUGAAAACCGCUUAUCAUUUCCUUCUGCUCCUCGUUGGGUUCGACACUCUUACUUAUCGAAAGGACUACGAUAGAUCCCCUAUACUUGUGGGUUAGGAAGACUCAUUUCUGGCGCCGUUGCCGGGGAGUGAAGCGCCUUUGUUAGGUGGAAUUUGGUAAGGAAAAAUUUAUAUAGUGUGCUGAAAUUUACUGUCACUUGUCACUAUGGAAAGUAAUCCUCUGAGGGGCUUGUUCGGGGUAUCUUCACCCCGACCUGUAGAGCAAAGGGGUGCUCCUCAACCUACUGAACCUACUGAAGAUGAAAAUGUCUACUUUGAAAUACCUUCGGGUAUGUUAGAAAAACUGCUAGCUAAUCCUUUUGUAGGAGAUGGAACAAUGCAUCCUGAUGAGCACCUAAUCUAUGUGGAUGAAGUUUGUGGAUUAUUUAAGCUUGCAGGUAUACCCAAUGAUGUUAUUAAGAAGAAGGUAUUCCCUUUAUCUUUGAAGGGAGAUGCAUUGACAUGGUAUAGGCUAUAUGAUGAUACGGGGUCAUGGAACUACAAACGAUUGAAAUUGGAAUUUCAUCAGAAGUUUUAUCCUAUGCAUCUUGUUCAUCGUGAUCGCAAUUAUAUAUAUAAUUUUUGCCUCGCGAAGGAGAAAGCAUCGCUCAAGCUUGGGGGAGGCUUAAAUCAAUGUUAUAUUCAUGCCCCAAUCAUGAGCUCCCAAGAGAAAUAAUUAUUCAAAGUUUUUAUGCUCGGCUUUCUGAUAACAAUCGCACCAUGCUCGAUACUUCCUGUGCUGGCUCUUUUAUGAUGAAGACUAUUGAAUUCAAAUGGAAUUUAUUGGAAAGAAUUAAAUGUAACUCUGAAGAUUGGGAUCUCGACGAAGGUAAGGAGUCAGGUAUGACACCUAAGUUUGAUUGUGUUAAAUCUUUUAUGGAUACCGAUGUUUUCCGUAAAUUUAGCACUAAAUAUGGACUUGACUCUGAGAUAUUAGCUUCCUUUUGUGAAUCUUUUGCUGCUCACGUUGAUCUCCCUAGGGAGAAGUGGUUUAAAUAUCAUCCUCCCAUAGAAGUAAAAGUAGCUGCACCUAUUAAAGUUGAAGAAAAGACUAUCACUUAUAAUGAUCCUAUUGUUCCUACUGCUUAUGUUGAAAAACCACCUUUCCCUGUUAGAAUAAAGGAUCAUGCUAAAGCUUCAACUGUGGUUCGUAAAAGCAGUAUUAGAACCUAUGCACCUCCUGAGCAAGUUAAAGUUGAACCUAAUAUUGCUAUUGUUAAAGAUCUCUUGUCUGAUAAUAUUGAUGGGCAUGUUAUUCAUUUUCGUGAUGAAACUGCUAGAAUUGCUAAACCUUGUGCUAAAGAUAAACAUAGACCUGUGGUAGGCAUGCCUGUUAUUUCUGUUAAAAUAGGAGAUCAUCGUUAUCAUGGCUUAUGUGACAUGGGUGCUAGUCCUAGUGCAAUACCUAUUGACUUAUACAAAGAAAUUAUGCAUGAUAUUGCACCUACUGAGUUAGAAGAUAUUGAUGUCACAAUUAAACUUGCCAAUAGAGAUACUAUUUCACCCAUGGGAAUUGUAAGAGAUGUUGAAGUCUUGUGUGGGAAAACUAAAUAUCCUGCUGAUUUUCUUGUUCUUGGUUCCCCACAAGAUAGCUUUUGUCCCAUUAUUUUUGGUAGACCCUUCUUGAACACUGUUAAUGCUAAGAUAGACUGCGAAAAGGAUGUUGUUACUAUUGGUUUGGGUGAUAUGUCUCAUGAGUUUAAUUUCUCUAAAUUUCGUAGACAACACCGUGAAGAGGAAUUGCCUAGUAAGGAUGAAAUUAUUGGUCUUGCUACUAUUGCCGUACCUCCAAGUGAUCCUUUAGAACAAUAUUUCCUAGACCAUGAAAAUGAUAUGUUUAUGAAUGAAAGAAGGGAAAUAGAUGAAGUAUUCUUUAAACAGGAACCUAUCCUGAAACACAAUUUGCCUGUUGAAAUCCUAGGGGAUCCUCCUCCAACUAAGGGUGAUCCCGUGUUUGAGCUUAAACCAUUGCCUGAUACUCUUAAAUAUGCUUAUCUUGAUGAAAAGAAGAUAUAUCAUGUUAUUAUUAGUGGUAACCUUUUAGAGCAUGAAGAAGAGAGAUUAUUGAAAACUCUGAAGAAGCACCAUGCUGCUAUUGGAUAUACUCUUGAUGAUCUUAAGGGUAUUAAUCCCACUCUAUGCCAACACAAAAUAAAUUUGGAGAAAGAUGCCAAACCAGUUCGUGAUCACCAACGAGGGCUGAAUCCUAAGAUGAAAGAAGUGGUAAGAAAGGAAAUACUAAAGCUCCUUGAGGCAGGUAUAAUUUAUCCCGUUGCUGAUAGUCAGUGGGUAAGUCAUGUCCAUUGUGUCCCUAAGAAGGGAGGUAUUACCGUCGUUCCUAAUGAUAAAGAUGAAUUGAUUCCGCAAAGAAUUAUUACAGGUUAUAGGAUGGUAAUCGAUUUCCGCAAAUUAAAUAAAGCUACUAAAAAAGAUCAUUACCCCUUACCUUUUAUUGAUCAAAUGCUACAAAGAUUAUCCAACCAUACACAUUUUUGCUUUCUAGAUGGUUAUUAUGGUUUCUCUCAAAUACCUGUGUCAGCCGAUGAUCAAUCAAAGAUCACUUUCACUUGUCCUUUCAGUACUUUUGCUUAUAGACCUAUGCUACCUUUCAAAGAUGCAUGAUGGCUAUAUUCUCUGACUUUUGUGAAAAGAUUUGUGAGGUUUUCAUGGAUGAUUUCUCCGUUUAUGGAUCCUCUUUUGACGAUUGCUUGAGCAACCUUGAUCGAGUUUUGCAGAGAUGUGAAGAAACUAAUCUUGUCUUGAAUUGGGAAAAGUGCCACUUUAUGGUUAAUGAAGAUAUUGUCUUGGGGCAUAAAGUUUCUGAAAGAGGUAUUGAAGUUGAUAAAGCCAAGGUUGAUGCUAUUGAAAAGAUGCCAUGUCCCAAGGACAUCAAAGGUAUAAGAAGUUUCCUUGGUCAUGCCAGUUUUUAUAGGAGGUUCAUUAAGGACUUCUCAAAAAUUUCUCGGCCUCUGACUAAUUUAUUACAAAAAGAUAUACCAUUUGUCUUUGAUGAUGAUUGUGUAGAAGCAUUUGAAAUACUUAAGAAAGCAUUGAUCUCUGCACCUAUUGUUCAGCCACCUGAUUGGAAUUUACCCUUUGAAAUUAUGUGUGAUGCUAGUGAUUAUGCUGUAGGUGUUGUUCUAGGGCAAAGAGUUGAUAAGAAAUUAAAUGUUAUCCAAUAUGCUAGCAAAACUCUAGACAAUGCUCAAAGAAAUUAUGCUACUACUGAAAAGGAAUUCUUAGCAGUUGUAUUUGCUUGUGAUAAGUUCAGACCUUAUAUUGUUGAUUCUAAAGUAACUAUUCACACUGAUCAUGCUGCUAUUAAAUAUCUUAUGGAAAAGAAAGAUGCUAAACCUAGACUUAUUAGAUGGGUUCUCUUGUUACAAGAAUUUGAUUUGCAUAUUAUUGAUAGAAAGGGAGCUGAGAACCCCGUUGCAGACAACUUGUCUAGGUUAGAAAAUGUUCUUGAUGACUCACUACCUAUUGAUGAUAGCUUUCCUGAUGAACAAUUAAAUGUCAUAAAUGCCUCUCGUACUGCUCCAUGGUAUGCUGAUUAUGCUAAUUACAUCGUUGCUAAAUUCAUACCACCUAGUUUCACAUACCAGCAAAAGAAAAAGUUUUUCUAUGAUUUGAGACAUUACUUUUGGGAUGACCCACAUCUUUAUAAAGAAGGAGUAGAUGUUGUUAUUAGAUGUUGUGUACCUGAGCAUGAACAGGAACAGAUCCUACACAAGUGUCACUCCGAGGCUUAUGGAGGACACCACACUGGAGACAGAACUGCACAUAAGGUAUUGCAAUCCGGUUUUUAUUGGCCUACUCUCUUCAAGGAUGCCCGUAAGUUUGUCUUGUCUUGUGAUGAAUGUCAAAGAAUUGGUAAUAUUAGUAGACGUCAAGAAAUGCCUAUGAAUUAUUCACUUGUUAUUGAACCAUUUGAUGUUUGGGGCUUUCACUAGUAGAAAACAGGGCUUAGGUCACAGGGCAGUUUUCUCAUUAGCCCCGGUUCAGUCACGAACCGGGACCAUGGGGGCAUUCGUCCCAGUUCGUGAGCCCAGGGGGCCGGCCGGGGCCUCGUGGGCAUUGGUCCCGGUUCGUAUGGAACCAUUUGUCCCGGUUCGAGCCACGAACCGGGACUAAUGUACCUCGCUCCUGGCCCACAACCAUUUGUCCCGGUUCUUGGCAUGAACCGGGACAGAAGGCCCGGAUUUAGUACCGGUUCAUGCCGCGAACCGGGACCAAUGAGGUGCCUAUAUAUACCCCUCGCCCGCGAGCAGAGCACUCCAGUGCUCUGUUUUUCUCUGGCCGGCGAGGGGAGGGCUUUGUGGUGCUCUAGCUCACCUCCUAUGCACAUGAGGUGUUCGAUGAAAUGCCCGAGCCACACUAGUUAAGCUUUGUCCUCUCGAAGCUCGACCUCAAAGCUCCAUUUUCCUCGAGAUUUGUCUAGGUUUAGCGGCCCGUCAGGUCCCAUUCCCGUCUUCACCGCCGUCGACCGCCUGCGCCGAUCUCGUCGCCGGCACCACCGUGGUGAGCCUCUUGUUCUUAUCUUCUUUUUGAAAGAAAAAAAUUCUUACUUUAGAUAGAUACUUGUCUAAUUUUCUUACUAUUUUAUUCCUUCUUAUUACAUAGUGCGAUGGUUUUGGUAUCCGCCCCCGUCGGCCCUCGUCCUGUCUAUGAUUCGGAUGUGGUAUAUAUUAUCUUUUUAUAACUAUUUGAUUCAUUUAUUGUUUAUGACAAAUAUACCAACCAGCGUGACAUAGAUUUUAUUUAUCUAGGAGGUGGUUGAACCGGAAAUUCUAACCGACCCUAUUGUCGAGAGGUUAAAUUUAGUUGAAGAAGAAAACAAUUACUUGAAGGAAGAAAUAAAAAAAAUUGAGGAGGAGAAGAUGAUAUUCACUACUGGAAUCAGCUAAUUUGCCAUCUGCCAGAUCUUUGCCGUCUGCUAGCUGACGGCAAAGAUGCUCUUUGCCAUCAGCUACACAUAAACAGACGGCAAAGAAAAGGCUGACGGCAAACACACUCUUUGCCAUCUGCCUGGUCUUUGCCGUCUGCCAGCGGACGGCAAAUAAUCUUUGCCGUCCGCUGGCGGACGGCAAAGAGUGUGGUGGCCCCACCCCCCGCUCGUUUGAAAAAAUCCUAACGGCCCACCUCUUUGCCGUCCGCUAGCGGACGGCAAAGAGGCAGAAAGGCGGACGGCAAAGGCUGGCGGACGGCAAAGAGGGCACUUGCCUAACGGCAGGUACCCCCCGCCCGUUACUCACUUCGUCCUCGCCUCGCCCUUCUCCUCCCACCCCGCCGCCGCCGCCGCCGCCCGCCGCGCGCCGCCGCCCCGUCGCCCCCGNNNNNNNNNNNNNNNNNNNNNNNNNNNNNNNNNNNNNNNNNNNNNNNNNNNNNNNNNNNNNNNNNNNNNNNNNNNNNNNNNNNNNNNNNNNNNNNNNNNNNNNNNNNNNNNNNNNNNNNNNNNNNNNNNNNNNNNNNNNNNNNNNNNNNNNNNNNNNNNNNNNNNNNNNNNNNNNNNNNNNNNNNNNNNNNNNNNNNNNNNNNNNNNNNNNNNNNNNNNNNNNNNNNNNNNNNNNNNNNNNNNNNNNNNNNNNNNNNNNNNNNNNNNNNNNNNNNNNNNNNNNNNNNNNNNNNNNNNNNNNNNNNNNNNNNNNNNNNNNNNNNNNNNNNNNNNNNNNNNNNNNNNNNNNNNNNNNNNNNNNNNNNNNNNNNNNNNNNNNNNNNNNNNNNNNNNNNNNNNNNNNNNNNNNNNNNNNNNNNNNNNNNNNNNNNNNNNNNNNNNNNNNNNNNNNNNNNNNNNNNNNNNNNNNNNNNNNNNNNNNNNNNNNNNNNNNNNNNNNNNNNNNNNNNNNNNNNNNNNNNNNNNNNNNNNNNNNNNNNNNNNNNNNNNNNNNNNNNNNNNNNNNNNNNNNNNNNNNNNNNNNNNNNNNNNNNNNNNNNNNNNNNNNNNNNNNNNNNNNNNNNNNNNNNNNNNNNNNNNNNNNNNNNNNNNNNNNNNNNNNNNNNNNNNNNNNNNNNNNNNNNNNNNNNNNNNNNNNNNNNNNNNNNNNNNNNNNNNNNNNNNNNNNNNNNNNNNNNNNNNNNNNNNNNNNNNNNNNNNNNNNNNNNNNNNNNNNNNNNNNNNNNNNNNNNNNNNNNNNNNNNNNNNNNNNNNNNNNNNNNNNNNNNNNNNNNNNNNNNNNNNNNNNNNNNNNNNNNNNNNNNNNNNNNNNNNNNNNNNNNNNNNNNNNNNNNNNNNNNNNNNNNNNNNNNNNNNNNNNNNNNNNNNNNNNNNNNNNNNNNNNNNNNNNNNNNNNNNNNNNNNNNNNNNNNNNNNNNNNNNNNNNNNNNNNNNNNNNNNNNNNNNNNNNNNNNNNNNNNNNNNNNNNNNNNNNNNNNNNNNNNNNNNNNNNNNNNNNNNNNNNNNNNNNNNNNNNNNNNNNNNNNNNNNNNNNNNNNNNNNNNNNNNNNNNNNNNNNNNNNNNNNNNNNNNNNNNNNNNNNNNNNNNNNNNNNNNNNNNNNNNNNNNNNNNNNNNNNNNNNNNNNNNNNNNNNNNNNNNNNNNNNNNNNNNNNNNNNNNNNNNNNNNNNNNNNNNNNNNNNNNNNNNNNNNNNNNNNNNNNNNNNNNNNNNNNNNNNNNNNNNNNNNNNNNNNNNNNNNNNNNNNNNNNNNNNNNNNNNNNNNNNNNNNNNNNNNNNNNNNNNNNNNNNNNNNNNNNNNNNNNNNNNNNNNNNNNNNNNNNNNNNNNNNNNNNNNNNNNNNNNNNNNNNNNNNNNNNNNNNNNNNNNNNNNNNNNNNNNNNNNNNNNNNNNNNNNNNNNNNNNNNNNNNNNNNNNNNNNNNNNNNNNNNNNNNNNNNNNNNNNNNNNNNNNNNNNNNNNNNNNNNNNNNNNNNNNNNNNNNNNNNNNNNNNNNNNNNNNNNNNNNNNNNNNNNNNNNNNNNNNNNNNNNNNNNNNNNNNNNNNNNNNNNNNNNNNNNNNNNNNNNNNNNNNNNNNNNNNNNNNNNNNNNNNNNNNNNNNNNNNNNNNNNNNNNNNNNNNNNNNNNNNNNNNNNNNNNNNNNNNNNNNNNNNNNNNNNNNNNNNNNNNNNNNNNNNNNNNNNNNNNNNNNNNNNNNNNNNNNNNNNNNNNNNNNNNNNNNNNNNNNNNNNNNNNNNNNNNNNNNNNNNNNNNNNNNNNNNNNNNNNNNNNNNNNNNNNNNNNNNNNNNNNNNNNNNNNNNNNNNNNNNNNNNNNNNNNNNNNNNNNNNNNNNNNNNNNNNNNNNNNNNNNNNNNNNNNNNNNNNNNNNNNNNNNNNNNNNNNNNNNNNNNNNNNNNNNNNNNNNNNNNNNNNNNNNNNNNNNNNNNNNNAUAGCAUGGGAAAAUGAACCCAAUCUAAACAUACUCGGGUGGGAUUAGGACCUAUCAUUACCUAUUAGAGUGUAGGUUGCAUGGACGUAAUAAAAUUGACAAAGUAGAUCAACUGAUGAAUACAUACAUGGUGAAUUAUAUAUAUAUAUUUGUUGUGUGUCUAGUAGCUCUGAAAGUCAAGAUGAGUGAUCGUGCGUGGAUGUACACCGGUCACACUGGUCAGAACAAAUGGAGCACUGAAUGGUUCACAAAAACCAAGGGGUUUGUGCGAGCCGCAUUUGCAAAUGGCCAGAGGAAAACCUGGUGCCCCUGUUUACGGUGCGGCAAUUGGGAAAAGAGGACAGAGGCUGAAAUGGGCAAACACCUGCAGAAGAGUGGUUUUACGCCCGAUUAUACGGUGUGGACAUUUCAUGGUGAGUCUGCCCAACGUGACCGAGCUGAGGUGGAUCUUCGUCGCACCGACGAGCAUGGUACCGGUAUGGAAAACAUGGUGCAAGACUUUGAUGAUGCUCAGGAUUCGGACGAGGAGAUGGAGGAAUCUGCAAAGGCCUUCAAUGAAAUGUUGGAGUCUUCAAAACGUCCGCUCCAUGAGCACACUGAGCUUUGUCAGUUGGAUGCCAUCUCACAAGUAAUGGCUCUGAAGGCUCAGUUCAACUUGGGCAGAGAAUGCUACGAUGCAAUGAUGACAGUAUUUGGACGCUUUCUACCCAAAGGCCAUGUAAUGCCUGCAAACCUGUACCAGUCGGACAAAAUCCUCCGUGCACUGAAGAUGCCCUAUGAUAAGAUACAUGCCUGUGAGAAAGGAUGUGUCUUGUUUAGGCUUGACUAUGCGGACUUGAACUGUUGUCCCAUUUGCAAGUCUUCCAGGUAUGUUGUGGUAGACAACGGUAUGGGUGAGAAGACACAGACCAAAAUCCCCGUUAGUGUUCUUCGGUAUAUGCCAAUCGUACCAAGACUUCAACGUCUUUUCAUGGUCGAAGAGACGGCCAGACAGAUGACAUGGCACAAAACGGGCAAAGGAACCGAACUAGAUGCAGAUGGGAAUCUGAUGAUUGUACACACAUCUGAUGGUGUUGCGUGGAAAAAGUUUGAUGAAUUACAUGGUGACAAAGCGGCAGAUCCGAGGCAUCCUCGAGUCGGCAUCAACACGGAUGGGUUCAGUGUGUUUGGUAUGACGGCAGCCCAAUACAGUUGUUGGCCCGUAUUUGUCUUUCCACUCAAUCUCCCCCCCGGACAGAUUAUGCAAAGAAAGAACAUUUUCCUGACGUUGAUAAUUCCAGGGCCCAACUAUCCGGGGAAAAAUAUGAAUGUGUACAUGCAACCGCUUAAGGACGAAUUGCAAGAAGCCUGGGAUAAUGGGUUCAAGACAUACGAUGACUAUAGCAAACGGAACUUCAUAAUGCGUGUCUGGUACAUGUACUCGACGCAUGACUUGCCGGCGUAUGCGCUAUUCGUUGGCUGGUGUGUGCAUGGAAGGUUCCCGUGCCCCACAUGCAAGGGAGCUCUUGAGUUUCGUUGGCUUCAGGCCGGUCGCAAGUUUUCUUGCUUCGACAUGCAUAGAGAGUUCCUGAAUCCUCGCCAUAAGUUCAGGAAAGACAAGAAGAACUUCAUCAGAGGUAGAGUUGUCAAAAACUCUGCACCACAUGCAUUGACAGGCCAACAGACCCUGGAUCAGUUAAACGCUCUCGAGCCAGAUCCCGAGCGUCCAGGGUACUUCAAGGGGUAUAAUUCUAAGCACGCCUAGACUCACAAAACAUGCUUAUGGGAUCUGCCUUACUUCAAAGACCUCCUUUGCCCACACAACAUCGACGUGAUGCACACUGAGAAGAAUAUCGCCGAGGCACUUUUUGGUACAUUGUUCGGCAUAGAUGGGAAGUCAAAGGAUAAUACUAAGGCUAGAGUCGAUCUGGAGGCGCUAUGUGAUAGGCCGUUACAAAACAUGAAAGAACCGAAAGGAAAGCAGAACUGGACGAAGCCAAAGGCAUGGUUCAAUCUUGGAAGGCCGGCUAUGAGGGAAAUUAUCUUGUGGGUGAAAAUGCAGUUGAUGUUCCCCGAUGGGUAUGCAGCGAAUCUACAGAGGGGAGCCAGUCUUGAUAAAUUGAAGAUAUUUGGUCUCAAGAGUCAUGAUUGGCACAUAUGGAUUGAGCGGGUAAUGCCGGUGAUGUUGCGUGGCUUCAUCCCUGAGGAUGAAUGGCUAGUACUGGCAGAACUCAGCUAUUUCUUCCGUGUUCUUUGUGCGAAAGAACUAUCGCCUAGCGUGCUAGAAGAAAUGGAAGAGUUGGCGCCGGAGUUGAUCUGCAAGUUAGAGAAGAUCUUUCCACCGGGCUUCUUUAAUCCAAUGCAAUAUUUGAUUUUGCAUCUCCCGACCGAGGCAAGAUUGGGGGGGUCCGUGCAAAAUCGUUGGUGCUACCCAACUGAGAGGAUGCAGAAGACGCUUCGACAAAAAUGUAAAAAUAAACGUAGAAUUGAAGCAUCGAUGGCUGAGGCAUUCAUCACUGAGGAGGCGGCAAACUUCGUGACAGCACACUACGAAGCCAAAAAUCGCCAUUUGCAUAAUCCGAAGCCUCGGUACAAUGCUGACGACCCUAAAAAGGGUGGAUCCAACCUCAGCCUAUUCAAAGGGAAUCUCGCACCAGCCAGUGUUUCAAAUCCAGUAUCUUUGGAUAACAAACAAUGGCGGACCAUUUCGUUGUAUAUCUUCAACAACCUGAUAGAAGUGCGGCCGUACAUCGAGUAAGUUCUCGGUACAUAGUUUCGCAACUUCUAUUUCCUUUGAACUGCUCUUAUUCCUGGAUAUUUCAUACAGUCGAUACGUCGCCUUAUUCUCGUAUGGAGCGGUGAUCCAAAAGGAUUCUGUCGAAGAGUAUGAGCUUCUCGCAAAGCAAGGUGGCGGCUAUCCCGGUUUCAUCUCUUGGUUCAAACAAACGGUAAUUUCUAUUAGACUUGUAGGCUAAUUUGUAGGCGGCUAUCCCGGUUUCAUUCGCUAAUUUGUGUGUAAUGCAACAAUCCUUUCAUAUUAAACUUGUAGGCUAAUUCAGAGUCUAUGGACGCCGAAUUGAGACAAGUCGCUAAUGGUUUUGACUAUAAGGUCCGUUCAUUUGACAAAUACGACAUCAACGGGUAUCGCUUUCGUACCUAUGGCAAAGAGCUAUCUAUGGCCGGCCGAAAGUCUACAAAUUGUUGUGUAUCUGCUAUCGGCGAAGGAGGUACCGAGUAUUAUGGGAGAGUUGAAGCAAUUUAUGAACUUCUAUUCUAUGGUGAAAACCCACCGAAUGUCGUAGUCUUCAAAUGUUAUUGGUUUCAGCCGAAGGAGACUAGAAGAACUCAUGAACAUAUAGGGCUAGUUGAAAUCAACCAAAGCACCCAUUUAGAUGUUCCUGAUGUCUAUAUUACGGCUCAACAGGCGACCCAAGUAUUCUAUCUACCGUGGGCCUGCCAAACUAAUCCAAAUCUGAAAGGUUGGGAAGUCGUUUAUGAAGUGCCGCCACGUGCUAGACUAUCUCCCCCAAAGGAAGAGGAUUAUGAACCUCACAUUAACCCAGACACAUAUGAAGGAGAAUUCUUCCAAGAGACACGUCUUUCCAAAAAGCGUUUCAAGAACCGCUAUACUUCACCCCAAAACAUUGAAGUAGACACUGACAGUGAAUCCGACAUCACCCCAGAGGAGGAACAAGAAGAGCCGGAACAAGAAGAGGUUACUGCUGCGGAUGACCUGUCAUUGCUUGACCGAUUACGUCAAGGUGGCCUUGCAUAUGUUGAUGCCACUGAACCCUAUGAGCCCGUCAUUGAUUAUAGUGAUGAUGAUGAUUAUGCAUUUAUUGAUGAUACUGAUCGAGAUUAUUAGUAGUGUCAGGUAUUAAAUUUUUUAAUGUUGUACUUGAUGAUGAUACACUUAAGUGAUACACAUAUUAUUAUUCAUGUCGGUUUUUUUUUAUGUUGUACUAAUUUCGUUUACUGUUUGUCAUGGCAGGUGUUGAAAGAUGGUGGGCGCUGGUCGGGAGCGCGCCAAGGCCCCUUCUUCCUCGGCGCGUGGUCUGAGGUCCUCGAUUCCAGACGUACCUCUUCGCCGAGCGUUGCUGGACAGUAUGUCCACACCGCCGGGCCCUUCUUCGUCCACCGCGGUGCCCAGCAGGGGACGAGGUAGGAAGAGAGGAGGUGGGGCACGUGGUCGCGGGAGAGGAGGUAGGGUGACUGCUAGGGAGCCUUCCUCGCCGCCACCCCCAGCUGUUUCACCCGAGCACGUGACUGCUAGGGUGGACUCGUCCGAGGAGGAGGCUACACGGACUCCGGUCCACGAGCCUCCGGUCCACGGGUCUUGGGCCCACGAGCCUCGGGUCGACUGGCCUUCGGCCCACGAGAGUUCGGCCCACGAGACCCCGGAGGAGCACACGUCCGGAUGGGGUACCUGGCCGGAUCAGCCCGAGGAGCCGAGUGGCCAUGCUGAUGAUGGCGGGGAGCCGACUGAUCUUGAGGAGGAGGGUGGCACCGUCUACCAGCGUGGUGCUACACGGCUCCCGUCCGUGCCGGCAACUCGCGAGCAGAGGUGGUUGAUCUUCCCUGAUGGGGAGAGGUACGUAAGUGCAUUUAAUAUUUUUGUACCUUCUGCAUUCACGUUUCUUCAAAUAACUAAUGCGUUGGCCUUGUCAUGCUGCAGGGGUUGGGACCACCAUCAUAGUGUCCGCCGGCCCAACUCCGUCCUUGGAGUUCUUUGCCGGCAAAACUUCCCGGGGUUUGUCACGUUGCCUGGUGAGGGUCGGCUUCCAGAGCUUGGGUUGAGCUGGGAGCACUACGUGGCUGCCCCGGCCCCGCCGGAUGUCAUUAUCGACGGUGUCGUGUGCGACACGAGGGCAGACAUGGUGAUCAGGACGUUCUGGGUAAUUUCUCCUUUACACAUUUCAAAAUCUUCAACUAGCUAGUUAUUAAUUGUACUAAUCAAUAUUGUCUCAUUUGAUUGCAGACAUUCUACAGGUGUGAGGAGGGAUACGAGGAGGACUGCGCAAAUGUUAUCCAGAACGUCUGCAAGCGCCUACUCCAGAACUUACGGCACGAGGCUCGGGUGCAGGCUGUUCGAGACUACUACGCCUUGCAUGGUAUCAAGAAGACCAAGCCGGCGUGCCGCGAUAAGUUCCUGAGUAAGGAGCAGUACAUGAAGGUAAUUCUUAAGGCCUUCUACUUAAGUUCCUUCAUUUAGUAAUUCUUAGCCGUAGCGCUCAAGUUUCUAUUUGCUAACUUAGGCGCCUCCGAGAUGGUGUGCGGAUCGGAUGGAUUGUUGGGAGGUGUUGGUCGAUGAGUGGUGCUCACAAGAAUGGCUAGCCCUCCACAACCAGGCCAAGGACAAACGUGCCCAAAUGGAAGGUGUGCCACACCAUCAAGGCAGCUCCAACUUAUAUCAGUUCGGGCGCAACUGGGUAUGUGGUUUGCUUCAUGAUUCAUGCAAUUCAUUCAUCAUGCUAGCUUGAGCCCUUUAGUUACUAAUUUUCAUUGUUUCUCUCUUUCAGGCACGCCACAAUAAGGCGGAUAAGGUGCCAGAGGUGUACGACCUGUAUGCCAUGGCCCACACUGGCUCUUACAAGAAAGUCAAGUCUUUCUCUCAGUCUGACCUCGAUGAUGCAAACAACUUCACCAACAUCUCCUCCCACAACAAGCUCGUGAGAUAUAGAGAUGAGGGGAAGGCGAGGAAAGGGGAGGACUUUAACCCGAGCCAGGGUCCCAUUGAUCCAGAGCUGGUGAUGAUAUCUGGUGGCGGGAGGUCCCAUGGCUCCAUAGCCAUUGGAGAUGGACUUAUCCGUUGUCCUAGCACUCUCCCAGAGAUCAAGGCGCGCCAGUCGAGCUCCGCUCCUGAGAUAAGGCCUCGUGAACGGCCAGUGCAACUCGCCAUCAAGGUUAGUGAUACGUACUCAGCUAUCUUUCUCCAUUACAUUGUGUGCGCUUCCAUCAAUGAUUACAAAUGGUCAUGUGAGUGGUGUUGCAGGCUGCUAUACAGAGUGAGAGAGAUAGAACGGAGAAACUUCUGGCGGAGGCGGCGGAGAGGCAGCGGGAGUUGGAGGAGAGGACGACACAGAUGAUGGAGGAGGAGAGGGCACGGAAUGACAUGCAGGCAAGGGCCAUGUACGAGCUCCUUGUGGUAAGUUUCUUCUGCAGAUUAGCCAAAACAUUCAUGUAGUGUUUGUCUCAUUACUAACUAGUAUGACUGAGUCGUCAAAACCAAAUGUGCAGUCUGUGUGCGAGAAGACCGGUCAGACCGCUCCGCCGAUGCCAGUGAUUGCUCCUGGGACCACGGUGAGUUUAAUUUGAAUGGACAUUACUUGCUAGUCUUAACAUUUGAGUGUCAUAAUGCUAACGAGACAUUGGAAAUGAUCUUUGGUGCAGCUUAACUCCAGAAACGCAUCGCAUGAUCCUUCUCCAGCUACCGGCACUAGCCAGCCCGCUCCUACACCUCCCUGAUCACGGUAAGUUUCUCUAGUGUUUUGCUUAACAAAUGCAUAAAGACCUAUACUUAGCUUUAUUUCCUCCAAUAUGCUUACCAUAAUGACCUAGAGUUAGCUUCUUUUCCUCCAAAAUGACUUAAUAAGCUUACUGACCUCAUAAACCAUCCAUUUUACCUAAGUUAGCUCUAAAACGAUAUGUACUUAGCUUACUUAUGUCAAAAAUUGCAUAAUUAGCUCAUAAACGACCCAUUUCACCUAGGUUAACUCAUAAACGACCCAUUUCACCUAGGUUAGCUCAUAAACGACCCAUUUCACCUAGGUUAGCUCAUAAACGACCCAUUUCACCUAGGUUAGCUCAUAAAUGACCCAUUUCACCUAAGUUAGCUCAAAAAGAUCCAUUUCAACUAAAUUAGCUCAUAAAUGAUCCAUUUCACCUAAGUUAGCUCAAAAACGAUCCAUUUCAACUAAAUUAGCUCAAAAAUGAUCCAUUUCAACAAAGUUAGCUCAAAAACGAUCCAUUUCAACUAAGUUAGCUCAAAAACGAUCCAUUUGACCUAAGUGAGCUAAAAAAGAUCCAUUUCACCUUAGUUACCUCAAAAACGAUCCAUUUCAACUAAGUUAGCUAAAAAACGAUCCAUUUCAACUAGGUUAGCUCCAAAAUGACCCAUUUCACCUUACUUAGCUCAAAAACGAUGCCCUUCACCUUAGUUAGCUCAUAAACGACCCAUUUCAACUAAGUUAGCUCAUAAAUGAUCCAUUUCAACUAAGUUAGCUCAUAAACAACCCAUUUCAACUUAGUUAGCUCAUAUAUGAUCCAUUUCACCUAAGUUAGCUCAUAAAUGACAUAUACUUCUUGUUCUAGUCUUCUUCUUGUUCUAGUCACCUAUUUCUAACUUUCUUAUUUACCAUUUUGCAGAUUUCAUUCACUUGAUGGAAGCUAGCUUGCUAUGAUGGAGUGCCUUUGAUGAAACUUUGCAUUGUAUCUAGCUUGCUAUCUUCAUGACACUUUGCAUUGUAAUAUAUAUAUGGAUGGAACAAUGUGUAUGGAUGGAACUUCCUUAUGUAUGAACAAUGUGUAUGGAUGAAACUGAUGUGAUAUGUGAUAUGUGCUGGAUAUGUGAUAUGUGAUAUGUGAUGGAUAUGUGAUAUGUGAUAUGUGCUAGAUAUGUGUUGGAUAUGUGCUGGAUAUGAAACUUAUAUAUGUGAUAUGUGCUGCAAAUUGUGGGAUUUAAUAAAAAACAGAAAAAACAGACAAUAUCCAGGCUCUUUGCCGUCUGCCACCGACGGCAAAGAGCCUUUGCCGUCUGCCGCGGACGGCAAAGAAGCCACGUGGCAGCCAACUGUGCUUCCUGGGAGCUGACCCAUUUGGUCAGUUUGCCUACAGUGGCAGACGGCAAAGACUUUGCCGUCCGUGGCAGACGGCAAAGAACCUGCACUUUGCCAUCAGUGGCAGACGGCAAAGAACCUGCCAUCUAGUGACGUGUACAUGACAUCAUAAGGUGGACGGCAAAGAACAAAGGCUCUUUGCCGUCUGCGGCGGACGGCAAAGGUCUGCCGUUAGCCACUUAACGGACUGACAGCGCAAUUAUUGCCGUCCGCCCUCUUUGCCGUCCGCCGCGGACGGCAAAGAGCCUUUGCCGUCCGCCGCCAGGAAGCAGACGGCAAAGCAGCUGUUUACCGUAGCCUUCUUUGCCGGAGCCUUUUGCCGUCCGCGGCUGAUGGCAAAGGUCUUUGCCGUCCGCCUUUCGAGCCUUUGCCGUCCGCCAUGGCAGACGGCAAAGUAGCUGUUUCCUGUAGUGAUUGGAGUUGCAUGCUACGGAUGUCGUCGAUGAUCACAAGAUCAAGAUGGAUGCAAUGCGCUUGAAGAUUAGAAAGAUUAGAAAAUAUGCCAUUCAUACCGAGGCUUGGUAUCACUAUGCCGUUGGAUCAAUUGUUACCUUGGUUGCGAUUAUGAUCGCAUUUGUUUUCGCAUUGAAAUGUUUUACAUAGUUUCAAUGUAUGGUUUAAUUAAUUAGAUGCUCUGGAGAGCUAUAUAUAUGUUGUUAGAUGAGAACUAUGUAUGUACUUUGGUUCUAAUGUGAUGAUGAACUUCUAUUAAUUUGGUCACUUAAUUAUCUAUUCAUGAUGUUCUGUAAUGGUUUUUGACACACUUAAUUAUAUAUAAUGCACGCAGAUGAACCGGCAAUGGAUGUACGGUGACAGACACACCUCCGAGUACAUUAAGGGCGUGCAUGAUUUUCUCGAAGUGGCUGAGGCAAACAAGCAGAAUGGUUUUAUGUGUUGUCCAUGCCCUAUAUGUGGGAAUACGAAGUCUUACUCUGACCGGAAAAUCCUUCAAGCCCACCUGCUUUACAAGGGUUUCAUGCCACACUAUAAUGUUUGGACGAGGCAUGGAGAAAUGGGGGUUAUGAUGGAAGACGGCGAAGAAGAAGAGGACGAUGACAACUAUGUGCCCCCUGAAUACGGUGAUGUUGCAACGGGGGAAGCUGCUGAAGAUCAAGAGGAACCAGACGAUGUGCCCAAUGAUGCUGCAAGGGGGGAAGCUGCUGAAGAUCAAGAGGAACCAGUGCCCGAUGAUGAUGAUCUCCGCCGGGUCAUAGUCGAUGCAAGGACGCAAUGCGAAAGUCAAAAGGAGAAGUUGAAGUUCGAUCGCAUGUUAGAGGAUCACAAAAAAGGGUUGUACCCCAAUUGCGAAGAUGGCAACACAAAGCUCGGUACCGUACUGGAAUUGCUGCAGUGGAAGGCAGAGAAUGCUGUGCCUGACAAAGGAUUUGAGAAGCUAUUGAAAAUAUUGAAGAAGAAGCUUCCAAAGGAUAACGAAUUGCCCGACAGUACAUACGCAGCAAAGAAGGUCGUAUGCCCUCUAGGAUUGGAGGUGCAAAAGAUACAUGCAUGCCCUAAUGACUGCAUCCUCUACCGCAGUGCGUACAAGGAUCUGAACGCAUGCCCGGUAUGCGGUGCAUUGCGGUAUAAGAUCAGACGAGAUGACCCUGGUGAUGUUGACAGCGAGCCCCCCAGGAAGAGGGUUCCUGCGAAGGUGAUGUGGUAUGCUCCUAUAAUACCACGGUUGAAACGUCUGUUCAGAAACGAAGAGCAUGCCAAGUUGAUGCGAUGGCACAGUGAGGACCGUAAGAAAGACGGGAAGUUGAGAGCACCCGCUGACGGGUCGCAGUGGAGAAAAAUCGAGAGAAAGUACUGGGAUGAGUUUGCAGCUGACCCAAGGAACGUAUGGUUUGGUUUAAGCACGGAUGGCAUUAAUCCUUUCGGGGAGUAGAGCAGCAAUCACAGCACCUGGCCCGUGACUCUAUGUACAUAUAACCUUCCUCCUUGGAUGUGCAUGAAGCGGAAGUUCAUUAUGAUGCCAGUUCUCAUCCAAGGCCCUAAGCAACCCGGCAACGACAUUGAUGUGUACCUAAGGCCAUUAGUUGAAGAACUUUUACAGCUGUGGAAUGGAAACGGUGUACGUACGUGGGAUGAGCACAAACAGGAGGAAUUUAACCUGCACGCGUUGCUGUUUGUAACCAUCAACGAUUGGCCCGCUCUCAGUAACCUUUCAGGACAGACAAACAAGGGAUACCACGCAUGCAUGCACUGUUUAGAUGACACUGAAAGUAUAUACCUGGACAAAAGCAGGAAGAAUGUGUACCUGGGCCAUCGUCGAUUUCUUCCGACCAACCAUCAAUGUCGAAAGAAAGGCAAGCAUUUCAAAGGCGAGGCAGAUCACCGGAAGAAGCCCACCAUGCGUACCGGUGAUCACGUACUUGCUAUUGUCAAUGAUUUACACGUAAUCUUUGGAAAGGGUCCCGGCGGACUAGCUGUUCCGAAUGACGCUGAGGGACACACACCCAUGUGGAAGAAGAAAUCUAUAUUUUGGGACCUACCCUACUGGAAAGAGCUAGAGGUCCGCUCUUCAAUCGACGUGAUGCACGUGAUGAAGAACCUUUGCGUGAACCUGCUAGGCUUCUUGGGCGUGUAUGGGAAGACAAAAGAUACACCUGAGGCACGGGAGGGCCUGCAACGUUUGCACGAAAAAGACGGCAUGCCUCCGAAGCAGUAUGAAGGUCCUGCCAGCUACGCUCUUACGAAAGAAGAGAAAGAAAUCUUCUUUGAAUGACUGCUCAGUAUGAAGGUCCCGACUGGCUUCUCGUCGAAUAUAAAGGGAAUAAUAAAUAUGCCAGAGAAAAAGUUCCAGAACCUGAAGUCUCAUGACUGCUACGUGAUUAUGACGCAACUGCUUCCGGUUGCAUUGAGGGGGCUUCUACCGGAAAACGUCCGAUUAGCCAUUGUGAAGCUAUGUGCAUUCCUCAAUGCAAUCUCUCAGAAGGUGAUCGAUCCAGAAAUCAUACCAAGGCUAAGGAGUGAUGUGGCGCAACGUCUUGUCAGUUUCGAGCUGGUGUUCCCACCAUCCUUCUUCAAUAUCAUGACGCACGUCCUAGUUCAUCUAGUCGACGAGAUUGUCAUUCUGGGGCCCGUAUUUCUACACAAUAUGUUCCCCUUUGAGACGUUCAUGGGAGUCCUAAAGAAAUAUGUCCGUAACCGCGCUAGGCCAGAAGGAAGCAUCUCCAUGGGCCAUCAAACAGAGGAUGUCAUUGGGUUUUGUGUUGACUUCAUUCCUGGCCUUAAGAAGAUAGGUCUCCCUAAAUCGCGGUAUGAGGGGAGACUGACUGGAAAAGGCACGCUUGGAGGGGGGGGGCUCAAUAAUAUGCAGGGACGGAUAUUCUUGGUCUGAAGCACACUACACAGUUCUAUAGAACUCUACCUUGGUGACCCCGUAUGUCGAUGAACACAAGAACAGUCUGCGCUCCAAACACCCGGAGCAGUGUGACGACUGGAUUACAUGUGAACACAUCAGGACUUUCAGUAGUUGGUUGGAAACACGUCUCAGAGGUGACACCACUGUUUGUGAUGAGUUGUACUCGUUGUCCAGGGGACCAUCUUCGAUUGUAUUGACUUACAAAGGAUACGAGAUAAAUGGGAAUACAUUUUACACGAUCGCCCAAGAUCAAAAGAGCACCAACCAAAAUAGCGGUGUCCGCUUUGAUGCAGCAACCGAGAGGGGAAAGGACACAUAUUAUGGUUACAUAAUGGACAUAUGGGAACUUGACUACGGACAUGAUUUUAAGGUCCCUUUGUUUAAGUGCAAAUGGGUCAAUCUGUCAGGAGGCGGGGUACAGGUAGACCCAUAGUACGGAAUGACAACAGUGGAUCUGAACAAUCUUGGGUACACUGACGAACCAUUCGUCCUAGCCAAUGAUGUGGCACAGGUUAUCUAUGUGAAGGACAUGUCUACCAGACCGAGGAAAAGAAAAGAUAAGGAAGCGAAUACAUCAUACGAUGAGCCAAAGCGGCACAUAGUUCUUUCAGGAAAAAGGGACAUUGUGGGAGUGGAGGGCAAGACAGACAUGUCUGAAGAUUAUGAAAAGUUUCAUGAAAUUCCUCCCUUGAAAGUCAAGGCUGACCCAAGCAUCCUGAUAAACGAUGAAGAUUAUCCAUGGUUACGGCGCAAUAAGCAAAUGACACAAGCGAAGAAAAAGUGAAGACUUUCUCCCGCAACUAUUAUGAUGAUACCAUGCCAACUUUGUAAUAGACGAUUAUGAUACCAUUGCCCGUUUUGUACAAGAAGUGCAUCUAGUUUUUGACGUAACCCUCUCAACUUUCUUGCACAUGCUAUGUGGAUGAAAUGAUGAUACCAUGCCAACUUUCAACCUUUUCAGAGUUCAUUUGAAAUGCUUUAUAAGCCCUGAGUGCAGAGAGGUUAGGCCCGUAAGCCUGCUUUAGAGAGGAGCUCGACAGCUCAGGCGCACCGCACCUUAUAAACAGGUGCGGCUCUCUCUUAGCUAGCGAAGUGGGACUAAACUCACCACCACGCCGCUGUGCAAGGCCAUUGGUCCCGGUUCGUGGCACGAACCGGGACCAAUUCCACCCUUUGGUCCCUGUUGGUGCCACGAACCGGUACUAAUGAGGCUGUGGCCCCACGAGCACCUUUAGUACCUGUUCGUGGCACGAACCGGUACUAGAGUUUCUUACUAGCUAAGCAGUUUUUUAGUCCCACCUCGCUAGCUGAGAGGCACUAGGAGCGGUUUAUAAGCCCUGAUUGCAGAGACGAUGAAGAAGAGGCGCAAUGCUCACGUUGCUUAGCUUCAAGCCUUGAGGAAUAAGGUAGACUGCAUCGAGCUAUGUGCAGUGCAGUCUACACUAUUCCGAAAGGCUUGAAGCAAAUCAACGCGCAUUGUGCCUCUUUUUUAUUUUUAAUCAUUAAAAGCAAAAAGAAUUUUCAUAAAGAACUUUUUUUGAUAUAAACUUUAAUAGCAGAAAGAAUUAUCAUAAAGUAAAAUAAAUAAGUAAUUAGAAACAAAAUAAAAUAAAAUAAAUAAGUUUUUUGUUGUAAGUAGAAACAAAACAAAAUAAAUAUAGCAAAAAAGAAAACAAAAAAACUAAACACAGCAAAAAGAAUUUUCAUAAAGAACUAAUGGCACUAAUAGAAAGUUUAUAUGUUUUCUAAAACUAAUGGCACUAACAGACAGUUUAUAAUUUUGCUGACCUAAAAGCAAAAAGAAUUAAAAAAUAAAGCAAAAAACAAAAGAAAAUAAAUAAUGCAAAAAACAGAACCAAAAAACUGGAUUUUUUUUUAAAAAACUGCCACCUAUUGGGCCACCACGGCCUGAAUACGACUAGAAACCCAACCUGGGCCAGGAUUCAGGCCCGCAGAAGGCCCAAUAGGCCAACAGACAGCACAGUGUGACAUUAGGCCCGUAAGCCUGCAUUUGAGAGGAGCUCGAGAGGGCAGCCGCAGUGGGGAUUAUAAACCACUACGAGCCCCUCUCAACUAGCGAGGUGGGACUAAACUUUUGGCCGCGGGCAGCGCAAGGCCUUUGGUCCCGGUUGGUGCCACCAACCGGGACCAAUGCCCCCCUUUAGUCUCGGUUGGUGNNNNNNNNNNNNNNNNNNNNNNNNNNNNNNNNNNNNNNNNNNNNNNNNNNNNNNNNNNNNNNNNNNNNNNNNNNNNNNNNNNNNNNNNNNNNNNNNNNNNNNNNNNNNNNNNNNNNNNNNNNNNNNNNNNNNNNNNNNNNNNNNNNNNNNNNNNNNNNNNNNNNNNNNNNNNNNNNNNNNNNNNNNNNNNNNNNNNNNNNNNNNNNNNNNNNNNNNNNNNNNNNNNNNNNNNNNNNNNNNNNNNNNNNNNNNNNNNNNNNNNNNNNNNNNNNNNNNNNNNNNNNNNNNNNNNNNNNNNNNNNNNNNNNNNNNNNNNNNNNNNNNNNNNNNNNNNNNNNNNNNNNNNNNNNNNNNNNNNNNNNNNNNNNNNNNNNNNNNNNNNNNNNNNNNNNNNNNNNNNNNNNNNNNNNNNNNNNNNNNNNNNNNNNNNNNNNNNNNNNNNNNNNNNNNNNNNNNNNNNNNNNNNNNNNNNNNNNNNNNNNNNNNNNNNNNNNNNNNNNNNNNNNNNNNNNNNNNNNNNNNNNNNNNNNNNNNNNNNNNNNNNNNNNNNNNNNNNNNNNNNNNNNNNNNNNNNNNNNNNNNNNNNNNNNNNNNNNNNNNNNNNNNNNNNNNNNNNNNNNNNNNNNNNNNNNNNNNNNNNNNNNNNNNNNNNNNNNNNNNNNNNNNNNNNNNNNNNNNNNNNNNNNNNNNNNNNNNNNNNNNNNNNNNNNNNNNNNNNNNNNNNNNNNNNNNNNNNNNNNNNNNNNNNNNNNNNNNNNNNNNNNNNNNNNNNNNNNNNNNNNNNNNNNNNNNNNNNNNNNNNNNNNNNNNNNNNNNNNNNNNNNNNNNNNNNNNNNNNNNNNNNNNNNNNNNNNNNNNNNNNNNNNNNNNNNNNNNNNNNNNNNNNNNNNNNNNNNNNNNNNNNNNNNNNNNNNNNNNNNNNNNNNNNNNNNNNNNNNNNNNNNNNNNNNNNNNNNNNNNNNNNNNNNNNNNNNNNNNNNNNNNNNNNNNNNNNNNNNNNNNNNNNNNNNNNNNNNNNNNNNNNNNNNNNNNNNNNNNNNNNNNNNNNNNNNNNNNNNNNNNNNNNNNNNNNNNNNNNNNNNNNNNNNNNNNNNNNNNNNNNNNNNNNNNNNNNNNNNNNNNNNNNNNNNNNNNNNNNNNGAUAACUUCAACACGAGGGGGGGUCGAUAUACCCCCUCCUCGAUAACAUUAUUUUCCCGUGUAUGUAUGUCGUCGUUGUCGAUAUAAAACCCCCUCCCGAUAACUUCAACACGUGGGGGGGUCGAUAUAUACCCCCUCCCCGAUAACAUUAUUUUCCCGUGUAUGUAUGUCGUCGUUGUCGAUAUAUAUAACUCCCUCCCAGAUAACUUCGACAUGAUGGACGGUCGAUAUGUAUACCCCCUCUCGACCGUGAUAACUUAUACCACGGGAGCACCCCCGGCCCUCUCGCUCGACCAAAACUCUCGAGGACACCCAAACCCUAGAAAAAAAACGAUGUCGGUCUCCUACCCCCUCCCGCCGCGCCCCUACCCUUGAAGCGUUGCCUAGGCCACCCCAAACCCGGAAUAAGCUAGGUCUACGUUUGCACUAAUAUAUCCACCUGCUGUCGUGUUUGUGUAAUAAUUGCCAUGUUGUAAUAUUUGCAGAAACAAUGGAGCACGGACGAGAUGAGCAAGCAGAAGAUGUGUUGGGGGACAUAAUCUUAGCCGGAGGUUAUAUCUUGUCGUAUCUUAACGACAAUGAUGGUCUAGAAGAACAGGGUGAAGAAGCAGGCUGUGGUGAUCGAAGAGUGGAGGAGGAAAGACAUGAUUAUGAUGCCUCCGGUGACCCAAUGCUGGUGCAAGAAGGAGCCCGUGGUGACGGCUCCGGUGACCGAACAGAGUCCGGCCAGGUAAAUAUAUUAGUUAAGCCUGUGCUGACUAGCUAAUUGAUGCAUUCAUUGUUUUGGUAUGUACACAUAUUAAUUAACACUCGUCUUUCUUCUUUUUUCUAGCCCUCCGGAUCAAGCACAACUGCGGUAAAGAGACGAGGCCCGAAGAGAAAGUUGCGCUCGGAUGAAAGGUUUGAGAUCACAGCAAUCGCGCGCGACGACCAACCGAUUGAACCCAUCCGGACAAAGGAUGCUUUUGCUGCUCAGUGUGGGGUUCCAGUUAGGGACAAGAUCCCGAUCAGCAUCCACCAAUGGUAUAAGCCUAAGAAGGAAGACCCUGAGGUGUCUUAUGUCAAUGAUAUGCAGAAAGAUGAUCUUUGGACUGAGCUGAAGGCAAAUUUCACCCUACCGCCAGAGGAGGAUCCGGAGAAGCCAGUUAUAGAGCAAUUAAUCAAGUCUCAUGCUCUUAAGAAGAUGGCAGACCUAUUCAGGAGGUGGAAGAAUGAGCUGAAAAAUUUUGUCGACAAAGAAGAGACACCAGAAUUCGUCAGCCGGUAUGAGAAGAUCAGAGAUCACUGGCCCGCAUUUGUGGCCCACAAGACAUCGGAAAAGAGUAAGAAGAUGUCAGCGACAAACAAGAAGAAUGCUGCGAAGAAGAAGCUUCACCAUCGCACGGGGUCAGGUGGCUACCUCAAAGCCCGGCCUAAGUGGGCCAAGUCUGAGAGGGAUCUGCUUGAUAAAGGGAUCGAACCAGAGACAAUGAACUGGCCAGACCGUUGGCGGACUUGGUUCUUCGGGGCUGGCGGAACCUUGGACCCUGUAUCAGGGACGUGUCGUUGGACGGACGAGCAACUUGCAAUACCCGUCAAGAAGCUUAAGCACUAUCGAUGCAGCGCAGCAAGGGACGUUCGUUCCAGACAGAGAGAACGACGAGCUCACAAUGGCCCUCGGGAAUCCUGAGCACCCUGGACGGACACGAGGCAUGCCAGGUUCCGUUCCGUGGAAGGCUGGUUUUUCGGACGCGGGCGGUUACAAAACCCAGGAGAGGAGGAAAAAAGUGGAGCAGAUCCAAAUUCAGCGUCUGCACGAAAGGGUUCAAGUGCUAGAGGAACGAGACGGCAAUAGAGAUGCCGAAACUGCCCCCGAAGCUACACCGCCAUCUCAGCGUAGAAGCAGCGUGGCUUCCACCGAGCUGCCUCAGCUGGAGCAUGCGGCUACUCCUAGCUACCCCGUGGAUGCUAUCAUGGAGUCUCAACAUUGCAACCUUAUGGCGGAAUGGCAGAACUUGAAAGUCAAGGCGGCUGUUGGCUCUGUUUUACCUACUGAACCCGGCGCAACCUACCACUGCCGGCCGAUUCCAGAAGGAUAUGCUAGGGUGAUGGUGGAUGAAAUAACGGAGGGAUUUGAGGACCUCCAGCUUGACCACCCUACCGGUGAAGGGGAGACUCGGCUGGGUUUAGCUCUGAAGACUCCAUGCCUAUGGCGGAAGGAGCUCAUCAAGCUUCCGAACUGGACGGCUCCGGCGAGUAAGGGCACUCCGCCUCCUCCUCCGCCUCCUCCUCUGGCGAGUGAUCAGGGCACUCAGCCUCCUUCUCCGGCGCGUGGCGGCACUCCGCCUCCUUCUCCGCCAGCGCCGGCGCGCCAGAGCAGCCAGCCUCCUCCUUCUCCGCCUCGUCAGCAAGGGCGGAAGAGACCCGCCGCCGCUGCGGCUGCUCCGGCGCGUCGUAGUCCUUCUCCUCCGCCUCGUAAGCAAGGAAAGAAGACAGCCGCAGCUGCUCCGUCUGCUCUGCCGGCGUCUAGCAGUACAGCUGCCAGAGGCGGGAGGCAAUACAGAUUCGGUCCUUCUCUGAAGACUCCAGAGAAGUUACCAUAUGAGAGGACCGAGGAGGACAACGCGAAGAUCUGGCGAGCCGAAGUGAAGAACUUCUUUGAAGGGGUCAAAGCAAAGAAACAUCCACCUCCGGAGGAGAAGGUAGAUCCGGUGAAAGCAAAGCGCACUCUGGCUGCCCUGACAAAACCACCAAAGUCUCCGCCAAGAGGCAACUAUGAGCGCGUUCUUGGAAAGGCAUAUGCCGAAGCGGAGCGGUCGGGAAGUACUAUCAGUGAUAAAAGGAUGAAAGAAUGACGAGCUGGGAAAAAAUUGCCCAGCUCGGCGAACAAGCGAACCAAUCGUGCCCCCCGCUCAAGGUGUCAAAAAACAUCGUCGCUAAUGAUCCGGGUAUGGUGCCCGGUUAUAGCAAUCUUGGAGAUUACCUGCCCGACGAUGUACAUUAUGAAAUCAUGGAGGUGGACGAACACAAAUACCAUUACGGGAAGCCUCUCGUCAAAGAUGUCAGAUCUCUAAGCACGAUGAUGCGAAGACUACAUGAUUGGUACAUGAAAACCUGCAGAGAGUCUGAUGGGAUGAGUACUUUGACGCUGAGAGUUAAACCGGAGCAUGACCUCGUUGGAAUUGAACUGCUGAAUGUUCCAUUUGAGGAUUUCUUCCAGUUUUACAAUCUAAAGUCCCUCGAUAAAACAACGAUCACUUGCUACUGUCUGUAAGUAGUACUACUUCUGUCAUUAAGUCUCUCUAUAUAGGUCAGCUCUUUCAUUGCAUGUAUUUAUACUUAUCCUCACUAUAUUAUGCAGAUUGAAGAUCGCCGAAUUGAAGAAAAGACAAAUCGGUGAUAUUGGGUUCAUUAACACAAAUCUCAUAGAUGCAUAUACGGUUGAAAAACAUCCCAAAGAAGCCGAGGCCAACUUGCUACAAUCGUUGGUAUUAAAUCAAAACAAAGAUAUAAUACUCUUUCCUUACAACUUCAAGUGAGUGUUACUGUCUUCUGCAUAUUCGGUUUCCCUUAUUAGUCCAGGUUAUGGUAAUGUAAUUGAUGACUUAUGCAUGCAUGCGCAGCUUCCACUAUAUUCUCCUAGAGAUUAAGCUUGAGCCGGGAGUAGUAACCGUCUUAGACUCGAGACGAAAAGAUCCCCAGGACUAUGCGAACAUGACUCAAAUGCUCUAGAAGUAAGUUAAAUCGAUCAUUAUCCACCAUAUCAGCAACUUUGUUCAUUUCCUGAUAUCAAGUAAUUGUUUUCUUUGUCUGGCAGGGUUUGGAGAAAAUUCACCUCAAAAGCCCCGGGACUACCGAACCAGCUGCAAUUUAGACACCCGAAAGUAAGUACUAUAGUAGCAUGUUCCGCGCAUCUCCUAGUGAUUCAAGCGCUAGUUUGAUCAAUACCAUUUAGCAUGCUUGCUUAUCAGUUUGAUUGACCUCUAUUUUUUGUAAAGUGGUUGUGGCAGCAACCCGGGAAUAAUUACUAUGGAUACUACGUUUGCGAGUCCAUCCGCUACCAUACCUGUGAGCGGGGCUACACUGAAGAACAAUAUGAAGUGCGUAAGCAAUAAUAUUCACAAUUUUAUUUUAUUACCAUCAUUUGUGUUGAGUUUCAUUUAUUCAUAUAUAUAUGUAUUGACCCCCUUCUUCAAAUUAGAUUUUUCGGAAGCGGGAUCAACUCCUAGCAGAAGAUCGUAUGCGAGGAAUUCAAGAGGAAUUGGCGGCAUUCUUCCUUGACCACGUGAUCGCUGAAAACGGAGAAUACUAUGUGGACCCUGUGUUCCUACAAUAUAAUUAGGAGAUUGUAUUGUAAGAGAUAAUUAUUGUAUAUAUGUAGCCCGUAGUGUCGGAUAGAUAUACGAGAACUUGUUGUUCGACCAAUAUCUCGGAGAAGGAGAGGUGGUCGAUAUCACUUCUCUCUGUAUGCAUAUGUUCAUGACGAUCUUCUGCUUCCUUCAUUUGAUUACUAGCUAGCGUGUCUACUCCUCUCCAUACGUAUAUAGUACGUAGCGUCGACCAAGCACGGAGAUAAGAGAGGACACUUCUCUCUAUUAAUUAGCUAGCUAACACAAUAUAUGAAACACCUAAAUUAACCCCCCAAAACCCCUAAACCACCCCUUUUCAAAAAAACAAAAACCUCAGCUCCUGCCAGGUGCUGACGCAUGGAUGCCUAUUGGUCCCGGUUGGUGGCACCAACCGGGACCAAAGGCCCUCCUGCCUGGGCUCCCCGCACCGGCCACGUGGACGGCCUUUAGUCCCGGUUCGUGUAAGAACCGGGACUAAAGGGCUAGGGCAUUAGUAAUGACCCUUUAGUCCCAGUUCCAGAACCGGGACUAAAGGCCCUUAUGAACCGGGGUAAAAGCCCCUUUUCCUACUAGUAUUUGAUUAUAUGGGACCUUUUCCUGCCUCUAAAGGAUAUACACAUAUUUUAGUUGCUGUUGAUUACGUUACUAAGUGGGUAGAAGCUAUUCCAACUAGUAGUGCUGAUCAUAACACUUCUAUUAAAAUGCUUAAAGAAGUUAUUUUUCCGAGGUUUGGAGUCCCUAGAUAUUUAAUGACUGAUGGUGGUUCACAUUUUAUUCAUGGUGCUUUCCGUAAAAUGCUUGCUAAAUACGAUGUUAAUCAUAGAAUUGCAUCUCCCUAUCACCCACAGUCUAGUGGUCAAGUAGAAUUGAGCAAUACAGAGCUCAAAUUAAUUUUGCAAAAGACUGUCAAUAGAUCUAGAAAGAAUUGGUCCAAGAAACUUGAUGAUGCAUUAUGGGCCUAUAGAACUGCAUAUAAAAAUCCUAUGGGUAUGUCUCCGUAUUAAAUGGUUUAUGGAAAAGCAUGUCACUUACCUCUCGAACUAGAACAUAAGGCUUAUUGGGCUAUUAAGGAGCUCAACUACGAUUUUAAACUUGCCGGUGAAAAGUGGCUAUUUGACAUUAGCUCACUUGAUGAAUGGAGAACCCAGGCUUAUGAAAAUGCCAAGUUGUUCAAAUAAAAAGUUAAAAGAUGGCAUGACAAAAGAAUACAAAAGCGUGAGUUUAAUGUAGGUGAUUAUGUAUUGCUAUAAAACUCUCGUUUAAGAUUUUUUGAAGGGAAAUUUCUCUCUAAAUGGGAAGGUCCUUACGUUAUCGAGGAGGUAUAUCGUUCCGGCGCCAUAAAAAUCAACAACUUCGAAGGCACAAAUCAGAAGGUGGUGAACGGUCAAAGAAUCAAACAUUAUAUCUCAGGUAAUCCUAUAAAUGUUGAAACCAAUGUUAUUGAAACCAUAACCCCGGAGGAAUACAUAAGGGACACUUUCCGGAAUGUUUCAGACUCCGAAAAGGAAUAGGUAUGUGGUACGGUAAGUAAACCGACUCCAAAACAGUUCUAAUGGCAUUUUUUCUCCGUUCUGGAAUAUUUAGAAAAAAAGAAAAAUAAGAAGCAGUCCGGGAAGGACACGAGGCCUCCACGAGGGUGGAGGGCGCGCCCUACCCCCUGGGCGCGCCCCCUACCUCGUGGGCACCUCGUGUGCUCUCCGGACUCCGUUUUCUUGCACGAUACAUAUUUUGGUCAGUAAAAAUUCAUUAUAUAAUCUCCCGAAGGUUUUGACUCCUGUAUCAUGCAAUUGUCCUCUGUUCUUGUUUCGAGCUGUUUUCUGUCAGGGUUGUCAAGGCUGGGCAUCAUGUCGUCCCCCUCCUCCAACAAUGGUGAUAACGAUGCUUGGCUAAUGAAGAUAGAGCUGAAGAGGGAAGAACCCAUGGAGAUCAACAAGGAUGAAGGGAUCAAGAAGGCCACGGAGAACCAAGUUCCGGCAACAGAAGACAUCCUUCAACCUGAUCACAAUCUUCUUACCCCAACUGAGAUCGAAGCUUUCAAGAUGAUUGAGCUAGCUCGUAUACAAAACAAGUAUCUCACACGUGAAAAUAUUUUGUUGAAGGAGCAUAUUGUUGCACUCAAGGGCAUUAUCCGCAAGCUGGAGGAUCUCUUACGCUCGAUGUGCGACUACCCAUCAUCACCACCAUCCUCUUCACCAACAAAGGAGACAUAAUCACAUGGGUAUGGGCACUCCCCUUGGCAACUGCCAAGCUUGGGGGAGGUGCCCCGGUAUCGUAUCACCAUCACAUCUCUAUCUUUACCGCUUUUCUUAGUUCGAUCCUAUUAGUAGUAUCUUGAUCUAGUAGAAUAAAGUUUUGGUAUGAUCUAGUUUUGAGUUUUGCUUUAUGAUCCCUCUACGUAAUCGAGUCCGUGAGCUAUAUAAUAAAGAUUAGUGUUGAGUCAAGGGCUUGAUUAUUUGCUAUGAUCUUGAGUGAAUAAAAGAAAAGAGAAAAGAAUAAAAAGAAAUUAAAAAGAGGUCAUAUUGAUCUUAUUGAGAGUAAUGACUUCACAUAGAAAGAGUAUGAUGAUUAAAAAUUGUUGAGAGUUGACAAACAUAGCCUUGGUCAUCGUUGCAAUUAAUAGGAAGUAAUAAAGAAAGAGAGGUUUCAUCAAAAAUAUACUAUCUUGGACAUCUUUUAUGAUUGGGAGCACUCAUUAAAAUAUGACAUGCUAAAGAGUUGAUGUUGGACAAGGAAGACAACGUAAUGGGUUCUGUUUUCUUAUAUCUAAGAUAAAGUAUAUUGUCAUGGAUCAUCCAACAUGUUGAGCUUGCCUUUCCCCCUCAUGCUAGCCAAAUUCUUUGCACCAAGUAGAGAUACUACUUGUGCUUCCAAAUACCCCUAAACCCAGUUUUGCCAUGAGAGUCCACCAUACCUACCUAUGGAUUGAGUAAGAUCCUUCAAGUAAGUUGUCAUCGGCGCAAGCAAUAAACAUUGCUCUCUAAAUAUGUAUGAUUGAUUGGUGUGGAGGAAGUAAGCUUUAUACGAUCUUGUGAUGUGGAAGAAAUAAAAGCGACAGACUGCAUAAUAAAGGUUCAUAUCACAAGUGGCAAUAUAAAGUGUCGUUCUUUCGCAUUAAGAUUUUGUGCAUCCAACCUUGAAAGCGCAUGGCAACCUCUGCUUCCCUCUGCGAAGGGCCUAUCUUUUAUUAUUACCUUCUACCUUAUGCAAGAGUCAUGGUGAUCUUCACCUUUCCUUUUUACAUUUUAUCCUUUGGCAAGCACAGGAUGUUGGAAAGAUCCUAAUAGAUAUAUCUAAUUGGAUAUGGGUUAGCAUGAAUUAUUACUGUUGACAUUACCCUUGAGGUAAAAGGUUGGGAGGCGAAACUAUAAGCCCCUAUCUUUCUCUGUGUCCGAUUAAAACUCCAUAACCACAAGUAUUGCGUGAGUGUUAGCAAUUAUGAAAGAUUAAAUGAUAGUUGAGUAUGUGGACUUGCUAGAAAUCUCUGACAUAGACUCUUUCUGAUGUUAUGAUAAAUUGCAAUUGCUUCAAUGACUGAGAUUACAGUUUGUUGGUUCUCAAUAAAGUUUCUGAUUCAUACUUUGCAUUGUGAAUAGAUUAUUACUUGAGCAUAAGAAAUCAUAUGACAAUAUCCAUAUAUGUUGCUGUUAUAAGAAUGAUCAUGAUGCCCUCAUGUCCGUAUUUUAUUUUAUCGACACCUCUACCUCUAAACAUGUGGACAUAUUUAUCGUUAUCGUUAUCGUCUUUCGCUUGAGGACAAGCGAGGUCUAAGCAUGGGGGAGUUGAUACGUCCAUUUUGCAUCAUGCUUUUAUAUCGAUAUUUAUUGCAUUAUGGGCUGUUAUUACGCAUUAUGUCACAAUACUUAUGCCUAUUCUCUCUUAUUUUACAAGGUUUACAUAAGGAGGGAGAAUGCCGGCAGCUGGAAUUCUGGGCUGGAAAAGGAGCAAAUAUUAGAGACCUAUUCUGCACAACUCCAAAAGUCCUGAAACUCCACGAAAGUUAUUUUUGGAAAUAAUAAAAAAUACUGAGCGGAAGAAAUACGUCAGGGGGGCCUCCACCUGUCCACGAUGGUGGGGGGCGCGCCCCCUGCCUCGUGGGCCCCCUGUUGGCCCUCCGGUGCCCAUCUUCUGCUAUAUGAAGUCUUUCGUCCGAUGAAAAAUCAUAGGCAAGCUUUCGGGACGAGACUCCGCAGCCACGAGGCGGAACCUUGGCGGAACCAAUCUAGGGCUCCGGCAGAGCUGUUCUGCCGGGGAAACUUCCCUCCGGGAGGGGGAAAUCAUCGCCAUCGUCAUCACCAACGCUCCUCUCAUCGGGAGAGGGCAAUCUCCAUCAACAUCUUCACCAGCACCAUCUCCUCUCAAACCCUAGUUCAUCUCUUGUAUCCAAUUCUUGUCUCUAAGUCUGGGAUUGGUACCUGUAGGUUGCUAGUAGUGUUGAUCACUCCUUGUAGUUGAUGCUAGUUGGUUUAUUUGGUGGAAGAUCAUAUGUUCAGAUCCUAUAUGCAUAUUAAUACUCCUCUGAUUAUGAACAUGAAUAUGCUUUUUGAGUAGUUACGUUUGUUCCUGAGGACAUGGGAGGAGUCUUGCUAUUAGUAGUCAUGUGAAUUUGGUAUUCGUUCGAUAUUUUGAUGAGAUGUAUGUUGUCUAUCCUCUAGUGGUGUUAUGUGAACGUCGACUACAUAACACUUCACCAUUAUUUGGGCCUAGAGGAAGGCAUUGGGAAGUAAUAAGUAGAUGAUGGGUUGCUAGAGUGACAGAAGCUUAAACCCUACUUUAUGUGUUGCUUCGUAAUGGGCUGAUUUGGAUCCAUAUGUUUCAUGCUAUGGUUAGGUUUACCUUAAUACUUUUGUUGUAGUUGCGGAUGCUUGCAAUAGAGGUUAAUCAUAAGUGGGAUGCUUGUCCAAGUAAGGGCAGCAUCCAAGCACCGGUCCACCCACAUAUCAAAUUAUCAAAGUACCGAACGCGAAUCAUAUGAACGUGAUGAAAACUAGCUUGACGAUAAUUCCCAGGUGUCCUCGGGAGCGCUUUUCUCUACAUAAGAGUUUGUCCAGGCUUGUCCUUUGCUACAAAAAGGAUUGGGCCACCUUGCUGCACUUUAUUUACUUUUGUUAUUUGAUGCUCGUUACAAAUUAUCCUAUCACAAAACUAUCUGUUACCUAUAAUUUCAGUGCUUGCAGAGAAUACCUUGCUGAAAACCGCUUAUCAUUUCCUUCUGCUCCUCGUUGGGUUCGACACUCUUACUUAUCGAAAGGACUAUGAUAGAUCCCCUAUACUUGUGGGUCAUCACCCUGCAUGCAGCGCCUCCUACAGUCACGGCACUGCCGCCCGCGGCCCCCUUGGCACCCGNNNNNNNNNNNNNNNNNNNNNNNNNNNNNNNNNNNNNNNNNNNNNNNNNNNNNNNNNNNNNNNNNNNNNNNNNNNNNNNNNNNNNNNNNNNNNNNNNNNNNNNNNNNNNNNNNNNNNNCUCGGAUGACUACGUCCAUGUGGCAUCCACCUCUGAGUCGUUGUCGUUACCGUCCUCCAUUUGAGCCGCUCUUCGUGACCCGCUCAGGAUGGCUGCGAAGCAAGAGGAGUUUGACGCCCUAUUGCGUAACCGGACGUGGCAGCGUGUUCCCCAUCCCUGGCACGCCAACGUGAUUACCGGGAAGUGGGUCUUUAAACACAAGCUCCGUCCUGAUGGUACCCUUGAUCGCUAUAAAGCGCGCUGGGUCGUUCGUGGCUUCCGACAGCUUGCUGGCAUCGACUUCACCGACACCUUUGCUCUGGUCAUCAAGCCCGGCACGAUACACAUGGUUCUCCACCUUGCGGUCUCUCGUGCUUGGCGGUGCACCAGAUGGACGUCGCCAAAACCUUCCUCCAUGGUCACCUUGAAGAGUAGGUCUUCUGCCAGCAGCCCACCGGGUUUGUGGACCCGGCGCUUCCUGACCACGUGUGCCUGCUUUCACGGUCCUUGUACGGACUCAAGUAGGCUCCGCGCGCUUGGUACCAGCGCAUCGCGUUGUUUCUCCACUAGCUUGGGUUCCGCUCUACCCGCUCGGACGCCUCGCUCUUCGUCUAUCAUCAGGGCUCUGACACGGCCUAAUUGCUGCUCCAUGUCGACGACAUCAUCCUGACGGCAUGUACGGCUGGUCUCCUUAGCCAGCUCACGGCUCGUCUUCGCGCUGAGUUCGCCAUCAAGGACUUGGGUCCUUUGCACUACUUCCUAGGUGUCGAGGUGGUGCGCCGUCCGGAUGGCUUCUUCCUUCAUCAGCGAAGUACGCUCACGAGCUCCUGGGGCGCUCCGGCAUGCUUAACUGCAAGCCCGCCGCUAUGCCUGUUGAUACGAAGGCCAAGCUUUCUGCCACGGAUGGUUCUCCUGCUUCGGAUGCUGCUUUCUAUCGGUCUAUCGUUGGUGCUCUCCAGUACCUCACUCUGACUCGACCGAAGAUCUAGUAUGCCGUGCAGCAGGUGUGUCUUCAUAUGCAUGCUCCUUGAGACGUUCACUGGGCUGCCGUCAAGCGGAUUCUCCGCCAUAUCUGUGGCACUAUGGAUCUUGGCGUCACGCUUCACGCCUCCGCCGACACCGCCCUCACCGCCUACUCCGAUGCAGACUUGGCGGGCUGCCCUGACACUCGUCGCUCCACUUCGGGCUAUUGUGUCUACCUUGGACCCUCACUUAUCUCGUGGUCGUCCAAGCCGCAACCUACGGUCUCUCGUUCCAGUGCUGAAGCUGAGUAUCGCGCGGUGGCCAACGCCGUCGCCGAGUGUUCGUGGCUUCGCCAGCUGCUUCAGGAGCUCUCUUGUCCUGUUGACCAUGCCACGGUGGUCUACUACGACAACGUCUCGGCGGUCAACCUCUCCACUAACCCGGUGCAUCAUUGACGGACCAAGCAUAUUGAGUUGGAUAUUCAUUUUUUUCGGGAAUAGGCGACCCUUGGCCAUAUUCGUGUUUUACACGUCCCUACUUCCCAACAAUUUGCCGAUAUCAUGACCAAGGGCUUGCCUACGACGUCAUUUGAGGAGUUCCGGCCCAGUCUUUGCGUCAGUUGCGGUGCUGCUUCGACUGCGGGGGGUGUUGAGUAUAUGUGUUAUGUGCAUAUUGUGUAUUGGGCCCACCUCCUAGUUCCAUGCAUGUAUAGUUGAGGUUCGUGGCCCACCUUUGUACAUCAUAUAUACAUGCCUAUGCAUGAAGAGCAAUACAUCGUGCAAUCAUACACAGAGGAGUAGUGUACAUUGGUCUCUAGUGCACUUUGCUCAACAAAUUGGGUGAAAAUGUUCAGUAGAACCAUGCAAGUCUUCAUACUUUUUCUCAUGGCACAGGUUUGCCUUGUCUUGAUGAUGGCCGCACCGUUUGCACAAGCCGCUGGGAGGCCUGUGGCAUCCUUACCAUGGAUUGCGGGGUGUUGCCCGAGGAACUAUUUGUGUUGUGGUGUUGGUGCGGUUGCCCCGACAUCCCAUGCAUUGCAGGCCACCCCUGUACCUUGAGUUAUGGUUUCGCUUGAUCUCCUCUCAUAACAUAGUUGAUAUAACAUAGUAGCAUCACAAAGGUUGCAUGGUUUCAUUGAUUCAUCUCUUUUCUACUGCUUGAAUCUUGUGAUGCCGCUUUUGAACAAUGUCAUUCCUAUGUCUUCUUAUAACUAAUAAAAUGUGAGGAUAUUUUUAUCUUAUUUGAAUUGUGUUGUAACAUUACCUACUAAUGUGGAUGAUCUGGGUGGACUACAUAGAUCAGAUCUUGUAAAGAUGUAAUCUAGGACUUUGCGAGAUGAUGAAAUUGUCCUUUAUCUUGGUCACCUUUUCGUAGAAGUGUUGGUCGGCUGUCGGCAUCCCUUAAUUUGUGUCUUCUUGUAGUGCAUGCUCUAGAAUCAUCCAUAUUUUGUAGUUUUACAAUAACCUUUGAGGCAAAUGGGGCGUGGUACGUCUGAGGAAGUCAGUUCACCAAAGCAAUGCCCCCCCCCCCUCCAAAAAAAGAAAAACCAAUUAUGUGUGCCAUGGGCGUACAGUGAAACCACUUCCUUUCGACAUGCAAGCCAUCAAUAUUCAUAAUGAGAUCUCGAACAUGGAUGCCAAGUAAUUCGCCCCGUGCUGAUGUCGUCAGGCAACCCGCUCACUUUUUUAUGAACAAAGUAAGGCACCGACCGGUGCCAAUUUCAUUCAGCUCAAAGAAAUAGUACAUCAGGGAAUACAAUGGCAUGAAGAAAACAGAGAAGAGUGGGUACAACCAUUGGAAGUGAGCCAAAGAAAAAUACUACAGAUAGGCUGGCUGAAACACCAACCAGAUGAACUACUCAAAGAACAGAUACAUCUGAAGAAAAUUCAGGAUGGAGGCAGAGUAGAGUGGGCACUGCAUGAAGAAGAUCUAAAUACGCCUUAGAACCACUGAAAGAACAGUAAUCUUGUUUGAUGUCCUCAACAGAAGCCAGCUUGAUUGUAAAUGUGCUUCCUCGAUAGAAGUCCUCAGAACCAUGUGCUCUACUAGUAACAAUGCACCGCAUGCAACCUGAAUCCUUGAACCUGGAAAUUGGAAAUAAGAGACACCACUGGAUAGGAAGCAUGUGAAUGAUUAGAAGCAAAACAAGAAACUUGAGUAUUGCAUCAGACCGAAGUACCUGUUGCGCAAGAUUGUGAGCAAUACCAUUAAUUUCUCGAGAAAUAUGAAACACCUUAGGAUGCAAAUUAGAAGUACAUUUGAAAAAAAAUAGCCAGUGCUUUUCUGAUACUCCAGGGAGAUGUGGGCUCAGAGAUGUUCCCCAAAGUAGCAAACUUAGCUAAUGAAAGACAGUCCAUUAAGAAAGUGGGAGAAGAAACAUUCAGCUGAGAGGCCAAAUGAGCAGCAAAAGAAAGAGCAAUCACCUCAGCUUGCAAAGGAGUAGAGGUUGGGGGAGCCGAAGCUUGAAUUUGUACAUUGUAAUCCCCUCGAUUACAAGGCACAGAGAUGAAAACUCCCACACCUGUAGCAACUUCUCCUUGCAUUAAACCAGGAAUCUUGUUAGACCCGAAAGUUGCGUCAGAAUAUACUUUAGAACCAACAAUUAGUAAAUCUGAUCUAAGUGUAUCUCCCUGUGUAGGGAGAUGAUCCGCAAAAGGCUGAUCCCGAGGUUGAGACUGCUUCAUAGGGAAACAUGGGAGAUUAUCAUAGGAAUCCGGAAGUAAGGCAGUAGUAGCAAUCUGAACUUGGUGAGGAGAAGCUUUUUCCCUGUCAAAGAGAAAAUCAUUCCUAGCUUUCCAGAGCCACCACAAAAAGUUGAGAAUAUUAAAAAUGGAUCCAUGAGGAUGACCCAUACGAACGAAAGCAAUAAGAACCGAGUGAAUAGUGGAAUGGCCUUGGAUUAAGACAUCUGAUCUAAUGAACCAAGGAGAGGAAAACCAGGCCACACGAGCAAAGUGACACAGGAAAAACAAAUGAAACUCAUCCUCUUGUUGGCCACAUCUACAACAAUUCUGAGAAAUGUGAAUGGAGAAACGGCCUACUCGCAAACCCGUAGGUAAAGCCUUUCUAAGUAAUCUCAAAGCAAAAGUUUACACCCUAGGAAGCAUAUGCUUUCGUUUCCAAAUCAAUUUAAGCGGGCUUUUUAAAUCCAAGGAAACAGCAGCAUGCACAUUUCUAGUAUUAGCAUAAAUCUCUUGCAAACAAAGUUUAUAACCAGACUUAGAACAGCAAAUGCCAUUAGGAGUGAGAUCCCAACAUAGCAAAUCUGGACCAUCAUCAUCAAUAAUUUCAGUUUGAACAAUGAUAGAGGCCAUAGGUUGGAGAAAAAGAGAGAAAACAAGAUCAUGAUUCCAACUAUUUUGCCCCGGAAGCCAGAGAUCUCUAACUAUAGAUGGGUAAGCAAAACCAGCUUGCUGAGGAAUGAGAUGGUCAUGGAUAGAGUUCCAAAGACUACACCAAGGCAUGCUCCAAAUGGAAAUGUUUCCCUGAGUUAAUUGAUAGAAAGAAUGAGCCUUAAGUUUAGGUAACAUUUUCAAAAUAGAAGCCCAGAACGCAGAUUUAGGAGGGGUCGCAGCAGCUGUCCAAAUGGAAGUACCAUGAAAAUACUUAGCCUUAAGAACUAGGUACAAGUGAGAAGAAGGAAAUUUAGCUAACCUCUAAGCAGCAGCCAAAAGAAGGCUCUCAUUAAUGGCUUUUAAAUUCCUAAUACUCAGACCACCUUCUUUAGAGUUGCAAAUAUCCUUCCAAGCUCUAAAACAAAGACUUUUCUUAGAAUCAUUUUCUCGCACACCCGUUCACCAGAAAUUCCUAAUAACAGCCGUCAGCUUAGCAAUGAAUUUCUUUGUAAACAAGAUAUUAGCCAUAUAAUAGACCGGAAUAGCCGAGAAAACAGAACAGAUCAAUUCAUGUCUAGCAGCAUGAGAAAGCAUGUUAGCUUUAUAAGUGGGCAGUUUAUUUAAAAAUUUGUCAAGAAAAAAGUUGUAAGCUGCAACUCUAUUUUUAGCAGGAAGAACAAGCGGGUGACCAAGGUGGGUGAAGUUACUAUCCAAAGUAGCAACCGGAAAGAUUUUCCUAAUCUCCUACAUAGCUGUAUGAGAAACAUGAGAGCUAAAAAGAAUAGCAGAUUUAGCCCAAUUUGGAAUUUGACCUGAGAUAGAACAAAAGUCACUACUAGAAAACAGGGCUUUCGUUCGGGCCUGGCCAGCCCAUUAGUCCAGGUUCCGCACGAACCGGGACCCAUGGGGUGCAUUAGUCCCGGUUCGUGAGCCCAGGGGGCCGGCCGGGCCACGUGGGCCACUGGUCCCGGUUCGUCUGGACCUUUUGGUCCCGGUUCAACGCACGAACCGGGACCAAUGCGCCUCGCCCCUGGCCCAUGACCAUUAGUCCCGGUUUGUGCCACAAACCGAGACUAAAGGGUUGGUCCUUGUUGCGGCCAGAGUUUAGUCCCACCUCGACGACCGAAGGGCGCUCACACCGGUUUAUAAGCCCGUCCCUCUGUGCCUUGUUGAGCUCCUCUCAAAAUGAAAAUAGAUGCCCUUAUACAGGGAAUUUGACCAAAAUUCAUAGUGAGUUUCUCUGAAAUUCAUCCAAAUUUAUUAUGAAUUUAGGUUGAAUUUUCUCUAUAGGCGCAUCUAUGCUCAUUUUUUUAUGUUGGGGUUGGCGAUCUUUACAGACUUUUUGUGUGUUGAAUAUGCACCAUUCAAAAUCAGUCUCUGCUUUGAAUGGUUCAUUUUGAACACACAAAAAGUCUGGAGUUCAAAUAAGUUCAAGAAAAUGAAAUCCCUUUGUAACAGAUGAGUUUUCGUCCGAAACCCUGAUACUUCGAAAGAGAUUGUCCAUUUUGUUCACGAAGUGCAUCCACCUUUUGCGGGGACCCUCUCAACUUUCUUGCACAUGCUAUGUGGAUGACAUGAUGAUACCAUGCCAACUUUCAACCUUUUCAGAGUUCAUUUGAAAUGCUUUUCAAUUUUAGGGUCUUAUAGCUCAAAAUAAUUAGUAAAUGCAUGAAAAAUAACAAAUGAAGUCAGAAAGGAUUGAAAAAUGAUGAUGUGGCUUUGAAUGGUGCAUUUUGAACACACAAAAAGUCAGGAGUUCAAAUAAGUUUAAAAAAAUGAAAUCCCUUUGUAACAGACGAGUUUCCGUAUGAAAUCCCGAUACUUUGAAAGAGAUUGUCCUUUUGUACACGAAGUGCAUCCAGUUUUUGUCGUAACCCUCUCAACUUUCUUGCACAUGCUAUGUGGAUGAAAUGAUGAUACCAUGCCAACUUUCAACCUUUUCAGAGUUCAUUUGAAAUGCCUUUCAAUUUAUGGUCUUAUAGCUCAAAAUAAUUAGUAAAUGCAUGAAAAAUAACAAAUGAAGUCAUAAAGGAUUGAAGUGGCUUUGAAUGGUGCAUUUAGAACACACAAAAAGUCAAGAGUUCAAAUAAGUUUUAAAAAAUGAAAUCUCUUUGUAACAGACGAGUUUCCGUAUGAAAUCCUGAUACUUUGAAAGAGAUUGUCCGUUUUGUACACGAAGUGCAUCCAGUUUUUGCCGGGACCCUCUCAACUUUCUUGCACAUGCUAUGUGGAUGAAAUGAUGAUACCAUGCCAACUUUCAACCUUUUCAGAGUUCAUUUGAAAUGCCUUUCAAUUUUAGGGUCUUAUAGCUCAAAAUAAUUAGUAAAUGCAUGAAAAAUAACAAAUGAAGUCAGAAAGGAUUGAAAAAUGAUGAUGUGGCUUUGAAUGGUGCAUUUUGAACACACAAAAAGUCAGGAGUUCAAAUAAGUUUUAAAAAAUGAAAUCCCUUUGUAACAGACGAGUUUCCGUAUGAAAUCCUGAUACUUUGAAAGAGAUUGUCCGUUUUGUACACGAAGUGCAUCCAGUUUUUGCCGGGACCCUCUCAACUUUCUUGCACAUGCUAUGUGGAUGAAAUGAUGAUACCAUGCCAACUUUCAACCUUUUCAGAGUUCAUUUGAAAUGCUUUUCAAUUUUAGGGUCUUAUAGCUCAAAAUAAUUAGUAAAUGCAUGAAAAAUAACAAAUGAAGUCAGAAAGGAUUGAAAAAUGAUGAUGUGGCUUUGAAUUGUGCAUUUUGAACACACAAAAAGUCAGGAGUUCAAAUAAGUUUUAAAAAAUGAAAUCCCUUUGUAACAGACUAAAGCUUCAUGUAUAUAAGGCACACUUGUGAAAAUUUUGGUUUGCAUCUUGCAGUUCGCCCCUGACGACGCGCGCGGAGAGGACGCCGCCAGGCUGUCGGACGCCGUCGCCAUCGCCCCCGCCCCGGAGCCCACGCCGACGCCGUCGCCGUCCGCCGCCCCCGCCCCGGAGCCCACGCCNNNNNNNNNNNNNNNNNNNNNNNNNNNNNNNNNNNNNNNNNNNNNNNNNNNNNNNNNNNNNNNNNNNNNNNNNNNNNNNNNNNNNNNNNNNNNNNNNNNNNNNNNNNNNNNNNNNNNNNNNNNNNNNNNNNNNNNNNNNNNNNNNNNNGUUAGAUUAGUUGAAUUAGAUGUUUUUCCAUGUAUUUUAGAUUUGUUGAAUUAGAUGUUUUUUUGUCAAUUUAUGUAUAUAUGUGCAUAUUUAGAAAAAAUGUGUUGAACUAGUUAAAUAUAAUAGAACUAGUUAAACAAGUUUAUUUUUAGUAAGUGCUUAGUAGUUGAACUAGUUGAUUUAAUAAAACUACUUUAUUUUACUAUAGAAGUGGUUUAUUUUAGUAAGUACUACUUUAUUUUAUUUAUAGUAAGUGCUUAAUUAGUAGUUGAACUAGUUGAUUUAAUAAAACUACUUUAUUUUACUAUAUAUAGAAGUAAUUUAUUUUUAGUAAGAACUACUUCAUUUUAUUUAUUUAUAGUAAGUGCUUAGUAGUUGAACUAGUUGAACUACUUUAUUUUAGCAAGAAAUUUAAUAGAACUAGUUUAUUUUUUUAGUUCAAGCAAUUAAUCCCGCAUCGACGUCGACGAUGCCUAUCCCGCAUCCUCGUCGUCGACUCGGCGGAGGAGGCCGGCUUGAUCAGAGGGGCCAUGUCUGGGACUGGGCUCCGCCGGGCUGGUUUUGGGAGGUGCUACCUUCCGGUGGGUGUAGGUUGGUGAGGAGCCAGCCCGUCGUUGACCUGAUCCUUGUUUGGUUGCGGUUGCGUGGGCCAGUGACGGUGCCGAGGCUUCCGGACACCGCGGAGGUGGUACGUCACCGUGUCAGCGAGGAGGACCAGCACGUCCAUCGCUACAUGUUUGCGUUGGAGGGCAGGUUCGACAAUACCUGGCAGGUUCUUCAGGGUUCUCACUGGAGCUAUGAUCCUGUGAUGGUUCCGUCCCUUUGGGUGUCCACCGCCCGCGCCGAUACCCGUCGGGCGCUACUGUUCUAGCUGUACUAGCGAUGCUAUAUGUAUGAUAGUAUUCGAGGCGUAUUAGUGAUAAUAUUCGACGAUGUACGGACGCAUGGAGAUGAUGUAGUUUUGCUUAUAAUUGAAUGCAUCCUAAUUUGAAUACUACUUUAUUUUGUGAUUUGAUUUUGCUUAUUGAAUGCUCAAAGUGGAAAACUACUCCUACUUUGAAUGCUAAAAUUGGAGAGCACUAUGCAAGGCGUAUGCAUAUGAUUAGUUGAUAGCUUAUAGGGUUUUUGUUUUCGCAGAAAUCUAGGAGCCCCCGGCCCCUCCAUCAUCCCCGCCGUCGUCCCCGUCACUGCCCCCUCCGACAUCGAGGUGAGACUAGCCAAAUCCUCUUUUAGAAAGAUAAUUAAACGAUAUUUCGGGUUGACUGUAAGUCUGUCGAGUCUCCACCAUAUAUGAGAGGACGAAGAAUCCCGACUGUUGUCGUGGGGGUAGCUUCUCCUUCGUUCCCGUGUGCUAGACAAUUUGCUGUAAUGCACUCGAGAACGAAAGGAGGAGCUACCAUACCAUCACCGACGGUCGCAAAUGUCAGAGAGGAAUCAGUGAGGGAGAGUUCCACCAUAUAUAUAUGAGAGGACGAAGAAUCCCGGCUGUUGUCGUGGGGGUCGCUUCUCCUUUGUUCCCGUGUGCUAGACAUUUUGGUGUAGUGCACUCGGGGACAAAUGGAGGAGCGACCAUCACCAACGGUCGAAUGUAUACACCACGUGAGCUGAGAGUUUUCAAGAAAAGACUCGACAAACCGAUAGUCAACCCGUGAUGAAUAAUAAUGAUCUAACUUAGGUUUUUUUUAGUACAUAUAUUUAAUUGUAGACGUUUAAUAUUUGAAUUACGAACAUAGGAAAUGUCGUACUCGGACGACGAAAGUCUCCCGGAGUGCGACUGGUGCCACGACGACCGAGGUCAGUGCGACAGGCCUUCCCUGGACGAAGAUCGGCGCUUCAGUAUUAACCUGGAGGAGACCUUCGAUGUUGAAACGGUACGCAAUGAUGACAAGUGUUAUUUUUUUGUAAUUAAGCACGACUUCAACUAUUUCAACGUGUACUUUUCAUCAUUUACAAUUCGGCUAGCUUAUCCCAUGCCAUGCAAGACGCUACGUCUUGGAGAGGAUGGGUUUUGAAGACCAUGAAAAUAUGGAAACAAAGAAACUUCACCUAAGGACCCAUCAUGAUAUAGAUUUUGAAGUAAAUCUGUAUAAUUCUAAGAGCGUAACCCAUUUUGGUUGCAAAAAUUGGGAAGCAUUUUUCAAGAUGUAUGGUUUUGAUGAGGGUAUGCUUGUCACCAUGGAUCUUGGUGAUCCUGACAUCGAGCAAGACAAUAUGGACAUUUGGGUCCUUGUUGAUACGCCUCCAAUUCUACCGCUAUGUGAGUUUCUCAAACAUAGUUAUUAGCUAAUUUAUAUUGUUCAUUUCAAAAUAGUUGACAGCUUAUUUUCAUUGACAGCUUAUUUGAUUGUUGAAACAAUGUGCGGAACAUGGUAGUCAGAACCUACUACACCGAUGGCUCUGAGUUAACUUAUAAGGAGAAAACUCAUCUGGUCGGAUUUUGUACUGAUCUUGAGAAUUACAAUAUCUAUUGUAAAACUCCUCCACAUUAUGGUCAAUAUGUGCCACUAGUGCACGUGUUGAACUACGGUAACUACUAUGGAGAUACCCUGGUAAGAUUUCUUACUAUUACGACAUCCAUGCAUCUUUUGCAUACUUCUAAAACUAGUACAUCAUUGCUAACUAUGAAGUUAUUACUAUAUUUUUUUAACAGAUAAUCCCAGAGGAUUGUGUGCCUCAUUUGAUGUAUCAGAAUGGUAGGCUUGAUGUUUUGAACAUACAACCAGGUCAUCCUACGAAUCGCAACUGUCCAUACCAGAUUUCUAAAAGAAGUGGAGACAUGCAAAUCAAAGAAUGGAAAAAAUGUAUGGACAGUCGCAAGGAGGUUCUUGGAAGCAAAAGGAAGCGAAGCGCAAGAAUGGAGACAGGAUGAUCUCCAGUCUCCAUAAUGGAGAGUCAGGGUCUAUAUUGUUUUAUGCUAUUUUACCUUAAAGAGGGUAUUUCGGUCCUACCUAAUACUGAUGAUCAUGUGCUAAGAACAAUUAAGUAGGGUUGGUUCGAUGACUAUGAGGAUGAUGAUCGUAUGACUGGUUAUUAAUAACGAGUAGAAGUUGUAUGAUGAUGAUUAGUAGGACUUGUUAUUAUAUAUGAUGAUGCAUGAUGCACGCAUGAAGAGUUAUUAUAUAUCAGCGGGUGAAAUGAUCAUGGAUUGGAUUGAAGUGAAGGCAACAUGCAUGUGGUGCAUGUCGAAAGUAGUACAAUCCAAACUUGAUCAAGUUAGGAUUAGUAUUACUUUCGACAUGCACCACAUGUUGCCUUCACUUCAAUCUAGGCCAUGUUUAGGCAUAGUAGUACGUAGCGUUGGUAAACCAAGCACGGAGAUAUAAGAGAGGACACUUCUCUCUAAUAGCUACCUAAUAACAACCUAAAUUAGCCCCCAAAACCCCUAAAUCAGCCCCUUUCAAACAAAAAAACCUCAGCUCCAGCCAGAUGCUGACGCGUGGAUGCCUAUUGGUCCCGGUUGGUGACACCAACCGGGACCAAAGGCCCCCCGGCCUGGGCUGGCCGCAGCGGCCACGUGGAGGCCCAUCUGUCCCGGUUCGUAUAAGAACCGGGACUAAAGGGUUAGGGCAUUAGUAACGAUCCGUUAGUCCCGGUUCAAAAACCGGGACAAAAGGCCCUUACCAACCGGGACAAUAGGCCCUUUUUCUAUUUGUGAGUGAUGAAUAAUAUUAGCCAUAGCAUGAGCCUCCUAUAAAGUGGCUUUCCCACAAACCAAAAGGGCAUCAGCAAAUAAAAGAGAGUGAAUGGAAGGACAAUCUGGACCAAGAGAAAUACCCUGGAGAUGAUGAGCAGCAAGCGCUUCAUUAAGAGCAAUGGAUAAUUCAUUUAUAGCAAUAACAAACAAAUAGGGGGAGAUAGGGCAACCUUGACGAAUACCUCAAAAACUUCUAAACUUGUGAGAAGGUUGUCCAUUAAUGAGCACAGAGAAAGUGGGAGAAGAGAUGCAAGCAUGAAUCAAAUUAAUAAAAUGACCAUGCAGCCCUUUGCGCGUAAGCGCCGACACUAUGAAAUUUCAUUCUAAACGAUCAAAAGCUUUGGCAAGAUCAAUUUUAAGCAUGAAAACAUUGUGUUUCCAAAAUUGAAGAGAAAAAGAGUGGGUAAUCUCCUGAGCAAUAAUAAUAUUAUCACUAAUUCUUCUACCCGGCGACCCGCUCACUGAUGUUUUGACUCACGGAGUCACUAUGUUCCCUUAAUGAUCUUUUCGUAUAUAACUGGUUGUUGCUUUAAUUAGAAGAAACCACACCAAUCGUAAUUGUUGUUAGUAAUGGAGCGGUAAGCAUAUGCAAAUCGAAGCACCAUUUUCCUUCUAAAUACACUUGUAAAAGCAUUAUGAGUGUCUUCUUCUGAUUUAAUAUUUAUGCAAGACACAUUAUGAGUGCCAGUUGUGUUGUAACUUUUUUUGCGAGGCACAACAACUGGAUUGUUGUCGAUAUAAGGGAAAACAUAAAAUAGUAUCAGAACUUCUGCAUUUAGAAACCUGUUACUAAUAUAUAGUGGCAUCUUUUUGCUCUCGAUCGAUGUCCUGGCAUGACAGGCUUUGUCGCUGUUCCCUCACCAUGGAGUGGGGAAGUAAAAUCGGUAAGUUAGCCUAUUUACCUAGUCGCCGUUCAUUUGUUCACCGAGUCAUGAGACAGCGGGAGGAAGGAGACGAAGGUCCCAAACGUGAGACCAAAAAGGUGGACUAGGGCUCGCCCUAGUUGUGCUCUCGGGUAUUUUUAGUUACUAGUAGGAGUAAGAAGCAUUGCAAAUUGCUCCCUCUGUUCAAUCCGUGCCAACCCUAGCCGCCCCUCCUCCUCACCACCCCCCUCGAACUAGAUCGCCGCCGCCUGAGGCAGCCGCCGGGCAAACGGGGCGCCAACGAUGGUGGCGGCGGGGCCUCGGUUGCCUUGCCUCUGCGUGGGGAACCCCGGAUCUGGAGCGGCGGCUCCAUUGGCAAGGCACGGACGGCUAGCAGCCGUGCGGGCGGUGGAUCUGGUGUCCCGGCCGCGCGGGCGGCGGGAUAAGGUGGUCGUUGGCGGCCGGCGAAGGCUUCUACGGCGGUCGGUGCGGGCGAUCUGGCACCUCCCUUCCUCCUCCGCUCGGCGUGCGGGCCAGCCUGGUCGGGCCGUGCUUCCUCUUGGUCGCCGGUUCUGUACAGGAGGCGCUGCUGGUGGCGGGGAUCUAGUUCGGGCGAAAUCCCUUGCCGGCCAUGACCGGCCGCGCCGACGGCGACGCCUGAGGGCGUCGUUCCGCUCCUUGGAGGCGUCGGUAUGGACUGAUCUCCUCACGGCGCCGUUCCCUUCUUGAAGGCGCCGCUUCGGGAACCUUGGGGUUGGGUGGCGCUUGUAGGUGGUUGGCGACGGCGGUGCUGCGGCCCUAUCCUAGCAUGGAUUUACGUCCGUUGCUUGGAGAUGGACUCGCGUAGGUGGAGGUCGUCGCCUGGCGUCGUGGUGGCGUCAAAGGCGGAGGACCUGCCAAGACUCGCGUAGGUGGAGGUCGUCAUUUGGCGUCGUGGUGGCGUCGAUGGCGGAGAACCUGCCAAGGUUGUCAUCUCAAUCGCUCUGAAGAUGGACCAGUGGAAUAUGGCGGCGACAACACAUGUGAGUGCGUCGGACCGGUUUGAGCCCCGGACCCGGUAGAUGGCUCGGUCGGGGCCUCCGGCUUUAGAUGUUAGGCUUAGGUGAGAGGUCUAGAUAUGUGGCCCAGCUUGCACCCCUUCAUCAUUUGAAUAGGAGUAGCGACAGAUGUUGCGAAGAUGACGGAUUCAAGUAUAUUGUUGUUCUACUUUGUAAGUUCCUCGAGAAUAAUCAAUAAAAUGGCCGCAUGCAUCUUCCAGAUGCAUAUGCCGGAGGUUAUCCUCCUUUUUUUUUAAAAUGUAGUCCAUAUUAAUAUAUUCAAAAUAUUUUAUAGUAUUUGUGAACGAAAGGAGUAAUUAAUAGUAAUGCAACAAUUUCAGUGGAGGCCAGUCAGCAGCUAACUAAAUGUGCUGGAUGAGACUGGAGAAAUGCAUAAACGAUUUACACAUGAUAGAACUACUCUUUUCUUAUUAAGGCGAAUCAGGUUCGUUACUGACUGCCAAAGUCACGGCCGUUUCUGCCUUUGACGCUGAUAAGAGAUUCUACACUGUAAGGCCUCGUUUGAAAUGGAGGGAUUCAGGAGGACUUGAGGUGUGGAGAUUGGAGGGGAUUUGAUGAAUCCCUCCCCUCCACCCAAUCUCCUCAACUCCCCUUGCAAUCAAUCCCUUCCUGAAAAAACGCGUUUGGUAGGCGGAGAGUGGAGGAGGCAUGCACUGCCGCUGCCCUCGAGGUUCUGCUUGUGCAAGGCCCUCGACUAGAGUUCUGAACCGCGCGGGUACGAGGGGAUUGGAAGGGAUCGGAGGGGGUUGGGCUGUGCAAACCCCACCUAUCAAAUGGGCCGAUGAGGUUUCGUGGGGCUUCUGGCCCUCCGGGGGUUCAUCCUCUCCAAACCUCCUGAAUCCUCCUGCGCCAAACGAGGCCUAAAGGAAAAGCUGAAAGCUCUCCUAUCUCGUGUGUUUCUCUUCUCUUGCACCUUGUCGGAAAACAGCGUGCACCAGGGACGCUUGAUUCCAUUGCAGGCAUCAGUUCAAUCUAUCAUGCUACAGGGAACCGGCACUAUCUUCUUUUUCUUCUUCUUUUAGGUCGUGAACGCAAGUCAUUUGAGACAUUCACAUGGGAUUACAUAAUCGGUACGUUGUGACGGAACUGGACGCACAUGAUGAAAUAGAUAGAUAUUCCUACGGUAGAUUUAUCAGCAUCAGUGUGGAGCUAAAGUGUUUGAUGUUUUGUAUGAAUGGUUUGGUCUGAACAAUAAAGCCGACCACUCAGGACCUACUUUUGGGCUUUUUUUUGUAUUAUUGUAUACUAGCAAAAGGGCCCGUGCGCGGAGAAAAAAAUUAUAAUCUUGAAUGGCCAAGAUCACAUUUUUUUGCAUCACCGACAUUUUUCAAAUUCAUGAACACUUUUACGAAUUUGCAAACAUAUUCUAAAAUCAAUAACAUAUUUUGAAUUCAUGAACAUUUUAUAGUAUUUACAAACAUUUUUAGAAAUUGUGAACAUUUUUUAACAAUUUUCUUGAAUAGGCAAAUAAUUCUAAAAUGGACGAACAUUGUUUUAGAAAUCGGUGGAACCAUUUUUGAAAUUCACGAACAUUUUUUGAUUUUACAAACAUAUUUUGAAAUGCAUGAUCAUUUUUUGAAUCAGCGAACAUUCUAUGAAUGAAUAAACUAUUUUGUAAGUCACGAAUAGUUUUUCAAAUAUUUGGUUAUUUCCCCAUUCAUGAACAUUUUUUGAAUGAUGAGAUGUUCUUCAAUUACAUUAAAAAAAAUUUAUACACGAAUUUUUAAAAAGUCAUGAACGUAUUUUGAUUUCAUGAACAUUUGUUUCCGAAAUUUCGAACAUUUUUUGAGUCAGAUUCCUUAAUAAAAUUGCAAAUAUUUUUUGAAUACACAAACAUUUUAUGAUUUAUCAAACCUUUAUUUGAAAAUUAUUUUCUAAAUUUCAAAUAUUUUUUUGUAUUCCGAAAUUAUUUAAAAAAUAAAAAAGGAAAAAGAUAAAAAGUGAAAUGUUAAAAACAGGCCGCCCGGACAUGGGCCCGCCCAGAUAUGCGGCCCACGCCUUAUCCCUCCCCGCAGAGCCGAGUAUGUGAGGUCCCUACUACAUGGGCCUGUCCAGACGGGGAUUUCCCUGUGUGAAACAUUUAUAUCACUUAUAUGUGACAUUUGUGGGUAAUUUCUAUGACGUGCCAUAAGAAGAAAUAGCCCCUUUUAUUACUAGCAAAAGGGUCCGUGCGUUGUAACGGGAGAAAUAAAAUCAAAAUCUCCAAUGACCAUGACCAUAUUUGCUACAUCACUGAGACACCCUAUCACUCUCAAUUUCAUGAAAUCAUGAAUAAUUUUUGAAAUCACGAACAUGUUUUAAAAUUCUUACACAUGUUUGGAAUCAUGAACAUUUUCCAAAUUCAUGAACACUCAUACAAAUUUUCAAACAUUUUCUAAAAUCAAGAACAUUUCUAGAAUUGAUGAAAAAAAUUAUACUAUUUGCAAACACUUAUUAAAAAUUCUGAACAUCUUUAUAAAUAAUUUUGUUUAAUCGGCAAACAUUUUAUGGAAAUUGAUGGAAAAAAAUUCGAAAUUCAAAAACAUUUUUCGUUUUGACUAAAUUUUUUGAAAUACAUGAUCAUUUUUUGAAACAGUGAACAUUUUCUGAAUGACUAAACUAUGUUGUAAGUCAAGAAAUAGUUUUUCAAUUUUAGGAUAUUUUUCCAUUCAUGAACAUUUUUUGAAUUAGCGAUUUAUUUCAAUUUCAUUAACAAUUUUUGAUACACAAAAUAUUUAGAAAAUCAUGAAUAUUAUUUGAUUUCCGAAAAUUUUGUUUUUAAAAUUUUGAACAUUUUUUGUGUAAGCAAUUAUUUUUUGCAAACUGCGACCAUAUUUUGAAUCCACAAGUAUUUUAUGAUUUAUGAAAAAUUUAUGUCAAAUUCUCAUUUUUUUUUUCGAAACUAUUUUGAAAUCUCAAAAUAUUUAUAGUAGAAAAGAAAAAAACAGGAAAGAAAAAUUAAAAUGGAAAACGAAAUUAAAAAAACAGGCCAGCCUGUAAUGGGCCAGCCCAAACAUGCGGGUAGCGUCUUCUCCCAGCGUGCAGAUAGCAUUAAAGGAGGUCCCAAGUGUAGGGCCGGCCCAGAUGGGGGAAUUCCCCUGUGUGAAUUUUUUUAUCACUUAUAUGUGGCAUUGAACUCAUGAAUCAUGCGCUAUCACAUCCAGCUAGCCGCCAUGUCUCGCUCGGACAACCAGAUGAACUUUCUUUCGUCCCUGUAAACAUUUUGACGAUAUAAUAAAAAGCUUUGGAAUUUGUCUAAAAAAAACUUAUAAGUGGCAUUGGUGGGUAAUAUUUUGUAACUUUAGAGGUAAUUUCCACGACGUACCACUAGAAGCGCAAUAGCCCAUUUACUAUUAUUAGGUACUCUUUUUUCCUUGUGGAGGUUUGGAAAUGAGAGAAUUUGAAUAUAGUAACUCUCGAAAACUCUUAUUGGACGAGAGAGAUUUAAUAUGAUAUUGGCAUGGGUUCUACCAACUAAACGAAGAAGUAUUUGACUGGAUAAACAGACAAUUUCCUUUAAUUGACAAACAUUUUUAUGAAAAUUGGUGGAACAACUUUUGAAAUUCAAAAAUAUUUUUUGAGUUAAUGAACAUUCUUUUAACUUAAUGAACAUUUUUUUUAAAUACAUGACCAUUUUUUUGAAUCUGUGAACGUUGUAUGAAUGAAUAAACUAGUUUCUAAGUCAUGAGCAGUUAUUCAAUUUUUAAGAUAUUUUUUCCUUCAUGAACAUUUUUUCAAUUGGUGAAAUUUUGUUCAAUUUCAUUAACAACCCUUUUUAAAAAAUCAUGAACAUUAUAUUUUACCAAAAAAGCAAAUUGUUUUUUUACAAAAUCGUGGACAUUUUUUGAAUCCACAAACCUUUUAUGAUUUAUGAAAUCCUAAAUUAUUUAAAGUAGAAAAAUCAUAAAAAGAAAAGAGAAAGGAAUAAUAGAAAACGAAGUUACAAAAAUAGGCCGACCGAACAUGGGCCGGCCCCAAACAGGCGCACUGCAUCUUCUCCGAGCGCCUAGAGCGUAGUAUAGGAGGUCCCUACUGCAUGGGCUGGCCUAAGCGUUGUCAAAUUUAUUCAUAUAUUAUUUUCGAUUGUACAACCAUAAUUUUUCUUAUCUCUCUCGUUCCACUACAUGCUCCUAGUCAAUGAAUUUCUUUAAUAAUGGUUGUUUUUAUUAACUCAAAAUAUAGCAUCAAGCAGAUACAAAACAUAAUGAGCCACACCCGGUCUAUGCAUAACUAAGAUGCACACAGCCAAAAGCAGAAGUCUGACAAAAAUAAGAUAAGAAGAUCGAUAUAUCGACAACAGUGAGUCAUAUAGUUGGUUUUGGGUUGGGAACGGCGGUGGCCUGCCAGAGGGCAAGACACUGGCUGUGUACGCUGGUGUCACCUGGUGUGGCAUUCGUGGGACCCAAGUGGUAGCGCCUCCUCAGUGAUGGCGGCGAGCGCGGACGUGUUGGACACCACCUCGUCUAUGUCCAUGCAGCCCACUUCUUUCUCUGUAGGAAGGACGCGGUUACACUCGCGUUGACAUCGGAUGACUCGGUCACAGGCACGGGAGGGGUGAGAGGACAUGGCACCGUCAAUGGCAGCCACGAUGCCCGUGCCACCGUGCUCCCUCCCUGUGCCGACCUGGAGCAACUUGCCACUCCUCGGCUCGUGGCCGGCGGGCUUUACGGGCCACCUAGCCAUUUUUAUGCCAGACAACUCUUCUUCCUGCUCGUCAGAUGCCAUGGAGAAAACUGUUCAAGGAGGAAAAUGGUGAGUGGAGGUGUGAUGCGGUUCUUGCCCGACAUCUGGCAUUGUUUAAAUAGCGAGGGGACACGAGGAGCCAAGCGACAUUCUGUUUAAUGCCAACCGGCUCACGAAUGAACAUGUGGCCGGAGUAAUUAUCCUGGAACACACGUGGGUUUAAUGAUGGAAGGCGGGCAGUCUGCAAGAAUGAGGCGAGGAUGUGUGUUUAGCCGGCGUGCAGCGGGCGGCGCCCUCGGCCGGCGCUCUGCUUCCAUUGCGGAGGCAGUGAGAGGCCGCGUCCGCUCUGCAGCGCAUGAAUGCGGGCAGCUGGCGCAGAGCGGGAACGCGUGCGGGCGAGGGAGGAGGGGGUUUGGGUGGGCAUGGGUGGUCAGAAGCGGUCGUGGGUGUUGUCCGAACACCUGCAAAGCCCCCCUCCAUGUUUGUCUCCGGUUUACGGGAGAAAGUACGUCCAGACCUUCCAAUGGACCGAUACAGGCCCGCAUUGGAUGGCACAACACGUCCGGACCAUGUGGUCCGGAUGGUUCAGGACGGUUUAAUUGAGGGUUGACGUUGGAGAUGCCUUAGAGUUUAUGAAUCCAUUGUGUUUUUCUAAUCAUAAAAAAACACUUAUAAUAAGUUAGAAGGAAAGACACGUUUAUAUGUUAGGUUCAGACUCCAGCUUUCCUCUUACAUAUGCUUUAUUCUGAUCCGACUGAUUCCAAUAGAGGGAGCCUGGCGUUGUUUUUCUGGAAACUCGCGGGAUAAAGAGACUUGCAUACACAUUCUUUCAAGCAAAUCACAUCCAUUCUUUUAACUCAUUUUUCUUAUUUUAAUAAUAUAAUAGAUCAUUUAUAUUUUUUAUCUCAAACAGUUGACGUGUAAUUUAUAUUGUAAUCUGAGGAUAAUGUUUGGAUUUUACUUUCAAAUAUAUUUGAAAUGGCCAUGAUGGAAUCACAUCCAUUUAUUUUAUUAUUAUUUGAAUUUGAUCCAAAAGAUAAAUAAUGAGUAGAGGUCAUGUCAACUUUUCUAGAACUUUGCUAAUCAAAAUAUAAUUUGUAUUUAAAAACAUCUAUUUUUUAGCACGCAUGAAAAACAUAACAUUGUAUCUUUUCACACAUAAUGAACGGUUGUCAUAAGAACUCAUGCCAUGCCACAACCUCCCUCCGACCCUGCCAACAUUGUUGCAGAUGCACUAGCAAGCCUUAGCGUAGAUGAUCAUUUAUACGAUUUGCGUAAAACAAAAUAAGAUCUACAAACGAAUAGAAGCUAGAACGUACCUUGGCAUGCACACACAUUGCAAGCCAUACUAAGCUGACAAGUGUUAAUAACUUGUACAAUAUAUACAACACUUAAGACAAGUAAAAACAAUUUCACGAGUCAUGGUCUAUCAAAGCAAGCCACAUUACUAGUCUAAUCCAUCUUAACAGGUCACACAUGAUUAAAAUCUUGUUUGUGUGCAAGUCAAGCUUAUCUAGUUUACAUGUAACAACUUGUAGAACAUUACAAAAUUUAUGUUUGCUAAUAACUUCUAGAACACUACAACACUUGACAUGUAAAAGGAAUUUGAUGAGUCAUGGCCUACUAAAGCAAGUUAUAUUACUAGUCUUAUCUACCUUAACAGGCCACACAAGAUUACAAACUAAGUAACGUGCCAGCCAUGCUUAUCUAGUUUAUGCGCAACAAUUCGCAGAAAAUUACAAACUUAGUUUCAGAAAAUAGGUAAUCUAGAUUAGUGUUUGAGCUGUAAAGUAAAUAAGAUGAGUCAAGCGUGUUAUCACACGUUUUUGGUUGUGGAAUGAUAGUGCAAUAACAAGGAACUUUAAUGACCAGUCCAAGAAUACACUUGUAAGUAGUGCUACCGAACACAACAUACCAAAUUAUGAUUUUGAGAAGCAUCCAAGCACUUUCCACACAGGCAAAUGCCAAUUGUGAAAGAGAUCAUGCCAUGGUAGCUAUAAAUACGCUCGUAGCAUGAUGACCAUCCUUCCUCAUCCAUCAUUCUCAUAAGUAGAGUGCAUCAUUUAAGCCAAGCAAGCAGUGGUCAAUACAAAUCCAUCAUGAAGACCAUUCUCAUCCUUGCCCUCCUUACUAUCGUGGCGACCACCGCCACAACUGCAGUUAGAGUCCAAGUUCCACAAUUGUAGCCACAAAAUCCAUCUCAGCAACAGCCACAAGAGCAAGUUCCAUUGGUACAACAACAACAAUUUCCAGGGCAGCAACAACCAUUUCCACCACAACAGCCAUAUCCGCGGCCGCAACCAUUUUCAUCACAACAACCAUAUCUGCAGCUGCAACCAUUUCCGCAGCCGCAACUACCAUAUCCGCAGCCGCAACCAUUUCGACCACAACAACCAUAUCCACAACCGCAACCACAGUAUUAGCAACCACAACAACCAAUUUCGCAGCUGCAGCAGCAACAACAACAACAAUAGCAACAACAACAGCAACAAAAACAGCAGCAACAACAACAGCAGCAGCAACAACAACAACAACAGCAACAACACCAGCAACAACAGCACCAACAGCAGUAGCAGCAGCAGCAACAACAACAANNNNNNNNNNCAACAACAACAACAACAACAACAACAACAACAACAACAACAACAACAACAACAACAACAACAACAACAACAACAACAACAACAACAACAACAACAACAACAACAACAACAACAACAACAACAACAACAACAACAACAACAACAACAACAACAACAGCAGCAGCAGCAGCAGCAGCAGCAACAACAACAACAACAACAACAACAACAACAACAACAACAACAACAACAACAACAACAACAANNNNNNNNNNNNNNNNNNNNNNNNNNNNNNNNNNNNNNNNNNNNNNNNNNNNNNNNNNNNNNNNNNNNNNNNNNNNNNNNNNNNNNNNNNNNNNNNNNNNNNNNNNNNNNNNNNNNNNNNNNNNNNNNNNNNNNNNNNNNNNNNNNNNNNNNNNNNNNNNNNNNNNNNNNNNNNNNNNNNNNNNNNNNNNNNNNNNNNNNNNNNNNNNNNNNCAACAAUAACAACAACAAAUUUUGCAACAACAACAACAACAAAUUUUGCAACAACAACAACAACAACAAAUUUUGCAACAACAACUGAUUCCAUGCAGGGAUGUUGUAUUGCAACAACACAACAUAGCGCAUGGAAGCUCACAAGUUUUGCAACAAAGUACUUACCAGCUGGUGUAACAAUUGUGUUGUCAGCAGCUGUGGCAGAUUCCCGAGCAGUCGCGGUGCCAAGCCAUCCACAAUGUUGUUCAUGCUAUUAUUCUGCAUCAACAACAACAACAACCGUCGAGCCAGGUCUCCUUCCAACAGCCUCAACAACAAUAUCCAUCAGGCCAAGGCUCCUUCCAGCCAUCUCUGCAAAACCCACAGGCCCAUGGCUCUGUCCAGCCUCAACAACUGCCCCAGUUUGAGGAAAUAAGGAACCUAGCGCUACAGACGCUACCUGCAAUGUGCAAUGUCUACAUCCCUCCAUAUUGCACCAUUGCUCCAUUUGGCAUCUUCGGUACUAACUGAGAAGAGAAGAACUCUAGUACUAGAUAUAUGAAGCAUUGUUUUCUUAGUCCAUGGUUUGGUCGUUGUUGCUGUGAAAAAAUAAAGUGGCAUGCACUAUCAUGUAAGAACCCGAACUAUACUAGUUCAAACUUGGGAAUAAAAGACAAACACAAGUCUUGUCUACAUAUGAUUCUUUGUUUGAUUUCCAUUCAUGUGCGCAUUCACAAGUUCACCCCUAAUUAUAUAUAUAUGCAUUAAGUAGAUAUUUAUGUUGCAUUAAUCUAAAGAUAACAAAAUGACUCUAAAAUUUGAAUUAAAUUGAAGUAUUUCCUUGGAAUUUCAAAUGGAAUAUUAUUAAAGUAGUAAGGACUAUCCACAUCCUUGGCUUGCCCUUGAUCAAUUAUUUGCAGAGAAGCAUUCAAUUUGUCAAUCAACAUGAGUAUAUUCAUCGCGGCUACUCCAAAUCGGCAUGAAUGAGGUACCGGUGCUCUGGAGCACUACUAGCUAACUGCUUCUCAUGUGAAGGGGUGCGGGCGCGGGAGAGGUGUUUCUGGUGGGGCAGGGGAGUAUGAAGCGGCCGUGGCAGCGGUCCAGAUGCCCACAAAGACCCGUAGUUUGUUUUUGGUUUACAGGAAAGUGCACAUCCAGACCGGCCUGCGGGCCGAUAUAGGACCGUAUUGGAUGGCAAAACAUGUCCGGAUGGUUGCGAGUGGUUUGGGGGUUAGCUUUUGUAAUGCCCGGUUAGUUAUGCUAUAGUAAUUCCCUGCUAGUGAUGCCACGUCACCCUGAUUACUGUUGUUAACCUCACAAUUAUUCAAUCCCAUUCAAAUUCAAAUUUAAAAUAAAGGCAAACAUCAAAAGUUUUCAAACAUUAAAACUAAAAUCUUCGAGAGGUGAAAAAUAAUGCGUAAGUAAUUAUGCUGGAGAAACCACACUUUUACAAAAUGUUUAAAUACUAUAAAAUGAAUAAAACAGUGGCUUAAACUAUUAUUAAAAUGCUUUUAAAAUAGUAAAAAUGUUAUAACUAAAUUAAUUGGGUGCCAAACUUUUGGUGGCAGUGGUAUAUUUAGUAGAACUAAUUUAGAUGCUAAUUAUAUAAUUUACAAAAUUAAAGUAAAUUGAAAACAGGAUAAAACAGAAAAGGAGAGACAAAACAAAUAAAAGCAAAAGGGGGCAACUCCUCGCUGGGCCUCGGCCAAGCUGGCCACUGGGCUAGCUAGGCCGACCCAGCCGCCUACAUUAACCCACCACUCCCCAUCGAACCCUAGCCCGAUCUCCCCACUUCCCCCACACCCCCUUGAUGUCUACUACGCAACUUUAUUCUUAUAGACACGUGUUGGGCCUCCAAGCGCAGAGUUUUGUAGGAUAGUAGCAAUUUUCCCUCAAGUGGAUGACCUAAGGUUUAUAAAUCCGUGGGAGGCGUAGGAUGAAGAUGGUCUCUCUCAAACAACCCUGCAAUCAAAUACAAGAAAUCUCUUGUGUCCCUAACACACGCAAUACAAUGGCAAAUUGUAUAGGUGCACUAGUUCAGUGAAGAGAUGGUGAUAAAAGUGUAAUUUUGAUGGUAGAAAUAUAUUUUUAUAAUCUGAAUAAAUAAAAACAGCAAGUUGGGAAAUAGUAAAUGGGCACAAAAACGGUAUUGCAAUGCUUGAAACCAAGGCCUAGGGUCCGUAAUUUUGCUAGUGCAAUUUCUCAACAGUGCUAAUAUAGUUGGAUCAUAUGAUUAUCCCUCAAAGUGCAAUAAAGAAUCACUCCCGAGUUCCUAAUAGCGGAGAACAAAAGAUAGAAAUUGUUUGUAGGGUAUGAAACCACCUCAAAGCUUCGGUUCGAUCUGUUCAAGAUUUCGUACUAAAAUAACACAAAGCUAUUUUUUCCGUUCGAUCUGUCCUAGAGUUCGUACUAAAAUAACACCAAAGCAAAUUCAUAUUCAUAAUACACAAUCCACACAAAGAACUACAAAGAGACCCCAAAGUUUCUAUCGGAGAAAAGAUAAUAAAAACGUGCAUCAUCCCCUAUGCAUAGAUUACCCCAACAUCACCUUGGGAAACCGCAAGUUGAGUGCCAUAACAUAUAUCAAGUGAAUCAAUACGAUACCCCAAUGUCACCUCAAGUAUUCAUACCGCAAGACAUACAUCAUGUGUUCUCAUAUCUGAAUAUUCAAUCCGACAAGACAAAACUUCAAAGGCUAAAGAUUCAGAGUAUAGAGGGGAGAAACAUCAUAUGAUCCAUCUAUAUUAACAAAGCCCAUGAUAUAGAUCACGAGAGAGAGAUUAAACACAUAGCUACUGGUACAAACCCUCAGCCCCGAGGGUGGACUACUCCCUCCUCAUCGUGGUGGCCGCCAGGAUGACGAAGAUGGCCACCAAAGAUGAUUCCCCCCUCCGGCAGGGUGCCAUAAAGGGUCUAGAUUGGUUUUCGGUGGAUACAGAGCCUAGCGGCGGCGGAACUUCUGAUCUAGGUUAACCCCAAAGGGUUUCGGAAUAUUUGGGAAUUUAUAGUGCAAAGAGGGGGUGCGGGAGGCCACCGAGGUGGGCACAACCCACCUGGGCGCGCCAGGGGGCCCUGGCGCGCCCUGGUGGGUUGUGCCCCCCUCAUGCUUCUUCGGCCCACUGUUGGUCUUCUAGUCCAUAAAAAAUCUCCAUGAAGUUUCAUUGCAUUUGGACUCCGUUUAGUAUUGAUUUCCUGCGAUGUAAAAAACAAGCAAAAACGGCAACUGACACUGGGUCAAUAGGUUAGUCCCAAAAAAUGAUAUAAAGAUGCUAUAAAAUGAUUGUAAAACAUCCAAGAAUGAUAAAAUAACAGCAUGAAUACUUCAUAAAUUAUAGAUACGUUCGAGACGUAUCAGCAUCCCCAAGCUUAAUUCCUACUCGUCCUCGAGUAGGUAAAUGAUAAAAGAAAUAAUUUAUGAAGUGUGAAUGCUAGGAAAGUGCACAAGUUUGAUCAAUCACAAUUUCAAUCACUUUUCCUAGCAUCAUAACCGCGAUUCUUUCUUAUAAAACUUCUCAUGAUACAAUGGCAACCAAUUCACAUAUUAAGGUUCAAACAGUGAAUUCUCUUAAAACUCAACAACCUAUGUUCUUAGUCACCAAGCAAUUGCAAUUCAACUUAUUCAACGGAGUUUAAGUAAGAGCUCCACAUACUCAACCAUCUUAUAGUCUUCUAUGAUUGCUAACACUCACCGCAUACACAUGGGCAAAACGUUUCAACCGGACACAUAGAAAGAUAGGGGCUUAUUGUUUUUCCUCCCAACGUAUUCACCUCAAGGGUGAUGUCAACAAUAAUAACUCAUGCUACCCAUAUUCAACUGGACAUAUGUGCCUAGAUCUUUCCUCACCACAUGAUGCUUGCCAAAGGAGAAAAAUAGAAAGGAAUAGAGAGAAAAACUUUGACUCUUUGCAUAAAAGUAAAUACUGGAAAGUAAAAGAUAGGCCCUUCGCAGAGGGAAGCAGAGGUUGCCAUGCGCUUAUUUGUUUGUAUGCUCAACCCAUUAGUGAAAAAGAACGUCACGUUAUAUUGCCCCUUAUGAUAGCAACCUUUAUUAUGCAUUCUGUCGCUUUUAUUCUUUGCCAUCACAUGUUCGUACAAUGCUCAAUUUUCUCUUACACUAAAUGAUCUCACACUUUUAGAAGCAAUUUUUAUUGCCUUAUUGCACUGAUGACAACUUACUUGAAGAAUCUUAUUGAAUCCUUAGGUAGGUAUGGUGGACUCUUGAAAAUAAGAUUUGGGUUUAAGGGUUUUUGGAUGCACAAGUAGUAUCUCUACUUGGUGCGGAAUUUUUGGCUAGCAAAGAUGGGGGGCAAGCACCACAUGUUGAAGGAUCUAUGACAAUAUUACUUCUAUGUGAAUAUGAGCAAACAUAAAUCAUUAUGUUGUCUUCCUUGUCCAACGUCAACAAUUUUGGCAUAUAAUAUUUUGAUGGGGGCUCACAAUCACAAAAUAUUUCCAAGAUAGUGUGUUUGCAUGUGAAAGUUCUCUUCCUUAUACUAAUUAUUCGUGAAUUGAUUGUAUGACCAAAAUUUUGAUUGUCAAGCCUCAGAAGAUUUCACUUUCUAAACCCAAUGUGAAGCUACCACUAGGAAUGAUAUGAUUUCAUCUUCAUGACAUUCAAUUUAUUAAAAAAUUUACUCAUAGGAUAUAAGUGAAGCACAAGAGGAAUUCCAAAGAAAGAGCUUCGUUGACGGGAUGUGAAUGUCGCUUACUUAGCUUCCUUGGCAACUAUUUGAGGACUCUAUUUUUUUUAAAACUUUCAGAUCUAAGUAUUUUAUUAAAACAAUAAGGAAAACAAAAUAAAAUGACAUUCCAAGGAUAGCACAUAUCAUGUGAAGAAGCAAAAACUUAGGCUCAACCGAUACUAACCGAUAAUUGUUGAAGGAAAAAGGUGGGAUGCCUACUGGGGCAUCCCCAAGCUUAGAUGCUUGAGACUUCUUGAAAUAUUAUCUUGGGAUGACUUGGGCAUCCCCCAAGCUUGAGAUUUUGUGUCUCCUUAAUUUUUCUCAUAUCACGGUUUUCCUAAAUCUCAAAAGCUUCAUCCACACAAAACUCAACAAGAACUCAUGAGAUAAGUUAGUAUAGACCAAUGCAAAAGCCUUAUCAAUCUCUACUGUAGCAAAUCACUAAAAUUAUUAUUCAACAUUGCAUACUAAAUGCCUCUUCACAUUUAAUACUCCUAUCCUUAAAUAGAGUCAUUAAACAAGCAAACAUAUGCAAACAAUGCAAACAUAACAGCAAUCUGCCAAAACAGUAUAGUCUGUAAAGAAUGCAAGAGUAUCAAUACUUCCCUAACUCCAAAAAUUAUGAAAUUCUACCAUACUGUAGAGAAUUUAUCAGAUCUUAUUACGCAAAAAGUUUCAACAUUUUAUCACACUCUGACUUUUCUAGGGAAUUUUUGCAACAGCGGUAAACUUUCUGUUUUCAAACAGCAACAUGUAGACUUGUAAAAUAAGCAUAGUAAAGGUUAUCCUUGACAUUUUUAUUGAAAUAAAAGAUGCAAAACAUUAUUAUAAAUAAAAUAAAGCAAUUCCUAACAAAAAAACUUUACACUCCAAGCAAAACUCAUAUCAUGUGAAGAAUAAAAACAUAGCUCCAAGUGAGGUUACCGAUAAUGUUGGAGACGAAAGAGGGGAUGCCUUCCAGGGCAUCCCCAAUCUUAGUUGCUUGGAUAUUCCUUGAGUAUUAUUUUGGGGUGCCUUGGGCAUCCCCAUGCUUAGGGUCUUGACACUCCUUAUUCUCCUCAUAUCGAUAUCUCACCCAAAACUUGAAAACUUCAAUCACACAAAACUUAACAGAACUUCGUGAGAUAGGUUGGUAUAAUAAAGAGCAAACCAUUUCACUUUUGGUACUGUGAAAGACAAGAUUCAUAAUUUUUCUCACACAAUUCCUACUGUAGAAUAUCAUUUCCACAAUUUAUAUUGAGCAAUAUAAGCCAUAGAAACUAGAAAGCAAGCAAACUAUGCAUUGAAAACAGAAUCUGUCAAAAACAGAACAGUCUGUAAUAAUCUGGAUAACUGCCAUACUUCUUGUACUCCAAAAAUUAUGAAAAAAUUAGGACCACGUGAGAAAUUUGUAUAUUAAACUUCUGCAAAAAUAAUCAACUCAAAAUCACUCUUCUGUUAAAAAUGAGACUUAUUUUCAUGAGCGCAAAAGUUUCUGUUUUUCAGCAGGGUCAAAUCAACUAUCACCCAACAUGAUCCCAAAGGCUUUACUUGGCACUUUAUUGAAACAAAAGCUAUAAAAAUGAUCAAUGCAGUAGCAUAAUCAUGUUAACACACAAAAACCGUAAGUAAAAGUGUUGGGUUGUCUCCCAACAAGCGCUUUUCUUUAAUGCCUUUUAGCUAGGCAUGAUGAGUUCAAUGAUGCUCGCAUAAAAUUAAGAUAAGAAUUGAAACACAAAGAGAGCAUCAUGAAGAAUAUGACUAGCACAUUUAAGUCUAACCCACUUCCUAUUUAUUGGGAUUUUGUUAGCAAACAAUUUAUGGGAGCAAGAAUCAACUAGCAUAGGAAGGCAAAACAAGCAUAGCUUCAAAACUUUCAACAUAAAGAGAGGAAACUUGAUAUUAUUGAACCUAAUAGCAUAUGUUCCUCUCUCGUAAUAAUUUUCAGUAGCAUCAUGAAUGAAUUCAACAAUAUAAACAUCACAUAAAGCAUUCUUUUCAUGAUCCACAAGCAUAGAAAUUUUGUUACUCUCCACAUAAGAAAAUUUCUUCUCAUCAAUAGUAGUGCGAGCAAACUCAACAAAAUAACUCUCAUGUGAUUGGAAAUUAAAAUCAUGAUGACAAGUUUCAUGUUUAUAAUUAUUCAAUAUAGCAUAUAUGUCAUCACCAUAAUCAUCAUAUAUAGGAACUUUGUUGUCAUAAUCAAUUGCAACCUCCUCCAAAAUAGUGGAUUCAUCAUUAAAUAAAGUCACGACCUCUCCAAAUCCACUUUCAUCAAUAUAAUCAUCAUAAAUAGGAGGCAUGCAAUCAUCAUAAUAAAUUUUCUCAUUAAAACUUGGGGGACUAAAAAUAUCAUCUUCAGCAAACAUAGCAUCCCCAAGCUUAUGGCUUUGCAUAUCAUUAGCAUCAUGGAUAUUCAAAGAAUUCAUACUAACAACAUUGCAAUCAUGCUCAUCAUUCAAAUAUUUUGUGCCAAACAUUUUAUUGACUUCUUCUUAUAACAAUUGAGAACAAUUUUCCGAUCCAUCAUUUUCAAGAAAGAUAUUAUAAAGAUGAUCAAUAAUAUGAUGCAACCUCAAUUCCAUUUUUUAUGUAGUUUUCUUUUAUAAACCAAACUAGUGAUAAAACAAGAAAGUAAAAUAUUUAAUUGCAAGAUCUAAAGAUAUACCUUCAAGCACCCACCUCCCCGGCAAUGGUGUCAGAAAAGAGCUUGAUGUCUACUACGCAACUUUAUUCUUGUAGACACGUGUUGGGCCUCCAAGCGCAGAGUUUUGUAGGACAGUAGCAAUUUUCCCUCAAGUGUAUGACCUAAGGUUUAUCAAUCUGUGGGUGGCGUAGGAUGAAGAUGGUGUCUCUCAAACAACCCUGCAAUCAAAUACAAGAAAUCUCUUGUGUCCCCAACACACCCAAUAAAAUGGCAAAUUGUAUAGGUGCACUAGUUCGGCGAAGAUAUGGUGAUAAAAGUGUAAUUUUGAUGGUAGAAAUAUAUUUUUAUAAUCUGAAUAAAUAAAAACAGCAAGGUAGCAAAUUUUAAACGGGCACAAAAACGGUAUUGCAAUGCUUGAAAACAAGGCCUAGGGUCCGUAAUUUCGCUAGUGCAAUUUCUCAACAAUGCUAACAUAGUUGGAUCAUAUGAUUAUCCCUCAAAGUGCAAUAAAGAAUCACUCCCGAGUUCCUAAUAGCGGAGAACAAAAGAUAGAAAUUGUUUGUAGGGUACGAGACCACCUCAAAGCUUCCGUUCGAUCUAUUCAAGAGUUCAUACUAAAGUAACACAAAGCUAUUUUUCCGUUCGAUCUAUCCUAGAGUUCGUACUAAAAUAAGACCAAAGCAAAUUCAUAUUCAUAAUACUCAAUCCACACAAAGAACUACAAAGAGACCCCAAAGUUUCUAUCGGAGGAAAGAUGAUAAAAACGUGCAUCAUCCCCUAUGCAUAGAUUACCCCAACGUCACCUCGGGAAUCCGCAAGUUGAGUGCCAUAACAUAUAUCAAGUGAAUCAAUACGAUACCCCAUUGUCACCUCAAGUAUUCAUACCGCAAGACAUACAUCAUGUGUUCUCAUAUCUGAAUAUUCAAUUCGACAAGAAAAAACUUCAAAGGCUAAAGAUUCAAUUCAUCACAACAAGAGUAUAGAGGGGAGAAACAUCAUAUGAUCCAUCUAUAUUAACAAAGCCCAUGAUAUAGAUCACGAGAGAGAGAUUAAACACAUAGCUACUGGUACAAACCCUCAGCCCCGAGGGUGGACUACUCCCUCCUCAUCGUGGUGGCCGCCGAGAUGAUGAAGAUGGCCAUCAGAGAUGAUUCCCCCCCUCCGGCAGGGUGCCAGAAAGGGUCUAGAUUGGUUUUCGGUGGAUAAAGAGCCUUGCGGCGGCGAAACUUCUGAUCUAGGUUAACCCCGAAGGGUUUCGGAAUAUUUGGGAAUUUAUAGUGCAAAGAGGGGGUGCGGGAGGCCACCGAGGUGGGCACAACCCACCUGGGCGCCAGGGGGCCCUGGUGUGCCCUGGUGGGUUGUGCCCCCUCGGGGCACCCCUAGGUGCUUCUUCGGCCCACUGUUGGUCUUUCGGUCCAUAAAAAAUCUCCGUGAAGUUUCAUUGCAUUUGAACUCCGUUUGGUAUUGAUUUCCUGCGAUGUAAAAAACAAGCAAAAAACAGCAACUGGCACUGGGCACUGGGUCAAUAGGUUAGUCCCAAAAAAUGAUAUGAAGUUGCUAUAAAAUGAUUGUUAAACAUCCAAGAAUGAUAAAAUAACAGCAUGAAUACUUCCUAAAUUAUAGAUACGUUGGAGACGUAUCACCACUCGUUAGCCUCCCCACCUCUCGAUCCCAUCUGGAUCGGGGAGGUGAUCGCCCCCAUCAACCCCAUUACCGUCACCGGAUCGCUCGCUCGCCCAUUGCCCACCGGCGUCGCCGGGCCUCCUCCCCGCCCCCCCGUCUCUGGCUCGCCUCCCCCUCGCUCCUCUUCCCCGACCCGAUCUGGAUCCGGAAGGGGCAAUGAGCCUGACGCGCCCCCUUCACCGACGCCGUGUGCCACUACCGCCGCCCAAAGACCUCGCCGUCGCCGGACCUCGCGUCGCCUCCUCGUAUCCUUCCCCGACUCGCCUCCUCAAGCCACGCCGGACCCCUUCUCGGCAAUGUUGUGAGCCGCCCCCCGUUGCCUUCCUCCUCUUUCCACCGCGUUUACCGCGCCGCCAACCGUGCCCCUCGCCGCGCGCACGCCCACCACCACGCCAGCCCCCGCUUCGCACCCUCUCCUGCACGCUUGCGCGCGCAUUACCCUAGCCGUGCCCGUGGCACGAUCCCCUUGUUCGCCCCGCCUUCGUCCCGCGCUCGCCGCGGUCCCCUGCUACCUCUUGAGCACUGCGUUGGUUUUCCCUUGAAGAGGAAAGGGUGAUGCAGUAAAGUAGCGUAAGUAUUUCCCUCAGUUUUUGAGAACCAAGGUAUCAAUCCAGUAGGAGACCACGCACGAGUCCCCCGCACCUACACAAACAAACAAGAACCUCGCAACCAAUGCGAUAAAGGGGUUGUCAAUCCCUCAACGGUCACUUACGAGAGUGAGAUCUAAUAGAUAUGAUAAAAGAUAAUAUUUUUGGUAUUUUUAUGAUAAAGAUGCAAAGUAAAAUAGAAGGCAAUAAAAAUAGCUAAGUGUUGGAAGAUUUAUAUGAUGGAAAAUAGACCCGGGGCCAUAGGUUUCACUAGUGGCUUCUCUCGAGAGCAUAAGUAUUACGGUGGGUGAACAAAUUACUGUUGAGCAAUUGACAGAAUUGAGCAUAGUUAUGAGAAUAUCUAGGUAUGAUCAUGUAUAUAGGCAUGACGUCCGAGACAAGUAGACCGACUCCUGCCUGUAUCUACUACUAUUACUCCACACAUCGACCGCUAUCCAGCAUGCAUCUAGAGUAUUAAGUUCAAAAGAACAGAGUAACGCUUUAAGUAAGAUGACAUGAUGUAAAGGGAUAAACUCAUGCAAUAUGAUAUAAACCCCAUCUUGUUAUCCUCGAUGGCAACAAUACAAUACGUGCCUUGCCGCCCCUACUGUCACUGGGAAAGGACACCGCAAGAUUGAACCCAAAGCUAAGCACUCUCCCAUUGCAAGAAAGAUCAAUCUAGUAGGCCAAACCAAACUGAUAAUUCAAAGAGACUUGCAAAGAUAACCAAUCAUACAUAAAAUAAUUCAGAGAAAAUUCAAAUAUUGUUCAUAGAUAAACUUGAUCAUAAACCCACAAUUCAUCGGUCUCAACAAACAAACCGCAAAAGAAGAUUACAUCGAAUAGAUCUCCACGAGAAUCAUGGAGAACUUUGUAUUGAGAUCCAAAGAGAGAGAAGAAGCCAUCUAGCUAAUAACUAUGGACCCGAAGGUCUGAGGUAAACUACUCACACAUCAUCGGAGAGGCUAUGGUGUUGAUGUAGAAGCCCUCCGUGAUCAAUGCCCCCUCCGGCAGGACGCCGGAAAAGGCCCCAAGAUGGGAUCUCACNNNNNNNNNNNNNNNNNNNNNNNNNNNNNNNNNNNNNNNNNNNNNNNNNNNNNNNNNNNNNNNNNNNNNNNNNNNNNNNNNNNNNNNNNNNNNNNNNNNNNNNNNNNNNNNNNNNNNNNNNNNNNNNNNNNNNNNNNNNNNNNNNNNNNNNNNNNNNNNNNNNNNNNNNNNNNNNNNNNNNNNNNNNNNNNNNNNNNNNNNNNNNNNNNNNNNNNNNNNNNNNNNNNNNNNNNNNNNNNNNNNNNNNNNNNNNNNNNNNNNNNNNNNNNNNNNAAGUCCUUUGGAUCACGUUCGUUCCGAAAAUCACGUUCCCGAAGGUUUCAUUCCGUUUGGACUCCGUUUGAUAUUCUUUUUCUGCGAAACUCUGAAAUAGGCAAAAAACAACAAUUUGGGCCGGGCCUCCGGUUAAUAGGUUAGUCCCAAAAAUGAUAUAAAAGUGUAUAAUAAAGCCUGUUAAACAUCCAAAACAGAAUAUAAUAUAGCAUGAAGCAAUCAAAAAUUAUAGAUACGUUGGAGACGUAUCAAGCAUCCCCAAGCUUAAUUCCUGCUCGUCCUCGAGUAGGUAAAUGAUAAAAACAGAAUUUUUGAUGCGGAAUGCUACUUGGCAUAAUUUUCAAUGUAAUUCUCUUAUUUGUGGUAUGAAUGUUCAGAUCCGAAAGAUUCAAGACAAAAGUUUAAUAUUGACAUAAAAAUAAUAAUUCUUCAAGCAUACUAACUAAGCAAUUAUGUCUUCUCAAAAUAACAUGGCCAAAGAAAGUUAUCCCUACAAAAUAAUAUAGUCUGGCUAUGCUCUAUCUUCACCACACAACGUAUUUAAAUCAUGCACAACCCCGAUGACAAGCCAAGCAAUUGUUUCAUACUUUUGGUGUUCUCAAACUUUUUCAAUCUUCACGCAAUACAUGAGCGUGAGCCAUGGACAUAGCACUAUAUGUGGAAUAGAAUGGUGGUUGUGGAGAAGACAAAAAGAGGGAGAAGAUAGUCUCACAUCAACUAGGCGUAUCAACGGGCUAUGGAGAUGCCCAUUAAUAGAUAUCAAUGUGAGUGAGUAGGGAUUGCCAUGCAAUGGAUGCACUAGAGCUAUAAGUAUAUGAAAGCUCAACAAAAGAAACUAUGUGGGUGUGCAUCCAACUCGCUUGCUCACGCAGACCUAGGGCAUUUUGAGGAAGCUCAUCAUUGGAAUAUACAAGCCAAGUUCUAUAAUGAAAAAUUCCCACUAGUAUAUGAAAGUGAUAUCAUAGGAGACUCUCUAUCAUGAAGAUCAUGGUGCUACUUUGAAGCACAAGUGUGGUAAAAGGAUAGUAACAUUGUCCCUUCUCUCUUUUUCUCUCAUUUUUUAGCUGGGCCUUUUCUCCUUUUUUAUGGCCUCUUUUUUUUAGUCCGAAGUCUCAUCCCGACUUAUGGGGGAAUCAUAGUCUCCAUCAUCCUUUCCUCACUUGGGACAAUGCUCUAAAAAUGAUGAUCAUUACACUUUUAUUUACUUACAACUCAACAAUUACAACUUAAUACUUAGAACAAAAUAUGACUCUAUGUGAAUGCCUCCGGCGGUGUACCGGGAUAUGCAAUGAAUCAAGAGUGACAUGUAUGAAAGAAUUAUGAAUGGUGGCUUUGCCACAAAUACGAUGUCAACUACAUGAUCAUGCGAGGCAAUAUGACAAUGAUGGAGCGUGUCAUAGUAAACGGAACGGUGGUAAGUUGCAUGGCAAUAUAUCUCGGAAUGGCUAUGGAAAUGCCAUGAUAGGUAGCUAUGGUGGCUGUUUUGAGGAAGGUAUAUGGUGGGUGUAUGAUACCGGUGAAAAGUGCGCGGUAUUAGAGAGGCUAGCAAUGGUGGAAGGAAGAAAAAUGUGUAUAAUCCAUGGACUCAACAUUAGUCAUAAAGAACUCAUAUACUUAUUGCAAAAAUCUACAAGUUAUCAAAGAAAAGUAUUACGCGCAUGCUCCUAGGGGGAUAGAUUGGUAGGAAAAUACCAUCGCUCGUCCCCGACCGCCACUCAUAAGGAAGAAAAUCAAUAAAUAAAUCAUUCUCCGACUUCAUCACAUAACGGUUCACCAUACGUGCAUGCAACGGGAAUCACAAACUUUAACACAAUUAUUUCUCAAAUCCACACCUACUCAACUAGCAUGACUCUAAUAUCACUAUCUUCAUAUCUCAAAACAAUUAUCAAGCAUCAAACUUCUCAUAGUAUUCAACACACUCAUAAGAAACUUUUUGUUAAUCUCGAAUGCCUAUCAUAAUUAAAGCAAAUUACCACGCUGUUUUGUAGGACUCUCAAAAUAAUAUAAGUGAAGCAUGAGAGAACAAUAGUUUCUAUAAAACAAAUCCACCACCGUGCUCUAAAAGAUAUAAGUGAAGCACUAGAGCAAAAACUAUAUAGCUCAAAAGAUAUAAGUGAAGCACAUAGAGUAUUCUAACAAAUUCCGAAUCAUGUGUGUCUCUCUCAAAAGGUGUGUGCAGAAAGGAUGAUUGUGGCAAACUAACAAAUAAAGACUCAAAUAAUACGAGACGCUCCAAGCAAAACACAUAUCACGUGGUGAAUAAAAAUAUAGCUCCAAGUAAAGUUACCGAUGGAAGUAGACGAAAGAGGGGAUGCCUUCCGGGGCAUCCCCAUGCUUUGGCUUUUUGGUAUCCUUAGAUUAUCUUGGGGUGCCAUGGGCAUCCCCAAGCUUAGGCUCUUUCCACUCCUUGUUCCAUAAUCCAUCAAAUCUUCCACCCAAAACUUGAAAACUUCACAACACAACACUUAACAAAAAAUCUCGUGAGCUCCGUUAGCGAAAGAAAACAAAACACCACUUCAAGGUACUGUAAUGAACUCAUUAUUUAUUUAUAUUGGUGUUAAACCUACUGUAUUCCAACUUCUCUAUGGUUUAUAAACUAUUUUAUUAGCCAUAGAUUCAUCAAAAUAAGCAAAGAACACACGAAAAACAGAAUCUGUCAAAAACAGAACAGUCUGUAGUAAUCUGUAACUAACGCAAACUUCUGGAACUCAAAAAGUUCAGCCAAAAUAGGACAACCUAUACCAUUUGUUUAUUGAUCAGAAGCACUUGGAAUCAAUAUUUUAUCUCGUUCCGGUGAUUUUUAACAAUUGUUUUCGUGAACAGAAAGUUUCUGGAAUUUUCAGCAAGAUCAAAUAACUAUCAUCCAAGAAGAUCCUAUAGGUUUAACUUGGCACAAACACUAAUUAAAACAUAAAAACAAAUCUAACCAUAGGUUAGAUCAAAGAUUUAUUCCUAAACAGAAGAAAAAAGUAAAAAACUAAAAAUAAAAUUGGGUUGCCUCCCAACAAGCGCUAUCGUUUAACGCCCCUAGCUAGGCAUAAAAGCAAGGAUAGAUCUAGGUAUUGCCAUCUAUGGUAGGAAAUUCUUCAAUAAGACACCUAUCACCCUUAGGAGUUUCUUUCUUUCUAUUAAUUAUCAAACUUCUAGGCACAAAAUCGAAAAAAGCAUUUGCAGCAAAUGGUUCCUUAAUGAUAGCAAGGAGAUUGGGAUGAACACUUAUUGAUUUGAGAUCCGCAGUUUCCUUAUUAGAGGAUUCACCCUUAUUUUUAGGAACAUACAUAAGCUUAGCAAUUUUAGUAGGAGGACUUGGGGUAUUCUUUACGGAAGAAAAGGCGGUUCCCAAGUUGGUAAUGAUACCCUCAAGUUUUUCUUCAUAAGAUUGCAUCAAAGCAUCAACGAUAUGUUUAGUAAAAGCUUUAUUUUGACUAUAAGCAUGUGGAGAAUUUAUCACGGAUUGCAACAAGGAAAUACAAUCUAUCAAAGAGCAAUUAUCAUAAUUAAAUUCCUCGAAAUCCAAAAUAGUGGGUUCAUUAAUAUCUAGAGUUUUGAUCUCUUCAAUCCCACUUUUACCAAUUUUUGCAUCAAGAUCUAUCAACUCCGAAUUUUUGGAACGCCUUCUAGGUAAAGGUGGAUCAUAUUCAGUCCCAUCAUUAUCAAGAUUAAUAUUGAAAAACAAAGAUUUAAUAGGGGACACAUCAAUAACUUUUAGAUCUUCAUCUUUAUUUUCAUAGAAACUAGAAGAACACGCUUUCACAAAGCAAUCUUUCUUAGCACGCAUCCUAGCGGUUCUUUCUUUGCACUCAUCAAUGGAAAUUCUCAUGGAUUUGAGAGACUCAUUGAUAUCAUGCUUAGGAGGAAUAGAUCUAAGUUUCAAGGAAUCAACAUCAAGAGAAAUUCUAUCAACGUUUCUAGCCAAUUCAUCAACUUUAAGCAAUUUUUCUUCAAGCAAAGCAUUGAAAUUCUUUUGCGAAUUCAUAAAUUCUUUAACACUAGUCUCAAAUUAAGAGGGCAUCUUAUUUAAAUUUCCAUAAGAAUUGUUGUAGGAAUUACCAUAAUUAUUAGAGGAAUUACUAUGGUACGGCCUAGGAUUAAAGUUUCCUCUAUACGCGUUGAUACCAAAAUUAUUCCUACCAACAAAAUUCACAUCCAUAGAUUCAUUAUUAUUCUCAAUCAAAGUAGACAAAGGCAUAUCAUUAGGAUCAGAAAGAAACACUUUUAUUAGCAAAUAAUUUCAUAAGUUCAUCCAUCUUUCCACUCAAAACAUUAAUUUCUUCUAUCGCAUGCACUUUCUUAUUAGUAGAUCUUUCAGUGUGCCAUUGAGAAUAAUUAACCAUAAUAUUAUCUAGGAGUUUAGUAGCUUCUCCUAAAGUGAUUUCCAUAAAAGUGCCUCCCGCGGCCGAAUCUAAAAGAUUUCUAGAAGCAAAAUUCAAUCCGGCAUAAUUUUUUUGUAUAAUCAUCCACAGAUUCAAACCAUCGGUAGGGCAAUUACGCAUCAUUAAUGAUUUUAGCCGGAGGAAAAUACUUAGAAUUCAUACAAAACUUAGAGAUAAAAUUCAUAAUAUCGUUUCUAAGAGAGAUGAUUUUAGCCGGAGGAAAAUACUUACAGAUAAAAGCAUCUUUGCACUUAUUCCAAGAAUCAAUACUAUUUUUAGGCAAAGACGAAAACCAAGAUUUAGCACGAUCUCUAAGCGAAAAAGGAAAUAGCUUCAAUUUAACAAUAUCAUUGUCCACAUCUUUCUUCUUUUGCACAUCACACAAAUCAACGAAGCUAUUUAGAUGGGUAGCGGCAUCUUCACUAGGAAGGCCAGCGAAUUGAUCUUUCAUGACAAGAUUCAACAAAGCAGCAUUGAUUCCACAAGACUCAGUAUCGGUAAGAGGAGCAAUCGGAGUGCUAAGAAAAUCAUUGUUGUUGGUAUUGGUAAAGUCACACAAUUUAGUAUUAUCUUGAGCCAUCGUGACAAGCAAGCAAUCCAACAAACGAGCAAACAAGAAGCAAGCGAAAAAGAGGCGAAUGGAAAAGAGAGGGCGAAUAAAACAGCAAGGGUAAAGUGGGGGAGAGGAAAACGAGAGGCAAAUGGCAAAUAAUGUAAUGCGAGGGAGAUGAGUUUGUGAUGGGUACUUGGUAUGUCUUGACUUGACUUGACUUGGCGUAGAUCUCCCCGGCAACGGCGCCAGAAAUCCUUCUUGCUACCUCUUGAGCACUGCGUUGGUUUUGCCUUGAAGAGGAAAGGGUGAUGCAGUAAAGUAGCAUAAGUAUUUCCCUCAGUUUUUGAGAAUCAAGGUAUCAAUCCAGUAAGCGACCACUGUCACGCCCAAGAUGCGACCCUAUCCUAAAGUAACUUGAAGGUCCCACCAAGGAUAGAAGUGCAUCUUGAAGACGCUUUUGCAAGGUGGAUAUCAUUACAUCGACAUUACAUAAUAGAUGGGGAUACAUACAAGGCAAACAAAUGUCGCAAGAAUACAUCAAUAGAUCAUGAUCAACAUCCGACUACGGAUGAAACACAAACAGAAACUCAAACGACAUCCACCCUGCUAGCCCAGGCUGCCGACCAGGAACCUAACCCAAGAUCGGCGAAGAAGAAGAAGAACUCCAACACAAGCAAUCGAGCAUCGCUCUCACGUCAUGAGCAUCACACAACCUGUACCUGCAACUGUUGGUGUAGUAAUCUGUGAGCCACGAGGACUCAGCAAUCCCAUUACCAUGGGUACCAAGACUAGCAAAGCUUAAUGGGUAAGGAAGGGGUAAAGUGGUGAGGUUGCAGCACCGGCUAAGCAAAGUAUGGUGGCUAACUUACAAAACAAGAGCGAGAAGAGGAGCUAAGCAAACGGUCGCCAACUAGUAAUGAUCAAGAAGUGAUCCUGAACUCCUACUUACGUCAAACAUAACACAAACCGUGUGCUCCUCCCGAACUUCCUCGAAAAGAGACAAUCACGGGUACCCACGCGGUUAGUGUAUUUUAGAAGAGUUUACUUCAAGUUUACUACAACCGGAUAUUAACAAAUUCCCAUCUGCCACAUAACCGCGGGCACGGCUCUCGAAAGUUUAUACCCUGCAGGGGUGUCCCAACUUAGCCCAUCACAAGCUCUCACGAUCAACGAAGGAUAUUCCUUCUCCCGGGAAGACCCGAUCAGACUCGGAAUCCCGGUUACAAGACAUUUCGACAAUGGUAAAACAAGACCAGCAAGACCGCCCGAACGUGCCGACAAAUCCCGAUAGGAGCUGCACAUAUCUCGUUCUCAGGGCACAUCCGGAUGAGACAUCCUACGAGUGAAACCAGCCCUCAAGUUUCCCCAAGGUGGCCCCGCAGUCUACUCAGCUCGGACCAGCACUUAGAGGAGCACUGGCCCGAGGGGGGGGGGCUAAAAUAAAGAUGACCCUCAGGCUCCGGAAACCCAAGGGAAAAAUUCUUAGGUGAGGCAAAUGGUAAAACCAAUGUUGGGCCUUGCUGGAGGAGUUUAUUCAAGGCGAACUGUCAAGGGGUUCCCAUAACACCCAACCGCGUUAGGGACGAAAAAUCCGGGAACAUAAUACCGAUAUGACGGAAACUAGGGCGGCAAGAGUGGAACAAAACACCAGGCAUAAGGCCGAGCCUUCCACCUUUUACCAAGUAUAUUGAUGCAUUAAUAAUAUAAGAGAUAUUGUGACAUCCCAACAUAAACAUAUUACCACAUGGAGCAAUCUUCAUCUUCACCUGCAACUAGCAACGCUAUAAGAGAGGCUGAGCAAAUGCGGUAACAUAGCCAAACAACGGUUUGCUAGGAAGGGUGACAAAGGUUAGAGAUUCAAGGCAAUUUGGGAGGCUUGAUAAGCAAGUGGUAGGUAACGCGGCAUAACGCUAGCAUCGAGGCACCUAGCAUAGCAAUGAUAGUAAUGAGAUCCAAGGUGACGGUAAUCUUGCCUGAAAUCCCGCUAGGAAGAAGAACGGCUCCAUGAAGAAGAUGAAGCCACGAAGACGAACCAAGCGUAGACGAACAAAUCCUCACGAUCGCAACAAAACGGGAACUAUCGAGAAGAAGCACACAACAUGGUAAACACACCACACAUGAACAAGGCAUGAUGCUCAAUCAAGUAUGAUGCAUGGCAAGGCUACAUGAGGCUACGCAUGGCAAGAGAUGAUGCAUACAAGAGCAACACAUCAAAGCAAGUUUAAAUGAGGCCGGAAACAACAUAUAACAAUUCCGGUAAGUCCUAUGCAAAUUUUGAAAUUGGUCCAGAUCUGAAUAAACCUUAUGUUCAAGUUGUUAAACAGCAGUCUACUCGGUUCGGACCAGCACUGGCCCCGGUGGGGGGGGGGCUAAAAUAAAGAUGACCCUCGGGCUCCGGAAACCCAAGGGAAAAAGGCUUAGGUGAGGCAAAUGGUAAAACCAAUGUUGGGCCUUGCUGGAGGAGUUUUAUUCAAGGCGAACUGUCAAGGGGUUCCCAUAAAACCCAACCGCGUUAGGGACGCAAAAUCCGGGAACAUAAUACCGAUAUGACGGAAACUAGGGCGGCAAGAGUGGAACAAAACACCAGGCAUAAGGCCGAGCCUUCCAACUUUUGCCAAGUAUAUAGAUGCAUUAAUAAUAUAAGAGAUAUUGUGAUAUCCCAACAUAAACAUAUUACCACAUGGAGCAAUCUUCAUCUUCACCUGCAACUAGCAACGCUAUAAGAGAGGCUGAGCAAAUGCGGUAACAUAACAACGGUUUGCUAGGAAGGGUGACAAAGGUUAGAGGUUCAUGGCAAUUUGGGAGGCUUGAUAAGCAAGUGGUAGGUAAAGCGGCAUAGCGAUAGCAUCGAGGCAACUAGCAUAGCAAUGAUAGUAAUGAGAUCCAAGGUGACGGUAAUAUUGCCUUAAAUCCCGCUAGGAAGAAGAACGGGUCCAUGAAGAAGAUGAAGCCACGACGACGAAUAAACGGAAGACACCUGGCGCAUCCCAUUCCGAGAACAUUCAAAUGCCACUCACGAAACGAGGUCUGAGAGGGGCAACGGGUGCGUGUGGGAGUGUCGGAACGCGAAACGGACAACGGGGAAAAAGACUGGAUGCAAGCUUUGAAAACAUGAGGAUGCAAUGCAGAUGAUGACAUGACAAAAUGCAACACGCAAGCAAAUGACAUGGAAACGACGAUGAAUAAACGGAAGACACCUGGCGCAUCGGAUUCGGGGCGUUACAACCACGCAUGAGUCCCUCGCACCUACACAAACAAACAAGAACCUCGCAACCAACGUGAUAAAGGGGUUGUCAAUCCCUCAACGGUCACUUACGAGAGUGAGAUCUGAUAGAUAUGAUAAGAUAAUAUUUUUGGUAUUUUUAUGAUAAUGAUGCAAAGUAAAAUAAAAGGCAAUAAAAAUAGCGAAGUGUUGGAAGAUUUAUAUGAUGGAAAAUAGACCCGGGGGCCAUAGGUUUCACUAGUGGCUUCUCUCGAGAGCAUAAGUAUUAUGGUGGGUGAACAAAUUACUGUUGAGCAAUUGACAGAAUUGAGCAUAGUUAUGAGAAUAUCUAGGUAUGAUCAUGUAUAUAGGCAUCACGUCCGAGACAAGUAGACCGACUCCUGCCUGCAUCUACUACUAUUACUCCACACAUCGACCGCUAUCCAGCAUGCAUCUACAGUAUUAAGUUCAAAAGAACAGAGUAACGCUUUAAGUAAGAUGACAUGAUGUAGAGGGAUAAACUCAUGCAAUGUGAUAUAAACCCCAUCUUGUUAUCCUUGAUGGCAACAAUACAAUACGUGCCUUGCUGCCCCUACUGUCACUUGGAAAGGACACCGCAAGAUUGAACCCAAAGCUAAGCACUUCUCCCAUUGCAAGAAAGAUCAAUCUAGUAGGCCAAACCAAACUGAUAAUUCGAAGAGACUUGCAAAGAUAACCAAUCAUACAUAAAAGAAUUCAGAGAAGAUUCAAAUAUUGUUCAUAGAUAAACUUGAUCAUAAACCCACAAUUCAUCGGUCUCAACAAACAGACCGCAAAAGAGGAUUACAUCGAAUAGAUCUCCACGAGAAUCGCGGAGAACAUUGUAUUGAGAUCCAAAGAGAGAGAAGAAGCCAUCUAGCUAAUAACUAUGGACUCGAAGGUCUGAGGUAAACUACUCACACAUCAUCGGAGAGGCUAUGGUGUUGAUGUAGAAUCCCUCCGUGAUCAAUGCCCCCUCCGGCAGGACGCCGGAAAAGGCCCCAAGAUGGGAUCUCACGGGUACAGAAGGUUCCGGCGGUGGAAUUAGGUUUUCGUGGAUGCUUCUGUUGGUUUGGGGGUACGUGGGAUAUAUAGGAGUAAGAAGUACGUCGGUGGAGCAACAUGGCCCCCACGAGGGUNNNNNNNNNNNNNNNNNNNNNNNNNNNNNNNNNNNNNNNNNNNNNNNNNNNNNNNNNNNNNNNNNNNNNNNNNNNNNNNNNNNNNNNNNNNNNNNNNNNNNNNNNNNNNNNNNNNNNNNNNNNNNNNNNNNNNNNNNNNNNNNNNNNNNNNNNNNNNNNNNNNNNNNNNNNNNNNNNNNNNNNNNNNNNNNNNNNNNNNNCCCCUACCUCGUGCCCUCCUCGUAGCUUUCUUGACAUAGGGUCCAAGUCCUCUGGAUCACGUUCGUUCCGAAAAUCACGUUCCCGAAGGUUUCAUUCCGUUUGGACUCCGUUUGAUAUUCUUUUUCUGCGAAACUCUGAAAUAGGCAAAAAACAUCAAUUUGGGCUGGGCCUCCGGUUAAUAGGUUAGUUCCAAAAAUGAUAUAAAAGUGUAUAAUAAAGCCAGUUAAACAUCCAAAAUAGAAUAUAAUAUAGCAUGAAGCAAUAAAAAAUUAUAGAUACGUUGGAGACGUAUCAUCCCCAUGCCCCCCGCGCACUCUUUCGGGGGCGCCGGCUGCCCCUGUCCCGCUGCUCACCGUCGCGCUGAAGGAAAUAUGCCCUAGAGGCAAUAAUAAAUUUAUUUUUUAUUUCCUUAUUUCAUGAUAAAUGUUUAUUAUUCAUGCUAGAAUUGUAUUAACCGGAAACUUAGUACAUGUGUGAAUACAUAGACAAACAGAGUGUCACUAGUAUGCCUCUACUUAACUAGCUCGUUGAAUCAAAGAUGGUUAAGUUUCCUAGCCAUAGACAUGAGUUGUCAUUUGAUUAACGGGAUCACAUCAUUAGAGAAUGAUGUGAUUGAAUUGACCCAUUCCGUAAGCUUAGCACUUGAUCAUUUAGUAUGUUGCUAUUGCUUUCUUCAUGACUUAUACAUGUUCCUAUGACUAUGAGAUUAUGCAACUCCCAAGUAACGGAGGAACACUUAGUGUGCUACCAAACAUCACAACGUAACUGGGUGAUUAUAAAGAUGCUCUACACGUGUCUCCGAUGGUACUUGUUGAGUUGGCAUAGAUCGAGAUUAGGAUUUGUCACUCCAAUUAUCGGAGAGGUAUCUCUGGGCCCUCUCGGUAAUGCACAUCACUAUAAGCCUUGCAAGCAAUGUGACUGAUGAGUUAGUUGCGGAAUGAUGCAUUACAGAACGAGUAAAGAGACUUGCCGGUAAUGAGAUUGAACUAGGUAUUGAGAUACCGACGAUCGAAUCUCGGGCAAGUAACAUACCGAUGACAAAGGGAACAACGUAUGUUGUUAUGCGGUUUGACCGAUAAAGAUCUUAGUUGAAUAUGUAGGAACAAAUAUGAGCAUCCAGGUUCCGCUAUUGGUUAUUGACCGGAGAUGAGUCUCGGUCAUGUCUACAUAGUUCUCGAACCCGUAGGGUCUGCACGCUUAACGUUCUGUGAUUAUCGGUAUUAUGAGUUUAUGUGUUUUGAUGUACCGAAGGUUGUUCGGAGUCCCGGAUGUGAUCAAGGACAUGACGAGGAGUCUCGAAAUGGUCGAGACAUAAAGAUCGAUAUAUUGGAUGGCUAUGUUUGGACAUCGGAAUGGUUCCGGUGAGUUCGGGCAUUUACCGGAGUACCGGGCGGUAACCAGAACCCCCCGGGGAGUGUAUGGGCCUUAUUGGGCCUUAGUGGGAGAGAGGAGGAGGCGGCCUAGGAGGGGGCGCACCCCCCAAGCCCAAUCUGAAUUGGGAGGGGGGCCGGCCCCCCUUUCCUUCCUCCCUCUCUCCUCCUUCCUUCCUCUCCUACUCCUACUUGGAAGGGGGGAAUCCUACUCCCGGUGGGAGUAGGACUCCCCUAGGGCGCGCCAUAGAGAGGGCCGGCCCUCCCCCUCCACUCCUUUAUAUACGGGGGAGGGGGGCACCCCAUAGGCACACAAGUUGAUCAUUGUCUUAGCCGUCUGCGGUGCCCCCCUCCACCAUAAUCCACCUCGGUCAUAUCAUCGUAGUGCUUAGGCGAAGCCCUGCACCUGUAGCUUCAUCAUCACCGUCAUCACGUUGUCGUGCUGAUGAAGCUCUCCCUCGACACUCAGCUGGAUCGAGAGUUCGUGGGACGUCACUGAGAUGAACGUGUGCAGAUCGUGGAGGUGUCGUACUUUCGGUACUAGGAUCGGUCGGAUCGUGAAGACGUACGAUUACAUCAACUGCUUUGUCACAACGCUUCCGCUUACGGUCUACGAGGGUACGUGGACUACACUCUCCCCUCUCGUUGCUAUGCAUCACCAUGAUAGAUCUUGUGUGUGCGUAGGAUUUUUUUGAAAUUACUGCGUUCCCCAACACGCGCCUCCCCUGCCCGUGCCUCGCCACCGCUCUGCUGCUACGCUACUACUGCGUUGUGGCUGCCGCCGCUUCCCGCUGCUCCGCCAGCGCCGUAGUUCCCGGUUGGCUCCGCCNNNNNNNNNNNNNNNNNNNNNNNNNNNNNNNNNNNNNNNNNNNNNNNNNNNNNNNNNNNNNNNNNNNNNNNNNNNNNNNNNNNNNNNNNNNNNNNNNNNNNNNNNNNNNNNNNNNNNNNNNNNNNNNNNNNNNNNNNNNNNNNNNNNNNNNNNNNNNNNNNNNNNNNNNNNNNNNNNNNNNNNNNNNNNNNNNNNNNNNNNNNNNNNNNNNNNNNNNNNNNNNNNNNNNNNNNNNNNNNNNNNNNNNNNNNNNNNNNNNNNNNNNNNNNNNNNNNNNNNNNNNNNNUAACCAUUUAAUAAAUUAAAACUCUUAAAUUAACAUUAGUGUAUGACAUGUGGGUCCCCUAUUAAUUAAACUGAUUUAAUUAAUUUCUAUUAACUUUGAGUCUAUGACAUAUUGGCCCCACUGAACAUUUGACUAGUCAACGGUCCAGUCAAAUGCUGACCGGACAGUUGACCAGAGGGCCCCACCAGUCAGCCUCUGUGCUGUUCUGCUGGGUACCUUUCUGAGUACACCUAGCAUUUCGCAUUUACAAUAUAUGUUUUAAAAUAAAUUAGAAUAAUUUAAAAAAAUGAUUAAAACUUUUAAAAUUAAAAUAAAAUAAUCCGUAACUCGGAUGAAAUUACUUUAUACAUGGAAGUUGCUCAAAAAACGAGACGAAUACGAAUACACAGUCCGUUCGUCUGGCACACGUCCCUAGCAUAGCGAAAAUGCAACCACCCCCCUCCGGUUCGACUGUCCGAAAAUGUCAAACACCGGGAAUAAGUUUCCGGAUGUUUCUCCCUUCACCAGUAGCACCUAGUACCAUGUGAGGGCAUACCUAGCACCACUUAUUGUCAUGUCAUGCAUCGUCAAGCAUCUGUUUGCAUUGUAUUCAUUGUUUCUUCCUCCUCUUCUCUCCGGUAGACUACGAGACCGACGCCGCUGCUGCCCCGGUCGACUAUGGUGUUGACGACCCCUCCUUGUCAGCAGAGCUUCCAGGCAAGCAAACCCCCUUGAUCAUCCCAAUAUUGCCUACUCUUUCCCUCUACUGCUUGCAUUAGAGUAUUGUUACUGUUUGUCAGUUUGAUCCUAUACUGCUGCAUGGCCUGUCUUUGAUACUACUUUUGAUACCUUUACCUGCAAUCCUAAAUGCUUAGUGUAGGAUGCUAGUACUUCAUCAAUGGACCUACAUUCUUGUCCGUCUGCCAUGCUAUACUGUCGGGCCGUGAUCACUUCGGGAGGUGAUCAAGAGUAUAUACUAUAUACAUAUUAUACUUGACACAUGAUGUGACUAAAAUCGGGUCGGCACGUAGAGUACCCACGAGUGAUUCAUGACCUAGGGGCUGAAGGGGCAUGUGGUUCCAUCCAGGUUGUGAUGGGCCUGGGUUCCCGACGCCCCCCCCACCCCGAGUGAUUCUUUGUGGCGGAGCGACAGGGCAGGUUGUGACCACCUAGGAGAUAGGUGGGCCUGGUCCUGGUCGGCGUCCGUGGUUACUUCAAAAUAAUACGCUUAACGAGGUUGGGUAUUUGAUCUGAGUUGGUCGUUGGCCUUAUUCGCACUAACCGCCACGUGGGACAAGAUAUGGGCAACCAGUGUCGUAGUAUCAGCCAAAGCUCUUCAGACGUCAGUGACUGAGUGGUGCGCGCCGGGUUGGACCGCGUAAUGCAUCCUCCUUUGUAAUGGAGGUUCCUAGCUCUGCUCACCGACGAUGUUCGCAACAUGCAGGAGUGCAACGGGCGAUGGGCCCAAGACCCCUGCGCGCUUAGGAUUUAGAUCGGCGUACUGACCUCUCUGUUGGGCCUAGGUAGGGUUGCGACGUGUUGAUCUUCCGAGGCCGUACGUGACCCAGGAAAGUGUGCCCAGCCAGAGCGAUCGAGCAUUUUCGGGUAAUGUGGUGCACCCCUGGAGGGAAGAUUGAUCUAUUCGGAUAGCCGUGUCCACGGUAACAGGAAGACUUGGAGUUGCAUUUCGACCUCAUGACAACUAGAGCCGGAUACUUAAUAAAACUCACCCAGAUAUGUUCCAGAUACAACCCGGUGAUCGCUCUCUCACAGGGUGACGAGGAGAGGAUCGUCGGGUAGGUUUAUGCUAUACGAUGUUACUUGGUUAACUUACUAGCUACUCUCUUCUAUAUGCUUCAAGAUGGAGGCUGCAGAAGCGUAGUGUUUGAUAGGACUAGCUUCUCCCCCUCUUAUUCUGAAAUUCUGCAGCUCAGUCCACAUAUACUACCCAUUUCAUUGAUACCGAUGCAUAUGUAGUGUAGAUCCUUGCUUGCGAGUAUUUUGGAUGCGUACUCACGGUUGCUUUGCUCCCACUUUUCCCCAUUUUCCAUUCUUCUCGGACGUCACAACCAGAUGCUAGUGCCUCAGAGCCAUACGCCACCUUCGACGACUCCUACUACACCGAGGGUGCCUACUACUACGUGCAGGCCACUGACGACCAGGAGUAGUUUAGGAGGAUCCCAGGCAGGAGGCGUGCGCCUCUUCGAUCUUUAUCCAUGUUUGUGCUAGCCAUCUUAUGGCAACUUGGUUAACUUAUGUCUGUACUUAGAUAUUUUUGCUUUGGCUGACUUGUCUGUGACAAGCUUAUGUAUUCGAGCACUCGAGGCCCCUGGCUUGUAAUAUAAAGCUUGUAUUAUUUUAUUCAUGUCUAGAGUUGUGUUGUGAUAUCUUCCCGUGACUCCUUGAUCUUGAUCGUACACAUUUGCGUGUAUGAUUAGUGCAUGAUUGAAUCGAGGGUGCCACAGCUUUGGAGAUACCCCUUACUUGGCCCCUCGCUCCGAAAACACGUUUGACGAUAGUUUUCUCUCGGAUCAAAUAUAUGUCAAGUUUAACAAAGUUUAUAUGAAUUAUUUUAUCAUAUCUAUAGUACCAUACAAAUAUACCAUAGAAAAAAAACAUAUUUCAUGCUGCACCAUGAAUUGGUCCGGUAAAUGUCGGGUAUGGAGACUCUAUUCUCUUUUGGCAUAAGUUGCCUCGGUCUCAAAAGUUUCAUGAACCGUUCUCUUUUGCCAUUAAGAAAAAGCUCUAUUUGGCUGAUUUUAUUCAUAGUGACCAUCUGGCUCUCCAUUUUCAUAGGCAUACCACCCUGCAAGCUCUUGCUCAAUUCAUUGACAUCAUUGACUUAGUUCAUAAAAAAAUCAACAAAUGGAAUAAAAUAAUAUCACGAAGAUACCAAUUACACCCGUCCUCUCUAUCAACAAGAUAUCCAAAGACAUCAAGGGUACACACAGCCAGAAAAAGGAUUAGAAGAAAAAAGACCCCCCCCCCUCCCUGAGGUGAUAAAUCACUAGCAUUAGUAGCACUCUCACCACACCGAAGACAACGCCCGGAUUACAAAAAAAGUUCUCCAAAAUCAACCCCCCAAGAAGGAAGCAAUGCACAAGUGUUGUCAUUGUCCGAUCGAAGAUCGUGGGUUUUCACCCUAGAAAAAUUCCAAGCUCAGCCAAAAGCAUUGCCUUGAAGGCCAUUUCCAGGUACAACCAAUAAAGGCUAGACCUUGGAUUUUCACCCUAGGAAUUCAGACUCAGUACUCGAGAGGUACCACCAAAAAUGUAGUCCUCCAGUGAUGGUGCCCCGCACUUCCCCAGCCCGCUGUUUCAAGUCACCAAACACCCCGCGCACAUUCUUCAUCGCAUUAAUUACAUCAUUCCACCAAAGCUUCAAGACCUCCAAUCACAGCCGCCAUGACUUCAUCCACCUCUAUCAAUGCCUUGAGAAUCCUGACUUAGACAUGUCCCAUGACACCAAUAAGAAAUCAAAGCUUCUUGCCAUGCCCUCUUGAGGUCGUGUUGGCUGAUAAUAUGAGCGUGCGCGACCGAAGCCUUUCCAAUCUAGAUAUCCAGGGGCGACAUACACCAAUUCAUAUAGAUAUCCGAUGGGAAAGACCGAAACUCGUCAGCGGCUAGAUCUAAGAGGUCGACGUAUGGCAGAAAGACGACUUGGCGGAAGAAUAGUACUAGGGCCAAACCACCAUUAUUAGGCCGAAGCUAACAUCCCCACACGCCGUCCUCCCCUCAAUCUAGACCUACAGACAAAGAUCAGCGACGCCGCAUCGUGCCACCCACAUGCGUGGAGGCCCGAACAUGGCAAGACGCCAACCAUGGCAGGAGACUAGGACCAGCCACUCCUGGGCUGAUCCGGCGACUCCCAGGCCCACCCCUGCCACUAUGGUGGCACCACCCCUGCCUACAAGCCCAUCCACGAUGAUGCCUGAUUAGAAGGAUACAUGGAUAUACAGAUGGAAAGGCCCUUUUUUUGCGAAUGAAUUCUUUCAUUACUCAGGUAUCAAAGAAUACAAUUCGUCCCACAAGUGCCAAAACAUCUUCCGGACCAGAUCCUAGCCAAACCAAAGUUCAGCGUUGCAACCUACCAAAAUUUGCCAAGGCAUGACUAACCCUAUUACAGCUCCGGCGAAUAUGAGUAAUGCAAGAAUUCCUUUCUCCCAAACUACUAAUGAUCUCUCUGAUGAUGAAAGCAUAUUUAGAUUUGUUGCUAUUCCCUCUCUUAAUCAUAUUGACAGCCUCUAAACAAUCAGACUCCACGUCUAUUGGUAAGAUGCUCCACUGAAGGGCCAAAGAAAUUCCCUCCCUUAUUGCAAGUAACUCUGCCUCCAGUACAUCAUCACAUGCAUAGAGAAAUCUGCAAGCAGUGAAAACAAUUUCUCCUUCCUGAUUCCUUAGGAUCAUUCCGGCUCCCGCAGUAGAGCCCAGGACCGAAGCAUCCGUGUUGAGUUUGACUCUGCCCACCGCUGGAGCGGACCAAGAGCCCUGCACUUCAUCAACUUUGUAUAUGUCCUGAUCGGGAAUCUGAAAACAUGCAGCUGGCAUUUUUCCUUUCACUAAAGCAUCACUUCAGCAUAUGUGAAUGGAGUUUAAGGAUGACAGAUAGCUGGACAGGAAGCACACCGAAACAUCCACGGGCGGUGGUUGUUUUGCAUGCACAAUUUCGUUACGCACAUACCAGAUUUGCCAGAAUAGCAUCAUGAUCCUAGCUCUCUCCUCUUCAUGCAUUUUCGAUAGGAGAUGAAGGAACCCAUCACGACCAACAUGUACAAUGCUUAGUCGGUCCGGCAAUGUCCAUUCCUUCACCAUGGCCUUCCAUAGGAUCGCAGCAUGAUUACAAGUGCAAAAAACAUGGAACGAGUCCUCCUCCUCCGUACCACACACAGGGCAUGUACCUGAGACUUCCAAGUUCCUUUUCACUUUAUUUGUCCAAUUUGCUAGCGAAUCUGUAGCUAAUCUCCAAGCAAAAGACUGAACCUUUGGUGGUACAGUACUUUGCCAUAUAAAGUUCCAUGCUUCUCUUGUUCCAUCCGGCCGGGAACUUGUAGAAACCUCACUAGGAUUUGAGCAUUCAUCACUAGCCAGUUUGUACGCACUACGUACCAUAAAACCUCCACCUUUUUCAGGCGCCCAAGGAACAAAGUCUUCAUCAAGCCGAGCAGAUGGUUUUAUUUUCUAGAUUUCAACAAUGCCGCCCGGGAGAAAAAACUGAUUUAUCUUGUCAAAGUCCCAAUUACCAUGGAUAUUCAGUAGCUCCGAGACCCACCUCAGGCGGCACCUACCACGCUGUGUAAUCAAGCCUCCAGUUGGCUCGCGUGCUAUCCAUCGGUCUCUCCAUAUACGUACAUUUUGACCAUUUCCGAUUCUCCAGACCACGUCUUUUUUUCAGAACUUCGAGACCAUAGGCAAUGGCCUGCCAUGUAGGUGAUGGGUUACUAGUGAACACCGUAUCCAGUAAGCGCCAAUUUGGUAAAUACUUCACUUUUAAAAGCCUUGAGCAUAAACUGUUAGGGAACUCUAGUAUUCGCCACGCCUGACGAGCAAGGAGCGCUUGGUUAAAUAGACAAAAGUCUUUAAAACCAAGGCCGCCUUGCUUCCUUGGCCUAGUCAUUUUCUCCCAUGCAUACCAAUGUGUUUUCCUCUUCCCUUUCUCUGCACCCCAAAAAUAGUUCCUAACCAUGCGGUUUAGAUCAUCACAUACCUCCAGCGGGAGCUUGAACACACUCAUAAUAUAUGUAGGGAUACAUUGACCAACAACACGGAUUAACACUUCCUUUUCCGCUUGAGUAGGGUUCUAAGACUGACAGUAGAAUGGGGGUUAGGUAUGAAGAGGCAAGAUCCCAGCUGUGGUGAAGUUGUACACACGAGAUUUACGAGUUCAGGCCCUUCACGGUGGAAGUAAUAGCCCUACGUCUCGGUGUCCGGAGGCGGUCGACUGGAUUAUAUGUGUGUGGAGUUACAGGGGGUGCGAACCCUUAUCCCUGAGGAGGGGGGUGGCUUAUAUAGAGUUCGCCAGACCCCUCCCGCCCUCAGUUACACAGGGUUUAAGGUACAUAAAGAUGGGGCGUUUCUGGUAACGCCAGUAAUAAAGUGACAUAAAUGUCCAUUAAGUCUACAGACUAAACGUCCGACCUUUGCUAUUCAGAGUGACUUUAGGUCUCCUGCCUGUCGAGGCAUUCCUGUUACGAUCGAGUGAGCUUGAAUCUUCCGAGUGGAAUGCCUCUAGUCGAGUGGAUGAUGAUAUCCCUUGAAUGCUUCUGACUUUAGGGUAAUGACCUAGGGGAGGGUGUCCAGGUCAGGUCUAUGACCCUACCCUAGGUACAUGUCUUCAUCAUUAGCCCCCGAAUGGUUCAGGGUUUGAGUGGAGAAGGAGUUGAUAAUAUUUUCGACUCAAUUUUUGCGCUUCGGAGGCGUCUUGUUGGGAUCAAUGAACAACAUGAUGACUUCAUCUUCUUUUCCAGCCGCCUUGACCCAUUCUUAAUUAGUCAAGUGAACUUUUACUGCUAAGCUUCGAGUGUUGGUAUGGAAAAAAAUCUUCAGUCUGACAGGUUGUUCUGCUGCUCGCGGAUCUUCCGGGAUUCGAAUUUCGGGAAGCGCGCGGGGUGGAGGAGGCCGCGGUAAUCAGAGAAGAUUAGGCAGGGAUGCCUCGAUAUCCGCGCCACCUUUUUCGCCACGUGCUGCGCGCGCAACUGUUGCGGGUUUGACAGGAUCGCCUGGGCCCACAGGUCAGCCACUCGGAAAUGGUUCCAUAUAAGGCGUCGCGGCUGGGGUUUUCUGCACAGUACACCUCAUCUCCUCUCUUCCUCCUCUGUUUUCCAUCGCAUCCACCUCCUCCCUCGGCGCCGCCGCUCUGCCCGAAAUCGACCCUCCGCAAUGGGAAAGGAGAAGACGGUGGCUCUGGAGCGCACGAAGAAGGCGACAGCGAAGGCGAAAGGGAGAAAGACGAGCCGGGGAGGGUCCUCGUCGAGAUCCGGUUUACUGCCCGGCUCAUCCAGGGUGAUUGGAUUCCGUGGACGAUCCGGCAAGUCGACGUCGAUGAUUUGGUCGAGGGGGGACUGAUUCCCCACGGAUCUGGGUGGCUCCCGGAGGACGAGACUGAGCCGCGGCCGCAGGAGGGUGAGUGUGUUCUCCUCGCCACCCAUGUUGACCGUGGUUUUUCUUUGCCUCCCCAUCCUUUCUUCCGAGGCUUCUUGAACUUCUUUGGAGCACAACUUCAUCACUUUUCCCCCAACACAAUCACGUACCUCGCUGCAUUCAUUUCUAUGUGUGAGAAUUUUCUGGGUUGUCGACCACACUGGGGUCUCUUCAAACACAUUUUCACCUGUCGUUCUCAGUCGGUCAAAAAGGCCAAUCCGAGUGACGAGAGGAUGCAUGUGAUCCAGACGUGUGGGGGUCUUGGGAUCCAAAUGAGAGGCAAGAGUACUUUCCCAGCCAUGAUUCUUCCCGAGUCAGUCAGAGGGUGGUAGUCGACCUGGUUCUACUGCAAAGACCAGCCGACUCCAGGCCAGUCGACUGGACUUCCCCCCUUUUCCAUGGCUCGAGUUGAGAAGCCCUCUGCCUUGAAAGUGACUCCAGCAGAAAAAGCGGAGGUGAAGGUGUUGGUCGAGCGAGUGGUCCAGCUCGUUCGUGACGGCGUGACUGGCAGGGAUCUGUUGGAGGUCUUCCUUAGACGACGCAUUCAGCCACUUCAAGCUCGUGACCAUCCGAUGUGGAUGUACUCCGGCAUUGAUGAUACCACUCGGAUCCACCCGGAGGAGGUCGACAAGGAUACAGUGGCACAAUGGCUGAGGGGCAUCACUGGUAACAAGGAUAACCCAGGGGGUCCAGGAGGAUCCCUCCACUCGACAACUCGUAUGAACCAGAUAAGGUCCAACUCUAAAUUUCCGAGUGUUUUCUUGAUCUACCGUGUAAUUACUUUUUGCCAACCGACUGACAUUUGUUCCACCUAUUGUCUUUUAGGCCCUCACUGAGAUGUACUCGAUGCCCAACAGAGAGCAGGAGCAGGAUCCGGAAGGGGAGGCGAGAGCGGCGAGUGGCACUCUGAUGGGGGAGAAGAUGACGAAAGUGACGACUCUGGUGACGGCGAAGAAGUCGACUCACCCCCUCGCACCGAAAGGCGAUCCAAAGAAAUCCACGACCCGGCAAGUAUCUGAGGCAAAGCGACCGCGCAGACUGGGCGGCAGACCUCAAAGUGCCCUCGGACGUCUUCUCCAGCGCCGACUGAGAGGGCCCCGAAACAAUCAAAAGCUACGCCGUCAAAACCGCGGAAGCCUUUGCCCAAGAUCAAAGUGGUCGUGCCCCUUGAUUCCAGGUAAUAAUUGGACUUGAUUUCUUGGUUUAGCAUGAAUUGAAUUUUGGUCGACUCAUUUCGGCAGACAUAACCGACUGAAUCUUGAGAUUUGCAGUGCUGCUACCUUUGAGACUUCUGUUUAUAGGAAUGAAGACGAGUAAAUGGAAGAUGCAGUCACCUCUAAUCCGGGUACGACUCUCGUAAUCCUAUUUUUACUUUCUCGGCCGUUUUAUUGGUCGACUGAAUUCCGGCGAUUGAUUCUUUUUGCAGCUCCUCCCAAUGUCAUUGAUCUUCCAGACGACGACGAGGAUGUGCCGCUGAGGCCUCUGGGAAGAAGAAACAGGAAGACGUCAACUGGCAGAGCGCCUUAGUCGACGCCGGUGACGGAACCGGUAAUCCAGGAGGGCGGUGAUGCCAAUCGGACUUCCCUGAUUUUCGCCGUACCAUUGACGAGUGCCCAGCCCUCAGCGUCGACUGCGCAGACUCCAGCCGAUCCAUCUUCACUCUUUACUGCACAUCACGUCCCAGAGGACCAAGUGGGCGCUGCCAAGGAGGCUAUACACCAGGCGGGCAUCAUGAUGGAGCAGAUGAAGGUGGUACGGGAGACCAGCCAAGCUGCUUAUGACGCCAGCUCAGCUCUCCAGAACAAUGUCCAGGUUAGUUGAUCACCGACUGACUCUUUAGCUUGUUGCUUGUUCUGUUAGGAUAUGCUACCUGAAAACUUUCCUUGAAGGAUCUUUCCAUCAGUCUGCGUUUUGCAUUUGUACACCCACUGGGUGUUUUGAUAUGUCACUGAGUAGUCUUGUAUCUUGAAUCGACUAAGUUGUCUCGAUUGAGUCUUUGAACUAGUGGGGGCACGCUGAGUGCACCCACUGGGUGUAGUCCCCAAGACCAUAGUUGACUACGAGCAGUCAACUAUGGUGUGAGAAUUGGAAUUUUCUCACUCGGCCUGCACAGACCAUGUCGAGUGGAACUUGAGCCAGUGGCGGCACGCUAAGUGCACCCACUGGGUGUAGUCCUCGAGACCAUAGUUGACUACGGGCAGUCGACUAUGGUCUGAGAACAACUUUUUUUUACACUCAGCCUGGACAGACCAUGUCGGGUGGAAACUGGACCAGUGGUGGCACGCUAAGUGCACCCACUGGGUGUAGUCCCCGAGACUACUGUUGGAUGUUCGAUUCGGCAGUAGUCUUAGAACUUGUUGAAUUUAUCACUCUAUUGCUCUGAAGUAACCAAUAUUUCCAUCCGUCGACUGACCGUCUUUUGAUUACAGAAAUCCUGUGAACUUGGAGCCCGUUUUGCUGACCUGGAGCAGAAGCAGAUUCAGCUCAACCUCGACCUAGAGCUGGCCAAGACAAACUUGCAGAAGGCCAAGGAUGAAGUCACUGGUACAAAAAACUUGCCGACUGAUUUGUUUCCGACCCGGGUGUUAUUUGUUUUUUCUGAACCAAGCAUCAUUUCUUUCAGAAGCAAUGAACCAAGCUCUGGCGAAGAAGGAUCUGGACCUUGCAGCCGCGCAGAAAGCAGCCGAAGAGAAAACUGCACUCGCCGACCAGAAGCUGGCUUCAGUCGGCAAACUGGAGGAAGAGAACACCAAGCUGAAGACUGCCUUGGAUGAAGCCAACAAGGAGGCGACUCGUCUGAAGAAGGACAGGAACAACCUGACCGAAAAGGUGGAAGCUAUUGCCCGCAAGAGAGAUGACUUGGAAAAUUAUCUGGGAGGUCUUGCCAAGAAGCUGUUCGUCAUGCUUGAAGGUGCUUUCCUUUGUCCGACUGACUUGUUGCUGUCGACUCGAUAUAUAACCAUUGACUCAUCCUUGUAUUGUGUGCGCAGAAUUUUGCCAGAACUUCGAGGAAGAGACUGGGCGAGUUGAGACAAGCUUGGACCCCAUCUCUCUCCUGUGAAGGAUGAAGCUGCCAUGAACGUGCUCUGACUGGAAUCCCGUGUCGCUGGCAUUAUCGAUUAUCUUGCCCGAUUGAAAGUCGCGGUGUCGCGAAUCGACACAGCACUCUGGCCAAGGGCGACGCUCCAAAAUGACCUCGAGUCUCUGAUGGCUCGACUUAAUGAAGUUCACGGUCGAGUGCAGGAAUGGAAGAAGUCUUCUGCUCCAUGCGGUGCUGAUGUGGCUCUGUCCCUGGUUCGUGUCCACUACAAGGAAGCGCGAGAAGAGAAGCUAGCAGCAAUCAAGGUUGCCAAUACCAAAAGGCACGACUUCCAAUCCUUCAUGGAAUCCUUUAUUGCUGCCGCCACUCGGAUUGCUGACGGAAUCGACCUGGACGAGUUCGUCGAGCCCGCUAGCCCACCUCCUGCGGAGUGAACAAACUUUAUGCCUCACCUUAAAUUUGCCUCGGAAUGCCGAGUGAUUUUGUAACCGUUAAACUCCUUCGGGCCUGACGCCCGAGUACUUUAAUCCGUGGUCUGGUACUUUAGGAUUCAUCUGAACUUGGUUUAUCUAAGAAUAUGCUUGUGUUUGUCUUCGGGUGGAACUUGUUGUUCACUCGGAAUAGUCUUUGUACUUGUGAUGCACCUCCGAGGAGAAGGUCGCAAUCGACCUGCACCUCGUUGUCCUUGCGGAUCGGGAUGGAGCGCGCAUUGUACUUAUGGCGCAGCUCUGAGGAGAAGGUCGCAGUCGACCUGCACCCCAUCGUCCUUGCGGAUCGGAAUGGAGCGCACAUUGUACUUAUGGCACAACUCUGAGGAGAAGGUCGUAGUCGACCUGCACCUCGUCGUCUUUGCGGAUCGGGAUGUGUUUUUAAAGUUAGGCGAGUACUGGACUGCAGCUAAGCCCCCGAGUGAGAGGUUUUCUCUCCACUCGGUAAGAUUUUUCAGACUUAGGCGAGUACUGGACUGCAGCUAAGCCCCCGAGUGAGAGGAUUGCUCUUCACUCGGUGGGAUUUUUCAAACUUAGGCGAGUACUGGACUGCAGCUAAGCCUCCGAGUGAGAGGAUUGCUCUUCACUNNNNNNNNNNNNNNNNNNNNNNNNNNNNNNNNNNNNNNNNNNNNNNNNNNNNNNNNNNNNNNNNNNNNNNNNNNNNNNNNNNNNNNNNNNNNNNNNNNNNNNNNNNNNNNNNNNNNNNNNNNNNNNNNNNNNNNNNNNNNNNNNNNNNNNNNNNNNNNNNNNNNGAGUGAGAGGCUUGAUCACCACUCGGUAGGAUUUUUCAAACUUAGGCGAGUACUGGACUACAGCUAAGCCCUCGAGUGAGAGGCUUGCUCACCACUCGGUAGGAUUUUUCAAACUUAGGCGAGUACUGGACUGCAGCUAAGCCCCCGAGUGAGAGGCUUGCUCACCACUCAGUAGGAUUUUUCAAAGUUAGGCGAAACGGAUUCGCAGCUAAGCCUCCGAGUGAGAGGCUUGCUCACCACUCAGUAGGAUGUUUUAGACUUAGGCGAAACGGAUUCGCAGCUGAGCCACCCACCGGGGGAUUUUAAACAUAUGAAUAAGCAACGACAAUCAUUUUAGAAGACUGUAAAACUCUGUCUUUGAUAAACAAACUAAAAGUUAUUUCUUAUUACAUCUCAACAGACUGAGUACUUAAGUAUAAAAACGACGGAGCAACUCUCCAUUCCAAGCAUGUGGUUCGCCCUUCUUAUGCUCGUUGUUGUAGAGGUGAUACGCUCCGUUGUGGAGCACUUUGGUGAUGAUGAAGGGGCCUUCCCAAGCAGGAGUGAGCUUGUGUGGUUUCUGCUGAUCCACUCAAAGAACCAGGUCUCCCUCUUGAAAUGCCCGACCUUUCAUGUUUCUAGCGUGGAAUCGACGGAGAUCUUGCUGAUAGAUGGUCGACCUGAUCAAGGCCAUCUCUCUUUCUUCUUCCAGAAGAUCAACGGCAUCUUGCCGUGCCAGCUCUGCUUUGGCUUCUGAGAAAAGUUCUACUCGGGGUGCAUUGUGAAGCAAAUCACUCGGAAGCACAGCCUCAGCUCCGUAAACAAGAAAGAACGGGGUUCGACCAUUCGACCGAUUUGGAGUUGUUCUCAAUCCCCAGAGUAGUGACGACAGUUCAUCAACCCAAGCUCCUGCAACAUGCUUGAGAUCACGCAUCAGUCGGGGUUUUAGCCCCUUGAGGAUCAAACCGUUUGCUCUUUCUGCUUGUCCAUUCGACUGUGGGUGGGCGACUGAAGCACAGUCGACCUGAGUGCCUUGGGAAGCACACAAAGCUCUGAAUUCAUCUGAUUCAAAGUUUGAUCCAUUAUCCGUGAUAAUGUUGUGUGGGACUCCAUAUCUGAAAGUUAACUCUUUGAUGAAGCUGACAGCGGUACUCGCUUCGAGGUUCUUGAUGGGCUUGGCCUCAAUCCAUUUGGUGAACUUGUCGACUGCUACGAGCACGUGAGUGAAACCACUUCUGCCAGUCCUCAAGGGUCCAACCAUAUCUAAACCCCAGACAGCAAAUGGCCAGACGAGUAGAAUGGUCUUCAAGGCUGAUGCGGGUUUGUGUGACAUGUUGGAGUAGAACUGACAGCCUUCACAUUUGUCUACUAUUUCUUUCACCAUCUCAUUGGCAUGUGGCCAGUAAAAUCCGGCUCGGUAUGCUUUGGCCAUGAAGGUCCGAGAGGACGCAUGGUGACCACAGGUCCUCGAGUGAAUAUCAUUGAGGAUCAUUCGGCCUUCUUCUGUCGUGAUGCAUUUCUGGCUGACUCCAGUUAAACUUUCUCUGAACUGCUGUCCUCUUAUCACAGUAAAGGCCUUGGAUCGACAGACGAUCUGUCGAGCCUCUUCUUCAUCCUUUGGGAGUUCCUUCCUAAGAAUGUUUGCAAUGUAUGGCACUGUCCAGUCGGGAGUGACGACCAAAACCUCCAUGAUCAAGUCGACCACGGCUGGGACUUCGACUUCAGUCGGAUCAGUGGCACUCUUAGGCUGUGGGGGCUCUUCAGUGAAAGGAUGUUCCUGAACUGAAGGUGCGUGAAUAUGCUCCAAAAACACAUUGCUGGGAACGGUCUCUCUCUUGGAACCUAUCUUUGCCAAGUCAUCAGCAACUUGAUUUUUUAGUCGGGGUAUAUGGUGGAGCUCUAACCCCUCAAACUUCUUUUCCAGUUUUCUCACUUCAUUAUAAUAACCAGUCAUAGCCGGGCUUCUGACGUAUUACUUGAUUAACCACCAAAUCUGAGUCGCUGUAGACCAUUAGGCGACGGACGCCGAGUGAAAUGGCCAUACGCAACCCGUAUAGAGGUGCUUCAUAUUCAGCUUCGUUGUUGGAGGAAUCAAAAUGAAUCUGAAGAACAUAGCUGAGUCUGUCUCCUCGGGGGGAUACCAAUACCACCCCAGCACCAGAACCAUUCAGCAUCUUGGAUCCAUCAAAGAACAUGGUCCAAUGCUCCGAGUGAAUCUGAGUCGGUUGUUGCUGCUCAACCCACUAGAAGAGGAAAUCUGCUAUUGCUUGGGACUUGAUAGCUUUCUUUGCCUCAAACUUGAUAUCCAAGGAACGGAGUUCAGUCGCCCACUUUGCCCCUCAACCAGUUGCAUCUCUGUUGUUCAGAAUUUAUGACAAUGGUGCGUCGCUAACGACUGUAAUGGAGUGAUCAGAGAAAUAAUGCGCAACCUUCUUCGUGGUGAUGUAAAUUCCAUAGACAAGCUUCUGAUAAUGUGGAUAUCUUUGCUUGGAUGGAGUCAAGACUUCAGAAAUAUAGUACACUCGGAGUUGAACUUUAUAGGCUUUUCCUUCUUCUUCCCGCUUGACCGUGAGCACUGUAUUGACAACUUGUCCAGUGGCUGCAAUAUAAACCAGUAAAGGCUGUUUGCUGAUUGGGGCAGCAAGCAUCGGCUGUGUGGAAAGCAGAGUUUUGAGUUCUGCAAACGCUCCGUCAGCUUCAGGAGUCCACUCGAACUUAUCAGAUUUCUUCAUCAGUCGGUAAAGAGGCAAUGCAUUUUCACCGAGGCGAGAGAUGAAUCGACUCAAGGCGGCCAAGAAACCAGUAAGCUUCUAAAUGUCAUGCACAUGCACAUGGCGUUUCAUCCGGAGUAUGGCCCCAACUUUCUCUGGGUUCACGUCGAUCCCACGUUCGGAAAUGAGAAAACCGAGUAACUUUCCUCCUGGAAUUCCGAAUGUGCAUUUCGUCGGAUUAAGCUUGAUAUCAUAUCUUCUCAGGUUGGCAAAGGUUUUAGUGAGGUCAGUCAGCAGGUCGGAACCUUUACGCGACUUGACCACAAUGUCAUCCAUAUAUGCUUCCACAUUUCGACUGAUUUGAGUGAGUAGACACUUCUGAAUCAUCCUCAUAAAUGUGGCGCCAGCGUUCUUGAGACCGAAUGGCAUGGUGACAUAACAAAAGCACCCGAAUGGAGUGAUGAAAGUUGUUUUUAUCUCAUCGGGUCCAUACAGUCGGAUCUGAUGAUACUCGGAAUAGGCGUCCAGAAAAGACAAACACUCACACCCCGCAGUCGAGUCGACGAUUUGGUCGAUACGGGGGAGAGGGAAAUGAUCUUUCGGACAGGCCCAAUUGAUAUGCUUGAAGUCAAUGCACAUACGAAGUGAGUCGUCCUUCUUGGGAACCAUGAAAACAUUGGCGAGCCACUCGGAAUGGUAAAUCUCUCGAAUGAACUCAGCCGCUAGGAGCCGAGCCACUUCUUCACCAAUUGCAUUUCUCUUCUGUACGGCGGACCGUCGAAGAUGUUCCUUGACUGGUUUCACUUUCGGGUCGACUCGCAAACGGUGCUCAGCCAGUCCCCUGGGUACACCCGGCAUGUCAGAAGGUUUCCAUGCCAAGAUGUCCCAGUUCUCACGGAGGAACUGGAUGAGCGCUUCUUCCUAUUUGCUAUCGAGUGAUGUUGAAAUAUGAGUAGGAGCAGCAUUAGGAUCGGUUGGGUGAAUAUGAAUUGGCUUUGUUUCAUCGGACGACUAAAACGCAGAAUCUGUGGCAGGCUUCUUGGCUCGCAAUAAAUCACUCGGAUCCGCAUUUUUCUGAUACUCUUGCAUUUCAACUGCUGCAAUUUGUGCAUCGGCAAUUUUAGAACCCUUCUUGAAGCAUUCUUCUGCCUUCUGCCGAUUGCCAGUGACUGUGAUCACUCCUCUGGGACCAGGCAUUUUCAACUUGAGAUAUACAUAACAUGGCCGAGCCAUGAAUCGUGCAUACGCCGACCUCCCCAUAAUAGCAUGAUAAGCACUCUGGAAAUCCACUACUUCAAAUGUCAACUUUUCCUUACGGUAAUUCUUUGAAUCACCGAAAACCACGUCAAGGUUUAUUUGGCCGAGUGAUUCAGCCUUCUUGCCAGGGAUGACGCCGUGAAAGGUCAUGUUGCUCUCACUAAGUUUGGACAUCGGGAUGCCCAUCCCCUUCAAGGUUUCAGCAUAAGGGAUAUUCAGGCCGCUACCACCAUCCAUUAGCACUUUCGUCAGUCGAGUGCCUCCAACCACUGGGUCGACCACCAACGCUUGCCUCCCAGGGCUGGCUAUGCGAUCAGGGUGAUCAGACUGGUGGAAUGUGAUAGCUGUUUGUGACCACUUCAGGUAUGUUGUCGUUGCCGGAGCAACCAUAUUCACUUGUCUAUUGAUCACUUUCAGUCGACUUUUGCUGUCAACAUCAGCAAAAAUCACUAGGAUGGAAUUGACAUUGGGAAAACCAUCAUCUUCCUCUUUGUCCUCAUCCUUGUCUGAUUCCUUUUCCUUCUCAUUAGGCUGUUUCUCUCGGAAUUGCUGGAUCAGAACCUGACAUUGUCGAGUGGUAUGCUUAGGAUAAAUCAGAUUGCCUUCUUCAUCCUUCUUGGUGUGAAUGUGACAUGGCAAAUCCAACACAUCAUUUCCGGCUUGAUCUUUCACUUUCUUGGGGGUCCAGGGCCCCUUAGGUUUCCCUUUAAAUUUUCCUUGAAUCACUCCGCAGUUUCACCAGGUCCCGCAGGUUCAGCUUUACGCUUCUGUUUCCGAUUGGAAUUGCCUCCACCUGUGUCCUGAUCGACUGGUUUGCUCUUUCCACUGCGGAGUCGAUCCUCUUCUUCUCCAUUAGCGUACCGAGUGGCUAUUUCCAUCAUCCAAGUCAGAGACAUAUCUCCCAUCCGAUAGAACUUCAGAACCAGUUCUCGAUACUUAACGCCUUCCUUGAAGGCACAAACUGCUUGAUGCUCGGGUACAUUUUCCACUGUGUGAUGCAAAGUGGUCCACCGCUGAAUGUAAUCUCUCAGAGUUUCAUUCGGUUUUUGCACGCAAUGCUACAAUUCUGUUAACCCCGCUGGCCGCUUGCAUGUACCCUCAAAUGUUCUAACAAACACUCGGGCGAGUUCCUCCCAACUGAAUAUACUGCUCGGUGCUAACUGAGUCAACCAUGCCCUGGCCGAGCCUUCCAACAUCAUAGGUAGAUGCUUCAUGGCCACUUCAUCAUUGCCGCUACCAAUCUGCACAGCCACUCGGUAAUCCUCAAGCCAAGUAUCAGGCUUGGACUCACCAGUGAACUUGCUGACUCUAGUCGCCAACCUGAAGUUGGGAGGAAUCACCGCAGCUCUGAUGGCUCUGCUAAAACACUCUGGACCUGAAACAUGAACUCUGCUGCGAGUCGGGUCAUCUCUAUCAAGGCCCUAUCUGUGUGCCCUGUUCCUGUUGACUAGACCUUGAACGAGAAUAGAUCUCGCAUCAAAUCCUGGCUCUCUUGGGUCGACUGGUAUUCUUCGCUCACCACUGUGAGGGCGUCUGUCUUCAUAUUGCCGAGGCACAUAUGACCCACUCCUCGGAGGAGGUGUGGUCACUCGACGACGGUCAUCAUGGCCGAGUCAGUGAUCAUAUUGCUCGUGGUUUCUGUACUGAUCUUGCUGGUGCCCACGUCCCUCACGCCGAGGGGGCGGUCUUGGGCUGUGGGCGGACUGGACUAUAUCUGCCAUCACAGAUCUGCUAUGAAUCUUAUUCGGCGACUGAGACACUGCUAUGUUCUGCUCUCCUGCUGCCCGUAGUAAGGCCCGGAUCUGCAUCAAACCUCUGCCAGCUUCCGACUGGGAAGGCUGAAUUCACACUGCGACAUGGGCUGUAGCUGUGAGAUUUUGAAUCGGAGUGCUGUAUACCUGAGGUUGUGGUGGAAAAAGCUGUCGUCGACUAGACUCAGGGAUCCGCUGCCGAGCACGCUCGUCGAUGCAUGGUGAAGGUUCUCCAGUCGAGUGCGCUCAGCCAAGUUGGCCAGGCGCGCCUCCUCCAAGGCCCGAGCCUCGAGGGUUUCCCCAACGAUGGGCGUGUGGAGUGCAUCCACGUUGCGGCGGCGAAGCUCUUCCCUCUGCUGCGAAGAAAGGGGUUCCGGGCGAUACUCCUCGUGAACGCGUGACGGAUCGACGCCACCAUCACCGCCGUCAUCGCGGCAGAAGCCAGGCGGACUACAUGGUCCGUCGACCAUCAAGACUUCAGCUGCGGGGUCGCUGCUAUCGCACUCGGAUGCGGUCUUGAUGUCUACUACGCAACCUUCUUCUUGUAGACGUUGUUGGGCCUCCAAGUGCAGAGGUUUGUAGGACAGUAGCAAAUUUCCCUCAAGUGGAUGACCUAAGGUUUAUCAAUCUGUGGGAGGCGUAGGAUGAAGAUGGUCUCUCUCAAACAAGCCUACAACCAAAUAACAAAGAGUCUCUUGUGUCCCCAACACACCCAAUACAAUGGUAAAUUGUAUAGGUGCACUAGUUUGGUGAAGAGAUGGUGAUACAAGUGCAAUAUGGAUGGUAGAUAUAGGUUUUGUAAUCUGAAAAUAUAAAAACAGCAAGGUAACUAAUGAUAAAAGUGAGCGUAAACGGUAUUACAAUGCUAGGAAACAAGGCCUAGAGUUCAUACUUUCACUAGUGCAAGUUCUCUCAACAAUAAUAACAUAAUUGGAUCAUAUAACUAUCCCUCAACAUGCAACAAAGAGUCACUCCAAAUUCACUAAUAGCGGAGAACAAACGAAGAGAUUAUGGCAGGGUACGAAACCACCUCAAAGUUAUUCUUUCGGAUCGAUCUAUUCAAGAGUUCGUACUAGAAUAACACCUUAAGACACAAAUCAACCAAAACCCUAAUGUCACCUAGAUACUCCAAUGUCACCUCAAGUAUCCGUGGGUAUGAUUAUAUGAUAUGCAUCACACAAUCUCAGAUUCAUUUAUUCAACCAACACAUAGAACCUCAAAGAGUGCCCCAAAGUUUCUACGGGAGAGUCAAGACGAAAACGUGUGCCAACCCCUAUGCAUGGGUUCAUGGGCGGAACCCGCAAGUUGAUCACCAAAACAUACAUCAAGUGAAUCAAUAGAAUAACCCAUUGUCACCACGGUUAUCCCACGCAAGACAUACAUCAAGUGUUCUCAAAUCAUUAAAGACUCAAUCCGAUAAGAUAACUUCAAAGGGAAAACUCAAUCCAUUACAAGAGAGUAGAGGGGGAAGAAACAUCUUAAGAUCCAACUACAAUAGCAAAGCUCGCGAUACAUCAAGAUCGUAUCACCUCAAGAACACGAGAGAGAGAGAUCAAACACAUAGCUACUGGUACAUACCCUCAGCCCCGAGGGUGAACUACUCCCUCCUCGUCAUGGAGAGCGCCGGGAUGAUGAAGAUGGCCACGGUGACGGAUCCCCCGUCCGGCAGGGUGCCGGAACAGGGCCCCGAUUGGUUUUUGGUGGCUACAGAAGCUUGCGGCGGCGGAACUCCCGAUCUAUUCUGUUCCCUGAAGGUUUUAGGGUAUAUUGGUAUAUAUAGGUGAAAGAAGUACAUCAGGGGAGCCACGAGGGUGGAGGGCGCGCCCAGGGGGGUGGGCGCGCCCCCCUGCCUCGUGCCUUCCUCGUUGCAUUCUUGAUGUGGACUCCAAGUCUCCCGGGUUGCUUUCCUUCCAAAAAUAACUUCUCCAGAAGGUUUCAUUCCGUUUCGAAUCCGUUUGAUAUUCCUUUUCUUCAAAACACUGAAACAAGGGAAAAAACAGGAACUAGCGCUGGGCUCUGGGUCAGUAGGUUAGUCCCAAAAGUAAUAUAAAAGUGCAUAGUAAAGCCCAUAAAACAUCCAAGAUGGAUAAUAUAAUAGCAUGAAUACUUCAUAAAUUAUAGAUACGUUGGAGACGUAUUUGCAUCCCCAAGCUUAAUUCCUGCUCGUCCUCGAGUAGGUAAAUGAUAAAAGAAAGAAUUUAUGAAGUGUGAAUGCUAGCAGGUGCAUAGGUUUGAUCAAUGAUAAUUUCAAUCACCUUUCCUAGCAUCAUUAUAUGUCAUAACAGUAGCUCAUACCAUAAAACUUUGCAUGAUCAAGUAACAAACUAUUCACAUGUUAAAGCAUAGACCAUAAACUUUCUUGAAAACUAACAAACCGUGUUAUUAGUCAUCAAACAAUUACAAUUCAUCUUAUUUUCAGGAAGAGUCUAUGUCAGAGCUUUGAUUUAGCAAAUCCCACAUACUCAACUAUCAUAUAGUCUUCCAUGAUUGCUACCACUCAAAGCAUAUUUUUAGAACAAAUAGCAUCCAUCGAACACAUAGAAAGAUAGGGGCUUAAUGUUUCGCCUCCCAACUUAUUCAUCAUAUAGAUAAUUGUCAACAAUAUAAUUCAUGAUCAAAUAUAUUUGAAUGGCCAUAUAUGCUCAGAUCUUUCCAUCACAUGAUGCUUGCCAACUAAAGAGUAGGUUGGAAUGAGAAGGAAUACUACUGACUCUUGCAUAAAAGUAAAAGAUAGGCCCUUCGCAGAGGGAAGCAGGGAUUUGUAGAGGUGCCAGAGCUCGAAGCAAAAACAGAGAUGAAAAUAAUUUUGAGAGGUAUGCUUUCAUUGUCAACAUAACGACCAAGAGUUCCCAAUAUCUUCCAUACUACAUACAUUAUAGGCGGUUCCCAAACAAAAAGGUAAAGAUUUUUACUCCCCCUCCACCAACAAUCAUCAAUCCAUGGCUUGCCCGAAACAACGGGUGCCUCCAACUAACAUCAAUACUGGGGGAGUUUUGUUUGCAAUUAUUUUUGAUUUGAUUUCGAUCUUUUGAUCAUGGGACUGGGCAUCCCAGUUACCAGCCAUUUUCUCGUGAAUGAUGAGCGGAGUCCACUCAUCGUGAGAAUAACCCACCUAGCAUGGAAGAUACUCCUAGCCCCUAGUCACUACAUGAGAGAUUCGGGCAUACAAAACAGAUUAUUAUUUGAAGGUUUAGAGUUUGGCACAUGCAAAUUUACUUGGAACGGCAGGUAAAUACCGCAUAUAGGUAGAUAUGGUGGACACUCAUGGAAUAAACUUGGUUCAAGGAAUUUGGAUGCACAAGCAGUAUUCCCGCUUAGUACAGAUAUUUUGGCUAGCAAAGGAUUCUAAAUAGCAAGCGCCACAUGUUAGAGGAUCCAUAACAAUAUAACUUCUAUACAAAUAUACCCAAGCAUAACUCAUUAUGUUGUCUUCCUUGUCCAACUUCAACUAAUUUGCUCAGGUUUGAAAAUAAUUAAUGGGGAUCACAAUCAUAGAAGAUGUCCAAGAUAGUAUAUUUAUAUGUGAAAUCUCUCUUCCUUCAAUAUUCUUUCAUGAAUUGUUCAAGUGACCAAUACAAUGUUUGCUAACCUUCAAUAAAUUUACCACCUCUACUUCUUAUAUCUGAAGUCAUUACUCCAUGGGAAAGGCAUACGAAACAUAUAUAAUUUCAGAUUUAUGACAUUCAAAUCAUUCAACCAUUUACUCAUAGGAUAUAAGUGAAGCACACGAGUAAAUGACAAACUACUCCAAAAAGAUAUAAGUGAAGAUCAGUGAGUAGUUAAAUAAUUAUGUAUCUAUGUGAAGACUCUCUCUCUCAUUUAAUAAUUUCAGAUCUUGGUAUUUUAUUUAAACAGCAAGCAAAGCUAAAGAAAAUAAAAUGACGCUCAAAGCAAAACACAUAUCAUGUGGCGAAUAAAAAUAUAGCUCCAAGUAAAGUUACCGAUGAAUGAGGGGAUGCCUUCCGGGGCAUCCCCAAGCUUAGGCUCUUGGUUGUCCUUGAAUAUUACUCCCUCCGUUCCAAAAUAGAUGACCCAACUUUGUACUAAAGUUAGUACAAAGUUGGGUCAUCUAUUUUGGAACGGAGGGAGUACCUUGGGGUGCCUUGGGCAUCCCCAAGCUUAGGCUCUUGCCACUCCUUAUUCCAUAGUCCAUCGAAUCUUUACCCAAAACUUGAAAACUUCACAACACAACACUCAACGGAAAACUCGUAAGCUCCGUUAGCGAAACAAAACAAAACACCACUUCAAGGUACUGUAAUGAACUCACUCUUUAUUUAUAUUGGUGUUAAAUUUACUGUGUUGAAACUUCUCUAUGGUUUGUAAACUAUUUUACUAGCCAUAGAGUCAUCAAAAUAAGCAAACAACACACGAAAAACAGAAUCUGUCAAAAACAGGACAGUCUGUAGUAAUCUGUAACUAACGCAAACUUCUGGAACUCAGAAAAAUCUACCAAAAUAGUAAAACCUAGAUAAUUUGAUUAUUGAUCUGCUGCAAUUGGAAUCAGUAUUUUAUCACGUUCUGGUAAUUUUUAACAAUUGUUUUCGUGAGCAGAAAGUUUCUGUCGUUUUCAGAAAGAUCAAAUAAUUAUCAUACAAGGAGAUCCUAUAGGUCUUACUUGGCACAAACACUAAUUAAAACAUAAAACCACAUCUAAGCAGAAGCUAGAUGGAUUAUUUAUUUGUAAACAGAACCAAAAAGCAAUAAACUAAAAUAAAAUUGGGUUGCCUCCCAACGAGCGCUAACGUUUAACUCCCCUAGCUAGGCAUGAUGAUUUCAAUGAUGCUCACGUAAAAGAUAAGAAUUAAAACAUAAAGAGAGCAUCAUGAAGAAUAUGACUAGCACAUUUAAGUCUAUCCCACUUUCUAUGCAUAGGGAUUUUGUGAGCAAACAACUUAUGGGAACAAUAAUCAACUAGCAUAGGAAGGCAAAACAAGCAUAACUUCAAAACUUUAAGCACAUAGAGAGGAAACUUGAUAUUAUUGCAAUUCCUACAAGCAUAUAUUCCUCCCUCAUAAUAAUUUUCAGUAGCAUCAUGAAUGAAUUCAACAAUAUAACCAUCACAUAAAGUAUUUUUUUCAUGAUCUACUAGCAUAGAAAUUUUAUUACUCUCCACAUAAGCAAAAUUCUUCUCUUUCGAAAUAGUGGGAGCAAACUCAACAAAAUAACUAUCAUGUGAAGGAUAAUCCAAUUGAAAAUUAAAAUCAUGAUGACAAGUUUCAUGGUUAUAUUUAUUCUUUAUAGCAUACAUGUCAUCACAAUAAUCAUCAUAGAUAGGAGGCAUGCUUUCAUCAUAAUAAAUUUGCUCAUCAAAACUUGGGGGACAAAAAAUAUCAUCUUCAUCAAACAUAGCUUCCCCAAGCUUGUGGCUUUGCAUAUUAUUAGCAUCACGGGUAUUCAAGGAAUUCAUACUAACAACAUUGCAAUCAUGCUCAUUCACAUAUUUAAUGCCAAGCAUUCUAUGUAAUUCUUCUUCUAGUACUUGAGCACAAUUUUCCUUCCCAUCAUACUCACGAAAGAUAUUAAAAAGAUGAAGCGUAUGAGGUAAACUCAAUUCCAUUUUUUUGUAGUUUUCUUUUAUAAACUAAACUAGUGCUAAAACAAGAAAAAAAAGAUUCGAUUGCAAGAUCUAAAGAUAUACCUUCAAGCACUCUCCUCCCCGGCAACAGCGCCAGAAACUGCUUGAUGUCUACUACGCAACCUUCUUCUUGUAGACGUUGUUGGGCCUCCAAGUGCAGAGGUUUGUAGGACAGUAGCAAAUUUCCCUCAAGUGGGUGACCUAAGGUUUAUCAAUCCAUGGGAGGCGUAGGAUGAAGAUGGUCUCUCUCAAACAACCCUGCAACCAAAUAACAAAGAGUCUCUUGUGGCCCCAACACACUCAAUACAAUGGUAAAUUGUAUAGGUGCACUAGUUCGGCGAAGCGAUGGUGAUACAAGUGCAAUAUGGAUAGUAGAUAUAGGUUUUUGUAAUCUGAAAAUAUAAAAACAGCAAGGUAACUAAUGAUAAAAGUGAGCGUAAACAGUAUUGCCAUGCUAGGAAACAAGGCCUAGGGUUCAUACUUUCACUAAUGCAAGUUCUCUCAACAAUAAUAACAUAAUUGGAUCAUAUAACUAUCCCUCAACAUGCAACAAAGAGUCACUCCAAAGUCACUAAUAGCGGAAAACAAACGAAGAGAUUAUGGUAGGGUACGAAACCACCUCAAAGUUAUUCUUUUGGAUCGAUCUAUUCAAGAGUUUGUACUAGAAUAACACCUUAAGACACAAAUCAACCAAAACCCUAAUGUCACCUAGAUACUCCAAUGUCACCUCAAGUAUCCGUGGGUAUGAUUAUACGAUAUGCAUCACACAAUCUCAGAUUCAUCUAUUCAACCAACACAUAGAACCUCAAAGAGUGCCCCAAAGUUUCUACGGGAGAGUCAAGACGAAAACGUGUGCCAACCCCUAUGCAUAGGUUCAUGGGCGGAACCCGCAAGUUGAUCACCAAAACAUACAUCAAGUGAAUCAAUAGAAUAACCCAUUGUCACCACGGUUAUCCCACGCAAGACAUACAUCAAGUGUUCUCAAAUCAUUAAAGACUCAAUCCGAUAACAUAACUUCAAAGGGAAAACUCAAUCCAUUACAAGAGAGUAGAGGGGGGAGAAACAUCAUAAGAUCCAACUACAAUAGCAAAGCUCGCGAUACAUCAAGAUCGUAUCACCUCAAGAACACGAGAGAGAGAGAUCAAACACAUAGCUACUGCUACAUACCCUCAGCCCCGAGGGUGAACUACUCCCUCCUCGUCAUGGAGAGCGCCGGGAUGGUGAAGAUGGCCACCGGUGAGGGAUCCCCCCUCCGGCAGGGUGCCGGAACAGGGCCCCGAUUGGUUUUUGGUGGCUACAGAAGCUUGUGGCGGCGGAACUCCCGAUCUAUUCUGUUCCCCGAAGGUUUUAGGGUAUAUUGGUAUAUAUAGGUGAAAGAAGUACGUCAGGGGAGCCACGAGGGGCCCACGAGAGUGGAGGGCGCGCCCAGGGGGGUGGGCGCGCCCCCUUGCCUCGUGCCUUCCUCGUUGCUUUCUUGACGUGGACUCCAAGUCUCCCGGGUUGCUUUCCUUCCAAAAAUAACUUCUCCAGAAGGUUUCAUUCCGUUUCGACUCCGUUUGAUAUUCCUUUUCUUCGAAACACUGAAACUAGGGAAAAACAGGAACUGGCGCUGGGCUCUAGGUCAAUAGGUUAGUCCCAAAAGUAAUAGAAAAGUGCAUAGUAAAGCCCAUAGAACAUCCAAGAUUGAUAAUAUAAUAGCAUGAAUACUUCAUAAAUUAUAGAUACGUUGGAGACGUAUCAGGUCUCAACGGAGCCAGUCGAACAGGCCGUAGAGAGUUUCGUCGGGCUUGAUUCCCGCGACUUGUGGGGUGGCCGACUGACGAGCCACCACAUAUUUCACCCACCGCUAAAGCCGCGACCGACCGGAUCGCUUGCGUCGGCGAACAGCGGGGAGCGAGGACAUCACGGGAGCCGACCGAUACUGGGUCGACGGCUGCCAGAGAAGGACGCCGCAAACGCACGCGCGAAAGUGCGUCGCCCCGGGGACGGGGAGCGCCUCGACGUCGAGGGGAGCUUCCUGAAACCAGGCGGAGUCGUCGGCAAAGAAGACGAGCGCGCCGAGACGGAUCUCGCGGCCCUCAGCCAAUCCUCCACCAGAAACCAUGAUGAUGGGAAUCGGAAAAAUCGCAACUUCACCAAAAAGUCGCUAAGACACCUUCCCCACGGUGGGCGCCAACUGUCGUGGUUCUAAGACUGACAGUAGACUGGGGGGUAGGUAUGAAGAGGCAAGAUCCCAGCUGUGGUGAAGUUGUACACACGAGAUUUACGAGUUUAGGCCCUUCACGGUGGAAGUAAUAGCCCUACGUCUCGGUGCCCGGAGGCGGUCGCCUGGAUUAUAUGUGUGUGGAGUUAUAAGGGGUGCGAACCCUUGUCCCUGAGGAGGGGGGUGGCUUAUAUAGAGUUCGCCAGACCACUCCCGCCCUCAGUUACACAGGCUUUAAGGUACAUAAAGAUGGGGCGUUUCUAGUAACGCCAGUAAUAAAGUGACAUAAAUGUCCAUUAAGUCUACAGAGUAAACGUCCGACCGUUGCUAUUCAGAGUGACUUUAGGUCUCCUGCCUGUCGAGGCAUUCCUGUUACGGUCGAGUGAGCUUGAAUCUUCCGAGUGGGAUGCCUCUAGUCAAGUGGAUGAUGAUAUCCCUUGAAUGCUUCUGACUUUAGGGUAAUGUCCUAGCGGAGGGUGUCCAGGUGAGGUCUAUGAUCCUACCCUAGCUACAUAUCUUCAUCAGGCAGUCCCAAAUAUUUCUCUUCAAACCCUGUCGUGAUUACUUGCAAAAUAUGUUUUACUCCAUCUCUGGUUACAUCCGGACAUGAACUACCCACCAUCAUGGAGCACUUGGCAGGGUUUAACAACUGCCUCGUGGCAUUUGCAUAAACUUCCAGAGUGCUUUUAAUAUAUUGUGCUUCUUGGUCACACGACUUGAAAAAUAAGAGUGUCAUCCGCGAAUAAUAAGUGUGAGACUCCCGGUACACUUCUAGUAAUUUUCAGUGGAGAUAUAUUACGGGUAGCAAUCCCUAUAUUGAUAAAAGCAGAGAGACCAUCAGCAACAAACAAGAAUAAAUAUGGGCACAGCGGAUCACCUUGCCGAAGACCACGCGACGGUGCAAACGAAUCCAGGAUGGCUCCAUUGAAUUUUACUGAGUAUCUCACCGAGGUCACACAUGACAUAAUCCAGUCAACCCACCGGUGAGCAAAGCCAAGCUUUUGCAUCAUUUGCCUAAGGUAAUUCCAGUCCACUCUAUCAUAGGCUUUUGAGAGAUCAAGCUUAUAAGCACAAUAACUCCUGGUAGGGUCCUUCUCUUGCUUUAUAUGAUGAAUACAUUCAAAGGCAACAUAGGCAUUGUCGGUAAUCAUACGUUCAGGAAUGAAAGCACUUUGCCAAGGCGAAAUAAUCUCAUCUAAAACAGGCCUUAACCGGUUUACUAAGCAUUUUGAGACCACUUUGUAAACCACAUUACAUAAACUUAUGGGGCAGAAAUCCGUGAUUUUCACCGGGUUAUCAAUUUUUGGGAUCAUUACAAUGAUAGUAUCAUUAACAUAUUCAGGCAUUAUCCCACUUUGGAAGAAAAAUUUUACCGCGGCAAUUAUACCUUCCUUCAUUGUCCCCCAGUUACGCUGAAAAAACGCGCGGGGAAACCAUCCGGACCCGACGCUUUUAGAGGUCCAAUCUGGAAAAGAGCGUCUCCAAUCUCCUUAUCUGAAAAUUCCGCACAUAAAACAUCAUUUAUUUGCUGAGUUACAACAGCCUCAAACAAAUCAGUGACUUGGGCGUGAUCAAGACUUGGGUCAGCCGUAAACAGCUCCUCAAAAUAAUCUGUAACGGCCUUCCCCAUCUCCUUAAUCCCCGUAUGCACAACACCCUGAGCAUCUUCCAACUUCUUAACUCUAUUUUUCCUGGCCCGCCAUACUGAUUUUGCAUGGAAAAUUUUUGUGUUCCUGUCUCCUGCUUUUAACCAAUCUAUCCGUGAUCUUUGCAACCACAUCAAUUCUUCUCGGUACAGUAACUCAUUCAUCUUGUCUGUAACUUUACGUAUCUCGCAUCUGUCCGCAUUCAUCAACAUCAAUUCCUCCAGCUGGGAUCUAGAUUUCUCGAGCUCAUUUUUUAUACUUCCAAACUUAACUCUACUCCACUCAAACAGUUUAGACAUGGUUGACCUGAGCGCAGCAUGUACGUCGCCCAAACUUGUUUUCUGCCCAGCUGCCUCCCAUGCUCGUGCAAUGAUUUCCUGAAGGGCCGGGUCCCUCUCCCACAUUACUUCAUAUUGGCGGAUUUUUUUCUUUAUACGUACAUCCUCCAUACGAGCACAAUUAACAUGCAGAGCCACAUGAUCAGACACGGGCGAUACCAGGUGGCGAACAACAGGAGAUUCAAAAUUAUCGCGCCAAGCCGGGGUAGCCACAGCCCUGUCCAAUCGCACUUUCACAUUUGCCAAACCACCUCUCUUGUUGUCUUAUGUGUGAGGAACACCCGAGAAUCCCAAGUCUGACAACUCACAUAUCUCCAGUACAUCAUGAAAAGCUUGCAUCUGACUCAUUGGCCUCGGUGAUAAGGAGAAGUGCUCAAAGUCCCACAUGCAUUCAUUAAAAUCACCCACAACUAACCAGGGUAGAUUAGACUAGGAGCUGAGAUUAUUAAGCAGAGUCCUCAUGUUAUGUCUAUCUUCCGCCCUUGGCUCUCCAUAGGUCAGUCUCCACAUAAUUUCAUCCGGCCCCAAUCUAACGUGGGCAUCGAUGCAUCUCUGUUUUGAGAACACCACCUCCACUUUGAGGGAUUCAUACCAGUAAAGGGCCAAUCCACCACUGUUUCCCAUACAAUCCACUCCCUCAAAACCUUUCAAACCAAACCGAGAUCUGUAUUUUUCAUCUUACUUUUUUGUUGCCUUGGUUCACAUAAAAACACCAACAUGGGGGAAAGCGACUGAAUGAAAGUCGCCACUUCGCGAACUGUCCGGGAGUCCACCCCCCCUGGCGGUCCCUGACGUGGAGGCCGCCACUGCAACACUUGACGCCCUAUUGAUAGCCGUUUCGUUUUCUCCUCUCAGCUUUUUUCUGUUGGCACUUUUCUGUGGUGUACCAUCCACCCCUUCCCUGGUUAUUUCUUCAUCUGCACCUUCAAAUUGCUCAACAAUUUCAGCAGUAUUACCUACAGGAACAAUAUCAGUGCUACUCACCCCCAAGUUGUUUGUAUCCGGCAUGAGAGUCACUAAAUCAGCAGCUAAUCUUUUCCCAAGGGUGUUCAGAUCCUCCUUAUACCCAUUCUCCCUUUCAGCUGGGUCAUUGACACCCUUACUUGGGUCUAUUACCAAGGGAUUAACUGCGUUAUGUGGCCAGCUCCUCACCCGGUGUUGGCCAUCUGCUGCAUCAUCAGUCCUUUUAUCCCCAUCAUAAUUAUAUGUCCCACUGUCCCUCCAUAAUUCUCGCUGCACUCCAGUCCUACCAGCACCCCGCCCCCUUCCAAAGGCUUCAUGCUGGGUAGCAGAUUGAAAGGCAUCACCUCUGCCAUACCCAUGGCCAGCUCCCCGGCCCGUGCCACGUCCACCCCCACCACGGCCUCUCCUUGGUGCUAGAACGAAGGGGCCCCAUUCCAUCUCUUCCUCCUUGUGAUCACCAGUACCACAUUCCUCAUGCCAAUGGCCCAAAAGACCACACAUAUAGCAAAACACUGGCAGCUUUUCGAACUUAACCUGGUACCAUUCAGUUUCCCCAGCCUUUGUGAAGCUAACAAACCUUGUAAGCUUUUUAUUGACAUCUAACUUCACUCUUGCUCUUAUGAACUCUCCCACGAAACCAUUGGGAAGGAUAUCUGAAGCUCUAACACUUCGCCAAUGCGUGCUGCCAUAUUCUUCACAAACUGCUCCCUUUUCAGUACCAUGUCAGGAAGCUUAUGUAUUUGGCACCAGGUCUCGAUUUUAUCGAGCUUUACUGUCUCCGGCUUCUUGAAGCCAUCAUACUCCUCGAUUAUAAGCGCCAUGCCUUUGAAGUCCCAAGGACCUUGGUGGAUAGCUUUGUUCCAAUCCCCCAAACAAUUGAACUGUACUGAGAACAGAUUUGGAUUAAUCCUACGCCAGAUGGAAAGGCCCUUGUUAUCGCUGAAGCAAUAUAUAUAAAGCUUAAUAGGGCCUAAGAAAGCUCACACAAUUUUGCAGUGGCUAUGGAAAUGUGUUGCCAAACUGAGACAUAAGAUUUUCGUUUGGCAUCCAGACCGUUUGUGUCAUCCUUAAUCUAUGGUUACUCUAAUUUUUUCCGGCCAGGCCUUCCCUGUGGUACCGCAUCAAGGCAUGCGUGUGUAUACGUUUCCUUUAACUACCAUGUGCAGGAUGAGGAUUUACUGCACGCAUGUGCGGCGGCACUCAGGUCCUGGUGCCGGCUUUUUAUUUUGGCUUUAGAUUUUCAAACUUCUAUAUCUUCUAUACAAAAAAUUUAAUUUAAGUUAUGUUUUCAUAUUCGUGUUUCUCGCAGCCAGCACUUUCAAAUAAGAUCCAUUUUGAAUACAGUUUGGCGAUUUUUGAAAACAAUGUUAAGUUUCAUUGUUUGAAACUUAGUACGAGCGGCUGAUAGAAUUCAAUUAUUUUGUGUCUACGACCAACACAGAAAAUUUCUUAAAAUUACAUCUUUGAAACUAGUUUGUAAGUCAUGGACAGUUUUUGAAUUUUUAGGAUAUUUUUUCAUUCAUGAACAUUUUUUAAAUUGGUGAAAUUUUGUUUAAUUUCAUUAACAAAUUUUAGUCACAAACCUUUUUAAAAAAUCAUGAACAUUAACUAGUUCGUGAAAUCCCAAAUUACUUAAAGCAGAAAAAACAAAAACAGAAAAGAGAAAGGAAUAAUGGAAAACAAAGUUAAAAAAUAGGCCAACCGAACAUGGGCCAGCCCAAACGGGCGCACUGCGUCUUCUCCCAGCGUGUGGCCCAAGCGAAAGAUUUCUCUGUAUGAAACUUUUUUUAUCACUUAUUGAUGGCGUUGGUGCGUAAUGUUUUGCAUCUUUAGUGACAAUUUUCAUGACGUACUGCCAGAAGUUAUUGCCACUUUAUUAUUAGGUAGAGAUUAGGUAUAGAUAGGAACUACCAGUAAAUUAGGUAGAUGAUAGAGACGAUGACUCCGAAGAAGAUCACAUGUGUCGAGCUUGGAACAUGCUAACAGAUCUUAGGGCAUCUCCGAUGUAAACCCAUAAAACAGACAUCGCAAAUGUCCGCGAACACGCACCGGACUGGUUCGCGGACACGAUAGGGGAGGGAGCCAUCCAACCUUGAUGGAUGCUACCCGUAUUUCUCUCACAUUUCUCCAGCAUUUCAUCGAACAAUUGAUGUGCAGAAGUAGGACACGUCUGGUUCAUGCAGCUGGGGCGUCCUGGGAGUUCUGCCUCAUCGGGCACGAUUGAUGUGUCACAGGACGAUGGGUGCGGUCUCGGGCGCGUCGGUAGCGGCCACGACGACAAGAGGAGGUCGCGCCACGAGCAGAGCUAGCCACGGGAGCCGCCAUUGGUGCAGCACUUGGCGCAGCCAGCCCACGACACGCCGGGCAUGGCGGCAAGAGAGCUUCAUGAGGCCAGAGCCGAGCUCGGCCUUGAGCUACUUGCCGAGCAGCCAUGGAGGGCAUGGGGAGAUGAGAUGCGCAGGGAGAAGGGAGAGAGGACAGGGAGAAGGGAGAGAGGAGUAGAGAGAUAGGAGGAGGCGGCGAUGAGGAUGGAGCGCUCGCCUGCAGCUGCCCUCACCGUUGUCCGUAGCCGGCAUCGGUGCUCUCCGUUUAGUGUUAUUUGUAAGGAGAGGGUGGGAGUGGAGACGUGGUGUUUUUUUGGUUAGCUGGAUGUUCAGACUCUCACAUAGUCCCUCAAAGUUGUUCGUGUGAUAUCGAAAUUUGAACAUGUGGGCUGUUCCGCGGAUAUUUAGAGGACCCCACUUGAAGAAUAAAAGUGGUCCAAACACUACUGUCUGACAUUUUGCCCUUAGUAGUUGGUGGAUGUCGAUGUGCUAUCCCUCCAACCUAUAUCAAGAGAUCCAUUCACCGUCUGAUCCCUUCUACCAAACACGUCAUUGCUUUCCAUGGUUCUCUCUUGUCGAUGUGUGAAAUAUUAGAAUUUGAGUUGUUUGGUGAAAUGUACGAGCUGACCGCCAAAAGAACAAAAAAUUUCUUUCUUUUUCCUUUUUUUAUAGUUUUGGCAGGUGCAUUUUCAUAUGGUACAUGUCUAGACCAUUUGAACAGUUUAUUUUGAAUUUGUUUCUUCCAUUCUAGCUAAAUAUAAGAGUUUACAAUGUUCGUUUUAAUCCUUUGGAAUAAACAUUUAUUACUAGUAUUAAAAAGACUAAAUUAGCUGCCGCAUUUUUUUCCCUAAUCAACUUGAAGGCUAUCUACACUUUGAUUAAAUUGUCAUUUAUACAUUUCGUGAUAUAUUAUUUCCAUUAUGUAUAUUAACUGCAAUAAAAAUGACGAUAAUCUGUUUUUCCUUAAGUUUUAAUGAAUGUACUAAAUAAUUAAAUAAUAAAAAUUUACUUACAAAAUAUUAACAUGAAAACGUGCCCUAUGAAUAAAAGGUAGAUAUCUAACUCAGGCACUUAUCUGCAAAAUAAAUGUUUUUUUAACAAAAUUGAAAGUAUUUAAAUUAUUUAAAAUGAAUAAAAAGUACAUGGUCCAUUCUACUUUACCGCUCGAAACACACUGAUUUGUUGUGGCAAUAGAAACACUGAAUUUCAGUCCCACUUAUUAAUGUUUGCUAAGUGAUAUCUGACAAUAAAACGUAAAAUAAAUAUUUUUUAUAUUAAAAUUUUUAAUUAUUAAAUUAAUCAUUUUGUCUGUGAUCUUAAUGUGUAAUUUUCUAUUACUUACGUAAAAUAGUUAACCAUAUAACAAUGUUGCUAAAUAAGAGUUAUAAUGUUUCUUUGUUAUGUAGUUGCAACAUAUAUCAGUAAAAUAGUUAAUUCAUAUUUAAAAGGUAUGAUAGAACAAAAGUUAUUUUUUCAAUCAAGUCUUGAAAUUAAAUAAAUUUAUAAUGUAUAUACAUAUAUUUCCAUACAUUUGUAUGUGUUCAUCGAGAUUUUAAUGUCAUUAAAUAUCAUGUUAGAGAUUUCAAAAGUGUGCUUUCUAACAUGUAUCUUAGUAGUAGUUUCUAGUGUAAUACUAUGUAAUCAUAUUUACAGAAAUUUCUAGAGCACGAAAUAUAUGUCUUGCAAGUUGGAUUCGGUAAUAAGUUGGCAUCAUGACCAUGCUAUUUGUUACAAUUAUUUUUUAUUUUAAAUAAUAACAAAUAACAAAAAAAUAUAAAAUUUAUGGGUGAAUCAUGCAAGUGAGGAGAACACACCAAUGAUGAAAGACAGUGCAUUUCUACGUGGAAUUCAUAUUGACAAACCUUAAGAAUCACAUUCAUUUCUAUGUUUUUAUAGAUUAUGCCCCAUUUGCGGGACUCAGAUACAAGUCAGUUCAAGGUGUGGAGCACGAGAAAACAUAGGAUUCAAGACCAGAUCAGCGACCGACUUCAAAAACAAAUAAGUAAAAAUUGCACAUUAGGUAUCAAGAUUAGGAGUAGAUGGAAAAUUAAUUGAAAGAAAUGGAGCAAAUAGCUCUGCAAUAAGUGCUCUCGCUAGAAAAUAAAUGUUGCGUUAGACGAUCCACUUGAAAACACACAUAUGAAGUGGUGGAGCCGGAAUUUUCACAAUGGGUAUGCAAAGCUAUAAAAAAUUGAUGGGCAACACUAACAACCAUGAAACUGCAUAUUAUUCUCCCUUUUUUUCACAUAUCGACAAUUUAAAUAAAAAAUGACUAGUUAAGCUUGAUUGAAUACUACAAUAAAUUAAACAACAGAUUGAGGAUCAGCCUCUGCUCCGAGUAAAAAAAUAAAGGGAAACUCUAUACAUCAGUAGUCUGCUGUUUCAUCCAUCGGAAUCCUCCACGGCCUUAGAUUCAUUUUCCAUUUGACAUACAUGAUGCUCAUCUAUCCUUAGCUGCCAGCCUCUGGGCCAGAAUGACUACCCUACCCGUGCCCCCACCUUCACCCGAGAGACACCCACCUUCACAUUCUUCCUGUCCAGGAAAGCGACUAAAUUUAGCUUCUCCUCCCACACCAGCAAAACUCCAUCCACCUCGGCCAUCUCUUACUUCACCGAUUGAUCUCCACCUGGUCGCAUGAUAUAAGCUCAUUAUCCUUCGAUGGAAGCAUAAUUAACUUGUAGUGCUAAAAACAAACUUGAAGAUCGUUGGGAGCAAAAUGUGCUCCUUAAGAUAGCAAACUAGUACAAGUAUAUUGGGAAACUCAUUUUAGAGUCAUUAAUUUCCGUAACACUCAAAAUCAGUUUCCUAGAAUUUUGGGGGCAUGAAUUAAGCGAUCAUGUUAAUAAGGGAUCUCAUGUAAUGUUCGAUUCCUAAAAAGCUAUAACCCACUACCUAUUUUCCCUUUACAUGCAACCAUUCCACAUAAGCAAGUCAUGCAUGCAAGUCAUAAAUUACAUUGUUUUUGCAUUACUCUAUGCAUACAGCGUUGCCACAUCAUCAACUCAUGCAUGUUAGUCAUAAUCUAUUGUUUGCAUUAGAUUUUUAUUUUUGGGAAGCAAGAGCUUUGAUUCAUUAAUUAGUGGGCUUACAAUCGUUUUGUAGACAGACAACUAAAAUGGUAUGCACAUAAUUGAUCCAAAGACAUCUCCUUCUACUAGCUGGCGCUUGUUGUGAGCAAAGAUGUGCCCGUUCAUUGGCCUUAUGUCCAAUGAAGUUCAAUUUGAAAAAAAAUCCAAAUUGCCGCUAAGAUCCUCAAUUUCUUGUAGAAUCGAAGCAAUCACAGACCGACCCUUGGCGCAAUCCAUCCAAAGCUUGACAACUUCACUUGUAUCAAACUUUAGAUAGGCCGAAAAAUGACAGACUAGCUCGAAUCCAUCCCGAAUUGCUAGAGACUACAAGAUCAAAGCGUUAGCUGCUUGGUCGUACCAGAUAGCUUGUCCCCUAAUCAAGCUACCCAGUGGUGUUAUUACGGCCCUGGGGUGCCUCACUUUGUUAGUUGUCGGCCCACUAGGUUAGUUCCACGCUCAGUCAUCAUGCCGACCCACGUGCCCUAUACAAAGAAGACUCCAGAAGCCUUGCCAUUCAAGACAAGGAAGCCGGAGUGUUGGUGUACAAAAAUAGGGGUCUUUCUGUACCCCUUUACUUGUGCGCGGACAGUUGUAGCCACACCUGCGGCCACGCUUGGCGGGGCAAAGGAAACGAAGAUACAGGACUGCCAGGGCAGUGCUCAAGCCAGAGGCGCAAAGAGCAAAGGGACAAGAUGGAUUUCCCCCGGCGAGAGCCUUGCCGGGGUGACCUACAUAGCCCCGGCAAGAGCCAUGCCGAGGCAACUUGCCCAACACCUGCAAGGCCGCCACCUUUGAGCUUGAGAGUUCUGACACCAUCGACAACGUCGAGACCAAGACUCAGGGGCGCCUGUGUGAUGGCAAGCAGAUCUUUGUGAGGAACAAAGGCCUGCGAAUCUGGACAGAAACCAGAAGGCGAAGACCCACGGCAAGAGCCUUGCCAGGGACAGGCGGAGACCACCGGCAAGAGCCUUGCCGGGGACAGGCGGAGACCCCGGCAAGAGUCUUGUCGGGGACAGAUGAAGACCCCCGGCAAGAUUUUUGCCGGGGACGCCCGCGAGACCCCGGCAAGAUCUUUGCCGGGGGCUUCUGCGGGGCUAAGGCCAGGCUCUCACUUACCAACGUUUCGCUGCCCCGCACCCGUGCCGACGCGACAAUCAGCCCGCCAACCAGGCAGGCGCCUGCGUGGCAGCAAGCAACCUCUAGGCCAACUAGACAAGCACCUGCGUGGUGGCAUGCAGAUCUUCGUGAAGACCCUGCCACCGUACUAGCACAGCAGCCAGCCAGCCAGCGUGGCGCUGCAUGCCUCGUCAGCUUGGAUGCGCGUCGAAGCAAGGCGAGGCGGCGAUGGACGGGACAAGCUUCUUUUCCGUCCCUAAUAAAGCAAGAGGACACGUAGGCGCAUUAAAUGAGUUUGUGCCACGAUGUCAGGGAUAGACUUGUACACUAUAGACACUUUCCACCUCCCGUGUGCCACUGUGGAAACCCCUUUGACAUAUAAAAGGAGGCUCGAGGCGUACUGAGGAAGGAUUUCGGACUUUUUGAACUAGGCAUGCACCGCAGCUAGUUCAACAGCUCAAGAACACCAAAUAUAUACACCAAAGUAGGACUAGGGUAUUACACAUCGCUUGCGGCCCGAACCUGGGUAAAAAAUCCCCUAGCGCUGAUCUUUUAGUCCCGCUCUUUGCACAGCUCUGCGCCCCGCCAACCGUAGUAGGGAUUCCCCGUGAUCCCAUAGGUGUCGUUUCCCCCGACAUCUUUGGCACGCCAGGUAGGGGGCGCAAGCUGUGAAAAUCUGGUCUAGGUGUUAGCGCAUCGACUUCAUCGUCGCCAUGGCCCCCAAGAAGAAGGGGAUCACAACGAUCUGGUCGUCCGGAGACGGCCCGUCCGCACCGGUGCGGGCAGCCAACGGGGUGGCCAUGGAUGGUGCCGGAGGCGCGGCCCGCGAGCAUCCACGACACUAUGGCAAUCGGAGCCAGGCGAGCGGCGUCGUUCGGAUCCAAGACAACGAGCCACACGCGGUUGGGUCCGGGGGCGGGGCCGUGCUGCCCAUGGGCUACGCGGCAACCUCUAGGACGCCCCAGCUGGCGCCCGCGCCGCGGCCCAGGCCGCGCGCCACGAGCAACACCGCGACGUCGGUGCCCCCGGGCGCCGCCGCGGGAAAAGCCCAUUGCGUCACUCUCAGGACGCACAGGGCCGUCGUGCGCACCUGGACGCUGGCGGAAGCGGCGCGCGACCGCGAGACCGUGAUAGAGCUCCUUCUAACGUGGUUAGAAGUCGGACCGCGUCACAAUCCAUGCAGAUUUCGCCGCCACCCACGCCGGCAGAAGCAUUGGCGGUCGUGCAACUGCUCCUCGACUUUCCUCCUGCCGCGGAGAAGCUUGACGAGUGGAGAGUCACCAUUCGAAGCCUCAUCAGCUUUGCCAAUAAAUAUGAACCAUGACCGGCGGGACCCUCGUGUCGGCGCUCCGUCGAGCCGGCGCACGCCGGUGGUGGGAGGACCGCGGCUGCUGCGACCACGGUGCACUCUCCUCCCCUUGCCAGCAACAGCAGCCACCGGCUCGUCGGGCCGACGCCUGUGACAAUGUUUCCACAACGUCGUCCGACCCGCGAGCCCGCUGCGACCAACAUCAAGUUCUGAGCGAGCUCAGGAGGACACUCGGACCACCAUCGAGCGGCAGCGGGAAGCGUGCCAUCAGUCUGGGGCCCACUAUGGACCGCCCAACGCAGGGGGGGCUCCGGCGACCUACCUUACGAGGUGGGUUGUCCACCCUUUACCCGUGAGCUGCGGCAGUUCAAGUGGCCCACCCACCGCAUGUUCAAGCCUGAGGUUGAAGAGAAGUACAACGGCAAGACUCACCCGUCGGAGUUCCUCAGCAUCUACACUAUCGCGAUGCAAGCUACCGGGGCUCGCGACAAGGUGCUUGCCAACUACUUUCCGUUGGCGCUUAAGACCAACGUCAUGUCAUGGUUGAUGCACCUGCCAGUGGAUUCCAUCUCUUCCUGGUCGGAUCUGUGCCACGAGUUUGUUGGCGCCUUUACCAGAGGCCACCAAGCUCCUGGCCAGGCAAAUGAUUUGCAUGUCAUCCCCCAGAAGGACGACGAGACCCUGCACAAAUACAUACAAAGGUUCAGCCGUGUGCAGUACAACAUCCCAGAUGUUCACCCCACCGCUGUCAUUAGUGCAUUCCAUCAGAAUGUGCGCAACCGCAAGAUGCGUGAAGAGCUGGCGAUGAACAAGGUUAAGGAUGUAGCCGAGCUUUAUGUUCUAGCUGAUAUAGGUGCGCUCGGGCUGAAGAAGGAAGGAAGUACCCCGGCGAGGACGCGGGCGCGGAAACCGACUCCAUGGAUGAAGAUGCCGUUGCCCCGGCAAAGAAGGGUCGACGCCGCAAUAGGAAGUGUAAGGGCAAGACCGUGCUUGCCAUUGAGGGAUCCGGCAACCCCGGCGCCGCCAAGAAGGCCAAGGCUGACGACCACGGCAAGGAAGUUGCCGGGUGCGCCAUCUGCCGGGCUUUGGCGGCUGCCAACAAGCAGUACUGCAAGAUCCAUCGCACCAAGGGCCAUGACCUCCAGAACUGCCAACAGGUUGAGCUGCUUGCGGAGAAGUAGAAAGCUGAAUAUGAAAUGCGGGACAAGGAGAAGGGUCAGGAUGGUGCCGUGGGGUCCGGCAAGGAGCGUGUCAGCCAGGGAGGUCACUGCGGCAAAGAUAAUCAACAAGAGAGGCCCGCUCGGGGCCGUGAUAAGAAAGAGGGGGACGAUGACCAUGAUGGCGAUGACGAGUCCACCAAGCAUGAGUUCUAGAAGGCCACGGAUUCCAUGUGCGUCAACGGUGGUGCCUCGUUUCACACCUCUCACCACCAGCUGAAGCAGUGGGCGCGUGAAGUCACUGCGGCAGAGCCAUUGUUCGAUGCCCAGACGCCACUGAAGUGGUCCAGCACACCUAUCAUUUUUUACACCGAGGAUCGAUAUCACCCCGAUCGCACAACUGCGGUCGGGUGCUUGCCGUUGUUGGUUUCACCAACGAUAAGCAACCUCAAGGUGACAAAAGUGCUAGUUGAGGGUGGGGCCGGUUUGAACUUGAUCCCGCCCGCCGUGAUCAAGAGACUACAGAUCCCUGAUGGAGAUCUCGAGGAGACUGGCACGUUUCAAGGGGUCAACCCGGGGAGGAGUCAGCCGAAGGGUAAGGUCACGUUGCCCGUUACAUUUGGGGGCGAGCUGAAUUAUAGGAUGGAGAAGAUCGUUUUUGAUGUCGCCAAGAUCCCCUUGCCCUGUAAUGGGAUCCUUGGCCACCCGGCACUGGCCAAGUUCAUGGCGGCGUCACAUUACGCCUACAACACGUUGAAGAUGCCCGGGCCAAUGAGCAUCAUCACCGUCCCUCCGACAAGAAGGACGCUCAUCUGUGCCGACCAACUUUAGCGGGAGGCAGUUGCAGCAACUGCCGCCAAGGCACUUGCUCCUGCCGCUGAAGCCCAGGAAGGGAAGAGAACUGGCAAGACCUCCUGCACCCACUCCGGCAAGCGCGCCUCUUCGGAGUGCUGCACUCCCGUCGAGGGCGUGCCAGAGAGCUCCACCGGCAAGAGCAAGAAAUCCAAGGCAGCACCACCUGAGACCAAGAAGGUGCCCAUCAAGGAGGACGGCACGGGCGGGGAUUUUACUAUAAGAUCCACCCUUGACAGUAAAUAGGAAAGCGCGCUCGUCGCCUUCCUGCGGGCGAAUGUCAAUUUGUUUGUGUGGCAAGCACCGGACAUCCCCGGCGUUCCCAGGGAGUUGAUUGAGCACCAUCUUGAUGUCUGUCCUCAUGCGCGGCCUGUCAAGCAGAAGGUCAGGAAGCAAGCUUUGGAACGAAAAGAAUUCAUCGUCGAGGAGAUCAGGAAGUUGGAGGCAGCAGGCUUGGUCAGAGGAGUGCUCCACCCCACGUGGUUGGCGAAUCCAGUGGUGGUGCGCAAGGCAAAUGGGAAAUGGAGGCUGUGUAUUGACUAUACAUAUAUCAAUAAAGCCUGUCCAAAGGAUCCUUUCCCUCUGCCACGCAUUGACCAGAUAGUGGACUCCACUGCUGGGUGUGACUUGCUGUCAUUCCUCGACGCCUACUCAGGAUACCACCAGAUCUUCAUGAUGAAGGAAGACAAAUAAAUGACUGCGUUCAUCACCCAUGUGGUAUGUACUGUUUUGUACGGAUGCCUUUCGGGUUGAAAAGCAUUGGUUCGAUAUUUUCCCGAGCAGUCCAAAUUGGUUUUGAGCCAUAGCUGCAUAGAAAUAUGGAAGCUUAUAUGGACGAUAUAGUGGUCAAAACCAAGGACAAGGCUACGCUCGUGCAGGAUCUGGAGGAAACAUUUGCAAACCUACGCAAGAUCAACCUCAAGCUCAAUCCAGAGCAGUGCGUGUUCGGCGUUCCGUCCAGCAAGCUUCUUGGUUUCUUUGUGUCUCAACGUGGAAUCGAAGCAAAUCCCGACAACAUCAAGGCGAUUGAGCAAAUUGAGGCACCAAGACGGGUCAAGGAUGUCCGUAGACUUUCCGGCUGCGUUUUUGCUCUAAGUAGGUUCAUCCCCAAAUCUGCUGAGCGCGCCCUCACCUUUUUCAAAGUUUUGAAAAAGGCGGGUCCAAUGAAAUGGACUCCGGAGGCAGAGGCAGCGCUGCAAGAUCUGAAGAGGUAGCUCUCCUCCACGCCAACACUGGUCACGCCUAAGCCACAAGAGCCGUGCUACCGUAUCUAGCGGCAACGAAUCAAGUGGUUAGUGCUGCACUGCUGGCGCAGGGGAACUUGAGGAAGAAACAGCGGUAGCGGCCGAGCCGUCGGAUGAUGUGCCAAGGCAUUCCCCAGCACGGCCUGAUAUCGGCAAGGUGGGACCCCCGGCAAGGCCUGAUCCCGGCAAGAUAGAGUCUGCGCAAGUAGGCGAAGUUGAACAGAAGAAGAAGGUGGUGCAGCACCCGGUUUAUUUUGCCAGUUCCCUCUUGCAGGGGGCUAGAUCAAGAUAUUCUAGUAUGCAGAAGCUACUUUUCGACCUCCUCAUGUCCUCGAGAAAGCGGCGCCACUAUUUCCAAGCACAUGAGAUCACCGUCGUCACCCUCCCUUUAAAGUGAAUCUUGCACAACCCAGAUGCGACUGGGAGGAUUGUGGAGUGGGCGUUGGAGCUGUCAAGCUUUGGCCUCAAGUUUGAAAGUACUUCAACGAUCAAGAGCCGGGCCUUGGCAGAGUUCAUAGCAGAAUGGACCGCAACGCCCGACGAAGAGAUUCAAGAGACCACCCUUCCCGGUAAGGAGAUGUCCGUGAUUGGGUUAUGUACUUUGCUGGAGCUUUCCCACUGCAAGGUGCUGGUGCCGGCAUGCUACUCGUCACACCCACUGGAGAGAGCCUCAAGUACGUAGUCCAGAUGCACUUUCACUUGGAAAAAUCAACGAACAACAUGAUGGAGUAUGAGGGAUUGCUUGCCGGUCUCAGGAUCGCAGCAGACCUCGGAAUCAGGAAGCUCAUCAUCAGAGGUGAUUCGCAGCUAGUCGUCAAGCAAGUUAACAAGGAUUACCAGAGCCCGUUGAUGGAGGCCUAUGUGGAUGAAGUGAGGAAGUUGGAAGAGCGUUUUGACGGUCUACAAGCAGAGCAUGUUCCCCGAGCAGAGAACAGCAUUGCCGACGACCUGUCGAAAUGCGCUGCCCUCAAGUUGCCUGUGGAACCAGGUACCUUUGUGCUUCAAUUAACUCAGCCAUCCGUUGAGCCGUCAGUAGGACAGAACAAGCGAAGGAAGGCAGGCCCCGGCAAGUACUUUCCCACUGAGCUCCCAGGAGCCGCGGGCAAGGAAGUUGCCGGGUAUCCCAAGCUUGCCGAGGAGCAGCAACCUCCGGCAGGGCACCAGGCCCUGACCGUAGAGGCAGCUGCCCCUACGGCCGAGAAUGAGCCUUUAGUCCUUGCCGUCGAGCCCCAGGCUCUGGCAUGGGCGCAGCGCACCGUCCGUUUCCUCCAAACGGGGGAACUCCCUGAGGAAUAGGAAGAAGCAGAGAAAGUAGCCCGUCGGUCCAGCACGUACCAGUUUGUGGAUGAUACCCAAUACAGAAGGAGACCAAACGGUGUGAAAUUGAAGUGCAUUCCUCAGGAGGACGGACUGGAGUUGUUGGCGGAAAUACAUGGAGGCAUAUGUGGCUCUCACAUAGGAUCAAGGGCCCUUGCCGGCAAGGCAUUCUGGCAAGGUUUCUUUUGGCCCACUGCCCGCCAGGAUGCAACUGCACUAGUAACCAAGUGUGAAGCGUGUCAGUUCCAUUCAAAGAAGCUCCAUCAGCCAGCUCAAUCUCUUCAGACAAUCCCUCUCUCCUGGCCAUUUUUGGUCUGGGGGCUCGACAUACUGGGGCCCUUUCCCCGUGCUGUCGGGGGCUUUGAGUACUUGUACGUUGCAAUCGAGAAGUUCACAAAGUGGCCAGAAGUGGAACCGGUGAGAAAGGUGACAGCACAAUCAGCUGUCAAGUUCUUCAAGGGACUAGUAUGCCGUUUUGGUGUGCCAAAUAGAGUCAUCACCGACAACGACACACAGUUCACAAGCCGCACCUUUAUGUAGUAUAUUCGAAACCUCGUCGGCAAGGUUUGUUUUGAUUCUGUUGCUCAUCCCAGAAGUAAUGGCCAGGCUGAGAGGGCGAACGCAAAGGUGUUGUGAGGACUCAAGACCAGGAAUUUUGACAGGCUACACAAGUGCGGAAGGCGCCGGAUUGAUGAGUUGCCAACUAUUCUUUGGUCGAUCAGAACGACGCCAAAUCGAGCCACUGGCCAGACACCCUUUGCCCUGGUAUACGGGGUAGAAGCAGUUCUCCCCACGGAACUCAUAUACGGGUCACUGAGGGAGUCCUGGACAAAGGGGUCCUCGGGCGUCCGGCCUGUUAGCCAUGGGCCGGACUGAUGGUCUAUGAAGAUACGCAGACCGAAGACCCUACCCGUGUCCGGAUGGGACUCUCCUUGGCAUGGAGGGCAAGCUUGGCGAUUAAAUAUGUAGAUUCCUUUCUUUGUACCGACCUUGUGUAACCCUAGAUCCUCCCGGUGUCUAUAUAAACCGGGGGGACUUAGUCCGGAGGGGGGAGAGACUCAUUACCAUAGUCAUACAGGCUAGACUCUUAGGGUUUAGCCAUUAUGAUCUCGUGGUAGAUCAACUCUUGCAAUACUCAUAUUCAUCAAGAUCAAUCAAGCAGGAAGUAUGGUAUUACCUCCAUAGAGAGGGCCCGAACCUGGGUAAACAUUGUGUCCCCUGUCUCCUGUUACAAUCGACCUUAGACGCACAGUUCGGUACCCCCUACCCGAGAUCCGCCGGUUUUGACACCGACAUUGGUGCUUUCAUUGAGGUUCCACUAUGCCGUCCCCAAAAGGUUUGAUGGCCCCUUCAAUCGUCAACAAUGAUGCUGUCCAAGGAGAAACCUUCCUCCCCGGACAGAUCUUCGUGUUCGGCGGCUUUGCACUAUGGGCCAACUCGCUUGGCCAUCUGGAGCAGAUCGAUAGCUACGCCCCUGGCCAUCAGGUCAGAUAUGGAAGCUUGAACUACGUCGCGGACAUCCGUGGAGACUUGAUUUUUGACGGAUUUGAGACCGCGGCGACCGCUCCUUGUCGCCACGAUGAACAUGAGUUAAAUCUGUCAUCGGACCGCAUCCAGGAGAUAGCUUCCGUAACUGCUCUGGCUCUAGAUCCGGAGCAGACCGCGCCAUCCGAGGACGGGAAGCUCAACCCCGCCAUGGAGGUCACAGAUUCUGCAGCGUUGGAGCCGCACAUAGACUUAACCUCACGCAAUAUCUGUGUCACCGGAACUCCGGACUCGUCUCCGGCUAUAAGUUCCGAACCAUGUGCGUCCGCAGAGGCCGAGCUUGAUCAGUUAUCGAUCUUCGAAUUCAGUGCCGCAGACAUCUUCUGACACUCGCCCCUCGGCCUUGUGCUGAACUCGUUAAAGAAUCUUUCCUUGGCGAGGGACUCACAGCCGAAUUAUGUCCGGUUUGAACAGGAGGCUGACGAUGGGGGAGAAUUUCGCUUCCCACCCGCCACCCACUUCAUAGCCACUGUCGAGGACUUAACCGACAUGCUUGAUUAUGGCUCCGAAGACAUCGACGUUAUGGACAACAAUGCUGAGGAGGAGCAAAGGCAAAACCCGCCAUUUACUGGACGCUGGACGACCACCUCUUCGUAUGAUGUGUACAUGGUGGAUACACCCAAAGCAACCAACGACGAUGACAAAGAAAAUACAGUUGAGAGUAAACCUCCUGAGACACAGCACAAACGUCGGCGUCCUCGGCGCCGCUCUAAGUCACGUCGUUCAAAAGACAGCAAUACUAGCACCGGAGAAAAUAAUACUCCGGACGAUGCCGAAAACAAUGAAGACCCUGUUGAGGUAACAUCCGAACAGGAGGAACAAGAAAACAGGCAAGUUAGCCCCGAUGAACAGGCCAUGCCCAACGACUCGUAGGACGGUAGUUAUCGUCCGCUCUCCGAGGAUGAGGAAUGCCUCGGCAACGAGGAUUUCAUUGUGCCCGAGGAACCUCUUGAGCAGGAGCACUUCAAGCGGCAGCUAAUAGCCAUUGCAAGGAGCCUGAAAAAGAAGCAGCAGUAGCUUCAAGCUAACCAAGAUCUGCUCGUCGACAGGUGGACUGAUGUCCUGGCAGCCGAGGAAUACGGCCUCAGACACCCAGCCAAAAGUUACCCGAAGAGCAGAUUGCUACCUCAGUUCGAUGAAGAAGCGCCAGAGCCCAUACCUCCCUUGCAUAAUGCGGCCGAUCGACCACUACGCGGUCGGGAUAGUGCGGCGGACCGACCACCAUGCGGUCGGGAUAGAGCGGCAACUCAGGCCGAACAGCAGCCCGCCCCACCGCCAUGUAAAAAUAGAGACAAAACAGUUCGGGGUCAUACAUACGACCUUCGGCAGGACCUGGAUAGUAGAGCAGGAUAUACCAGAUCGAUUUACGGAUCGCGAGGAUGUUCCUCGACACGCGAUGAUGGCUACUUAUUCGGACGUGACAAACCUAGUCACGCCCGGGCCGACAACCGCAGACGGACUCCAUCAGAGCUACGUCGCGAUGCGGCCAGAUAUAGAGGCGCCGCACACCCUCUUUGCUACACUGAUGCAGUAAUGGAUCAUGAAUUCCCCGAAGGGUUCAAGCCCGUGAAUAUUGAAUCAUACGACGGGCAACUGAUCCCGCGGUAUGGAUCGAGGACUUUAUCCUCCACAUCCACAUGGCCUGCGGAGAUGACCUCCACGCUAUCAAAUACCUCCCACUAAAGCUUAAAGGACCAGCUCGGCACUGGUUAAACAGCCUGCCAGAAAAUUCUAUCGGCAGCUGGGAGGACUUGGAAGAAGCCUUCCUCGACAACUUCCAAGGUACAUAUGUCCGGCCACCAGACGCCGAUGACUUAAGCCACAUAGUUCAACAGCCUGGAGAGUCAGCAAGGAAAUUCUGGACUAGGUUCCUAACUAAAAAGAACCAGAUCGCCGACUGUCCGGAUACCGAGCGGCCUUUAAACAUAGCAUCCACGACGAAUGCCUCGCCCGCCACCUCGGCAAAGAAAAGCCAAAAUCUAUGGCAGCCCUUACGGCACUCAUGACCCGCUUUUGCGCGGGUGAGGAUAGUUGGCUGGCUUGUAGUAAAAACACAGCCAGCGAGGCAGGCCCCUCUGAGGUCAAAAACAACAACGGCAAGCUCCGACGUAACAGACACAAACGCCGAAGCAAUGGUGAUAAUACCGACGACACUACAGUCAACGCCAGAUUGAGCGGCUCCAAGUCCAACCAACAGAAGAAACCGUACGAAAGAAACAAUCAGGGACCAUCCAGCCUAGACCGCAUACUCGAUCGUCCGUGCCAGAUACAUGGCACCCCAGACAAACCAGCCAAUCAUACCAACAGAGAUUGUUGGGUUUUUUAACAGGCCGGCAAAUUAAAAGCCGAGAACGAGGAAAAGGGAUCGCAAAGCGAGGACGAUGACGAGGAGCCCCGGCAACUGAACACAGGGGGGCAAAAGAAGUUUCAUCUCAGGUCAAAACAGUAAACAUGAUAUAUGCUACACACAUCCCCAAAAGGGAACGCAAGCGCGCACUCAGGGACGUCUACGCGAUAGAGCCAGUCGCCCCAAAAUUCAAUCCAUGGUCGUCAUUCCCGAUCACCUUUGAUCGUCGGGAUCAUCCGACUAGUAUCCGUCAUGGCGGUUGAGCCGCGCUAGUCCUCGACCCAAUCAUUGAUGGAUUUCACCUAACGCGCGUCCUUAGGAACGGGGGUAGCAGCCUCAAUUAGCUCUAUCAGGAUACAGUGCGCAAAAUGGGCAUUAAUCCAUGAAACCCACCAAGACUACCUUCAAAGGAGUCAUACCAGGUGUAGAGGCCUGCUGUACGGGCUCAAUCACACUAGAGGUUGUCUUCGGAUCUCCGGACAAUUUCCGAAGCGAGGAGUUAAUCUUUGACACGUCCCCUUUCGCAGCGGCUAUCACGCACUGCUCGGACGGUCCGCAUUCGCUCGAUUCAAUGCAGUGCCACACUAUGCUUAUCUCAAGCUCAAGAUGCCCGGUCCACAUGGCGUCAUAAUGGUCAAUGGAAAUACGAAACGCUCCCUCCGUACAGAAGAGCACACAGCUGCCUUAGCAGUAGAAGUACAGAGCGGCCUUCUCAAGCAGAACCUUAAUUCGGCUGCCGAGCCCACGGACACCGUUAAGAGGGUCCGAACUACCCUGCAGCAGGACAGCUCGGCUCGUUAGGAGCUCGACUAGCAAUUCGGCCUCCGUCUCAGUCCCGGUCAAGUGGUGGCAUUCGUACCACGCGUACAUAACUACGCACUCAAAAUUCCAUGGGCAUCGACGAAGGCAUAGCUAGUUUGUGAUCCACAGUAUGGCUCAACCAGCACCGGAUACACACAAACUUUCACUUUUAUUCGUUUCCUUUUCAGGUUUCAAUCCCGCAGGCCCCAUCUGAUGGCCUGAUCACCGGUCCUCUUGAAGGAUAAACACACCUAGACGGCAAGAAACACAGACGUUUGGGGGACUUUCAAGGUGGUUUCAUUAACGAUCACUCUACCUGUUUUUCAGGACCCACAUGCAGCUCUCCCUUGGUUUUUGGGCAUGUUAAAUAGCCUGUUGCUUAUCGCACUACUUGUAUCAAUGCGCCUUGAUGUAUUAAUCAAAUUACAAUGGAAACAGUUCGCGGCCCGAGCUUUAGGGCCCCAGCUUAUCACCUUUGCACCCUUUCUGUUUUCUUUUCUUUUUUUCUCUCCUAUGGGUAACCUUAUCAGGUAGCACCCGUACACUUUGGUACGUUUCAUAUUUGCCAUGGGCUUCACAGCACCCCGCACUACGGCAACAAAAGUCCAAACACUUUUUAUAAUAUAGUUCGGCACCCCGAAUUUAACAAUAUAUGCAUUGGCUCCGAAUCAUGUCUUUGGUCAAUAGUUGGGUUGCCCGGCUCCUGUGCUUGCUACCUUAUGUUCCGCUAUAUCGGCUAAGGUAGUAAAGGGAGAACUACUGCGAUUCGGCCUUGGUUUAUCGAAAGGAGCACCUCAGUAGAGAAUGCCGAAAACUGACUGCCAUGAUGCGGCGAGAGCCGGUCAGCUCUUCGGAGGUCGCAAAUCGUUGGAGAUUUCUUUCGCAUUACGCGAACGAUCGGUACUUCCAAAUCAGGCACUUAUAGCACUCUAGUUCGGAUACUAGGGUCUAUGCCAACAUUUUUAUUAUCAAACUCCUAUGGCUAAGUGAGGGCGUUAAAGCCGCAUAGUCUGAUUACCUGGUUCGUUGCGCUAAACAACUCCUUGAAGGAACAUAUAAUUGGAUCAAGAGUGUUUAGAUUCCAUCCCGAACACCUCCGUACUACCUACGAGGGGGCAGAAGCCGAUGACUGGCCAACCCUCAGAUUUCAUACAACACUGCCGCACAGGAGGUAAUUUUUUUAACAUAACAAACAUUAUAUUACAAACCGAAUUUGUUUUAUCAUACAAGGUAGAGGCAACUCGAAUACAUUCAUUCCAAGAUAAUGUCCUGCGAACACUGCGUCGCUACAAUACGAGACCCCUCCAGGACGUCUCCAAAAUACCACUCGGGUGUGCGGUGCACCUUGCCCUCGGGUGGCCCCUCGGUCACAAUCUUGAUGGCGUUCAUCUUCGCCCACCAGACCUUGACGCGGGCGAAGGCCAUACGCGCACACUCGAUGCAGACGGACCGCUUGACGGUGUCCAGCCGAGGACAGGCAUCCACCAGCCGCUUCACAAGGCCGAAGUAACUACUGGGUAUAGCUUCGGUUGGCCACAGCCGGACUAUUAAAUCCUUCAUGGCCAGUUCGGCCACCCUGUGCAGCUCGACCAGCUGUUUUAGCUGAUCGCUGAAGGGCACCGGAUGUUCUGGCGCAAGAUAUUGCGACCAGAACAGCUUCUCCAUGGAGCUCCCUUCUUCGGCUCGGAAGAACUCCGGAGCAUCGGCCACACUACGUGGCAGAUCAGCAAAAGCCCCUAGAGAACUCCGAAUCCGGGUUAGUUAAAGAUACUUCCUCUUCACAUACUUGCUUUGCAUACUAAAUGCCUUACCCGCCGCGAUCUUCCUGGCGUCCUGGAUCUCCUGGAGGGCGCCCUAGGCCUCAUUCCGGGCCGUCUCCACGCUCUGACGAGCCUUGGCGAGUUCGGUCUCUUGAGCCGACGCAUCAUGCUCCAAGGUCUCGCACUUCCUCACCGCGUCCUGGAGCUCUUGCUCGACCUCGUUGACCCUGGCCUUGAGCUUCUUACGGGCGGCCUGCUCCUUGACAGCCUUCCCCUCAGCUUCGGUCAGGGCCUUUUUUAGGGCCUCGACCUCGGUCGUCGCUCGUAUACAUAUCAUGACACUUCAGUCAAUAAAUAUCAUUUUACUCUUUUCGAAUAUAUAACGGGUUAUUACAUACCUUGCUUCUCUUAGAGCUGCCUCCUCACCUGGUCGAGCUCCUCCUCGGCCUACUCCAGUCUUUGCUUCAGUCCGGAGACUUCGGCACUAUGCGAGGCCGCGGCCAGCAGCGACGCCUGCGUAUUCAUUUCAGACAUAUUUAGUAGUUUCCUGCAAUAAGGGGAUUAUCAUCUGUCCGUCUUUUCUUUCCGAACACCGGACAAUGUCUCAGGGGCUACUGUCUGUAUUGGGAUCUUCUCUUUUUUCGUCGCUUACCUCAAAACCUGUUAGCAGGCUGCUGCAGGCUUCGGUUAGUCCGCUCUUGGCGGACUGAACCCUUUCAAUUACCGUGCCCAUAAGAACACGGUGCUCAUCCAUAAUGGAAGCGCCUCACAGCGCUUCCAGCAGAUUAUCCGCUGCCCCUGGUUGGACAGGGGUCACCGGCGGAAUAGGCAUACCCCUUCUUUCGAAGGAGGUUGCAUGCCGGAUUCCGGAGCCGUAUCGGUCUCCGGAAUCAAGUUCGGCUGAGGGCCGAACUGAAUAUGGCCCUCAUCACCAGUAUCCAUGGGGAUUGGCUCCCCCUGGUGUCCGGCAACGGAGGCUUCACCUUCUGGCGCCUCCUGAACCUCUCCUCGGCCUGGGAAAGUCCUUCAAGACAGCACCUCGGCGUCGCCCUUGGCCUUGGGGGAGUGAGCGGUCGGCGAUGAAUCGCUGGCCAUCGCCUUUGAAUCCAACGAACCUCUUGACGAGGAUCGCUGGGAGCUGUCGUGGGCCGACUUCAAUAGCAUAAUUAACCAUGUCAAUACAAUGAAGAGGAGAGGCUCGAUUUAUGAGUAUGUAUGAGUCUUAGCACUUACGAUGUAGCCCGAGGCUUAGUGCGGGGGCGUCGCUCCGGACUGCUGUCGACAUCCCACGCGGAGUUAUCCGCAAGGGAGCCCUUCCCCUUCUUGGACGUCUCCGCCUCCAGAUUCGUGGAGGCCGCCCUCUUCUUCUUUUCCUCAUCAGGGGGAGGGUUGUUCUCCUCCUCCUUCUCGUCGUCGUCGUCCUCAGCAGCGGAGGCAAGGGUCACUUCGUCUUCGGACGUCACGUCCGAAGCACCCUUGCGACAGGGGCCACCUUUGGCCCCCUUGGCCUUCUUCUUGGCCUUCUUUUUCGGCGGCUGAUAGGGCGCCGGAACCAGCAUCUUCGCCAGGAGCGGGAUGACUGGCUCUUCGGGCAGCGGAGCCAAACUCUGGAUCCGCUCCGCUCUCUCCGUCCACACCUGAAAAAAUACAGCAAAGAUUAGGCAUCCUCCUUGAAUAGACAAGUAGAAGGUACGCCUUAAGAAAAGGAGAACUUACCGCAUUGGCGGAUGGGUGUGAUCGUGCCCACGGUCCGAAUCUAUGACCAGCGGCUUCUUGUUGCCCUUGAAGAGCAACUUCCAGGCAUCUUCAUGAGUAGUUCUGAAGAGCCCUCCUAGGGUCUGGUGCUUCUCCGGAUUGAAUUCCCAUAAAGGGAAGCUUUGGCUUUGGUAGGCGAGAAUCCGGCGAACCAGCAUCACCUGGAUCACGUCGACGAGCUUGAUGUUUUUAUCCACCAUACUCUGAAUGCGCAUUUGCAGCGCUAUCAGCUCGUCCGACGCAGACCAGUUGGGGCCCUUCUCCGUCGAGGAGGUGAGCCGCAUUGGAGAUCCGGCCUUAAAUUCGGGAGCCACUGCCCAAGUGGCGCCGCGUGGCUCUGUGAUGUAGAACCACUGCUUCUGCCACUCCUUGACAGUCUCCACAAAAGUGCCUCUGGGCCAAGUAACGUUGGGCAUCUUGCUCACCAUGGCGCCUCCGCACUCCGCCUGCUGACCAUCCACCACCUUCGGCUUCACGUUGAAGACCUUGAGCCAUAGGCUGAAGUGGGGCUGGAUGCGGAGGAAGGCCUCGCACAUGACAAUGAAUGCCGAGAUGUUGAGGAAGGAGUUCGGGGCUAGAUUAUGGAAAUCUAGCCCGUAAUACUACAUCAGUCCGCGGACGAAGGGGUGAACUGGAAACCCCAAUCCGCGGAUGAAGUGAGGGAGGAAAACUACCCUCGCUAUAGGCUUCGGGGUGGGGAUGACUUGCCCCUUGGUAGGCAGGCGAUGGACGAUUCCUUUCGCCAGAUACCCGGCCGCACGAAGCUGGGUGAUGUCCUUCUCCUUGACGGAGGAGACCAUCCACUUGCCUUGGCCUCCGGAUCCGGACAUGAUUGAGUGCUUCCUUGAGGAGGAGAAGAUGGGAACUUGAGCUGGAGCUCGAGAAUGGAAGGACAGAGAGGAAGAGAAGGCGUGGGUAAAGAAAGAGAAUCCUUAUCUCCUUAUAAAAGCAGUGAAUAUUGAACGCCUCCCCACUCACCUUAAAACUCACCUCUUUACAAGGGCUGUGUAAACAACACGUUGGGUUACCCACCCCCGUAUUGAUGAGAAUCCCGCAAUAAGGGGACACGAUCUCUGCUUCGACAAGACGUGCCAAUGGCAACCGCGUCUCGAAACAUGGAGGAACAGACGAAAAACGGUUCGAAAUUAUGACCGGGCGAACGUGAUGUCAUGUUGCAAAAAGUUGUCAACAGAUUGGACUCGUGGAGUGUUAUAUUCUUUGCGGUUCUGUGUGGUGUGCGUGUUACAGGUUCAUACACGAUCAGUGCGUCCGAAGACUAUCUUGGAGUUCGGAAGGAGGAACCCGCCUUGCAAUGCCGAAGACAAAUCUGCGUGCUGGAUACCUCAUCAUUGAAGCCAGGUUCAGGGGCUACUGGGGGAGUCCUGGACUAAGGGGUCCUCGGGUGUCCGGCCUGUUAGCCAUGGGCUGGACUGAUGGGCUAUGAAGAUACGAAGACCGAAGACCCUACCCGUGUCCGGAUGGGACUCUCCUUGGCGUGGAGGGCAAGCUUGGCGAUCAAAUAUGUAGAUUCCUUUCUUUGUAACUGACCUCGUGUAACCCUAGAUCCUCCCGAUGUCUAUAUAAACCGGGGGACUUAGUCCGGAGGGGGGAGAGACUCAUUACCAUAGUCAUAUAGGCUAGACUCUUAGGGUUUAGCCAUUACGAUCUCGUGGUAGAUCAACUCUUGUAAUACUCAUAUUCAUCAAGAUCAAUCAAGCAGGAAGUUGGGUAUUACCUCCAUAGUGAGGGCCCGAACCUGGGUAAACAUUGUGUCCCUUGUCUCCUGUUACCAUCGACCUUAGACGCACAGUUCAGGACCCCCUACCCGAGAUCCGCCGGUUUUGACACCGACAGUCACAUCGAGUGCUCGCUUAUGAUGAGCUUGAGAAAGAGCAGUUGCGCCAAGACGAUGCGACGCUCGUCGAGGAAGAUCGUCUUCGGGCUCCUGUGCGAGCCGCUCGCUAACAGCACCUUGCGCCGCUACCAUAGCCGGAAGGUUCAUGCCCGAAGCCUUGAGGAAGGCGACCUUGUUCUUCGGCGAAUCCAAUCCGCCAAGAAUUCCAACAAGUUGACGCCAAAGUGGGAAGGCCCUUAUCGGGUAAUACGAGUCACCAGGCCCGACAUAGUCCGCCUGGAGACUGAAGAUGGUAUCCUAGUGAGUAAUUCCUGGAACAUCGAGCAUCUUCGCAAGUUUUACCCAUAAGGCUCGGUUGCCGCCCCCCGGCAAACCACCUUUUUGUACAAGCCUUGUCGGCGAGGCAUGUAACCCUUUGUACAAAGCCAGGCGCAGACCCUGAGCAACAGAUGAAUAAAUGAAGCGCUGGCGCCCUAAGUUUUAGCAUGCAUGUUAGGUUGAGUCUCCCUCUGGUAGGGUUGAUAGUGCUUAGCGGCUACUAACCCCUAGCAUAGAGGUUGAGUUUGUGUCUUUGCGUCCCUUCCAGUCCUUCUUGAUUCACAGGCUACACGGGCGCUUCAGCGGAACUUUUUGGGGAAAGGAGACGAGUUGGCACCCCGGCCCCGACAAGCCAUUCUUGCCGGGGGCAACACAUUCAGAUAAGUCUUUUUCCCAGCCACGUACUUCCGUAUGAAGCUUGAACGUAUGAACCCUCGCUUGAUCCCAUGCCACCAUGCUCCCUCCUCCCUAAAUCCGAAUCCCUUUCGGGUUGGAACUUGAUUGUAGUUGCGGUGGAAGGGAGACAGACGAAGGGCCCAAUCCUACUUUUCCACUACCCUCGCCAAGGGCUUGAGUGUAGUCGUGGUAUAAGGUGGGAGGACGGCAAGGCCUGUUGCCGGGCGACGUUGUUUACUUAAAGAAAAACAAGGAUUCGUUCCUUGGUGUGGGCCUCGCUCGCGCACAAAAAACCUGGCAAACCCCCUUUUCAUUGAUACGUUGAUUAAACAAGUACAGUUCAUACGGAAUGUGAACAUGAGCAAGGGGUUGCAAAGUCUAAAUUCGACAAGUGCGCGUAGGCUUAAUAUCUAGAAAAAGAUAAGAUGCAGGUAAUCCGUUUCUUGUCCCUCUUCUCAGGAGGCGGAUUAAGAUAGCGGCAGGGCAAAAGGAGUGGCUAGGCGAGAUACGAGCAGCAGAUGGCACCAAGUGAACGUCCCGGCAGCCGGCCAGAAGAGGGCUGGUGAUGACGGUGCCGGGGAAGAAGCCGAAAGAUGAGGCAGCGGGCCGACAAUACGAGACGAGGGCGUCGAUGCCAUCGUACUCCCACUUGACGGCCCGCCACCCGCCUUCUUCGUCUUAUCCAGCCUUCUAGCGCCAGCCGCCAGAGGCAACGACCCCGAGAAGUUCAAGGAGCUGGCUCGAGGAGCCGCGCCAAGAACUACCCCCCGGCAAAUCACUCUGUCGGGGAGAAGGCCAGGUGCAGAUGGUGCUGCUGUCGGCGUCGCCUAUGGACGGGGCGUCCGACGUCUAGUCGGACCCGUCCCCGUCGUCCUCCCCACCACCCCCCUCCUCGUCACCGUCGCACGAGGAGGAGCUCUCGUCAUCGGUCAAGCUCUCCGCGGAACACCCUAACCUGAUUCCCGAGCGCCCGAAGACCUUGACGGAGAGCAGGUCGCUCUUCACUAAUUUGAAGUGGGGAACGUGCCCCUUCAUCAAGCAGUGGGUGCGUGCGAAGGUUUUCCAACGCCGACGAAGGAGCAUUACAUGAGGGACGGGGAACCUUGUGUUCACCCACAUGUCGCCGUUACAACAACCCUUCAUGUGGAGCCUCAACCUCGGCGGUUGGUCGAUCUCCAGCACCCUCGCAAACGCCUCGGGAAGACGAAGGCGGCUAUGCGGCGGCUCGCGCAACUACAAGAUGAACUCCAACGCUGUGUCUCCAACAUGGCCGCUCGACGAAGCAUGAGGAGAUGGUGGCGGAGACGGCGGCGUUGCGGGUGUCCCCCUUCUGCCCCCACCUCUGCCUCGACCACUUCGCCGAUCGCGACUCCGUCCGGCGCCUCCGCCUUGAGCGUCUGACUCUUCCUUAACCGCCGUGGCCCUCUGGCGGGAGGAAGACCUAGUCGGCUCCACAGAAGGACGGCCGCGGCCGUGCCCUCUCGGCAUGGCAGUCGAUGGAGAAUGGAGAAGAAGGGUAGAAACGAGAGGAUGCCUCUCCUCCUUCUCCUGGUCCCCUUCUUAUAGCCAAGCAAAGAAGGCUGAAGACUGGCUCUACAUCUCCGAAGAGCCCUUUCAAGUCCGGCUUAUUAAAGCCAUUUGAUAACAAGCAAGGGCAUCGACCGCCCUCCCAACGCCAAUCAAAGGCGCAUGGGUAUCGGCCAUGGAGCGCCUUCCCAUACCCUACACAUCCUCCACCUACCCCAUGCCAUGCAUGCAGCAUACGUGACGAAAAAGGCGGGCGUGGUGGGAAACAUGGAACAGCGGUUCCAAGAUUAGCAAAGGCACAGAGGGUAAAUGAGCAGCACCCCUGCUUUUCCCUCUUUUUUAUGGGGAAGAUGUGGGCCGCCUCUUUACUAUUCGCCGCAGGGUGACGCAAGCACGCUGCAAGAGUCCCAUGCAUGAUCCCCACGUUACGCACUCAAUGCGGGUCGUGGGGAAGCGCAAGGAGUUACCACAGUUAAAACCCUGCCACGCGUGCCCGCGCACCGUUCUGGGCCUAGCCCAACAACGCUUUACGCUUAUGUGUGGCCCAGGCCCGAAGGCUCCUGUCGGUGUACAAAAGUAGGGGCCUUUCUGUACCCCUUUACUUGUGCGCGGGCAGUUGUAGCCACACCUGCGGCCACGCUUGGCGGGGCAGAGGAAGCGAAGAUACAGGACUGCCAGGGCAGUGCUCAACCCAGAGGCGCAAAGAGCAAAGGGACAAGAUGGAUUUCCCUCGGCGAGAGCCUUGUCGGGGCGACCUACAUAGCCCCGACAAGAGCCUUGCCGAGGCAACUUGCCCAACACCAGCAAGGCCGCCACCCUUGAGCCUGAGAGUUCCGACACCAUCGACAACGUCGAGACCAAGACUCAGGGGCGCCUGUGUGGUGGCAUGCAGAUCUUUGUGAGGAACAAAGGCCUGCGAAUCUGGAGAGAAACUAGAAGGCGAAGACCCCCGGCAAGAGCCUUGCCAGGGACAGGCGGAGACCCCCGGCAAGAGUCUUGUCGAGGACAGAUGAAGAACCCCGGCAAGAUCCUUGCCGGGGACGCCCGCGAGACCCCGGCAAGAUCCUUGCCCGGGGCUUUUGCGGGGCCGAGGCCAGGCCCGCACUUACCAACGUUUUGCUGCCCCGCGCCCGUGCCGACGCGGCAAUCAGCCCGCCAACCAGGCAGGCGCCUGCAUGGCAGCAAGCAACCUCUAGGCCAACUAGACAAGCACCUGCGUGGUGGCAUGCAGAUCUUUGUGAAGACCCUGCCACCGCAGCAACGUAGCUGCCAGCCAGCCAGCGUGGCGCUGCAUGCCUCGUCAGCUUGGACGCGCGUCGAAGCAAGGGGAGGCGGCGAUGGACGGGACAAGCUUCUUUGUCGUCCCCAAUAAAGCAAUAGGACACGUAGGCGGCGCAUUAAAUGCGUUUGUCGCACGAUGUUAGGGAUAGACUUGUACACUGUAGACACUUCCCACCUCCUGUGUGCCACUGUGGCAACCCCUUUGACAUAUAAAAGGAGGCCCGAGGCGUACCGAGGAAGGAUUUCGGACUUUUUGAACUGGGCAUGCACCGCAGCUAGUUCAAUAGCUCAAGAACACCAAAUAUAUACACCAGAGCAGGACUAGGGUAUUACGCAUCGCAUGCGGCCCGAACCUGGGUAAAAAAUCCCCUCACGCUGAUCUUUCAGUCCCGCUCUUUGCACAGCUCUGCGCCCAGCCAACCGUAGUAGGGAUUCCCCGUGAUCCCAUAGGUGUUGUUUCCCCCGAUAGGGAGCCGUGGAGGACUCCCCUCCACCGACGUAGCGGAUUAGGUUGAGUAACCAUAGGGGCUCUGGUAUCUUAUAUAAGCCGAGGUUGAGCUAGUCGAUAGAGCACAUUAGAAUCUCUCGGUUCAGUGAGAUCUGCUCACUGAAACAUGGUAUUGGUAUAUUGGAAAUGCAACGCAUCAUUAUGGUAGAAAGAAAAGAUUUUUACACCAGGUUAUGUUUUAGUUGUUUCGCAAAACAAAAGAAGUUUUAGUAGAAUUGGAAGCAACUUUCAGUAACAUAGGAACCAAUUCUUGCUUGAAAAGGAAGCAAAUUGCAAGGCAGGAAAGAUAACAGCAUCUCUAGCAGAUUCCCUAAAACUCAUACUCCCUCUGUUCCUUUAUACAAGGUGUUUGGGUGUAGGGCUGCUAGCUACUGCCGCAUGUCGAGUGCGUACCUUCUGCUGCAGCUGCCUUCUGCUGUUGUUGGAACUUGUCCGGGUGAGGGAGACUGGCGCGCCAUCUGGCUGUCGGACAAUGACAGGUGGUCGGUUAGGCAUGUAGCUUGGCGGCCGGCGGCGAGUAAAAUUUCACCUGGGGAAAGGUGAAUCAUAGACUGAAGAGCUUUACAUUGGGUCACCUAAGAGUAAGAGUGCUUGCUGGGAUUUUAUUUUUUUGGGGCCAAUCUCUAUUCUCCUAUGGUAUAACGGUCAAACCAAAAUAUCAAGGGCGGGCCACGGCACAUCGGGCUUUUCUCGAAAUCACUAAUUAAGGAGCACUCUUUGCAACGGUCACUCCCACCUUCCCAGGUUGCGACAAGUGGUGUCACAACCUGGGAUUUUUUUUCUGUAGAUCCGUUUAUUCAAAAUGUUUUACCUCAUAAAUCGUGCGCCUAAAUCUUGAACCGUUUUCACCAUUGGAUUCCUUGCGUCGAGAUCUUCAAAACUACACCCUAUGUUGAUAGGUUGUAACGAACUUUUUUUCACGAAAAAAACAGGCGAAAAGACCAAAUCGGGAGCACUUUUUUUUACCUUUCUGAAGGCGGCACGACUGUGCCUCUCGCGGAAGCAAAUCCGUGCCUCCAUGAGAAAUAAACUCGUGCGUCUAGUGGAAGGAAAAAAAUUCCGAGAAGCUUGGCCAUGCGUCCCGCGGAAGGAAAAAAUGACAGAAAUCGCGUUUUUUCGUCUCCAGAGACACGGCCGUGCCUCUCGCGGAAGGAGAAAAAACCGCAUUUUUAUUCGUUUCCAAAAGGCACUCGCGAAAGCAAAACCGUGCCUCUCACGGAUGGAAAAAAAUCUGUUUCCGAGACUACCGUGAAAGCAAGACCGUGCCUCUCGUGAAAGGAAAAACACAUUUUUUCCGUUCCUCUAGCGGAAGCAAAACAAAUGAAAAUGAGUUUUUUCGUGUAAAUGUUUUGUCCAAAAGCUAAAAAACCAGGUGGAAAACCGAAAACCCAGAAAACAUCAUCUAAAAACCAAAAACAUGUGCGAAAAAAAAACAAAAAUCCGAAGGACACACACCCAUUGCGUGACACGUGACGGCGAGUGAACUCUCAGGCCACCCCAAGUGAUCCUUGGGAAGGCUCCCGAAGGAGUGCUCCGUCGUGAGUUGCUCACCUUUUUCCUCAAUUUCAGUAUAGGGGAUCUUGCAAAAAUGUAGGAUCAGCUUGACUUCCCAAAAUCUGGGAUUUGUUUUCACAAACCAUGCGAGCAGUUAUUAGGAAUUGUUUGGCUUCCUAAGAUCUCCCGUCAUGGCGUCCAUGCUCUCGGGGGGCCCCGCGACUUGGCCCGCGCCGCCCACCAAGUUGUGUUGGCUGCUCGCCGGGCAGCGCUGGUGAUCGUGGCUCGCCUAGCCCCCUCAGAUCUGCCGAGCGCGACAUGUGAUGGUGAUGUACGUUCAGUGGGAGGAGACGUUUCCCUCGACUAUGAAAUCGAUUUCGUCGAUCUCAAGAUGAAGUGCCGGCUCAGUACCAAGAAAGUGCUCAUAGGAGUUGGUUGUGCAUGUGUGCGUUUAUAGGGGUGAGUGUAUGUGCGUGUAUGCAUGAACGUCUGCAUAGUGUGUUAAGGAUCUAUUUUGCUUCCUAAAAUCUAUGGUGGAAACUAGUGUGUUAAGGAUCUAUUUUGCUUCCUAAAAUCUAGGGUUUGUUUCCACAAACCAUGCGAGCCGUUAUUAGGAAUUGUGUAACGCUUGCAUAUUAAUAUACUUCCUCUGUUCCUAAAUAUAUGUCUUUGUAGAGAUUACACUAUGAACCACAUACGGAUGUAUAUAGAUGCAUGUUAAGUGUAUAUUUAUUCAUUUUGCUUCGUACGUAGUCCAGCUAGUUGAAUCUUUACAAAGACUACUUAUGUUUAGAAACGGAUCUUGCUUUAUUAGUAGGUAGGUAUAGGUAUAGAUAUAGAUUGUGUAACCAUUUAUUGCAAAAUAACCUAAAAACUUAAGACCCGUCUCUUUCCUAAAAAAACAAAAAACUUUAAGACCCGUCUCUCGUCGCCGCCAUCCACAUCUAUCAGAUCCACACUGUCGAUCGUCUCCCGACAUGGCGUCUAUCCUCUCGCGGGCCUCCCGUGACUUGGCUCGCGCCGCCCGCCAAGUCUCGUCGGCUGCUCGCCGGGCAGCGCCGGUGACCAUAGCUCGCCCAGCCCCCUCAGAUCUGCCGAGCCGCCGCCUGUCCGUCCACAGCGGCGCCACCGACGCCAACAUCCCCGGCUACACCAACCCACCCCCCGACGAGCCAGUGGAAUUCGUGGCUUCAGACAACGACCUGGAAUCUGACGAGGCCCUGUGGGCGCUCUACGAGCGCUGGUGCGAGGCUUACAACGAGGAGCGCGACCACGACGAGAUGGUUCGCCGGUUCGACACAUUCAAGGAGGCUGCUUUCAUGGUGGACCGCGUGAACAAGGCCAAUCUGCCCUACACCCUGAAACUAAGCCAGUUCGCCGACGGGAAGCUGGCAGAGUCCGUGUGCAAUAAGUGGUGUGGUGAUAAACCUCGCCCUGAUCCCGCAGCUUAUCAUCGGGAGGGUGAGUUUUACAUCUAUGAUGAUGGCGGAGAUGAUGUGCCGAAAUAUCCCACGAUGAGGUUCCUCUUCUGUGAACGUGGAGGUCCCAUCAUCCCCUUGGAAUGAAUUGAUCAUCCCAUUAGCAGCAACCCUGAAUAAAGUUCUGCGUGUAUGGUGUUAUACAUGCUUAUUUUUACAAUGAUGGGCGUUUGCACACGCUGCUACCGUAGCGAUUGUAAGGCUUCGUAAACCUUGCUGUUGUAAUCUCGCUGGUUCUUCAUGAUUAGGUUUGAUAACCACCAACUAUCCCCUCUAUCCUAAUUUACCGUGUAUUAAAAUAUUUGGUUUAUUCAUUAAAAAUCAGGUGGAAAUACUUUUGCAGGGGAGGGAUUAUUCUCCGACUCAUGCUUGUGGAUUUUCAUCAAAAUGACUUUCAUGCCAUUCAGUUUAUUUUUGAAGUUAUUUAUUAGUUUAUUUUUUUAAAUCAUUAUUUGUGGAGAUGUCGAAGUAAUGGUUAAAGAAGGAAAUUAUACUGUUUUAGGGACUGCACCGAUGUCAAGUACGUUAAUCAGCAUAUUUAAAUCCCAAUGAGUCAUCGACUAUAUAAAAUUCAUAUGCAAUGAUUAACAAAGAAAUCUCGGCCUUGGAUAUUUUAAUAGUUAAAUAAUCAUUUGCAGAGAUAUUGAAGUAGCGGUUGAAGAAGAAAGUUAUAUUUUAUAGAUAAUGAUGAUAUCGGAUGGUCGGAUUCCUUUUGGUGAAAUCUGGCUAUCCGGGAUGAAGGUUUACACUUAACAUGGCAGUGACGGAGCUACAAAUACAUUGUUGGGCGGGAGAAGCCAAAGAACACGAAAGUUUGGAAUCAAAAGAUCAAGUUAGCAGUUGUAAACAAAAGAAGCCACACCAAAAUAUAGCUUCACAUUUAGAUAUUUUAGUUAUCGAUUACAGAAGUAUGGAGAAUUGAGUGAAAUUUUGAUGCAGGGAAAAUUGUGAAUGAACCAAACCAAAUUGGAUACAUGCCUACAAUCAAUCAAUUUGGAUAAAAAUCAAGCUCUAGGUGAAAUUUAAGGCAAGGACAUUGUCAAUGUGUCGAAGAAAAUGAGUUGUGCAGCUGGCAUUCACAGAAAUUGGAGUGUGCCGGAGAUGAGAGGAUCAAAUUCAAAGAAGAAAGUUAUGCGCCUAUGCCUCACUUGUAGCAAGACCGAAGAAGCUCUCACUAAAGGAAUGCCCUCCCAGACGCAAGUAAUGUGCCCGCCCAACUUUCAGUUUAGUUCCUUUUCUUUACGUUUCUACAUUGUUUCGUUUUGUUUUGUUUUCAAAUAUAUUUUUAAUACAUGCAUUAAAAAUAUAAAUUUACUAUAAAAAUAAAACCAAAAUUUGAUUUUUUUUUUAAAAACAGUGUAAAGUUUUUGCCAGCAUAACUUAAAAUAUGUUGGUAGUUUUCAAACAAAUGCUUGUGACAUUCUAAAAAUGUUCCCGUAUUACAAAAACAUGUACAUGAAAUUUUAUAAAAAUAAAUAUACAAAGUAAAAAUAAUCCAUACAAAAUGCUAAACAUGUAUAAAAAAAAUGUUUUCGAUGACUAAGAAAAAUGUAUGAUGUGUACCAAAAAAGGUAGACGUCAAGCCAUAUAUUUAGGAAAAUGUUAAUCAUGUUUAUUAAAAAUGUUAAACAUGUAUAAAAAAUGUUGUAGAUGUAUACAAAAAAAUAUACAAUGUGUAUGAAAACAUUAGGCAUCAAAACAUAUAUUAAAAAACAGUUAAUCAUGUAUUUGAAUAAUGCUAAACAUUAUUGAAAAUUGUUUUAGAUGUAUACAAUAUGUAUGUAUGAAAACAAUAAACAUCAGACAUAUAUUUGAAAAAUAAUAAUUAAUCAUGUAUAUGAAAAGUGUUAAACCUGUAUAAAAAAUUGUUUUAGAUGUAUACCAAAAGUAAAUUCCGUAAGAAAACAAUAGCCAUCUAAACAUAUAUUUAAAAAUGUAAUCACGUAUUUAAAAAUUGUUUAACAUGUGUUAUAAAAUAUUUGAAGUGUAUACGAAAGAUGUACAAUGUGUAUGAAAAUAAUAGGCAUCAAAACAUAUAUUUGAAAAAAGUUACUAAAGUAUAUGAAAAUGAUAAACCUAUAUAAAACUAUUUUUGAAUUAUACCAAAAAUAUACAAUGUGUAUGAAACUAAUAGAUAUCUAAACAUAUAUUUGAAAAAUUAUCUUGACACAUACGAGAAAUGUACAAUAUGAAAGAAAAUAUGUAGACAUGUGUUAAAAAAGGAACAAAGAAACCCGAAGAGAAAAAAGAAAACAAGAAAAGCAGAGAAAAACAAGUGUAGAAGAGAAAAAGGAAAUAACGAAAACAAGAAAAUCAAAGGAAAACUUGAAAGAAACAAAAAAGAAGAGAAAAGAAAUAAAAGUAAAAUGUCAGUGAAAACCAAGAAAGCAACGAAUAAAACCAGUGAGAAAACAAAGAAAAUGGGAAAAUUGGUGAAGAAACAAAGAAAACAAAAGAAAAAAAAAACUAGCAGACGUCGAGCGAACGAACAUGCAAAAAUAGCCCGGCCUAAAUACUGUGGCACAGAGGAAAAAUCUGUAGGCGAGAGUAUCAUACGACUCGCUGUAUGCGCGAGAUAGUCGCCACACAUAGAUGAGUCCUAGCGUAGCGGUGCUAGUCGGUACAUCUCUAUAGGAACACCUCUUCAUUGGACCGGCCUGCGAACUACACUCACCUACCAAUUGCGCCUGUCGCUUAUCUGUAGUCCUGUCGCACUGCACUGCGAUCUUGUUCCUUUUUCAAAAUCUUGUCCCCUUCGUUUACUACAGUCAUCUUACAAAUUCAAAAUGCUUAACUUACAUGGUUUUUUUUGCAAAUCUGAAAAAUGUUUCACUAAAUAUUAAAACAAAUGUUCACCUUUUAAAAUUGUUCACGCAAUUUAAAGAAAAUGUUCAUCUCAUUCUAAAAAUGGCGACAACAUUUAAAAAAAUGUUCACAUUUUUAAAAACUUAGCUAUAGGAGGUGAAGGCAAGGGGGGCUGGUGCGUGGGGAGGGAGACUCCUGGAGCUAGGGAGCACGCCGACGCCAUUGCUCACGGUGCAAGUUCGUUUCAAUCUUCGAUCCUGCUCGCUCUUGAUUCUGGGUACAGUAAAUUUUAGCUAGCUACGCUGCAAACUAAGUGGUGUGCCUCGUAUUAAUCUAUCUAUCUAUCCUAUCUUUUAUUCGGCGAGAUGGUUGCGCCUGUGGCGGAUGUGGCCGCCGCCAUCGCCGGCACCUAACCUGGUCUAGAUCCCUCCACUAUAGGAAUCAGCUACUUGACCGUCUGCCACGGCAGACGGCAAAGGCAAGGAUGGCGGACGGCAAAGGCCUUCGCCGUCUGCCGCGGACGGCAAAAGGCUCCGGCAAAGUAGGCUACGGUAAAGAGCUUCUUUGCCGUCUGCUUUCUGAAGGAGAUGGCAAAGGGGCCUUUGCCAUCGGCGGCGGACGGCAAAGAAAGCCGACGGCAAUAAAUUCGCUGUUAGUCCGUUAGGCGUCUAACGGCAGUCUUUGCCGUCCGCCGCUGACGUCAAAGAGCAUCAAGCCUUUGCCGUCUGCCACUGUAGGCAAACUGACCAAAUGGGCCAGCAGCCAGGAAGCAUAGGUGGUUGCCGUCGGUGGCAGACGGCAAAGAGCCCGUUGCCGUCGGUGGCAGACGGCAAAGAGCCUGCAUUGCCUCUUUUUUCUUUUUUUUCUUAUACCCAUCCAUUUUCACAGCAAAUAGAUGAUACAUAUAUAUUUUUCACAUGGCAAGUUCACAGCAAACAUAUGAGAUAUCCAACACAUAUAAUUUCAUCAUACAUGCAUCGUUCCAUCAACCAUACAUAGCAAGUUCCACAUACAUGCAUCCAACCAUACAUAUUACGAUAGUGUCAUCCUACCAUACAUGCAUAGUUCAUCGAUACAAAAGAAACAUAGUUCAUCCAAACAAGCACUCCAGUUAUAAAAGCAUAAAUGGAAAAGAAGCACUCCAUCCAUGCAAGCUUCCGUGAAUUAAAUCAAAUAUGCAAAAUGAUAAACAAGAUGUUAGAAAAAGAAGAAGAAAAUGAAGAAGAAGAAGAAGAAGACUAUAAGAAGUAAGCAUACUUAUGUAAAAUGGAGCUAACCUAGUGGAAAAUGAAGAAGAAGAAGAAGAAGAAGAAGACUAGAAGAAUACUAGAAGAAGACUAGAAGAAUACUAGAAGAAGAAGAAGAAGACUAUAAUUAAGCUUAUUAUGUAAACUUGGUCAUUUUGUGCUAACAUAAGUAAUUUUGGAGUUAACCUAUAGGAAACUAAGCAUAUUAGAGAUAACUUAGCAUAUUAGAGCCAACUUAGGUAAAAUGGAGCCAACCUAGCUAAUUAUGCCAUCUUUGAGUGAACUAAGCAUAUUAGAGCUAACUUAUAGCUAACUUAUGUCAUUUUGGAGAAGAAGAAGAAGAAGACUAUAAUUAAGCUUAUUAUGUAAACUUGGUCAUUUUGUGCUAACAUAAGUAAUUUUGGAGCUAACCUAUAGGAAACUAAGCAUAGUAGAGAUAACUUAGCAUAUUAGAGCCAACUUAGGUAAAAUGGAGCCAACCUAGCUAAUUAUGCCAUCUUUGAGUGAACUAAGCAUAUUAGAGCUAACUUAUAACUAACUUAUGUCAUUUUGGAGAAGAAGAAGAAGAAGAAUAUAUGACAUUUAUGAGCUAAUUUAGGUGAAAUUGAUAGUUUGUGAGCUAACCUAGGUGAAAUGGAUCGUUUAUGAGCUAAUCUAGGUAAAAUGGGUCAUUUUAGAGUUAACUUGAGUAAAAUGCAUCAUUUUGGAGCUAACCUAGGUAAGAUGGGUCAUUUUGGAGCUAACCUAGGUAAAAUGGGUCAUUUUUAGAGCUAACAUACGUAAAAUGGAUCAUUUUGGAGCUAGUCUAGGUAAAAUGGGUCAUUUUAGAGCUAACUCGGGUAAAAUUGAUCAUUUAUGAGCUAACUAAGGUAAAAUGGGUCAUUUUAGAGCUGACUUGGGUAAAAUGGAUUGUUUAUGAGCUAACUAAGCUAAUUAUGCCAAGUCUAGGUCAUUGUGGUAAGCAUAUUGGAGGAAAUAAGGCUAAGUCUAGGUCUUUAUGCAUUUGUUAAGCAAAACACUAGAUAAACUUACCAUGAUCAUGGAGGUGUAGGGGCGGGAUGGCUCGUGCCGGUAGCUGGAAAAGGAUCGUGCGAUGCUUGUCUGGAGUUACGCUGCACCAAAGAUCAUUUCCAAUGUCUCGUUAGCAUGAUGACACUCAAAUGUUAAGACUAGCAAGUAAUGUCCAUUCAAAUUAAACCCACCAUGGUCCCAGGAGCAAUCACUGGCAUCGGCGGAGCGGUCUGACCGGUCUUCUCGCACACAGACUGCACAUUUGGUUUUGACGACUCAGUCAUACUAGUUAGUAAUGAGACAAACACUACAUGAAUGUUUUGGCUAAUCUGCAGAAGAAACUUACCACAAGGAGCUCGUACAUGGCCCUUGCCUGCAUGUCAUUCCGUGCCCUCUCCUCCUCCAACAUCUUUGUCGUCCUCUCCUCCAACUCCCGCUGCCUCUCCGCCGCCUCCGCCAGAAGAUUCUUCGUUCUAUCUCUCUCACUCUGUAUAGCAGCCUGCAACGCGACUCCUCAUUACCAUUUGUAAUCAUUGAUGGAAGCACACACAAUGUAAUGGAGAAAGAUAGCUGAGUACGUGUAACUAACCUUGAUGGCGAGUUGGACUGGCCGUUCACGAGGCCUUAUCUUAGGAGCGGAGCUCGACUGGCGCGCCUUGAUCUCCUGGAGAGUGCUAGGACAACGGAUAAGUCCAUCUUCAAUGGCUAUGGAGCCAUGGGACCUCCCGCCACCAGAUAUCAUCACCAGCUCUGGAUCAAUGGGACCCUGGCUCGGGUUAAAGUCCUCCCCUUUCCUCGCCUUCCCCUCAUCUGUAUAUUUCACGAGCUUGUCGUGGGAGGAGAUGUUGGUGAAGUUUUUUGCAUCAUCGAGGUCACACGGAGAGAAUGCCUUGACUUUCUUGAAAGAGGCAGUGUGGGCCAUGGCAUACAGGUCGUACACCUCUGGCACCUUAUCCGCCUUAUUGUAGCGUGCCUGAAAGAGAGAAACAAAGUAAAUUAGUAAUUAAAGGGCUCAAGCUAGCAUGAUGAAUGAAUUGCAUGAAUCAUGAAGCAAACCACAUACCCAGUUCUGCCCGAACUGAUAUAAGUUGGCGCUGCCUUGAUGGUGUGGCACACCUUCCAUUUGGGCACGUUUGUCCUUGGCCGCGUUGUGGACGGCUAGCCAUUCUUUUGAGCACCACUCAUUGACCAACACCUCCCAACAAUCCAUCCGAUCCGCACACCAUCUCGGAGGCGCCUAAGUUAGCAAAUAGAAACUUGAGCGCUACGGCUAUGAAUUACUAAAUGAAGGAAGUAAGUACAAGGCCUUAAGAAUUACCUUCAUGUACUGCUCCUUACUUAGGAACUUAUCGCGGCACGCCGGCUUGGGCUUCUUGAUAUAUACCACGCAAGGCGUAGUAGUCUCGAACAGCCUGCACCCGAGCCUCGUGCCGUAAGUUCUGUAGUAGGCGCUUGCAGACGUUCUCGAUAACAUUUGCCGCCUCCUCCUCGUAUCCCUCCUCACACCUGUAGAAUGUCUGCAAUCAAAUGAGACAAUAUUAAUUAGUACAAUUAAUAACUAGCUAGUUGAAGAUUUUUAAAUGUGUAAAGGAGAAAUUACCCAGAACUUUCUGAUCACCACGUCUGCCCUCGUGUCGCACAAGACACCGUCGAUAAUCUCACCCGGCGGGGCCGGGGCAGCCAAGUAGUGCUCCCAGCUCAAUCCAAGCUCUGGAAGCCGACCCUCACCAGGCAACGUGACAAACCCCGGGACGUUUUGCCGGCAAAGCACUCCAAGGACAGAGUUGGGCCGGCGGACACUAUGAUGGUGGUCCCAACCCCUACAGCAUGACAAGACCAACGCAUUAGAUAUUUGAAGAAACGUCAAUGCAGAAGGUACAAAAAGAUUAAAUGCACUUACCUCUCCCCAUCAGGGUAAAUCAACCACCUCUGCUCGCGGGUCGUCGGCACGGACGGGAGCCGUGUACAACCACGCUGGUAGACGGUGCCCCCUCCUCCUCAAUAUCAGUCGGCUCCCCGCCAUCAUCAGCAUGGCCACUCGGCCCCUCAGGCUCAUCCGGCCAGGUACCCCAUCCAGACGUGUGCUCCUCCGGGGUCUCGUGGGCCGAAGGCCCGUCGACCCGAGGCUCGUGGGCCGAAGGCUCGUGGACUGGAGUCCAUGUAGCCUCCUCCUCGGACGAGUCCACCCUAGCAGUCACGUGCUCGGGUGAAACAGCUGGGGGUGGCGGCGAGGAAGGCGCCCUAGCAGUCACCCUACCUCCUCUCCCGCGACCACGUGCUCCUCUCUUCUUCCCUCCCUUACCUCUUCCCCUGCUGGGCACUGCUCUCGACGAAGAAGGGCCCGGCGGUGUCGCCAUACUGUCCAGCAACGCUCGGCGGAGAGGUGCAUGUGGAAUGGAAGACCUCCCACCACGCGCCGACGAAGAAAGGGCCUCGGAGCGCUCCCGACCAGCGCCCAACAUCUUUCAACACCUGCCAUGACAAAGAGUAAACGAAAUUAGUACAACAUAAAAAAAAUACCGACAUUAAUAAUAAUAUAUGAUGUUUUUCAUAAAAAAAUCAAAAAAAUAUAUAUGAUGUUUAAAUCUACCCGAUCAACACAAUUAUAUAUGAUGUUUCUCAUAACAAAAUCGAAAAAUAUAUGAUGUCAGGGUGUCGGGGGUCGGGGUCGGGGUGUCNNNNNNNNNNNNNNNNNNNNNNNNNNNNNNNNNNNNNNNNNNNNNNNNNNNNNNNNNNNNNNNNNNNNNNNNNNNNNNNNNNNNNNNNNNNNNNNNNNNNNNNNNNNNNNNNNNNNNNNNNNNNNNNNNNNNNNNNNNNNNNNNNNNNNNNNNNNNNNNNNNNNNNNNNNNNNNNNNNNNNNNNNNNNNNNNNNNNNNNNNNNNAGGGGGUCACGGGGUAGGGGUGUUUCCUUCUCUCCUUCUUCUUCUUUCCUUCUCUUCUUCUUCUUCUUCUUCUUCUUCUUCUUCUUCUUCUUCUUUCCUUUCUUCUUUUUCUUUUUUCCUUCUCUUCUUCUUCUUCUUCUUCUUUUAUUUCUUCCUUAUUUUCCUUUUUCCUCUUCUUCUCAUCUCUCCUCUUUUUCUUCUUCUUCUUCUCCUCCUCCUCCUCCUCCUCCUCCUCUUCUUCUUCUUCUUCUUCUUCCCCCUUCUACAUAUUCUUCUUUUCUUAUUCAUCUUUUUUCAUCUUUUUCUACUUCUUAUAAUUAUAUAACUAAUUAACUAAAACCCAUGCACUAGUCUAAUCUAAUAUAAUCUAGCACUAAAUCGAACACUAACACAUAUCUAGUAUAAUCUAACAAUUAAACAGCAAAAAAGAAAAAACAGAAAAAAACUCACCGGAGAUGGCGUUGGCUGGGGCUUCGCAGCGGCAGGGUGGCGGUGGUGACGGGGGCCCCAGGGCUUCGGGGCGGUGGCGCCGGGGCGCUGGGAGGUGGUGGGGGCGGCGGGGCACCGCGGCGGUGGGCUGUUCGGGCGGUGGGGCGGCACGGCGCCGCAACUGUGGGCCNNNNNNNNNNAAAAAACUCACUGGAGAUGGCGUUGGCCGGGGCUUCGCAGCGGCAGGGUGGCGGUGGCGACGGGGGCCGCAGGGCUUCGGGGCGGUGGCGCCGGGGCGCUGGGCAGGUGGUGGGGGCUGCGGGGCGCCGCGGCUGUGGGUUGUUCGGGCGGCGGGUGUUGGGGGCGGCGGCGGGUGGCGGUGGUUGUCGGGGAGGAGACAGAAACAGAGAGAUGGAGGGGCGGGGUGGGGCUCGGCCGUUAGUUAGGUUAGCUCUUUGUCGUCCGCCCCACCUUUGCCGUCCGCUUUUUUUCUCUUUGCCGUCUGCUGGUAGACGGCAAAGAAGGGGCUCGUUAAGUUUUUUAUGAUCAGCUCGUUAGCGGGGGCCACCACUCUCUUUGACGUCCGCUAGCGGACGGCAAAGAAUUGGCUGAUGGCAAAGACCUUCUUUGCCAUCAGCCCAUUCGUUGCCGUCCGUUUUCCUGAAGCGGACGGCAAAGACCUUCUUUGCCGUUAGCCAGCAGACGGCAAAGAACUGGCAGACAGCAAAUAAGCUAAUUCCAGCAGUGCUCUUUUGUAUUUGAGAAAAAAAGAUUUCCCUCUUCUCUUGUGAUGAGACUGGGUGGAGAUGGUGAGAGAUGAGGUCGAUGACUUUGGGGAGAGGAUAAGGGCGGACGCCGGCGGUGAGGCGGCGUGAGGAAGACGAGGUGGUUGGCGUCGGCGAGACGUGAGGGGAGGGGAAGGGAGGGGUAUCAGUGUGCGGUGGGAGAGGGUGUGCGGCGUUCCCAGUUCGCGAGAGAGGAGAGAGGUCGGCAAGGGAGCGAUCCAUGGGAGAUUUUUUCCUUCCGAGCGAGCCUAGUUGGGCUAUCUGCGCCGUCCAAGGCCCAAUGCACCACAUGUCUUCAAAUUGGCGACCAGUAGCAGCCCUUAGAACAGACAGGGCCAGUUUGCAAAUUUAAAAAUAUAAGUUCUUAGCACGCAUGGAAAACAUAACAUGUAUCUUUCCAUACAUAAUGAACUAUAGGUACCAGCCAAAAAAACAUAAUGAACUAUAGGUUGUCACAAGAACUCAUGCCAUCCCACAGCCUCCCUCAGACCCUGCCAACAUUGCUGCAGCUGCACUCACAAGCGUUACCGUAGAUGAUCAUUUGCAUGAUUUCACGCAAAACAAAAUAAGAUCUACAAAUGAAUAGAAGCUACACAUACCUUGGUAUGCACACACAUUGCAAGCCAUACUAAGCUGAUAAGUGUUAAUAACUUGUACAACAUAUACAACACUUAAGACAAGUAAAAGCAAUUUGAUUAUUCAUGGUCUAUCAAAGCAAGCUACAUAACUACUCUAAUCUAUCUUAACAGGUCACACAUGAUGACAAUCUUUUUUGUGUGCAAGUCAAGCUUAUCUAGUUUACACGUAACAACUUGUAGAACAUUACAAAAUUGAUGUUUGUUAAUAACUUGAACACUACAACACUUGGCAUGUAAAAGGAAUUUGAUGAGUCAUGACCUACUAAAGCAAGUUACAUUACUAGUGUCAUCUAUCUUAACAAGCCACACAAGAUUACGACCUAAUUUCUGUGCAAGCAAUGCUUAUCUAGUUUACACGUAACAACUUGCAUAACAUUACAAAUUUAGUUUCAGAAAAUUAGGCAAUCUAGAUUUGUGUUUGCGCUGUAAAGUGAAUAAGAUGAGUCAUGUGUGUUAUCACAUCUUUUUGGUCGUGAAAUGAUAGUGCCACCAAACACAACAUACCAAAUUAUGAUUUCGGGAAGCAUCGAAGCACUUUCCAGACAAGUGCCAAUUGUGAAAAAGAUCAUGUCAUGGCAGCUAUAAAUAGGCCUGUAGCAUGAUGAUCAUCCUUCCUCAUCCAUCAUCUCAUAAGUAGAGCGCAUCAUUUAAGCCAAGCAAGCGGGGGUCAAUAAAAAUCCACCAUGAAGACCUUUCUCAUCCUAGCCCUCCUUGCUAUCGUGGCGACCACCGCCACAAGUGCAGUUAGAGUUCCAGUGCCACAAUUGCAGCCGCAAAAUCCAUCUCAACAACAACCACAAGAGCAAGUUCCAUUGAUGCAACAACAACAACAAUUUCCAGGGCAGCAAGAACAAUUUCCACCACAACAGCCAUAUCCGCAUCAGCAACCAUUUCCAUCACAACAACCAUAUCCGCAGCCGCAACCAUUUCCGCCACAACUACCAUAUCCGCAGACGCAACCAUUUCCACCACAACAACCAUAUCCACAACCGCAACCACAGUAUCCGCAACCACAACAACCAAUUUCGCAGCAACAAGCACAACAACAACAACAACAACAACAAAUCCUUCAACAAAUUCUGCAACAACAACUGAUUCCAUGCAGGGAUGUUGUCUUGCAACAACACAACAUAGCGCAUGCAAGCUCACAAGUAUUGCAACAAAGUAGUUACCAACAGUUGCAACAAUUAUGUUGUCAGCAACUGUUUCAGAUCCCCGAGCAGUCGCGGUGCCAAGCCAUCCACAAUGUCGUUCAUGCUAUUAUUCUGCAUCAUCAUCAACAACAACAACAACAACCGUCGAGCCAGGUCUCCUACCAGCAGCCUCAGGAACAAUAUCCAUCAGGCCAGGGCUCCUUCCAGUCAUCUCAGCAAAACCCACAGGCCCAGGGCUCUGUCCAGCCUCAACAACUGCCCCAGUUCCAGGAAAUAAGGAACUUAGCGCUGCAGACGCUGCCAGCAAUGUGCAAUGUCUACAUCCCUCCAUAUUGCUCGACCACCAUUGCGCCAUUUGGCAUCUUCGGUACUAACUGAGAAGAGAAGAACUCUAGUACUAGAUAUAUGAAACACCGUUUUCUUAAUCGACAGUUUGAUCGUUGUAGCGGUGAAAAAAUAAAGUGUCAUGCACUAUCAUGUAAGAACCCGAACUAUACUAGUUCAAACUUGGGAAUAAAAGACAUACACAUGUCUUGUCUGCAUAUGAUUAUUUGUUUGAGUUCCAUUCAUGUGCCCGUUCAGAAGUUCACCCCUAAUUAAAUAUAUUAUGCAUUAACUAGAUAUUUAUGUGGCAUUAAUCUAAAGAUAACAAAAUAGGUUUGAAACUUGAAUUACAUUGAAGUAUUUUCUUGGGCUUUCAAAUUGAGUAUUAUUAAAGUAGUAAGGACUAUCCACAUCCUUGGCUUGCCCUUGAUCGAUUAUUUACAGAGAAGCAUUCAAUUCAUCAAUCAAUUACAUUGAUUUUUGUGGCUGGUACUUCUCCGCAUCAUGAGUAUAUUCCUUGCGGCUACUCCAAAUCGACCACAUAACCGAAGCAUUAAUAACGCCCUUCCUUGCAUCAAGGAAAUGUGGUCGAAGAUAUCUCUUGACCAUGUUUCCGGGUGCAACCUUGGGAGUUUGAUGUAAAAUAUUCUCAAGCACGAUCCAAGAAUAAACUUGGAUGCUCAUGUGUGAUAAGGGCAUAUGAAGUAACAUUUCCUCCCCAUGGCCACACAUAGGGCAACAUAACCCCAUCACAUGCCUUUUUAGUUAUGCACAUGAAGGUGGAUGUUUUUAAUUACUAUCCACCAAAAUACUCUUAACAUGGGUUCUACCCUGUCGGUGUCAAAACCGGCGGAUCUCGGGUAGGGGGUCCCGAACUGUGGAUCUAGGAUAGAUGGGGAACAGGAGAUGCAGAACACAAAAUUUACCCAUGUUCAGGCCCUCUCUAGGAGGUAAUACCCUACGUCCUGCUUGAUUAUAUUGCUUGUGUAUAUCGGGGUUACAGAGUUGAUCUACCUCGAGAUCAGAGGAACUAAACCCUAGCUAGGAGGACGGUGAUUGUUCUCCUAGCCUCUACGGACUAAAUCCCCUGGUUUAUAUAGACACCAGGGGUACUAGGGUUUGCAGAUAGUUGGUUACAUCAAGGAAACUCUACAUAUUCCAUCUUGACUUGAGGUACACACCAAGGCACAAAGGUCUUCGUUUCAGAUACGGUGCUGCCCAAUAGUCCGCCCCACGUGUGAUGAGCCGGCAUCCCGAGGACCCCCUAAGCCAGGACUCCCUCAGUAGCCCGCGAACUAGCCUUCAACAUCGGCCUCAUAUACCUCCAUGACUGCGGCCUCCGUCUUGCAGGCGAGUUCCAUUUCUUCGGAGUAUUCGGAAUAAUCCUUCUUCAGCUUCAUACCUUUAUAAACGGUCCUCGAUAUAAUUCUGCCAUACGUCGAGCCGUAUCCGGAUUCUAAACUAUCGAUUUUACUUAGCCCUGAAUGCCAAUCUUUCUAGUGUGAACAAUAUCUUUGACUGCAACUUUCGGUGAAGGGUCGUGUCCGGUCAUAAUUAUGAAGACUCGAUGCGCGGCUUAAGGCAGCCCCUUCAAUGGCACGUCCCGUCGAGGUGGAGAUCGUUUCCCACCUUUUAAGGGAUUUGAUCAAUGAUUCACAGUAUCCCACUCGUGCAUGACGCCACAAGUAUAUCGAGAAGUGGCGAGGCCGGCGACGCAUUUAGAGGACUCUUGGUAUCGCGACUGCUUAUAAUAGAACCCAGUCAUAGUUAUCCCCGCACACCUUCUUCCUCUCGCCAUCACUACUGCAAUCAGAGAUUUUGCCGUCUGUCAGUUCUUUGCCGUCAGCUCGCGGAUGGCAAAGAGGGUCUUUGCCGUCACCUCACAAAAAGCAGACAGCAAAGAAUUUGCUGACGGCAAAGAUCCUAUUUGCCAUCAGUCAUUUCUUUGUCGUCUGCUGGCUGACGGCAAACAAUCUUUGAUGCCCGCUAGCAGAUGGCAAAGAGGUGGGUGUGGUCCAGUGGAGGCCCAAGCCCUAACGGCCCACUAGCCCCACCUCUUUGCCGUUCGCUCGCAGACGGCAAAGAAUCUUUGCCUUCUGCCAGCAGACGGCAAAGAAUUGAGUAUGUAACGGCCGUUGCCCCCGCCUCCUCUCUCUCUAUUCUCCCUAUUCCUAACCCUCGUUCCCCGCUGCCGCAGCUCCGGCCACGGCGCCCCCGACCCUCAUCCGACCCCCACCGCACCCCGCCGCCCGCUGCUGCCGCCGCUCCAGCCACGGCGCCCUGGAUCCCGUCCCGACCCCGCCGCCCGUUGUCGUCGCCGCUACGGCCACCGCGUCCCCGACCCCCACGGAUGACCUGUCAAUGCUUGACCGAUUAUGUAAAGGUGUCCUUCCACAUGAUGAUGCAUUUAUUAGUGGUGAUGAUGAACACGUCAUUUUUGAUAGUGAUGAUGAUGAUGCAUUUAUUGAUCCCAGAGCAUUUAUUGAACCCGACGAUCCAGAUUAUUAUUAGGUAUUCAAUUUUUUAUGUUGUACUUGAUUUAUAUAGUUACUUGUAUGAUUGUAUGAUUUAUAUAGUUACUUGUAUAUUCUUACUUUGUACGAUUGUUUCUUAUACAUAGUGCCAUGGUCUUGAUAUCCGGCCCUGUCGGCCCUCGCCCGCUUUUAUGAUUCGGAUGAGGCAAAUUAUCUUUUAUAACUAUUUGUUGCAUUUCGCAUUUAUGACAAUUAUGGCUAUCAAGUUGACAUAGAGAUAUUUUAAUGUAGGAGGUAUGUGACCCGGAAUUUGCAACUGACCCUCUUGUCGAGAAGUUAAAUUUAGUUGAAAAAGAAAAUGAGUAUUUGAAAGAAAAAAAUAAAAGAAUUGAUGAAGAGAAGAUGACAUUGGAGUUGUAUGUUGCCGAUGUCGUCGAUGAUCACAAGAUGAAGAUGAAUGCAAUGCGCUUGAAGAUGGAUGCAAUGCGCUUGAAGAUUAAGAUGAUUAGAAAAUAUGCCAUUGAUAAUGAGGCUUGGUAUCAUUAUGCUAUUGGAUCAAUUGUUACCUUAGUUGCGAUCUUCAUCGCAUUUGUUGUGAUGAGGGUAAGUUUUCUCUAGUGUUUUGCUUAACAAAUGCAUACUUAGCUUAUUUUCCUCAUAAAUGGCAUAAUGACCUAUACCUACCUUAUUUUUCUCCAAAUUGACAUAAUAAGCUUAGUUGACCUAUACUUUACCUAGGAUAGCUAUAAAAUGACCUAUACUUAGCAUUUUUUCCUCCUAAAUGACUUAAUAUGCUUAGUUAGCUAAAAAUGACAUAACUACCUAGGAUAGCUCAAUAAUGAUCUAUAAUUAGCUUACCUAGUUCAUUAAUGACAUAAUUAGCUUACUUAGGUCAAAAAUAGCAUAACUACCUAGGUUAGCUAAAAAUGACCUAUUCUUAGCUUCUUCAGUUCAUUUAUGAGAUACUUAGCAUACUUAGGUAAAAAAUGGCAUGAUAAUCUUUGUUACCUCCAAAAUGACAUAGGCUUAGCUUAUUUUCCUCGAAAAUGACAUAAUAACCUUACUAAGCUCCAAAAUGACCUAUUUACCUAGCUUAGCUCUCAAAUGACGUACACUUAGCAUUUUUACCUAGCUUAGCUAAAAAAUGGCAUUUUUCCCCUACCUUAGUUAGAAGAAGAAGAAGAUAAAGAAGAGGAGAGGAGAAAAAGAAAGAGAAGAAAAAUUCUUCUUCUUCUUCUUCUUCUUCUUCUAGCUAGUCUUCUUCUUCUUCUAACUUUCUUCUUUCCCAAAUUGCAGAUUUGCUUUCGAUGAGGAAGCUUGCGUUGAUAGAGUCUACUCUUCUCCUUGUGCGUCCUUUUUGUUUUGAUUUUGUAGGAUGAACAAUGUGAAACUUGCUACCUAUAUAUGUAUGUAUGGAUGAAACCAUUGCAUGCUUGUUGUUGGAUAUGUUGGCUAUCUAUAUAUGUUGCAUAUGGACUUUUGAUUUGGUAUGUAUAUGUGCUGGAUGAUCAUAUCCAUAUGCCAGGGAUAUGAUUUGGUAUGUAUAUGUGUUGUUAUGCUUGUUGAAAGUAUUUUCAAAUGUGUGUGUGUGUAUAUAUAUUUAUAUCUGUGAAAUUCUGUGAAAUUGAAUGAAUUUAAGAAAAAACAGGGGUUAUACAGGCUCUUUGCCGUCUGCUGGCAGACGGCAAAGAGCUUUGCCAUCAGCCAGCAGACGGCAAAGCUGCCACGUGGCAGCUACCUGUGCAACCUGGGGUGCACUGGGCUGGCCUAUUUGGCAGCUUUGCCGUCCGCUGGCAGACGGCAAAGACCUUGGCAUCUUUGUCGUCUGCCAGCAGACGGCAUAGCGUGCCAUGUGGCAGCUACCUGGGGGGCAUCUGGGCUGGCAUAUUUGGGCACUUUGCCGUCUGCUGGCAGAUGGCAAAGAUGCAAAGGUCUUUGCCGUCUGCCAGCAGGCGGCAAAGCACGCUGUUAACCCCUUAACGGCCCUAAGCUGCCACGUGUGCCAUGCAGGUCCUUUGCCGUCUACUGGCGAACGACAAAGACCUUUGCAUCUUUGUCCUCCGCUAGCAGACGGCAAAGUACCAUUUGCCAUAGUUCGUUCAACCGGACGUGUUGCCAUCUACUAGCUGAUGGCAAAGGUCUUUGCUGUCCGCCAGGAAUGCCUUUGUCGUCAGCCAUGGCAGACGGCAAAUUUCCUCAUUCCUAUAGUGAGAAGAAGAAGAAGAAGAAGAAGAAGAAGAAGAGGAGGAGGAGGAGGAGGAGGAAGAAGAAGAGGUUAGGGCUGCGGCGGUGCCGACGGAACCGGGUCGAGGUUAGGGGUGCGUCGGCGCCCUGGUCGAGGAUCACUGAUCGCCAAGGGGUCGAGGUUCGGGGCACAGGGUCGAGGAUCGCCGGUCGCCGAGGGGUCGAGGGUCUUGGGUUCGAUGGUCGAGGAUCUUCUGGUUCGAUUGUUGAGAGAGUAGUGUCAUAGCUUAAGAUAAGGACGUCCCCGAGCUUAAGGUCAUGAGCGUGGGUGAACUGCUUCCAUCCGUGCACGAAGAACGGAUGGAAGCAGUUCGUCCGUGCUGAUGACCUUCAGCUCAGGCACGUCCGCAUCUUAAGCUACGACAACAGCGCACCAUGCUCAAAGUGAAGGUGUUCGACAUGACCGUCGAGGGACCGAGGGCCGAGGAUUGCCGAGGGGUCAAGGGUCGAGUGGUCGAGGGUCGCCGAGGAGACGAGGGUCAAGGAUUGCCGUGGGGUCAGGGGUCGAGGGCUUGAGGGUCGCUGAGGGGUCAGGGGUCGAUGGUCGUCGAGGGGUUGAGGGUCGAGGAUUGCCUAAGGGGUCAGGGGUCGAGGGGCGAGGGGUCCAGGGUCUAGGGGUCGAUGGUCGAGGAUCUUCUGGUCCGAGUGCUGGCCGACUGGUGUCAUAGCUUAAGAUGAGGACGUCCCCGAGCUGAAGGUCAUGAGCGUGGGUGAACUGCUUCCAUCCGUGCAUGAAGAACGGAUGGAAGCAGUUCACCCGCGCUGAUGACCUUCAGCUCGGGCACGUUCGCAUCUUAAGCUACGACUACAGCCGCACCAUGCUCACAGUGAAGGUGUUCGNNNNNNNNNNNNNNNNNNNNNNNNNNNNNNNNNNNNNNNNNNNNNNNNNNNNNNNNNNNNNNNNNNNNNNNNNNNNNNNNNNNNNNNNNNNNNNNNNNNNNNNNNNNNNNNNNNNNNNNNNNNNNNNNNNNNNNNNNNNNNNNNNNNNNNNNNNNNNNNNNNNNNNNNNNNNNNNNNNNNNNNNNNNNNNNNNNNNNNNNNNNNNNNNNNNNNNNNNNNNNNNNNNNNNNNNNGGUCGAGUGGUCGAUGGUCGCCGAGGGGUCGAGGGUUGCCAAGCGGUCAGGGGUUGAGGGGUCGAGGGUCGCCGAGGGGUCGACGGUCGAGGAUUGCCGAGGGGUCAGGGGACGAGGGGCGAGGGGUCGAGGGAUCGAUGGACAAGGAACUUCCGAUGUGAGUGCUGACCGACUGGUGUCGUAGCUUAAGAUACACUAGUAUUAGUUAAUUAUAUGCAUAUUAUUAUUCAUGUCGUUAUUAAUUUUUUUAUGUUGUACUAAUUUCGUUUACUCUAUGUCAUGGUAGGUGUUGAAAGAUGGUGGGCGCAGGUAAGGAGCGCUCUAAGGCUCCUUCAUCGGUGCAUGGUGGGAGGGGUACUCCAUUCCACCCUAGACACUCCGGAGAGCGUUGGUCGACGGUAUGAAGACACCGGUGGGCGCUUCUUCGUCGCUGUCGUUGCCCACCGGGAAGGAGGUCGGGAAGGGAAGAAUAGAGGACGUCGAGGAGGACUUGGCCGUGGGAGAGGUAGGUAGGCUCCUAGGACUUCCUCGCCGCCACCCCAGCUGAUUCACCCGAGCACAGGACUGCUAGGGCGGACACGUCUGAGGAGGAGGCUACGUGGACUCCGGUCCACUAGCCUCGGGUCGACAGGCCUUCGGCCCACGAGAUUCCGUCCUAGGAGACGCCCAAAUGGGGUACCUGGACGGGUCCGCCUGAGGGACCGAGUGGCCAUGCUGAUGGUGGUAGUAAUCCGUCUGAUAGCGAGGGGGAGGUGGUUGAGGGGUCCACCAUCUACCAGCGUGGUUGUACAUGGCUCCCGCUCGUGCCAUCGACCCGCGAGCAUAGGUGGUUGAUUUUCCCUGAUGGGGAGAGGUAAGUGCAUUUACUCUUUUUGUACCAUUUGCCUCCACGUUUCUUCAAAUAUCUAAUGCAUUGGCCUUGUCAUACUGCAGGGGUUGGCACCACGCUGAUGAUGUGCGCAGGCCCAACUCCGUCCUUGGUGUGCUUUGCCAGCAUAACUUCUCGGGUGUUGUCACUUUGUCUGGUGAGGGUCAGGUUCCGGAGCUAGGAUAGCUAGGAGCACUACUUAGCUGCCCCGGCCCCAUCGGAGGUGAUGAUCGACGGUGUCUUGUGCCACACGAGGGCAGAGAUGGUGAUCAGAAGAUUUUGGGUAAUUUCUCCUUUACACAAUUAAAAUUCUUCAAAUAGCUAGUUAUUAUACUAAUCAAUGUUGUCUCGUUUGAUUGCAGACCUUCUACAGGUGUGAGGAGGGAUACGAGGAGGCCGCGGCAAAGGUUAUCGACACCGUGUGCAGGUGCCUACUACAGAACUUAUGGCACGAGGCUCGGGGCUGUUUGAGACUACUACGCAUCGCGUCGUAUUAGGAAGCCCAAGCCGGCGUGCCGCGAGAAGUUUCUGCAGAAGGAGCAGUACAUGACGGUAAUUACCUAUUCUUAAGGCCUUGUACUUAGUUUCCUUGAUUUGAUUCGUACGCGUAGCGCUCAAGUUUCUCUUUACUAACUUAGGUGCCCCCGAGAUGGUGUGCGGAUCAGAUCGACUGUUGGGAGGUGUUGGUCGAUGAGUGGUGCUCAAAGGAAUGGCUUGCCUAGCACAACAAUGCCAAGGACAAGCGUGCCCAAAUGGUAAGUGUUCCACACCAUCAAGGCAACGCCAACUUAUUUCAGUUUGGGCGGAACUGGGUAUGUGGUUUCCUUCAUAAAUCAUGCAAUUCAUUCUUCAAGCUAGCUUGAGAGCUUCAAUUACUAAUUUACUCUGUUCCUCUCUUUCAGGCAAAACACAAUAAGGCGGAGGUGCUAGAGGUGUUCGACCUCUAUGCCAUGGCCCAUACUGGGCCAUACAAGAAGGUCAAGGCAUUCGAGCCGUCUGACCUUGAUAAUCCAAAGAACGUCACCAGCAUCUCCUCCCACAACAAACUCAUGAAGUAUAGAGAUGAGGGGAAGGCGAGGAAAGGGGAGUUCUUUAACCCAAGCGGGUAGUUUGAUCCGGAGCUCGUGAUGAUAUCCGGUGGCGGGAGGUCCCAUGGCUCCAUAGCCAUUGGAAAUGGACUUGUCUGUUGUCCUCCCACUCUCCCGGAGAUAAAGGCGCGCUAGUCGAGCUCCGCUCCUGAGAUGAGGCAUCGUCAACGGCCAGUCGAGCUCGCCUUCCAGGUUAGUUAUACAGACACAGCUAUCUUUCCUCCAUUACAUUGUGUGUGCGGCCAUCGAUGAUUACAAUGCUAACGAGGAGUGGUGUUGCAGGCUGCUCUUCAUAAAGAGAGAGAGGCAACAAAGGAGCUUCUGGCGGAGGAGUGGGAGUGGAGGAGAGGACGGCUAAGUUGUUAGAGGAGGAGAGGGCACGGAAUGACAUGCAGAACCGGGCCAUGUAUGAGCUCCUCGUGGUAAGUUUCUUCUGCAUGUUAGCCAAAUCAUUCACGUAAUGUUCAUUUCAUUACUAACUAGUAUGACUGACCCGUCAAAACCAAAUGUGCAGUCUGUGUGCCAGAAGGUCGGUCGGACCCCUCCGCCGAUGCCAGAGAUUGCUCCAGGGACCACGGUGAGUGUAAUUUGAAUGGUCAUUAGUUACUAGUAUUAACAUUUGAGUGCCGUCAUGCUAACGAGACAUUGCAAAUGAUCUUUGGUGCAGCGUGCCUCCAGACAAGCAUCACAGGAUCCUUCUCCAGGUGGUGGUACCAGCACGAGCCACGCCGGUGCUUCACCUCCGUGAUGAAGGUAAGUUUUCUCUAGUGUUUUGCUUAACAAAUGCAUAAAGACCUAGACUUAGCUUUAUUUCCUCCAAAAUGCUUACCAUAAUGACCUAGACUUAGCUUAUCUUCCUCCAAAAUGACAUAAUUAGCUUACUUAGCUCCAAAAUGAUCCAUUUUACCUUAGUUAGCUCUAAAAGGAUCUACACUUAGCUUUGUUUCCUCCAAAAUGACCUAAGUUAGCUCUAAUAUGCUAAGUUGUCUCUAAUAUGCUUAGUUACCUAGGUUUGCUCAAUAAUGACAUGCACUUAGCUUACUUAUGUAAAAAAUGGCAUAAUUAGCUUACUUAGGUUUGAAAUGGCAUAACAACCUUGGUAACCUCAUAUAUAUCAUAUACUUAGCUUAUUUUCCUCAAAAAUGACAUAAUAAGCUUCAUUAGCUCCAAAAUUAUAAAUUUUACCUAAGUUUGCUCCAACAUGACCUAUACUUAGCUUACUUAUGUCAAAAAUGGCAUAAUAUGCUUAGUUAACUAAAAAUGACAUAAUUAGCUAGGGUAGCUCCAAAAUGACCCACUUUACCUAGAUUAGCUCCAAUAUGAUCCAUUUUACCUAGGUUAGCUCCAAAAUGACCAAGUUUACCUAGGUUAGCUCCAAUAUGAUCGAUUUUAGCUAGGUUAGCUCCAAAAUGAUCCAUUUUACCUACGUUAGCUCAAAAAUGGCAUAACUACUUAUGUUAGCACAAAAAUGGCCUAUACUUACCUUAUUUCCUCCAAAUUGACAUUAUCUGCUUAGUUAGCUCAAAAUGGCAUAAUUACUUAUGUAAGCUCUAAAAUGACACAAAUAAGGAAUAAGAAGAAGAAAAACAAGGAAGAGGAGAAAAAGAAAGAAUAGAAGAAGAAAGAGAAGAAAAAGAAAGAAUAAAAGAAGAAGAAUGAGAAGGAAAAGGGUAAAACCCUUCUUCUUCUUCUUCUUCUUCUUAUAUGCUAACUUACCUAUGUUAGCUCAAAAAUGACCUAUACUUAGCUGUUUUUUUAAUCAAAAAUGGCAUAAUAUGCUUAGUUCACUCAAAAAUGGCAUAAGUAGCUAGGUUAGCUCCAUUUUACCUAAGUAUGCUUCUUCUUCUUCUUCUUCUUCUUCUUCAUUUUCUUAUUCUUCUUCUUCUAGUCUUCUUCUAACUUUCUCGUUUCGCAUUUUGCAGAUUACGUUCACCUCACAGAAGCUUGCAUGGAUGGAGUGCUUGUUUUCCCUUUCUGCUUUUCUUUUGUAUCGAUGAACAAUGUGGAACUUCUUAUAUGGAUGGAUGGAACUAUGUGUUGGAUGAAGAAUGUGAAACUAUUGUAAUAUGUAUGGAUGGAACUAUGUGUUGGUUAUGUAUGUAUGAUGAAACUUGUGUGUUGGAUAUGUCAUAUGUCUGCUGUGAAAUUGCCCUGUGGAAAAAAUAUAUAUACAUAUCAUAUAUUUUGCUAUGAAAUUGCUUGGAUAUAAGAAAAAACAGAAAAAAAGACCAACCUCUUUGCCGUCUGCCACCGAUGGCAAAGGGCUCUUUGCCGUGUGCCACGGAUAACAAAGAGGCCAUGUGGCAGCAACUGGUACAACCUGGCAGCUAUACCAAUUGGUUACUUUGCCGUCUGUGGUAGACGACAAAGGGGAGGGCAUGUUUGCCGUCCGCUGGCAGACGAUAAAGGCUGCCGUUAGCCACCUAAUAUGGCUAACGCCUGUUCUUUACCGUCCACUUUCUUCACCGUCUGGCAUGGACGGCAAAGAUUCUUUGCCGUCCGCUUUGAGGAAGCAGAUGGCAAAGAAUCUGUUUACCGUCAGGUUGCAGGGCAGCUUUGCCAUCGGUGGCAGACGGCAAAGGUGUUUGUCGUCAGCCUUUGGUGCCUUUGCCGUCUGCCAUGGAAGACGGCAAAGAAGCUGAUUCCUGUAGUGCAUAGCAUUCCCCAAUCUACAGAGCUCGAGCGCCCCAAUCCACUUUCCGCGAAGUCGAGCUCGGCAAUGGCCGGAUCUGGAGCGAAGGGCAAGUGGAGGCCUCGUGUAUCACGAACAACGACAUCGAGGACCUGAAGCGAGCAGGCUUCCUCUCCCCAGCCUCUACAUAACUAAGAUGCACAUACCCAAAAGCAGAAGUCCGACAAAAAUAAGAUAAGAAACCGACAUAUCGACAAGAGUGAGUCAUAUAGGUCCGACACCAUACCCCCGUCGAAGGAGGUGGUGGAGCGAUCUGGAGCUUAUGCUGCCAUCCAUAUUGGGUAAAAUAUUCCCUGGCCACUUGCUCCAACCGCAUACACACCACCAUAAACAACGGUUGGUACUCCGUUCGAUGUAUCAUACACCACGUAGGAAGCGAGUGUGUAUUCCUAGUUACUGAAAUAUGUACAGCAACUAAACCCAUUUACACGUAGUUAAUGACCAAAAAAAAGUUGAUGCUUGCUACGCGGAUGAGUAGUACAAAUUAAGAAGUGCAAUAUAAAAAAAUGCCGGUCCUUGAUUUGUUGCUGACGUAAGCAUGCCAUCAUCAACUUGUAGUAUUCAUACAAAUUGGCUCAUUCAUAGAGUUGGAGGUUAGCUCUGUCAGCAUGCCAUUAUCAACUUGUAGUUAUCAUACAAAUUUUCAUAGAGUUGGAGGCUAGCUCCUUUGAUCAGCACGCGCUUCAACUCGUGCUUGCCCAGCAAAUAUGGUUCGACUGGGUAGAAGAAAAGGCAUUUUUGCUAAUAUGCCUGGAGAAAAUGCCUUUGAUUAGGGCAUCUUCAACGGCGACCAGUAAAUUUUCUUUCGUGUUUGUCCAUGGACAGGGGAUCAGUCCGCGGACACAGAUACAGGAAUCGGCCAUCCAACGCUAUCCACAUAUAUUCUAACCACUUUUUUUAACAAAACAGAUGAAAUUCAUGCAAACACAAUGGAUUUCAUACAAACCGGACAAAAAAAUUUACAUUUUGGACAUAUUUUUAACUAAAAACUCUACAGCCGGCGUCGGCGAAUAUCCACUCCGGCGACAUGGAUACCAUUGACUAGUCUACUGCUGGCCGCAGCGGAUCUCCAAUGUCGUCCGCAUGUUCGCAGCUGUGAGCCCUGGAGGUAUAUGCUUCGGCGCAAAUAACGGCUUGCUUACCUACCGCUCGUCAGAGUGGAAUAGCUAGCCGAUGCUUUUGUCGGUGGGGAAGGGUCCUUACGCUACACAGUUUUGAGUUGGUUUUGGGUAGGGAACGACGAUGGCCUGCCAGUAGGCAAGACACUGGCUGUGUACGCCAGCUCACCUCGGCGUGGCAUUCAUGGGACCCAAGUGGCAGUGGCUCCUCGAUGAUGGCUCCGAGCGCGGAUGUGCUGGCCGCCACCUCGUCAAUGUUCGUGCAGCCCGCUUCUUUCUCUGUAGGAAGGGCGCGGUUACGCGCGCGUUGACAUCGGAUGACGCGGUCGCAGGCACCUGAGGGGCGGUACGACACAUCACCAUCAACGGCAGCCACGAUGCCUGUGCCGCCGUGCUCCCCCCAGUGCCGACCUGGAGCAACUCACCACCCCUCGGCUCAUGACCGGCGGGCUUGACAGGCCAGCUAGCAAUUUUUUAUGCCAGACAACUCUUCUUCCUGCUCGACGGAUGCCAUGGAGAAAACUGUUCAAGGAGGAAAAUGGUGAGUGGAGGUGUGAUGCGGUUCUUGCCCGGCAUCUGACAUUGUUUAAAUAGCGAGGGGACACGUGGAGCCAACUGGCAUUCUGUUUAAUGCCAGUCGGCUUGCGAACGGACAUGUGGCCGGAGUAAUCAUCUUGGCACACACGCGGGUUUAAUGGUGGAAGGCUGGCAGUCUGCAGGAAUGAGGUGAGGAUGCGUGUUCAGCUGGGCAUGCAGCGGGUGGCACCCUCGUCCGGUGUGCCGUUUCCAUUGAGGAGGCAGUGAGAGGUCGCGUUCACUCUGUAGUGGCAUGGAUGCGGGCAGCUGGCGCAUGGCGGAAACGCGUGUGGGCGAGGUAGGAUGGGGUUUGGGUGGGCACGGAUGGUCAGAAGGGGUCGUGGGAGUUGUCCGGACGCCCGCAAAGCCCCUCUCCCCAUGUUUGUCUCUAGUUUGCAGGACAAAAUACGUCUGGACCGCCCUGAGAACCGAUAUAGGCCCGCGUUGAUGGCACAGCACGUCCGGACCAUGUGGUCCGGAUGGUUGUGGACGGUUUGAGGGUCAGCGUUGGAGAUGCCCUUAGAGUUUAUGACUCUAUUGUGUUUUUCUAAUAAUAAAAAAGCACUUAUGAUAAGUUAUAAGAAAAAACACAUCGAUAUAUUAGGUUCGGACUCCAGCUUUCCUCUUACGUAUGAUUUUUUCUGAUCCGACCGAUUCCAAUAGAGUGAGCCUUGCUUUGUUUUUCUGGAAACUCACCAGAUAAGGAGACAUGCUUAUGCAUUCUUUCAAGAAAAUUACAUCCAUUCUUUCUAACUCAUUUUUUCUUGUUUUAAUAAUAUAAUAGAAAUAGAUCAUUUGUAUUUUUUAUUUCAAACAUUUGACUUAUAAUUUGUAUUGUAAUCUAACGAUAAUGUUUGGAUUUUACUUUCAAAUAUAUUUGAAAUGGCCAUGAUGGAAUCACAUCCAUUUAUUUUAUUAUUAUUUGAACUAGCAGAGUGGCCCGCUCGAUGCGCGGGCUAGAAUUUUAAGAUGACCAUUAAAACUUUUGAGUGUUUCAACUUAAGAAAGAUAUGUUGUGUAAGACAUAAAGAAGGAGAAAUAAAUGUGGUCUAUUAUUUCCUAGUAGAUAUAUAAUAUCAUAUAUUCAUUCGAGCCCAUCACACGUAGAAAGGACUUAGACCACAUUGUAUGUAAGUCUACAAUAAUGUAUAUUUUCUAUUGGCCAAAAGAAAUUAUUUAUUAGCAAAUGAUCUUUAGAAGUGAAUAAUAGUUCUUGUUCUAUGAAAAAAAUCAAUAUGUACUAUUAUUUCAUAUGGUUGCCAUGUAGCAUGUUUUCAUUAUUUUACUAGUAGAACAACACAAGAAAGCCUAAUAAAAGAUCAACAAUAUUAUAUGUACACGCCACUGAUUAGUGAGUCGAGCAAGCAUUGGAGUAUUUUCACGACAUCGUGGCAUUAUUUAAACUUUCAACGUAUUUUAUUGUAGUUGUUUACACUCGUAAAACGCGUACCAAUUCAGCACAAGAACUACAAUUUAAUGACCAAUUAUAUAUAAUAGAAAGAUUGAUCAAAUAACAGCUCAAACAGAUACAAAGCAUCUAUUAUAUUGAGAAAUAUACCACUCAGCAAGAAAUGUUAUCUCUAACCAUCUUAAGCAUGAGGAAGAUUAUCUGUGGAAACAAAUAAGUCAAAUCAAGCGACCAGAUAAUAUCCUAGCUCAAGCAUAUACAGUACACAUCAAUUUUUAAAUAAAUAAAUUACAUUAGAUGACAUUCUCUCAACUCCCGUAACAGCCAUGUGCUUGCGGCAAGUCUGGCCUGGCGCUUGGUAUGAAGAUUGUUAUCUGCUUGAUCGAAGAUACCAACACCAUAAUGAGGUUGUUGCACGGGUUUCAUUGCACUUCACUAGUAGAAAACAGGGCUUUGGUUGGGGCCUGGCCAGCCCAUUAGUCCCGGUUCAGACACGAACCAGGACCCAUAGGGGCAUACGUCCUGGUUUGUGCGCACAGGGGGGCGGCCGGGCCUCGUGGGGCAUUGGUCCCGGUUCGUCUGGACCCAUUUGUCCCGGUUCCAGGCACGAACCGGGAGCAAUGGUCCUAGCACGUGGGGCAUUGGUCCCGGUUCGUGGCUAGAACCGGGACAGAAGGGGGGCCUUUAGUCCCGAACCGGGAUCAAUGAGUUGCCUAUAUAUAUCCCAUUGCCGCAACAGAGCCCUCCACACUGCUUUGUUUUUUCUGGCCGGCGAGGGGAGAGCUUUGUGGUGCUCUAGCUCACCUCCUAUGCACAUGAGGUGUUCGAUGAAAUGUCCGAGCCACACUAGUUAAGCUUUCUCCUCUCGAAGCUCGACCUCAAAACUCUAUUUUCCCCGAGAUUUGUCUAGGUUUAGCGGUCCGUCACGUCCCGUCCCCGUCUUCACCGCCAUCGAUUGCCCGCGCCGAUCUCGUCGCCGGCACCCCGUGGUGAGCCUCUUGUUCUUAUUUCCUUUUUGAAAGAAAAAAAUUCUUACUUUAGAUAGAUAAUUAUCUAAUUUUCUUACUUUUAUUAUUGCUUGUUAUUAUAUAGUGCGAUGGUUUUGGUAUCCGCCCCCGUCGGCCCUCGUCCUGUCUAUGAUUCGGAUGUGAUAUAUAUUAUCUUUUAUAACUAUUUGGUUCAUUUAUUGUUUAUGACAAUUAUGCCGACCAACGUGACAUAGAUUUUAUUUAUCUAGGAGGUAUGUGAACCGGAAAUUCCAACUGACCCUAUUGUCGUGAGGUUAAAUUUAGUUGAAGAAGAAAACCAUUACUUAAAGGAAAAAAUAAAAAAAAUGAGGAGGAGAAGAUGAUAUUGGAGUUGCAUGUUGCGGAUGUCAUCGAUGAUCACAAGAUCAAGAUGGACGCAAUGCGUUUGAAGAUUAGAAAGAUUAGAAAAUAUGCCAUUCAUACCGAGGCUUGGUAUCAUUAUGCCGUUGGAUGAAUUGUUACCUUGGUUGCGAUUAUGAUUGCAUUUGUUGUUGCAUUGAAAUGUUUUACAUAGUUUCAAUGUAUGGUUUAAUUAGAUUCUCUGGAGAGCUAUAUGUUGUUCAAUAAGAACUAUGUAUGUACUUUGGUUUUAAUGUGAUGAUGAACUUCUAUUAAUUUGGUCACUUAUCUAUCCAUGAUGUUCUGUAAUGGUUUUUGACACACUUAAUUAUAUAUAAUGCACGCAGAUGAACCGGCAAUAGAUGUACGGUGACAGACACAACUCCGAGUACGUUAAGGGCGUGCAUAAUUUUAUCAAAGUGGCUGAGGCAAACAAGCAGAAUGAUUUUAUGUGUUGUCCAUGCCCUAUAUGUGGGAAUACGAAGUCUUACUCUGACCGGAAAAUCCUUCACAGCCACCUGCUUUAUAAGGGUUUCAUGCCACACUAUAAUGCUUGGACCAGGGACGGAGAAAUAAGGGUUAUGAUGGAAGACAACGAAGAAGAAGAGGACGAUGACAACUAUGUGCCGCCGGAAUAUGGUGAUGCUGCAACGGGGGAAGCUGCUAAAGAUUAAGAGGAACUAGACGAUAUUGUGCCCGAUGAUGAUCUCCGCCGGGUCAUUGUUGAUGCAAGGAGACAGUGCGAAAGUCAAAAGGAGAAGCUGAAGUUCGAUCACAUGUUAGAGGAUCACAAAAAAGCGUUGUACCCCAAUUGUGAAGAUGGCAACACAAAGCUCGGUACCAUACUGGAAUUGCUGCAGUGGAAGGCAGAGAAUGUUGUGCCUGACAAAGGAUUUGAGAAGCUACUGAAAAUAUUGAAAAAGAAGAUUCCAAAGGAUAACGAAUUGCCCGACAGUACGUACGUAGCAAAGAAGGUCGUAUGCCCUCUAGGACUGGAGGUGCAGAAGAUACAUUCAUGCCCUAAUGACUGCAUCCUCUACCGUGGUGCGUACGAGGAUUUGAACGCAUGCCCGGUAUGCGGUGCAUUGCGGUAUAAGAUCAGACGAGAUGACCUUGGUGAUGUUGACGGUGAGCCCCCCAGGAAGAGGGUUCCUUCGAUGGUGAUGUCGUAUGCUCCUAUAAUACCACGGUUGAAACGUCUGUUCAGAAACGAAGAGCAUGCCAAGUUGAUGCGAUGGCACAGAGAGGACCGUAAGAAAGACGGGAAGUUGAGAGCACCCGCUGACGGGUCGUAGUGGAGAAAAAUCGAGAGAAAGUACCGGGCUGAGUUUGCAGGUGACUCAAGGAACGUAUGAUUUGGUUUAAGCGCGGAUGGCAUUAAUCCUUUGGGGGAGCAGAGCAGCAAUCACAGCACCAGGCCCGUGACUCUAUGUAUGUAUAACCUUCCUCCUUGGAUGUGCAUGAAGCGGAGGUUCAUCAUGAUGCCAGUUCUCAUCCAAGGCCCUAAGCAACCCGGCAACGACAUUGAUGUGUACCUAAGGCCAUUAUUUGAAGAACUUUUAUAGGUGUGGAAUGGAAAUGGUGUACGUGUGUAGGAUGAGCACAAACAGGAGGAAUUUAACCUGCACGCGUUGCUGUUUGUAACCAUCAACGAUUGGCACGCUCUCAGUAACCUUUUAGGACAGACAAACAAGGGAUACCACGCAUGCACACACUGUUUAGCUGACACCGAAAGUAUAUACCUGGACAAAUGCAGGAAGAAUGUGUACCUGGGCCAUCGUCGAUUUCUUCCGACCAACCAUCAAUGUCGAAAGAAAGGCAAGCAUUUCAAAGGCGAGGCAGAUCACCGGAAGAAGCCCGCCAUGCGUACCGGUGAUCACGUACUUGCUAUGGUCAAUGAUUUACACGUAAUCUUUGGAAAGGGUCCUGGCGGACUAUCUGUUCUGAAUGACGCUAAGGGACGCACACCCAUGUGGAAGAAGAAAUCUAUAUUUUGGGACCUACCCUACUGGAAAGACCUAGAGGUCCGCUCUUCAAUCGACGUGAUGCACAUGAUGAAGAAACUUUGCGUGAACCUGCUAGGCUUCUUGGGCGUGUAUGGGAAGACAAAAGAUACACCGGAGGCAUGGGAGGACCUGCAACGUCUGCACGAAAAAGACGGCAUGCCUCCAAAGCUGUAUGAAGGUCCUGCCAGCUACGCUCUUACCAAAGAAGAGAAGGAAAUCUUUUUUGAAUGCCUGCUCAGUAUGAAGGUCCCGUCUGGCUUCUCAUCGAAUAUAAAGGGAAUAAUAAAUAUGCCAGAGAAAAAGUUCCAGAACCUAAAGUCUCAUGACUGCCACGUGAUUAUGACGCAACUGCUUCCGGUUGCAUUGAGCGGGCUUCUACCGGAAAACGUCCGAUUAGCCAUUGUUUAGCUAUGUGCAUUCCUCAAUGCAAUCUCUCAGAAGGUGAUCGAUCCAGAAAUCAUACCAAGGCUAAGGAGUGAUGUGGCGCAAUGUCUUGUCAGUUUCGAGCUGGUGUUCCCACCAUCCUUCUUCAAUAUCAUGACGCACGUCCUAGUUUAUCUAGUCGACGAGAUUGUCAUUCCAGGCCCCGUAUUUCUAGACAAUAUGUUCCCCUUUGGGAGGUUCAUGGGAGUCCUAAAGAAAUAUGUCCCUAACCGCGCUAGGCCAGAAGGAAGCAUCUCCAUGGGCCAUCAAACAGAGGAUGUCAUUGGGUUUUGUGUUGACUUCAUUCCUGGCCUUAAGAAGAUUGGUCUCCCUAAAUCGUGGUAUGAGGGGAGACUGACUGGAAAAGGCACGCUUGGAGGGGACUCAAUAAUAUGCAGGGACAGGCAUUCUUGGUCUCAAGCACACUACACAAUUCUACAUAACUCUACCUUGGUGACCCCGUAUGUCGAUGAACACAAGAACAGUCUGCGCUCCAAACACCCGGAGCAGUGUGACGACUGGAUUACAUAUGAACACAUCAGGACUUUCGGCAGUUGGUUGGAAACACGUCUCAGAGGUGACAACACUGUUUGUGAUGAGCUGUACUCGUUGUCCAGGGGACCAUCUUCGAUUGUAUUGACUUACAAAGGAUACGAGAUAAAUGAGAAUACAUUUUACACGAUCGCCCAAGAUCAAAAUAGCACCAACCAAAACAGCGGUGUCCGCUUUGAUGCAGCAACCAAGAGGGGAAAGGACACAUAUUAUGGUUACAUAGUGGACAUAUGGGAACUUGACUACGGACAUGAUUUUAAGGUCCCUUUGUUUAAGUGCAAAUGGGUCAAUCUGUCAGGAGGGGGGGUACAGGUAGACCCAUAGUACGGAAUGACAACAGUGGAUCUGAACAAUCUUGGGUACACAGACGAACCGUUCGUCCUAGCCAAUGAUGUGGCGCAGGUUUUCUAUGUGAACGACAUGUCUACCAAACCGAGAAAAAGAAAAGAUAAGGAAGCGAACACAUCAUACGAUGAGCCAGAGCGCCACAUAGUUCUUUCAGAAAAAAGAGACAUCGUGGGAGUGGAGGGCAAGAUAGACAUGUCCGAAGAUUAUGAAAAGUUUCAUGAAAUUCCUCCCUUCAAAGUCAAGGCUGACCCAAGCACCCUGAUAAACGAUGAAGAUUAUCCAUGGUUACGGCGCAAUAAGCAAAGGACACAAGCCAAGAAAAAGUGAAGACUUUCUCUCCACAACUAUUAUGAUGAUGCCUUUGAUCUAGAAUAUCACUGCAGUUACAUGUGAAGAAAUGAAAUGCCUGUUGUAAUAGACAAAUUUCCGUAUGAAACCCUGAUACCUCGAAACAGAUAGUCCGUUUUGUACACGAAGUGCAUCCAGUUUUUGUCGUAACCCUCUCAACUUUUUAGCACAUGCUAUGUGGGUGAAAUGAUUAUGCCAUGCCAACUUUCAACCUUUUCAUAGUUCAUUUGAAAUGCUUUUCAAUUUCAGGGUCAUAUAGCUCAAAAAAUUCAGUAAUGCAUGAAAGAUAACAAAAUGAAGUCAGAAAGGGUUGAAAAUUGAUGAUGUGGCUUUGAAUGGUGCAUUUUGAACACACAAAAAGUCGGGAGUUCAUAUAAGUUCAAAAAAUGAAAUCCCUUUGUAACAGAUGAGUUUUCGUCCGAAACCCUGAUACUUCAAAAGAGAUUGUCCAUUUUGUACACGAAGUGCUUCCAGUUUUUGCCGUAACCCUCUCAACUUUUUAGCACAUGCUAUGUGGGUGAAAUGAUGAUACCAUGCCAACUUUCAACCUUUUCAGAGUUCAUUUGAAAUGCUUUUCAAUUUCAGGGUCUUAUAGCUCAAAAAAUCAGUAAAUGCAUGAAAAAUAACAAAUGAAGUCAGAAAGGGUUGAAAAUUUAUGAUGUUCCUUUGAAUGGUGCAUUUUGAACACACAAAAAGUCUGGAGUUCAAAUAAGUUCAAAAAGAGAGGCGCAAUGCUCACCUGCACGUUGCUUAGCUUCAGGCCUUGAGAAACUACACAUAGCUCCGUGCAUUCUACACCAUUUCAAGGCCUGAAGCUAAGCAACGUGUAGGUGAGCAUUGCGCCUCUCCUUGAUCGUCUUUGCACUUAGGGCUUAUAAACCGCUGCGAGUGCCUCUCGCUUGGCGAGGUGGGACUAAAAAUAGCUGCAGAAAGAAUCAACUAAAAAACUAUUAUCGGUUCAUGCCACCAACCGGUACUAAAGGUGCUCGUGGGGCCCCAGCCUUAGAACCGGUAAUAAAUGAAAUGCCUUUGUAACAGCCUUAGAACCGGUACUAAAGGAAUCAACUAAAAAGCUUUAUUGAAACUAAACUCAUAUAAAAUUUAUGCAACUAAAAUUAUCAAAGUAUUUUCUAUUCAAAACAUUAAAAGAAAAGAGAAUUUUCAUAAAAUAAAUAAAAAAGCAAUUUAAAAGGGUUACGGCAAAAAUAUAUGAAAAAGUAGGAAAAAACCGAAUGCACUUCGUGUACAAAACACAAUAAUAUUUGCAUACCCUCUCAACUUUUUGCAUACCUAAAAAUUACCAAAUUUAAUAUAAUGAUAAAACACAAUAAUAUUAAAUAGCAGGAAAAAGAAUCACUCAAAAAACUAUUUUUUUAGUAAAGUUAUUCACACACUAGUAAUUCACACUAAUUUAAAAGAAUUCAAAUUUAAACUAUUUAAAUUUGAAAAUUAAUGGCACUAACAGAAAGUCUAUAAUUUUUGUGACCUAAGAGCAAAAAGAAUUAAUAAAAUAAAGCAAAAAACAAAUGAAAAUAAAUAAUGCAAAAAAAUAAAAAAAAAUGCCACCUACUGGGCCACCACGGCUUGAAUACGACUAGAAACCCCAUUGGGCCAGGAUUCAGGCCCGCAGCAGGCCCACAGGCACACAGAGAAGUUUAGGCCAGAAGGCCUGCAAUAGUGAGGAGUUCGAAUGGGAUGGCACAUCAGCGCUUAUAAACAGGUGCCGGAGCUCCUCAUCUAGCGAGGUGGGACUAAACUUCCCACCGCACCGCGCCAGUACAAGGCUUUUGGUCCCGGUUGGUAGCACCAACCUGGACGAAAGGGGUGCUUUGGUCCCGGUUCGUGGUACCAACCGGGACCAAUGCCCCCCUUUUAGUCCCAGUUGGUGCCACCAACCGGGACCAAAGGCCUCUGCUUCCCGCCCUUUGGGCUGCUGAAGAGAGACCUUUGGUCCCAGUUGCUGGCAUGAACCGAGACCAAAGGGGCGCAUUCGUCCCGAUUUGUGCCACGAACCGGGACCAAUGCGCUGUGUAUAUAAGCAUGACUUGUAAUUUUUCCAGUUUCAUCGACCAUUUGCCCCCCGACGAGCCGAACUCAUCGACGCUGCCAGGCUACCCGUGCUCGUCGUCGCCGCUCCACGGUCGCCGUCGCCUUCGCCGCCCGCUCCUCGUCGCCGUCGCCCCGCGCCCUUGCCCUGCCCCGACGCGCCACCCCGGCCCGUGUCCCUGCCCCGACACGCCACCCCGGCCCGUGCGCCCCUGCGCGGACGCGNNNNNNNNNNNNNNNNNNNNNNNNNNNNNNNNNNNNNNNNNNNNNNNNNNNNNNNNNNNNNNNNNNNNNNNNNNNNNNNNNNNNNNNNNNNNNNNNNNNNNNNNNNNNNNNNNNNNNNNNNNNNNNNNNNNNNNNNNNNNNNNNNNNNNNNNNNNNNNNNNNNNNNNNNNNNNNNNNNNNNNNNNNNNNNNNNNNNNNNNNNNNNNNNNNNNNNNNNNNNNNNNNNNNNNNNNNNNNNNNNNNNNNNNNNNNNNNNNNNNNNNNNNNNNNNNNNNNNNNNNNNNNNNNNNNNNNNNNNNNNNNNNNNNNNNNNNNNNNNNNNNNNNNNNNNNNNNNNNNNNNNNNNNNNNNNNNNNNNNNNNNNNNNNNNNNNNNNNNNNNNNNNNNNNNNNNNNNNNNNNNNNNNNNNNNNGAUUAUAUGUCCUGUUUUUUUAGAUUUUUUAUUCAUAUAUAUGAUGAUUUUUUUUGCAUUUUUAUAAAAAUGUAUAUAUGUAUGUAUGUUCUCUGUGUAUAUAUGUUCAUACAUGCAAAAUUUAGAUUUUUAGAAAAGUUUUAUCUAUGUAUGUUAUCUGAUUUAGUAUAUUUUAGGUUAGUUUCAUUUUUAGAAAAGUUUUAUAUAUUUAGGAAGAAGGAUGAGAAGGAAGAAGGAAGAAGAAGAAAAAGUUUUAUAUAUGCAAAAGUUGCAUUUUUAGAAAAGUUUUAUAUAUCUAGCUAGGAAGAAGGAAGAAGGAAGAAGAAGAAGAAAAACUUUUAUAUCUGCAAAAGUUACAUUUUUUGAAAAGUUUUACCUAGGAAGAAGGAAGAAGGAAGAAGAGGAAGAAAAAGAAGGAGAGGAAAAAGGAAAAUAAGAAGAGGAAGAACGAGAAGAAGGAGAAGAAGAGGAGAAAUAAAUAAGAAGAGGAAAAAAGAAGAAAAAUUUCUAUUUUUUCUUCUUCUCCUCUAUUCCUUUCUACUUCUCCUCUUUUUUUCUUUUUUUUCUUCGAUCUUCUCCUCUAUUCCUUUCUUCUUCCUCCUCUUCUUAUUUUCUAUCGGGUAUGUCGUUGUCGAUAUACCCCUCCCCGAUAACUUCGACAUGAGGGGGGUCGAUAUACCCCCUCCUCGAUAACUUCGACAUGAGGGGGGGGAGGGGUCGCCGAGGGUUCGAGGGGUGAGGGUCGGGAACUGGGGUAGAGGGUUGAGGGUCAUCGAGGGGUCGAGGCUCGCCGAGGGUUCGAGGGUCGAGGGUUCAAGGGUUGUUGAGGGGUCGAGGGUGCGAGGGUCGAGGGUCGACGAGGGGUCGAGGGUCGAGGAUCGCCGAGGGGUCGAGAGGUUGCCUAGUGUCAGAGUAUUGAAGAAAUCCAUGCCUUCAUCAUUUUCCGGAAGUAACCAGGGCAUGUUGGUACGAAGUUCUGCAAAGUUGUUCUGGAACGGAGUUCCGGAUAGGUUAAUCCGCCUUUUGGUACGAAUUUCAGAAUAGGCCUUCCAAAUAGCGAUAUUCGGAAGACUCUUGCUGAACUUUGUACCAAAAACCGAAUUAUCCUAUCUAGGACUCCGUUCCAGAACAACUUUGAAGAGCUUCGUACCAUCAUGCGCCUGUUACUUUCGCCUAAUGAUGUAGACAUGGUUUUGUUGAAUCCUUUGACACUAGACAAACAUGACAUGAGGGGGUCGAGGGUCGGGAACUAGGGAAGAGGGUCGUGGAUCGCCGAGCGGUCGAGGGUCGAGGGUCGUCCAGGGGUCGAGGGUCCAGAUUUAUCAUGAAUGCCCCCAUUAUGGAUGUGGACAAGUUGAUCCAAUUUUUUCUGUAUAUAUAUAUAUAUAUAUAUAUAUAUAUAUAUAUAUAUAUAUAUAUAUAUAUNNNNNNNNNNNNNNNNNNNNNNNNNNNNNNNNNNNNNNNNNNNNNNNNNNNNNNNNNNNNNNNNNNNNNNNNNNNNNNNNNNNNNNNNNNNNNNNNNNNNNNNNNNNNNNNNNNNNNNNNNNNNNNNNNNNNNNNNNNNNNNNNNNNNNNNNNNNNNNNNNNNUUCUAUAUGUCACGUUGUCUGUCAAAGUAUUGAAGAAAUCCAUGGCUUCAUCAUUAACUAAAAGUAACAGGCAUAUGAGGCGGUCCGGCCCAAACCCUAGAAGCGCUGUCGAGGCCACGAAAAUUUACCAGGUUAAAAGAGCGUUGUCGUCGAGGCCACCCGAACCCUAGAAGCGUUGUCGAGGCCACCCCAAACCCUAGAGAAGCGUCGAGGCCACUAAUAUGAUUCCUUGUUGUGAUUAGCUACCUAGGUCUAUGUUUGCCACUAAUAUAUCCAUUACAUGUUUUGUAUAUUAAUUGCAAUGUUGUAAUAUGAUACGUCUCCAACGUAUCUAUAAUUUUUGAUUGUUCCAUGCUAUUAUAUUAUCUAUUUUGGAUGUUCAAUGGGCUUUAAUAUGCUCUUUUAUAUUAUUUUUGGGACUAACCUAUUAACCGAAGACCCAGUGCCAGUUUCUGUUUUUUUUGCCUAUUUCAGUGUUUUGUAGAAAAGGAAUACCAAACGGAUUCCAAACGGAAUGAAACCUUCGUGAUGAUCUUUCUUGGAACAAACGCAAUCCAGAAGACUUGGAGUUGAAGUCUGGAACUCCGCGAGGCGGCCACGAGGCAGGAGGGCGCGCCCAGAGGGGUAGGCGCGCCCCACCCUCGUGGGCCCCAUGGAGCUCCACCGACGUACUUCUUUCGCCUAUAUAUACUCUUAUACCCUAAAAACAUCAGGGGGCCACGAAACCACUUUUCCGCCGCCGCAACCUUCUGUCCCCGUGAGAUCCCAUCUUGGGGCCUUUUCCGGUGAUCUGCCGGAGGGGGAAUCGAUCACGGAGAGCAUCUACAUCAACACCAUAGCCUCUCCGAUGAUGUGUGAGUAUUUUACCAGAGACCUUCGGGUCCAUAGUUAUUAGCUAGAUGGCUUCUUCUCUCUCUUUCGUUCUCAAUACAAAGUUCUCCUCGAUGUUCUUGGAGAUCUAUUCGAUGUAAUACUCUUUUGCCGUGUGUUUGCCAAGAUCCGAUGAAUUGUGGAUUUAUGAUCAAGAUUAUCUAUGAAUAAUAUUUGCUUCUUCUCUGAAUUCUUAUAUGCAUGAUUUGAUAUCUUUGCAAAUCUCUUCGAAUUAUCGAUUUAGUUUGGCCUACUAGAUUGAUCUUUCUUGCAAUGGGAGAAGUGCUUAGCUUUGGGUUCAAUCUUGCGGUGUCCUUUCCCAGUGACAUUAGGGGCAACAAGGCACGUAUUGUAUUGUUGCCAUCGAGGAUAAAAAGAUGGGUUUUAUAUCAUAUUGCUUGAUUUUAUCCCUCUACAUCAUGUCAUCUUGCUUAAUGCGUUACUCUAUUCUUAUGAACAUAAUACUCUAGAUGCAUGCUGGAUAGCGGUCGAUGUGUGGAGUAACAGUAUUUGAUGCAGAAUCAUUUCGGUCUACUUGACACGGACGUGAUGCCUAUAUUCAUGAUCAUUGCCUAGAUAUUCUCAUAACUAUGCGCUUUUCUAUCAAUUGAACGGCGGUCAUUUGUUCACCCACCAUAAUAUAUGCUAUCUUGAGAGAAGCCACUAGUGAAACCUAUGGCCCCCGGGUCUCUUUCUUAUUAUAUUACAUCUCUUUUAUUUACAUCAAAUCUCUUUUUACUAUUUUGCAAUCUUUACUUUCAAAUUUAUACAACAAAAAUACCAAAAAUAUUUAUCUUACUAUCUUUAUUAGAUCUCACUAUUGCGAGUGACCGUGAAGGUAUUGACAACCCCUUUAUCGCGUUGGUUGCAAGUUCUUGAUUGUUUGUGCAGGUACUAGGUGACUUGCAUGUUAUCUCCUACUGGAUUGAUACCUUGGUUCUCAAAAACUGAGGGAAAUACUUAUGCUACUUUGCUGCAUCACCCUUUCCUCUUCAAGGGAAAACCAACGCAUGCUCAAGAGGUAGCAAGAAGGAUUUAUGGCACCGUUGUUGGGGAGGUUUACGCCAAGUGAAGUCAAGAUUUGAUCUCCCGUCAACUUGCCAAUUUCUGGCGCCAUUGCCGGGGAGGUUUACGCCAAGUCAAGUCAAGAUUUGAUCUCCCGUCAACUUGCCAAUUUCUGGCGCCGAUGCCGGGGAGAUCUACGCUCAAGUCAAGACAUCCCAAGUACCCAUCAUAAACUCUUCUCCCUCGCAUUAAAUCAUAAAAUAUUUUCGAAAACCUUUGCCUUUUCUUCGCCCCUUUUCCAUUCGCCUCUUUUCUGUUCGCCUGCUUCUUGUGUCCUUGGGUGUUUGUGUGCCUGUUUUCUCUGAUGGCUUUACCAAAAAGCGUUGAUCCUCAUCUUAGAAGGUUGGAAGAAAUUGAAAACAACGUUUGAAGCUUUAUGUCUUUGCAGUUUGAGCAUAAUAAUUUCUUCAGAAAUGAGCUCAAAGAACAAAAAAGUUUUAUGGAGUACAUGAAUAAAGAGCUUGAUGAUAUGUCUAAGGAAUUUUAUGGUUUAAAAUCUCAGUUGGCUCAUCUUGAAAAUUUAGUAGGCCAAAUUUCGGAUAAGCAGGCCACCUUAGUUAAUAAGAUGGCCGCUAAACCAGAAGAUCUAGAUAAUAAUAAAGAUGAAGAUCUAAAAGUAAUUGAUGUGACUCCUAUUAAAUCUUUGUUUUCCAAUAUGAAUCUUGAUAAAGAAGGGGCUGGAGAUGAUUCAACUUUAGUUAAAACGCCUCCCAAUGAUUCAUAGUUUUUAGAUCUUAAUGCUAAAAUUAAUAAAAGUGGGAUUGAAUAGGUCAAAACUUUACAUAGCAAUGAACCCACUAUUUUGGAUUUCAAGAAAUUUAAUUAUGAUAAUUGCUCUUUGAUAGAUUGUAUUUCCUUGUUGCAAUCCGUGUUGAAUUCUCCUCAUGCCUAUAGUCGAAAUAAAGCUUUCACUAAACAUAUCGUUGAUGCUUUAAUGCAAUCCUAUGAAGAAAAGCUUGAGCUAGAAGUUUCUAUCCCUAGAAAACUUUAUGAUGAGUGGGAACCUACUAUUAAAAUUAAGAUUAAAGAUUAUGAAUGCUAUGCUUUGUGUGAUAUGGAUGCUAGUGUUUCCUCGAUUCCAAAAAAUUUGUGUGAUGUCUUAGGUUUCCGUGAAUUUGAUGAUUGUUCUUUAAAUUUGCAUCUUGCAGAUUCCACCAUUAAGAAACCUAUGGGAAGGAUUAAUGAUGUUCUUAUUGUUGCAAAUAGGAAUUAUGUGCCCAUAGAUUUCAUUGUUCUUGAUAUAGAUUGCAAUCCUACAUGUCCUAUUAUUCUUGGUAGAGCUUUCCUUAGAACGAUUGGUGCAAUUAUUUACAUGAUAGAAGGAAAUAUUAGAUUCCAAUUUCUGUUAAGGAAAGGCAUGGAACACUUUCCUGGAAAGAAAAUUAAAUUGCCUUAUGAAUCAAUUAUGAGAGCCACUUAUGGAUUGCAUACCAAAGAUGACAAUACCUAUAUCUAUUCUUGUUUUCAUGCCUAGCUAGGGGCGUUAAACGAUAGCGUUUGUUGGGAGGCAACCCAAUUUUAUUUUUGUUCUUUGCUUUUUGUUCCUGUUUAGUAAUAAAUAAUUCAUCUAGCCUCUGUUUAGAUGUGGUUGUAUGUUUUAAUUAGUGGUUGUGCCAAGUAGAACCUUUGGGAAGACUUGGGUGAAGUCUUUGCAAUCUUGCUAUAAAAACAGAAAAUUUUGCACUCACAAGAUUAGAUGCCAUUUUUUACUAGAGAAUUUUUUUAGGUUGAUUCCUUUUGCAGAUGAUUAAUAGACAAAUGCCUCACGUCCACCAAUUCAUUUCAGAAUUGUUGGAGUUCCAGAAGUAUUCGUUUGAUACAGAUUGCUACGGACUGUUCUGUUUUGACAGAUUCUGUUUUUCAUGUGUUGUUUGCUUAUUUUGAUGAAUCUAUGAGUAGUAUCGGGGGGUAUGAAACAAAAAUAAGUUGGAAUACAGUAGGUUUAACACCAAUACAAAUAAAGAAUGAGUUCAUUACAGUACCUUAAAGUGAUGGUUUGUUUUCUUAUACUAACGGAGCUCAUGAGAUUUUCUGUUAAGUUUUGUGUUGUGAAGUUUUCAAGUUUUUGGGUAAAGAUUUGAUGAAUUUUGGAAGAAGGAGUGGCAAGAGCCUAAGCUUGGCGAUGCCCAAGGAACCCCAAGGUAAAAUUCAAGGACAGCCAAAAGCCUAAGCUUGGGGAUGCGCUGGAAGGCAUCCCCUUUUUCGUCUUCGUCUAUCGGUAACUUUACUUGAGGCUAUAUUUUUAUUCACCACAUGAUAUGUGUUUUGCUUGUAGCGUCUUGUAUGAUUUCAGUCUUUGCUUUUUAGUUUACCACAAUCAUCCUUGCUGUACACACCUUUUGGAGAGACACACAUGAAUCAGAAUUUAUUAGAAUACUCUAUGUGCUUCACUUAUAUCUUUUGAGCUAGAUAAUUUUGCUCUAGUGCUUCACUUAUAUCUUUUUAGAGCACGGUGGUGGUUUUAUUUUAUAGAAAUUAUUGAUCUCUCAUGCUUCACUUAUAUUAUUUUGAGAGUCUUUUAGAACAGCAUGGUAAUUUGCUUUGGCUAUAAAAUUAGUCCUAAUAUGAUGAGCAUCCAAGAUGGGUAUAGUAAAAACUAUCAUAUAAAGUGCAUUGAAUACUAUGAGAAGUUUGAUUCCUUAUGAUUGUUUUGAGAUAUGAAGAUGGUGAUAUUAGAGUCAUGCUAGUUGACUAGUUGUGAAUUUGAGAGAUACUUGUGUUAAGGUAUGUGAUUCCCGUAGCAUGCACGUAUGGUGAACCGUUAUGUGCUGAAGUCGGAGCAUGAUUUAUUUAUUGAUUGUCUUCCUUAUGAGUGGCGGUCGGGGACGAGCGAUGGUCUUUUCCUACCAUUCUAUCCCGCUAGGAGCAUGCGUGUAGUACUUCGUUUCGAUAACUAAUAGAUUUUUGCAAUAAGUACGUGAGUUCUUUAUGACUAAUGUUGAGUCCAUGGUUUAUACGCACUCUCACCUUCCACCAUUGCUAGCCUCUCUAAUACCGUGCACCUUUCACCGGUAUCAUACACCCACCAUAUACCUUCCUCAAAACAGCCACCAUACCUACCUAUUAUGGCAUUUCCACAGCCAUUCCGAGAUAUAUUGCCAUGCAACUUUCCACCGUUCCGUUUAUUAUGACACGCGUCAUCAUUGUCAUAUUGCUUUGCAUGAUCAUGUAGUUGACAUCGUAUUUGUGGCAAAGCCACCGUUCAUGAUUUUCAUACAUGUCACUCUUGAUUCAUUGCACAUCCCGGUACACCGCCGGAGGCAUUCACAUAGAGUCAUAUUUUGUUCUAAGUAUUGAGUUGUAAUUCUGAGUUGUAAGUAAAUAAAAGUGUGAUGAUCAUCAUUAUUAGAGCAUUGUCCCAGUGAGAAAAUGAUGACGGAGACUAUGAUUCCCCCACAAGUCGGGAUGAGACUCCGGACGAAAAAAAGAGGCCAUAAAAAAGAGAAAGGCCCAAAUAAAAAAAAUUGAGAGAAAAAGAGAGCAGGGACAAUGCUACUAUCCUUUUACCACACUUGUGCUUCAAAGCAGCACCAUGAUCUUCAUGAUAGAGAGUCUCCUAUGUUGUCACUUUUAUACUAGAGGGAAUUUUACAUUAUAGAACUUGGCUUGUAUAUUCCAAUGGUGGGCUUCCUCAAAUUGCCCUUGGUCUUCGUGAGCAAGCAAGUUGCAUGCACACCACAUAGUUUCUUUUGUUGAGCUUUCAUACACUUAUAGCUCUGGUGCAUCCGUUGCAUGGCAAUCCCUACUCACUCACAUUGAUAUCUAUUGAUGGGAAUCUCCAUAGCCCGUUGAUACGCCUAGUUGAUGUGAGACUAUCUUCUCCUUUUUGUCUUCUCCACAACCACCAUUCUAUUCCACCUAUAGUGCUAUGUCCAUGGCUCACGCUCAUGUAUUGCGUGAAGAUUGAAAAAGUUUGAGAACAUCAAAAGUAUGAAACAACUGCUUGGCUUGUCAUCGGGGUUGUGCAUGAUUUAAAUAUUUUGUGUGAUGAAGAUAGAGCAUAGCCAGACUAUAUGAUUUUGUAGGGAUAACUUUCUUUGGCCAUGUUAUUUUGAGAAGACAUGAUUGCUUUAUUAGUAUGCUUGAAGUAUUAUUGUUUUUAUGUCAAUAUUAAACUUUUGUCUUGAAUCUUAUGGAUCUGAAUAUUCAUGCCACAAUAAAGAGAAUUACAUUGAAAAUUAUGUUAGGUAGCAUUCCACAUCAAAAAUUAUGUUUUUAUCAUUUACCUACUCGAGGACGAGCAGGAAUUAAGCUUGGGGAUGCUUGAUACGUCUCCAACGUAUCUAUAAUUUUUGAUUGUUCAAUGCUAUUAUAUUAUUUGUUUUGGAUGUUUAAUGGGCUUUAAUAUGCUCUUUUAUAUUAUUUUUGGGACGAACCUAUUAACCGAAGGCCCAAUGCCAGUUUUUGUUUUUUUGCCUAUUUCAGUGUUCUGCAAAAAAGGAAUACCAAACGGAAUCCAAACGGAAUGAAACCUUCGCGAUGAUCUUUCUUGGAACAAAUGCAAUCCAGAAGACUUGGAGUUGAAGUCUGGAACUCCGCGAGGAGGCCACGAGGCAGGAGGGCGCGCACAGGGGGGUAGGCGCGCCCCCACCCUCAUGGGCCCCACGGAGCUCCACCGAUGUACUUCUUUUGCCUAUAUAUACUCUUAUACCCUAAAAACAUCAGGGGGAGCCACGAAACCACUUUUCCACCGUCGCAACCUUCUGUACCCGUGAGAUCCCAUCUUGGGGCCUUUUUCGGCGAUCUUCCAGAGCGGGAAUCGAUCACGGAGGGCUUCUACAUCAACACCAUAGCCUCUCAGAUGAUGUGUGAGUAGUUUACCACAGACCUUCCGGUCCAUGGUUAUUAGCUAGAUGGCUUCUUCUCUCUCUUUGGUUCUCAAUACAAAGUUCUCAUCGAUGUUCUUGGAGAUCUAUUCGAUGUAAUACUCUUUUGCGGUGUGUUUGCCGAGAUCUGAUGAAUUGUGGAUUUAUGAUCAAGUUUAUCUAUGAAUAAUAUUUGGUUCUUCUCUAAAUUCUUAUAUGCACGAUUUGAUAUCUUUGCAAAUCUCUUCGAAUUAUCGGUUUAGUUUGGCCUACUAGAUUGAUCUUUCUUGCAAUGGGAGAAGUGCUUAGCUUCGGGUUCAAUCUUGCGGUGUCCUUUUCAAGUGACAGUAGGGGCAGCAAGGAACGUAUUGUAUUGUUGCCAUCGAGGAUAAAAAGAUGGGGUUUAUAUCAUAUUGCUUGAGCUUAUCCCUCUACAUCAUGUCAUCUUGGUUAAUGCGUUACUCUGUUCUUAUGAACUUAACUAGCAGGGUGACCCGCGCAUUUGCGCGGCUAGAUUAUAUACAUGUUCAAUGGACACAGUUGUCUCAAAUUUUGACAAUUUUGACACGCUUUCGAAUGCACAACUUUGCUUAUUAUUUAUAUAUGAAUAUGGUUGUCUUUUAUCCACCAAUUAGAAUGUCUGAUAUAAUUUAUAUUCUUAAAUUAGAUAUAUAUUGUCAAUGUAUGCAUUUGUGGGGGAAAUGUGCUUCUUUUCUUUUUAUUGCAUUGAAAAUUAUAUGUAAAGAUAAAUGUAUUAAGCAUGCAUGUAAUAAUUAGUACUCCUGCCGUUCCUAAAUAUUUGUCUUUUUAGAGAUUUCAAAUGGACUACCAUAUACGGAUGUAUAUAGACAUAUUUUAGAGUGUAGAUUCACUCAUUUUGCUCCGUAUGUAGUCACUUGUUGAAAUCUCUUGAAAGACAANNNNNNNNNNNNNNNNNNNNNNNNNNNNNNNNNNNNNNNNNNNNNNNNNNNNNNNNNNNNNNNNNNNNNNNNNNNNNNNNNNNNNNNNNNNNNNNNNNNNNNNNNNNNNNNNNNNNNNNNNNNNNNNNNNNNNNNNNNNNNNNNNNNNNNNNNNNNNNNNNNNNNNNNNNNNNNNNNNNNNNNNNNNNNNNNNNNNNNNNNNNNNNNNNNNNNNNNNNNNNNNNNNNNNNNNNNNNNNNNNNNNNNNNNNNNNNNNNNNNNNNNNNNNNNNNNNNNNNNNNNNNNNNNNNNNNNNNNNNNNNNNNNNNNNNNNNNNNNNNNNNNNNNNNNNNNNNNNNNNNNNNNNNNNNNNNNNNNNNNNNNNNNNNNNNNNNNNNNNNNNNNNNNNNNNNNNNNNNNNNNNNNNNNNNNNNNNNNNNNNNNNACGAAAGUUUCAGAACUCCUUUCCAUAUGAAUAUUCUUGGAUAAAAUUUUAAAUGGUAAUAGUUUGCAAAAUCGUAUGCGAGGACAAUAAUGAUAUAAUUGCUAAUGUUAUAUAUGUUUGGGCACAACCAAUCAUUUCAUUCUAGGCGUUUGUGAUUCUUUGUCGACAUCACCCUGCAAAAGAAGGUGUUUUUUAUCGAUGGGUAGUCGGACAACAAUAACACGUGGGUAUGUUACCUUGUAAAUAUCUUCUUCACAAUUUUUAACCCAGAAUUGGACAAUAAUAAUUUUCUUCUAUGUUGACUAAUUACUAUCAUCCGCAAUGCAUACACACAUCGUGUAUGUAAUUAUGAUACCCAGAAUUGCCAAUUCAAACACUAAAUAUAUAUUCCCCAAAAAUGAACACUAAAUAUAUGUUUCUUUCUCUAGUUCGUUUUUCUUUACAUAUUUCUUUUUUUGCUGAUGUGUUCAGGUUUCAGCCAUCAUACAAAAUACAAAAAUAUUGGGACGGGACACUAUUUUUAUUCGUGCCAGCUCAAACCAAAUACCUUUCUUAAUAACAGUGCAAAACAAAUACUUACUCCUACAUAUAUCUGUGCUAUGUAUCUAGAAGGGAGUUAUUACUCACGUAUUGGAACCAAACUCUGAUUCUUUUUUUCUCUCUCUUUGAAACAUUACAGUACGGAUUCACUAUUUUCAUCAUGUAUACGUGACCAAUUUUAUUAACACAUGUACACAUGACGUGCACAAUGCAGUCUGGCCUGUUUGAACCUAUGGCCUCCGGGUCUCUUUCUUAUUAUAUUGCAUCUCUUUUAUUUACAUCACAUCUCGUUUUACUAUUUUGCAAUCUUUACUUUCAAAUUUAUUCAACGAAAAUACCAAAAAUAUCUAUCUUACUAUCUUUAUUAGAUCUCACUUUUGCGAGUGACCGUGAAGGGAUUGACGGCCCAUUUAUCGCGUUGGUUGCAAGGUUCUUGAUUGUUUGUGCAGGUACUAGGUGACUUGCGUGUUAUCUCCUACUGGAUUGAUACCUUCGUUCUAAAAAACUGAGGAAAAUACUUACGCUACUUCGCUGCAUCACCCUUUCCUCUUCAAGGGAAAACCAACGCAUGCUCAAGUGGUAGCAUAAUAUUUGCAGAAACUAUGGAGCACCGAGACUUGGAAGAAGAACACGUGUUGGGGGACAUAAUCCUCGCCGGAGGUGAUGUCAUGUCGUAUCUCAACGACACCGAUGGUCUGGAAGGAGAGGGUGAAGCAGGCUACGGUGAUCGAACAAUGGAGGAGGAAGGACAUGAUUAUGAUGGCUCCGGUGACCGAAUGCCGGUGGAAGAAGGACACCGUGAUGACGGCUCCGGCAACCGAACGGAAUCCGGCCAGGUAUAUAUAUAUUAAUUAAGUCUAUGCUGACUAUAGCUAAUUGAUGCAUUAAUCGUUUUGAUAUGUACACAUAUUAACUCUCUUCUUUCUUCUUUUCUAGCCCUCCGGAUCGAGCUAAACUUCGGUAACGAGACGAGGCCUGAAGAAAAAGUUGCGCCAGGAUGAAAGGUUCACGAUCAUAGAAAUCGCACGCGAUGGCCAACCGAUUGCACCCGUCCGGACUAAGGAAGCAUUUUCUGCUCAGUGCGGGGUUCUUGUUAGGGACAUGAUCCCGAUCAGCAUCCACCAAUGGUACAAGCCUAAGAACGAAGACCCUGAGGUGUCUUGUGUCAACGAUAGGCAGAAAGAUGAUCUUUGGACCACGCUGAAGGCAAAUUUCACCCUACCGCCAGAGGAGGAUCCGGAGAAGCCUGCUAUUAUAGAGCCAUUGGUCAAGGCUCAUGCUCUUAAGAAGAUGGCAGAUCUAUUCAGGAGGUGGAAGAACGAGCUAAAAACAACGUUUGUCGACAAAGACAAGACUCCAUAACUCACCGGCCGGUUUGAGAAGAUCAGAGAUCACUGGGAUGCAUUUGUGGCCCACGAGACAUCAGACAAGAGUAAGAAGAUGUCAGCGACAAACAAGAAAAAUGCUGUGAAGAAGGAGCAUCACCAUCGCACGGGGUCAGGUGGCAACCUCAAAGCCCGGCCGUUGCGGGAGAAGGCUGAGAAUGACCUGCUUGAUGAAGGGGUCGAACCAGAGACAUUGAACUGGCCAGACCGUUCAAGGACUUGGUUCUUCGGGGUUGGGGGAACCUUGGACCCUCAAACAGGAAAGUGCGUUUGGACGAAUGAGCAAAUGCGAAUACCCGUCACGAAGCUUCAGGAGUAUAUCGCCGCAGCACAGCAAGGGACGUUCGUUCCCGAUAGAGAGAACGACGAGCUCACAAUGGCCCUCGGGAAUCCUGAGCACCAUGGACGGACACGAGGCACGCCAGGAUCCGUUUCGAGGAAGGCCGGGUUUCCCGACGCAGGCGGUUACAAAGGCCGGGAGAGGAGGAGGAAAGUGGAGCAGACCCAACUGCAGGAGCUGCAUGCAAGGGUACAAGCACUUGAGGAACGAGAAGCAGUUCACAGCAAGCGAUCUGCCGAAGCUACCCUUGAAGCUACCCCACCAUCUCAGUGGAGAAGCAGCGUGGCUUCCACGGCUCCUGCUCUGUUGCACCUCCUGAACCCGGCGCAACUUUUCACUGCCGUCCGAUUCCAGAAGGAUAUGCUGCUGUGAUGGUGGAUGAAAUAACGGAGGGAUUUGAGGAGCUCGAGCUUGACCACCCUACCGGCGAAGGGGAGACUCGGCUGAGUUCUUCUCUGAAGACUCCAUGUCUAUGCCGUAAGGAGCUCAUCAACCUUCCGAACUGGACGCCUCCGCCUCCUCCUCCUCCUCCUCCUUCGGAGGGCACUCCGCCUCCUCCUCCGGUGAGUGAUCAGGGCACUCCGCUUCCUUCUCCAGCGCGAGGCGGCACUCCUCCUCCUUCUCCGCCUAUGCCGGCGCAUCCGAACAGCCCGGCUCCUCCUCCGCCUUGUCAGCAAGGGUGGAAAAUAGCCGCCGCCGCUCUGGCUGCUCCGGCGGUAGCAGUCCGCCUCCUUCUCCGCCUCAUAAGCAACAAAGGAAGCCAGCCGUCGCCGCUCCGGCGUCUAGCAGUACAGCCAGAGGCGGGCGGCAAUACAGAUUCGGUCCAUCUCUCAAGCCUCUAGAGAAGUUACCAUACGAGAGGACCGUGGAGGAAAACAAGGAGAUCUGUCAAUCCUAUGUGAAGAACUUCUUUGAAACGCAAAGAGCUAAGUGAUACGUCCAUUUUGCAUCAUGCUUUUAUAUCGAUAUUUAUUGCAUUAUGGGCUGUUAUUGCACAUUAUGUCACAAACAUUAUGCCUAUUCUCUCUUAUUUUAUAAGGUUUACAUAAAGAGGGAGAAUGCCGGCAGCUGGAAUUCUGGGCUAGAAAAGGAGCAAAUAUUAGAGACCUAUUCUGCACAACUCCAAAAGUCCUGAAACUCCACGGAAGUUAUUUUUGGAAAUUAUAAAAAAUACUGAGCAAAGAAAAUACCAGAGGGGGCCCACACCCUGGCCACGAGGGUGGGGGCACGCCCUACCCCCCUGGGCGCGCCCCUGCCUCGUGGGCCCCCUGGUGGUCCUCCGGUGCCCAUCUUUUGCUAUAUGAAGUCUUUUGUCUAAGAAAAAAUCAUAAGCAAGCUUUCGGGACGAGACUCCGCCGUCACGAGGCGGAACCUUGGCGGAACCAAUCUAGGGCUCUGGCGGAGCUGUUCUGCCGGGGACACUUCCCUCCGGGAGGGCAAAAUCAUCGCCAUUGUCAUCACCAACGCUCCUCUCAUCGAGAGGGGCCAAUCUCCAUCAACAUCUUCACCAGCACCAUCUCCUCCAAAACCCUAGUUCAUCUCUUGUAUCCAAUCUUUGUCUCAUAGUCUGGGAUUGGUACUUGUAGGUUGCUAGUAGUGUUGAUUACUCCUUGUAGUUGAUGCUAGUUGGUUUAUUUGGUGGAAGAUCAUAUGUUCAGAUCCAUUAUGCAUAUUAAUACCCCUCUGAUUAUGAACAUGAAUAUUCUUUGUGAGUAGUUACAUUUGUUCCUAAGGACAUGGGAGAAGUCUUGCUAUUAGUAGUCAUGUGAAUUUGCUAUUCGUUCAAUAUUUUGAUGAGAUGUAUGUUGUCUCUCCUCUAGUGGUGUUAUGUGAACGUCGACUACAUGACACUUCACCAUUGUUUGGGCCUAGAGGAAGGCAUUGGGAAGUAAUAAGUAGAUGAUGGGUUGCUAUAGUGACAGAAGCUUAAACCCUAGUUUAUGCGUUGCUUCGUAAGGGGCUGAUUUGGAUCCAUAUGUUUCAUGCUAUGGUUAGGUUUACCUUAAUACAUCUUUUGUAGUUGCGGAUGCUUGCAUUAGGAGUUAAUCAUAAGUGGGAUGCUUGUCCAAGUAAGGACAGCACCCAAGCACCGGUCCACCCACAUAUCAAAUUAUCAAAGUAACGAACGCGAGUCAUAUGAACGUGAUGAAAACUAGCUUGACGAUAAUUCCCAUGUGUCCUCGGGAGCGCUUUUCUCUAUAUAAGAGUUUGUUCAGGCUUGUCCUUUGCUACAAAAAGGACUAGGCCAUCUUGUUGCACCUUAUUUACUUUAGUUACUUGUUACAUUUUACAUAUUACCUUAUCACAAAACUAUCUGUUACCAAUAAUUUCAGUGCUUGCAGAUAAUACCUUACUGAAAACCGCUUGUCAUUUCCUUCUGCUCCUCGUUGGGUUCGACACUCUUACUUAUCGAAAGGACUAUGAUAGAUCCCCUAUACUUGUGGGUCAUCAAGACUCCUUUCUGGCGCCAUUGCCGGGGAGUGAAGCGCCUUUGGUAGGUGGAAUUUGGUAAGGAAAAUUUUAUAUAGUGUGCUGAAAUUUACUGUCACUUGUUAUUAUGGAAAGUAAUCCUUUGAGGGGCUUGUUCGGGGUACCUUCACCUCGAACUGUAUAGCAAAGAGUUGCUCCUCAACCUACUGAACCUACUGAAAAUGAAAAUGUUUACUUUGAAAUUCCUUCGGGUAUGAUAGAGAAACUGCUAGCUAAUCCUUUUGCAGGAGAUGGAACAUUGCAUCCUGAUUUACACUUAAUCUAUGUGGAUGAAGUUUGUGGAUUAUUUAAGCUUGCAUGUAUGCCCGAUGAUGUUAUCAAGAAGAAGGUCUUCCCUUUAUCUUUGAAGGGAGAUGCAUUGACAUGGUAUAGGCUAUGUGAUGAUAUGGGAUCAUGGGACUACAAACGGUUGAAAUUGGAAUUCCAUCAGAAGUUUUAUCCUAUGCAUCUUGUUCAUCGUGAUCGUAAUUAUAUAUAUAUAUAUAUAAUUUUUGGCCUCGCGAAGGAGAAAGCAUCGCUCAAGCUUGGGGGAGGCUUAAGUCAAUGUUAUAUUCAUGCCCCAAUCAUGAGCUAUCAAGAGAAAUGAUUAUUCAAAAAAAUUAUGCUCGGCUUUCUAACAAUAAUCGCUCCAUGCUCGAUACUUCUUGUACUGGUUCUUUUAUGAUGAAGACUAUGGAAUUCAAAUGGGAUUUAUUGGAAAGAAUUAAACGCAACUUUGAAGAUUGGGAUCUCGACGAAGGUAAGGAGUCAGGUAUAACACCUAAGUUUGAUUGUGUUAAAUCUUUUAUCGAUACCGAUGUUUUCCGUAAAUUAGCACUAAAUAUGGACUUGACUCUGAGAUAGUAGCUUCUUUUUGUGAAUCUUUUGCUGCUCAUGUUGAUCUCCCUAAGGAGAAGUGGUUUAAAUAUAAUCCUCCCGUUGAAGUAAAAGUAGUUGCACCUAUUAAAUUUGAAGAAAAGACUAUCACUUAUAAUGAUCCUAUUGUUCCUACUGCUUAUGUUGAGAAACCACCUUUUCCUGUUAGGAUAAAGGAUCAUGCUAAAGUUUCAAUUAUGGUUCGUAAAAGAAAUAUUAGAACUCAUACACCCCCUGAGCAAGUUAAAGUUGAACCUAAUAUUGCUAUGGUUAAGGAUCUAUUGGCUGAUAAUAUUGAUGGGCAUGUUAUUUAUUUCUGUGAGGAAACUGCUAGAAUUGCUAAACCUGGUGCUAAAGAUAAACAUAGACCUAUGGUAGGCAUGCCUGUUAUUUCUGUUAAAAUAGGAGAUCAUUGUUAUCAUGGCUUGUGCGAUAUGGGUGCUAGUGCUAGUGCAAUACCUAUUUCCUUAUACAAAGAAAUUAUGCAUGAUAUUGCACCUGCUGAGAUAUAAGAUAUAGAUGUUACAAUUAAACUUGCCAAUAGAGAUAGUAUUUCACCGAUUGGGAUUGUUAGAGAUGUUGAAGUCUUGUGCGGGAAAGCUAAAUAUCCUGCUGAUUUUCUUGUUCUUGGUUCCCCACAAGAUAGCUUUUGUCCCAUUAUAUUUGGUAGACCCUUCUUGAAUACUAUUAAUGCUAAGAUAGACUGCGAAAAGGAUGUUGUUACUAUUGGUUUGGAUGAUAUGUCUCAUGAGUUUAAUUUUUCUAAAUUUCGUAGACAACCUCGUGACGAGGAAUUGCCUAGUAAAGAUGAAAUUAUUGGUCUUUCUUCUAUUGCCGUACCUCCUAGUGAUCCUUUAGAACAAUAUUUGCUAGACCAUGAAAAUGAUAUGUUUAUGAAUGAGAGAAGGGAAUAGAUGAAGUAUUCUUUAAAUAGGGACCUAUUCUGAAACACAACUUGCCUGUUGAAAUCCUAGGGGGUCCUCCUCCACCCAAGGGUGAUCCCGUGUUUGAGCUUAAACCAUUGCCUGAUACUCUUAAAUAUGCUUAUCUUGAUGAAAAGAAGAUAUAUCCUAUUAUUAUUAGUGCUAACCUUUCAGAGCAUGAAGAAGAGAAAUUAUUGAAAACUCUAAAGAAGCACCGUGCUGCUAUUGGAUAUACUCUUGAUGAUCUUAAGGGCAUUAGUCCCACUCUAUGCCAACACAAAAUAAAUUUGGAGAAAGAUGCCAAACCAGUUAUUGAUCAUCAACGACGGCUGAAUCCUAAGAUGAAAGAAGUGGUAAGAAAGGAAAUACUAAAGCUCCUUGAGGCAGGUAUAAUCUAUCCCGUUGCUGAUAGUCAGUGGGUAAGUCCUGUCCAUUGUGUCCCUAAGAAAGGAGGUAUUAUUGUCGUUCCUAAUGAUAAAGAUGAAUUGAUUCCGCAAAGAAUUAUUACAGGUUAUAGGAUGGUAAUUGAUUUCCGCAAAUUAAAUAAGGCUACUAAAAAGGAUCAUUACCCCUUACCUUUUAUUGAUCAAAUGCUAGAAAGAUUAUCCAAACAUACACAUUUUUGCUUUCUAGAUGGUUACUCUGGUUUCUCUCAAAUACCUGUGUCAGCUAAUGAUCAAGCAAAGACCACUUUUACUUGCCCUUUUGGUACUUUUGCUUAUAGACGUAUGCCUUUUGGUUUAUGUAAUGCACCUGCUACAUUUCAAAGAUGCGUGAUGGCUAUAUUCUCUGACUUUUGUGAAAAGAUUUGUGAGGUUUUCAUGGACGAUUUCUCCGUUUAUGGAUCCUCUUUUGAUGAUUGCUUGAGCAACCUUGAUCGAGUUUUCCAGAGAUGUGAAGAAACUAAUCUUGUCUUGAAUUGGAAGCAAUGCCACUUUAUGGUUAAUGAAGGCAUUGUCUUGGGGCAUAAAAUUUCUGAAAGAGGUAUUGAAGUUGAUAAAGCUAAAGUUGAUGCUAUUGAAAAGAUGUCGUGUCCCAAGGAUAUCAAAGGUAUAAGAAGUUUCCUUAGUCAUGCCAGUUUUUAUAGGAGGUUCAUUAAGGACUUCUCAAAAAUUUCUCGGCCUCUGACUAAUCUAUUACAAAAAGAUAUACCUUUCGUUUUUUAUGAUGAUUGUGUAGAAGCAUUUGAAAUACUUAAGAAAGCAUUAAUCUCGGCGCCUAUUGUUCAGCCACCUGAUUGGAAUUUACCUUUUGAAAUUAUGUGCGAUGCUAGCGAUUAUGCUGUAGGUGCUGUUCUAGGGCAAAGAGUUGAUAAGAAAUUAAAUUUUAUUCAAUAUGCUAGUAAAACCCUAGACAAUGCCCAGAGAAAUUAUGCCACUACUGAAAAGGAAUUUUUAGCAGUCGUAUUUGCUUGUGAUAAGUUCAGACCUUAUAUUGUUGAUUCUAAAGUAAAUAUUCACACUGAUCUACUAUUAAAUAUCUUAUGGAAAAGAAAGAUGCUAAACCUAGACUUAUUAGAUGGGUUCUCUUGCUACAAGAAUUUGAUUUACAUAUUAUUGAUAGAAAGGGAGUUGAGAACCCCGUUGCAGAUAACUUGUCUAGGUUAGAAAAUGUUCUUGAUUACCCACUACCUAUUGAUGAUAGCCUUCCUGAUGAACAAUUAAAUGUCAUAAAUGCCUCUCGUACUGCUCCAUGGUAUGCUGAUUAUGCUAAUUACAUUGUUGCUAAAUUUAUACCACCUAGUUUCACAUACCAGCAAAAGAAAAGGUUUUUCUAUGAUUUAAGACAUUACUUUUGGGAUGACCCACAUCUUUAUAAAGAAGGAGUAGAUGGUGUUAUUAGACGUUGUGUACCUGAGCAUGAACAGGAACAGAUCCUACGCAAGUGUCACUCUGAGGCUUAUGGAGGACACCACGCUGGAGACAGAACUGCACGUAAGGUAUUGCAAUCCGGUUUGUAUUGGCCUACUCUCUUCAAGGAUGCCCGUAAGUUUGUCUUGUCUUGUGAUGAAUGUCAAAGAAUUGGUAAUAUUAGUAGACGUCAAGAAAUGCCUAUGAAUUAUUCACUUGUUAUUGAACCAUUUGAUGUUUGGUGCUUCGAUUAUAUGGGACCUUUUCCUUCCUCUAAUGGGUAUACACAUAUUCUAGUUGCUGUUGAUAACGUUACUAAGUGGGUAGAAGCUAUUCCAACUAGUAGUGCUGAUCAUAACACCUCUAUUAAGAUGCUUAAAGAAGUUAUUUUUCCGAGGUUUGGAGUCCCUAGAUAUUUAAUGACUGAUGGUGGUUCACAUUUUAUUCAUGGUGCUUUUCGUAAAAUGCUUGCUAAGUAUGAUGUUAAUCAUAGAAUUGCAUCUCCUUAUCACCCACAGUCUAGUGGUCAAGUAGAAUUGAGUAAUAGAGAGCUCAAAUUAAUUUUACAAAAGACUGUUAAUAGAUCUAGAAAGAAUUGGUCCAAGAAACUUGAUGAUGCAUUAUGGGCCUAUAGAACUGCAUAUAAAAAUCAUAUGGGAAUGUCUCCGUAUAAAAUGGUUUAUGGAAAAGCAUGUCACUUACCUCUACAACUAGAACAUAAGGCAUACUGGGCCAUUAAAGAGCUCAAUUAUGAUUUUAAACUUGCCGGUGAGAAGAGGCUAUUUGACAUUAGCUCACUUGAUGAAUGGAGAACCCAAGCCUAUGAGAAUGCCAAGUUGUUUAAAGAAAAAGUUAAAAGAUGGCAUGACAAAAGGAUACAAAAGCUUGAGUUUAAUGUAGGUGAUUAUGUAUUGCUAUACCACUCUCGUUUAAGAUUUUUUGCAGGAAAACUUCUCUCUAAAUGGGAAGGUCCUUACAUUAUCGAGGAAGUGUAUCGUUCCGGUGCCAUAAAAAUCAACAACUUCGAAGGCACAAAUCCAAAGGUGGUGAACGGUCAAAGAAUCAAACAUUAUAUCUCAGGCAAUCCUAUAAAUGUUGAAACUAAUGUUAUUGAAACCGUAACACCGGAGAAAUACAUAAGAGACACUUUCCAGAACGUUUCAGACUCCGAAAAGGAAUAGGUACGUGGUAUGGUAAGUAAACCCACUCCAAAACGGUUCUAAUGGCAAAUUUUCUCCGUUUUGGAAUAUUUAAAAAAUAGGAAAAUAAGAAGCAGUCCGGGAAGGACACGAGUCCUCCACGAGGGUGGAGGGUGCGCCCUACCCCCCUGGGCGUGCCCCCUGCCUCGUGGGCACCGCGUGCGCUCUGCGGACUCCGUUUUCUUGCACGAUACUUCUUUCGGUCGGUAAAAAUUCAUUAUAUAAUCUCCCAAAGGUUUUGACCACCGUAUCACGCAAAUAUCCUCUGUUUUCGUUUCGAGCUGUUUUCUGACAGAUCUAGAUCACCAUGACAUCUCCAAGCGCCCCCAAGGACAAGUUCUUCGAGAAGGUCAUCAACCCCUACCUCGCGGAGGUGCUGCAACACCCUCAAACCAUUGAGAUGCGUGAUGGGUUGCUGCACAUCCGCGAUGUUGAGGGGCCAAGGAGGACCGGAAGCCUGGAGACAAGGCUCGAAGCAAUGGAGCAACAAGUUUUCAAGUGCCAGGGGACGGUGGAACGUGGACUCAACGCCAACCACAUGAUGAUCGUGGAGUUCACCAACAACCACAAGCUGGAUGCCAAUAACAUUGGGGAAACCAGCUUCAAGCUUCACGAGAAGAUCGAGCAUCUCCAAGCCCAAAUCUAUGACCUGCAAAACCAAAAUUGUGAGUAUGAGUAUAGAUUCAAGAGGAUGAGUUUGGCUGCAGAUUUGAGGAUCCCGGAGACUCGAUCAUCCUUCUAUGAUGGUGAGCCUAUGCCUUGGAAGAUGGACGACAAGCCCACAUCAUCAACAACUCCACCAUCUUCUUCACCAGCAAAGGAGAUAUAAUCACAUGGGUAUGGGCACUCCCCUUGGCAACUGCUAAGCUUGGGGGAGGUGCCCCGGUAUCGUAUCACCAUCACACUCCUAUUUUUACCGUUUUUCUUAGUUCGAUCCUUUUAGUAAUAUCUUGAUCUAGUAGAAUAAAGUUUUGGUAUGAUUUAGUUUUGAGUUUUGCCUUAUGAUCCUUCUAUGUAAUCGAGUCCGUGAGCUAUAUAAUAAAGAUUAGUGUUGAGUCAAGGGCUUGAUUAUUUUGCUAUGAUCUUGAGUGAAUAAAAGAAAAAGAAAGAAUAAAAAGAAACAAAGAGAUCAUAUUGAUCUUAUGGAGAGUAAUGACUUCACAUAUAGAGAUUAUGAUGAUUAAAAGUUGUUGAGAGUUGACAAACAUAGUUUUGGUCAUCGUUGCAAUUAAUAGGAAGUAAUAAAGAAAGAGAGGUUUCACAUAUAAAUAUACUAUCUUGGGCAUCUUUUAUGAUUGUGAGCACUCAUUAAAAUAUGACAUGCUAAAGAGUUGAUGUUGGACAAGGAUGACAACGUAAUGGGUUAUGUUUUCUUAUAUCUGAAAUAAAGUAUAUUGUCAUGGAUCGUCCAACAUGUUGAGCUUGCCUUUCCUCCCUCAUGCUAGCCAAUUCUUUGCACCAAGUAGAAAUACUACUUGUGCUUCCAAAUACCCUUAAAACCAGUUUUCCCAUGAGAGCCCACCAUAUCUACCUAUGGAUUGAGUAAGAUCCUUCAAGUAAGUUGUCAUCGGUGCAAGCAAUAAAAAUUGCUCUCUAAAUAUGUAAGAUUGAUUAGUGUGGAGGAAAUAAACUUUAUACGAUCUUGUGAUGUGGAAGAAAUAAAAGCGACGAACUGCAUAAUAAAGGUCCAUAUCACAAGUGGCAAUAUAAAGUGACGUUUUUUCGCAUUAAGAUUUCGUGCAUCCAACCAUGAAAGCGCAUGACAACCUCUGCUUCCCUCUGCGAAGGGCUUAUCUUUUACUUUUAUCUUCUACCUUAUGUAAGAGUCAUGGUGAUCUUCACCUUUCCUUUUUACAUUUUAUCCUUUGGCAAGCACAUUGUGUUGGAAAGAUCCUGAUAUAUAUAUCUAAUUGGAUGUAAGUUAGCAUGGACUAUUACUGUUGACAUUACCCUUGAGGUAAAAGGUUGGGAGGCAAAACUAUAAGCCCCUAUCUUUCUCUGUGUCCGAUUAAAACUCCGUAACCACAAGUAUUGCGUGAGUGUUAGCAAUUUUGAAAGACUAAAUGAUAGUUAAGUAUGUGGACUUGCUGAAAAGCUCUUAUAUUGACUCUUUCUGAUGCUACGAUAAAUUGCAAUUGCCUCAAUGACUGAGAUUAUCGUUUGUUAGUUCUUAAUGAAGUUUCUGAUUCACACUUGACAUUGUGGAUAGAUUGUUACUUUAUCAUAAGAAAUAAUAUGACAAUAUCCAUAUAUGUUGCUGUUAUAAGAACUAGUCAAGUGGCCCUCGCAAAUGCGAGGGCAAGAUUUUUACGACAUUCUGGAUUGCGAAGUAUUUUUUUAUAUUAUAAAAAUACUGCUAUGUACCCCUUCAUUGCAUAUUUAGUAAUAUCUAUGAGGCAAUGUUAAAUAGAGAAUUCAAAAUUGCUAAAUUUACGUUUUUAUAUUUAAAAAAUGCUCCUACUUACCCCUUAUUGUGUGACAAAUGAUAUUUAUAAACAUUAUACAUAUCAAAUAAAACAUGUAAUGUCGCACAACUAUAUCCAUAUAGUGAUUAUUCUGGCUGCUAUGGUGCUACACAAUACCUUGCAUAUUGUCAAUUAUAUAAAUCUACCGGGAAAUAUAUGAAAAUUAGUUAAUGUUUAAUUAUAAACUAAUUCUCACUAUUACAUGCAAUUGCCAUCGUUAUAAACACCAAUGUGUGCUGUAACUACUUUGUAUGAUUACUGUCAUUUGGUUAAUUUAGAAUUUUAUUGGUUCCUAGAAUGCAGCCAAACAACAUUAGAAGCGCACUAUUUUUUAUAUUAGAUCACUGGAAGCCUGCGGGAAAAAAGAUAAAUUAUGGAAUGGUACAGUGAAUUUGGAGCAAUCAUGGACAAAUGAAAUAGCUGUUUUUAAAUAUUAUGUCAAAUUGCUAUAUUAAAUACAGUAAUUACCUAGUGGCAAUGCAACUUAUCAUUUGUUGCUUUAUGCCUCAAAUUUUGCACCCAAAAAGAGUCAGAUAGAUGGCCACUAAGUUACACAUGUAUGUCGUAAUUUCUAAGUUCUAAAUCUGUUGUACUUCAUGACGUCGAAAUUUAUACCCGCACUUUACCUUCAUUUUAUUUUUAAUUAACACUUUCUCUGAAGCUGGUCCCAUCUGUUAGGGCAUACCUGGCAGACGUCUCGACUGGUUUUGUUAUGCAGCCGAUAUCUCCUCAGUGUUCACAAACCUGUAUUGAUUUUUGCUCCGGUUUAGCUCCAUUACGUCUGUGUCAGGCAGCUAAUGGUUAACCUGACGGUGCAGCCGGAGUCCAACGUCAACAACCCGUUCAGUGCUUUGCCUGUCCGUGCAUAUCGACUGGGAUUCAGCCAGACGCGCUCCCAUCAAGCUAAGCAUACACCGCGGGGCACUUUUUCCUCCCCCAUCAUCUGCUUCUUUUGCUUCUAGGGGUGGCCAUUGGUGUCCACGAAUUCUCUUCUUGGCCGCCGUGUUGUACGUACGUGCAUGUUAAUACAUUAACGGCAAGAUCAAUAUGUACGUGUGUGUUGCUAGGUCGAGCUAGCUUCAUGUAGAUUGUAUCAGCUAGGAACGCCAUCUCAUCAAUUACGCUUCAUCAUCUCACAAAAAGUUGCAUCGACGCGGAGCAGGAUUCAAGCGAGCCGGCAAUGCAUGCAUGCCGUAUAUGUGAAGGGCUACGUCCUUUUUUCUUCCACAUAAUGCAUGCAUGGCAGCCUGGCAGGCAUGACCACACGACGUACGCGGCCUUCUCCUGCUGCUUCAUGUGAGCUUCGUCCACGAAGGAGAGAAACGGGAAAAUGAUACAGGAUAGAACGAAACGUUUUUUUGGUCUUUUAAUUAUCAAAUAGUAAUGGUGGGUAAUUAUUUGACUUAAAAUGUUAUCUAAUGGCUAUAAAAGUUUAGUCUAUUAUAUGAAUGGUCGGAUGUUUCUAAUUAUUGUGGUAAUUUCUUGACUAUUUAUCUUUUUCUCGUUAGGCCGUAAAUUACUUUUUAUAGAUAAUAGAUGAUCAUAAUGCCCUCAUGUCCGUAUUUUAUUUUAUCGACACCUCUAUCUCUAAACAUGUGGACAUAUUUAUCGUUAUCGGCUUCCGCUUGAGGACAAGCAAGGUCUAAGCUUAGGGGAGUUGAUACGUCCAUUUUGCAUCAUGCUUUUAUAUCGAUAUUUAUUGCAUUAUAGGCUGUUAUUGCACAUUAUGUCACAAUACUUAUGCCUAUUCUCUCUUAUUUUAUAAGGUUUACAUAAAGAUGGAGAAUGCCGGCAGCUGGAAUUCUGGGCUGGAAAAGGAGCAAAUAUUAGAGACCUAUUGUGCACAACUCCAAAAGUCCUGAAACUCCACGGAAGUUAUUUUUGAAAAUAAUAAAAAAUACUGAGCGAAGAAAAUGCCAGAGGGGGCCCACACCCUGGCCACGAGGGUGGGGGCACGCCCUACGCCCCUGGGCACGCCCCCCUGCCUCGUGGGCCCCCUGGUGGCCCUCCGGUGCCCAUCUUCUGCUAUAUGAAGUCUUUCGUCCGAGAAAAAAUCAUAAGCAAGCUUUCGGGACGAGACUCCGCCGCCACGAGGCGGAACCUUGGCGGAACCAAUCUAGGGCUCUGGCGGAGCUGUUCUGCCGGGGACACUUCCCUCCGGGAGGGGGAAAUCAUCGCCAUCGUCAUCACCAACGCUCCUCUCAUCGGGAGGGGGCCAAUCUCCAUCAACAUCUUCACCAGCAUCAUCUCCUCUAAAAUCCUAGUUCAUCUUUUGUAUCCAAUCUUUGUCUCAUACUCUGGGAUUGGUACUUGUAGGUUGCUAGUAGUGUUGAUUACUCCUUGUAGUUGAUGCUAGUUGGUUUAUUUAGUGGAAGAUCAUAUGUUCAGAUCCAUUAUGCAUAUUAAUACCCCUCUGAUUAUAAACACGAAUAUGCUUUGUGAGUAGUUACGUUUGUUCCCGAGGAAAUGGGAGAAGUCUUGCUAUUAGUAGUCAUGUCAAUUUGGUAUUCGUUCGAUAUUUUGAUGAGAUGUAUGUUGUCUCUCCUCUAGUGGUGUUAUGUGAACGUCAACUACAUGACACUUCACCAUUGUUUGGGCCUAGAGGAAGGCAUUGGGAAGUAAUAAGUAGAUGAUGGGUUGCUAUAGUGACAGAAGCUUAAACCCUAGUUUAUGCGUUGCUUCGUAAGGGGCUGAUUUGGAUCCAUAUGUUUCAUGUUAUGGUUAGUUUACCUUAAUACUUUUUUUAUAGUUGCGGAUGCUUGCAUUAGGAGUUAAUCAUAAGUGGGAUGCUUGUCCAAGUAAGGACAGCACCCAAGCACCGGUCCACCCACAUAUCAAAUUAUCAAAGUAAUGAACGCGAAUCAUAUGAACGUGAUGAGAACUAGCUUGACGAUAAUUCCCAUGUGUCCUCGGGAGCGCUUUUCUCUAUAUAAGAGUUUGUCCAGACUUGUCCUUUGCUACAAAAAGGACUGGGCCAUCUUGCUGCACCUUAUUUACUUUUGUUACUUUUUACCUGUUACAAAUUACCUUAUCACAAAACUAUCUGUUGCCGAUAAUUUCAGUGCUUGCAGAGAAUACCUUAUUGAAAACCGCUUGUCAUUUCCUUCUGCUCCUCGUUGGGUUCGACACUCUUACUUAUCGAAAAGACUACGGUAGAUCCCCUAUACUUGUGGGUCAUCACUAAGAAACAUCCACCUCCGGAGGAGAAGAUAGAUCAGGUGAAAGCAAAGCGCACUAUCGAUGCCCUGAAGAAACCACCACCGUCUCCGCUGGAUGACAACCAUGUUCGCGCUCUUAAAAAGGCAGCGCAAGAAGCGCGCCGGUCGGGAACUACUUCAAGUGACAAAAGGUUACAAGAACGAAGAAGUGGAAAAAAAAUCCCCAGCUCGGUGAACAGGCGAACCAAUCGUGCCCCCCUCUGAAGGUGUCUAGCGAUAUCGCCGUUAAUGAUCCGAGGAUGGUGCCCGGUUAUACCAAUCCUGGUGAUUACCUGCCCGACUCUGCACAUUUUGAUAAAAUGGAGGUGGACAAACACAAAUACCGGUAUGGGAGGCCUCUCGUCAAACCUGGUCAUAUGAAAACGCUAACAACGAUGAUGCGAAGAUUCCAUAAGUGGUACAUGGACACCUGCAAGUCUGGGAAGGAUAUUUUGACGCUGAGAGUUAAAGAGGAGCACGACCUCGUUGGAAUUGAUCUGUUGUCUGUUCCAUUUGAGGAGUUCUUCCAGUUUUUCAAUCAAAAGGCCCUCGAUAAAAUAAUCAUCACUUGCUACUGUCUGUAAGUACUACUUCUGUAAUUAAGUCUCUAUAUAUAGCUCAGCUCUUUCAUUGCAUGUAUAUAUAUUUAUCCUCACUAUAUUAUGCAGAUUGAAGAUCGCCGAAUGCAGGAAAAGACAAAUCUAUGAUACUAGGUUCAUUAACACAAAUCUCAUAGAUGACUGGACAGUUAAACAUGAUGCCAAAGAAGCCGAGGCCAACUUGCUAAAAUCGUUGCUUCAAAAUCAAAACAAAUAUAAAAUACUCUUUCCUUACAACUUCAAGUGAGUGUUACUGUCUGGUGCAUAUUCGGUUUCCCUUAAUACUCGAGGUUAAUGUAAUUGAUGAGUUAUGCAUGCGUGCGCAGCUUCCACUUUAUUCUCCUAGAGAUUGAGCUUGAGCAGGGACUAGUAACUGUCUUAGACUCAAGACGAAAAGAUCCCAAGGAGUAUGCGGUCAUGACUGAAAUGCUCAAGAAGUAAGUUCAAUGGAUCAUUAUCGCACCAUAUCGGCAACUUUGUUCAUUUCCUCAUAUCAAGCAAUAAUUAUUUUCUUUGUCUCGCAGGGUUUGGAAAGUUUUCACCGCAGAAGCUCCGGGACUGCCGAAGAAGCUGCGAUUUACACACCCGAAAGUAAGUACUACUAGCUAGUUCCACGCAUCUCACAUUGAUUCUAGCUAGUUUCAUCAAUACCAUUUAUAAUGCUUAAUUAUCAGUUUGAUUGACCUCUAUUUCUUGUAAAGUGGUUGUGGCAGGAAGGCGGGAAUAAUUUUUGUGGAUACUACAUUUGCGAGUACAUCUACAACGCGACGACCUCUAAGAGGGGCUACUCUAAAGAAGAUUUUGAAGUGCGUAAGCAAUAAUAUUCACAAUUUUAUUUGAAUAUACCAUCAUUUGUGUUGAGUUUCAUUCAUAUAUAUAUAUAUAUAUUGACCCCCUUCUUCAAAUUAGCUUUGGGAGCUACGGGAGGACCUCCUACCACAAGAUCGCAUAAAAGCAAUUAAAGUGGAAUUGGCGGGAUUCUUUCUUGAGCACGUCAUAGAUAAACACGGAGAAUACCAUGUGGAAGUUGACAUCAUAUGCUAGGGAUUGUAAGAGAUCUUAUAUUGUAUAUAUGUAGCUAGUAGCGUCGGAUAGAUGUACGAAAACUUGUUCUUCGACCAAUCUCUCGGAGAAAGAGAGGUCGAUCACUUCUCUUUGUAUAUGUUCAUGACGAUCUUGUGUACUUAAUGGUUUCCUUCAUUUGCUUACUAGCUAGCGUGUCGAGUCCUCUAUACAUAUAGUACGUAGCGUCGACCAAGCACGAAGAUAAGAGAGGACACUUCUCUCUAUUAGCUAACUAACACAAUAUAUGAAACCCCUAAAUUAACCCUACAACCCCCGCCCCCUUUCAAAAAAAACCAAAAACCCCAGCCCCUGUACUGCUGACGCGUGGACGCUUAUUGGUCCCGGUUGGUGCUACCAACCGGGACAAAAGGCCCCCCUGCCUGGGCAAGCCGCAGCGGCCACGUGGAGCCGCAACUGUCCUAGUUCGUAUAAGAACCGGGACUAAUGGUACCGGGCUUUAGUACCGACCCUUUAGUCCUGGUUCCCGAACCGGGACAAAUGGGCCUUAUGAACCGGGACAAAUGGACCUUUUUCUACUAGUGCUUGCAUAAUGUUAGGGAGCCUUUGUCUUCAUUUUUCCAUGCACGUCUCAUGGAUUGAUCACCGAGCCUUAGUCAUGAACAUUGAUAUAACUUCUCCCGGGCGACCAGGUCGAAGAUCAAAGGAACAGUGGACGUGUAUCUAGUGCUUCACUUGCUGUGAUGCAGAUACAUAUGGAGAGAUGCGAGUGCCAGAAAGAUACAAAUAGUCAGGGUUCAUAAAUAUGUAUAGAAAAUAUUGAAUAUGCUAAUAAUAUGAGAGUACCAAACUAAUUGUAAAAUCAAAACAAAAUAUAAAGCCAAUAGGGCUUAUAGUUGUUAUACCUCAUGACCAAUUUGAGGCAGUAUUCCAAAACAGGGCAUGUCGGGUAUCAGCACAAUUUUUAUUUUUACCAAGGGGGCCUUCCAAUUAGAAAAUUAGCAUUAGAGAUUCUAGUAUGGAUAUUUACAAAUGUUUUUAAUUGGAUUAAACCUAAACCAGAUAGCAUGACAUGCAGCUACCCACAGAGCAGGAAACUACAGUAGCUAUGCAUGAGGAUAUCUGCCAAAGCUAGCUGGGCCACUAAUUUGAAAUAUGAUAUUAUCUAAUCGAGAGCACCAGGGAAACAACAGAUCAAUAUGCACGUUAUAUAUGUUCUUUUAUCAUCUGCAUGUUAUAUAUGUUAGUAAAGCAUACUACAGAUUUCGGAAUGGAACAUACCUACCAGAUGAACCGUUUCCCUAUGGAAUCAUACCAUUCAUAUAUAAUUGUGAGCUUCCAAAUUCUGUUAAGAUGAUGCAUUUCUUAAAGCCAUAACGUACAUGUUAGCCAGUAGGAAUAAUUCAAUCCCUCUAAUAGCAAUGGCAAAUAGCAAUGGCAAAUUACCCUGCAAUUUUGAAAGUAAAAUAGUAGAUCCAUGGCUGUCUAAUUCCACAUAGACAUGAUUAAACAAAAUCAGGUAGCAAUCAAUUAGAUUUGGACGAACUUGCCGUAUGCAUUGCAUGUAUAUUCCAGAAAAAAUCAGAUCCUUGUAUGACCAACUGCUUCACAACCCAUGCACCUGGCUUCGACAAAGAAAAAAAUAAGAUGUCAUCCCAUGCCAUUCUCUCAGUGGCGCAUAGAUCAGUCUUCCCAGCCGGCGCCAGGGGCUUUAAUUCUCUCAACUGUAAGUCUGCAACUGCAACAACAUUCUUUUUUGUACGGACCACAUCGAAUAGAAAGAUUAUGAGAUAUGAUGAAACAAAACUGAAUCAAAUAAAUUUAUAUCUGUAGUGUAUCAGAGCUAGCUUCGAAAUCAGGCUUCACAACAGAAGAUAAAUAAACAAAUCGAUGGUUUAAACAUAUCACAACAAAAUAGAGGAAUCCAUUAUAUAGACGAAACCUCACAGAACAGAAAAUCACACCUUCCUGUUCUCUCUCCUAUGCGUCUUGCAAAACCACAUCAGCCUUUGCAUCAAGAAAGCGCUCCUAUUGGGAACAUGGAUUGGAGGAUUCAAGAUCACAGGUAUCGGCUGAUUGUAUUGAGAUCGGAACUAUGGAUCGGCGUAUCAGCAGUGGAAGAAUACCAACGAUCCAUGGAUUCAGUAUCACUUUUUGUGAUUUCCAGGAAGACCUGCACUCAUGCGCCUACUCAAGGUUGAGGUCCACCCCAAUCACAUCUAUUGAAAAUCCUCAACCAUCUAAAGAUAAUCUAUUUUUCUGAAGUUCUCUCUCACGUUCAGAUCACAAGGCACUCAACCCACUAACCCUUCUUUUUUUCUCCUGUCUUCAUGUUUUGGUCAGUAGGCUGGGGCAGUUGCCAGUACGUAUCCAAUCACGUUUGUCUGACAAGACUGGACCUGACGCCAAUAUGUAUUCUUCCCAGCCGGCACCAGGGGCCUUAAUUAUUCGCUCGACUGUACUGCAAAAAUAUUCUUUUUUGUAUGGACCGCAACAAAUAGAAAGAAUAUAAGAUAUGAUGAAACAAAACUCAAUCAAAUAAAUUUAUAUUUGCAUCGUAUAAGAGUUAGCAUCAAAAUCAUGUUGGAAUUAUGCGUCCUGCAACUAUAUUCAAAUUGCUUGGAAUUGUUAAUAUUCGGAAUACCUCAUUAUGGAAUUGUACAUGUAUUUAUACAUGGAAUUGAUUUACAUGUUUAGUAUGGAAUUGUUACUUGCUGGAAUGUACUUAAGUAAUAUAUGCUUAAGGAAGCUGGUCGAUUAUCAGUGGAAUAUAAUAUACUAUUUAUAUUGGAAAGACUACCCGGGUACACUGAUGAUUGGAAGGAGCUAGAUCGUAUAAUUAGAUUACAGCCCUAAUGUUGAUCUACAUAAUUAGAGGAAUUUACACUCUAUUAUGGUGUGUUGCUCAUAAGUGCGUGCUCCGGGGACAUAACAGGUAGAAUCCGUUAACAGACAAAUAUGAUCGUGGUUGGUAAUUUGAUCUGGACUCUAUCCCGGAAACUAGUGGAAAAUACUAGGAAUCUUAUAUCUGUAUAAGAGGUGGACUCUUUGGAAAGACAGUACAAGAAGGUCCCUACCCCCUAGCCUCAGAUGCGAAUUGUAAGCGGCACCACGGAUAAGUGCAGAGGAAAUAGGGGGUAGACCACAAAUUUAUUUUCAACAUUGGCAUCAGCGCAAGGUUCGGUCGCGCUCUAACCCUAAUCCCACUCCGCCGUCAUGGUGGCCGCCGAUCCCAUUGAUUCCGCUGCGUACUCGCCUUCAUCAGGUUAUUUAUUUUUAACUCAUCAUUGAUUAUUGCACUUGGACAUGGAUAUCAAAUGGCUUUGAGUACUUAUGCCAGGAUCAUUUUUUUGAGGGGGUGCUGUGAAAAUCUUAGUGAACAAAUUGCACGGAAAAUUAGUGCAAUCUGGAACAUAUUUUUUGUGACAUCUGUCAGGAAAUACAUAUUGCUGGCUAUAUAUUGGUUAUUUUUAACUCUGUGCCCAAUUGACUGAAAUAAUUGAAUUUCCAAUUUAACUUUGUUUGAUACGUGAUAUGGGAUGUUGUUUGCUCUAUGGAGGAUGAAAGAAACUCACUUAGGGAAGGAUCUGACCAAAUAUUAUUGGUUGCACCUCAGAGAGGAAGAUAUAAUAUUUUAUCAAUGCAAUUGGCAAAGAGGAAGGUAUGUCUAUAAUUUGUCUGCAUGGAAUUUUGCAUUUACCACUAUUUUUUUCCAAAAUAGUUGUGUUGCGCAUUAUGGUUAUAUAUAUCAAAUAUUAGUAGCAAGGUUUUACUUCCAUGCAAACAAUUUCAAGGAAAUGCUAAAGUUAAUAAACUUGGAAUUGGAAAUUAUGCCCUCAAACUCCGUUGUGGAGGAAAAUAGUUAUUGAUGAAUACAUUGUUAUACCAACUUUGCAUAAAAGGAAUUCAUUGAAGUGUCUUUUGUUGAGCAUCACUUGUUUAUGGAGGAAGAUAGGGGUCACUCCAAGGACAAGGAAAUCUGACCUUCAUUUGUCACUACUUUAUUGGCAUGCAACAAUUUAAAAGGAAAAUUGAUGUACUUUGCAUUUUAAAUUAUGACAUGAAACUCCGUUGUGGAAGAAACAUAUUAUUGUUAUAGGACAGUCUGUGCAACUCGGUGAGACCGGAUUUGCUUUAUUGAUAUAUCUUGGAAUCUAUUGAUUAUGACAUACUAUUUGGAAAAGAAAGAGUGAAAAUAUUGCUCAAUGGUUAAAUUAGUGCAUUAUGGAUUUUCACACAAUGGUCUAUCUUUCUUUAUGUCCAUUGGAAGUUGGAAAACCAAAAUUAUUUUUAUAUUUGGCGAAGAUAACUCCAUAUGGAGGAAUAUCGACAAUGGGAACACAUGCUUGGAAUCUUAUUAUCUACGUCAUCAAUGACUUGGUCAGAUAUCUUGGAACUGGAUCAAGAGGCUUAUUGAUUCUGGAAUUCUAAACUUUAAUUUAGUGGGAGGACUAUGGUACAUGUGAAGCAUAUAUUGUAGGAGAUAUGCCCUAGAGGCAAUAAUAAAUGUUAUUGAUUAUCUCCCUGUUCAUAAUUAUGUUUAUGUUCCAUGCUAUAACUGCUGUGGUUCCCGAGCCCGUAUAUCCAUAAAGGCUCUGGGGAGAACCCAUAUGCACGUGUGGAAUAAUAAACAGUAAAAUGUAUUCCUAGUCGUGCCUCUAAGACUAGCUCAAGUGUUGCAUGAUGAUUAUGUUUUCCCAAUCAUGGGCAUGUCUAUGCCAAGCAAUUUUGAGGGCAUAAUGUCAGGAAGGACAUUUGUGUUGAAUCGACCCGAAUUGAUGUUAUGCUAUGAGAUACAUUCAUCAUAAGUUAAUGGUUUAUAACACAGAGAUAGUUAAUGUUUGCAUAAUUCCUUAGACCAUGAGAGUAUCGAGUUUCUUCAUGCUUGCUUCAUGAACUUUGGGGUUUGUUAAACGUCAUCCGUAACUGGAUGGCUAUUACGGCGGCUUACGGGUUCAUGGGAAAGUAUGUUAAGUGAGUUGAUAGCUCGAGAUUGGGAUUUGCUCCUCCGACGAUGGAGAGAUAUACUCGGGCCCUCUCGGUGUUACGGUGUCCAUCAUCGUCUGGCCAGACACUUUGUGAUUUGAUCACGGGGAUGCCGGAACACGAAACGAGAAAAGAGAACAAAACUGGUAACGAGGUAACUAGCAUAGUGGACAAGUUGUUGAUCCACGGGAAUGCCAACAUGUCUCACCUCAGGUAUUUGUAACAUAUCGCGAAGCAACAGGAAUAGCACACGGCAACUGGAGGUUCACUCGAAUAUUUAUUCGUGUGGGUAUAGGGGUCAAUAUGGGUGUCCACGGCUCCGAUGUUGAUCAUUGAUCGGAAGGGGUUCCGGGUCAUGUCUAUACUUCACCGAACCUAUAGGGUCACACGCUUAAGGGUCAUCUAUCUGCUGAAUACUAGACAGGGAGUCUGAGAGAAAAUCACCGAAAAAGUUUCGGACACCGAAAAGUUUCGGACAGCGGAAUCGUACCGCAGAGAGAGGUCAUCGGAUAAGUUUUGAUGAUACCGAAAAGUUGUUUCGGGAUACACCAUUAAGUCAAAAUGGUUUCGGCACAUGCCUGAUAAUUCUUGGAGGGUGCUAGAAUCAUUCUGGAAACUUUUUGGAAUUUUCAGAAAUAAAAACCGAAAAUGUUUCGGAGCUGCCGGUACCGCUUUGGCUGUUUUUCGCAGAUGAAAUUCACUAAUCUGAAAUUGUUUCAGAACGAAUCCAAAAUCAUUUUAGUGGGUACUGGAAUUAUUCUAAGACCCACAGAAAUAUUUUCGGAUUUAGUGGACGCGAAAAAUUGUCUUCAUGAAUAGUGAAAACGCAUUCUUGUUUGGUUUUCGCAGAUGAAAAUCACUAAACCGAAAUUGUUUCAGAACGCGUUGAAAAUUAUUUUAGUGUGUACUGGAAAUGUUCUGAGCCCACAUAAAUAUUUUCAGUUCGAACGGACGCUGAAAAAUGUCGUCAUGAAUAGUGAAAGUGCUUUUUGCUUGGCUUCUUGGAGAAGCCACCUUGAGGGCCUUUUUGGUAUUUCCCCCCUUGGCUUCUUGGAGAAGCCACCCUUGGGCUUGGCCUAUAAAUAGGGGUGGAGGGGGCUGCCUAAAGGAUCAUCCCUUGCUCUCAUACACAUGCCAUGCAUUAUCUGGCUUCUUCUCUCCCUCCCACGAAAAGAGUUUCAUAGAGCCGUAAGGCUGUCUGGGUUCCGGCAGGAACUAGUUCUGGACGGCGAAGCCCUUCCGGAUAGAUGACACCGUAUGUGUGCAACUCUGUAGAGAUAUCGUAGUUUCGGUCUUAGUUCGUGAGUGCCUCCCGAAGGGCUGUUCGUGUGACCGUCCGAGUUUUGAAGGUCCUCCCGAAGGGCUGUCCGAGUGACCGUUCGAGUUUCGAAGGUCCUCCCGAAGGGCUGUCCGCGACACCGUCCGGGGGGCUGUUCGACCGCCUCUCGGAGGGCUGUCUGAGGAGCAGAUGAGGGUAUACAUCCUCGCGGUUGGGAGGUUGUAAAUCCUAGCUGCGGGGAUCUGCACCGCCGAUCGUCAUCGACUCUACUUCCCGCUGCGCUAUGAGUCGGUAACGAAAAAGAUCAAACCAUGUAUGCAGUCUCCAUAGUGGUCCUGGGCUGGUGCGUAGGUCGGAAAUUUUUUGUUUUCUGUCGCGUUACCCUACAGUGGCAUCAAGAGCCGUGCUAUGCGUAGAUGCAGGUUACGAUCUAGAAUACAUGGAGAUGUAUGGGUAUUGCAUAAUAUAAUUUUGGAGUGGAUGAGAUCUAUUGCUGAAAAUUAUUUAUGCGGGUGACAGAUGAAAUCUGUUACCCGACGUUCUUGUUGCUUCCCUAGAAUUUGCGUUUGCUCAAUCUCGAGACAGCAUGGUGGAAUUUGACAAAGUUCUGGCAAUCCGUGAUCCUGAUUGAUCAUGGAAGUGCUAUCAGUUCUUUGGGUUCUGCCGUAGUCAAAAGAAAGAUGAAAUUUGCAGAUGAAAGGGCAUUGCAGAUAUGAUCUGCACGGGGGUCAUGCGUAUGACGAAGUUUAGUAUGGGGCUCGGGAUUAAAUUAUCCCGUGUUUCAUACACCCCGAGAUGUUAAUCUAGCAACCUGAAUAAUCAUACUUGAUGAUAAAAUGUUGGUAGCUGCGGUUUAAGUCAAAACCUUAGAAGCCACGUAAAAUAAAUUUUGCAUAAACCGAUUAGAGGCGUCUAACUUGGUUUUGCAGGAUGUGCAUGUGAUGUGGUAUAGCAGUGCUCAUACUAAUUCGAUUAUGUAUGAGAUGACUAUAUGAUUUAAUUUGAUUAACAUGACCUGCGUGUCAUGAUUCGGCAUGAUGGCUGGAGCCAUAUGAUUGCACUUUAAUGACCUGCGUGUCAACCUUGUUGUAAUGCAUUAUUUUGUUAGCUAUAGAGAUAGCAAUAUUAUCUGGUGCAUCGACAAGGUGGUGGCAAUCUUCGCGAAGGUGAACACCGACGCGAAUGCCGAAGACGAAGAAAUGAAAGACUUCUCCGUCAGAAAGGGCUAAACCAUAUCAUGCUAUUAUGAAUUGCCUGAGAUGUUUAUCCCUUAUGAUGCACCCUUCUUGAUUGCGCGGUAGUCGCUUUUUAUUAGGGUGAUCUCUCACAAAAAUACCAAGUAGUUAGUGUUCUCCCAAGUGUAGCACCGUCACGGCACCUAUCUUUUCGGGGUGCGCCGUGUCACACGGGUACGAACGAUUAGAGAAGUGUGAGGCGGGUGAGUUGAGACCUCGCAGCGAGAUCACUUGGUUGUCUUGAUGUUCAGGCAUGACCGUCAUGAGCUCGGAACACACGCAUCGAAAGAUGAACAAGAGUCACAUAGAGAUGUGAUUGGCAAGUUGGCCUACCGGUUGAGAUUUUUCGUCAUCAGUGGUGUUACACCAAUGGCGAACAAUUGAAAUGUGGGUCUUGUAUCACUCACAAUCAAUUUUUGAGAGAUAUUGAUUUGAGUGGGAGCGCACUGUUGAAUUAACAUGUUUAAUUCUCAAUGCAAUUAAUUUUGAACACUGUCUAAGUGUGGUUUGCAUAAUAGUUAUAGAAUAAUGGCUCGCAUUUCCACCUUUCCUAUUAAAAUUGAAUAGCUGUUAAAUAUCUGGUUAAAACUUUACGAUUGGUAACGUAAUAUGAGGAUUGUCCUCAAAAGUGUCGAGAAGGACUUUGUCCUAUCGCAUGCUUUCCGUAUCCUCCCACUAAUGCUAUGGAUCAUGUGACUCUCGUCCUUCGAUCCAAAAGCUAGAAUUCUGUUACGGUCAAGUGGAAUAUGUUUGCUUCCAUGAAACCCAAACUUCGAAAGUUGGGAUAGUUAUAUGAUAUUCAUGGAACUGAAAAUUAUUUUCAGAUACAAACAAAGCAAUGUUUGUUUGCAAGUAUUAGUAAAAGUGUUUACUAUGUAUUUGACUGUUGGGAAAGGGAUCCAGAAGAACGCCUGUCAUAUAAUGAAAGGUGAAUAAAACAACAACUUAAAGAGAAAGGAAGUGUCCAAAGGGUGUUAGUAUGACUUACACGCCUAGGAAGUCCGGGGCUAACGCCACUCUUAAGUUGGGUGCUUCUUUUGCGAGUAGGAGAAAUACUAAAAGUUAAACUGUUAGAAGUAUAAAGGCAGAAAGAAAGAUGACUGGAAUAUCCAGCUCAUGUAUGAAUGUCAUACAAGUUUUUGAUGUAUAGAAGGCUGGUCAAAGAUAUAGUUCUUGCGAAUUAUGGUUAAACAUGUUAAAUCACUAAUUCUUGGGUAUUGUGAGUUCAUCACAAAAAUGCCCGCUCGAUUGCAUUCUGUUGCAACUCGAUGUAAGAACUACUAUGGCCUGAAAGACUAGCUAGAAAUGAGGUUAAGGUAUACACAGGGAACAUAGUAAAUGUUACUAUACCUUCCAUCGGUGUAUUGCCGUCUGUAUUUAUUUUCAUAAUUCAUUUAGAGUUUUACAAACUCUAUCCCAUUGCAUAAGGUAUCUUGCAAGAAGGUUGUUCAUAAGAGAACUUUUUAUGUUCGAUGUUAUGAAUAACACAAGGGCCAUACUUUCAUUAUGAAUGAGAUGUAUGUUAUGAAUAUUGAUAAUAAUACAAUACCUCUGGGUUUACUUUCAUAAUUCAUUUUAGAGUUUCAUACACUCUAGCCCAUUGCACAAUGUUUGUUGCAAAAGAGUUGUUCAUAAAAACAACAAUUGUUGUUAAGUAUUAUGAAUAACAUAAGGGCCAUACUUCCAUCAUCGAUGGGACAUAUGUUAUGAAUAUUGAUGGUAAUAUGAUACAUCCAUAACACUGACGCUAAAUGUCGCAAGACUAAAAGAAUACCACACAAGUGUGGCACUACAUUUGGUCACAUUGGAGAAAUCCGCAUGGAAAAUUCCAUUAUGAUGGAUUUUGAAGUCUUUUUGAUAUUGAAUCAUUUGACACUUGCAACUUUCCUCCGAAAAGUGAAGUGACUAAAAUACCGUUCACAGGCCAUAAGGAACGAACAACAAACUUAUUAGUGAUCAUACAUUUGAUGUGUGUAGUCCGAUAAGUGUUGUUAGUGGUGGAUUUAUUUAUCUUCAGAAAUGACUCAAGUAGAUAUAUGGAUAUUUACUUGAUGAGACGUAAGUCUGGAUCUUUUGAAAUCAUUUGAAAGGUUCUCAAAAAUGAAGUAGAAGUUAUUGUAACAAGAAAAUUAUGUUUCUGCAAUUUGAUUGCACAAAGGAAUAUUUGAGUUACAUGUUUAGCGAAUGUCUGAUGAGUUUCGAAAGGGGUUUUCAUAACUUGCACCUCCCGGAACACCACUGCAAGUGGAAAGUAUGUGGAGAUGUAAUCAAACCAUUUAUGACAUGGUAAGGUCAAAGAUGACAUAAAUAAAUUUGUCAUUAUCCCUUUUAAAGUGAUGCUUUAGAGACUGCGGCUUUUACACUGAAAAGAGCUACAUCGGGUCUGUUGAAAUGAAGCCAUGGUAUGAUACGCCCAACCAUCUUAUAUCUUUUCUUAACAUUUGGAAUAUGGGGCUUGUGUAAAAGGUUACAAACCUAUUCCAAAUCAGACAAGUGCUACUUUGUAGGUUAUACCAAAAUGUUGGGUAUUCCUCCCUCACUAUACCGAGGCAAAUAGUUUUGCCACGAAACGGUGUGCUUUUAAAGAGAAUGGUUCUUUCAAAAAGGUGAGUGGGAGAAUAGUGCAACUCGACGAGAUAAACAGUAUCUACAUCAUCAGAUCAAAGGAAAGAGACCUUGGAAGUAAUUCCAGAGUUUCCUACUGCGACUGAUACGGAAGUCUCUAUAAUAAAAUGUAUGAACUUCGGUCGAACUUGCAGCUGAACCACGUAGGCAAGGCUCCUGCAAACCUCUCAGGUGCGCAAACGAGAUAUUGUUGUUAGACAACAUUAUACCUACGAUACACAAGGAAGCGUUGAUGGGCCCUGACUCCGGAAUUGGCUAAAUGCCAAUACAACCCGAGUUAGUUUCCAUAUAAGUGAUUCAAGAUUUAAACCUUGAUACACCUUUCGGAAGACUUAGAGUCUAACGAAUAUUUAUGGAACUUAAAACUGAUACGGAUAAAAAUGUUUUAUCCAUAAAGCUCGACUUGUUGAAAUAACAAGUUCAAGAGUUGACUAUGAUGAGGUUGUUUUCAUCGUAGCGAUGCUUAAAGUCGGUUCGGGUUGAACUAGCAAUUAAUACAUAUUUCAAUCAUGAGAUAUGAAACAUGGAUGAUAAAAGGAUUUCCAUCUGAUGGAAAUGAAAGCUAGGACUUGUAUAUGAUACAGUCCAAAGUAAUUUGUCGAUCCAGAGGAUGCUAGUAGGUAUGCAAACUUCAGAGUUCCAACAAUGGACAAAAGAGAGCAAAAUGGAGUUGGAAUCUUCGUGUUUUGAUGAAAUGGUCAAAGGGGUUUUGACUUCAUCAAUGGGUAACGAAGAUGCUUGUAAUUCAAGAAAGUAACUGGGAGCGUAAUAAUAUUUCUAAAAACCUUAUGUGCUUGGCACAUUGGUAAUUGGAAAUAAAUUUCUUGACACGAAUUAGGACUUCAUUUGAAAAUAGUUUUUCAAUGAAAUGCUUAGGCUAAAUAGCCUCAAUAUUAGGCAUGAUGAUCUAUGGAGAUAGAUUUACCUAAUGGGGCUAAGCAAUGAAUACAUAUUGACAAGAUGCUAAAACAUUUUAGCAUUUAAAAUGCCAAGGAGUGAUUCUUGCCAAAGUCACAUGGAAAGAGUUUUUGCAAGACUCGGUGUCCCAAAACACUGAUGAGUAAAAUACAUGAUGCAGAUUCCACACACUUUUGUGUUUGGAUUAAUCAUGUAUUCCAUGGUAUGUAAAACAACCAGAUAUGUCCGAUACUCCCAAGGUGUUGCGAGUAUGGAUACCAAAGUGAUCAAAUUACUGAUCAUGGGACAACAGUGAAAGAUGUCACAGAGUACUAGAGUAAGUACUGAUGACAUGGUUUUCUCGCAAGCAGAGAUCAUGAAGAGUUCGUUGCAAAAUGUUACAUCGAUACAGUCUUCAUCUUUUCUCCAUGCGAUUUCGAUUUAAAUUAAGGGUUUUGUGUAACACACAAUGUGGUGGCACAGUUAGUUGGAAUUUGUUCAAACUAGUUACUGUGGCGAAUUCUAUAACAAGGGCUAAGUAUGUUGAUGCUUUAGAAGCGACAAAGAAGAUGUUGAAUCAUAUAGUUCAUUCAUGAACUUAGUAUAGUUCCAAGAUGGCUUUUGACAAUGGGACACUACUGCAGGUAGUUGCUCCAUAACUCAGUCUGAGGAAUCCAGGUUCGACCUGUGAUUCACAUACAUACAAAGCCAAGUCCACACAAAAUAUGAAUUUUGUGAAAACGUGAAAAUGCGAGGACAUGCAAAGAUACACACGAAACUGAAGUCGUCAGAUCCGUUGGACAUCAGGCUAUACCACAAGCGAAGCAUAUUUACACCGGUGUGCCACAGGUGUGAAGUGCAUUAGCAUAAGCUAGAUUAUUGUCUCUAGUGCAAGUGGGAGUCUGUAGGAGAUAUGCCCUAGAGGCAAUAAUAAAUUUUAUAGAUUAUCUCCCUGUUCAUAAUUAUGUUUAUGUUCCAUGCUAUAACUGCUGUGGUUCCCGAGCCCGUAUAUCCAUAAAGGCUCUGGGGAGAACCCAUAUGCACGUGUGGAAUAAUAAACAGUAAAAUGUAUUCCUAGUCGUGCCUCUAAGACUAGCUCAAGUGUUGCAUGAUGAUUAUGUUUUCCCAAUCAUGGGCAUGUCUAUGCCAAGCAAUUUUGAGGGCACAAUGUCAGGAAGGACAUUUGUGUUGAAUCGACCCGAAUUGAUGUUAUGCUAUGAGAUACAUUCAUCACAAGUUAAUGGUUUAUAACACAGAGAUAGUUAAUGUUUGCAUAAUUCCUUAGACCAUGAGAGUAUCGAGUUUCUUCAUGCUUGCUUCAUGAACUUUGGGGUUUGUUAAACGUCAUCCGUAACUGGAUGGCUAUUACGGCGGCUUACGGGUUCAUGGGAAAGUAUGUUAAGUGAGUUGAUAGCUCGAGAUUGGGAUUUGCUCCUCCGACGAUGGAGAGAUAUACUCGGGCCCUCUCGGUGUUACGGUGUCCAUCAUCGUCUGGCCAGACACUUUGUGAUUUGAUCACGGGGAUGCCGGAACACGAAACGAGAAAAGAGAACAAAACCGGUAACGAGGUAACUAGCAUAGUGGACAAGUUGUUGAUCCACGGGAAUGCCAACAUGUCUCACCUCAGGUAUUUGUAACAUAUCGCGAAGCAACAGGAAUAGCACACGGCAACUGGAGGUUCACUCGAAUAUUUAUUCGUGUGGGUAUAGGGGUCAAUAUGGGUGUCCACGGCUCCGAUGUUGAUCAUUGAUCGGAAGGGGUUCCGGGUCAUGUCUAUACUUCACCGAACCUAUAGGGUCACACGCUUAAGGGUCAUCUAUCUGCUGAAUACUAGACAGGGAGUGUGAGAGAAAAUCACAGAAAAAGUUUCGGACACCGAAAUGUUUCGGACAGCGGAAUCGUACCACAGAGAGAGGUCAUCGGAUAAGUUUUGAUGAUACCGAAAAGUUGUUUCGGGAUACACCAUUAAGUCAAAAUGGUUUCGGCACAUGCCUGAUAAUUCUUGGAGGGUGCCAGAAUCAUUCUGGAAACUUUUUGGAAUUUUCAGAAAUAAAAACCGAAAAUGUUUCGGAGCUGCCGGUACCGCUUUGGCUGUUUUUCGCAGAUGAAAUUCACUAAUCUGAAAUUGUUUCAGAAUGAAUCCAAAAUCAUUUUAGUGGGUACUGGAAUUAUUCUAAGACCCACAGAAAUAUUUUCGGAUUUAGUGGACGCGAAAAAUUGUCUUCAUGAAUAGUGAAAACGCAUUCUUGUUUGCUUUUCGCAGAUGAAAAUCACUAAACCGAAAUUGUUUCAGAACGCGUUGAAAAUUAUUUUAGUGGGUACUGGAAAUGUUCUAAGCCCACAUAAAUAUUUUCAGUUCGAACGGACGCUGAAAAAUGUCGUCAUGAAUAGUGAAAGUGCUUUUUGCUUGGCUUCUUGGAGAAGCCACCUUGAGGGCCUUUUUGGUAUUUCCCCCUUGGCUUCUUGGAGAAGCCACCCUUGGGCUUGGCCUAUAAAUAGGGGUGGAGGGGGCUGCCUAAAGGAUCAUCCCUUGCUCUCAUACACAUGCCAUGCAUUAUCUGGCUUCUUCUCUCCCUCCCACGAAAAGAGUUUCGUAGAGCCGUAAGGCUGUCUGGGUUCCGGCAGGAACUAGUUCUGGACGGCGAAGCCCUGCCGGAUAGAUGACACCGUAUGUGUGCAACUCUGUAGAGAUAUCGUAGUUUCGGUCUUAGUUCGUGAGUGCCUCCCGAAGGGCUGUCCGUGUGACCGUCCGAGUUUCGAAGGUCCUCCCGAAGGGCUGUCCGAGUGACCGUUCGAGUUUCGAAGGUCCUCCCGAAGGGCUGUCCGCGACACCGUCCGGGGGGCUGUUCGACCGCCUCCCGGAGGGCUGUCUGAGGAGCAGAUGAGGGUAUACAUCCUCGCGGUUGGGAGGUUGUAAAUCCUAGCUGCGGGGAUCUGCACCGCCGAUCGUCAUCGACUCUACUUCCCGCUGCGCUACGAGUCGGUAAUGAAAAAGAUCAAACCAUGUAUGCAGUCUCCAUAGUAGUCCUGGGCUGAUGCGUUGGUCGGAAAUUUUUUGUUUUCUGUCGCGUUACCCUACAUAUAUGAUUUUUUUAAUACACCUUGUUUAUUAAGGUGGAAGGAGAUGAAAGGGCUUCACAUCGUUUCUUUUUUACAUGCUCAUGGUAUUUCUUUGGACAUCCCCACUAGAGGAAUAUAUCGUUUGCAUGUAAAGAGCAUGGAACUAUUCACCAUUGUAAUAUACCGUACACUCCAUAAUUGAAUGGAGGAAUUGACUAUCUUGUAUACUCCCUUGUUUCUUUGGAAAGAAGCAUUGCAUACUAUCAUUUGUUGAUAUCAUUCUCCAUCUAGUACAGUCACUUGACUGGAAGGGAAUCUUCUAUUUUGACAUGAACUUCUCACUUAUUACAAAGGGCACACUAGGAAAUUUUUAUGGUUAUUCCAGUGGAUCAAAGGGUGUUUCCUUAGUUAUCUGGAAAAAGAAUACUGGCGGAAAAUAGGAACACAAUCAUUUUUAUGACCCGGGUGGAAUUAUUGACGGUCAUACUAGAAUAUAAUCUUGAUCCCAUGGAAACUACAAGUGACACUCCCAACAUGACAUGCUUAGGAUAAGUGGGAGGAAUAAGCUCGGAAUAUCAUGUCUGGAUAAUUGUUAUGUGUUAUUGGUGGAUGUCACUCUAAAUUUUAGAGGAAUCACUACAUUCUCUUAAAGUUUUUUUUAAUCAAUAUCAACUAUGGGUGGAAGAAUUGCGGGAAGGAAUAAACUCAAAUGAGGAAGAGCAUAGUUUGGGAACUUAAUAUCAUACCAAAUAACCGCAAGCCUAUUGUCUGGAAGUGAUAUUUUUUUUGUAAGGAUAUUUGGCUCACUGGAAUAUUAUAAUACCACUCUUGUUAUUCAAUUAUUCACACAGAGGUAAAUAUACUUUGUGGAAAGUCUCUCUCCCGGAAUUUUGGGAAAGAGGAACUAAAGACAAGUUUGCUAAUUGAGUAUAUUAAUGUAUGGUCUUAUAACAAGCUUCACAUCAAUGGAAUAGCACUUCAUAUGGUUUUCUAAAUGAAGUAAGGCGAUCAUCUACAAAUGUAAGUGUAAAGUAUAUUGCAUUAUUAUUGUAUACGUUAACAUUGUUUUGUUGUUUGCAAUGAUAAAGUCACAUUGAUGGAAGUGAAAGCUUGGUCAUCUUUUAACUUUCAUAUGAAAGGAACGUUUGAAGCAUCCUAUGUUUUACGAGUGGAAAUACAUAGAAAAUAUUUUGAAUUGUUUCUCUAUGGAAAAUUGCAAACCUAUUAAAAUACCUUUUGUAAAGGGAAUCGCACUCAGUAAGGAAUUAUAUUUGAACUCCUGAGGGAAAAUGGAAUAAUAAAUGGUACUGGAAUUGAUAUGUAUCUUCAUUAUAUUAUGAUACCUUAGCUAUCGGAAUUUAUCCUGCAUUCAAGCAGUGGAAGGAAAGACGAGCAGCUAAGGGAAUCUCACACAUCAUAUAAGAUUGUGGAAAGUGCAUCACAACCUGUCACUUGUUCUGAAAUUUAUAUUGAAGGUAAACGCAUUAGGAAACUACUACUCUAUCUACAAGAUGAGAAAUAAGUCCAGGUACGCAUAUUCAAUUUUUUUGUAGUACUAAUAUGAUGCAGGUUCACCGACCAAAGUCAGGAAUUUCUUUCUACACAUGGUUAAUUAUGGAACUUCAUUUACUAAUUGGAUUUGAUAUUUAUGUGGUUUUGAAAAUUUAUCCAACAUAGUUAUCUUACACUUGACUCGAUGUGGAAUUAAAUCAUAUUAUUAUAUAUGUGGUGGAAAAUAAUUGAUGCGGAAUUUCACUUGAGGAAACAAAAUACUCAAGGUGCCUAUAAAGGUGGAAUUACACUCGAGGAAAUAAUACUCGAGGCGCCAAGGAUAGUUAUGCUAGAAUAAUUAGGCAGAAACUAAAGGUCUCUGGGGAUCUUAAGUAUCACAGCAAGGAAACAUACUAAGGGAAGGUAUCACUAUAUAUUUCUUUGGAUUUUCAACGUAGUGUUAAUCUGGUUGCUGGCCGCUUGAUUAAGCCUAUUAGUCAUGAGGUAUUUGGUAAGCAUUUUAAGGCUACGGGUUUACGAAUAUUUGAAUGAUCAUUUUGGACAAGUGGGAGAUGUUGGAAUUAUGCGUCCUGCAACUAUAUUCAAAUUGCUUGGAAUUGUUAAUAUUCGGAAUACCUCAUUAUGGAAUUGUACAUGUAUUUAUACAUGGAAUUGAUUUACAUGUUUAGUAUGGAAUCGUUACUUGCUGGAAUGUACUUAAGUAAUAUAUGCUUAAGGAAGUUGGUCGAUUAUCAGUGGAAUACAAUAUACUAUUUAUAUUGGAAAGACUACCUGAGUACACUGAUGAUUGGAAGGAACUAGAUCGUAUAAUUAGAUUACAGCCCUAAUGUUGAUCUACAUAAUUAGAGGAAUUUACACUCUAUUAUGGCGCGUUGCUCACAAGUGCGUGCUUCUGGGACAUAACGGGUAGAAUCCGUUAACAGACAAAUAUGAUCGUGGUUGGUAAUUUGAUCUGGACUAUAUCCCAGAAACUAGUGGAAAAUACUAGGAAUCUUAUAUCUGUAUAAGAGGUGGACUCUUUGGAAAGACUGUAUAAGAAGGUCCCUACCCCUAGCCUCAGAUAUGCGAAUUGUAAGCGGCACCACGGAUAAGUGCAGAGGAAAUAGGGGGUAGACCACAAAUUUAUUUUCAACAAAUUAGGCUUCGCAGCAGAAGAUAAAUAAACAAAUCAAUUCCUUAAACAUACCACAACAAAAUAGAGGAAUCCAUUAUAUAGACGAAACCGAAUUCGAUAAGGUAUGUUGCAUGAUUCUUGGUCAACAGUUCAACACGAUUUGUAGGAAUCAAACUUAGGGUUCAUAUGAGAAAUAACAAACAACUGCAUACAUCACUUGCUAGUUAGGUACAGAACCACACAAUAAAGGUCGUCCAUACCUAUAAUAGACGACCAGUAACCUGUACGAACCCCAUCUGGCAGAUUUCUUGGACACAUCAAAGAGGAUGAUGGAAGAUGCCACACGGUAUUACCGGUGGAACAUACAGAAGGAUUGUCACCACGUGCACUCUUUCCCAUGAGGGUGCAGUAGAGGAACGGAUGAUGCUCAGGGAGGAGGCUUGAUUGGGGCGCCCAGAUUGAGCGUUUGCGGCGGCUCACUUGAGAGUGCAGCAUCGGGGAUGAGGAUUGGGGCAUCCAGAUCCAGGUCGUGCCUUGGUGGCGGCUCCCAUGAGGGUGCGGCCGAGGAAUCAAUGGAUCAACACAGGCAGGAGGCGGCUAGGUAGAGGGUUCACGCAGGAUCAGCACAGGGAGGAGGCAGCUAGGUCGAGGUUCAUGGAGGUGCCCAGCUCGUGCGUGGUAUAUGAUAGGUUAGUCCAUCAGCUAGGGUAUGGGAGCCGUGAGGGGAAGUACGAUUACAUUAAGAGGGCAUCUAAUUGUUCCUAAGGAAAAUAACCUCCCGUGGAAUAUGUAACCUCCUGUUGGAUAUGUAAUGGCAAAGGUGGGAAUUUUCCUUGUACUUAUAUCGAACGGCUAUAGAUUUUCAGUCAGUCCAUUAAAUGGUCAGAUGUUUCUAAUUUUUGUGGUAAUUUAUCUUUUUCUAGUUACCCCGUAAAGCACUUUUUAUAUUUAAAUAAAUUUGAUUCAAAAGAUAAAUAAUGAGUAGAGGUCCUGUCAACUUUUCUGAGUACUUUGCUAAUCAGAAUAUAUUUUUUUAUCUUAAUACAAUGCAUUAUUUAACUACUCUAUUGACUUGUAUUUAAAAACAUCUAUUUUUUUUAGCACGCAUGAAAAACAUAACAUGUCUCUUUCCACCCAUAACGAACUACUAGUUCAUUGAAGGUGCACGUUGCCGCACCUGUCCAUUUUUACGAUGAAAUGAUAGUACUUGUUAAUACAGAAAUGGAAGGUGGUAUUAGUAAUGGACUCGUAGGUCAGGUUUCAGUUUUCGGAAAUGGAAGUCUUAUUAGAAGAUUGUGUUCAAUUCAGCGCUAAGGCAAGGUUUUAAGUAGAAUGACUCUUAAAAUAUAAUCGUGCUUAACAUAGAGUGCCUACAUACUAAGUCUAGAAAACCAACUUUUAGCCCUUAAAUAACCACGAGAACAUACAUCAUUAUAAUUAUAAACUCUGUGUUUUAUUCAUACAUAAUACAAGAUCAUUGUCAAACACAUAACAAUAGCAGACUCGGCACGAAAUAACAGUGAUAUGACACGAAAAAAAAGGCAUGGCUUGCUAGGCAGAAAUCAUGACAGCCAUAAUAUUGUAAAUUUGUAAAUACAAGAAUUUUCUUGAGCCUCUUAUUUAGGAUAAGCAUUCAACUUAAGAACAUGUGUGUGGGGAUAUACAUGAACAAAGUCCGACAUACCCAAUACAUGAGCAUACAAGAUAGACUUGAGAAUGUUUAAGAAUUUUGCUGAGGUUCUUGCCACAAGAAUUCUGUGAGAUAAUGGUGUACCUAUGUAGAAGUGCUCACAACCUGAGAUGGGUACGAGGAAAGUCGUUGCUACAGAAGCAUACAUGAAAUGGGUUUUCUUACCAACCGCUUUGUCUUCCAUUAUCCAACAUUUGCACAAGAAUAGCAAAAAGGACCAACGUUGUUUUCAUUAGAAACAAUUCCAAAAUGUCAGGAGGUCAACUCUUACAUAUUUCAUUCAUUCCAGUUAUAUUAUUUAUGAGCAAAAAUACUACGAAGCACUCACCUUUUUCGAAACAGGCACACCAUUAAAAUUACUGCCAGCUUUACUCCUUUAGAUGUCCAAGCCCUUCUGACGUGAGUUCCAGGAACAAUUUUGGCUUUGACCUUACCUAUGAACAGAGACAACUUUAGCCUACUCAUAUAAGCAUAGAGAAUUUACACAUGAAACCUUCACAAACAGGAUAGCAGAUGGUACAAAGAUAUCAGAAAGGGAAUAAAGUCGCUUGGAAGAAAAUGGGAAAGGUAAAACUAUAAUCUACUGAAGAAUAGUACUCCCUUUGUAAAGAAAUAUACGGAGUUUAGAUCACUACGGUGAUCUAAACGCUCCUAUAUUUCUUUACGGAGGGAGUAGUACCUAAUGGUAGUUGCAAGGGCCAAAAGGAAAGUCCAUUGAGCAUCUCCCAAGGCCAAACAAAUUGUUUCUCGAACUACAGUUUGAAAGCCCCUCAUAUUGUCCCUAUGUUGAUGAUCUAAUUAGCACAAUAAUUGCCACAUGGAUUAUCGCUACUGAAAUGUAGAAAAUUACUGACAUGGAAAUCAGAAAAGCUUGACACUGGACUAAGUUAAAUAUUAUCUUUACUCUCUAUCACAAAAUAACACCUGUUAAUAUAGGGCGUGUAGAGGAAGAAAAAAAACAAGUAUGCUAUUGUCUAUAGCAGAUAUAGUUGAACGCAAUGCUGGAUCAAACGAUAGAAAAUUUCUGUGCAACUUAGAUCUCUCUCUCCAUAUAUUGGUCAAAUUAAAACUAAUAAUCACCAAAGGAAAUGUCUUUUGGCUAGCUCCCAAAGUAAUUUGUAAGACAAAAAAAAGUUUAAGAAGCGAAGCAUACCACGAAUUGAACUGUCUAUUUUACUAAAGCAAGUGGCUGCUAUUUAGGUCUAGUAAAUAGCAAAUUGACCAACAACCUUUU